rnacentral:lncRNA from 1 species
AAUUGUCAAUUUUCAAUGGCUAUUAUGACGAGUUUGGAGUUUAACGGUGUAGAAGAAUCUAAAUUUCUUCAAAUUUUGAUAGAAAAUACUUUAAACUAUAUAGAUUAAGGUUAACAUUCUUGAUUUUGAAUUUAAAAGUCCUAUGCUCAAAUUUUAAAGAUUAUUCAAUUUUCACCGUCCAUUUUGAUAUAAUUUAUUUACUAAGUAAACGGUAUCGAAAAAAACUAAAAUUUUAUACCUAAGAAAUUCAUAUACCCUAGAUCAUAUUUAACGGUGUGGAUCGUUGAUUUGAAUGCCCUAAGAUCGAAAAUAAACACUAUAGUACCGGAGCUCGGUACUAUAGAUAGUAUAGUAGCCUAAUUCUAUAUAUAUAUAUAUAUAUAUAUAUAGAGUGAGGUUACUAUGCUUCUGAAAAUACGGAGCCUUCUGUGCUUCCAGAUCGUUUUUCAUGUUGCGACUUUCGAAUCGUCGAUCGGCUCCGUUAAACUUGAUCUAGAAUAUUUGAAAUACCUAGAAAAUAAAUUUUGCACUUUUUCGAUAUCAUUUGCCUAGUGAACUAAGGGGCUCAAAAUCAACGGCUGAAAAUAAAAAUCUUACAAAACGUGAUAAUAUGACAUUAAAAUUUUCGAUCAAAGAUAUUGAUCUUGUUUUAUAUUGUAUAAAGAAUUUUCUAUCAAAAUUUUAUGUGAUUUGGAUAUUUCUACACCGUUAAACUUGCAAACGGCUCACCACGGCCAUUAAAUUAUAAAAUUAUUCUUAUCCCCGAGAACAAUCCAAUUUUCAUCCAAAUACUAUUUUUCUUAUCUCCAUAUUUGUACUUAUUCCUGUAAUAAUUAGUUUUUGCUUAUAUCCGAACCAAACGGUACCGGGUUUUGCCGGAGAAAGCUCAAACAGAAUUCGCUGUUCAAAGGUUUGAUAUCGUUUUUGAAUUUUGGCGAGACUAAUCUGUGUCGUUUAUAUUGGAUGGCUCGAAUUAGGUAUGCGAAAAAUCGGCCAGUAAAUGAGCUUCUCGUGUGGAAAUUGUUACGCACAGUAUCAUUGGAAAUUUGCAUGGGGAUUCAUUUUGACAAAUCUCUACCUGCCCCCUGUUUGAAAAUGACACAAAAAUAGAUGUGAACUUUUGAACCUCCUUUGAUUAUUCUCAUUCUCAUGCUUUGUUACAGUUAUACAACAAGCUCUUUUAAAUCCUUUUUCUACUAGCCGUCCCUAGCGCAAGUGACAAAAGAUUAGCUAAGUUUAUUUUUAAAUGAAAUAAACAAAGCGGAUAACAUGCUACCUAUCUCUUUUUUUUAAAAAAAAAGUACUUUUUCCCUUGAUGUCUAUAUUUAUGGUAACUAUCAUUAUUUGUUCCCCCAUGCACCUAUUUAGGAAUUAGGAUCUGAUAAAUACUAAAGUAUUAGGUGAAAAGGAGUUAGAGAAAGAAAGAAAAAAUUAUAUAUAUAUAUAUAUAUAUAUAUAUAUAUAUAUAUAUAUAUAUAUAUAUAUAUAUAUAUACGUCCCGACUACUAUACUAUCGCUCCGUGCUACAAAAGUUGUUUUCGAUGAGCGGCUUCAAAUCGACAAUUGGCUCCUUAGACUUGAUCUACACUAUUGAAAAUAUUUAAACUAAAUUUCAAAUUUUUUUCGACAUCAUUUGACUGUGAUCAAAGAUAUCAAAAUUGACAUUUUUAUGGCCGAUGUGAUAUGUUUGUGAGUUUAACGUGUAAAACAAUCAAUCCGAUGAAAUUUUUAUAGAAAUUUUUUUCACUAUUAGAGUAAGAUCGGUAUAUCUGAUCUUGAAUUUAAAUCUUUUAUCAUCAUUUUUUGUGAGAUUUUAUUUUCACCGUUCAAUUUUAGACCACUUGUUUGAUAAUAAUGAUAUCGAACAAUUAUAAAUUUAGUUUCUAAAUACUUAAAAUAGUGAGAUAACAUCUAACGGCAGCAGAUCCGUCGAUUGGAAGGCCGAUUAUCGAAAAACAACUUGUAAGCACGGAGCCCCCGUGCUACCGAUAGUAUAAGUAGUGCCUAGUUCUAUAUAAAUAUAUAUGAUAAGAGGAGAAGAGAGAGAGAGACGGAGAGAGAGAGAGAAGGAGUUUGAGCUGAACUCACCCAAGCAAGCAACAAGAGGUUGGGCUUUUGAUUUUAAUUCCUUGGAUGGAGAAGUGUAAGGUUGGAUGAUGGUGUAGGGUGGUUUAGUGAAUAAUUUUGAUCAAUAGGAUUAUUAGUAGCCAAGAAUAUACUUCAAGGGCUAGAAACCUAGAAGCACAAGGGUCGUAUGUUUUAAAAAGUAUUAUAGCUCAAUUAUAUAUAUAUAUAUAUAUAUAUAUAUAUAUAUAUAUAUAUAUAUAUAUAUGAGCUAGGCUCCUAUGCUGAUUUCAUAAAUUUUUGACUUCGUUUAUCUAGUAAACGAGUUGUCUCAAAAUAAACGGCUGAAAAUAAAAAUCUCAUAAAAAACAGAGAUAAAGAACUCAAAUUUCAAAUCGGAAAUAUUGGUCUUGCUACUGUUGUUAAGUUGAAUUUUCUAUUAAAUUUUUAUCUAAUUUGGAUACUUCUACACCGUUGAACUUAAAAAUGUGCCACAUCGGCCGUUAAAAUAGUCAUUUUGGAGACAUUUUGAUCGCUUGGUAAAUAAUGUCAAAAAAUUAUAAAAUUUGGUUUCUAAAUAGUUCCAAUAGGGUAGAUUAUACUUAACGGAGCCGAUCGUCGAAUCGGAUUUCCUAUCAUCGAAAAUAACUUAGAAGUACGGAGGUCUCCGUACUUUCAAAAGUACAGGAGGCUUACUCAUAUAUAUAUAAAAUUGAGCUCCUAUGCUUUUAAAAGUACCAAGUUAUUUGUGCUUGUAAGCUUUUAGCCCUUGGAUUAAUAAAUGUGCGGUUAGGAUGAUGUGGGCCCCCUUGGGUUGAGUGGAUGGUUGGUUGAAUAAUAUAAUCUAACGGGUGAAAAUGAUCAAAGGCGUAGAUUUAACGGUAAAAAAUUCACAAGCACCAAGUGUUUGGUACUUUUACAAGCACCAUAGCCGGACUCACAUAUAUAUAUAUAUAUAUAUAUAUAUAUAGUAGGGUUGCUGUGCUCUCCUGAGCCAUUUUCGAUGAUGAAAUUUUCGAAUCGACGAUCGGCUCCAUUACACUUGAUCUAGCGCAUUUGAAGUUUCUAGAAAAUAACUUUUGCGCUUUUUUGAUAUCAUUUACCUAGUGCUCGAAAGGAUUCAAAAUCCAUAAUUUUUAAUGGUUGAUAUCUGCCGUUUUUAAGUUUAACGGUGUAGAAGUAUUCAAAUCAGAUGAAAUUUUGAUAUAAAAUUUUUUAUACUAUCUACAACAAGAUUAAUAUUUCUGAUCGAAAAUUUUAGUGCUAUAUCACCACUUUUUAUAGGAUUUUUAUUUUCAGCCGUUAAAAAGUGGUGAUAUAGCACUAAAAUUUUUGAUCAGAAAUAUUGAUNCAAGUUUUAGUUAUUAAAAAUUACCAACUAUAGACGGCAAAAGUUCAAAUUGCCACAUCUUCAUAAGUUUCCUUUCGAUCAUUAGGUAAAUGAUAUAAAAAAAUCAUAAAAAUUAUUUUCUAGAAACUUCAAAUACGCUAGAUCAAAUCUAACGGAACUGAUCGUCGAUUCGAAAAUUCUAUCAUCGAAAACAGCUCAGGAGCACGAAGACCUUCAUGCUCCUAAAAGCAUAGCAGUCCUGCUCUCUCUCUCUCUCUCUCUAUAUAUAUAUAUAGAGAGAGAGAGAGAGAACUAAGCUAAUAUACUAUUAAUGGUACUAAGUCAUUGGUGUUACCAAGUUUUUGGCCAUUCGAUUAAGAGAUGUGCUGUCCCAAUAAAAGUGUACAAUUUAUAUUUUAGUCCUCAAAAAUAAUAUUUAAAAAAAGAAUAAUGGAUGAAAUUUUUGACGGAUUAUUUACCCAAAGGGCAUGUGUAAGUAUUUUUUAUCUUUAGAGAGAGUAUUGAUAAUAUUUUUAACUUUAGAAGAACAUAUACGAAACAAAUGGCCUCCUAGGGAGGUACGGGUGGAAUUAUUCAUUUUUUAAAAUACUUAGAGACUAAAAGUAUAAUAUAAUAUACAUGAAAGUUUCAAAACUAAAUUAUUUUAAUUAGAAUUACAAAUAACUUAGUCCUCAUGGACAGUGCUGGGCCUGGCAAUCUAAGAACUCUCUUGUGUCAUACUUGCCGUGCUAUUCAAAUUUCGAGUAAUUUUUCCAAAAUGUUACCUACAAACUGCUUAAAACUUGUUUAAUCAAUAAAUAAUAAUAACUAUAUAUACUUUACAAAAACAAAUAUUUAAAAAAUAUAAUUUAAAAUUUAAAAUGAAGGAGAUUUCAAAUAAAAAAAAUUGAGCCACCCCUCGGCCUAGCACUUAAGGCCUGGCCCAGACUUGUUCGGCCGAUGUGGCCCAGUUAAAUUGAGAAACCCAAUUCCUAAAUUCUUAAGCAUUAAUCAAAUUUGCUGAGCGGUUAGGGUGAGAGAGACAAAAAAUUGGGGUCGAAGAAAAGAAAAAAUUGAGAAACCCAAUUUCUCUUCAAUUUCUUUUCUCUCCUAUUCUAACCACCGAUUAAAAUUGAUGAAUAGUUAGAAACUUAGGAGCACACGGAUUGUUGUGCUUUUAGCUCUGCUCUAUUGGUUGUACAUAAAGUGAUUUAACAUUUCUGGUGUUGCAUGUAGUACAGUUUUAUAUUUAGUUGUUAAUUAUUUUUUUUACUAUUUUCGUUGUGGUUGAUCUUGCUAUGGUUGAUUGUAUUGAUUGAUUGUUGUACUUUGGUUUCUACGCUGUGUAUGUACAUAAAAGAGUCUAUCCUUUUGUACAUGGGAGGUUUUGUCGAUGUGCCGGGUCUAAGCAUGCUUCGGGUUAGAGAUUCUGUCUGUUUGUAUAGGUAAGAUUAUGUCUAUGGGUUAGGUCUAGACAUGCUUCGGGAUGGUCUUUGGUAUUUUUUUCAAAAAAAUUUUAUAUGUUUUUUGCUGUUUUCUAGUAAAAGAUUUUACAAAAGGGCUUAGGACUUGACAUAUUCUUCCGAACCCAUUUAUACAAUAUCUAUAUAAUAACAUUAAAGGGCGAACCCUUAACAAUUUUGCAUCAUUCUCCUAAUUUCAGAUGUUGGUCCUGCAUCAACUAUUUUUUCUCUCCUAUUUUCCUCACCCUCUAUACACAGCUCUUUCUCUCUCUUCCCUCUAUUUUCAGGGAAACCACCCUUUCUGCCGCCCACCCUCUUUCUCGCACGCGUGAUAGGAUCCCUAAAAUUUGGGUAUCCUCUGGGCUUCUUCGUCGAUCCAUCAUGAUCCGCGCCACUGCCCGUCCUUCAAAUCCCAUGAAAUUCGUUGUAGAUCCUGCGCCGCUCCCAUCAAAUCUCGCCGAUCUCACAAUAUUGGAGGAUCCCUGUUAGCAUCCACGAAUCUUGCUUCUCUUUGCUCUCUACUAUUCUCUCUAGGAUUUUCCAUUAUAUUUUCUAAUCCCCUAUCAUUCUCUUUGCAGGAAAAAAGAAAGAGACUUAAAUGAUAGAGAAGAGUGAUGAGUGUAGUAUCCCUGGGGUUUAGCGGUCAGAGUGACUGUAGUAUCUAUGGCUUGUCGACACACCUGUAGAGUGUCGGGACGAGUUUGAGUCGUUUGGCGCGAAAUGGACGCAAAACGAACUCGGCGCAAUGCGAGAUUGGAGCUCUGACACUGAAUUUUGUAAAUUGUAGGUUUUGAGUGUUGAGUAUCGGUACCUGAGGGGAGUACCGGUACUAGGACUAGGUACAGAUACUGCAUCGGAUUAGUACUGGUACACAGCGUUUGGAUUGCUGGCUGAGUGCAGGGUACCAGUACCCAAAUUGAGUACCGGUACUCAGGCGGCAGAUUUGAGUUGGUAAGAGGUCUUUUGGUCAUUUUCGCUGUUGGGUUUAUCCCCGACCGACCCCAGCUAUAUUUAUGUGUUGAGCUUGGAGAAACAGGGUAGCAGCUCCUCUUUCUCUCUCUCUAGUUAUUUGAGGUUCGAUCUCAUUUCUUUUCUUCUCUCUAGAGGAUUGCUCUUACAGCUUGGUUGAUUUCGUUGAGGCUGUUCCGGCGCAGGGCUUCUUCGAUCUACUUCUAGCCGGUUUUGCAUGAGCAUUUGAGGUGGGUUAAUAUUGACCAAACACUUCGGAAUUCCUCCUAAGUUUUAGAAAGUGUCAGCAUGUUUCUAUGGAUAUUAUAGUCCCUUGUUAGUAGCUCGAAUUCAUGGAUUUGCUUGUUUUUAUAUGAAACCUGAAUUUGGAGCAUAAUUUAAUGAUUCUAGAUAAAUUAUUAUCUGCUGAACUGGAAUUUGACUUAGGAGAAAACUUAUUAAACCUAUACCUGACACUUUUCAAAAAGUUACCAGAUUUAGCUUCAGGAGCUGAUUUCUUUUUGUAUCACCGUUGUUAGAGUGUCGUGGAUACUUAGAUUAGUGUAGGUUGAGAUUACGCUCGUGCUGAGGAGCCGAGCUCGUUUCUACAGAAGAGUUAGACUGUUUUGUACUAUCGGGUGCCAUCGGGGCUGACGGAACCCAGAUUCCUACAUCUUGCAUCAGAUUGUGCCGAAGGCACGUCAGCCUUGGUUGUUAGACCAGUUUGACCUAUUUGUGUUGACUAUAGCCUGUGGAAGCCUGAUUGAGCUCGAUAAAGACACGUUUGCAUACUCGGUUGGGUCGCACCCACGAGUGCCGCUCCGGAGUGAGGCUUUUCUUGCAUUUACAUUGCAGUAGUCCCGUUUGGAUAGUUUUCUUGGACCGACCACCUCCGUGGGUGGUGUGCGGUGUAGUUUGGGCACAGGCUGGACUAGCCAAUUGGCGGUCCCUUGAAAUUGGAUCAAGGUAGUUGAGUUGUAGCAAGUGAUACAUUUUUAUGUCUACAGAGAGCAUUGGUUGGAUAGCUGUAGUAUAGUGGCAUAUAGCUGUAGAAUUUUUCCAGCUUAAUUUACUAUUCUCUAUCUAUCAGUUUCAUACUUAUACUGUAGACUUAGUGGGCAGGCCGUUGGGGUCGGUGACGGCACCCACUGAGGACUACUCUGUUUUGCAGUAGUUAUCACACCCAUUUGUUGCCACCUUUUUGCAGAGCUUUCGUCUGUUACUGCUAUUGCUGAUUCUGAUCGAGGUAAGAGAGUCACGAGCUAGAUCCCUAUCUACCCGGUCACCAUACUAGAGGAGCCCUAUUAGAGGUAGUUUUGGUUGUGCCAUGUACAUACAGUGGGUGUUUGGUUUUCGAUCUGAGAGAUGAUAGUAUUUUGGAGCAUGUAUGUACAGUGGGACCUUAUAUUUUAUAUAUAUAUGUUUUAGUUUUAGUAGCUCGAUAUUUUUAUUGUAGCUCCUAUCUGUUUGCAGGUACAGCUAUCGCUUCGUAUAUACGAAAAAUUUCUAUGUGUAUGGCGGAUCUGUUGGUGAGUCCGGAAAACGUAGUAAUCCGGGGCAGGACAAUGAGGAACGAAGGCGCCCUCACCUGAAGAACCCUAAUCAGUUUGUGCCUCUCAUGAGCUUGAAAAUAAAGUCUUUUGGUCAUUGAAAUUUAAAGGCGACAGUUUAUGAUAUCUUUACUUAACUGUGCUUUUAAUUCUUUCUUAGAAUAAAAAUAAUUAAGUUGGCUGCCUAUACAAUCUUUCCUCUUCUUAUCCUCAUUAGGUUGGUUGCCCUCUUCUUCGAUUUCUUUUUAAAAAAUUUUCCUCUGAUUCAUUUUAAUUUGUGCAGUUUGUAUUGUUUAAUAAUAUGCCUGAUUCGUUGGUUCAUUAUCUUAUGCCCAUAGUUUAAGGGUUUGGAUUUUGGUCCUUGAUCUAGGGAUCUCCCCUAUUCAAUUCGAAACUAGAAAUAAAGAAAAAAAGAAAGAGAAAAAUCCUGGGGUUCAUACAAAUGUAGAUGAAAAUAAGUAUCAGAAUUAAUUUGUUUGGGCAAAAAAAUCACUAAUAGGACGAUCUCCACUUUGUUUUUUUAAUUUUUUUCUUACUUUAUUCUGCUUUAAUUAGUUGCUUGAUAAUCUACAAAGGGUUAAUUAAUGCAAUUAGAAGUAAGUUCAUGCCACAAAAGCUGUGAAUUUUACAAAAACUAAAUUUCAAUUGUAUUGACAGUUUUGUGAACUUUUGUUUUCACUGUCCAUAUGAUAUUAGUUCUAAUUCUUUCAAAUUUUGCAAUUGAGUCUCUAAUUGAGGGGAUAUAAACAUAUACUUAAUGUGUAUAAUAUAAAAAUAAAAUAAAACUAAAAAUUUAAAUCGCAUGGGCAAAUUAAUUAAUGUCAACUGAUCUGACAACAUUUUCCAUCACUUUUGAUGAACUAUAAUCAUAUAUAACUUUCUUUGAUUGGGUCUACGAAGCUGUUGGACUAGCCAGCUGGCGGUUCUUUGAGAUUGGAUCAAGGUAGUUGAGUUGUAGCAAGUGAUGCAUUUUUAUGUCUACAGAGAGCAUUGGUUGGAUAGCGGUAGUAUAGUGACAUAUAGCUGUAGAAUUUUUCCAGCUUAAUUUACUAUUCUCUACCUAUCAGUUUCAUACUUGUACUGUAGACUUAGUGGACAGGCCGUUGGGGUCGGUGACGGCACCCACUGAGAACUACUCUGUUUUGCAGUAAUUGUCACACCUAUUUGUUUCCACCUUUUUGCAGAUUCUUUGUCUGAUGCUGCUAUUGCUGAUUCUGAUCGAGGUAAGGGAGUCACGAGCUAGAUCCCUAUCUACCCGGUCACCAUACUAGAGGAGCCCUAUCAGAGAUAGUUUUGGCUGUGCCAUGUACAUACAGUGGGUGUUUGAUUAUCGAUCUGAGAGAUGGUAGUAUUUUGGGGCAUGUUUGUACAGUGGGACCUUAUAUAUGUUUAAGUUUUAGCAGCUCUGUACUUUUAUUGUAGCUCCUAUCUGUUUGCAGGUACAGCUAUCGCUUCGUAUAUACGAAAAAUUUUUAUGUGUACGGCGGAUCUGUUGGUGAGCCCGAAGAACGUAGUAAUCCGGGGCGUGACAAUGAGGAACGAAGGCGCCCUCACCUGAAGAAUCCUAAUCAGUUUGUGCCUUUCAUGAGCUUGAAAAUAAAUUUUUUUGGUCAUUGAAAUUUAAAGGUGACAGUUUAUGAUAUCUUUACUUAAGUGUGCUUUUAAUUCUUUCUAAGAAUAAAAAUAAUUAAGUUGGCUGCCUAUACAAUCUUUCCUCUUCUUAUCCUCAUUAGGUUGGUUGCCCUCUUCUUCGAUUUCUUUUUAAAAAAAUUUCCUCUGAUUCAUUUUAAUUUGUGCAGUUUGUAUUGUUUAAUAAUAUGCCUGAUUCGUUGGUUCAUUAUCUUAUGCCCAUAGUUUAAGGGUUUGGAUUUUGGUCCUUGAUCUAGGGAUCUCCCCUAUUCAAUUCGAAACUAGAAAUAAAGAAAAAAAGAAAGAGAAAAAUCCUGGGGUUCAUACAAAUGUAGAUGAAAAUAAGUAUCAGAAUUAAUUUGUUUGGGCAAAAAAAUCACUAAUAGGACGAUCUCCACUUUGUUUUUUUAAUUUUUUUCUUACUUUAUUCUGCUUUAAUUAGUUGCUUGAUAAUCUACAAAGGGUUAAUUAAUGCAAUUAGAAGUAAGUUCAUGCCACAAAAGCUGUGAAUUUUACAAAAACUAAAUUUCANUCUCACUUUUGUUUUCAAGUGUUUUGACAGUUACCAUAUGAUAUUAGUUCUACUUCUUUCAAAUUUUGCAAUUGAGUCUCUAAUUGAGGGGACAUAAACGUAUACUUAACAGUGUAUAAUAUAAAAAUAAAAUAAAACUAAAAAUUUAAAUCAUAUGGGCAAAUUAAUUAAUAUCAGUUGAUUAGACAACAUUUUCCAUCACUUUCGAUGAACUAUAAUUAUAUAUAACUUUCUUUGAUUGGGUCUACGGAGCUGUUGGAAACUAAUUACAUGUUUAAAAAUAUCUUAUUCCCCCUAACUGCGGCAAAUAAAAUAACGAAAGAAGUAGGUAACUGUCUUUUUCCCCUGCGACCUUUCUUCCCUGCAUUAUUUCUCUCUCCCUCCCCUGAAUUGUAUAAUCCAUUUGUUCAUUUCCUACCCUUGAAUUGUAUUCUUAUCUAUUUGUUCAUUUUUCUUUGCUUUUGUUUUUUCCUAACCUUUUUCACACCGUUUAAUGUAUUUUCUGUGGUUUCUUUUUUACUAGUGAAGGCCCGCGCUACGCGGCAAAAAAUUUAUAUAAAUUCUAAAAUAUUUUAAAUUAUAUAGUAAAUAAAAGACAUAAGUAGUACAUUAAUUUAUACAUUCAACUAUACUUUAAAAAAAAAAUAAUAGCUGUUAUGAGAGGUUCAAUAUUUGUCUUCACAGUCUUCAUCAACAUCACCUAAACUGUAAAGUUAGUAAUAUAAGAUUACCAUUUGUAAAAUAUCAACUAAUAAAUUUUAAUUUUAAUAAAAAAAGUUAGAAAAGGAAAAAAAGAAGAAAAAAGAUUGUUGGUCCCACAAGAAAAAGGGCAAAAAAAAAAUCCGUACCGCGCCGGCUCGCGCCCGCUCCCUCCCGCCCACAAUCCAUCGAAAUAAGGAGAUAUUCGAUGUAAAUUUAAAUUUCAAUUUAAAAUUAAAUUUUAAAUUUUAAAUAUAUAUAUAUAUAUAUAGAGAGAGAGAGUAUGGCUAGAAUACUUUUACAAGUAUCACCCAAGUGAUACUUGUGUGUUUUUAGUAUUUGGAUGGAGAGAUGUGAGAUUAAGAUGAUGGGGGUAGGUGGUGGUAGGUGGAAUAGUGUUUGAUCCAAGAGCUAUUUGUAAUCAAAAAGUAGAUCCAAUGGCUAAAAAGGUGAUAGCAACAUGGGAAUGAUAUUUGUAAAAGUAUCCUGGAUCAACUCUAUAUAUAUAUAUAUAUAUAUACAACACAAUAGACAUAUAUCAACAGUGGGCCCCCUCUAAUCCAACGCACAAGGGUUGAUUCUUCUCAAACACGACAAAAGAAUCGUAAUCCGUGCCGUGACGUCAUCGCCCACUCCGCUUCGUCCUCGUCGUCGUCGUCGUCCUCCUCCUCCUCCUCCUCCUCCUCCUUUCGAGCCCUUAAAGCCUUCUUUUUCCCCAUAUCUUCCUCACUAUCCUUCUCCUCUCACGAAAACCUAAUCCUAGAAGCCGCGAUCCUCUUGUUUCUCCCCGAUCGAUCCAUUUCUCCGAUCCCUUGCCAUGGCGACCGACUCUUCGAAUCGAGGUGAGCGUCCCGUUUCCAUCUCCUUCUGCUUGCUCUCCGAUUCGAUUCGAUUCGAAUGCGUUGAUUUCAUCUCGGAUCGGUGGUAGAACCAAUUUUUUGAUGAAAUUGAGAUGAGCUUUUGAUUUGUUUGAUAUCGGAAUUGGAAUAGGAAGUGCUUUAAUUCCCCUUUUAUUGCGUGUUUAAUGCUUCUGCAGGUAUCGGAUUGCCGCCGCUGGAUAUCUCCGCUGCUUUUCCUCAGGCAACACCUGCUUCGAUCUUUCCCCCUUCAGGUUCGAUAUUUAAAAUUUUACUGAUAAUUUUUAUAUGUGUAUAUAUACAUAUAUAGAGUGCGGCUAGUAUACUUAUGGAAGCACGGAGGCCUCCGUGCUUCCAAGUUGUUUUCGAUAUUCGGACUUUCGAAUCGACGAUCGGCUCCGUUAGAGUUGAUCUAGAGUAUUUGAAGAACCUAGAAAAUAAAUUUUGCGAUUUUUCAAUAUCAUUUGCCUAGUGAUCGAAGGGGCUCAAAAUCAACGGCUGAAAAUAAAAAUCUCACAAAAUGUGAUGAUAUGACAUUAAAAAUUUAGAUCAAAUAUAUUGAUCUUAUUUUAUAUAGUAUAAAGAAUUUUCUAUCAAAAUUUUACAUGAUUUGAAUAUUUCUACACCGUUAAACUUGCAACCAGCUCACCUCGGCCAUUAAAAUUAUUAAUUUUGAGCCCCUUUGAUCACUAGGUAAAUGAUAUCGAAAAAUCAUAAAAUUUAUUUUCUAGGUACUUCAAAUACUCUAGAUCAACUCUAACGGAACCGAUCGUCGAUUCGAAAGUCCGAACAUCGAAAACAACUUGGAAGCACGGAGGCCUCUGUGCUUCCAUAAGCAUACCAGCACAACUCUACACACACACACACACACACACACACACACAUAUAUAUAUAUAUAUAUAUAUGUAGAUGUACGGGGAAAAAUGUCAAAACGCGCCUCGAACUUUAGAGCUUUGUCAAAUGAACUCCCAAACUUUAAAAUUUGGCUACUAGACCCCCUAAACUUAAUAGUUUGAUCAGUCCUUUCCGUUAAGUGAAGUUACUGAUUGAACAACCGUCGCAGUGGCAUGUCUCUCAGAGAAUUUUGUAAAGCUUCAAAAUACAGGAAAGAAAAAAAGAAAAAACUACUACUUUUCUCAGGGAUGGAACUAAAGAAUCGUAAUUGAAGAAGAGGGCAGCUCCCUUUUCAACUUCUACUCCUUUUGUUCAAGCAUUACAGUAGAAAAAAAUAGGCUUUGUUCUAUUUAAUUGAAAGCUUCAGAAGAUCAUAUGAAAGGCAUUUGUUAGGACCGGCUACUUAAUUGUUAUCUUUGCUUGAGAAGAAGGGCCCCUAUUGAACUAUUUGAUGAAGUUUAGGGGGUCGUGUUGCCAAAAUUAAAAGUUCAAGGGACUAUUUGCCAAACUAUGAAGUUUAGGGUUUAGGGGUCGUGUUGCUUGGCGGACAGAGAAAUAUGGAGCUUUUGCUUUGGCGGGAAGUAGAAAUGUUAUUGUGAGGCCCAAAGCUCUCGAGCAAGUCUUUCUUUACUGACACUUAAUCUGUUGAACUCACAGUUUCAGACUAUUAUCAAUUUGAUGAUCUGUUGAAUGAUGAAGAAAAGGCCUUACGGAAAAAAGUUCAAGCGUUUAUGGAGAAAGAAGUUGCUCCCAUAAUGACAGGGGUAUGUCUCUACUUCCCUGUCCAUUUUUCUAGAACUUCUAAGCUGUGUAGGAAGUAAACUAAUCUGUAAUUCACUAAGUUGCAGAUGCCAACAUGGAACUUCUUGUGUAAUGUUUUUUUUUUUUUUCCAAUGCAAUUCUUAUGUAGGUGCAUUUCUAUUUUUCUCUGUAUGUCUAUAACCCAUAUUAAAUCUUGCAUAUUUUAAGUUGCUAUAGCUACUGUUUGGUCUGACAAAAUGUUGUGAUUGGUGGUGCUCUACAAGUGGGAUUGUAGUAAACUUGCGAAAUUGGGACUGUAGAAGGUAAAAUAAAUGCAGGUUGUUAACGGUAAUUGGUCCUUUGUAUGGACGGGUAAGCUGGUCAAGUUUCACUGGUUUUUGUCUAAAUGCAUCAAUUUGAUUUAUGUUUAACUGAAUCAACUUAGCUUGACAUCAUAUGAGAUUCUUAGUCCAUUGAAAUCAAGGAGUAUUGGUCAAAUCAUUUGUUCUGUAAUUUGUUGAGCUGUCUCCUUUUGACAGUAUAUUUCAACUUGCCCAACCUAAAUAUAACUUCAUUGAUGAUUUAAAAUGCCUAAGCAUGUCCUUGAAAACACGGUUAGGUUUAGACAUAGUGAAAACUAUUUCUAUAGGUUAGAAUUGCAUGUCAUGUUAUUGAGAGAAGCUACUACGGGCUUAUAAUUUUACCAUGUAUUAAAUUCAAAAACAAUAUUUUCAAUAGUGUUGCAUUUUAUCUCUUUAGCUUUCGCUUCUUGCUUCAUUAAACGUUAUGGGAGUUUGACUACUGGGAAAAUACAGAGUAGAUCUAAUAUCUUGUACUUGGGCUUAUUAGUUGCCGUAUUAGUAUUUUUUGGUAAAAACCUAUGUAACUUACCUCAAUUAUUGCACAUUUUAAUAUAGGUGCCUCAACAUUAAAGAUUGUGAUUUUAGUUCCUGAUUUUUUUUGUACACCUGGUUUAAGUACCUUUCCCAGAACUUAGUGUACUUGUACAUGCUUUGACAGAAUAUUUUGUUAACUGGAAUAUUCUAUAAAACUGUUUUGAUAGACUCUGUCAAAACUUGACGGGAUUUUCUGAAAUUUAAAGUGCUGAAAGGUUAGAUAGUAAAAUUAAAAUUUCUAAAUAUCAGGCAGCUAUUUCAACAAUUAUAUGAUAGAAUUCAGGUAAGGACUAUGUUUUUACUAUAUUUUUCAUACAGUUUUUGUCCCAUUAUUGAUGCUUUCUAUUUUGAUGCAUCUUUUCUGGUGUUAAUUCUUCCAUAGAUAUGACUACAGCUUUCUUUUUGCAGUACUGGGAGAAGGCUGAAUUUCCUUUUCAUGUUAUUCCCAAACUUGCUGAACUUGGAAUUGCUGGAGGAACUGUUAAGGUACGUAUCAGUUUAUCCUUGGCUAAGUUCUACUAGUAGCAAUACUACCAAGAAUGUACCCUAGAAUGUACUUGACAAGUCAAUGCUGCGCAUGGCCAUUUGUGAUUUGUAAAGUUAUUCAUUUUUUAGGCAUGACAUUCAACAUGGACAUCAAGUUUUAAAGCUAAAGAAUUACUAUUUGUCAUGCAUACGAUGUUGAUUCAUCAACAAAUAUUUUGUGGUACAUUCUAAGAUAUGUGUAGAAUACUCUUCUUCUAGUGUGCUCAAAGAUAUUUUGGACAUCUUUUUCUAGGGUUAUGGCUGUCCAGGGCUUUCCAUUACUGGAAGUGCUGUUGCCCUGGCUGAAAUGGCUCGGGUUGAUGCUAGCUGCUCCACUUUUAUUUUGGUGCAUUCUUCUUUGGCAAUGCUUACAAUUGGUAAGCAUUUCUAAGUUGGCUUUAAGUAAAUCUAACCUGUCGAUCUAGUCCUGUAAGAAUGUUAAUUUGCAGAUUUUUAACCGCUGAUUUUUCUUUUUUAUGUUUUGAUCUGUUUCAACGAGAGCAGCACUAUGUGGAUCGGAAGAACAAAAGCAGAAAUACUUACCUUCAUUGGCCAAACUUCAAACUGUUGCUUGCUGGGUAAGUUUAUUCAUGAAGUUGAUAGGGGCUUUUGAAUAUAUAUCCCUGCAAAAUUGUUUAUUUACAUAUGUACACUUGUAAAAUCCUAAUUUUCAUUCAUACCCUUCGAAAGUGCAAUUUUUUUAAAAAUACCCUUCAUCUUAUGGGGGAGUCGCUAAUUGCUGGGGAAGUCGGUUUUGUAUUAUAGAAAAAUUGUUAGAGAGUGGCAGUUCUGUAAAUAUCACGGUACUUGGGGUAUCUAUGCAACAACACUAAGUUAUUAAAGGUCAUCGAUGAGAUAAUUCAAUUUGAAGUGGGUGUGUAUAUGUUAACACCAUAAUUUCAUAUGUUCAGUGAGAUGCAAUAUGAGUUUAUCAAUGAAUUACAUGCUGCAGGCUUUGACUGAGCCAGAUUACGGAAGUGAUGCGAGUUCUUUGAGAACCACAGCAACUAAGGUAUGAUUCUCAAGUAUUUAGAUUGAGUGGUAAUUAAAGCCACUUAUAUUGUAAAAUCAUUGAUACUUAAUACAUGGCUUGCUAAUUGCUCUUUUUUGUUUUAUGUCAAAAUUCUAGAACUUCCUGCUAACAAAUUUAUGUUUAUUCUUCUGAUAGAACAGGUCUCAGGAGGUUGGCUUAUAGAUGGCCAAAAGCGAUGGAUAGGUAACAGUACAUUUGCAGAUAUUCUUGUUGUUUUUGCUCGGAAUACAAAUACGAACCAAAUUAAUGGGUAAAUCCUCUUAAUUUCUGAUCCUGAGAGCUUGUUCUUACAUUUUCUACCCUGGUUGGAGCUUCUUUAAAAAAGCAUGCGAGUUUUCGAAAAAGUGCUUACACCUUUUCGUUGGUACCCCCUCAAACAGCUUUCCUUUGUAGCACAAGCAGAAAUGUCAAAUUGGUUGUUCUGCCUUUGGGGUUCAGAAUCAUAUUUCAGCUUCCAACCACAAAAGCUCCAGUCCAUUUGCUGGCCAAUCACAUAGCUAUUGCUUUUUGGAAUAGAGAAGCUAUUCAAAAAGCCAGGCCAAAAAGUACAAUAAAUCUAGAAUAGAGCAAACACAAUGCCUUGUAAUAAAAUCAGUUUUGUUUCUUUACAGAUUUAUUGUGAAGAACGGCAGUGCAGGAUUAGAAGCCACUAAAAUAGAGAACAAAAUUGGUCUUAGGAUGGUUCAGAAUGGUGAUAUUCUUUUUAAUAGAGUAUUUGUCCCUGAUGAAGAUAUGUUACCUGGCAUCAAAUCGUUUCAGGAUACAAGCAAGGUAUUGUGAAUUUCUUCAAUAUGAUGAGAACAAGGUUUUUAUUGCCCAUAGGCAUGGGCCGUGCCUACCGUAUCAUACUGUGCCAAGAGAAUAUUGGCACGAUAUGAUCCUCGUGCUACAUUGCAUGACUCAACAUUAUCUUUUUGUUGAAAUUAGUUAUUGUCUUAAUAAAGUGUAAAAGAUUUGAUGAGAUAUACAGCAAGCAAUUAGAAUAUUGUGCUCAUGGGAAAAUAAAUAUUUCAUGCUAUAGUGUGUCGGCACACAUGCGUUUUUGUGACCGGCACACAUCGGCAUGGCACGACAUGCAUUGUGCCAUACCAUGCCAGCAAGUUCUCAACACGACCUUGCGCCAUGGCAUUUAAAUCCUUGGAUGAGAAUCGAGAACCAGCUGCUUAUUAUAGGUAUGUUAGUUUUGUUGUUCUAUAAAUUUAGAUUUUCGAAUUCUCUUAACUUUAUGACCCAGAGGGACAUUCUUGACUUAGCGAAUGGACAUUUUAGUGUAACAAGAAAUUAGGCCUCACUUGGUAUUGUUGCCAUUUUUUUGUUUUUUAAAAUACAAUUUCUACAUAAAAUAGUGUAGGAGGUGAUGAUAGAUUGCCUGUAAUUCUUACAUCUAAGGUGUUUGUUUGGCAACAAAAAAUAAAAAACUUGGAAGCAAUUUUUUUUUACUUCCAAAAUUUUUGAACAAGUUGUCAUCCAUCACUUUACCGAAGCGUAUCACAAGCUAACCAAUAAUGACAAAAGGAAGAAAUCCUUUUAGCUGGUAUGUCAAAUUAUAUAAAAUUAGUAUCUUAAAUAAACAAAAAGAUGGCAGUGGUGCCAAACAAGACCUAAAAAAUUCCUUCUUGAUGAAUAAUAUAGCAAGGAAAAGAAAUUUUGUCAUCCAGAUUUCCUUCUUGAUGCACUAGUAUUUUCCGUUUUCAGUAGGAAAAAACCAUUGAGGAACAAGAGGAGGAGAAUCAAGGCAAAACAAUGCUGCGUAGCAGCCAAAAAAAGAAUGUAGAAAGCAGGACAAUUUGGAAACCAGCCGAUUAAGAUGGUAUCAGUCUUUCAGCUCCUGUGGCACAAAAUAUAGCAGCUCAUGCACCAUUAGGAAGGGCUAGGGAGAAAGUUCCAUGUUAUCAGCCUGUGGAAAAGAAUAUCCAUCACUGGAUAUGUAACAACUUAGUCCACUAGCGCUAAUAACUUAUUAAACCAAACCCACCAGCCCAAAUGCUUAGUCCAAUUAUUAGUAUUAGAGCCCUUGGUCCUUUAAUUCAGCAGGAUAAAAGUGAGGCGAGACAACGAACAUUGUCCAAGAACGAGCCCUUAGAAAAUAAAUGGGAACAAGGCUUAAUCUACAACCUGCAUCAGAAUUUAAUUAAUUUCUCCUAUGACUUACUUUUUUGAUACAGCAAACCAGUAGUUAUGGAGAGACUUUGCUAAAUGAUGAAAAGUUAUGCAGUUUGUGUUCAAUGCAAGUUAUUGUUGAAACCUGUGUGAAGCCUGUGUUUCAAAAUAGCAGUUUGAAGAUUGUUUUGUAAAUUUUAAUGAGUCCAUAGUUAUACACUUUUCCCCUGUAUUAAAAUCUCACUUUUAUGGGCUCCUUUUAUAUUGGGAUUAAUCAAUUUGAUACUGGGAAUUCUAGUCGUCAAAAAUUCUUUUUUUUUUUUAUUUUAUAUUAAUGCAGCAACUAUUUUCUGUAUAUAACUAAUAUUUUGUCAAAUCGGAAUAUGUCAAAGCCAGUUUGGGUUAACUAAAAUGCCCUUUUGACCUAUCAAACCCGUUUCAUCGAGUAUAUUGACAUAGUACUGGAAUGAAAAAAAUUGCUUGUUUUUAAAUCUAUAUUCAGUUUAUCAGAAUGCCAAAUGACCAAGCUGAUUAUAGCCAUCUUUACACGAAAUCAGAUUUUAAUUUCUCAUUUUAAUUGGACUGAACGAUUUGUCUGCUUGGAUUAUGGACUUGGACUAUGGACUUCUUAAUGUAAACCAAGGAUUAAAUCACGAAGGUGAAGUUAGGCAAUUAGAAUUAUCAUGUCCUUGCUUAAAAUGAUUCUGAAAAAUGAUUCUGCCCGUGGCAUAAUUACUGCUAUGAUGGUAUGAUCUAUUUUGUGCGCUUCUCUAUGUUUUAACAUUCUCAUCCUUUUCUUUCUCUAUUUAUAUUUUUCCAUUACUAUUUCCUUCAAUACAAUUUGAUCAGGAUUUCUCUCACUCGGGAUCACUAAAGAAAAUUUUCAUUGGUUGCAACAGGUUCUUGCUGUUUCACGUGUAAUGGUUACAUGGCAACCUAUUGGCAUAUCGAUGGGAGUGUUUGACAUAUGUCACAGGUAUCAAAGUAUUUGAAAAAUAUUUAGAGUGUGCAGCCUUCAAAUUAUGUAUUUACAUAUGUACUUAAAUAUCCUAGUGAAAUCUGAAUAUUCAUUUAUGCCCUGCAAAAACUUAAUAUGUUGCAUGGAUAUAUACAUGUGAAAGCCCCAAGACCAUUCUAUCAUUUUCACCUAUUUUAUUUCAAUAGUAUGAUGAAAACUGAAAUAGGUAUCUAAAAGAGAGGAAGCAAUUUGGAGCUCCAUUAGCAGCAUUUCAGCUUAACCAAGAAAAGCUUGUUCGGAUGCUUGGCAACAUUCAAGCUAUGCUUCUUGUUGGCUGGCGCCUUUGCAAGUUGUAUGAAUCUGGGAAAAUGACUCCAGGUCACGCUAGCUUGGGGAAGGUUGGUAUACUAUUUUUGGGAAAAUAAUUCCUAAUAAUUUGCUUUCAAUAGUCUCUGAUGAUUAUUGUUAAGCUGUUUUUUCCCCUUAAAUGUGACUAAGUAAUCUUAUUCACAGGCAUGGACUUCGUUGAAGGCGAGAGAGACAGUUUCGCUCGGCCGAGAAUUGCUAGGCGGCAAUGGAAUUUUGGCCGAUUUUCUAGUUGCGAAGGUUGAAAUUUUCUCCUUGGACGUCGAUCACUCUCUUUCAAUUGCUUUUUCUUUUGUCUAUUAUUUGCUUAUUUUAAAUUGCUUUACCUAUUCAAGGAAUUUAAGUCCGCAUUAAGACUCUUUAGCUAAAACAAGAAAUCUCGAGUGCCUUCUACAUCUUCAUGCCUUUUGCAAAAGUAAUCUAUUCACAUAUGCAUCCGAGUAGAAUCUUCAUUGCCAAUAUGUACCCCUUGAAGUACAGUUUAUCUAAAAAUACCUUUGCUUAAGUUGGGGAGUUGUUGAAUACAUUGGCGGCCUGGUUUCAGAGGGUAGUUUUUUAAUAGUGCAAGGGUCUAUUUGUAAGAAAUUUAGUUUUAGAAAGGCAUAUAUGUAGAUAAUUUUAAAAAAGGGCAUGUAUGAAAAAUUCAGAUUUUGCAGUGAUAUUUAUGGCAUAAUAUGGGUACUCGUUCUGGGGUGUAUAUGUAGACACCCUUGAUUCGAAGUACAUUUAAGUUUUUAGUUACUACAGCACUUUUGUAAAAUGUAAGUUGAUUUAGUAAUAAAUAUUUUGGCCAAAAUUUAAUCAUAAUAAUAAUUAACUUGUUUUAUUCUUGGUCACCGCAGGCAUUCUGUGAUCUCGAGCCAAUCUAUUCAUACGAGGGCACCUACGACAUCAACAGCCUGGUGACGGCGAGAGAGAUCACUGGGAUCGCAAGCUUCAAACCUGCAAUGCUGGGAAAAUCAACACGAAGCCGUCUUUAAUCUUAACUGGAUAAUUCAUGCCUUAUUCUUGUUAGAGAAAUCGUUAUAUCCGGUAUACAAAACUAGUUUCAACCGUGUUGUCUCCAAGGGAGCAGAUGAAAGAAUGUAGCACACAGCAGAGUAGGGCAUGGAUUAUACAUGUGUGUUUGAUGUAGCAUCAGAUCAACUUCUUUAAAUUUUAUGUAAGAUCAACUUGUUUAAAUUUAUACAAGCACCACAAAAUAUCUUUGCGGUGGUCGUGGCCAAUAUUAUUUAUCAAACCAGAAUGGAGAGAAUGCGAGAUGAUCUGUUUAUUGGCGUGGCUUAUGUAUUUUUCUUACAUUGCUUAGGGGGGUGGUGGGGGGCGGGGUGCACGGAAAAUCAUGAACAAUAGGUGUGCAUGAAAAUGAAAUUUUUUUAAAUGAUUUUUUUUUAAUGUUUUGUAAUGUUUGGUUUGAAAAAAAAAGUUUUUUCAUUAAAAUUUUUAUGGUUGAAUAAAAGAAAUUAUAUUUGUUUUGUUUUAUAAAGAAAAUGAAUGAAAAAAAUUUUACGCAAUUUAAGUUUUUGUUUUUUAUAAAAAAUCGGCGGAAAAUGAAAUUCCUUAAAUUUAUAAAAUUAGUUUUUCAAAAAAAAAUUUACAACUAAUCAAAGGCACGAAUAUUAAUUUUUUAAAUCAAAAAAAUAAAUUUUGAUAUACUUUACGACCAAUUAAACACAUCUUAAAUCAAAUGUAAAGGCACUGUUUAUCCCGUCACACCGUCGUAACUAGGAAGAAUAAUUUUAUCAAAUUCUUACCGUGAUAUUGAAAGCUCAUCUCUCUCCACUCACUCCGUAAUUCUUACCCAUUUGUCCAAAUUGAAAUAAAAGACUUUCAAUAUUUAACGAAUAAAGAUAAUACUUAAAAUAGAAGAAUCAAUUGUUAAAAAAAUAAUAGAAUCAACUGUUAGAUGAGUAGUCCUUAUCAUUUCGUCUACUCUCAUAAUUCUAAUCCAAUUGUUCAUCAAAAGAAAAAAUAAAAUCAAAAUUUAAGUGGUGGAGAUUUAAUUUGGAAAAUAAAAAAAAAAUUCCGAAAAGGACAGGGUGCACGGCUGACGUGGUGCGCACGGUUCAGGCAAUAAUCUCUUCUCGCACACUCGGGGCGCACACGCCCUACGCGGAGAGUGGGGAGAGCGAGAAAACCCUAAAUAAGGGCACCCAUCGGAGCCCUUAAAAUGGUAGUGGUAGUAGCAUCUCCCUCCCCUCUCUCCCUCCUCCCUUCCUCCUACUCCCUCUCCUUCCCCUUCCCCGCCGCCUUCGUCCUCCUCGGCCGCCGCCGCCUCCGCUGCCGCCCCUUCGACUCCGCAGCCGCCUCCGGUGAGCCUCCGGUGACGCCUCCUCCCUUCCCCUCUCCUUACUUGGUUCGUUGUCUGGAGAGAUUACAGAGCCCUACAUAUGCGCGUUUGUGUUGCUUCGAGGGAGUUGGUUUUGGAGUAGGUGAUUUGGAUGCUUCUGUUGAUUAGAUUUUCAUAUUGUGGCUCGGUUAGAUGGUUGGUGAUUCAUUGGAUUGAUUGGGAGGGUAUAGAAGGGGAGGAUUUUAGGGUUUUUUCGUGUGUCAACUCAAUUUUUCGUGGAAUCGGAUGGGAAAAGUUGGAACUUGAUUCAAUUCGUGGGGUUGUAUCCACCACGUGUUUGUCGAUUGUUCUCACUGAGUAAAUUGGUAGUAUCUUUUAGAGCACUUUGAGAUUUUCUUUUCUUUAUUUCCUCCCCCCCCCCUCCUUCUUCUGAGAAACUCGAUGGCCUUGUGUUUGAGUGUGCUGCUUUUUUUGCGAAAAUGGCGUUCUCAAGUUUAUCAUGAGUUUCCUUGCAUGCACUGUUUUUGUAAGAUUUUAUUAUGGGGCAAAAUUGCAGUCCUGGAAAAUUUGUAUGCUUGGAAAUAAUUGUAGUAGUCUUGUUUGGCUGCAAUGAACCUAGACAGGUCACCUUGGAGCAAUUUCAAGAAGAUUAGUUUCGAUUACAAAGAAUCCAAGCCUUCGCGCCAUGGGAGAUGAGGUAGCUUCGACAUCAGCUCCUCCACUAGAGGAAGCACCAAAUACUGUGAGUUAGCAGCUUAUUCUUAUUAUCUUUCUGCUAGUUAUUGCUCUAAAUGCUGUUGGUAGCUUUUAUUUACCAAAUCUUCAGCCUAACAAUUUGUUUUUUCAAUGUAGUGUAUAAGAUAUAGAUAUGUGUUACUGAAAUUUCAAACUGGACACUAACAAACUCUGUGAACUUGGCUAAUUUGUUAUGAUUCUCGAGUUAUGCUAUGAAUGAUACCCAUGAACAAUAUUUAUAUGGUUGCGCUGGUCAGUCAUUUUUGGCCUCCAAAAUGGAAUUAAAUGUUUUCUAGUCACAGACUGAGCCUAACUAGCUUGUCUACUUACAUUAAAGUUAAAAAAAAAAUCACCUUCUUCAGUAGGUUCUAUUAUGAAAGACAUCUUUUCCUUUUUUGUUGUGUAUUUCCCUUUCCGAGGACUUCUGUAUGACAGUCUUUUUUGUUUAUCUCCAUUGGUGAAUUUAUUGCCUUUGAUUACGGAAUUUACCUUAUCUUCAUACGCAUUUUUGGUCAAGCGGAAUUUACCUUAUUGUCAUACACAUUUUUGGUCAAGUCAGUAGUUGGAUCAACCACCAACCUUCUAUCAUUCCUCUCCAUUUUAUUUUGGUUUUGAAUUUUUAUGCUUUUUCAUGAAUUCUUCUUUCUUCUGAAGUGCUGUUAGAUGUUUGGUAAUCUGGAACUUGCUUCCAAGAUCAUAUAAAUAGUUGAUCUUUCCUACGUUCUUUUCAUUAUUUUUUAAAUUUUGCCUUGAUUUCAUUCUUCUGCUAUGUGUUCCUCUUAAUUUUUUCAUGUGGACGGCAUCUAGAUGGCUUUGUAUUCCUGUUACUUGAGGGUUCUGUUAAAUUUUUUAUUCCAGUAUAGUUGAAAUUGAUCCAAUAUAUGGCAGGAGGGAGAUAAAACUGGAAGCGUGAAGCAACUUCUGUCAAAAUUAGUCAAAUCAUCUCUUCGAGCAACAUUCCCCGAUUUGUUGGAUAUAGAGCCACUUGUUGCAGCCUCAGUAAAAUUUGGUGACUAUCAAUGGUAUAUGUCUUGGCUUGUCUUGCAUGAUAUUUAAUACUUAUCUAUCUAUUAAAGUUUUUACUUUUGAUUAAGACAUGAAUUAUUAAAAAAAAAAUGCUUCUUUAGUACUAAGUUGAUAUUUAUAGUAUUUUUUUUUUGGUCCUUUUGUAAUGACAAUUGUUGAAGUGUAAUGACAAUUGUUGAGGUAUCUUGAUGCAGCAACAAUGCCAUGAGUCUGUGGUCAAGAAUAAAAGGGUCGGGCACAAAUUUCAAGAACCCCAAUUCUAUAGGGCAGGUUUGAUUUGUUUAUGCUUGUAUAAAUUUAGCAUGUAGCUAGUUUAUCUACAGUCUUGUGGAGAUCUUCUUCCAUAUUUGCAAAUUCAUUCUUUCUAGUUUCUUUUUCUGAUAAAGUGAAAAUAUUACUUUCCAUUCUGACACUGCAUUAUUUCAUUGCCCCCAGGCCGUUGCAAGAAAUCUUCCUCCUUCCGACAUCAUUGAAUCCACUUCUGUUGCAGGACCUGGAUUUGUGAAUAUAAUUUUGUCCAACAGAUGGGUUUCGGAGGUAAGAAACAUAUAUCUUGCUUGUUAAUUGUUGGGACUUUUAUAAAUAUAUCCCACAAGAUAAUAUAUCUACUUCGAUGCUGCUGUAUAAGCUGACUUUUUUAUAUACCCUUGAAAAUUUUAGUUUCAAAGAAAAUUACCAUUAUCUUAAGUUGGGGGGAGAUUUAAUUCAUGGGGGAAGUUUAUUUUAUGUUAUUUAUAGAGUUUCAUUUUAAAGAGGGCUAUAUGAAUUAUGAAGGCAUAUGAAAUACAAAAGAAGUUAAGUAUUUGAGGAGUAUAUCAGCAUAUGCAGUACAAAAGAUUAAGUAUUUGAAGAGUAUAUAAGCAUAAGAGGUACAAAAGAGAUCAGUAUUUGAAGAGUGUAUGUGAAAAGUCAGAUUUUGCAGGGGUAGUAAUUUUUUUUUUUUAAUAUUAGUUGCACUUACUAUUCGAAAUGCUAACCUUGGUUAAUUGAUCUGUGUUAUUGUAGAGAAUCCAUGACAUGUUAAUAAAUGGCAUUAAAAAUUGGGCACCGGCGCUUCCUGUCAAGAGGGCUGUGAUUGAUUUUUCGUCACCUAAUAUUGCAAAGGAAAUGCAUGUCGGCCAUUUAAGGUCCACGAUAAUUGGAGAUACUCUAGCACGCAUGUUUGAGUUCUCCAAUGUUGAAGUUCUCCGACGAAAUCAUGUUGGCGACUGGGGCACCCAGGUAACUAUUUUCAGGUUUCAAUUUUCAAUCCUGGCUGGCCGGCGCUAGCAGUUGUUUUGGUUCCUGUUGUUUUCAUACUUGUUUUGCCUGGAUUUUUGAGCCUAGAAGCUGAAGUAGUGAAGUUUGACGUGUGGGAAGUACUAUAUUAAAUUUUAAUUGUGGCAGAACAUUGAAAUAUGCUUCUAGGCCACAAAAGCAUAAGAUAUGAUUGCAGCUCUGCUUUUCUGGAGUAGGAAGUUGUUUAUAAUUAUUUUCAUGAAAGAAAAACUAUUAAGGCUUCUUUUAACAGCUUAAGCAAACAGCAGAUUUGCAGAAGCUUUACUCAGGCCAAACUAACAGUCUUUAGAUGUUCUAUUAUUGGUCUAUUGUACUGAAACAUCUGGAGUGGUCAUUGUUUUCAAAAUUGAUUGUUUUUUUUUUGUUUAACUUUGAUAUUCUUUUAGGUAUAUGGGGUAAUAGAAGUUUUCCUUGUAAUUGUGCAUUUUAUUCCGGUGGAUUAUAUAACAUCUCUUACUUGACCCAAUUAUUCUUGUAAUGUGUACAGUUGCUAAUUUAUUAGCUAAAGGUAAUGUCUGUUGAAGUUCCUGUUUACUGUAACUCGUUAUUGUUCUAUAAAAUUUUGAGACUUGUUCAGAAUUUAUGUAAUUAAUUGUUGAAGCUUCCGGAGGAUGGAUUUUUUGGUAUUAAUAUCAGUUAUUUGCAGUUAAUCAAAUACUGGGUUGACACUCUUGUUCUUUUCUUUACGACAAAAAGGAGGUGCUUAGAUAGUUAAUAUGGGAGAAUAUUAAUAUAUUGUACUUGCGGACAUUGUAAGAUCGUUUUUUUUUUCGGAGCCAUAUUUUUGAGGAUUGAGUGGGUUAAUAAGACAAUUGUAUUCAUUUCCAGAAUAUGUCAUUGUUAGCAUUUGGCUUGUUGUAUUUUAUGUUUAGAUAUCUGUAAAAUUUACUUUCCGGGCAUAGUAAAAUAUGUAAUUUUACAUAUUUUAAUCAUUUUAUGGUUGAUUUACAUAAUAGUGACAAAGAAUCUCUUAUUUGGUUUUGAACUUUUUUUUUUUCCUGUUCCUUUGCAGUUUGGAAUGUUGAUAGAGUACUUAUUUGAGAAGUUCCCUAAUUGGGAGGAUGUUGGGACUCAAGCCAUUGGAGAUCUUCAGGCGAGCACAAUAUAAUGUUUAUAAUUUAGCAUAAUAGUGAACUUCAGCUUCAUUACAUGUAAAAUGAUGCGGGUAUUUACAUAAUUUGAGCUAUAUGACAGUUUAUAAGAUAAAUAACAAUAAUAAUUGUCCAUGUUGCUUAAUGGUUUCCAAUUAUACUCACUGACUAAAUUGAGUUCUUAGACUGUUCCAUUAUGUUUUCUGUCCCAUACAUACCCUUUUUAUAGCUUCAAGUUCUUGAAUGAAAAGAUUCGACCUUUUACUGUAGAUUGACAUUGAAUAUUAUUGUGCGAAUGUUCUUCAGCAUAGAAGCUUUGAAGAUGCAUGUCUUUACAUUAUUGUGUGUGCUAUUAUUGAAGUUUGGAUAAUGCUUUUCAUUUUUCACUUUGCAUGAUACUAAUUGCUUCUCUAUGUUGAUCAUGAAAAAUGUAAAAUUGGAAAUUAUGUCUAUUUUUUAAAUCUUUUUAAUUAUUUGGCAAUCCAAGCUAGGAGUAUUUGCAUCAGAAUUUUAGUAUUCUUGGCCAUGUCUGCGGUUGUAAUUUCUAGUGUGUUGGCUUUUUAAAUCUAUUUAUUUCUUUCUCACUAGGCCUCCCUGUCUUUAAUAGUGUUCUAAUAUGAAUGUUCUCCUUCAGGAAUUCUACAAGGCAUCUAAAAAAAGAUUUGAUGAUGAUCCGGCCUUUAUGGAACGGGCUCAGCAGGCAGUAGUUAAGUUGCAGGUAUGUAUCUUUUGUGAUGCAGAUUGUUACACACCGUUGGCUUUUGUUUUCUGUAUACAGUCCACUUAUUUCAUCUUAUAUUCUAUAUUUGCAACUUAAUUAUGAAUUUAUGAAUUAAGGAGUGCUUUGGCUUAUGAAAUGGUAUUUCGAACCAAAGUUAUAUUGAAAAAAGUAAAUCUAAACAGCAAAAUAAAAAGGUGGUCUGUUUUUGCAGCAUGGCCAGAUUUGGAUAAAAGGAAAAAAAGGAUCACCGAUACCAUCAUUAAAUGUAUUUUUGGACGCAGAGAUUGCAAGUUGCAACAUAUUCUUGGAGUUGUGGAAUUUCUACUUAAUUUAGACAAUCAUCAUUUCUCUUAUAUUUACAUGUUUAUUUUUUUUUAUCUUUUCUCUUAUAUUUACAUGUUUAGUUUUUUUAUAGGGAGGAGAAGCUAAAUACCGUGAUGCCUGGAAAAAAAUCUGUGAAAUCAGCAGGAAUGAGUUUGACCAAGUCUAUCAGCGGCUUAAUGUUGUUUUGGAAGAAAAGGUAUAGCUAGUAUACCAGUUAUGCUACUAUUGAUCUCUUAAAAUCUAGCUUACUAGUUACUAGAUUGUUUCAAGAAAGACUGCCAGCUUAAUGUCCAACACUCCAACAUGAAGGUCAUUCUAACUUUGGGUAAUGAAUGGUUGUUCACUUACCACUUGUUUUUGCUGACUGCACAUCACUUAAUGGCUAAACUACCAUUUAAGAUGCAGGCUGUGGUGUAUGCGGUACUUGGAUUCGCUAAUUUAUCUUUCACUGCUUUCUUUUCUUCAAGAAGUGUAAAUGUUGAAACUUUUUUAGUUUUUCUUGAAACAUCACUGUCAGAGCAUGAGGCCCAGCUUUUGGAGAAGCUCUCUUAGGCUAGAGCUGUUCAAAGAAUCUAUGGCAGCUUUUUUGUUAAGAUCUCCUCAGCAGAUUGCCACUAUAGUGGAAGCAAAAGUUUCAAUAUGAAGUUUAUAAUUUUCGGACCUAAAAGCUUGUUUUGACUUUCUCCGACUGCAAAACCUCUGGAAUAUUUGUUUCCCAAACACCAUGUCUGUCUAGAAGCAUGGACUUGUAAAUCUUGUCGACUUUGAAUUGCUAAUCUUUUCUCUGUUCCCUUUUUUAUCUUUUCAGGGGGAAAGCUUUUACAAUCCUUAUAUUCCAAGUGUUUUAGAGGAGUUAACUAGCAAAGGGUUGGUUAAGGAAAGUGAUGGUGCUCGUGUGAUAUUCAUUGAAGGGCAAACUAUCCCUUUGAUUGUUGUGAAGAGAGAUGGAGGAUACAAUUACGCCUCAACUGACUUAGCUGCUCUUUGGUUAGCUUUCUUGAUUUCAAACCAAAUUCUUUCUGUAGCUCCUCUUGAUCAAUUAGUUUUGCCUCAUUUUGAUUUACUUUUUACAGGACAAUGUAAUUGAGAUUUUAUAUAGCAUGCACUUUUUUUACCCUGCUAACAUGAACCGUUUCUGCCACAAGUUGUCUUACAUUGGUAUAGAUUUUGAUUAUUCACACCUUCCUUUUCAUCCUAAAGGUAUCGGCUUAAUGUGGAGAAAGCAGAGUGGAUAAUAUACGUGACAGAUGUUGGGCAGCAACAGCAUUUUGAUAUGUUUUUCAGUGUAGGUAUCACGUUCCAUAUUCUUUUCUUUUUAUUUCUUUAUUUUUCCUCCUUAAGAAGAUUUAUUGUGUACUUUGUGCAGCCAAUUGUAGUACUUUAUAUUUAUGCAAGAAAACUUGUUGUUCUGUUUCAUUUCAGUCGAGUUAUAUAAGUGGCCAACAAUGACGACUUGUGAAUUUUAGUGGUGGACUUUAAGUAGUUUUCUGGCUGAAUGCGUACAUAUGUACUGUUGCUAAAUUAUGCAUUUAAUUAAUGUAUGCAUCUAGAAACUCUCAAUAUAUUCCCUUCAACUUAAUCUCUUGCAUUUAUAUUCUUGUACUUUCAAAAUGCCCCUGUCGAGAGAAUCUUUUGUAAAAUAAAUCUGAUUGGAUGGUUGCCCAAUCUAAGAUGAAGGUGUUUCCUUUUUUAAGAAACUGCACUUUCAAGGGGUAGAUAUGAAAUUCAGAUUUUACCAGAUUAUAUGUGUGUAAAUUUUCCUAUCCAAUCCCUGUGACAUGCAUUCUAUAUUUGGUGGGACUUGAACUUCCUCGCUUCCAUUUCAGGCUGCUAGAAUGGCUGGUUGGCUCCCAGACCCUGGGGAAAAGAUGUUUCCUAAAACAAGUCAUGUUGGAUUUGGGCUUGUUCUUGGAUCAGAUGGAAAGCGCUUCCGAACUCGAAGCUCAGAAGUUGUUCGAUUGGGAGAGUUGCUUGAUGAAGCUAAAGCUCGGAGUAAAGCUGAACUCGUACAACGUCUCAAUGAAAAUGGUAAAGUUAUAGUUUCUUGCUUGCUAAUAUCUGUUCUUUGUUUUCUUCAUCUAAGCUUUUCAUUUGUAGGUAAUUUUUUAGAUGGAGGUUUUCCACUUAUGUACCAUUGCAAAAUUUUCAUGUAUGCUCCUGAAAGUGCAGUUUCUUACAGAGUGUGUUAUAACUUACCUAUGAUGCACGGAUACUUCAAAUUUCAUGCCGUACCUGUAUCGGAUACGUAUCGGAUAUCGAUACGCGCCCGAUACGUGCCCGAUACGUGUCCGAUACGAGAAUGAAGUAUCCGGCAUUUUAAAAAUAAAAGAAAUAUCGGAUACGGCUUGGAUACGGGGGGAUACGGGAGGGAUACGGCCAGAUUCUUUUUUGGCCUAAAAUGAUCGGAAUUUUAAAAAAUUUUUAAAAGCCAAUAUCGAAACCUAUUGGAAAGAAGGACGAGUGAGAAAAACACCAAUCUCUAUUUAAUUUGUCAUUUCUUCUAUCUUUUUGCUCUUGAAUAGUAGAAAGCGCUCCUACUCAUUCUAUCUCCACACAGUAUUAAGCCAUAAUUUAGUUCUUCACUGCUCUUUUACUCUUUUUCAUCUAAUUUGUCAACCUAGUAUUAAGCAACAAAGGCUAUAGAGAAUAUGAUUUUUUUUUCUUUUUUAUUAAAUUGCUAGCAUAUUUUCUUUUAUUACUGUUUUAAUAAUAGAACUAAUAAAACAAACAUAUAUGUUGAAUGGUUAAUUAUCUAGUUUGUGUGACUACAUAUUUAUUGUUAUCAUUUGAUCAAAUUGGAGAAUAAUUGGAUGAUUAUUCCAUAUGAACAGAUGUAGGAUAAUUAUACAAGUUAAUGUAUAUUAGAAUAUAUUUCUUAAUAUAAUCCAGAUAUCCUACUUGUUAUCAAUAUAUCAUUUACAUAUAAUCAAUAUAUAUUUAAGUAUAUUUAAAUAAUAUUUUAUACAAAUAUACCCUGCGUAUCGUAUCCUGAAAGUUUUAAAAAGUACCGUAUCACCUUAUCCGUAUCGUGUCAUAUCGAUAUCCCCGUAUCCGUAUCUGUACAACAUAGUAGCUUACAUUCUGUUUCUUGAAAAGUUCUAGUCUCUUUCAAAUAUGCUAUAACUAACAUUCUGUUUUCUGGAUCAGGUAAGAUUGGUGAGUGGACAGAUGAAGAGCUUGAGAAAACUUCUGAGGCAGUCGGCUAUGGUGCAGUCAAGUGAGAUAUUUUUUUCUACUUAAAUUUACUGAAGAAUAGCCAUGUUGAUUUGAUCUCUUCCAGCUUUCAGAUGUAUUUAAAGUGAUAUUUGAAUGCACUAGUAGGAUUUUUCAACUUUGUUGGUGAGGUUAUUGCAAGACUGUCUUUUUACGAACUGCAAUAAUGAAUUUCAAUCAUCUUAAAGGACAUUUGCAUUGUACCCCUGCAAAAUUAUGUUUUUACAAAUAUAUCCCUGCAAAACAUGAGUUUUCAUAUAUACCCCACAAAUGCUUUCUUCCUUGCAUCAAUAGCUUUAUACUUAACAAAAAGUGCCUUCCUCAUAAAAAAGAAAAAAAAAACUUUUCUCAGAAAACCAAUGCCCCUUAUGCCAUGAAUUGGCUGACUCUCCAAUUUAAUGCAUUUACGAGGAGUGUACAGCAAAAUUAAUCUUUUACAGGAUAUAUCAUAGAUGGAUGAUAUCACAGGGGAUGAAUAUACUAGUUCUUUAUACAAAUUGAACAAAAGUUCAAUUUCUUUUGAUUGUCUAUAGACACAAAAACUUUCUUUGGAAUCCAUAUUUCUCUUUCUUUUAGUUGUGAUAUGAAUACGCUAGUUGGAGGGACAUAUAUGUUAAACCACCAACAUGCUGUCUUUUAAUAAUAUUAUACAUGCUUUUUUCAGAUACUGGUGUUUACACCCUGACACUUCUGUAUUGAUUUGAAACAGAUACGCAGAUUUGAAGAACAAUCGAUUGACUAACUACACAUUCAGUUUUGAUCAAAUGCUAAACGAUAAGGUAAUCUUGUAUUCUCCAGUAUUUAAUUAUUUCUGCAACCCUCUACUAUAAUGGCCUACAGAAAUUGAUUCUGCAGAUUUGAUGCUUAAUAAUUAACUGUCGCUGUUUGAAACCUACAUGUUGGAUGCCCAUUAUGCUACCGUGUUUUUGGAAAAAUGGGAUAUGUUUUAUAUAGUUAAUUUUGUAAGUAAGUGCGCAAUGUUAGGUUUUUGAUGAUUCCUUUUUAUGGAUUUCCAAACAACAAAUAGAACGUACAUCUGAAUUUUUGUAUAUACACCCUCGAAAGUCGUUUUUUUACAAAAAUACUUUUAUCUUAAGUUGUUAGUGAUCCAAUUUCACAUGGUAAAUAUCAGAGAAGUUUUAUCUUGAGAGGAGCACUUUUAUAAGUGGAACUUGAUAUGUAAAAUAUUAAAAUUGUAAGGGGCAUAUAUGAAAACUUAGAUUUUUACAGGGAACAUUGCUUGGUGCUUGCUGCUUUUUCUGCUUAUGUAUAUAUGGUGUUUCUGCUGUUAUUUAUCCUUGCUGCAAAUUUCUCUAAAGACCUUUGUAUACUAGUCUAGCAGUUUACUUAUCAGUUAUUAUCUAUCCUUUACUCAUUGUAACUAGUAAGAAGUGUCGACCUCUCAUAGUAACUGCUAUUCUUGUUUUUUAACAGGGAAACACUGCUGUUUAUCUGCUGUAUGCGCAUGCUCGAAUAUGUUCCAUUAUUAGGAAAUCUAAUAAAGACAUAGAAGAGCUAAAGACGGUAAUUUUUUCUGUUUGACUUUGAUAGAAACUAUUGGUAUCGUUGCAUUUUUAUUCUUAAUUAUGCUGUAAUUUUUGGAAUUUCUGAAAUCCUGCUUUUUUAUUUUUUGCGCAGAUUGGGUCGAUUUCUCUUAAUCAUCCUGAUGAACGUGUUUUAGGGCUCCAUCUUAUCCGGUUUGCAGAGGUAUAUCUUGAGAUAUACGUGUGUCAUCAUUUAUUUUAAUCAGGAUUAAUCUUUUGUCUCCACAUUAAUCGUUUGGCUCCACCAAUUGUGGUUUUGAUAAUUAUGUCAUGCAUCUUCUUUACACAUUGAGCAUUUAAUAAGAAUUUUUAUUUUUUCUAUUCUUUUUCCUAUUUGACAUGUAUAGAGUUAUCUCAUGUUAUCAUUUAUGGUAAUUAGCAUCACAUCAUUGCAUGCUUAAGAGAGGUCUGACAUGUAGAGUUGUAUCGUCUAUGAUACAUUUCGUUACCUUUUCAAUCUUUGUGAUAAUUUUGUCUAGCAAAGCAAACAUAUACUCACCAUUCAUCGGUUUACUGUGGCACAAUGAUUUUGAGCAUCUUGACUAGUUCUGUGAUCAUAAUAUUAGCAUGUUUUCCUGUUAUUGUAUUUCAGAUUGUUGAGGAGGCUUGCACGAAUCUCCUUCCAAAUGUUCUAUGUGAAUAUCUGUACAACUUAUCAGAAAUUUUCACUAGAUUUUAUACCAGUUGCCAGGUUUGUUUGUCUCUUUUAUGCUUCUCUAUUCUAGUUAUUGUUGGUUUGUUUGCAAACUUAUUUUUUCUGAAAACCCAAAUAAGUGAAAAAAGGUUUACUACUAAACAUUGGAUUUUAUUGCCAAAUGAACCGUUUAUGUGUAGAGAUCACAAAAAAAUCGCAUUCAAUCACAAAGUUUUUGAGUUAAAAAUUGAAAUAAGUGUUACUAAACGAGACCUUACUCUCGAGUACUUGAUAAAUGAUUCCAUAUCCUGAAUUUUUAGCUUAAGAAUACAAUGAUAAGGCAAAACUACUGUAAUAAUUCCAUUUGAAAGAACCUUCGUUAUCCAAUUAAAAAAAACCAUAUUAUAGAUAAUGCAUUUGGGUUUAAGAUAAAACUCUCUCUCUCUCUCAUCAUUUAUAAUAGCUAACAUGUUGUGGAAUUUGGCAGGUGGUUGGAUCACCUGAAGAGACCAGCAGGUUGCUAUUAUGCCAAGCUACUGCGGUCGUCAUGAGGAAAUGCUUCCACCUUCUCGGAAUCACUCCCGUCUACAAGCUAUAAAUUAUACUUCCUAUAGCACUUAAAUUUUAUGUCCAAUUUUUGAAUCAUGCAAAGUUUGCUAUCUCUUCGGGUGUAAUCUAACCAUUGUUAGUGAGAAAAUUAAGAGAUUAUUUUGAGGGAGGAAAAGCUUGGAAGUUGUGAAAAAGAUUAGAUUCAGUUUCUCAAUUUGAAUAGAAGGGGCUCGUACUCAACAUCGAAUUUUACGGUUGUUGCGAUUGAAUGGUUCGUGAUGUUUUAGUUUAUGUGGGUUAAACGGUUUGAUUUUGCGGGUGUUUUAAAUGUCUAAAUGUGCAUGGAUUCUCAAAUUGAAAUUUCAGUGGAACUAUUGGUCUGAGAGAUUCUCAAAUUUAGAAAACCAAAAUGUUCGACUUGGACUGUUAUUAAGGAAAAAAAAAAAGAAAAAAGAAAAAUCAUGAGUGAGGAUAAUUUCUGGUGAGUUCCUGCAAACUGAACCAUUCAUUUCAUAUUAAAUUGGGUGGUUUGAACCAGUACAUACUGGGUAAUUUGCACAGUUGGUACUCAAAUUAUAAGGCUGGUGAUAUUUUGGUCUUUAAACUUGAGAAACAUAUUUUUAAAACUUUUAAUAGUAUUAUAGAUUAGAGAUGUCAACGGGUCGGAUUCGGGGCGGAUUUUUAAAAAUCCGAAUCCGAACCCGACUCCAAACCCAAGACCCGAACCCGAAUCUGAACCCGACGGAUUUUAAAAAUCUAUAUCCAAACCCGAACCCGACCAAAAAUCCGAAACCCGAACCCGAACCCGAACCCGAAAAUUUAAACCCAAAACAAUUACUUCUUUUUUCAAUAUUUCAAAAUAUAUUAUAUUAAACCUAAAUUUUUAAAAUACAAAUUCAAAUAUAACAUCAAAUUUUUAUAUAUAUAUUAUAUAUAAUACAAAAUAAAUUCGGGUUUGGAUCGGGUUCGGGUCGGGUUCGGGUUCGGGUCGGAUACAAUCAAAAUUCAUAUCCGAAUCCAUAUCCGUCGGGUUUCCAUUUUUGAUAUCCAUAUCCGAAUCCAUAUCCAUAUUUAUCGGAUAUAUCCGUUUCAUUCGGGUUCGGGUUCGGAUAAAAUUUUGGAUAUCCAUACCCAUUGACAUCCCUAUUAUAGAUAGACAGAUAGAUAUAGAUGAUGGUGAAUUUUUUAAUUUUUGUUUCAUGCAUGGGAAACGGGCUUUUUUUUAAUUUAAAAAAAUUAUUUUCAAAAUUUGGCGUAUUUGCGCUACAUAGAUACCACCUGAGAUUGUUCCGGAUGGAAGGCAUCGAAGAAAGCGGUAAAGUAUUAUGCUUACUUGAAAUGAUAAACGGUUCAGUGCUUUUAUUUUAAAAAAUUUAUAAAGCUCCUAAACACGACGAAUAGUUUUCAUCUUUGAAAGGUGUGAAUCACUCAUCGCAUUCUUCGUGACCAUCUCAUACUCUCUAAGCACUAAGCCUCUCGCUGAUAGUAAAAUUGAUAAGCAGUGAAUAGUUUACCGCCUUCUAAAAACGAUAAGUCAUAUAAAAGCUAGAAGAUAGAAAAUCAUUAGUUGGAAAAUGAUGCAACCUUGUGUAUGAUGUUAGGGGUCUAUUUUUAUGCAAAUAGUGUUAGUACUGGGCCAAUUUAUUUAGAAGUUGACUAAGUCAUGUAAAUAGCAAAAUAUUGGCUUAAUUUGGGCAAGUAAUGUGUUUAUGCUGCGGAGUUCGUUCAUGCUAAUUAGUUUUUAGGAGGACAUAUAUAGUGGAUGUAGUAGAUAACAUGUUGAAUUGGAUUUCCUUUAACCUUAAGUAUCUUUUUAUUUAAAUCCUUUAUUUGCACCAAAUUUUUAAAUGAAAAUUUUUGUUUCUUCCACUUUAUUACUCUAUCAAAUUUUAUUAGUGAGCAUUAAUUUAUUUUAGAAUGCAUUUUCUAUCUAUAAUUGGUAUUAAAGUUCUGUUAUGAUCAAAGUUGUGCACAUAAUAUGAUACGUGGAACUUUUCUAGCCAAAUUUUUAUUUGCAAAAGACCUAGCAAAAGACCUACUUUGAGGCUCUAGUAUUGAAUAGUUUCGGUCACCAUUCAUAUGACUCUUAGUGUCUAUCUGAAACGCUUUGACAUUCGCCUCUACUUUUUUUCGUCUUGUUUUCCAUCCAUACAGCUUUAAACUGUUGCAGCUAGUAUUCACGCUACUUUGAAAUUCAUAUUAUUCAUGAUGUUCAACUAAUGUUGGACUGUUUCAGUCAUCAUUCAUAUUAUUUUAAGAUUUGCCUAUACUAUCUAAUAUUGGACUGUUUUACUUAACAUUCACCAUAUGAUGUGGUAUCUCUAUGAGAUCUACAACAUCAGAGAUUCAAAACUUACAACAUAUACUUUCAGCCACAGCAAUAUCAAGAUAGACCUCAAAUGCUUAUGUAAUACCAUAACAUCACAACAUGAAGAUUAAAAAUGCUUUAAAUUUUUUUAAGAACCUUUCAAAACUAAUAAUAAAAGCAUAUGUUUUUAGCCACACCAUAAUACCAAAGUAAACAUUCCAAACUCACAAGCAUAUGCUUGGUUAGCCACCAUAAUACCAAACUAGAUUUAUAAAUACUUACUAGACCUAUAAAUAAGCAGAUAUUAUUUUGAAUUUAUUCUUGGUUACCGACCAUCCCUAAAGCACGUGACAAAGAGUUUGGUGGUUAGUACUCGAGACCCAAGUUCGAAUUCUAGUUGAUUCAUAUUUCCAGCUAAGUUUAUUUCUAAAUAAAAUAAACGAAGCGGAUAGCAUGCUACCUAUCUCUCAAAAAAAAAAGAAAAAGAAAAAAGAAUUUAUUCUUGAUUCCGCAUGAGCUGAACACAGAGGCCGGUGAAGGCAUAGUAGAGUUUGCGGUCCCUGGCGCCGGUGCUGUGGCAGCCGUUGCGGCGGCAGAAGUAGGCGAGGAUCUUCAUGUUGAGGCAGCCGAGGGUGCCGUCAAGCAGCAUGAACAGCCAGUUGAUGUCCCGCUUCCUCUGCGCCACCACCGGCCGCAUCCCCCUCUGCAGCCCGCAUGACGGGCAGUCCCUGUACUUCGGGUUUAGCAGACUGUCCGACGCGCGGUCACUCUCGUACUCCUGCACCCGCCGGUACAGCGGCUUCACAUCCUCCUCGAACUUGGACAGCAGGUCGUAGGUCACCACCUUUAUUUUGUUUCGUUAAUAAAUACUUAGGAUUUUAAUUAAAACAACUACAAUUUCAUCAUGAAAAGAAUAAGCACAAAUUAAUAACUAAAACAAUGAGUUUCUGCACUUUAAAAAGUACCGAAAUAUCUGUACUUGUAAUUUUUUAAUCAUCGGAUCGUCUUAAGAUCGUACAGCACUCUUAAUGAUAUAUCCUGUUAAGCCCACUUUACUAGUUCUGCGUAGUUCUUGAAACGAUUCAAUAACUAAAAAAAUUAUAAAUACAAAUAUUUUUGUACUUAUAAAAGUAUGGAAAACAAUUCUUGAACUAAGAAAGGAUUGAGCACACAUUGUAUUAGACAAAAAAAAAAAAAAAGAAAAGAAAAGGAAUAUAGAGUUUUCAUCAUUGUAAUUUUAAAAGCAAAAAUUAACAACCAUAAAACGAAAAAAAAAGAAGAAUUGUAAUAGAUUUCAAAUAAAAGUAAAGAAAGUAGACAAACUAUAGACUUCAAAUAAUUAUAAGAAUUUUUCCUUUUCUUUUGCAAUUUUUUUUAUAAACACAUACAAAUAUUUUCGACUUUUAAGAUAUUCUCGGAGCAUGCAAAAUUAGUAAACCAACUGCACUAAGUAGUAAUUAUUAUUCUAUAACGAACCGACCUCGUGGGCGUCGCAACUUCGGCAGCAGAGUUCGCCCUUGAUCUGGGUGAUGCCGCUGGCAGAGAGCUCUGCAAGGGGCCGCACGGUGGCGCGGUGAUCUCCAGCCCAGGGGAAUGGAGGAGGAAUCCUGUCAGACGUGCUCGGCCGCACCGGCCUACGUCUCCUCCUUGACUGCUGCAGUUCCGACGGAAUAGGCAGCGGCGACUGCAGUGACUGCGGUGGCGGUGGUUUCAUCAUGAACAAUUGCAAUUUUAGCAUUUUAAAGUUCUAGCUAGAAGAUCUCUAAAACAUUUGCAAUUUCAUCAUGAACUAAAAAUAAUUAAACUAAUUAAGCGUGGAACUCCUUCACUUUUAAAAGCACAAACAUCUGUGCUUAUGAUUCUUUGGAUGACCUUAAAAUUCAUGCAGCACUAUUAACAGUAUAUUCCGUUGAAUCUUAAGAUGAUGCCAUGGCUAAACUUAGAUGCACAAAUGUUCAUUUCUUUUAAAAUGCACAGAUGUUCACAGAAGCUCCACUCUACCACCUCAGUUUAUUACUAAUUUGUUUUCGAUGUUAAAACUUUUAAAUCGAUGAUCGGCAUCAUUUUAUAUUACUUAGACCAUUUAACCUAUCUAGAAAUCAAACUUUAUGAUUUUUUGAUCGCUAGCCGAAUGAUCAAAGGAUCACAAAAUCUGUAACUCUAAUGACCAAUAUGAUGUGUUUGCUUGCCAAAUUAACUAAAUUUUUGUUAGAAAAUUUGUUAAAACUAUUCAAAAUAAGAUUUAGCUAGGGCCUGUUUAAGAAACCCAUAAUACCGGAGUAAUAAGCCAACUUACUUUGUAUUUUAGAAAAUUCUGUUUAUUUUUUACUUGCUAUGUUUGGAUAGUCUAACAAAAGAAAAAAUUUACAGAGUAAAAUAAGCAUUCCGGUGUAAUUAAUAUUGGAGUAGGUAAAGGUGUUGGCUGUGCUUUCCCCGUUACGCCUCCUGAAGGAGGAUAUGUCAUGUAAAAUAAAACUCUUGAUUUAAUUUUAGAUAAUUGCCUAACAGACCCUUAGAUUGUAAAUCUUAAAUAUGAAAAUUAUAUUAUUAUUUUAAAAAAAAUACUUAUUUUUAGUUAUUUAUUUUUUGUUUACUUGAUGAAUAAAAGAACAAUAUCAAAAAAGCGUGAAAAUUUGAUUUUUAGAUAGUUUAAAUAGUUUACACCAUAUUUAACGGUACCAUUAAUAUGAAAGUUUUAUCAUUGAAAAAAAAAUUGAUAGCAGAGUGAGUACUUAUCACCGAUAGUAUAAUCUAGCAAAACUCUUUCUCUCUCUUUCUAUAUAUAUAUAUAUAAUGUAUAAUGCUUCCGACUUUUAGCUUUUAGAUCAAAAAUUCUAUAUUUGGAAUGAUAGUCGUCACCCCCUACGAAUGAGUGGUCCCUCAAGGAUAAUAAUAUUAAUCCGAGAAUAAAAAAUGAUCAAAAAACUUGAUCCAACGAUUAAAAAAUAAAAAGCAGUCCCAUUAUACUUUUCAUAGUAUAGUAGCAAUAUAUAUAUAUAUAUAUAUAUAUCAUAAUUGUAAUUUUAAAAAUUAAUAAUUAACAACCAUAAAAUUAAUUUAGAGAAAAUAAAAAAAAAAGAAAGAUUUGAAGAAUGUAUCUAGAAAACUAGAUGAAUUUUAAUAGAUUCAAAAUACAGAUUUCAAAUAAUUAUAAGAAUUUUUUAUUUUUAGUUUUUUUUUUUCAUAAACACUCAUAAAUAUUUCUGACUACUAAGAUUCUAAAGGGCAUCCAAAAUAUGCAAAAUUAGUUAAACUCCAGUAGAUAGUGAUUAUUAAUCUACAACGAACCGACCUGGCAGGUGUCGGCGCUUUGACCGCAGAGUUCGCCGUCGGUCCGGGUGAUGCCGCUGGCGACAGGCUCCGCGAGGGGCCGCCUGGUAGCACGACGGACUUCGGCCCCGGGGAACGGCGAAGCGAUUGGCUCCGACCCGGGCGGCGGCGGCAGCAGCGGCGAUGGCGGCGGCGGCGGCGGCGUUGGUGAUGGCGGCGGCGGUGGAGGUGGCGGCUGUAGGGGUGUUGGCGGUGGUGGUGGAGGUGGAGGCGGAGGCGGCAGCGGCGUUGGUGGCUGCGGUUCACGUGAACCAGGACACGACAAAGAGAGCUCCAGAUCCAUCUAAACUAUUAUUAUUCUUCUUCUUAUUACUUAUACUUACUUUUAAUUGUAAUUCUAAGAAUAAUAAAGCAAUACUAAGAAUAAUAAUAAUAAUAAUAAUAAUAAUUGUAGUGGUAGUAAUAAUAGUUAUUAAAGAUGUAAUAUAGAUGCAAUAAAUAGGAAACUUUGGCGAGAACAUCUUGCCAAUGUACGUUGUAUAUACAGAUAUGUAUACUAUUGUAGGUAGUUUGGAGUUCUUAUCAGGUUGUUACGUAUAUAUAAGUAAUAUUGCGAUGAGAGAGAGAUUAGGGGGGGAGAAAAACAAAAAAUAAAAAAAAGCAAAAAAAAGUGCGCGGGUCCCGAAGCGGCGCGCGCUCCCGCCACGGUUUUAAAUUCGGGUACAAAUCCGACGUUGACCGCGGGGUAAAUUUUAUACCUUCCCCAUUUCCGAAGGGAUGUGAUUUAUUCAAAAAUAAAUAUAUUUUGCCAUAAUUUAAACUUUUUUGGUCUGGAGAUAGGAAAUUGAAUAUUCAAAAUUUUAUCUGAUUUAAAUCUUAACAGAAUAAAUUUAUGGGAUGCUAAUUUUUGGCAAUUGCUAUUUCAUUGAAUAUAACAAUUGUUGUUAUUACCUCGUUUUCAUAAAAUUUUGUAUCUAAAUUUAACGACCAUAAAAAAUAUUUAGUUCUAUUUGAAAUGGAUAGUUAAGCCUAAAGCAAAAUUGCAUAUAAAUUUUAUAGAAGUUCCUAACUUUGUUGGCUGAAAGGACCAGCAUUCUAUUUCGCGACGAGAGAUCAGGUUGGGUUGAAUUAUAUUCAAAAUAACUAUAGGUCGGGACAGAGUUACAGUAGAGACUCACAGGCUCUCUAUCAAGCUUUUGGAAUAAGUGGUGGCUAGCACCAACUAGACCUGGCAAUCCCUAUCCCUACCCGCAGGUUACCCGUAAAUUUGUGGGUUUGGAUACUAGUUUUUCUUACCCAAAAAAUUAUGAAUAAAACGGAUGGAUACCCGUUAAGUAAUGACUAUUUUGAACAACUCGGGUACCAACGGUACCCGUAUAUAUAUUUGUUUAAUUAAAAAAUAUAUAAUCUCUAUGAUAUUGACUCUAUAAUGAUAAAAAUUUUAUUAAUUUUGUAUCAUGAAAAUUUGAAAUUGACAAAAUAUUUUUAUAUUAUAUAAUUUUAUGUGCUUUAAUAUUUAUAUUAUUUAUUGUAUGUUAUGAUAUUUCUAGCAAAACGUUACGUUAUGAUUUUAAAAAUUUUAUAUAUGUGUUUUGUAUUUGAAAAGUAUAGGAGUAAAAAAGAAAAAAAAAUCUUGCAAGUAACCUGCGUGCCGACCCGCCAGCUUGUGGGCGGAUAUGAGUAAAAAUAUUGACUAUCCAAAAAUUUAUAAAUAAAUUUUACUGAUAUCUAUAUAUUUAUCACAAAUUUGAUAGAGCUAAAGUAAAGUUUAGAGGAUGAAAAUUAAUUUAUCCAAAUAUGGACAAGAAUUUAAGUAAACCAUCUCUUAUAAGGGCUCGGUGGUUGGUAACCGAGAUCCCAAAUUCGAAUUUUAGUUGAUUUAUAUUUUCAGCUGAGUUUAUUUGUAAUUUAUAUUUUUAGUUAAAUUUAUUUGUAAAUAAAUAAACGAAGCGGGUAGUUGAGAGUGAAGAUUUUUCUCUAGUUAAAGUGAGUAUUUUAAACGUUAUAGAAUAUUAUAUUCAAUAAAUUAGAUUCUAAUGUUGCAUUCUUUUAAUUACAAAAUUUAGCAGGACGAUAUAUACCUAUAAUAAAUUGUACAUAUAUCAUGUGUUAGUGAUCAUGCUGCAGCAUGAUCGCCGAAACAGUAUGCGCGUGGUGAAGCGUGCUAGCAUACCGUGUCGUGCCGUGCAGUAUCGUGUCGAUGGCGCUCACUCUUUGUACCGGUGACAUGACAAAUUUUGAUUUAUAGACCUGGUGCAGGCAACAAGUCUCUGCGUCGGCAACAAACACGUGGUGACGGAGAGAGAGAGAGAGAGAGAGAGAGAGAGAGAGAGAGAGAUUUGAAUGCGAAGUGAGAGGGAGCGCGAUUUGACUGCGAAGACAACAACAGAUCACUACCUCCAUCCCCGUCCGUCUCCAGCACGGCCCGCCAAUGGCCACCACCACCACCACCACCACCACUACCCUCCCUCCUCGAAACCCUAACCCUAACCCUAACUCCCCUGCUCCCUCCGAUCAUCCCCUCCUCUCCUCUUCCUCCGCCUCCGACGACGAUGACGACGCCUCUGACGACGUCUCCAAUGGCGAUGCCGACCCUUCCUCCGCUGCCCUCGAGCGCUCCAUCUUCGCCUCCUACCUCCGCACCUCCCCCGACGACGACGACGCCAUUGACGACGACCUCUCCAAGCUCCGCUCCUUCCUCUCCUCCUCCUCCCUCCUCCGCCGCCGCCUCCCUUCCUGCCUCAUCUGCCUCGACCCCCUCCGCCCCUCCCACCCCGUCUGGUCCUGCUCCGCCUCCUGCCACGCCCUCUUCCACCUCCCCUGCAUCCAAUCCUGGGCCCGCCAAUCCCUCCACCUCCGCUCCCCCGACUGGCCUUGCCCUAAGUGCCGAUCCCCCUACCCCAAAACCCUAAUCCCCAAAUCCUACUUCUGCUUCUGCGGCAAGGUCCAAGAUCCCCCCUUGGACCCCUGGAUCCUCCCCCACUCCUGCGGCGAGAUCUGCGGCCGCCCCCUCGCCGGGGAGUGCGGCCACACCUGCUUGCUUCUGUGCCACCCCGGCCCCUGCCCCCCCUGCCCCGUCCUCGCCUCCUCCCAAUGCUUCUGCGGCCGCCGCGCCGACGUCCGCCGCUGCGCCCGCAGGCGCUUCUCCUGUGGCGAGCCCUGUAACAAGCCCCUCCCCUGCGGCUCCCACCGCUGCCCGACGACGUGCCACGAUGGCCCGUGCCUGCCGUGCCGCGUGCGCGGGACCUACAAAUGCGCCUGCGGCGCGGAAGAGCAAGAGCGGAUUUGUGCCGAGCGCGAGUUCCGGUGCGACCGGCCGUGUGGCGGGACGCUCGCAUGCGGGAGGCACGAGUGCGGGCGCGGUUGCCACGCUGGUGCCUGCGGGGCGUGCCCGCUUCAGGGGCGCCGGACGUGCCCGUGCGGGAAGAAGGAGCACCUUGGGCUCAGCUGUGACGCUCAAGUGCCCACGUGUGGGUCCACGUGUGGGAAGAUGCUUGGCUGCGGGAUGCAUAGGUGCCCGGAGAGGUGCCACCGCGGGGCGUGUGUGGAGAAUUGUAGGAUUGUUGUUCUCAAGUCAUGCCGAUGCGGGAGCAUGAAGAAGGAGGUGAGCCCAUAAACAUCAUUAGAUGUGUUAGUUUCCUUCGUCUACAUAAACUGUAUCUAAAAUCUUCAAUUUGGUUGUUCUUUUGUGAAUUAGUGACAGCGAUUUUUGUUCCUUUAUAAUUUGAAUGCAUAAGCUUAGUGUGUGGCUAUCAGCUUCUGCCGAGUAUAAAUGAUUCGAAUGCCAGUGUCUAGCAGUUUAAGAAGAGAAAAAUGGCUUUUCACAGUUUCCAAUGUUCUUAACCUUGGUAUGCAGGAAAAUAUCUCUUUGUUGUUAUGUAUCCAUUCCUUCCAACAAAGCUGAUAAUUUUGUUAGUCGUUGUGAUUAUGGCUUCAAUACUAAACAAGAAGCAGAAGAACACAUUGGUCGCAUUGUCAUAGAAAACAAAAAGAAGAGCAAGCUUUAAGCCUCUAGUUCAACAAUGUGGCUUUUCUUUUGUGGACUCUACGACUCCAUGAAUGAUAAUUUCGGUGUAUUCUAUAGUGUUGUGAUUUGUUUGUAACUCCUUUAAUAUGACUAACCAUCUUAUUCACAUUGUACAAGUAUCAUCAUGCUUAGAAGUCAGUAUAAAUAGGUAGUGGAAACUUAAUUAUUAAGGUUCUGCUGUUUAAAGCCGCAGACUCACAGUUGAAACAAUGUACCUAGAAAUUUUUUUUUUCCUGGAAUGCACAAAGUUUGACCAUGCAUAUAUUAACUGAAGGUGCAAAAUUGAACUGUAAUCUAAUAUAGGUUCCUUGCUAUCAAGAUUUGACUUGUGAAAGGAUUUGACCAUGCAUAUAUUAACUGAAGGUGCAAAAUUGAACUGUAAUCUAAUAUAGGUUCCUUGCUAUCAAGAUUUGACUUGUGAAAGGAAGUGUCAGCGAGUACGAGAUUGUGGUCGCCAUGCUUGUAGACGCCGUUGCUGUGGAGGGGAUUGCCCACCUUGUCCAGAGGUCUGUGCAGUAAUUUCUUGUUUACCAUUGAUCUGUAACAUGAUUACAAAAGAAUUAAAAGUUCAAUAUUCAGAUUUGUGACAGGAAGCUUAGAUGCAACAACCAUAAAUGUCCUUCCCCAUGUCACAGGUAUAUAAUCCCAUUACAGAUGUCUUCUUACAUUCUAUGCUUGCAAGGAUUUGCCAUCUGCUUUAUAUUGUUCCCGUUUAACAUGUCUAUAUUGACCCUUUGUUGUGCUAAUUAUGCUGCAAAGAGAACUUGUACUGAAAUGUACGUGAUGACUCAAAUCAUUUGUCCAUAUAUGUCAUUGUUUUCCUUUUGAAUCUGAACCUAAGAGAAACUAGUUGUAUGUCGCUUUUAUCCUUAUCGGAUUAGUAAACUGAAAAUGAACCAUAGCUACAAACUUUAGUCCAGUAAUUGCUAAUUAUGUUAAUUCUUAAUAUAUCUUGAGAGUUCAAAGUUCAUUGAGAUUUCAAAGUUCAUUUCGGUCAUCACGAGUGUGUGAACCUAAAAUUUCAUUGAGAGUUAAAACUUCAUUUUGGUCAUCACGAGUGUGUGAACGUAAAAUGUCCAGUAAUUACCCUUUUUUUUUCCCCCUAUUACAUGAUUGGAACACAGUUCUGAAUAGCAGUUGAUGCAGCUGUCUAAGCAGUGAUGUCUAUAUUGUUUUCCUUUUUGAACCCCAAAACUCUCUUCAUUAUUAAACCAAUGGCAAACUUUGAACCUGCACAAUUUCAUCAUGUAGCGAAUUAUUGCGAAGUUGACGGAUAUGUAUGACUAUAAAAUUAAAAUAGGAAUGUAGCAUGCCAUAUUAAUGUAUAAGACAGUUUGAUUUAUAUAAUAAUUAUUAAUUUGGGAACAGGAGCUUUGACAAAUGAACAAUAUAUUCACACUUGUUAUGAUUAUUCUUGUGACAUGAAAUUUUGUUACUGAUACCAGUAUGCAAUUUUCUAUUCAGAGGUGCUUGUUCUCCUUGUCCAUUGAUGGUGUCCAUUUCAUGCUAUUGUGGGGAGACACGCUUUGAGGUAAAUUCUGAUGGAUUCUCAUGGUUAUUCUUAUCACUGGAUUGUCUGUAACUUGGCAAUAGCUAAUAUGGUUGUUAUUUUGUUGCACAACUGAACCUUUUUCGCUGCUCUAUAUAAUAGCUUAUAAUAGUCUAUGUCAGACAUGGUGUCUUUGAUUGAGAAUUUGAUGGCUCUGGAGAUUUACUGUUGUCCGUCUAUUUUUCCUAUGUCUCUGUUGUCUGUGUGUGAGAGAGAGACAGAGAGAAAUCCCUUUUUUUUGGUUUAUGGAGUCGGGGGUUGGGGCCUUGGGGGGGGGGGGGGGGGGGAGGGGAGGGGAGUUGGCUGUGGUUGGUUUAUGCAAAAUCAUGAUUUACCCAUACAUAGAUCCUUUUGUUAGAUUUCAUCACUGUUAGCGAAUGCACAUGCAUAAGAAUUUGUAGAUUUGGUGUGCCCAUUACAAAUAUAUUUACAUCUGCACACACUAAUUAGAUUCUAUAUUAUUAUAUUUAGAUCCUACUUAAUGAAAGGAUUUUUGAAAAUUUCUUCAUUUUUAAUUGUGAAAAUGGCACUUCACUCAAAUUUUAGUCUUUACCUUUUAAGUUUGACAUUUGAGACCCUAAACUUCCACUUGUAUUUCAUUUUAAUCCUUAAACUUUCAUUAAUGUUCGCGAAAAUUGUUGCUUGCACCUAGUUCGUAUGUAUAUCGAACUAUCUGUACAUCAUGAAUCUAUACCCUUCAUCCAUCUCAAACUUUUAAUUUAGCGACCCAAUUUCUAAAUAGGAAAAAUUGUUACUCAAUGGAUGGUUGGUUUGAAAUAUGAGAUUAGAAAAAGGUUGAUAAAUAUAUGAUACAUAAAUGUACAGCUAAAUGACACUUUUGGUCCCAAACUAUGAGGCGCGUGCCACUUUAGCCCAUAAACUUCAAUUUGGUGCAAUUUCUUUCUCCAACAUUGUAAAUUGUUGCAAUUAAGUUACACAAUCCAAUUUAUUUGACUAAAUGUUGACGUGUCACUAAAGUGGGAGUUAUGUAACAUCUUAAUUAUUGUAGCGUUAGCAAUCAUAACAUUGCCACUUUUCACUAGUGACACAUCAAUAUUUUUAGAUGACUAAAUUGGGUUGUGGGACUUGAUUGCGACAAUUUAAAAAGUGUAAGCUAGUAAUUGCAACAAAUUAAAGUUUGAGGACCAACUUAUCACGCACCUCAUAGUUUGAGGGCGAAAAGUGUAACUUAGCCUAAAUGUAUAGAUGCACUAGGUGUUGGCAAGAUGAAACUUUUUUAAGAGUUUACAUCAUCUGACCUCUAACUUGAAAGCUUGAGGACUAAAGUGAAACUUGGUUGAAAGUUCAGGAAAUGUGGUGCAAUAUAUACUUUUUUAAUGGCUAAAAUAUAGAAAACCCCCAUAUAAAUAUUCACUUUUCUAUUUUCUCCUUGUCUUUUUUGAAAACCUCUAUUUUGCCCCCUUAAAGUUAGAGUUAUAGCACUUAACUCAGCACUGCUACAAUUUUGUCACUAUUUCGUAUAUAAAUUGUAUGAUAUAGUCGAGAAACCUACUGAUAUCCAUUAUAUCUUUAAAAAUGGUGGGAAUGUAUAGGAAUCUUAUAUUUUCUUUCAAAUUAGGUAACUUCAUAAAAGAGAACCCUGACUAUUUAGUAAGUAACUUUUUGUUUUUUUUGUCAUUUCUUAGGGCUAAAUGAGUAUAUUAACCUUUUGUGUUUUUGUCAUUUCUUAGGGCUAAAUGAGUAUAUUAGUAAUUAUCAAGUUGUACCACACAAUUAUGCAUGAAAGAAUGAUGAAAAACAUUAAAUUCUAAGGGGGUAAAAUAGAGUUUCUUAAAAGCCGGGAGGGUAAAGUGUGAAAUUAGAUAUUUAUAGGGGUCGUUUUUUGUAUUUCAGCCCUUUUUAAUCAUGUCAUCGGAACAAUUGGCAAUUUGGCAUGUGUGAACUUAGAGAAGUAAUGUUUCUAUUAAGUAUUAACCCACGUCCAAGUCAUGCAUUCGAAGAUAUUAGGAUUUGCUAACUAACUAACUAACGAAUUUUGGUUUGUUGAUUUUGAAAAAUAUGGUACAAGAAUGCUGUAUUCAACAUAUUCUUUUGCCAAUUAGGUUGCUUGUCUUCUUGCUGAUGAUUUAAUUUGGCUUUAUUACUGUUCUUUGAAUAUUGAACUGAAGUUGUCUAGGUCUGCUUUGCCAUUUUGAAAAUUUUCAUGCCUAAUUAUGAGCACUAUCUUGAAAUAAUGUUUCCUGCCUUAUUAUUACCAGGUUCCAUGUGGGACUGAGAAGAAUCAGAAGCCUCCGAAAUGUUCAAAACGGUGCUUUAUAUCUCGCCUCUGUAGACAUAAGUCUGAAUGCCGGGUAAAUAUUACCUUUUUUCCCCCUGAUUCAUUAAUGUCUCCUAUGAUACUUCCGACGCACUUUGUCAAAAUUCUUUAAUUGUUCUUUCCAGCAUUAUUUUCAGUUUGGUUGUUCACUUUUUUUUAGAGAUUGAUACUAUUUUCUUUUGUUGCCUUAGUAUCUAGUUUGUUAAUAGAGAUUGCUUUCAUGCCCUACUUUGAUACUUUUUGUAGAACUAUUCUAGCGAUGUUGAUUUAGUUGUAUGUGUAAUAGCAACAGGGAAAUGAUCUUAUAUGGACUGUUAAUAUAUGUUUUAGCUUUCUUUAUAAGUUGCCUCGUGUCGCCGAAUUAUUCAAUCGUGCCUGUUCGUCUGUCUAGUCACUUGUUUCUUUAAUUAUAUGGAAAACAUGGAUGCCAAGAUUAAAUCAAACUUUUGCCCAUUCACCAAGUACUCUCAGUAGAGAUGAAAAAUAGAAAUUAUAUAUUAACUUUUCAGUAUGUAAAUUCUCUAGCAGAGUGUUUGCGCUGUCAUUGAUCUGAUGAGCUGGAGAGAAGUUUCCAUGUUGAAUAUCAAAUUUUUGUUCCAGAGAGAAGUAUUAUUAAAGCUAAUGCCAUCAGAAAUGUUUUUCAUUUAAUAGCAACAGUGAUUAAAAUAUCAGACUCUUGCUAGAAGCUGUGUAUUGGCCCCAUAGAGAAAUUGAUGUAGGCAUUCUAAUUGAAUUUCUAUCAAAAUGGAUAUGGUACUAACUGCAAGUGCAUUCAGUUAUCUUGGAUGUAUAUUGGACGUUCAGAUAGUUGGAUAUUGUCAUAAUAUAGCAAUUGUAUGACGAAUGUUCUUUUUUUCGUUCUUCUUUUGGUUCUUUUUGAGAAAUAUUCAUAUGGCCCGAAUUGAACUAGUUAAUUUACUUAUAUACAUCCUUAUUUUUCAUUUAUGUCCUUCAAAACUUAGUACCGCACAUAGAUGGCCUUCUACUUACAAAAGUGCACCUUUUAUGAAAUUGCACUUUCUAGGGGUAUUGUAUGAGAAUAUCUAAAAUAUAUGAUCUUACAGGGAUAUGUAUGUAGAAGCUCUUUUUGUUACUUAUGUCCUCAUGGUUUUACAUGUGAUAAGGGUUACCUUUUAUGGUUUAUGUGAACAUCUGAGAUCACUUGGCUCUUUGAGGAACUGAUUCAAUUUUGCCUCACGACAUCUCCAUUUUCUUUUUCCAGCCCCACAAAUGCCACUAUGGUGCUUGCCCACCUUGCCGAAUGACCUGUGGGGAGGAGCUUCCUUGUGGUCACAAGUGUAGAGAAAGGUAUGGAGUUUCAAGCCUGAAUUUUUAUACGUAAAUAAAGUUGGCAUGUCCAAUUUAAUAUGUUUUGAAGUCCUUUUAAUUCUCUUGCUUCACUUUAUUUAUAUAAUGUAGGUGCCAUGGUCCUAUACCUCCUCCUAACCCAGAGUUCACAUUGAAACCAAAGAAAAAGAGAAUAGGAAGGUCCAUUGAAUGUACACCUGGAUCACCAUGUCCACCUUGUCGAGAAAUUGUUCUAGUGUCAUGCUUUGGCCAGCAUAUUGGCGAAGAGCGUCCAGUUAGUUACAAUCUCUCCCUUCCUCCCUCCCUUCCUCUAAUAAGCACACAAGUUGAUAUUGCAUUGCUCUGACGGUAUUUGCUGUUAAUUUUCAGUUGGUGUGCUCCACUAAGAAGCCGUUUCCAUGUCAGAACUUAUGUGGCAACCUUCUUCCCUGUGGCAAUCAUUACUGCACAAAAUCAUGCCAUGUUUUGAAGAGUCAGUUGUUUGUUUUAGACCAUAAUGAAAAGCAUGAAAAUUCUCAUCAACAAGAAUCGAUCAUCUUGCCAUUCAAUGCUCAGAGUCCACUUGCUGAGCCCUGUGAAGAAUGCUACCUCCCUUGUCAAAAGGUUUAAUUUUCUUUGUUGACAUAUUUGCUUCUAUACCCUUACAAAUAUUAUCUUAUAUAUAUGAUGCUCUAAAAUGUGAGCAUUCAUAUAUGCAUUUCAAAAAUUUGAAAAAUUUGCUGCUUGUUUUGUUCACUUUUGCUUCUGCUAUCAGCUUUAGCUGCUGUAGCGAUAUUUGAUCAAGCAUUUGGCAACUACAAAGUUUGGGUCUGUUGCUAAUGGAAUGCUGAAAUAAGAUUUCAAGAUCCAAAACCAAGAGAUCAAAUUUGGAAUUUCUGCUCCUGCCAGGAAAAGCUGUUAGAAUGAUAAUGCUUUUCCAAAUAGCACAACUUAGACAGUACUGCCCAAGAGCUGGUGCAUAGUCUCUUACUUUUAUUCCAUUGUUCUUACUAAAAGUGCCCCUCUAAAAAUUGUUUACUACUGCAGCCAAGUUUCCCCAUUAAUUGGACCAGACGACUUCCAAAAUCAAAAUAAGGGAACUUCUGUAAAAACUCUAAUUUAUAUUUAAAAAUUUUGAUUUUACAGGGUUAUGUAUGUAAAAAGAUGACUAUACAACUAUACAAGGAUAAAUAUGUUAUUGACUCUCUUUUUUUGAGAAAACCCUAGUUUAAUGAAAGAACUAGAGGUUAUUCUUGCUUUCUGUGGCAUAUCAAAUUGCUGAGUUUGAUUCCAACUGCUUUCAGGACAGGGAGCCCUCUUGCUCGCAUCCUUGCCCUCUUCGAUGCCAUUCGGAUAACUGCCCUCCUUGCAAAGUCCUUGUAAAAAGAGCAUGCCAUUGUGGUGCCAUGGUGCAUGUUUUCGAGUGUUUGUAUUACAAUAGCAUGAGUGAUGAGGAGCAACAGAGAGUACGAACGUGUAGCGGCCCAUGCCACAGGUAAAUUGUACUCUUUUUUUUCCCCUCAUUCGUAGCUAGUUCUUGUAGCUAUUUUCUAGUUGCAAUUUUGAUUGUACAUUGUAUAUUGUUCAGCUGAUUCUGUUUUUUUAUUUUUCUUUUUUAUUAUUUAUUUAUUUAUUUAUUUUUUUGGCAUAUACUUCACACUACUGUGUGUUCGGUUGCUACCGUAUUUCUUGCUUCUUUAUUAGUUUGGACCAAAGUAUCAGAGCAAAAAAAAAAAAGUCUUUUGCGAAGUUUUGCUUUUGCUUCAUUUCUAUGUAGUGGCAUUUAGUGUUUUCCAAUCCUUCCUUAGCUCAUGUUUCAAAAUUUUCACUUUGUUUAUAGUAGAAACAAAAUGAAGAAAAAUAAGAGGGGGAAAUCAGAAGAGUAAUUUACUCACUGAAAGGAAAUAACUAUGCUAAAUGAGUCUACAAGAAAUGUUGAGAUGCAUAGUGUAAAGUAAAUGCUGGGUGAAAUAUCAUAACAGCUUAAAACUUUUUGUUAAAUGUGCGGCAUUCAUCUUGCAAUUUCAUGUCUCCUGUGUUAUCCACUUUUUCAUUUUGGAGAGAAAUAUACCUAUUGAGAAAGGUCAUUUUCUUUCUGUUUUUAUUCCUUUUCUCCUUUUAAGUUUCAACCCAAAUGAGAGAAAUGAUUCUCUCCUGUCUAUCCCUAUGGGGGUGGCAAAAAUUCAGGUAUAGAUCAAAACUCAGUUGGACAACUGUUAAGAAGAGUGAAUAUUCAAUGUGUUCGGACCUGACCUGGACCCGAAUUUUGGACCACAUAUUGUGUCUAGAUUUGAACCUAGUUUAAUACCGGGUGUCCGUAUGGUCAAGCCCGGCUUUAAGCCAAAUUCGAAAAAAUAAAAAAAUAUAGUGAAUAAAAAUUUAAAUUCGAAAUUUGUGGAUUUAAAAUGAAAAUAUAGUAAUUAGGGGUGGCAAAAUAUGACUCAAACCAGUUGAUCGGCUCUAGCGACCCGAAAAUUAACCGGAUCCGAACAAAGAAUUCUGUUUGGAAACCUGGGUCAAAACAAAUUAUUUUUUGUCUGGAUUAAAAUUGGGAACCAGUCUGGACAUGAAAAUUCGGGCAAAGCGGGCUAGCGACCCGACUUCACACAUUGUCUAAAUGGUAAAUGCUAGUGUUAAAUUAUAUUAAGUUAUUUUUUAUUUUUAAAUAGUUUACUGUAAAAAGUAAUAUGAAAAGUCUCCACAAUUACUAUAUUUUUAUUUUGAAAUACACAAUUUAAAUUUCAUACAUAUUUUUUAUUCUUUUUUUUUUGAAUUUUAGCUUAAAAUUGGGUCAAACCAGUUCAGAUUCGAACACUUGAUUUUAAAUUGGGUUCAAGUUCGGACAGAAUCUGUUGCUGAAAAUUUGUGUCUUGGGUCCGGACACGGUGUACAUUUAUUAUCCUUGAUAGUUGUCUAACCCUACUUGAUAUUUGACCCGGACCCUAAUUUUUGCUACCCCUAGUUGGAGUUGUAAAAACAUUUCAUAUAUACUGGUAAGAGUCUGGCUAGGGUGCUUUUAGAAGCACCAAGGUAUUGGUGCUAUAGCCUUUUUGGCUAUUGGCCAAAACCUAGCGGCUCUUGGAUCAUGCACAAUGGCGGGCCCCACAAGUAACCACCAUUGUUGACAUUUGAUCCAAUGGUUAAAAGGGUAGAUCCAAGGGUUCAAAAAUUAUUAGCACCAAGGCCUUGAUACUUUUAGAAGCAUUCCAGCUCAAUUCUAUUUUUAAAAUAAACUAUUUAAAUUAAAAAAUAACAUACUGUAAUAUCACUUUAUUUUUUAAAUUAUUUGUGUAAAACUAGGUUGUUGACCUAGUUUGUCCAAAUUUUCUUGUUUGUACUCGACCGGGUGUUUAACGAUCCGUGCAAAUUAUUUUGUCUGGACCCAAUUUUCCGGAUGGGAUUCUUUGUGCAAAUCAGGUUAUUUUCGGGUUAGACCAGGUCGGUCAACUGCAGGGGGAGUUGCACCUUGCACCCCAAUUUCUCUUCUUUUCUCUCCAUCCAAAUGGAGUUAGAGAGUGAUAUUGCUGCAAUAAUUGCUAUGAGGAAGUUGGGUUCUGUUUUCUGCCCACAAUAAGGCAGUAUAUGAUAGCUUUUGCAGAAAAACUUCAAUUGUCUAAAUGUUUGGAGAGAAUAAUUGCCCAAUGGAAUUAGAGGAAACCAGAGAAUAUGCGAUACAUCCAACAGCAUUGGAGCUUUUUUUUUUUUUCCUUUUUUCUUUCCCGUUCUGUUUGGAGAAUAUGAGAUUAUUCUAAAGCACUUCAAUUUAUUGAGGCUUUGACACUUCUACCUAUAAAAUGAUAGAUAAAAAAUCCAAUUUUCCUUUUUAUUUAAACUGGAGCCGUGAGAUGGUAUCUUUUUGUUAUGGAUGUCUACGGACAGUUAACAUGUUUGCUGUGUAUGGCUUCUUUUAUUGCAAGUCAACUUAACAUGAUGAGAAUGUUCAUCUUAUUCAUGAUUGAGUACUUCACUAUGAGACUACGCCUCUAUAAUAGAAUUACAUGUAAACCAUUUUAUGGGAUGAAGUUCUCAAACCUGAAAUUCUGGUGCAGGAAAUUGCCCAACUGCCCACACCUAUGUUCUGAAAUUUGUCAUCCUGGUCAGUGCCCAUCAUCUGAUCGGUGUUUGAAAAAGGUAGAUGUCUGGUAUUUUCUUUUUUGUACAAUGCCACCAAAAUUUAUGAAGCUUUUUUUUUUUGUUCUUCCGUAUUUAAUUUUUGUCUAAAUAGCAAGUUUGUUGACUUUUGUUUAUAUGCAAGUUAGUUUGUCUUGCUAAUUUGAGUAGUUGAUAAGUAAAUGCAGUUGAAGAACCUUCUCUUUUAAAUUCCAAAUAUUCUUUAAUCUCCAACCUACUUAUUCCACUAUAUUAUUUUAAUGGAUCAGUUUAUUGGACAAAUUUAUGUCACUAUUCCAAGUAGCUAAAGAACCAUCUCUUUAUCACUGUGCAAUGAUGCUCAUAUUUGACAUAUAAAAUGGCUGCAUUGGAAUGUCGAUACUGAUCAUGUUCAGCAACCAUCGUCAGUGAAUGACUAAUAAUUCUCUUUAAAGACGACCUUCCUGCUCUAUGUUGUCCACAAAAUCAUACAAAGAUGAGUUUCACCCUGCAGCUUGCAAACCAAGACGAUGUUCACUUUGUGCCAGAGAUUAACUCUUUUGAUGUUAAUUGUAUACAGAUGCCGAAAGGACUCUGCUUAUUUUCAUCUUCUUUCUUGAUUUAAACAGGUUGAUCAUAUUGAGAUAAUAGUGGCGACGUCCACCUAUUAAAGAUAGUUUCUUUUGUUUCUACAUUUUCAGGAACUUGUAAAUGUAGAACAUCAGAUCUUAUUGCCAAGUUUAUGCAGAUGCCUUGAACUGCAAAAUGUGCUUGUGAAAUAAAAUAUCAUAUUAGAACUUCUCUUUAAACUCUCUUGUAGAGCUUUUCGCUGCAAUAGAUUCAGACGCUUCACAUUUUGGGCCCAAAGGCUCGGUUUAGUUAUUGCUAUGGUAGAAAGCUCCAAACAAUUUGUUUCCCAAGCACUUGUGUUUUUGAAGGUCUUUGCAUUCUGAAGUAGAGGAUCUGCUCUAAAAGCCAAGCCAAGCUGAAAAUUUUUAAUUUGUAUUAUGAAAAAAAAUCAAGCGGUCCUGUUUCAUUCAGUUAUUCAUUUUCUCUAUUUAUUUGAUACUAUUUUGUAAGGUCAAUGUCCGAUGUGCAUGUAAUACUGUGAAAAGGGAGUGGUUAUGCCAAGAUGUCGUUAAAGCAUAUCGAAAUGCUGGUCGCGAUCCAAAGGAUGUAUCUAAGACCCAGUUCGGAGUUGGUCUGCUUCCCUGUGGUGUAGAUUGCAAAAGAAAAGUCAAGGUUGUUGACUCAGAAUUGCAUCUUCGCAAAGCUAAUGAGAUCAAGGUAUAAAAUAUAUUUGCUUCUAAGUUAUAUUUUUUGUUAUUGACUAUGAUUUAUACAUGACAUAAUAUGUUGCAUUAAAAUAUAAUUUUAUAUUUAUUAAAUGUAAAGAGUUGUAUUAGAAGAACCUGAAAUGUAGUAAGUUAUAAAAGAGAACCAAAGAGGUGAAACUAAAUGAGAAUUUGUAUUCCUUGUAUUCCAGAUUUAAUUAAUCAACCAGCAAUAUCCAAGCUGACAACAACUUUCCUACAUAAAUGCAAUGUCCAGGCUCAAUAUGCGCCUGCUUUUGCAACUGGAAAGUUUAUUUUCCUUCCUGUUCGGCAUGUGAUUUGUUUGCUUUGCUGUAAUUUGUGCAUAUUGCAAAUCUAUGAGUGCUUAAAAUCUGUAGAUAAAUAAGUAAGAUGGAAUAAAUUCUGUGAGAACUUGGUAAUAAAACAUAAAUCAGGUUAUUUGUUCAAUCAUCUCUGCCUAAUUCUCAGAGGUGGACCUAGGGUUGGGAUUAUAUCUGCUAGAAAAACAAACUAGAACGAUUUUUCUUGAUAAGAAAAGUAGCUUGUUUAAGGAUACUGAAUUGACCAUUUUAUUUAUGGCCUGUUUGGCCUGGCAGGAGUUAUCGGAGAAGUGUUGUUUGAGUAGAGCGUUCGACAGACACUGAUAGCCUUUUCCUGGAAGUCUCCCCAACAGAUAGAUCCCCACUGCAUGAAGCUUAAAAUUUAAGCAUUUACUUUUGGGUCCGAUAGAUUUAUUUCGGCAUCUUGCCACAGCUAAAGCUCCAGACUUUUAAUUUACCAAAUGGUUUCUAGUUGUUCUUCGAAGUAGAAAAGCUGUUCAAAAAGUCGAACCGAACAAGCAUGAAUGUUUACGCCUGAUUAGAAUGUCAUCUUAAAUUUGAACAUUUUGUGCCCUCUGUAGGUAUAAACUUAUUUACAAAAAUUUCCCGAAAGUACUUGCGUUCCCCUUUCCUGAGAAGAAAAGUUCAUUCUAAUUUUGAAUAUACAAACAAUUUCUCUCUUACGUAUAUGAAGUAUAUUGAUGAUACUGUUUCCUGUGGGCUGACUACUUGUUCUUUUCCAUAGAGCCCCGUCGUAGAAGCUGCAGACGUGCCGAAACGGAGGAAGAGACGUGAGCGGGUGCAAGAAACAAAGCAGAUUUCAAAGUUUCAGGUUAGUGACAUAAAAAUUUCUGCGAUCAAAAUGUCAGUAUUUUUCUGAACUGCAUAACGAAAUUAAGCAUUUGUUUCGCAGGAAAUCAAGAAAACCAUCUGGAGAUGUCUCUUAGUAAUGCUGUUGUUUAUUGUUGUGGUUUUGAUCGCAUAUUUUGGCUAUAAAGGAAUCUUCUGGCUCUCUGAUCGGAUGAAUGAAAUCGAAGAACAGAGGAUGAGGAAACGAUUGCCGAGAAUUUAAGCGCUGAAUGGCUUGAAAAGAUUAUUUAUUAUUUUCGGGGGUAAAUAGGAAAAAAGUAUUACUUUGUUCGCCAAAGUUUGCUCAUCUCUGGGGAAUCAUAGGAAAAAAAGAAAAAGAAAAAAAAGAGAGAACCUUGUUAGGGUUUCAUUGUUUGUCGUGUGAGUGGAAAAUAUACUGAAUGUUUGAUAUUGGAUAUUUGCAUGGGAUAAUUUCUUGACAAUAAUUAUUGCUAAUUUUUUGUAUCAGUAUGAUAGAAUUCAAAAGAUCGAGAGAAGUGUAGUAAUUGAUGGUUGGACUUAUUUUCAAUGAUUUAAAACUCGAGUCAGACCAACCGGUUCAACCGGUCUCAUCAUUAUCUAGUCUAUAAAGCUAUUUAGUUCAACUUCUUGAAUGAAAUAAGUGUAUUUUGAACCGUGGGUUGAAUCAUUUGAAUCGACGGUUCAACUAUAAAACUGUUGAACUGGUUCGAUUCAGUUUUAAUUAAACUGACCGAUGCCAAUUUGCAUAAAAAAUUUACAAAUUUUGAGCGUUUGUAAAAUUGGGCCAUAUUUUUUAAUUUUGCAGAUUCGGAUCGAAUUUUUCGCCAUCGAACGAAAAUAUCCUUAUUCCUUUUCUUUUCCUCUUUUCUUUUUUUUUUUUUUACCUCUCUCUUCUUUUUUUUUUGUUUUUUUUUUCCCUUCUUCUUCUUUUUUUUUCCAAGUAUGCGAAAUUGAUUAUGUCGAGGCUAUUAUGACAAUGACGAUGCCUAUUCUUUUUCUUCCGCCACCCGCCGUUGCGCCCUCUGCUGCACCCCCGCCGCCGCGCUUGCGUUCGCUUACCUCUACUACCAACCCCGCCUCCCCUCCUUCCUCCUCCUCUCAGUCCGACCCCACCGCGCUCCCCCUGAUCCUUCCACCCGCGCCGCUGCUGCCACCCACGCCGUUGCCGCUGCCACAUCCCACUUUCUCCGCUCCGCUGCGCCACGCUCUGCUACCGCUGCCACCAGGGGCCCGCAUCCCACAUGAUGCCGCGGCCGCUACCCUCGCCGCUGUCGCCACCCGCGCUGUUGCUGCUGCCGCAUCCUACCUUCUCUGCUCCGUCGCGCCACACUUCGCUGCCUUUGCCACCCGGGGCCCGCGUCCCACCUUCUUCGUAGGGCUUCAGGGAGGAGAAGGAGAAAGAAGGACGAAGAAGAUGAAGAAAAAAAAUUGUGUAAAUUGGAGGAAGAAGAAGAAAAAAAAAAAUGUAAAUUUCACUUAAAUGGUGUAAAAUUGGGCAAAACGGUGCAAAUUUGGGCAAAAAAUUAGGCCAAUUUUGAUGAGAAUUGCACAAUUUUGCCCAAUUUUGCACCAUUUCGUCCAAAAUUGUACAAUUUUUUCUUUUCCUCCUCUUCCUCUUCCUUCUUCCUUUUUUUACUAUUUUUUACAUCUUAAAAAAUUAUAUUUUUUGGACGCUCUCAUCUCCCUCGCCGGAGAGUAAGACUCGGACGGCGAUCUUGAGGUGGGCGAGGGAAGCUCCUUCAGCCGGUCGCGCUCCCGCUGGUCCUCCAACAAAAACAGCGCCGCCAGCCCAGAUAGGAACCCGCGUUCGGCGUGCUUGCGGAGGGAGGCCUGGUCCGCCCCCAACAUCGACGCCGACAGGAUGUUGUAGGCGAUGAGGUGUGGCCACAGCGGCGCGAGGGACGCGACGGGGAGUCGUCGUCGAGGAGGAGGUAUUCUGGAGGAGGGGGGUGGCGGCAGCAGGGGAGGCGGGCAGCGGGAGGGGGCAGAAGAGGUUGGCGGACAAUAUAGCGAAGAGCGGGCGAAGGAUUCCGAGGGGGAGUGGGCGCCGGGCGGAGCGGAUGGAGGAGGAAAAAAAUGGCGAAGGAAAAAAAAAAAAGAAAGAGAGAAAGAAAAGGAAUAAGGGUAUUUUCGUUCAAUAAAAAAAAAAUCGGUCAGAAUUUGCAAAAUUGAAAAAUGUGACCCAGUUUUGCUAAAACUCAAAACUUGUGGAUUUUUUAUGCAAAUUGGCAAUAACUUAUAGUAAUAAUUAUCAUAUUACAUAUACUAGUAUUAUAAUUUAUAUUUAUAAACAAAUAUAUAUUAUAAUUAUCAUAAAAAUUAUUAGUACUAGCAACUAACCCGUGCAAUGCACGGAUUUUAAAUUUAUCUUUUAAUUAUAUUUUUUAUAUAAUAUAUAUUAAUUUUUACAUAUUAAGUUUUUCUAAUAUAUUUUUAUUACAAUUUUUAUAUAAUAUAUAUUAAUUUUUACAUAUUAAGCUUUUAUUAGAAAAAUUAUUGAAUCAAAUUAAAAUAAAUACUAUCAUGAUAUACUAAUAGAUUGUAAGUAAAUAAUUUAAAAUGAAAAGAUUUUAAAAUGAAAAAGUUAAAAAGGUUCAAAUCCAUUAAAAAUUUAACAUAAUUAUUAUUUAUCUAUUUUUUAAUACACAAUAUUGAAAUGACGAAGAAAAUUAAUUUUAUUUCAAAUUUUUAAUGACUAAUUCUAUAAAGUUAUUUUUUGAAGGAUUUAAAGUGACUAAAUUUGAAAAAUAAAUUUUUAGAAUUUGUGAAGCAUGAUACAUAUUAUGAUUUUUUUAAACUAAAAAAUAAUUAUUAUUGUGAAUAAUUAGUCAUGUAAUGUAUAUCGAUUAUUUUAAACAAAUCAAUCAAAAAUUUAAAUAUAAAUAUCAAACAUACCUCCCAAAAGUAAUUAUUGAGCAUUUCUUGCGAUAGGGGCAAAUAUUUAUGCGCUCUGAAAUUUUCAAUACUAUGACGAAGUCCAAAACUACUGGUAUGUAUCCUGAAAAAAAAAAAAGAUAAUAUAUACAUUACAAACAGACCAAAUCAUUAAGCGUAAUUAUUUUCGAAUUUUGAAAUAAACUUACAUUUUGUAGAAAGAUUGUGCAUAAAGAUGAAAAAUAAACUUAUAUUUUCUAGAAAGAUUGUGCAUAAAGAUAGAAAAUAAGUCUUGCCUCCACCUAUCAUACAUAUGGAUAAUAAUAUUGAAACGGAAGGUGGUGAGAUGAUAUCUUGAGCAGUUACGUAUCUAGGACCCCUUACGCAAAUCAACGCGUCAAGGAAAAAGGGUAUCAUCAAGAUUUUGGGCCUAAAAAGAUGAUUUUCUUAUAAUAAAUCAAUAAAUUAUAAUUUUAAGAUAAAAAAUUUGUAACUUAACUAUACAAGUUGAAUAGCCCCCAAUCAAAAAAAGAAAGGAACAAAAAUAAGAAAAAAAAUAACUAUUGUGCAGUUAAGGAAAAAAAAAUUAUUACUUUUAUUAUUUUAAUAUUUAAAAAUAAGUAAAGCUAUUAUAUAUAAAAAAAAUAUAUAAAAAAGAAGACCAAAUUUUACAAUAUCAAAAUAAUUUGGUAUGUAUGGUUAUGAUUUCUUCUAAUUAUUUAAAUAUUUGUAUAAUAAUUUAAUUAAAAUAGUUGUAUAUAUAUAUAUAUAUAUAUAUAAAUAUAUUAAUAUAUAUAUAUAUAUAUAUAUAAAAUCCAAAAUAUUAAAUAAAAUUAAAACAAACAAAUGCGAUUUUCAACGCCGCCUCCGCCUCUUUCCUAUGACGCACCCCGCUCGCAUCAUCCUGCAAUGGGUAAAAGUAAAACCGCCGAGAGAUCGUUAGAACCUAAACCUAAAGAGAAAUGAGAGAGAGAAUUAUAACAGUUGAAUAGGCUUCAUCAAAGAAGGGAAAAAAAAAAAUAACUGUUGUUCAGUUAAGAAAAAAAAUACUGGUUGUGUAGUUUAAGAAAAAAUAACUAUUGUGCAAUUAAGGAAAAAAAAUAUUACUUAUUAUUAUUAAUAUUUAAAAAUAAGUAAGCUUUAAUAUAAAAAAUAUAUAUAAAGAGAAGACAAAUUUAACAAAUAUUAAAAUAAUUUGGUAUGUAUGGUUAUUAUUUCUUCUAAUUAUUUUAAAUAUUUGUAUAUAAUUUAAUUAAAAUAGUUAUAUAUUAAUUGUUGUGAUGUUAUCUAUUUCCUCUAAUUACUUAAAUAUUUGUAUAAUAAUUUAAUUAAAAUAGUUGGUUAUGAUUUCUCUAAUUACGUAAAUAUUUGUAUAAUAUUAAUUAAAAUAGUUGGUUAUAAUAUAUAUAUUAUAUAAUAUAUAUAUAUAUAUAUAUAUAUAUAUAUAAUAUAUAUAUAAAUAUAUAUAUAUAUAUGCCACGUCGUACAUUGAAAUUUCUUUGUAAGUGCGCCACUGGCAUUAUAUGGUUCAAUUGGAACAAUGCUUCCAAAUUAUAUAUAUUAUAUAUAUAUAUAUAUAUAUUAUAAAUAUAUAUAUAUAUAUAUAUAUAAUAUAUAUAUAUAUGAUUAUAAGAUAUUAUAUAUUAUUAUUAAGAUAUAUAUUAUUAUUAUCAUUAUUAUUAUUAUAACUUAUAUUUUCAUUAAUUACAUUAAAAUUAUAUAAUAAUACUUAAAAGUAUGUAAUAUAAUUAUAAUAUAUUAAUGUAUGCAUAUAAUAUUAUAUAAUAAAAAUAUAAAAUAUGUAUAUAUAAUUUUCAUCUAUAUAUAUAUUAUAUAUAAUAGCUAUAUUACCUAUUAGAAGUUGGACUGAGCUACUAUUAGUAGUAAAAUCCCAUUGCAGUUACCAAUUUUUUAACCUUUGGAUCAACUCUUUUCAUCAUUUCUAACCAUUGGAUUAAAUACUAUAACCCAGUGGGGACUACUCAACCCUAGGGGGACCACUCAACUCUAACUGACUAAUAUCAUCCUAACCCUACAAUUUUUUAUCCAAGGGUUAAAAACUUAAUAGCAAAAAGAAAAUUUUACUAUUAAUAGUAUUCCAGUCUAAGUAUGAGAGAGAGGGAGUGGUUCACAUUGGACCACUCAUGCGAUCCACGAGAACUAGAAAAUCUCGUAAACCGCGUUUUUUUGAGCAGCCUGUGAGCUACGAUUUUUGGAGAAAAUUUGCAGCGGAAAACAAAAACUUCAUUUUUUCCGGAUAAUCUAUAAAAAAAUAUUUCCAACAAAAUUUUUUACAAGCAACCAAACAACGAAAACCACUUUUCAACCGAAAAUUUUUUUUCGAAGUAGUUUUAUGGGCAACCAAACAGAUCCUUAGUUAAGGGGGUGUUUGGUUAGUUAUAAAACUACAGAAAAUAAUUUUUCAUGACAAAGUAUUAUUGAUGGAAAAAUAAUCUUAUAGCUUUUAAUGUUUGAUUUGUAGUUAAAAAAAAAAAACCUUUCCUGACUUAUUUAUUUGGUCCGUAGGGAAAAUAAAUGGAAAAGAUAUUGUAUAUUUUUUUUCCUAUUAUUUAGUUAUUUAAAAAUUUUAAAUUUACACAUUAUUACAAUAUUAUAAUUUAUAAAUUAUAUGUCACUAAGAAAUAUAUUAAAUUUUUAUGCAAUAUAUUUUACUAUUAUUAUAUAUUAGAAUAUAUAAUCUACAUUCAGUAUUUUAUUAAAUUAUAUAAAUAUGUAUAACAGCGGUGUAGGCCUUUGGCAACUCGCACGGUCCAUCAGCGAGCGUGCUCACUUGUGGACCGCGUGAAAAUUCUGAGCUGAAAACGAGGCACAUUUUUCGAUAAUCUGUAAAGUUAUUUUACAGAAAAUUAUUUUACAUCAAACGAAACUGAUGAAAAAUUAGUUUUUAAACUGAAUAACAUUUCAGGCUAUCUCUAUAUUGGCAGUUAUUUUGGAUAGAAUAUCAACAGAUCGGAUUCGAGACGGAUAUUCAAAAAUCUGAAUCCGAACCUGACCCCAAGGCCAAAACUAGAACCAUGUAAGGACUGAAAUUUUGACAGUGCAACUAAACUCUCUAUUGACGAUGUUUAUAUGUGUAAUUUAAUUACAUAAGCACUCGUCAAGUUUCAGGAGAAAAUGAGCUAAAAUGGAGAAGUUACGCGAUUAUUAGUUUUCACUUAAGUGAAUAGUAACUCCGGUUUUCCGGAGAAGCCACGGAGUAGAGAUGGCUUUCGGCGCGUAUCGGACUCCGUUCAUAGCGAUCCAAUAGCUCGUUUCAAACGGUUCAGCUAUUCUGGAACCAAUGGCACUGACGGAUUUCAGAUCCGAUGCACGGUUUUCGAGAAAAAGGAGUUUUAAGAAAAGAGGGUUUCCGCUCUUUGCUAGUCGUGCAUUUUAAAACUCCUCGUGCUCUGUGCUUGUGACCUGGGGUUAGGUGAGAGUUGUUUCUGGUACCUACUAGUGGUAGGGAAUUCAAAUACGGGUUUGAAUUAUAGGUUUUUGGGUUUUCACAUAAGUCUAGGUGUGACUUAUGGAUUAAUUAGAGAGCGGAGGGAUUCCGUCGCGAAUCUGUGACCAAAUCUGACGAAACAAGAUUGUAGUUUUAUUACCCUCGUCAUGCUGAAUGCGAUGGUGCCGUCGGAUCGAAAAUCCGACAGACGGAUCUCCGGGAAUUGCGAGAUGUCCGCUAAGGGGUCGAAUUUUGGCAAAACGGAUAAUCCGCGAAAAGCGCGGCAUUUUAUGUACCGAAUCGCGAGAGAUCGGACGUGGAGGUAUGUACGCGCAAGUUGCAUGCCCUGGCAGGGGCUGAACCUUAAAUAUUUUGUGUUGGAGGGGUUUUCUGCAAAAGUCCACUUGUAUAUAUAUUGGUAGUUAGGGUUUUUGGGCACGAAACCCUAGAUCGAGUCACCUUCCUCCCCCAGCAAACCCUAGAUGACUUCAACCCAUCCCUGCCCUCGUCGUGCUCGCGCCCCAGUCGCCGGCAAGCGACCCCGGCCGUGGGAAAAGCCAAGGUUCCCCUCUCCUUUCCCCUCGGCCAGCCCUCCUCCCUACAGAGGUGACCUGGAAAGCUGUCGUUAACCCUCCUGGAGGUUUCCCUCGGCAGAGACCGCUCUCCGGCGUCGACCUCGGCCGUCCCUGCCAUCAGCACGCACCGCCGGCCGCUGCUCCUGCUGUUGCGGCCAGCCCGAGCAAGAUCUGGCCGUGGGUGGCCAGAUCUCUCUCCCUUGCGCCGCCGUCCCGUGGGAUGGGCUGCGCCGCCCUUCCAGGCCUCCGACGAUCCCUCACCGACGGUAGCCGACGUCCUUGCGCGCCGCCGGCGCCGUUGGGACCUUCUGCGGCGAUCUGCUGCAGCUCGGGCCGAGUUCGAGUGAGCUCGUGGCCGCGAGCUGCAGCCGCCUCGAGGCGGGCCGCCCCGCCUCCCGCUGCCGUCGGCGACCUCCCGCUUAUGUUUCCCGACGUCCCCGACCACCGCCGGCCGCCGCCCGAAGCUCCUGCAGCCGCCCAGACUUGGUGCCGGCCGAGGCUAGGCUUCCCUCCAAUCCGCGCGUCGCCGCCGCCCACAGCGGGGAGCACCACCCUCCCCACGGCCUCCGGUGAUGGAUCGCCGUCGCCCCGACCUCCUCCGGCCGCCGCCGCGCCGCCGGGAACACAUGGAACCCGAGAGCAAGCCGCGGCUUGAUCUCCUCCGCCACGCCACUGGCCGCCUCCCGCCGCCGGCCAGCAGGUUCCCCGGACCCCUCGGACCAGCUGCUCCCAUCUCCGGCCGAAGCGCUCGCCGUCCGACAGCCGCCGGCCGUGCCCUAGCUCCACCCUGUCCGGUAAGCUAUUUUCAGCCUGUCUGCGCACUAGUUCCUUGUUUAGAUCACUGUUUCUGCGACCCGGGGCUGUUCCGAUGCCCCCAGAGGUGAGCACGGUGAUCUUCAGUCAGUCCUGAUCACAAUGCUCACCUCAUUUAGGGUCAGCGAGCUCCGGAUGAAUUAAUUAGAUGCGUUUUAGUUUCAGUGCGCGCUGUUUAGUUGAAUUUCGUGUCGCUCGUGCGCGUCCCACAGUGGCCGGAUUUGCUCCGAAAGGUGAGCACGGCUUCCGGCACGCCGAGACCUGUUAGCGGGUGUCUCAGCUUCGCUGAUUCACUUCUGGUUUGUGCAGACGGACCAUAAAAGCGCCGAAAUCGCAUGAAAUAAUGCGAUUUCGGGUAUUCGGACGGGCUUUUAUGCAUUUUGGUUCGUCGUAGCUAUUGUUGGCAGCAAGUGCUGGUUGAGGAUAACCUCUGGACUGAUUGUCCAAGGCCCCAGACCCUUGCGAAAAUCGAAAAUGCAUUUCCGGUGCGUUUUUCGGCGAAAUCCGCCGACGGAACGCGGGUUCGGUUCGGAAUUAUUCCGACAGUGCUUCGUGAGCUUUUGCGUAGUCGCUGAGCCUUGUUGGCUGGUCACUUGCGUCAUUUCGAGAGUUCGGAAAUGACGGGUGAGCGACGGUGGGUUCCGGUGUCGAAUUAGACACUUCCGGAAACCCGAAUCGAAACGAUUAUCCGACGAUAAUUGUUUCGACACGAGGAGUUGUGUUCGCUGUCAUUAUGCAUGAUUAUUUAUGUUUAGUGGCAGCAGGUGACUCGUAGCUCGAGUCGAUAUGUUCCGGGACAGUUCGUGGGUCUCGACGGAGUCCCGGUGCGAUUUCGGGACUUCCGUCGAGUUACAAUAGUUGGUUUUAGGAAACCGAUCAUCGUGGGUUUGUUUGUGAGGUUGUGAGAGCUAGUGGUUUGUUGUUUGUGUGUUAGACACUAACCCAGGGGACCCUCCUUAGGUCCUGUUGACGUUCUUUUGCAGUCAGGAGACAGACGCGACAGUUGUACAGGUGGGUACUUCGAUCCGACGUUGGUACAGUGGUUCACGCUCGGUGAUGGCUUCUUACCCUUGCUCUUUUGUUAUUCUCCAUGCUUAUGUUAUAUGUUGAGCCUUGCACCUCUAUUGUUUGCAUUACACCCACGUUGUUUGAUUAUACUCUACUCAGAUGUUUCCAUGCUUAGUAUCAUGUGUAGGAGUAUAGUCUAUCUGUAUGUGAUACCAUGUUUCCUUGUUGCUCUACUUAGCUAUUCUGCAUACCCUGUUUCAUAUUUAUAGUAGAGCGAUUCUGUGAUUAUCUGUGAGAUUAGCGAUCUAGUCGGUCGAUUCUAGUAUUCAGUAUUUGUGACCUAUUCGGUGAGUUCCUCGACCUUUGUUGUCUGAUGACCGUUGAGGUCGGUAUACCCUGAGGGGUGGGAUUGUCGGUUAGUUGCCGACGGAUGAUUAUACUUUACUCAUAUCCUAUACUUGUGACAUGAUUGGUCGAGUUUCAUAUCCUAUACUUGUGACGUGAUUGGUCGAGUUUCAUAUCCUAUACUUGUGACAUGAUUGGUCGAGUUUCAUAUCCUGUACUUGUGACGUGAUUGGUCGAGUUUCAUAUCCUAGUUGAUCUGAGUGGUCAGUCCUUGUGGUUCAUUGAGCAGUAUUUGCAUAUGUUUGAGAGGAUGUCGAUGUUGUCCCAUCCUAGUUGACCUGAGUGGUCGGUUCUUGUGCUUCUUUACAGUUGAUGACCUAUGCGGUCGAUAGGCCCUGGGGGGCAGGAUUGUCGGCUGGUUGCCGACGGUUGAUCAUUGACCAUAUUGCAUUGAUCGCCCGAUACUCGUCGCAUUUCACGAACACUGGCGGUCUGAUCCACCGCAAGGAGUGUUCUUUUCCGGAAAAGUGGUUGAAUGGUGACAACCCGUGAGCCCUAUAGGGGUUAUAUGCAUAUUAGAGCGGCAGUGGUACUGUCGGGAGGUGUUGCGGUGCGGACCUCCAGGGCAUUGGCUUGAGGUCUGCGGUGCUGACCAAGAGAGCAUUGGUUUCAGAUUGGGUACUUUUGGACUGAUUGUUCCAUUGACGCAUAUGUUUAUAGUAGCAGUCGUUGCAUGCAUACUUACAGAUCUUACUUUAUAAUUGUCUUGCUACUAUAAUAGAUAUUCAUGUAUGCUUUCUGUUCCAGUUACAGUAGUGGUAGCCAUUAUUCAGUCUAGCUCCUGCUCUCUUUCAGUUUAUUGCUACUGUAUCUAGUAUAUCUGCUCAUUACCUUAUACAUCUCUUACGUUUACUACUGUUCCUACUACAUUUUCACUGACCCUUGUUGUUACUUAGCUCUCCCUGAUCCGGUGAGUACUCCUCGCCUUCAUCGGCUUGCGGUACCCACUGGGAGGGGAGACAUGUUUUACAUGUUCUCACCUCCCCCACCAUUUUUUUCAGGUAUCGCGGGCGUUGAGUAGUGGGACGAGACGUGAGGUACGUGUAUAGCGGUCGAUAGAGCUUCCGACCCAGGUUAUUUCGAUUUAGCUAUUACUCUUUUAUUUCUGUGGAUAUAUAUAGCUUAGUCGGUUUACAUGGUUCAGUUUUGUUUUAUUAUUUGAAUAUCUAAGUUUUCAGUUGGUUUUGGAAUUGUGUUUUCUUGAAAUAAAAGGUUUUCUACCCCUCGUUGUAGCGUUUCUUAAAGAAUAAAGGUUUUCGUGUAGGGAACAGUUUUCAAAAGAAUUUUCGUGAAUUUCUAUUUAAACACUGAAUGUAAAUCUGUGAUGUGAAUGGUGAAUGUAUGAAUGUAUAAUUAUCUUCAUAUUCAUUUGGUUGUGGUUGUUUCCUGGCUAUGGUCUUGUACUUGUGCGACGCCGUGCAAAUACAGGGGAGACUCUGUCCGUGUGAAUAGUGGAUUUCCUGUAUUUGUGGCGGAUCUGGCAUACCCUGGGGUCAGGUUUGCAAAAAAAAAAAAAAAAAAAAAAAUUUCAGACGCUUUUCCGCUACCUUUUUAACCUGAAGGGACCCCGGGGCGUGACAAACCCGAACUUGAGUCCGACGGAUUUUAAAAUCCAUAUUCAAAUACGAACCCGACCAAAACUUCGAAACUCAAAUCCGAUUCCGAAACAAUUCUUUCUUCUUUCAAUAUUUUAAAAAAUAUUACUUAGAUCUAAAAUUUUAAAAUAUAGCUUCAAAUAUAAUAUCAAAUGUUUACAUACAUGUAUACAUGACCUAAAAUAAAUUUAGGUUUGGAUCAGGUUCCGGUUUGAGUCAGGUACAAUAAAAAUCCAUACCCGAAUCCAUAUCCGUUGGGUUUCUAUUUUCGAUAUCCAUAUCCGAAUCCAUAUUGAUUGGGUUUUUGUUUUUAUUAUUCAUAUCUUAAAAUACAUUCAUUUAGUAUCAAAUAAAUCUAUUUUGUUUGGUUUUGGAUUCGGAUAAAAUUUCAGAUAUCUAUAUCCAUGGGCGGAGAUUUGAUUCGUUUUGGAAUAGAAAUUCGGAAUAUUGAUCCCUCAAAUUAUACGGAAAUAAUGAAAAAUGAUUCAUUCUGUUUCCACUCCAAACCUCAAAUCCUUCCUCACCAACCAAUCGUAAUUCUGGAUGAAACCCAAAAAAAAAAACUUCAUAUAUAAUAAAAAACUAUUAAAUAAUUAAGUAGCUAAAAGCAUAUCAGAUUUAAAAAUAAAAUUGUUCAACAAUAUCUACAAAAUCAACAAAUAUUUAAAUUUAAGUAAUAGACUAAAAUUUUUUAAAAAUUUUGAGUUUGAUUCAUAAAUUUAAAUAUAAAUUUACAUUUAAAUUUUGGAAUCAAUUCAAUUUUUUAUAUUUGGGUACAUCUUUAAAUAGUACCUAAAUCUUUUUAUUUUAUAUGUCCAUUCUAUUAUAUACUAGUAUAGAGCCUGCACUGUGUCACAAGUAGUUAAUAUUUCAAAUAAUUAAUUAUUAAAAUUUUAAGAUUGAAAAAUUAUAAUUAAACAAAUAGAAAAAGGAAAAAAAACUUAAAUUAACUUUCUAUCAGUAUUUCCUUAACUUUAGGUAGCAUUUGGUUCGGGUAUAAGUAAGAAGUAGUUAUUACAGGGAUAGGUACAAGUAUGGGGGUAUAAAUAAGAACUAGUUAUUACAAUGAUAGGUACAAGUAUGGGGAUAAGAAAAAUAGCAUUUGGAUAAAAAUUGGGUUGUUUCCGAAGAGAUAAGAAAAAUAGCGUUUAGAUAGAUAAUAUGGAAUAAGAAAAAUAGUGGACAGUUAUAUAUAGAAAAUGGAGGUGUUGGUGGGGAUAGUUAUACCAGAUUAUUUUAGAUAACCGAGUACUACUAUUCUCGGGUAAAAAUUUUGCGUUUGGGUAUAAAGGGGAUAAGGGGUUAUCCCUCCCCUUAGUAUAGAGGCUGCGAGGUAGUAUUUCAAAUAAUUAAUUAUUAAAAUUUUAAUAUUAACAAAAUUAUAACUAAAGAAAUAGAAAAAAAGCUAAAAAGUAGUCUUAUGAACAUUAUGAAGAAUAAUUUUUUAUGAAUAUUUUGUAACUUUCAGUAUUUUCAAUUUUAAAUUAUACUUAUAAUUUUAUUUAAAAUUUAAUCAAAUUCUUAGUUUUGAUAGUUAUUCAAUAAUAAUUUUUUAAAAUAAAAAGUUAAAAUUGAAAAAUUUAUUUAAAAUUAAAGAAUAGGUGAAGAUGUCUUCAGCUUGUUAAAAUUGACGAAAGAGAAAAAAUAUUGGAUAUGCCUUGUGUAUAUUAAUAGUUAGUAUACUACAAUUUAUAUUAGAUGAUUAAUAUUUUAACAUCAAAAUUGAAUUAAAUAUAUAUUAUCUAAAAAAUCUAAUAAUUUAAAUUAUAUUUGACAACUUAAUUUUAAAAUUUCUAUUAAAAGAUUUUAGAUAUGCAGUGUAUAUACAAAUAUAUACUUGAUGUAGAGAAAAUUUAAAGAAAUACAUUAAUAAUUUCACUAAAAAUGAGGAAUCUUUGUUUGCAUCCCGUGCAUACCAAUUCUCCCUACACUAUACAAAAUAUUAGAUAAUUAAUAAAAUAUUUAAUAAUAAAUAUCAUAUAAUAUAAUAUAAUAUAAUUAAUAUAAAAUAUUUAAAUUAUUUAUUGUAUUACUAGAAUUUAUUAUUGAUGCAUAUUUUAAGUAGCUAGGGGCAAUUGUGCGCCUAUAUGCCCCUGAAAAAUUUUCGAUUUUUUUAUUUAUCCCUCUUAGAAGGCUAAUACUGAAAAUACUCUUCUUAUGUUCCAAGUUCUUUCUAAUAUACCCCUGGAGUUAAGUUCGUUAGUGAGCUGUUAACAGUUGCCGUUAUCUUUGAAAAAUUACCAUUUUGCCAAUUCCAAUAUACUAGUCUUGUAUCAUAACUAACUUUUCUUAUAUACCCUUCAUAUAGCAAAUACUUUUCUUAUUUGCCCUUCAAAUAUUAAUUAAUUAAUUAAGCACAUUGGGAGCGAACAGAUAAACGGAUGAGAUCGAUCGCAGCUAAACCAACUUUGGUGACUGGAGGCAUAGUUAGUUAACUCGGAUUCGGCAAAAAUUCGGUACGGAUAUAAUUCAGAUAAAAUCCGUCUUUUAAUUUUUAAAUUCAUUGAAAAAUACGGCUAAAAAACGAAUUUGGCAAUUAUUCGGAUAUGUGAUUUAUACGGGUAUUAUACGUUCACUAAUUAAAAAUUUGGGAUAAAAAAUUCGGAUAUAUAAUAAAUAUAUAAUAAUUAACAUACUAUAAAUAUUAUUAUAUAAUUUUUAUAUAUAGAAUAAAUAUAUUUAAAAAUAUAAUAAACAUAUAUUAAUAAUAUAUAAGAGUUAUAUAUUUAAAAAUAUUAAUAAAUAAUUACAAAUUUAUAAAUAAAAUAUUAUAUAAUAAUAUUUCUAUAUAUAAAUAAAAUACUAUAUGAAUAUAUAUUUAUAAAUAAAAUUAUAUAUAUAUAUAUNAUAUAUAUAUAUAAUGAGAGGGAGGUCCAGACCUCCCUCUCUCCGGUCUAAUUGGCCUCGUGGACCGCGCACACCUGCUGCUCCUAUCCGCGCGCAACACCGCACCAUUUCUUCCCUCUGCGCGCAACACCGCGCCCUCUUGCUCCCGGCACGCGGACGGCGUCGGGCGAGACGGGAUCGGCUGCGACCCUCUUGCUCCCAGCGCCGGCCAAGGCGGCGGAGGAGGAGGACGACGACGAUGAGAGCGGCGGAGGAGGAGGACGACGAGAGCGGCGAGAGGGGUGGUGUUGGAGGUGGAGGUGUGGGAGGUGGUGGUGGUCUGUAAGGAGAUGAGGCGAGGUAGAGGCGGAGGAGCCGGUGACUAAGCUGGGAGAGAAAGAUGAUAACUUAAGGGAUUGGUAUAAUAAGGUAGGAAAAAAAUAGAUAUUUUAUUUAGGUUUUAACUCUAGUAUAUAUUUAACUCAUAUUUAACCCGAGUUAAGCAAACAGGGGAUUGCGGGGGUAAUUUCGAAUAACGAUGAAACAUAUGAGGAGUAUUUUGGAAAAAAAGAGAGUAGGGGUAGAUCGAAUAUUUCCAAACAUACGAGAAGUAUAUAGACAAUUAUCCCUUUUAAGUAUUACUAGAAAAUUUGUGCAUUUUGUGGAUAUGUGGCAAACUCUUAUUGGAGUUUUAGCUCAAUUGGCAACAUGGCUCUUUCUUGAUGUGAAAUAAUACUAGUUAAAGAUCCCAUGUGAUACGGCGGGUAGAUAUUUUUAAAUUUAGAGGUAUGUUUGAAAGAAUUUGAAACUUUAGAAAGAUAUUUUAAUGUUAACCUUCUAAUUGGGGUAAAUAUGAAAGUUAGGAACCUUUUAUGAGUAUAUAAGUAAUCGUCCCUUAAUUUUACCUAUAAUUUCAAGGCAUCGUGGUUUUGAGUUUGGUACUCAAAAUAAAAAAAAAUAAUAAUAAUAGGCUUUUCCGACUUCUUAAGCAUGCUUAUUCUGUUGGCUUAAAUGGGCUACUAUUUUGCCAUAUGGUGUGAGAUCAUAUUGAGCGAAGUUAUAUUUGAAAUGGUGUGAGGCUAGAUUGUGUGCAACUAUUCUGCCAUAUGGUGUGAGGUCAUAUUGAGCUAAGUUAUAUUUGAAAUGGUGUGAGGCUAGGUUGUGUCUAGUCAUGUUCGAAAUGAUAUAAGACUGAUUUGAACGAAUCACAAUCGUGAUCUGUGAACGCUGUUUAUAUGUUUUAAGUUAAUUAGUUGCAUAUUGCUAACAACUCAGAUUUUUGAAAAUAAUAAUUGAUGUCAGCGAUUUGACUAGUGGUCACGUAUCAAAGUCAGAGAUACGGGUUCGAUUCCCGUGACCUAAAAGCUUUAUUUUAAUUUUCUAUACAGUAAAAUUUCAAAAAAUGAAAACGAAAAAAAGUUAUAGACCACUCAAAUUAAAGUGACUGUAGUUAGAAAACAGAAAUUAAAUCAUUCUUUGAUACCUUCUCUGUUCCAGGAAGUGCACAAAAUAGUACGCUUAGCAAAAUAGUUAAACCUAUAAUAGAUAUCGAAUAUUGAAAUUGUAAUAUUCCGGACGAUCCGCAACCACCGAUGAUGAAAUUGCUCCGAGGUCGGAUGGCAGUGAGGAUGAUGGGUGCUCCCGGCAGCGGCUCCGCUGUAACCGAGGUAAGCAAAGAGGUAAGAGGUAGAGAGAGUGACAGAGAAAGUAUUGGGGAUAGAGAGAGAGAAGAGAGGGAAUAGAGAUAAGAUAGAGAUAGAGGAUUGGGGUUAGAAGUAGAGAAGAGAAGAGGAGAAUUGGGAGGAGAAGUAGUAGAGAAGAAGAAGGGUUUGGAGAAGAACUUUUGCGGAAGAAAAUAGACUAGUUUAUUUCAUUCAUGAUAUUUGACUCUGCACAGCUAUUACUUAUACUCCCCUUUACAUAUACUGAAAUGCAAAAAUUAUAGAAAUAGUGAACUAAGUUGCAAAAGUUAAUAAAAUGGGCCAAUUUUGAUGGGGAUGUGGGGCUCGAGUUGGGCUUCACUGGUCCAUGAACUCCUUGUAACCGGUAAGUGGAUAUCGGGUCGCCUUCUCUGCACUAUCCUCCACCCGGCAGGUAGCGGGCCCGCCUUUUACACCCGAUCUAGGAAUCGAAUCAUCCGCUCUGCUAGUAACCCGGGUAAGGGGGUUGUCGGUGGAUAUUGGGUCCGCCUUUUGCAUCCGCUCCGGUUUUCUGGAGUUCCGAUCCGCUAACCUCUGCAGUAUAGCCACUUCUCUCAAAUCGCUAGGUUUGGUCGGAGCUACCCUCCUCCGCCGGAGUUCCACCCGAGCGACCUCACGCCGCCGGAGCUCCACCCGAGCUCGCGCCUUUCUCAACCUGCUGCGGCCCUUAUUUCUGCUCUUGCUAUGCGAAGUUAACAUUUUUACUUUCUCUCUUCUACUGACUACUCUACUUCUACCAUUUAUUCUUCAGGGUCGUUACAGAAAUAUUAUUUUUUUAGAAGAUUAAUUAAGUUGCAAGAAAUACAUUUUUUUAGAAGCUUAAUUAAGUUGCAAGAAAUAAUAUUUUAUAUAAUAUUUUAUGAGGAAAAGAGUAUAAUAUGAACUUUACCCAAACUGCUAUAUAUUCACCCUUUAAAACCUAGCUUGGAAAAAUAAUUUCGUUGGAAUGCGCCAGAAAAAUUCUUAUUUGGUAAUUAAUUUGGACAAAUAUUUGUUAGCUGCGAGAUCAUACACGUACGUACGAAUUUCAGCUCGUCAAUUUAUACUCUUGGCUCGAUUAGUAGUUAAUUUUCUUAACUUACAUCUUGUUGAUUUCAUGAGAUAGAGCGAAUUGAAAUAAAAUUGUUAUUCAGAUGAUAGUUAAGAGCAGAUCCUGUUUAGAUGCAUAAAUAUAUCUUAUUCCAGAUAUACCUUUUAUUUACUCAAAAAAUUAUAGUUUUAGUAGAUAAUUUAUAAUAUUUGGUAGAUGAGAAAUAUGAUUAAACAUACUAAUCAUUAAUUUACAAAAACUCGAGCUAUUAGAAAGAUGCAAUCAAUUUACUUAAAGCAUACAAAUAUAUACAAUGCUUAUAGAUUUCAAUUGUGACUCAACCCAAUUAGCUAUCAUCACUUCGAACAUGACUCGGCCCAAUUUGACCUCCUACCACAUGGCAGGAUACUUACAUAUUUAAGCCAACAGUCCCCCGCCCGCCCCCCCCAACCGAGCCUCCCGGAAUCACAGGACAGGAUGCUGCUAUAUUUAAGCCAGCAAUCUUCGGCCAACAAGAUAUGAUCUAACUUAAUUUCUGCUGUAUUCUACAGAAAAUUAGCAAAUUUGUGAAGAUUUUGACUACCACAUAAGUUUAUGCAGUGAAUCACUGUUUUUUCAAUUCAUAUAUCCAUUUUAUAUAAAAUGUGCUAUAAUUAGAUAAGAUUUAUAGAUGUUUUCCAGUAAUUUAAGGUUUUAAAGAAAAGUUAUUAUUUGGCAUGCAUGAUAUCAGAACGGGAGAUUUAGUUUGGUUUCCGCCGGGUUCGGUUCUCUCAUGCAUAAUUUAACCCUAUGUUUUGGACCUAUUUAAUAUAUAACAAUCUUGAGCACGAUCGACAAAAAAUGUUAAACAUAAAAUAAUAAUUUUUUUAAUUUUUUUAAUAAUGGAAUUAACUUUUUAUAGAAAAACAAUUAUUUCACAAUCUAAAUCCCCUCCUGCAUAAGCUUCUGCAGUUCUAAGCUAGCUCCUGCUUCAACUUUCUAUUACCUCUGCUUCAUCAGUAUUAAGCUAGCUUUUUAAACAAUUUUAUUUGAAGUAAUUAUAUCUAAAUGGUGCUUUUGUUCUCAAGCAGCAAUUCUCUCCAUGCAUAGCCGCAGCGAAAUGUUAAUGAUAUGCCUUCUUUUUUAUUGGUUUGGUCCAUGCACCGGGUCUACGGAAUAUAUUAAUUCUUAAAGUUGAUUCACGUUGGUGUAAGAGAUGAGGCUGAAUCUAAUUAAUAUUGGGAUUGCAUGCAUCAAAACCAUAUUUGGUUUAUACUUCUCAAACCGACUCCAAUUAACAUUGGUUGACUUUUGACCGGGUUAAUUAGCACUAUAUAUUCAUGCUGGGGUGAACCGUACGAUGCGUCAUGUGGUAGAAAUUUAAUUAGCAUCGGGCUAAUUAAUUCACAGCUUCCUAUAGCCGUACGGUAGCAAGAAAAAGAGAUGCGCGGUAGCACGCAUGCGACGGAUUGACGUUGGCGGCGGAGCGGCGGUUCUCAACCAAUUGCCUGAGCGGUUCGGAUUCUUCGAAGCAACGGCAUAAAGGAAUUUGGUUAGAGUUUCUAUACUUCUCUAAUUUGGUCUUCUCGGUUUUACGAAAAGCUUUUUUUCGGUAUUUUUCUUGGAGUUUUCGUUGGAACAAGAAAGGUGGGAUUCACCAUAAGGUUCUUGGUUUUUUAUCCGGAGAAGACAUAAGGUGUAAGCUUGUACUUCUAUUUCUUCAUAUAGUGGAAUACAUCUCUCUCGCUCUCCCCGUGGACGUAGGCAAUUGCCGAACCACGUAAAUCUUGGUUUCUUCUUUCUGCAUUUAUUCUUUUACCGUUCGGUCGAUUUUCUCUAUUUUUCGUGCAUCUUUGUUGGUAGCACAUGACGGACGAUCCAUCCGGUUCCCAACAAGUGGUAUCAGAGCAUAAGGUUCGUGCUACAUCAGAGAUGUCGAAAGUCUCGUCUUCUAAGUUUGAGGUGGAGAAAUUUGACGGUAAAGGAAACUUCGGUCUCUGGCAGAGAAGAGUGAAAGCCCUUCUGGUUCAACAGGGCCUUCAUAAGGCGUUACUCGGAAAAUCGAAAAAGCCGACAUCGAUGAGCGACGAAGAUUGGGAGGAUAUUGAUCUGCGAGCGGUGAAUACAAUUAUAUUGUGUCUAGCAGAUGAGGUGAUGUAUAACGUAAUGGAUGAAGAAACUACAGUCGGCAUGUGGAACAAGCUAGAGAAGCUGUACAUGACCAAAAGCCUCUCGAACGUGCUGUACCUAAAGCAAAAAUUAUAUGGGCUACGCAUGAAGGAAGGUACGGCAAUAACGGAACACUUGAACACCUUUAAUAAAAUUAUUGCGGAUUUGCUCAGCAUUAAUGUCAAGGUUGACGAGGACGAUAAGGCGUUGAUUUUUCUUACAUCACUUCCGUCGUCCUACAAUCACUUGGUGACCACCAUACUGUACGGGAAGCAAACUCUAAAGAUGGAAGAUGUUACAUCGACACUUUUAUUUGAAGAGAUCAGGUUGCAGGCGAGAACCGAAGAAAGCAGUGCAGGUUUGGUCGUAAAUGAUACAAGUGGAGGAAGGGGACGAUCAAGAGAACGUGAUGCGGGUAAAGGAAGAUCCCGUUCCAAGUCAAAAUCGAAAAAGGUGAAGUGUUACUUCUGUAAGAAAGAGGGCCACAUGAAAAAGAACUGCGAAAAGAGGAAGGCUUGGCUGCGAAAUCAGAAUUCCUCUGCAGAUACGGCGAGCAUAGCCAGUGAUUCCGGUCAGGACGUCUUGACGGUUACAACAGAUUCUGACUCUCACGGUGACUGGAUAUUAGAUUCUGGUUGUUCUUAUCACAUGUCUCCAGACAGGUCUUUAUUUGAUACUUAUAAGUCUUGCGAAGGCAGUAAUGUUAUGAUGGGUAAUCGCACUAGCUGCAAGAUGGUCGGUAUCGGAACGGUAAAAAUAAAGAUGUUUGAUGGUGUGGUGAGGACGUUAACGGAUGUGAGACACAUUCCGGAUCUCAGGUUAAAUCUUAUAUCACUUGGUACUCUUGACUCUACUGGCUGUUCUAUUAGCAUUUCAGGUGGAGUCGUCAAGGUUAAAAAGGGUGCCAUGGUCGUCAUGAAGGGAGAGAAGAAAGGGAAUCUGUACAGACUGAUCGGCGAGUCGGUGAUUGGAGGCGUUGCGGUAACAUCCUCAGAAGAUCAUGAUGCUGAUGAUACGGAGCUCUGGCACAUGAGACUAGCCCACAUGAGUGAAAGAGGGAUGUUGGAACUGCAUAAAAGGGGAGUACUCAAAGGUAUUAAAUCCUGUAAACUUAAUUUCUGCAAAUAUUGUUUAUUUGGAAAACGGAAAAGGUUGAGUUUCAGGACCUCCAGUCAUAAAAGCAAAAGUAUACUUGAGUACAUCCAUUCAGACGUGUGGGGACCGGCUCCGGUGACUUCGAAAGGUGGUGCGCGAUAUUUUAUUACAUUUAUCGAUGAUUUCUCCCGUAAGGUUUGGGUAUUCUUCAUGAAGGAAAAGUCUGAGGCAUUUAUAAAGUUCAGACAUUGGAAGAAUGAGGUGGAGAAACAAACUGGGAAGCAGGUCAAGGUUCUUCGAACGGACAAUGGUGGAGAGUUCACUUCUCGGGAGUUUAAGAAAUUCUGCAAGGAUGAAGGUAUUGUACGUCAUUACACGGUUUCAGGUACUGCAUAGCAGAAUGGAGUAGCAGAAAGGAUGAACCGGACAUUGCUAGAACGUGCCAGUUCUAUGAGGUUAUGUGCAGAUUUGCCAAAGGAGUUCUCGGCUGAAGCAGUAGAUAUGGCGUGCUAUAUUAUUAAUCGAUCUCCCGCCACAGCAAUCGAACUCAAAACACCGGAGGAAGUAUGGACAAGUAAACUUGCAGAUUAUUCCUCCUUACGGGUCUUUGGUUGUCCUGCUUAUGUCCAUAUCCAGGAAAAUCAGCGCACAAAAUUAGAUUCGAAGUCAAAACCCUGCAUAUUUCUUGGAUACGAUAUGGGUGUUAAAGGAUACAAGCUGUGGGACCCUAUCGCCAAGAAGAAGGUGAUUAGCAGGGACGUAGUUUUUGACGAAAAAGCUAUGCCGCGUAAGGAUCAUCAGGAAGCUCAACGUGAAGAACAGUCAAAAACUACGCAGAUCCAGGUGGAGCGGCAAUAGGGUGUAGAUGAUCAGGUGGAGCAGCCCCACUAUCAGGAUGAUCAUGGUACACAAAGCGAUCCGAUUGAAAGCACUUCGGAAGAGCCCUACUCUAUCGCUAAAGGAAGGGAAAGGAGACAGAUUCGUCCACCUUUACGGUACAGGUUGGAGGAUAUAGUAUCUUAUGCCUUAUUAAUUACAUCAGAUGAUCCCACUUCCUAUCAGGAGGCGAUGCAGGACAGAGAUAGUGGCAGAUGGAUGGCGGCUAUGACAGAAGAGAUGGAGUCUCUACAGAAAAAUCAGACAUGGGAUCUGAUUCCAUUACCGGAAGGGAAGAGAUCUAUCGGUUGCAAGUGGAUCUACAAAAAGAAGCAGGGUGCAGAUGGAGAACCAGAAAAAUUCAAGGCGCGGUUAGUAGCCAAGGGCUAUGCGCAAGUAAAGGGAGUUGAUUUCAAUGAGAUUUUCUCACCGGUGGUGAAACACGCGUCAAUUAGGAUGCUUCUAGCUAUGGUGGCUAUGUUUGAUUUAGAGCUUCAGCAGCUUGACGUUCGAACCGCAUUUCUUCAUGGGGAUCUAGUAGAAGAAAUUUAUAUGGAACAACCUCAAGGUUUUGUUCAGCCGGGGAAGGAGAAUCUGGUGUGCAAACUGAAAAGAUCUCUCUACGGGUUGAAGCAGGCACCGAGGCAGUGGUAUAAGCGGUUUGACGGGUUUAUGAUCGAGCAUGGUUAUAGCAGAAGUUUAUAUGACAGUUGUGUCUACUAUCGGAGGCUUGAAGAUGGUUCGUUUAUUCUGCUUAUGCUAUAUGUAGACGAUAUGCUUAUAGCAGCUAAGAAUCCGAAUGAAGUGCAACAAUUAAAGGAUCAGUUGAGCCGAGAAUUUGACAUGAAGGACCUAGGAGGUGCUAGGAAAAUCCUAGGUAUGGAGAUCAGACGCGACCGCAUACAGGGUAAGUUAUGGUUAUCGCAGAAGACAUAUAUACGAGCUAUUAUAAAGCAAUUUAAUAUGUCAGAGGCGAAGGCGGUCAAGACUCCAUUAGCCCAACACUUCAAACUUUCUGAGGAGAUGUGUCCCAAGACGGAUGAGGAGAUUACUUCUAUGUCAAAGAUACCAUAUGCUAGUGCAGUCGGUUGCCUGAUGUAUGCUAUGAUCUGCACUAGGCCUGAUCUUUCACAUGCAGUUAGUGUUGUCAGUCGGUAUAUGUCGAAUCCAGGAAAACAACACUGGGAGGCCGUGAAGUGGAUUUUGCGGUAUCUGAAGGGCACAUCAGAUAAAGGUAUUCUCUACUCGAAAGAUUCUGGUAAUGAUGAAGUGAAGGGGUUUGUAGAUUCCGACUAUGCGGGUGAUUUGGACAAGCGUAGGUCUAUUACAGGUUACGUCUUUCUGCUGGGCGGCGGACCUAUCAGUUGGAAAUCUACGUUGCAGCGCACUGUAGCCUUGUCAACUACAGAAGCGGAGUAUAUGGCGGCAAUUGAAGCAGCUAAGGAAGCAGUCUGGCUUAGAGGCUUGGUUGGUGAACUCGGGAUCAUGCAGGAAAAAAUGAUUAUCGGUUGUGAUAGUCAGAGUGCUAUAUGUCUCGCCAGGAAUCCAGUUUACCAUGGGAGGACAAAGCACAUAGAAAUCAAGUAUCACAAAUUACGGGAGCUCACUAAUGAGGAUGAUGGAGAAAUUCAGCUUAUAAAGGUUUCCACAAAGGAUAAUGUAGCUGACAUCAUGACAAAGCCGGUAACAGCGGAUAAGUUUAGACACUGUCUAAACUUGGCUAAUUUGCAUGACUGCUAAUGACUGAAUGCCUCAGGGAGAGGGGGCGAUAAGAUGAGAGAGAGUAAUGAAGUAAAAAAGAAGUCAAGGUGGAGAAUGUUAAAGAUAUGCCUUCUUUUUUAUUGGUUUUGUCCAUGCACCGGGUCUACGGAAUAUAUUAAUUCUUAAAGUUGAUUCACGUUGGUGUAAGAGAUGAGGCUGAAUCUAAUUAAUAUUGGGAUUGCAUGCAUCAAAACCAUAUUCGGUUUAUACUUCUCAAACCGACUCCAAUUAACAUUGGUUGACUUUUGACCGGGUUAAUUAGCACUAUAUAUUCAUGCUGGGGUGAACCGUACGAUGCGUCAUGUGGUAGAAAUUUAAUUAGCAUCGGGCUAAUUAAUUCACAGCUUCCUAUAGCCGUACGGUAGCAAGAAAAAGAGAUGCGCGGUAGCACGCAUGCGACGGAUUGACGUUGGCGGCGGAGCGGCGGUUCUCAACCAAUUGCCUGAGCGGUUCGGAUUCUUCGAAGCAACGGCAUAAAGGAAUUUGGUUAGAGUUUCUAUACUUCUCUAAUUUGGUCUUCUCGGUUUUACGAAAAGCUUUUUUUCGGUAUUUUUCUUGGAGUUUUCGUUGGAACAAGAAAGGUGGGAUUCACCAUAAGGUUCUUGGUUUUUUAUCCGGAGAAGACAUAAGGUGUAAGCUUGUACUUCUAUUUCUUCAUAUAGUGGAAUACAUCUCUCUCGCUCUCCCCGUGGACGCAGGCAAUUGCCGAACCACGUAAAUCUUGGUUUCUUCUUUCUGCAUUUAUUUUUUUACCGUUCGGUCGAUUUUCUCUAUUUUUCGUGCAUCUUUGUUGGUAGCACAUGACGGACGAUCCAUCCGGUUCCCAACACGAAAGCCACACAAAAUAAUAUUAAUUCCUAUAUCAAGAUCCUAAACUCUAUCUUUAUUUUCUUGGAACCAUAUUACAGCAAUUAAUUAAGAUGAAUCAACAAUACAAAAAUCGGAUGAAUCAAUAUUGAAAACAUAAUUACCCAAAAAAAAAAACAAAAAAUAGAAAAAAAAAAUCAUACCCACAAGAUAUAUCCAAACACCACCUUCAUCGAAACACAGGAACAUAACAUAUAUUUUAACUGUAAUGCUUAACCACUCAUCAUAUAUGCACCAUAUAUAUAAUCACUACUCAAAGACUCCACCAAAUCGAAGCCACAGAAACAACAGCAAAAACCAGAAUAUGAUUAUCCCGACUGACGCCCAUGGCGAGAGAGCCGCUCGUCGAAUCCGCAGGAGUGGUCGAGGCCGGCCCUUCGGCCGCAGAUGCCGACUUCUUCUUCUUCUGCUGCUCCGACGGCGAGGGGGCGGGCGGGACGGACGGCCUGAACACGCCCAACGGCAGCAGGACCUGAUCAACUUGGUAGACAGCAAGCUGGCCAUCAGUGUAAACAGUGUUAUCCACCGUGGUGUUCACCAGCCCUGUGGAGAUAUUCACUUGAUUCCCCACUGCAGUGACGUUUAGAGGGUACUGGCCAUCGCUGGAAUCCCCGGCUUGAGUUCUGAGGGGGUUGCUGACAGUUUGGAACUGCGAGGCCGAGAGGAAGUAGGGGAGGAUGUGGUACUGGAUGAGGGAGUCCUUCUGCUGGUCGGUGAGGGAGUUGAGGGUGCCGGAGGGGAGGGAGGAGAAGGCAUUGUCGGUCGGGGCGAAGAUCGUCAGGCCGUUCUGCGUGUUGUUGAGCUCGUUGUUGAUCUGGUUGGCGACCUGCGUCGACUUGAGCAGGCGGAUGAAGGUCUGGUACUGCCCGGCCUUCUCGAGGAUCCCGGUGAUGUUGGUCGGCCCCGGGGGCGCGGGCGCGGCCGCGGCCGCGGGCUGGGCUAGGGCUAGGGUUUUGGUGGUGGUGCAAUAAUAUUGGAAGAGGAGGAGGAGAGAGAGGGUGUGAGUGAGGAAGUUUCUCAUGGCUUUGGUGCUAGCUAGGGUUAAUUUGCUAUUCUUAAUUAGUUUCUAGCUUCCUCUCAAUUAUUAAUUAAUGUGGAGAGAUAGAGAGGGUUGUGGGGAUUUUAUGGUGGUGAGGAGGAGAGAGAGAGAGAGAGAGAGAGAGAGAGAGAGAGAGAGAGAAGAGGUGGUGGGUGGUGGGGGAGUGUCUAGCACCAAACUUCAACAUGAUGGUCCAACUAGUAUGCUUGCUUAAUAUGUGAGCAAAAACAGUGAGAUUGUGAGGUUAACAGCCAUGCAUGCAAUGCUUCUCUCUCUGUCUCUCUCUCUCUCUCUCUAAAAAGCAUCAGUACAAUGAUGGAGAGGAGCUUUUGAGGUGGAGGAAAGGACUGCAUUAUUGUACCUGCAAUUUUGAGCUCAAUUCUAAUUAGAGUAGUUCUUCACGCAUAGUUUCGUGCAUCUUUAUGCUAUUCAUGGUAGUUCCUUAUUAUAUUAUGGGUUAUUUAAUUAAUUGGUGUUUGUUUGUAGGAGUUGAAGUGUAAACUAAUGACUUGUGGGGCGUUCAGUAGUAGUACUUCAUAUAUUAUAAUACAAGUAAUACUGUUGGUACGCUUCAAAAUAGAAUAUAUAUUUUAAAUCCACUCUGUUAAUUCAAGAGUCAUUAAUUCUAUAUUUGUUAUAUCAUUUUUUUAAUUUUUACUAAAAAUUAUUUAAAUUUUUGUGAAUUUUAGGAUGAAGGAUUUAAUUAAGAUCUGCACUCCAACUUUGAGGUGUACAAGUAAAAUUUCUCACAGGGCAUAAUGUAUAGGUAAUCCUCGUAUAAUCCCUAUAUUAAUUGCCACUUAGUUCUAAACUUUCCACUUAAAUAUAUACUAUAUACUUUUUAAGCUUCAGUUGGAAUUACGGGGAGAGCAUUUAAUAAGCAGGAGGAAAGAUCACAAUAAACUAAAUUAUAUUUUAUUCAUAAUAUAUAUGAUUAUACUUAAUAUAUAUAUAUAUAUAUAUAUAUAUAUAUUAUAUUAUAUAUAUAUAUAUAUACUAUAGUUCCAUCUACUAUUCUAUUAAUAGGAUUAAGGACAUUGUCCUAUCAAGCCGAUUGAAUGAUCGAAAAUUCAAAUUGAUAAUCGGCACCGUUGAAUUGAUCUACACAAUUAAAAAUGUUUAGAAACCAAAUUUUGUAAUAUUUAAAAAUCAUUAUCCAAGUUCACUUAAAGAGUCUAAAAAAUUUGAACGGUCAUAAAUGAAAUACCUUCUUAAAAAUAGAGGUUAGACUUUCUCAAUCAUUAAUAGAGUUAUCAAACAUUAUCUUUAAAUAGAUAAAAGAAUUUUCUAUCAAAAUAUUCAAGUAAUUUGAUUACUCUAUCUACGUUAAACAAGCAUACACACCCAUACUGCCAUUCAAAAUUGUCAGUUUAGACACUUUGCAUACAUUAAUAAUUUUUACAAUUAGCAGUAUUUGAUAUUUCAAAUACUCUAGAUCAACUUCAACGGUCCGAUAUCGAUUUGGACAUCUCUAUCAUCAAGACACAAUUUAUAGACAAGUGCUGUACUAUCCUCUUAUUAUUUAAUAAUAUAUACUAUAUAUAAUAUUAUAUAUAUAUAUAUAUAUAUAGUUGAGCUAGGAAUACUAUCGGUAGCAACGGGGCUCCGUUGCCACCAUUUGUUUUCAUGAUGAGCCUCCAAUCGACGAUCGGCCACGUUGAACAUGAUCUAUUACCACUUGAAGUUAUUUAGAAUCAAGUUUGAUACGUUUUCAUAUUAUUCUCGGUAUCAUUGAUGGACACAAAAGAUGAACGGUUGAAAAUGAUAUAGUUCUUUAAAAACAUAAUGAUAGGACGUCUUGUAGAUUCAAGAUCAAAUUAUAGAUCUUGUUUUAAUAGUUUAAAAAUUUUCUAACAAAAAUUCAAUUAUUGAUUAUCGUUACACGUUAACGAGAAAACCAUCAUAUCGACCAUUAAAAUUAUAAAUUUCUCUUCCUUGAUCAUUAGGCAAAUGGUGUGAAAAAUAUUUGAAAUUUGAUUUCUAAAUUCUUCAGAGUGCUGUAUAGAUCUUGUUAACGUGGCCGAUCGUCGAUUGAGGCUCUAUCAUCGAAAAAAAAUGUAGUGGCAACGAAGCCGUUUGCUAUCGAUAGUAUUCUAGCCUCAACAUAUUAUAUAUAUAUAUUAUAUAUAUAUAUAUAUAUAUAUAUAUAUAUAUAUAUAUAUAUAUAAUAUAUAUAUAACGUAUAGGAAUUCGACAUGACAGACGGAAUCCAAAACGAAUAAAAUAAUAUUUCCUACGAAUGAUUGAUGAGUAAAUUGUUAAAAAAUAUCUCAAAUAAAUAACGGCUAUAAUCAUUCUAUUAAAUAUAAAAUAAUAUUUCCUACGAAUGUAUGAUUAAUUUGUUAAAAAUAUGUUAAAUAAAACGAACGGCUCGAUCAAUCUAUUAAAUUUCUACUAUAUAAUAAAAAUCUAUUCUCUAUAAAUGGUUAUGAUCAAUUUGUUAAAAAAUAUCUCAAAUAAGAACAGUUAUAAUCAAUCUAUUAAAAAAUAGAAUUCACAUCAUCUAUAAAUUCAAUCUUUGAUGACGAUUAUAAACAAUUUGUUAAAAAAUAUCUCAAAUUAAAACAACGGUUAUGAUCAAUUCUUAAAAAAUAGAUUUUUAUUAAUCAUUUUAUUAUUAAAAAAAUUUGAGUUUAAAUAUAAAUUAAAACUUAAUUUUUAACUAUCAAAUUUGAAUUAUAAUUAAUUUUAUUACAGCCGGAUCAAAAUAAAUUUUAAAUUUUAAAUUUUAAAUUAAAUGUGAAUUAAAUUUGAUGCUUUUGUUAAAAAACACAUAUUUAAAUUUGAUUCAUCAAAAAUUAAAAAUUAUAUAAAAAUGUUCGACGGUAUAUAAAUAAAGAACACCGUAGGAUUUUAAAAUAUUUUCUAAUAAAAUUAAACACAUUAAUUUAUAGAUAAAUUUUUAUUGUAAAAUUUUGGAUAUAUAUAAUGUAUAAAUUAUAUUGAUUUGAAAUAAAUUAUAAUAAUUGUACGUGCAUUUGCACGUACAUUCAACUAGUGCGUAUAUUUAAUAUAUAUAUAUAUAUAUAUAUAUAUAUAAAACUAGGUUGGAAUACUAUUAAUAGCACCAAUGACUUGGUGUUAUUAAGUUUUCCGUCAUUGGAUUAAAAGAUAUGCUGUUAGAAUGAUGUGGGCCGCCUAGGGUUGAGUGGGUGGUUGGUUGAAUAGUAUAAUCGAACGGAUGAAAAUGAUAAAAGAGGUAAAUCUAACGACAGAAAACUUGAUAGCAUUAAAUGCUUCGUGCUAUCAAUAGUAUCCCAGCCGGACUUAUAUAUAUAUAUAUAUAUAUGCUACUGUACUAUCAAUAGUACCAACUUCAACUAAUGACUUGUGGAGCACUCACCUCUAUAUAGUUCUUCACAUAUUAUAAUACAAGUAAUACUGCUGGUACACUUCAAAAUAGGACACAUAUUUUAAAUCCACUUUAUUCAAGAAUCAUUAAUUCUUUACUUGUUAUAUCACAAUUUUUUAUUUUUACCAAAAAUUAUUUAAAUUUUUGUGAAUUCUAGAAUAAAGGAUGUAAGAUCUACACUCCCAUUUUGGAGUAUACAAGUAAAAAAAUCCCAAUACACGUUGUCACUUUCAGACUUUCUCUCUCACACAAUACAUUUAAAUCUCAACCCGAGUUAACGUGCCAGCAUGAACAACCCAAAUAAAAUACCGGUUGUUAUUACUGGGUUUAAUUUAAUUUCGGAUAUAUAUUAAUUUUAUGUAAUAUAUAUAUAUAUAUAUAUAUAUAUAAGCUCGAAAAGCUCGAAAAGCUCGGAUUAAGCUUGCUCGGCUCAUUAUGAGUUCGAGCCGAACUUUACUUAAAGCUCGGAAAAUAAAAUAAGUUCGAGCCGAGUAAAUUAAAGCUCAGCUCGAGCUCGCUCGGCUUAUAGCUCGGCUUGUGCUCAGCUUGCGCUCGGCCGAGCGAGCAAACGGUCGGGAUCACUUCUCUCUUCUUUUCUACCAUUAAUUAAAAAGAAAAAAAAAAGAAAAGACAAACAUUAGCCCGGUUUACCUGACCCACACCACCCAACUCAUCUCAUUAGAAAAUAAAAAAAAACCUAACCCGAAAUAUAAAUCCGUAAUCAUCUACACAAAAAUUCAAAAUCGUAUUUACCCUGUGAAUGAGUUUUCACAGGCUUUGUACACAGGGAUAUUAGAUUAAGACAACAUCACGGGCAUUAAGGUUUACUACGAAUUUUUCAUAUAUUAUAUAUAAAUUCACCUUUCAAAUCUUGAUUCACCGUUUCAUCUCUAAGAUGUUCCUGAUGGAUAUGUAAUACGCGACACUCUUUANNNNNNNNNNNNNNNNNNNNNNNNNNNNNNNNNNNNNNNNNNNNNNNNNNNNNNNNNNNNNNNNNNNNNNNNNNNNNNNNNNNNNNNNNNNNNNNNNNNNNNNNNCAUCCAUGUACAGUUUUUUUACAAAGAUCGAUUUUAAUGGCUGUGAAAAUUUUUCACAACGAUAUACACCCCAGCGAUCCAUAUAUCACUGUCAAUUUCUCACAGCGAUAUUGGAUUUUCUCACAACGAUUAAAUGGUUAUGAAUAAAUUCGUAAAUCGUUGGCGGCUUUGAGAUAGAGCAACCGACGCCACCGCCUCCUCCUGCUGUCAUUUCUGAGAAGCAGAUCUUAAAGUCACCUAACUCACUUCUCAUCCCCACCUUUGCUCGGCUCGAGCUCGCUCGAAUACAUUCGAGUUUAAGCCGAACUUUAAUUAAAGCUCGGAUUUAGAUCCGAGUUCGAGCCGAACUUUAAUUAAGCUCGGCUCGAGCUCGCUCGGAUUAAAGCUCAGCUCGGCUCGAGCUCGAGAUUUGCUCGGCUAACUUUAAGAGCUGUAAUAUAUUAGUUAUCAAAUUAAAAAUAUCUUGUAAUGGAUGUUAAACUACGUUGUACAGGUUAUCAAGUUUUAUGUUUAUUUAAAUGUGUCGCUAUAGACUGUUUUUGUUGUAGUGGGGAAGAGCAUUUUAUAAACGGAGAGAAAGUAUAAUAAAAAAAUAUUCUAAAUUUUUUCAUUAUAUAUAUAUAUAUAUAGAGAGAGAGAGAGAGAGAGAGAGAGAGAGAGAGAGAGAGAGAGAGAGAGAGUCUGGCUACUAUAUUCUUAUGAGUACGAUCGCCUUCGUACUCAUAAGUUAUUUUCGAUAAUAGAGUUUCUGAAUCAACGAUCUAUACCGUUAAACAUCAUCUAGAGCAUUAAAAAUUUCUAGGAAUCAAAUUUUAUAAUUUUUCGAUAUCAUUUACCUUACGAUAAAAAACUCAUAAAAUUGACAAUUUAAUAGCUGGUAUGAAAUAUUUGCUAGCUUAAUUAACGGUGUAAAAGAAUCAUAAUAUAUUGAAUUUUUGAUAGAAAAUUCUAUCACUAGCUAAAUAAAGAUCAAUAACUCUAAUCUUAAAUUGAAGGAUCCGAUCAUCCAUUUUUAGGAUGUUGUUUGAUUUUGACCGUUCAUUUUAUACCCGCUUGAUGGACUUUAUAAUGACUUCGAAAAAUUAUGAAAUUUAUUUUCUAAAAGUUUCAAAUACUCUAGAUUAUGUUUAACGAUGUGGUUCGUCAAUUCGAAAGCCCCAACAUUAAAAACAAUUUAUGAGUACGAAGGGCUCUAUACUCAUAAAAGUAUAGUAACCCUACUCUCUCUCUCUAUAUAUAUAUAACAUUAUGUAGAUUGUUAUGAUUUGAUUGUCAUAUAAUGUUUGUUGUUCCCACUGAAAAAGAAAAAAGCAGAUUUUAAUUCUACAUGCCUUUUUUCCCUGCUCCUAGCUUAAUCCAAUAAUAAUGUUAAACAGCUCAAUACUAAAUAGGCCUUUAUUCUUCCUUGCUGACAAGAAAACCAUUCCUUAUUAGAAUUAACUUCCAACCAUAAUUUAGACACAUUCCUACAAAAAAAAGUCAUUUUAUAAGAAAGGGCAACAAUGACUGUAUAUAGAAAAAAGUUAGAUCUUGUCUAAUUUUUGGAUAAACUUGUAAUACAUAAAAAAAAAAGAGCUAGGUCACUAUAAUAUCAGUAGUAUGGAGGCCUCUAUGCUAUUAAGUUUUUUUUAAUAAUGCGGUUUUUCAAUAAAUGAUCGAUUCUGUUAGACUUGAUCUAUACUAUUGCAAGUAUUUGAAAACUAAAUUUCAUGAUUUUUCGACAUUAUUUAGCUAGUAAUCAUAUGGUCUCAAAGUUGACAAUUUUAAUGUUUGAUAUAAUGCGUCUGUGAAUUUAACGGCGUAAAACUAUUUAAAUCUAACGAAAUUUUUAUGAAUUUUUUUUUUUACUAUUUAGAGUGAGAUCAGUAUUUCUGAUUUUAAAUUUAAGUCUUUUAUCAUUAUUUUUUAGGAGAUUUUUAUUUUCAGCUGUUCAUUUUUAGACAGUCGUUCGAUAGGUGAAUGAUGUCGAAAAAUUAUAAAAUUUAGUCUCCAAAUACUUACAAUAGUGUAAAUCAAGUCUAAUGGGACCAAUCGUUGAUUUGAAAACCGUAUCAUUAAAAACAAUUUGAUAGUACAGAGAUCUCCAUGGUACCGAUAGUAUAGCGGACGGGCUCUAAAAAAAAGUUCAAAGAUUUAAAUGUUUAAGAGAAAAUUUCAUGAACUGUGUCACAAUGUUGUCAUAGCAUGCAUAAGGAAUAUCCAUAUAUUUUUCUCCCUUCUAUGUAUUUGGUGAAAAUGACUAGAGACCCCUUCAACUACAGCCCAAUGUGAAGAAGACUCGCCAACGCACUCUAUUUGAUUUCUUUUUUUUUUUUUUAAAUGCCUCUUUAACUUCUAUUUUUUCUUAUUUAAGUUAUUCUAGUUCUUUAAGUUAAAAAUGUUAUUAAAUUUAAUAGCUCGAUUUCCUACUGUCAACUAAUUUGUCCAAUUUUAUUUACUACGAAGAGAUUAAAACCGCUAAAUUUGAUAAAAUUUUCAAAACAAAAGUAAUAUAAUCUUCAAUUUUAGCCAAAAUUACGUGAUUUUGAAAAGCAAAAGUUAAUUUAUGGGGUUCUCACCCCCCUCCCCUAUAUUUCAAGUAAUACUACUGAUACAUCCAAAUAAGAGUGUAAAUUUUAUAUUCUCUUAAUUUGUCCAAGGACAAAAAGUUUUUUCUUUGUUUGGUCUUUUUUUUUUUUUUUUUCUAAAUUCUUAAAUAAAGGAGUGUAAAUCAUAUUAUCAUUUUUCGGAGUUUACAUACAAAUAUCAAUUUUCAUAAUUUGGAGUUGCAGGGGGGGCAAUCUUUUCCUUAAAAUUGCAGCUAAAGAAAAGGGAUCCCAAUUACGAAGUGUCACCUUUCCAUGCUACUACAAUGGCAAUUAUUAUGCCUUGCUAGAAUAUGUUUGAGAAAGAUCUGUUGCAGCACAAAUUGAUGGUCCAGCUUUUAACAAUUUAAGAAUUAGGACAUGACACUUCAACUUAAAAAACAAAUAUAUAUAUAUAGAGCUAGACUGGUAUACUAUAGGUAGCACGGAGGCCUCCGUGCUACCAAGUUGUUUUCAAUGAUGCGGCUUCUAAAUCGACGAUUGGCUCCGUUAGACUUGAUUACCACUAUUAAAAGUAUUUGGAAACUAAAAUUUCAUAAUUUUUCGGCAUUAUUUACCUAUCAAACGAGUAGUCUAAAAAUGAACGGCUGAAAAUGAAAAUCUCAUAAAAAACAGUGAUAAAGAAUUCAAAAUUCAAAUCGGAAGUAUUGGUCUUGCUAUUGAUGUUAAGUAGAAUUUUCUAUUAAAUUUUCAUCUAAUUUGGAUACUUCUACACGAUUGACUUAAAAAACGCAUCAUAUCUACCAUUAAAAUUGUUUAAUUUUGGAACCUUUGAUCACUAGCCAAAUGAUGUCGAAAAAUUAUGAAAUUUAGUUUCCAAAUUCUUUUAAUAGUGUAGAUCAAGGCUACGGAGGCGCAUCGUGAUUUGAAAGUUGCAUCAUUGAAACAGCUUGGUAGCACGGAGGCCUCCGUGCUACCGAUAGUAUAUCAGCCUAGCUCUCUCUCUCUCUCUCUCUCUCUCUCUCUCUCUCUAUAUAUAUAUAUAUAUAUAAUUGAGCUAGAAUACUCUCAAAAGUACCAACCCCUUGGUGCUUUUGAGUUUCUAGCCCUUGGAUCUACUCCUUGAUUACUAAUAGCAUUUGGAUCAAACACUAUUCCACGUACCACCACUUACCACCAUCAUCUCAACCCUACAUCUCUCCAUCCAAUGGCUAAAAUCUCAAAAGCACCAACCCCUUGGUGCUUUUGAGAGUAUUCUAGCUCAACUCUCUCUCUCUCUCUAUAUAUAUAUAUAGUGUAGAGCUACUAUACUAUCGGAAGCAUAGAGGAUCUGAUGCUUCUAACUUUUUGACCUUUGGAUCAAAAAUUGUACGGUUGGGAUGAUUGCGGCCCUAGGGUUGAGUGGUCCCGAUAGGCUAAUAGCUAGUAUUAAUUCAAAGGUUAGAAAUGAUUAAAGAAGUUGAUCUAAGGGCCAAAAAAUCGGAAGCACCAGAUCCUCUAUGCUUCCGAUAGCAUAGUAGCUCUACUCUCUCUCUCUCUAUAUAUAUAUAUAUAGAGUAGGGUCACUAUACUCUUAUGAGUAUAAAGCCCUUCGUAUUCAUAAGUUGUUUUCGAUAUUGAGAUUUUUGAAUCGAUGAUCUACACCGUUAAAUAUGAUGUAGAGUAUUUGAAACUUCUAGAAAAUAAUUUCGUAAUUUUUCGAAAUCAUUAUAAAGUUCAUCAAGUAGGUAUAAAAUGAAUGGUUAAAAUCGAACGACAUCCUAAAAAUGGAUGAUUAGAUCAUUCAAUUUAAGAUCGGAGUUAUUGAACUUUAUUUAGAGUUAUUGAACUUUAUUUAGGUAGUGAAUAGAAUUUUCUAUCAAAAAUUCAAUCUAUUCCGAUUCUUUUGCACCGUUAAACUAGCAAAUAUCUCAUAUCGGCCGUUAAAAAUUUUUAAUUUUGUGAGCUUUUGAUCGUAAAUGAUGUCGAAAAAUUAUAAAAUUUUGAUUUCUAGAUGUUUUAAAUGCUCUAGAAAAUGUUAACGGUAUGGAUCGCCGAUUCUGAAACUCUAUCAUCGAAAACGACUUAUGAGCACGAAGGCGAUCGUACUCAUAAGAGUACAGUAGCCGGACUCUAUAUAUAUAUAUAGAGUCCGGCUACUGUACUCUUAUGAGUACGAUCGCCUUCGUGCUCAUAAGUCGUUUUCGAUGAUAGAGUUUCAGAAUCGGCGAUCCAUACCGUUAACAUUUUCUAGAGCAUUUAAAACAUCUAGAAAUCAAAAUUUUAUAAUUUUUCGACAUCAUUUACGAUCAAAAGCUCACAAAAUUAAAAAUUUUUAACGGCCGAUAUGAGAUAUUUGCUAGUUUAACGGUGCAAAAGAAUCGGAAUAGAUUGAAUUUUUGAUAGAAAAUUCUAUUCACUANNNNNNNNNNNNNNNNNNNNNNNNNNNNNNNNNNNNNNNNNNNNNNNNNNNNNNNNNNNNNNNNNNNNNNNNNNNNNNNNNNNNNNNNNNNNNNNNNNNNNNNNNNNNNNNNNNNNNNNNNNNNNNNNNNNNNNNNNNNNNNNNNNNNNNNNNNNNNNNNNNNNNNNNNNNNNNNNNNNNNNNNNNNNNNNNNNNNNNNNNNNNNNNNNNNNNNNNNNNNNNNNNNNNNNNNNNNNNNNNNNNNNNNNNNNNNNNNNNNNNNNNNNNNNNNNNNNNNNNNNNNNNNNNNNNNNNNNNNNNNNNNNNNNNNNNNNNNNNNNNNNNNNNNNNNNNNNNNNNNNNNNNNNNNNNNNNNNNNNNNNNNNNNNNNNNNNNNNNNNNNNNNNNNNNNNNNNNNNNNNNNNNNNNNNNNNNNNNNNNNNNNNNNNNNNNNNNNNNNNNNNNNNNNNNNNNNNNNNNNNNNNNNNNNNNNNNNNNNNNNNNNNNNNNNNNNNNNNNNNNNNNNNNNNNNNNNNNNNNNNNNNNNNNNNNNNNNNNNNNNNNNNNNNNNNNNNNNNNNNNNNNNNNNNNNNNNNNNNNNNNNNNNNNNNNNNNNNNNNNNNNNNNNNNNNNNNNNNNNNNNNNNNNNNNNNNNNNNNNNNNNNNNNNNNNNNNNNNNNNNNNNNNNNNNNNNNNNNNNNNNNNNNNNNNNNNNNNNNNNNNNNNNNNNNNNNNNNNNNNNNNNNNNNNNNNNNNNNNNNNNNNNNNNNNNNNNNNNNNNNNNNNNNNNNNNNNNNNNNNNNNNNNNNNNNNNNNNNNNNNNNNNNNNNNNNNNNNNNNNNNNNNNNNNNNNNNNNNNNNNNNNNNNNNNNNNNNNNNNNNNNNNNNNNNNNNNNNNNNNNNNNNNNNNNNNNNNNNNNNNNNNNNNNNNNNNNNNNNNNNNNNNNNNNNNNNNNNNNNNNNNNNNNNNNNNNNNNNNNNNNNNNNNNNNNNNNNNNNNNNNNNNNNNNNNNNNNNNNNNNNNNNNNNNNNNNNNNNNNNNNNNNNNNNNNNNNNNNNNNNNNNNNNNNNNNNNNNNNNNNNNNNNNNNNNNNNNNNNNNNNNNNNNNNNNNNNNNNNNNNNNNNNNNNNNNNNNNNNNNNNNNNNNNNNNNNNNNNNNNNNNNNNNNNNNNNNNNNNNNNNNNNNNNNNNNNNNNNNNNNNNNNNNNNNNNNNNNNNNNNNNNNNNNNNNNNNNNNNNNNNNNNNNNNNNNNNNNNNNNNNNNNNNNNNNNNNNNNNNNNNNNNNNNNNNNNNNNNNNNNNNNNNNNNNNNNNNNNNNNNNNNNNNNNNNNNNNNNNNNNNNNNNNNNNNNNNNNNNNNNNNNNNNNNNNNNNNNNNNNNNNNNNNNNNNNNNNNNNNNNNNNNNNNNNNNNNNNNNNNNNNNNNNNNNNNNNNNNNNNNNNNNNNNNNNNNNNNNNNNNNNNNNNNNNNNNNNNNNNNNNNNNNNNNNNNNNNNNNNNNNNNNNNNNNNNNNNNNNNNNNNNNNNNNNNNNNNNNNNNNNNNNNNNNNNNNNNNNNNNNNNNNNNNNNNNNNNNNNNNNNNNNNNNNNNNNNNNNNNNNNNNNNNNNNNNNNNNNNNNNNNNNNNNNNNNNNNNNNNNNNNNNNNNNNNNNNNNNNNNNNNNNNNNNNNNNNNNNNNNNNNNNNNNNNNNNNNNNNNNNNNNNNNNNNNNNNNNNNNNNNNNNNNNNNNNNNNNNNNNNNNNNNNNNNNNNNNNNNNNNNNNNNNNNNNNNNNNNNNNNNNNNNNNNNNNNNNNNNNNNNNNNNNNNNNNNNNNNNNNNNNNNNNNNNNNNNNNNNNNNNNNNNNNNNNNNNNNNNNNNNNNNNNNNNNNNNNNNNNNNNNNNNNNNNNNNNNNNNNNNNNNNNNNNNNNNNNNNNNNNNNNNNNNNNNNNNNNNNNNNNNNNNNNNNNNNNNNNNNNNNNNNNNNNNNNNNNNNNNNNNNNNNNNNNNNNNNNNNNNNNNNNNNNNNNNNNNNNNNNNNNNNNNNNNNNNNNNNNNNNNNNNNNNNNNNNNNNNNNNNNNNNNNNNNNNNNNNNNNNNNNNNNNNNNNNNNNNNNNNNNNNNNNNNNNNNNNNNNNNNNNNNNNNNNNNNNNNNNNNNNNNNNNNNNNNNNNNNNNNNNNNNNNNNNNNNNNNNNNNNNNNNNNNNNNNNNNNNNNNNNNNNNNNNNNNNNNNNNNNNNNNNNNNNNNNNNNNNNNNNNNNNNNNNNNNNNNNNNNNNNNNNNNNNNNNNNNNNNNNNNNNNNNNNNNNNNNNNNNNNNNNNNNNNNNNNNNNNNNNNNNNNNNNNNNNNNNNNNNNNNNNNNNNNNNNNNNNNNNNNNNNNNNNNNNNNNNNNNNNNNNNNNNNNNNNNNNNNNNNNNNNNNNNNNNNNNNNNNNNNNNNNNNNNNNNNNNNNNNNNNNNNNNNNNNNNNNNNNNNNNNNNNNNNNNNNNNNNNNNNNNNNNNNNNNNNNNNNNNNNNNNNNNNNNNNNNNNNNNNNNNNNNNNNNNNNNNNNNNNNNNNNNNNNNNNNNNNNNNNNNNNNNNNNNNNNNNNNNNNNNNNNNNNNNNNNNNNNNNNNNNNNNNNNNNNNNNNNNNNNNNNNNNNNNNNNNNNNNNNNNNNNNNNNNNNNNNNNNNNNNNNNNNNNNNNNNNNNNNNNNNNNNNNNNNNNNNNNNNNNNNNNNNNNNNNNNNNNNNNNNNNNNNNNNNNNNNNNNNNNNNNNNNNNNNNNNNNNNNNNNNNNNNNNNNNNNNNNNNNNNNNNNNNNNNNNNNNNNNNNNNNNNNNNNNNNNNNNNNNNNNNNNNNNNNNNNNNNNNNNNNNNNNNNNNNNNNNNNNNNNNNNNNNNNNNNNNNNNNNNNNNNNNNNNNNNNNNNNNNNNNNNNNNNNNNNNNNNNNNNNNNNNNNNNNNNNNNNNNNNNNNNNNNNNNNNNNNNNNNNNNNNNNNNNNNNNNNNNNNNNNNNNNNNNNNNNNNNNNNNNNNNNNNNNNNNNNNNNNNNNNNNNNNNNNNNNNNNNNNNNNNNNNNNNNNNNNNNNNNNNNNNNNNNNNNNNNNNNNNNNNNNNNNNNNNNNNNNNNNNNNNNNNNNNNNNNNNNNNNNNNNNNNNNNNNNNNNNNNNNNNNNNNNNNNNNNNNNNNNNNNNNNNNNNNNNNNNNNNNNNNNNNNNNNNNNNNNNNNNNNNNNNNNNNNNNNNNNNNNNNNNNNNNNNNNNNNNNNNNNNNNNNNNNNNNNNNNNNNNNNNNNNNNNNNNNNNNNNNNNNNNNNNNNNNNNNNNNNNNNNNNNNNNNNNNNNNNNNNNNNNNNNNNNNNNNNNNNNNNNNNNNNNNNNNNNNNNNNNNNNNNNNNNNNNNNNNNNNNNNNNNNNNNNNNNNNNNNNNNNNNNNNNNNNNNNNNNNNNNNNNNNNNNNNNNNNNNNNNNNNNNNNNNNNNNNNNNNNNNNNNNNNNNNNNNNNNNNNNNNNNNNNNNNNNNNNNNNNNNNNNNNNNNNNNNNNNNNNNNNNNNNNNNNNNNNNNNNNNNNNNNNNNNNNNNNNNNNNNNNNNNNNNNNNNNNNNNNNNNNNNNNNNNNNNNNNNNNNNNNNNNNNNNNNNNNNNNNNNNNNNNNNNNNNNNNNNNNNNNNNNNNNNNNNNNNNNNNNNNNNNNNNNNNNNNNNNNNNNNNNNNNNNNNNNNNNNNNNNNNNNNNNNNNNNNNNNNNNNNNNNNNNNNNNNNNNNNNNNNNNNNNNNNNNNNNNNNNNNNNNNNNNNNNNNNNNNNNNNNNNNNNNNNNNNNNNNNNNNNNNNNNNNNNNNNNNNNNNNNNNNNNNNNNNNNNNNNNNNNNNNNNNNNNNNNNNNNNNNNNNNNNNNNNNNNNNNNNNNNNNNNNNNNNNNNNNNNNNNNNNNNNNNNNNNNNNNNNNNNNNNNNNNNNNNNNNNNNNNNNNNNNNNNNNNNNNNNNNNNNNNNNNNNNNNNNNNNNNNNNNNNNNNNNNNNNNNNNNNNNNNNNNNNNNNNNNNNNNNNNNNNNNNNNNNNNNNNNNNNNNNNNNNNNNNNNNNNNNNNNNNNNNNNNNNNNNNNNNNNNNNNNNNNNNNNNNNNNNNNNNNNNNNNNNNNNNNNNNNNNNNNNNNNNNNNNNNNNNNNNNNNNNNNNNNNNNNNNNNNNNNNNNNNNNNNNNNNNNNNNNNNNNNNNNNNNNNNNNNNNNNNNNNNNNNNNNNNNNNNNNNNNNNNNNNNNNNNNNNNNNNNNNNNNNNNNNNNNNNNNNNNNNNNNNNNNNNNNNNNNNNNNNNNNNNNNNNNNNNNNNNNNNNNNNNNNNNNNNNNNNNNNNNNNNNNNNNNNNNNNNNNNNNNNNNNNNNNNNNNNNNNNNNNNNNNNNNNNNNNNNNNNNNNNNNNNNNNNNNNNNNNNNNNNNNNNNNNNNNNNNNNNNNNNNNNNNNNNNNNNNNNNNNNNNNNNNNNNNNNNNNNNNNNNNNNNNNNNNNNNNNNNNNNNNNNNNNNNNNNNNNNNNNNNNNNNNNNNNNNNNNNNNNNNNNNNNNNNNNNNNNNNNNNNNNNNNNNNNNNNNNNNNNNNNNNNNNNNNNNNNNNNNNNNNNNNNNNNNNNNNNNNNNNNNNNNNNNNNNNNNNNNNNNNNNNNNNNNNNNNNNNNNNNNNNNNNNNNNNNNNNNNNNNNNNNNNNNNNNNNNNNNNNNNNNNNNNNNNNNNNNNNNNNNNNNNNNNNNNNNNNNNNNNNNNNNNNNNNNNNNNNNNNNNNNNNNNNNNNNNNNNNNNNNNNNNNNNNNNNNNNNNNNNNNNNNNNNNNNNNNNNNNNNNNNNNNNNNNNNNNNNNNNNNNNNNNNNNNNNNNNNNNNNNNNNNNNNNNNNNNNNNNNNNNNNNNNNNNNNNNNNNNNNNNNNNNNNNNNNNNNNNNNNNNNNNNNNNNNNNNNNNNNNNNNNNNNNNNNNNNNNNNNNNNNNNNNNNNNNNNNNNNNNNNNNNNNNNNNNNNNNNNNNNNNNNNNNNNNNNNNNNNNNNNNNNNNNNNNNNNNNNNNNNNNNNNNNNNNNNNNNNNNNNNNNNNNNNNNNNNNNNNNNNNNNNNNNNNNNNNNNNNNNNNNNNNNNNNNNNNNNNNNNNNNNNNNNNNNNNNNNNNNNNNNNNNNNNNNNNNNNNNNNNNNNNNNNNNNNNNNNNNNNNNNNNNNNNNNNNNNNNNNNNNNNNNNNNNNNNNNNNNNNNNNNNNNNNNNNNNNNNNNNNNNNNNNNNNNNNNNNNNNNNNNNNNNNNNNNNNNNNNNNNNNNNNNNNNNNNNNNNNNNNNNNNNNNNNNNNNNNNNNNNNNNNNNNNNNNNNNNNNNNNNNNNNNNNNNNNNNNNNNNNNNNNNNNNNNNNNNNNNNNNNNNNNNNNNNNNNNNNNNNNNNNNNNNNNNNNNNNNNNNNNNNNNNNNNNNNNNNNNNNNNNNNNNNNNNNNNNNNNNNNNNNNNNNNNNNNNNNNNNNNNNNNNNNNNNNNNNNNNNNNNNNNNNNNNNNNNNNNNNNNNNNNNNNNNNNNNNNNNNNNNNNNNNNNNNNNNNNNNNNNNNNNNNNNNNNNNNNNNNNNNNNNNNNNNNNNNNNNNNNNNNNNNNNNNNNNNNNNNNNNNNNNNNNNNNNNNNNNNNNNNNNNNNNNNNNNNNNNNNNNNNNNNNNNNNNNNNNNNNNNNNNNNNNNNNNNNNNNNNNNNNNNNNNNNNNNNNNNNNNNNNNNNNNNNNNNNNNNNNNNNNNNNNNNNNNNNNNNNNNNNNNNNNNNNNNNNNNNNNNNNNNNNNNNNNNNNNNNNNNNNNNNNNNNNNNNNNNNNNNNNNNNNNNNNNNNNNNNNNNNNNNNNNNNNNNNNNNNNNNNNNNNNNNNNNNNNNNNNNNNNNNNNNNNNNNNNNNNNNNNNNNNNNNNNNNNNNNNNNNNNNNNNNNNNNNNNNNNNNNNNNNNNNNNNNNNNNNNNNNNNNNNNNNNNNNNNNNNNNNNNNNNNNNNNNNNNNNNNNNNNNNNNNNNNNNNNNNNNNNNNNNNNNNNNNNNNNNNNNNNNNNNNNNNNNNNNNNNNNNNNNNNNNNNNNNNNNNNNNNNNNNNNNNNNNNNNNNNNNNNNNNNNNNNNNNNNNNNNNNNNNNNNNNNNNNNNNNNNNNNNNNNNNNNNNNNNNNNNNNNNNNNNNNNNNNNNNNNNNNNNNNNNNNNNNNNNNNNNNNNNNNNNNNNNNNNNNGUUCCAGAACAGCUGAACCGGUCGAAACGAGCUAUUGGACUGAUAUGAACGGAGUCCGAUACGCACCAGAAGCCAACUCUACUUCGUGGCUUCUCCGGUAAACCGGAGUUACUAUUCACUUAAGUGAAAACUAAAAAAUCGUGUAUCUUUUCCAUUUUAGCUCAGUUUCUCCUGAAACUUGACGAGUGCUUAUGUAAUUAAAUUACACACAUAAACAUCAUCAACAGAGAGUUUAGUUGCACUGUCAAAAAUCUCAGUCCUUACAAUCGAGCUACUAAACAUGCUAUACAAAGCGAAAAUACAUAUCGACAACAAACUAGACUUAGGAGAAAAUCCGUAGAAUCCUGUAAGCAUAUCAUUAACUCACCUCAAAAGCUACUCCAACAAUGGCGAGAAGUCGAAAGAAGCGGAACCACGCGCUCGCUCGGACUCCCAACGAAGCAACUGCGACGUCCACGCACUUGAACGGCUCCUCGGCGCGACGUCGGCAUCGAUCCGAACUCCACCCGAAGUCUCCUCCUUGUGUACGGUCAAGGGCUAGAGAGAGAGAGAAGAACCAGCCAAAACCCUCUAUCUCUGCCUCCCUACAUGUAUAUAGAGGGAGUUGGUAAGGGUGAAAACAACGAGGCAGCCAAAAGACCAAACAGCCCCUCACCUACCCUGGAGUACCGGUACAAGGUAGAUGCCGUACCGGUAACCCGCAGCAGAAUAUGCAACCCGAGUGCAGCAGUCGGAAAAUCUAUACUGUGGUACCGGUGCUCCCCUGUGUGGUACCGGUACGCAUUGCUGAAAACCUGCAAUUUGCAGAUUUUAAUGCUAAAAACCUGCUCUCGGGUGGCAACGAAUCUGUCUUGCGUCUAUUUCGCGCCAACGUGACUCGGACUUGUCUCGGCACUCUCCAGAUGUGUCAACAAGCCUCAAAUGCUGUAAUUCCAUAGCUGCUGGCCACCAGGGAUACUAUAGUUCAAUUUUAAUAGCUCAUUUUAUGCCCGCUUGAUGGAUAUUAUUAUGAUUUCGAAAAAUACGAAAUUUAUUUUCUAGAAGUUUCAAAUACUCUAGAUCAUAUUUAACAGUGUGGAUCGUCGAUUUGAAAACCCCAACAUCGAAAACAGCUUAUGAGUACGAAUGACUCUAUACUCAUAAGAGUAUAGUAACCCUACUAUAUACAACUCGUUGGGCCUAAACCACCGGCCCAAAAUGCUUAAGCCCAAUUAUUAUUAUUAGCGUGUAGGCCUUAUAUAAACUGAUCGGAAUCAGUAUCCCAUUCGAUGUGGGACUAUUGGGGCGUUACAAACUCCCCCUAUUUAGACCCUGACGUCCUCGUCGGGUCCAAACCAGAUCACAGAUAGACAGACAGACAGACCAGAACCAGAAUUACCAGGCGAUGUGAAAUUCUAGAGGUGGCUCAUACGGGUUCAAGAGGUGGCUCUCACGAAACCCAUUGAUGUAGCACUUUGUCCCGCAUAGCACUUAGCUCUCACAUUUUCGGCUGGUAUUCGGCUCUAAUACCAAUUGCAACGACCCGACUCGCUAGCAACAAUAACUCGUUGGCCCAAACCACCGGCCCAAAAUGCUUAAACCCAGUUAUUAUUAUUAGCGUGUAGGCCUCAUAUAAACUGAUCGGAACCAGUAUCCCAUCUGAUGUGGGACUAUUCGUACUCAUAAGUUGUUUUCGAUGUUGGGGUUUUCGAAUCGACGAUCCACACCGUUAAAUAUGAUCUAGAGUAUUUGAAACUUUUAGAAAAUAAAUUUUAUAAUUUUUCAAAAUCAUUAUAAAGUCUAUCAAGAUGGCAUAAAAUGAACGGUUAAAAUCGAACGACAUCCUAAAAAUGGAUGAUCGGAGUUAUUGAUCUUUAUUUAGGUAAUGAAUAGAAUUUUCUAUCAAAAAUUCAACCUAUUCUGAUUCUUUUUCACCGUAAACUAGCAAAUAUCUCAUACCGACUAUUAAAAAUUGUCAAUUUUGUGAGAUUUUGAUCGUAAGGUAAAUGAUGUAAAAAAAUUAUGAAAUUUGAUUUCUAAAAGUUUUAAAUGCUCUAGAUAAUGUUUAACGGUAUGCAUCGUCGACUCGAAAGCUCUAUCAUCGAAAACAACUUAUGAGUACGAAGACGAUUGUACUCAUAAGAGUAUAGUAGACGGACUAUAUAUAUAUAUAUAUAUAUAUAGAGAGAGAGAGAGAGAGAGAGAGAGAGAGAGAGAGAGAGAGAGAGAGAGAGAGUGUGUGUCCAGCUGGGAUACUAUCGAUAGCACAAAGUGCUUGGUACUAUCGAGUUUUUUGCCGUUAGAUUUAACCCUUUACUAUUUUUUUCGUUAGACUAUAUCAUUUAAUCAAUAACUCACUCAAUCCUAAAGGGCCUAUAUCAUUGUAACCGUACACUUUUUCACGCAAGGGCUGAAAACCUAAUAGCAUAAAUAGUUUGGUGCUAUUGAUAGUAUUCCGGCCUAUAUAUAUAUAUAUAUAUAUAUAUAUAUAUAUAUAUAUAUAUAUAUAUAUAGUUGAGCUAGAAUACUAUCGAUAGCAAACGGGCUCCGUUGUCAUCCAUUUGUUUUCGAUGAUGGAGCCUCUAAAUCGACAAUCGGCACCGUUGAACAUAAUUUAUAUCACUUGAAGUGUUUAGAAAUCAAAUUUCAUACAUUUUCGAUAUUGUUCUCUUAUCCAUCAAGUGGACACAAAAAUAAAAGGCUGAAAAUGAAUAUUUUUUAAAAAAUGAUGAUAGGAGUCUUGUAAUCAAGAUCAAGAGUAUAGAUCUUGUUUUAAAUAGUUUAAAAAGUUUUCUAACAAAAAUUUAAUUGAUUUGGAUAUCUUUACGCCGUUAAACGAGAAAAUGCCUCAUAUCGACCAUUAAAAUUAUAAAUUUUGAAACUCUUUGAUCAUUAGGUAAAUGAUGUCGAAAGAUUUGAAAUUUGGUUUCUAAACACUUCAAGUGGUAUAGAUCAUGUUCAACGGUGCCAAUCGUCGAUUUGGAGGCUCCAUCAUCGAAAACAAAUGGGUGGUAACGGAGCCCGUUUGUUAUCGAUAGUAUUCUAGCUCAACUAUAUAUAUAUAUAUAGCUAGGCUCCUAUGCUUUCAAAAGUACGAAAGCCUCCGUACUUGUAAGUUAUUUUCAAUAAUGGGACAUCUGAUUCGGAGAUCGGUUCCGUUAGACAUGAUCUAUGUUAUUAGAACUACCUAGAAACCAAAUUUCAUAAUUUUUUGGCUUCGUUUGUCUAGUAAACAAGUCGCCUCAAAAUGAACGGCUGAAAAUAAAAAUCUCAUAAAAACCAGUGAUAAAAGACUCAAAUUUCAAAUCGAAAGUAUUGGUCUUGCUAUUGAUGUUAAGUAGAAUUUUCUAUUAAAUUUUUAUCUAAUUUGGAUACUUCUACACCGUUGAACUUAAAAACGUGCCAAAUUGGCCGUUAAAAUAGUCAUUUUUGAGAUCUUUUGAUCGCUUGGUAAAUAAUGUCAAAAAAUUAUAAAAUUUGGUUUCUAAAUAGUUCCAAUAUAGUAGAUUAUACUUAACGGAACCGAUCGUCGAAUCGGAUUUCCUAUCAUCGAAAACAACUUACAAGCACGGAGGUCUCCGUACUUUCGAAAGUACAGGAGACUUACUAUAUAUAUAUAUAUAUAUAUAUAUAUAUUAUAUAUAUAUAUGUAUAUAUUAUAUAUAUUUUAGAGUCCGGCUACUAUACUAUUGAUAGUACCAAGCCCUUGGUACUAUUAAGUUUUCUACCGUUAGAUCUAUCCUUGAUCAUUUCACCCGUUAGAUUAUACUAUUAAAUCAACCACCCACUCAACCCUAGGGACCACUAUCAAUUUAACGGGAACCACUAUUAUCCUAACCGCAUAUUCUUUCAUCCAACGGCAAAAAACUCAAUAGUACCAAGGGCUUGGUACUAUUGAUAGUAUAGUACUAAGUCAUUGGUGCUUGUAAGUUUUCGGCCCUUAGAUUAAGGGAUGUGCGCUUAGGAUGAUGUGGGCCCCCUAGGGUUGAGUGGGUGGUUGGUGAAUAGUAUAAUCUAACGGUGUGAAAAUGAUUAAAGACGUAGAUCUAAUGGUAAAAAAUUUGUAAGCACCAAGUGCUUGGUGCUUUUACAAGUACCAUAGCGGGACUCUUCUCUUCUCUCUCUCUCUCUCUCCUCUCUCUCUCUCUCUUCUCUCUCUCUCUAUAUAUAUAUAUUAAAUAUAUAUAUAUAUAUAUAAUAUAUAUAUAUAUAGAACUAGGCUGGAAUACUAUUAAUAGCACCAAUGACUUGGUGCUGAUUAAGUUUUUCGCCUUUGGAUUAAAAGAUGUGGGGUUAAGAUAAUGUGGGCCCCCUAGGGUUGAGUGGGUGGUUGGUUGAAUAGUAUAAUUAACGAGUAAAAAUAAUCGAAGGGGUUAAUCUAACGGCAGAAAACUUGAUAGCACCAAGUGUUUGGUGCUAUCGAUAGCAUACCAGCCGGACUCUCUCUCUCUCUCUCUCUCUCUCUCUCUCUCUCUCUCUCUCUCUCUCUCUCUAUAUAUAUAUAUAUAUAUAUAUAUAUAUAUAUAUAGUCCGACUACUAUACCCUUAUAAGUACAAUCACCUUCGUAUUCAUAAGUCAUUUUUUAUGAUAGAGCUUGCGAAUCAACGAUGCAUACCAUUAAACAUUAUGUAGAGCAUUUAAGGCUUCUAAAUAUUAAAUUUUAUAAUUUUUCGACAUCAUUAACUUUACAAUCAAAAGUUUACAAAAUUGACAAUUUUUAACAGUCGGUAUAGGAUACUUACUAGUUUAAUAGUGUAAAAGAAUCGGAAUGGGUUGAAUUUUUGAUAAAAAAUUCUAUUCACUACCUAAAUAAAUAUCAAUAAUUCCGAUCUAAAAUUGAAGAAUCCGAUCAUCCAUUUUUAGGACGUUGUUCGAUUUUGACUGUUCAUUUUAUGCACGCUUGAUGAAUUUUAUUAUGAUUUUGAAAAAUUAAGAAAUUUAUUUUCUAGAAGUUUCAAAUACCCUAUAUCAUAUUCAUCGGAGUGGAUCGUCGAUUCGGAAGCUCCAUCAUCAAAAACAAUUUAUGAGUAUGAAGGUCUCUAUACUUAUAAAAGUAUAGUAGCCCUACUCUCUCUCUCUAUAUAUAUAUAUAUAGAAUCCAGCUAGGAUACUAUCGAUAGCACCAAGGGUUUGGUGCUAUCGAGUUUUCCACCGUUAGAUUUAAUCUUUUAAUCAUUUUACCCGUUAGAUUAUACUAUUCAACCAACCACCCACUCAACCCUAAGGGGCCCACAUCAUCCUAAUCGCACAAUUCUCAAUCCAAGGGCUAAAAACUAAAUAGCACCAAUAGUUUGAUGCUAUUGAUAGUAUUUCAGCUAGCCUAGUUAUAUAUAUAUAUAUAUAUAUAUAUAUAUAUUGUGGCAUUUAUUUUGAAGAUCCAUUUUUUGAGUCAUUAUCUAUAUUAUGUAAGCAUCCAUGGCCCUCUUUGAGAAAAGAGAAAAAGGAGAAGCAAGAAUACUAUACAGUGCAUUUAGGAGGAUUUAAAUAAAAUAAUUGUUGGCAUUUGUUGAUAAUUGCUCUAUAAGAAAAGGCACUUUUGUGGAACAUCCUGUGACAAGUUGAGGGCUAUGUAAAGCUAUUAGGCAAAAAGGUUGCGACAUAUUUUCUAUAGCAACUAAAAUAGAAAAUUUUCUCCAUCUUGUGCCAUAGUUUUUUUUUUUAUAGAAUGUGAUAUUCGUUAAUGGAAAUAAGCUAAAUAUUUUUUGUAAUAUUUUUGGCUUUUUUGCAUAUAAAAAAAUUCACUGGUUCUGUUCGGAUUUGGCAAAAAUUCGGUACAGAUAUAAUACGCAUAAAUUUUAUUUUCUAAUUUUUAAAUUCGUUGAGAAAUACGGCUUAAAAAACAGAUUUGGUAUAAAAUAUAAAAUAUAAGAUAUAAAAUAUAAGAUAAUCUAUAUUUAAACAUAAAAAUUAUAAGUAUGUUAUUCAGAUUUUCAAUAAUUCGGGAAUAAUUCGCAAAUUAUUCGCGAAUUAUUUGACUAGCGCAAAAAUUCACGAAUAAUUUCGUUUCUUUGGAAAAAAUUCAUAAACGGAACGUUUAAUUCGGAUUUUCAAUAAUUCGCAAAUAAUUUGAGAAUUAACUAACAAAGGUCUAGAAUACUACCGGUAGUACGGAAGUCUUUAUGUUUCCAAGUUGUUUCGAUGACGGGACAUUCAAAUUGACAAUUGUCUCCGUUAAACGUGACCUACAAUAUUAAAAGUAUCUAGAAAUAAAUUUUUAUGAUAUUUCAACAUCAUUUAUCUUUAAAAUGUUGAACAAUUGAAAAUAAAAAUAUCAUAAACAUAAUUAUAAAAAAUUUAAAUUUCAUAUCAGAGUUAUUGAUUUUCUUCUAAGUAGUGAAAAAAAACUAUCAAAAUUUUAGUAGAUUUGAAUUUUCUACACUGAAACUUACAAAUAUAUCAUUUCGACAAUUUAAAUUGUCAAUUUAAGACAUUUCGAUCACUAGUUAAAUGGUAUAAAAAAAUAUGAAAUUUAAUUUCUAAGUAUUUUCAAUAGCAUAGGUUGUUUAACAGAACUGAUUAUCAAUUUGGAUAUUCUAUCAUCGAAAAUAACUCGACAGCAAAGAGGUUUCCAUGCUAUCUGAUCAUAAAGUAUUCGACCCAUUUAACAACGGAUACCGAAUAUUUAUGAGAUCCCUUCUCGGAACCCAUACGUGUUUCCGCGAACUCAAGCUCAGAUUGAUGUUUUGUUCGAAAAGGCCUAGAAUCCAGAUUUGAUUCUUGUGUUAUAAUAUAAGAAACAAAAAAUGGGGGAGAAGAAGAAAUAUUUUUUUAAAAUAGGAUCACUCUACUCCAUUUCAUAGAUCAAGAACAGUCGAAAAAGAAAGUAAGAAAAGGAUGGUAUCUGUUAAAAUAAACAAGUUGGGCGCUCUCUCUCUCUCUCUCUCUCUAUAUAUAUAUAUAAUUGUGAACCUUUUAGAAUCCUCAAUUUGUUUUAAAGGAGUUUAAUGUUCAAUUGUGAUGGAAUAUUAGAGGCCACGUCUCAAAACUGAGAAGCUCUUUUAUAUAUAAUUGUGACGCAAGUUUAAUUUGUCUUAAGAGAGUUUUAUAUUCAAUUGUGAUGGAGUUAGCGGUCAUAUCUCAAAGAUAAGAAGAAGCUUUUUAGGAUCCUUAAUUGUUUAUUCAAUGAGAUAGAAUCCUUAUAACUUUUUGUACUAUUGUAAGAUAAAUUCCCUUAUUGUGGGUCAGAGCUAUUUAGAUGAGUAUCUUUUGGGAACUCGUAAUUUGAUAUUUUUUUAAAGUCCUGAUUUGGAGUAUCCUUUUGGUUUUUCUUCCCAACAUUUAUCUGCUAUUACCGACCGUCCCUAAUGCAAAUUGAUACUUGACACACGAUGUCUCAAGUUUAAAACCUAAUUGUUUCAUAUUUUUAACUAAAUUUAUUUUUAAAAUAAAUAAACGAAGCAAAUAGCAUGUUACAUUUUCUUCCAGAAAAAAUAUUUAUCUGCUACCAACAAUAUGAAAUUUUGGAUGUUUUGUUCUUUUUUUCAACAGCUUGCCUCUCACUUGAUUUUCUUGGCUGCAUUCUCUUGUCCUCCUUCAAGCCUUCUAGUUCCAAAAGUAGCAUUUUGUUGUUAUUAAAGCUUCUUUAAUUAGCCAAACUGUACUUUUGCCUUAUCAUCUAAUGCUCUGCCAUUUUUUUUAUUGUUUUUAAGUACUAAUUCUAAGAUAAGUAUAUUUUUCUAGCUCCAAGGUUAAAUAGUACAUAAUAUCUUCUUCAUUAGUCUCUACUGCUUUAGAGAUAAUAUCCAGCAAAUUCUAGAUAUCCCCAAAAGCAAAACUAUCUUAGACUAAACACAUUUUUACACUUAUAACGGUUUAUUCCGAAAUAUCUAAUUAAUUAUCCCUAAACAUAAAAAAGAAUGUUAUACUUGAGGAAAUUAUCCCCAAACGAGACAUAGCCUAAGCUAGCGUUGGUUACAUAUGUAUAUAAGCACUCUGUUUUGCCUCAAGAAUUUAUAUGAACUUAAUCUAUUAACUAACUACAUUUCUUUUUGAGUAAAUCACAAGGAUAAGAUGUUAAGAAAUUUAGAAAGCAUGCACUAAUAUAGUAUGAGAAAUAUUUUUGGAAGAGAACUUUUGUUUUAUUUGUGACUUUGGUUGCUUGAGAUGUUCAAUCAUUUAAUUUUAGAUAAAGUAUAUUAUAUAUCUUUUGACUGCUUUUUUACUUCGUUGGUUUAGUGUUCAAUACAGAGAGAAAGCAACAGGAGUUUUGAAUUUGUUGAUAUUCCUAGAUAUAUAUACUUUCUCUUACAAGAGAUUGCACUAAAGCAAGGAAUGUUUUUAAUAGUCUAUUUCUUCUGGACUUCAUGCUUUUUCUACUUUAUCUUGUUUAGGAAGAAUGUAGAGGUAGUUGGUUAAUUUUGUUAGAUUCAUACUACUAAAAUAAAAUCCUCCAGCUUCUUAGUUGAAUUUAAAUUCAAAUUUGUUCGCUACCUUAUACUUUGAACGGUCUGCUACAUGUAGCCUAAUAUUAAAAAGAAAAUAAAAUUAAUAAUCUAUAUCUAUAUCUAUAUCUAUGUCUAUACCUAUACAUUAUUUCUCAUAAACUUUGCCAUAUGGCAAAGCCUUCUUUAUCCUUGCCUCUUUCCCCCAUCCUUGUUUUCUUCCUUAUUCCUAAUGAUCGAAUUUAUUAUCUUUUAUCUCCGCAUGAUGUUUCGUCUUCUCACGUAUCUAUUUCUUAAUUAAUAUGUUUAUAUUUAUUGUCAUAUAAAAAAAUUAAUUCUAUAAAAGAAAUAAAUAAAAUAAGAUAUGUAUUGUUGUGAUUAAAGAGAGCUCGACGCUAACAAUAGUGGCGAAUAAGAAGUGGGGAUCAGGAUUCGCCUUCCCAAUAUCGACAGCACAAUCAAGGUGCAUAUAGAGUAGUGUUCUAUUGCUGUUUUUUUUUUAUUAUUAUUACGUGUAAUUUAUUUGCUAAAAUUAUAAAUUUUGUUAUAUCUGUUUCAUAUCUUUUAUUUGUAUUAAUUGAUUUCUCAUGACAAGUGAAAAAAGUUUAAAAUAUUUUACUUUGUUAAUUUUCUAUCUCUUACAGUAUCAGCCCGCCGUAAUGUACGGGUAACUUCACUAGAGAAUAUACUAUGUUGCUAUAAAAUUUUCUAACCAGCUUUUAUUACAAUAAUUUAUAGAAGACAUAUUGACAUGAUCAGAGCUAUGAAUUGUUGAAUGCACCAAAGGAAAGUUAAUCAUAUUCACCGUGACACAUUUCAUACAUGAUUUAAAGACAAUAUAAGUUAACAUGUUGAUAAGUAUACGUUAUUUAAAACGUAUUUAUAGUGACAUUAAUGUUGUACUAACCAUCGAUAUGAUAUUGAAUUAAUGCAUGUGCGGAUUUUCAGAUUAGUUGAGUCAUCGAGUGAGCUUGUUUCACAAGAAAUUAUUGCACAAGCGUGAGGUCCUAAUAGGGCCACAGAGAUAUCUAAAGGUUAUUUAUUUAAUGAUUUUAGGUUUCACACUAGAAGUGAAUAGAAAAAUAAAAAAUAAUAGAGUUGUUGUUAUAGCUAGUACAUUAAGUUAUGGUAGUGUAAAAUAUCAAAAUUCAAUUAUUGGAAAUGUUACAUAUCUCACUAAUAUUAUUGAGCUAAACUACUUUGAGAACUUUUAAAGUGGCAAUGUUCAGAUGUAAUUGGAUAAAUAUUCAUUAUAAUAAUAAGGGAGUGAGAAAAGAUGAUUAUGGGUUCAUACUUGUAAAUUUCAGGCAACUAUUAUUUGCUAGCGAUUAAUUGUCAAAUUAACUAUUCAUACUAGCGUAUCAAGCAAAAUAAGUGUUUUACAUAUAAGACCCCUUCGAGAAAGAUUAGAAGGAUGAAUAUACAAAGUUAAGAGACUUUUUUGAUAUGCAACCAAAACUUCCAGCUUCAUUUAAAAGAUACCAUACUUGAUACCACUGCAAAAUGAACCAGAAAAAAGAAUUUAGAUGGAAUAUGAAUGAUGUGUCUGAGCUUACAAUUGAUACUCCUAUAAUAAAUAUUUAUAAGUUGAAAACAAAUAUUUUUGACAAUACAGAGCUUGAUUUUCCUACCCCCAAAGGUAAAGUAAGCCCCGAGUUUUUUUUGUAAAUUUUUUUAUAGAAAACAACAAAAACAAAAAAUGUUUACAUUUUAAAAAAAAUUCAAAGACUGCACAAACCUGCCAUAUUGAUAAAAUUUUUUGUACAAAUAGAUAGUCUUUACUACACAUGCACGAUGUAAGAAUUUAGAGUAUAACAUCAACCAACACAUCAACAACAACAGGAAUAAUUACAACAACAUGUCACGCCCUGGGGUUCCUUUGAAGUUUAAGAAUCGAUGCGGAAGUGCCCAAAUAUAUAUAUAUUUUUUAAAGCCUUGACCCUAGGGGAUGUCAGAUCCGUCACAAAUACAGAAAAUUUACUGUUCACACGAACAGUGUCUCCCCUGUAUUUGCACGGCGUCGCACAAGUACAAGAUACAACCAUAGUAUAUAUACAACCAUAUACAUUCACCACAUCACAUAAUGCGAUGCACAUUCAGUCAAUCACAAGAUUACAAUAUUUUAUUCAUAAAUUCACAUCUAUUAUUUUAAAAUGUUUCACACCAGGAAACUCAUUUUGAACUACUAAAAAUCAUGAAAAGCAAAAAACCCUUUUUAAAACCGUUUUCCACACGAAAAUCUUUUUCUUUAAAAAUAAGCUACCACGAGGGGUAGAAAAUUAUUUUCAUAAUUUUAUAUGAAAACCACAAGUACUUUAUUUAACUUUACAAAACCAUAUAUAUAUAUCCAACAGAAAUGAAACCAAUUGAACCAUAACAUAUCUAAGUUACUUUAUUCAUGGAAAGAAGGUAGAGUCUAGACCGAAUGUCAUCGGGUCGGAACUCUAUUGACCGCUAACAACGCGCCUCAUGCCUCGUCCCGACUUGGGCCAGCAACGUCAUCUGAAAAAUGGUGGGGGGUGAGAACAUAUACAUAUGUUUCCCCUCCCAAUGGGUACCGCAAGCCGACGAGGGUAAGGAGUACUCACCAGUAAAGGAAGGGAUAACUAAAGGUGUAUACGACGAUAAUACAUUAGCAAUAACAAAUAAAGAAAACAAGAUAUACAUAUGCCACUACCGCUAUUGUAUGCAUGCAUCAACCGGACGAUCAGUCCAAGAUAUACCCAAUCCAGAAACCUGCCAUGUCCGCAGACCUCAGGCCUGUGCCACUACCACUCUAUUCUGUAUAUGAUCCUAGUAUAAGCCCCUGGGUCUAAAGGUAUAUGACCCUAACAUAAGCUCCUGGGUCUGAAAGCAUAUAACCCUAGCAUAAGCUACUGGGCUUAUGGGCUGGCACUCCGAACCACUUUUUCAAAAAAGUACACCGUUGCGGUGGCCAAACCGCCAGUAUACGUGAAAUACGUACGAGCAGUGGCGAUCGAUACUGAUAUACUCAAUAGCCAACCGUCGGCAAUUAGUCGACAAUCCUACCCCUCAGGGUAUGGUCACCGUAUAGGUCAUCAAGUACAAGAGUAUAGAAUCGACCGAAUAGGUCACCACAGAUAACCACUCUACUUCUAAAUCAUGAUGAUGAAUAUAGAAAAUGCCAAGUAGAGUAAUAAACACGAAGUCAAGGUGCUAGACUCAUAAACAAGUAAGUAGAGUAAUGAAGCGAGUAGAGAGAACGUCACCGAGCGUGCACCACUGUACCGACUUCGGAUCGAAGUACCUACCUAUACGAUUGUCGUGCUUAUCUUUCGAAAGUAGAAGAUCGUCAACCGGACCUAUAGAGGGUCCACUGGGUUAGAAUCCAACUCACAUAUAUGAAAUAAUAAGCUCACAACCCCUACGACCAAAUCCACGAGAAUUGAUUUUCGAAAAUGAUUACCGUAAUUCACCGGAAGUCCCGAAAAUCGCAACAGGACUCCGCCGGGACCCACGAAGUGUCCCGGGACUCACCGACUCGUGCCAUGAGUCACCCGCUGCCACAAAACACUGAAAAAAAGGUGUCUUGGUAGCAAACACAAAGUCUCUCAUUAAAACGAUUAUCGUCGGAUAACCGUUUUAAUCCGGGUUUCCGAAAGUGUCAAUUUCGACACCGAAACCCACCAUCGCUUACCUGUCAUUCAAACCCUCGAAACGACGUAAGUAACCAGCCAAUAAGGCUCAGCGACAAAGUAUAUUAUACUAAGGUAUCAUCGAAAGAAAUCCUAACCGAAACCGCAUUCCGUCGGCAAUUUCGCCGAAAAGCGCACCGGAAAUCGAUAUUCGAUUUCCGCGAAAGCAUUGGACCUUGGACAAUUAGUCCAAAGGUCACUCGCAGUCUGCACAUACAGCCUGCGACACCUAUAAAGUGUAAAAUUUCAUAAAAGCCCCCACAGUUCCAUCACAUUAUUUUAUGUUAUUCAUCGAAUUUUAUGGUUUGUUAUAGCAAACCGAGGGCUUUCGAGGUCGGCCGUGACAUGCACUGACAGGUCUUGACAUGUCGAAGGCCGUGCUCACGAUCCGAAGCACAGCCGUCCACUAUAGAAAGCGUGGUAGCGACUCGAAAAUCUGCGAACUGCGUGUACUGUGCAAAAUUUGCACUUAUCUCGCAACCAGGGGCUUACUGACCCCAAAAAAGGUGAUCACGAUGAUCAGCACUAAUCCAGGAUCAUCGUGCUCACAUCCAAAAGCAUCGGGGUAACCUCGGGUUGCCGGAAUAGUGACCCGAACCGGAAAUAAUGCACAAAACGACUAAAUAAAGCUUACCGGGCCAAGGAGGGGCUCGGGUUGGCCGGCGGCGGCCGAGAAGCAGACAUGCCGGCGGAAAGUGGGUGCGGCCAGUGUGGGGAGGUCGGCGCUCGCGUCGGCCGGCGGCGAGAGGCAACCGGAGGGGUGGCGGAGCAGAUCGAUCCCGCACAGCUCGGGCUCGGGUUCAGGGAGCUGCGGCGGCCACAGCGACCGAAGGGGGCGCUGAGGGGCGACCGCGACAGGUCGCUGGAGGCCGGAGGGAGGCGGCGUGGCUGGCCCUAGGCGGUGGCACCACACGGAAGAUGAGAUGACUCAAACUCGGCCUGAGCUUGCUCCAGGUAGCCGCAAGCUGCUAGGGCGACAGGGACGGCGCGCGGGGACGGCGGCGACCAGCGGGGGGGGUCGCCGGAGGUUGCAGCGGCUGUCAGAGGAGGGCCCAAGGGUGUGGGACCUCCCUGGUGGUCCACGGGCAGAGGAGGAGAGAGGUUGGAGGUGGAGAAGAUGGAGAAGAGAGAGGAACAACCUAUUCCGGCAGCCGGCAGCUUACGCAGGCGGCCGGGGCGGCACGUCUAGGGCAGGGGGAAGAGAGGGAGGUGGCUGGAGUCAACUGGAGCUAGGGCUAGGGCUUUCUUCCAUAAAAAUCCUAGUUAGCUCAUAUAUACUAGGUGGUAGAGUUGUAGUUAUGCCCACCAAAGUUUGAUAUUUUCAGCCGAGACUUUCAUAGCGCGAGUAAAUCGCGCGGAUACCUCUACGUUCGAAAUCAUGCAAAAUGAUACAUAAAAUAUAGGGGGUUUUGCAAAUUCUUCGUUUUGCCAAUUUCUACCCCCUUUGCGAACUUUAUGCAAUUCCCGGAGAUCUGUCUGUCGGAUUUGCGAACGGACUGCGCCAGCGUGUGUAGCACAACCGGGGCAUCAAAACUACUAUUUUGUUUCGUCCGAUAUGAUCGCCGAUUUGUAAUGAAACCCAUCCUCUCUGGAUAACCAUAUAUAUGUACCUAUAUAUAUGUAAGAUUUGAACUUCAAAAAAUUUCAAUUCAAUUUGAAUUCCUUUUAUUAAGUUCUCAGAUAUUACACAACAACAACAAUAGAUAGGUAAACAACAAAAAUAGAUAAGUAAACAACUAAACAAAUAAAUAGAUUAACAAUAAUUUGGGAUAUACUAGUAAGUUUCCUACGGUCAAAUUUAACCCUUUGACCAAUUCCAUUCUUUAGAUUAUGCUAGUCCAAAAACCACCCACUACGGGUGAAAACGGAUCGAAUACGGUCGGAUAUUGGACAAAACCAUAUCCACAUCCAUAUAUAUAUAUAUAUAUAUAUAUAUAUAUAUAAUAUAUAUAUAGAGUGGGCUGGUAUGCUUAUAAAGCACGGAGCCCUCCGUGCUUCCAAGUUGUUUUCGAUGUUCGGACUUUCGAAUCGACGAUCGGCUCCGUUAGAGUUGAUCUAGAGUAUUUGAAGUACCUAGAAAAUAAAUUUUGUGAUUUUUCGAUAUCAUUUGCCAGUGAUCGAAGGGGCUCAAAAAUCAUAAUUUUAAUGACGUGGUGAGCGGUUGCAAGUUUAACGUGUUAGAAAUAUCCAAAUCACAUGAAUUUUGAUAGAAAAUCUUUAUACCAUAUAAAACAAGAUCAAUAACUUUGAUCUAAAAUUUAAUGUCAAAUCAUCAUAUUUUGAAUAUUUUUAUUUUUAGCCGUUGAUUUUGAGCCACUUCGAUUACUAGGCAAAUGAUAUCGAAAAAUCGCAAAAUUUAUUUCUAGAUACUUCAAAUACUCUAGAUCAAGUCUAACGGAGCCGAUCGUUCGAUUCGAAAGUCCGAACAUCGAAAACAAAGUGAAGCACGGAGCCCUCCAUGCUUCCAUAAGCAUCCUAGCGCACUAUAUUAUAUAUAUUAUAUAUAUAUAAUAUAUAUAUAUAUAUAUAUAUAUAUUAUAAAUAUAUAUAGAGUAGGCUACUGUGCUAUUAGACAGCAGCAGCCCUUGUGCUCCUAGGUUCUUAACCACCCAUCAAAUUUGAUGAGUGGUUAGGGUAAAGGAGAAGAAAAAUUGGAGAGAAUUCAAAAGAAGAGAAAUUGGAAACCCAAUUCUCUCUAAUUACUCUUCUCCUUUUCACCCUAACCACCCAUCAAAUUUGAUGGGCGGUUAAGAACUUAGGAGGCACAAGAGUUGCUGUGCUCCUAAUAGCACAGUAGCCCCACUCUCUCUCUCUCUUCUUUCUCUCGUCUCUCUCUCUCUAUCUCGUCUCUCCUCGCACCUCUCUCUCUAUAUAUAUAUAUAUAUAUAUACUAGUGUAGUUAUCCGCACGAUGCAGCGGAUAGAUAUUAUCGAAGCGAUUUUUUAUCAUUGUUGAUCACCGAUGAUAGUCUGAAAUUGUAUAUAUAUCAAAAAAAAAUACGGUGAGGAGAUGCAGAAAGAAAAAAAGAGAAAGAAAUAGAGGCGUAAAAUGAAGGAAUGACAAAAUAAUUUAAAUAAAAUUAUUAGCCAGAUUAAUAAUUCAAUUAAUUUAAAUAAAAAUAAUUUAAAUAAAAUUAGCUCAAGUUGCUAUAAAAUUUUCAUAUAUAAACUUUAAUAUGAUUUAAAUUGUAUUUGUUGAAUUAGAUUUUAAUUGUAUAAUAGUAAAUUUUUUAAGAUUAUUCAGUGUAUAUAUAAAAUUGUAAAUUAGGGUAAGCAAUUAUUUAUAACAUACAUACAAAUCCUUUAAAAGAACAUCUAAUUCUAGAAACAAAUCCUAUAAAAAAAAUAUAUUUUCUAUCAGCUUAUUGUUUAACAAUUUUACAUACAUCUAAAUAACUAUACAAGAAAUUGAAAAAAGCUAAUAGAUAGGGUAGUUAAAAAAAAAAGACAUUAAAGAAAAAACAAAAUACAAAAAUUUCUGAUCACUUAAUUAUCACCAUAUAUACUAUCAGUAAGAAGUUGAUUAUAUAUCCAUACACUCUCUUCCGCUUCUGUCGUCACUGCCGCCGCUGCCGCAUCCAAGAUCUUCAUCUUCUACCACCACUGCCAUCCCCACCAAAUACACGACGGGAUCGCGUCAGUGAUGAAAGCGAGCGACUUUUACGGGAGAGGGAGAGGGUGAAAGAGAUUUAGCAAAAGUAGAAGAACGAGAAGAUUAAUGAAGACGUAGGGAGAAAAAAAAUAAUUAUUAAUUAAUUACAAUAAUAAAUAGAGAGAAGGUAGGGUUAUUGGAAGGUAAAGAGGCGGACGUUAAAAAAGAGGAGAAGAGUUAGAACUAUUGGAAGGUGAGGAGGUUUACGGUGAAGAAAAUGAGAAAAAAAUAAUUAAAAAAUAAAAUAAAGUAAUUUAAAAAAUAUAAAAAAAUGAGAGCUUGCCAUGUCAUCAUUUGAUAUUGGGAAUUCAUAUAAGAGUAUAGAAGUAUAGAUAUAUAUAUAUAUAUGAUUCCGGAUAUGGAGAUGUGUCGGAUGUUAAAUUUUCGUUAUCAUAUCUGCUAAAAACAUAUUCGGAUAUGAUCGGGUAUUUUCUGGAUUCGAAUAUUGUGACACCCUAAUAAUCCCACAUCGGGUAAUUAUGGCUAGAUGUACGGGAGGAGUAUGUGACACUCCAAUAAUCCCAUAUCGGAUAAUUAUGGCUGGAUAUUGGAGUAUAUAAACUUGACUAGGCUAGACAUAAUAACUGGACUUAAGCAUCUUGGAUUGGUGGUGUGGGCCCAACGAGUUAUUAUUGUUAGUGGGUCGAAUUGUUACAUUUGGUAUCAGAGCCAUUUCACCAGCCGAAAGUAUAAGAUGAGCCUUGGCUAAGCUAGGGUCCCCCAAUAAUCCCAUAUUGGGUAAUUAUGGCUAGAUGUAUGGGGGGAAUAUGUGAUACCCCAAUAAUCCCAUAUUGGGGGGAAUAUGUGACACCCAAUAAUCCCAUAUCGGGGGGAAUAUGUGACACCCCAAUAAUCCCCCGCAUGGCUAGAUGUACGGGGAGAAUAUGUGACACCCCAAUAAUCCCACAUCGGGGGGAGUAUGUGACAUCGUACUUUUUUACCACACGUAACACAAUCUCCCCGCAAUUCCAAAUGAAGCCUUAAUUAGGGAUGUCAAUGGGUAUGAAUAUCUGAAAUUUUAUCCGAAUCCGAACCCGAAUGAAACGGAUAUAUCCGAUGGUUAUGGAUAUGGAUUCGGAUAUGAAUAUCAAAAAUAGAAACCCGACGGAUAUGGAUUCGGAUAUGGAUUUUGAUUGUACCUGACCCGAACCCGAACCCGACCCGAACCCGAAUUUAUUUUGUAUUAUAUAUAAUAUAUAUAUAAAAAUUUGAUGUUAUAUUUGAAUUUGUGUUUUAAAAAUUUAGAUUUAAUAUAAUAUAUUUUGAAAUAUUGAAAAAAGAAAUAAUUGUUUCGGGUUCAAAUUUCGGGUUCGGGUUCGGGUUCGGGUUUCGAAUUUUUGGUCGGGUUCGGGUUUGGAUAUGGAUUUUUAAAAUCCGUCGGGUUCGGGUUCGGGUUCGGGUCUCGGGUUUGGAGUCGGGUUCGGGUUCGGGUUUUUAAAAAUCCGCCCCGAAUCCGACCCGUUGACAUCUCUAGCCUUAAUAGCCUUGCUAGUAAUUUUUAGGAUAAAUUACAACUUUGGUCCUCAAACUAUAGAGCAUGUGGUAUUUUAGUCCUCAUACUUUAAUUUAUUAUAAUUUUAGACUCAAACUUUCUAAUUUAUUAUAAUCACGUCUCAAAACCCUUUCUUUGGUUAAGUUUUGAUGGAUUAUUAAUAGAGGAGUGAUGAAGCAUCUUAAUUAUUAUUGAAUCAUCAAUUCUAAUAUUAUUACAUCACUUAUAUAUUAGUAGUUUAUCAAUAUUUAGACACAAAAAUUGAAUGGUGGGACUUAAUUGUCAUAAUUUAGAAAGUUGGACCCAAAAAUUAUAGCGAAUUAAAGUUUGAGGACUAAAGUGCUAUGUUUUCAUAGUUUGAGGAUCAAUGUAAUUUAUCUUAAAUUUUAAUGAAAGUUUUCAAUACUAAGAAUAAAGAGUAAAUUGCACUGUUACCAGCUGAAUAUUUGGAGGAGUUUUAUUUUACCCUCCAAACUUCUUAAGUGGAUAUCUAGCAACCUAAGCUUUAAUAUAUCAUUCAUAUUAUCUUUUUUGUCAGUUUUCCGUCAAAUUUUAUUAACCAAAAAUAAGAAUAAAUUUAAUGAAAUCAAUUGUAAAUUUGCACAAAAGCGGCUUAGGUCAUUAAAUUUAAUGAAAUCAAUUGUAAAUUUAACAAAAUUCUAAUUUAAUUGCAUUGAAUAAUUCAAAUCAAAAUAAUAAAUUGAAAACUGAGAAGUGCCAACAAAAAAGUAAUUAAUCUGUGUCUGUUUCAGAAUUUAACCGAAACUCAAUACUUCCAAAAAUUACGAAUUUUACAUAAAAAAUUUAAAUUCUAAAAUCUUUUAAGAAAAUGUUAGUAAAAAUUUAAAAAUCGUGUUUUAUAUUAUGUAAUCAUUUAUGCAUUUUACACUUUCAAAUAUAAUUUAAAUUAGAAAAAAAAUGACCCCCUGAACUUUAGUUUUUUAUGCAAAUAGGCAAUCAGCUUUUAAUUCGUCAAUUAGAUUCCUUGAACUUUAAAAAAUAGCUCAAAAGGUCCCUAAAUUAUUAAUUACACAAUUAUUUUAAUCGCAUAUUGUGCACAUAAUUUUAUAAGACUUUAAAAAUGUAAACAUUUAAGCUAGAAAAAUUAAUUUUCUCUUUGAACUUUCUUUUGAUUAUUUUUUUCUCUCUUCAUCCAAACAGAUUCUCAAAAAAUUAACGACAUAAAAAUAGGUAUUUUUUGCGCAUACAAAGAAAAAAAAACUUCAAGUACCAACCCCUGUGGUUUCGUACUUUCUCACUUUAGUACCAUGUGGUUUAAAGUGUAUCAAGUUAGUAUCCUAUGAUUUUAUUUUUUUCUUUUCGUCAGCUCCUCCGUUAAUAUUUCGUUAAAUUAUAUACAAAAAAUUUCAGAAACCCCUCCUAGGUUUAUCGAAUAUUCACUUUAGUAUCUCUUAAUUUUAACUUUGUCACUGAUUUAACAAAAAAAUAUUAGUGGAAUGAAUAAUAAAAAGAGAAAAAUAAAAUAAAAAAGAUACUAAAUUGAUAUACCUUAAACUGUAAGCUACUAAAAUAAGAAAGUAUGAAACCGCAGGGUUGUAUUUGAAGUUUUCUCAAAAAAAAAAAAAAAACUGUAAAAGAUUAUAAUUUUUAACAUGUGGACCGAGCAGUUACAUAUUAUCAUGUCCAAGUCCAAUGUAUGUGGUGGAGAUGGAUCAUAGUGGACCGGGUCCAGGAUCGCGGGCCGAAAUCCGGUCUAGAAUUGCCCGUUAAAUUGAACCCAUAGCCCAUCAAACCCUAAUUUUCGCUCCUCAACUCAACUCUCUCUCUCUCUCUCUUUCUCUCUCUCUCUCUCUCAAUCUCAAACCCUAGCCGCGCCUUAAACCCGCUCUGCUCUACCUCCCCUCUCUCUCUCCAUCUCCGCUCGUCUCCUCCCCCUCCACCGGACGCCGCCACCGGACGCCGACGCCGAAGCCGACGCCACCUCCAAGCUAGGGUUUGGAGAUGCGGCUCCGACGAGUAAUGGCGAUCUAGGUUUCCCAUGAUCGGCUCCAAGAAGCGGAGCAUAGAGUGAUGGCGUUAUCUAGGGUUUUGAGGAGUAUUGCUCGACCUUUGGCUGCUACUCUCUCUCCACCUCCCUCCCUCUCACUCUUGAGUAAGGCUUCGUCUACCCCUCUUCCUCCAUUUGAUCUGGCAAGAGGAGGAUUUGCCCCGACAAUUGGGAAGGUUUUGAAUACGGCGAGGUUUUGUUCUACGGCAACGAUCGGAAGCUCCUUUGGUAGCUUAACUGAUACUAGGUUCCCGAAGAGAAGGCCCGGGACGAAGCCUCGGAGGAAGAGGGCGAGCCUCAGACCUCCAGGUUUCGAUCUAUUCAACUAAUCUUUGUUAUGAAUCUUCCUUUUAUGCAUGCUGUUGAUGUGAAUGAUAAGUGUAGGUUUUGCAGACUAAUUUUGCUUUGACAAGGAAUUUGGCUAUGAGUCUAUCCGGCUUUGAUGUUAGAUUUAUCUGUAAAGAUGCUUCAUUUUGAGAAGAUAUUGAAGAAUUAGCAAAAAAGAUAAAUAAAGAGGUUUUUCGGGUCACAUUUGGUUGGAAAGGGUGAAUUGUGGGUUGGAUUGGAGUGGCAAACAGUUCCAGCUGACAUGUAUAUUUUGUUAAUAAUGUGUGCGGAUAUAUAAUGUUUGGAAUAACACUUUUGGUGACAUGCCAUGGUCAAAUGCAAAUGAAGAAAAAAAAGAUAGGUUUUGGACUUUGUGUAAUUUUCUAUAAUCGUCUAUGCUGAUGAUUUUUUAGUGACAUAACAAAUGAAAAAAAUUUGAUGAAUUAUUAAACACUUUGUGUAAUUUCUAUAAUCGUAUAUGCUGAUGAUUUUAAAGUGAUUUUAUAAUUGAAAUUUUUGAUGAAUUAUUAAGCAUUUGAACUAUGGCCCCUCGUUUUCACCUUGCUUAGCACCGGCAGUGCUGCUGGUUCUUGCUAUACCUUUACUGUGUAUGAUCCUACUUUUAUUUUAUUUUCUGUUUUGAUUUGUACUAUUUUUAUGGUGUUGACGGCUUGAAACAUGAGGUGGUCAGCAUUGGUUGUUGUUUUAGCUUGAUACGUCGAUGCCUAUGGACAUGUGGCAAAAUGACUUCUCAGUUCAAAAAUGUUAUUUGAGUGCUUCAGUAUUUUUUAAUCAUUAAUUUUAGGUAAAAAUGUGUAGAAUAUACCUCAACUAUAAAAAUGUAUAGGACAUACCUCAACUAUCAGCCAUUUUGAUCUAAUUACCUAACCUUUAAAAAUUUUUAUUUUGUUGAUUUGAGUCAAUUAAUGACUCUUUAACUUCAAAAUUUGAAGGCGUUGUUUAUCUUUACAGGUCUAAUUAGUAUAUUUUGUGCAAAUUUAUGCAACAAUAAAUUUAUUAAAAUAAGUAAUUAGCUUAAAUUAAAUUUUGUAUUAGAAGAGCCAUCAAAUGGCUUUAAUCAAACAAAUUCAAAGGUUGGAUACUAAAAUCAAAAUUUUAAAAGGUUAGGUAGUCAAAUCAAAAUGGUCUAUAGUUCAGAUAAGUUCUACACAUUUUUACCUUAAUUUUUAUAAUAUUCUCUUGAACCAUCCUAGUACUUUAUCAGCAUUGCUUUUAGUUUAGGUAUAUACAAUGUAGUCCAUUUUAUUUGUUUAGGCAUUAUAUCCAUUCUAUAAUCAAAUAUUUUAGAUUUAACCUAAUUUUUUACUGCUUAUUUCAUUAUAUUCAUAUUUAUUAUGGAUUUCCACUGUACUUUUUGUUUAUCUUUUUCCCCCUUUUUUUGUGUAUCUGCUUCUAGGUGUUAGAGUUUUCGUUGAUGAGUUAAUAUUUUAUUAGCUCUAGCUCUAUUCAUGUUAUUCUUCCUGGUUUGAUCGUCAAUUCUACACUUUGGAUCUUAGAUCCAAAAAUUGACAUUUCUUUCGGCAGAUUGAUUUUAUAUGCAUUGUUUUCCUCAUAUAAAUAGGUCCUUACGCAUGGGUCCAGUAUGUGCCUGGAGAAGAAAUACCUAGAAGUCGGCCUAACGAAGGAAGUAUCAAGGCCAGGGGAAGGAAGAGAAAGAAGCGCAUCAUGCAGAGGAAAGCAUUUAUACUGGUAUGGUUGCUUGUCAAAUAUUGUCAUUUCAAAUAUCAAUUUCUUUCUUUUUGUUCCCCCCAGGAUGGAAAGUUUUAGUUUGUACUGUUAUAGUAUUGCUCUUAUAGAUCCUUUUACCUAUUUCUGAUUUCUUGUUUGGCUAAUUCUUUCAGCAUUAUUUCAUAUACGAUUUGUCAAAAAAGAUCUUUUAGUAUUUUGGAACUCUGAUUAUUCAAGUUGUUCGCUUUUAUGUGUUAACCUCAAUUCGUUUUUUUAUGAAGUUAAACAUGAUGGUUUUGGACUUUUCUUUCAGAUUUCCAGAUUGCUGUGCUAUGAACUGUUAGGAUGAUGUUAAAAUCAUGUCUUGUGCGAGUUACAUCUUGAAAAGCUAAUUAGAAGACUGCAAUUUCUUUUUGUUGGAUAACUCAAAUUAAUAUAAUCUGUACUGAAAGCUAAUUUUGGUCUGGUAGCAUUGUAGGCAUAUUUUGAUUCAAAAUUUCCUCUUGUUUCUUCUCAGAGGACUAUUUUUGAUUUCAAGUACUACUCUGCCACUUUACGGAGAUAGGAUUGAAGAGUAGUGUUUUAUACCUUUUGUUGUUUUUGGUUUAUUAGUUGUCUGCAUAGAUCUAAACUAAAGUGCUCUGUCAAGAUGGUGAAACGUCUGGUUUAAUGUAGAAAAUUGAUACUUCUGACAUAAUUAUUCAGUUCCAUGCUAGAGACUGCAACGGCUUUACGUUUCAAGAUAGUUGUUUUAAUUUGUAAAUACCUUUUCUGCCUGGUAUUAUUCAGUUGUUUUGAUUUCAAUUCUCACGAACAGGCGCAUGUUGACUUCAUUUCUAGUUCUGAAAGAACUUGAGAUUAUGUCUAUCGGUCUUUCUAAUUUCAAUCCUUAUGACAGCUUGAAUGCUGAUGAUAAGAUGGAAUCAGAAAAGUAGAGACAUAAUUUGUAAAUAAGGAUUCCUGCAUUAUUCUUAAUUUGUUUACAGUUUAGAUCAUGUCCCAUUAAAAGGCAACAAUUAAGAAAAGAGAAGAUAUUCUAUGAGUUUUGUGGUGACAGUUCAUAUCACUUCCUUGGAUAAAUUUUGAUUCAUUGCUUUGAUAAAUCUGUAGUUCUGUAUAUUUAUUUCUUUUGUCUUUGGGUUUAGUUUCUUAAGCUAUAGUUCUCUUUGAAGUAUCAGUAGUACCUUUAUUCAGUAAUAUGAGUUAAGAUGUGACUAUGUGAGUGCCAUGUACUUUGUCUUUAGUAGCCUUGGAACAGAAAGAAUUAUCCAUUAUUUGAACUUUUGUGUCGUCAUUAGGUAAUAAUUGCAGUGCUGUUAGGAAUGCUCCUUUCCUUGAUUAGAGCUGAAACUUUUCUCCAGUUUGAUAAUUCAGGUUGUCGCAGAAAAUUUAAAAUUCGGAUUCCUUCUUGUAUAUUACAAUCUCUAUCACUGAUGGAAUAGUUAAGUCUAAAUCACCUGAUUUUGGUUUCCUUUUUAACCAAUCUAAUGAUCUCCUUAUCACCUGAUUUUGUGUAUCAAUAGUCUGAGAAGAAGAAACGCAAAGCUCAAUUAGCGGAGGCUCGAAAGAGAAAGGAAAUGAAGAGGAUAGAGAGGAAGAUGGCUGCAGUGGCAAGAGAAAAAGCUUGGGCAGAAAGGUUGAUAGAACUGCAACAGCUUGAGGAGGCAAAGAAGGCGGCAAUGUCUUAGCUUUAAUGUUAUGGAUGGUAUUGAGACCAACAGUUUUGAAAUCCUACUAUUAUCAUCAUAUCUUGGUUUACAACAAAUGAAUCUGUCAUUAUUAUGGUACUGCAUUUCCACUUAAACCUUUGGUGUGUGUAUGUGUGGCAUAAACGAUAGUAGAGUUGAGCUAGACUCUUCUUCUUCUUCUUCUUCUUCUUCACCGCAUUCCUCCAACCCUACCCUGCACAAACCAACCCCGCAACACCCGUCUCUUCCUCUUUUCUUUCCUGUUUUUACUUGGGGAUAAAACUAGCUAAUCAAGCUAGAUAGCUUUUGGAAGCACUUUUUUUUUCCCCUUGUUUUUCUCUUUCUUUCCCUUUGGGCUGGGGGGAAGGCGGGGUGCUUUCACUCUUUCAAGCUACAGAUGUGUCUCAAGAUCCUUCAUGUUAUUCACAUGGUCGCACAUAUUAACGGCAACUCUCAUCUGCUUUCAAAGGCAUUCCCAAUUCUCUGUGUGCGCGCGCGCCUGGGUGCGUGCACGCGUGCGUGUGUGUGGCAUUGAAUGGAAAUUUUCAUCGCUUUCAAGCUUCAGAUGUCUUGCUUAUGUAAUUGACAUGGUUCAUUGCAAGAAUGUGGCUUUACAAACUUGCCUGUAUUUGACAGCAAACACAACUUUGUUUGGGUGCUCCUCUUUUCAUAUAUAAAAGGCAUCGAAUGUCAGGGGAGUUGCAUUGCAGAUCAUGUGAAACAUUGAUGGGUUUUUCUUUUCAACUAUAAUAGGUUCAGCUUUCCUAUAUCCCUCCAUUGAAAUAUUCCCAAUAUUUAGCUGCAUCUAUUUUUCAAGUUAUCCGACUUGAAUUAGUUAACUAGGAACCGGUCUUUUUGUUUGUUGUUUUGAAGAGAGAUUGGCUCAUCUCACUUAAUCUCAACUUCUGUAACAAUUUACUUUUUUCACCUUGUUGCUGAAUACUUAACUAGCUCUCUUAUGAUGUUUCUGCAGCUCAGACAGAGCUUUUCGAUGCUGUUUCUGUAGCCUUGACGAAGCUCUCGGAUGUAGAUGUCAAGAACUGAAAUGCGGUGGCACAAAUUUCCUGGUCACGAUACUUGGAUUCAUGCUGCAGAGUGCAUGUUUGUGUUUCAGAAUAAUGAGAGAGAUUUUUUUCAAACUCUUUUGUUGUGUGUUCCAGUCAAAAAUCUGAUGUUUCUUCAAAUGUAAUCUGUAAGGUUCUAAUAUUCAAAAUCUCUCUGGAAAAAUAUAGCUGCAAAUGGAAUGUCUUCUUUAUUUUCUUCAAUGAUUAAAUAUCGGAGUAACAAUAUGAUAAGAUAGACAAAUGUGGACAACCUCACCAAUGUUCAGUUCUUCUACUUGGGUUAGCAUUCUUUUUGUCCAAUGAAUUUUGAUAUUAUGUUUCAGCUAUGUUUUCCAAGGGCAGAACAAUUUUCACAGCAAUAAAUGGUUUUUGAUUUUUUGAUAAAAAAGACACCGAAUUGCUGAAUUAAAAUUAAUUCAGAGACCAAAAUGCUUUUCUUGCCAUGGUGUUUGUGUGACUUUGGAUGCGAAAUCUGGAACAACCUUGCUUUGCACCAAUUUUUGCAGCAAUACUGUUUCAGUAAAGCUAACUUAAAGAAGCUUUUCCAUCAGAAGGAAUCUGAUCACUUUUGUUGCCCAAGCAGAAGCUUCUUAUUCAAACUCUUGCUUUUGAAGGUCAGAAGCUUCUUUUAGCUUCUCGCAACAACAGAAACUUUAGACCAGCUUUUUUAUUUUCAUAUUUGAUGCUGCUGUUGCUGUUCCAGAAGUUAAGAUUAAAGAAGCACUAAACAGGCUUUUAAUAAAGAAGUUUUAUAGAAUUCUUAAUAAUCAAAAUAGUCUGUUCCAAACCAAUCAUCAGAUCAUUCUCAGAUAACUCUUAUUAGUGCCUAAUGAGCUUCAGUAUCAUGGAUUAGACCUAACUUAGAAGAGAAAAUUAAAUUCAUUAAAUUCCAUCUAAUUCUCGAACUUCUUUAAAGCUAAUUAGAUCUAUUUAAAUAAUUAAGUGCUAUUUAGUUUAUUCUAAUCUAGCAUACUGAAGCGUAUCAAACAAUAUGUCACAUUUACAAUAAAAAUACAAUCAGCAGCAUUUAAUCUGCAACCUGCAUUUUAUUAACACUGUUUUAGCCUUUCACAGGCUUCUUUCAGAAAUAAUGGCAGUCCACUAAUAAUUGUGCCUAGCAAUUUACUUGUUGCAUGGCUCAAUGCACAAAUUACAAAUUUUCAUUUCACCUCCUCUAAAUUUUUUUUUUUUUUUUUUGGUUUUCAUUUUUUUGUUGCUCUGUUUCCUUGGAUGAUAUAGUGUGUUGUUAUAUAGCUGAUUGAUUGAGAGAAGGCAUGGGAUUAUUGUGCAAGAAAUGCAUGAACAGAAUUAGGGCUUGCCGCGGUCGGUGGAGGGGAACUUCAUGCCCUGCUCCUAGGACUGUCACAUAUGUGAGCCCUUUGUAGACUUGGCUCCAUCCACCCACCUAGCAGGGCACACUUUAUGUGUUAGAUGGAUAAGUCGAUAGAUCCAUUAGUAGCUGCCUUAUUUGGAAGAUCUAUCUGAUAGAAAAUAAUUUGCAUUCCGCAACUGAUAUAGCUGGUAGAAUAGAAUAGAUUUGAGACGAUCAUAUAAACCGGCAUUUAGGACUUGCGUACUAUUAUGUAAUCCAAAAGAUGGAUCAAACAAGAAAUAGUUCAGAAGUAUUCUUAAUAGUUUGAUGACAAAAUUAGAGAGAGAGAGAGAGAGAGAGAGAGGGAAAGGAUUAAUUUUGGACUCACAUUUUCAUUGUCAUACCAAGGAUACCAGCUGAUGAGAGUUGAAAGAUUCAGAGCAUCAAGUGAGUAUCUGGUAGCUGUUAGAGGGACUACUGAAUCUGUGUCUCCACUGCAAAACCAAAGAGUGUUCACCGCAGUUAAAGUAACAAGCACAGCUCUUUGUAGCAUGAGCUAUAGAAUUCGAAAAAAAAAAAUCGGUAGGAACAAGGAUCCUUCUUAACAUGUAUAUUUGUCUCAUGAAAUUUAAAAAUAUGUUAGUUGCGGAACGAUCGCAAUCCAAUGCAAUUCAUUCCAUUCCAUUCGAGCCAAUUCGGAAUUUCCAUACAUGCUUUUCCUUCCUGGCAAACAAAAGUGUUACUGACAGAAUAGCAAGUAUUCGGCAGGACAGAAGGAUUCUGAUCCUUCAAUUUUUCUAUCUCUGCAAUGACCCAGCCACACACAGUUCUAUUGAUAAAUAUCUAAUAACCAAGUUUCUGCUGCGCGGAAUCAUUCGUACCGAUAAAGUUAGACAAAGAUUUCUGAAAUUCGAAACAUAGGAUAACGGAAUGGACGAAAGGGAAAUACGAAGAUUCCGGACUAAAUGGUUUUAUGGAAACUAAGAGAUUUGUUUCAUAUUUGUCAGGUAAAACGGUCCAAUCUAUAGAUGGUGUUGCGUCGCUCUCAAGUAGCUAUCUGUUGACAUCAUGCAAAUUUAUGACAUUUUCAGUGAAUUUUUUGUAAUAGCAUGCUCAAGAUGCACUCAAAUGAGAAUUAUACUUUCUGCCGAGUGAAAAUGACCCUCCAACUUUCGGACCACCUCCAACAAAUACACCAGAAAGAGAAGCAUACCCGAAAACUCCUAUAUAUGGCAAAGAAAACAGAAAAAGAAAGAAAGCAUAACUUCAUACCUGAAAACCCAUACCCUCAGUCCAGCUGCAAUAAGUUCUCGGUAGAUAGGAAGCAUUGAUCUUGGCGAAUCCGCCCAGUACGUACCGACAAUGUCGCUGCAACAAUAAUAAUGAUGCGACAAAUCGGUAAGUUUCAGAUUACUGAUGUAACUAACACAUUGCGCAAAAAGAAACAUCUGUACAUUCAUAAUUUUUCGAUCGAGAAAUUUAGGAGCCAUAGGUGUAACCUGCAGGUGUCCCAACGGUAAGGUAUCCCAGUGAGAUUUGCAUGGAGAGCUUUCUGAACAUCCGGAUGGUUGUAGUACAUUCUGGAGUAUUUUUCAGUGCAGGGAUCAUAACCUCUGGUCAUCCAAGGCUGAAUUUGGAUGAAAUGUUUAUAAGACAGAGAUAAAAAGUGUACAGAAAGUGACCUCUAAGAUUAUGUUCAUUUUCACAACUUAAAAUUAUCAAGCCAAUAUAUCGAGAUCGAAAUCGGAUAUCGGCAUAUGCAUUAAAGGAGGAAAAAAAAAACACUUGUGCACGCAUUUUAGCGCAUCUUGACCUGGCUGUUGGUUAUAUACUUGAUAAGGUGGUGACUUUCAGAAGCCCGGCUUUGCUUUGAACAAACAAAUUGACGCUUUUGCUGUAGCAGAAUUCUGGACUGCACUUUUCAAAAGCAAAAAGCUCCAAAUUAAAACUUCUGCUUUUGCUACAACAAACAGCUGCGCCAAACCAAACAAAAGCCCUUAAUGUGUUGAUCUGCCUACACAUCUCGCUUUUACCACAACUUUACGAUAGUUUUGACUUGAAUAACCCCUUUUAAUUUUAGAUUCACUUUGAAGGAUACAAAGAAAGACAAAAUUUCUAGCUAAGGAGCUCAUACUGUUCUUCAAAUAUCAGCUUCACUAAUCUCCUCGAGUUUACCAUGUAAAUACCAACCUGCAGGCUUAAUGUAUCUAUCUGUUAAUAAUAAUGGUAAAGAGAGCUCACAUAGCGGCCCCUUAAAUUGCGCUUGAGAGUGGUGGUAUCAUUGCAAGGUCGGGUGUAGAUGCUGUAAGCAUCAAUGUUGCCUUGCUCUACAUAGGCAAUGUUAAGCCAAUUGACGCAUGCUUCUGAAGGGUGCUCCGAUGAAUCAAAGUCGCAGACCACCUGCAGAUUAUGAUAAGUCUCGUCGGAGAUCAGCCCGUGCGUCCACCAGUACUCGAACGUGCCAACGUAGUCGUGAUAGUCGUCGGUCACGCCGUUCCCGACCUGCACAUACAAUAUGAUGUUGAAAUGGAUGUUAAUAGUGAUUCAACUCAAGCCGUAGUCACCGCUGUAAAUGGUCCUGCAUUUUAAGAUGUCAGGAAAAUACUGCUCAUGUACUAGCAUUACUAAUUUGAGUUAAAUAAGCUUUUAAGUUACUAAAAUUAGUUACUUCUUACUUAUGAUGUAAAAGGCUUGUACAAACUGACAUAUAUGUAUAUCCAAUAUGACACAAUGUGUACCACUAAUUUGUACUGAAAAGAUCUAUUUUAUCGAGUUAUUAAUACUGAUGGGCCAGAUUGCGCCGUAUAUAAGCACAUGACAAAAGAAAAAAAGAAAAGAAAAGAAAUAAUUAGAGGAUAUAUUUGGUUCUCCCAAUUAAAAGGGAAAAAAAAACACACACAACAGAAAGGUAAAUAAGUAAUAACAAAGUAUUUACCAAGAAACCUUUGAGAUUAAUAAUGGGCUUCUCAACGCCUUUAUUUUGCUGAUACACAAUCUGUGAUAGCUGAGGAACAUAGUGCCCUGAAAUGCAAUAAAUUGAUCGAAUUAAACAAAAAAAAUGGGAUUACUUUAGAGAGUAAAAAAAUGACAAGUAUAAACUAGAAAGAGAUUGAUCUAAACCAAAAAAAAAAAAAAGAAAAAAAAAAGAGGAAGUACAAUUAUUGAAGCUUAGGGUUCAUAAUUUACCAGCAUAGCUCUCUCCAGUGAUGUAGAAAUCGCGGUAUUUAUACUGAGGAAACCUCUCAAACCAAUUCACUAGAAAAGUAUAUGCAUCCCAUGCUACAAAAUUUAAUUCAAAACAUAAGAUAAAAAAUAAGAAUUCUCUUCUCUUUUCUUUUUUCAUUGUAGAGAAAUUUAAAUAAUUGCCUAAAAUGGUCUAAAAUGAAAAAAAAAAAAAAAAAAAAAAAAAAAACCUGUUCUAUUGUCUCCAGCAGUAUACAAAUCCGAAGUCCUGUUCGAGUACGAGAAUCCGACCCCCGCCGGCGACUCCAAGAAGAGCACAUUAGCCACUACACCAAAAUUCCCACAAAAUCAAUUGAAAAAUAGAAAAAAAACAUGAUUAAAGUGUUCAAUAUACUUCAAAAAUAUCGUUCUCCAAAAGUUAAGUUUUUGAAAAAUGAUGGUUGUUUUUUAUUUUUUAAGAUGGUAUCAGAGCAGAGAGUCCGAAUUCGAAUUCACCUUUGUUCCAAGCGUACUUGUUCAAGAAGAGAGUCUUUCCGUCGGGCCUGAUGCGGAAGGCGCCGAGCUCUUCCGACGCCCCGUAGCCAACCGAAGAGCACCCGGGGCCGCCGUUGAGCCAGAGAACGAGCGGCGCCGCGGCCGCGCGCCCAGCGGGGGCCUCUUGGAACCAAUAGAACAGUGCCCGGCCGGCCUGCCGGUUCACGGUGACGUACCCCGAAUAUUGGGAGAAGUUCACGGCCGGCUGGCCCGGCAGGAGGGCGAUGCGGUCGGCCUCCUGAUCGGCGAAUGCCGAACGGGAGGACGGCUGCAGGAGGCAUAGUAAAAAAGACAAGCAGAACGGCAGGGAGAGUAACGAGUGAGGCGUGAAAUAAAAGAAGAAAGAGGGGGCAGAAGGGGAGGACAAAGAGGAGGCUCCCAUUGGCCCUUCCUUUUUGGAGCUUCAAUGAUUGGGGGGUUAGAUAGUAGGGAGAGAUGAUGGGUUAGUUAAUAAGAGAAAAGAGAGGGGGAAGGGUCGGUAUAUAAAUAUAGAGUCCUAAAAUAUAAUGUGUGUGUAAUGUGCGCGUGUGUGUGAGAAUGCUAAAUAAAAUAAGAGAGAGAGAAAGGUGGGUCAUGAAGAAGACCGUUGACAUUCUAAAUAGAAAGCAACUGCAUCCAAGAUCCAUGACUGGUGUUACCUACUUUUUAUCUUGGUAAAUAUGUGAACUGUAGAUCAUUUUAAACUUACUGUCUCUGUAUUUAAAAUUUUGAUUUUACUAUCUAGUUUUUAAUUUGUUUGUUUUAAGUUAGUAGCAAUAUUUUGACUUCAAAAUUUUGAACUAAUUACUUAUUUUAACGAAUUUAUAUGUGAGAAUUGUAUAAAGUUUAAAUUUGUAAAGAUAAACGAUUCAUUCAAAUUUUGGCAUCAAAAUACUGUUGACGGACUCAAAUCAAGCAAAUUCAAAGGUUGGAUAAGAAAAUUAACUUUUGAAACUUUAGAUAGCCAACUUAAAAUAGUCCAUAGUUUAGAUUUUCAUUUUAAAACUUUUGUAAUCUAAUUUUAGCUUGUGUAAAACGUAUGUAAAUUAAAAUUAAAUGUGUAAUUUAAACCCUAUAGUUUUAUACGUGUGUGUGUAUAUAUAGUUAUGUAUAUGCAUACAUCACAAAUAUAUUUAGUACAAAGCUACAAACUUAAUACAUCAAAUUAAUCCCAAAGAUCAUCGUAACAAAUUAAAAAUAUAACAAAUAACCAACAAGAUGUAGAAACUGUGUUUAAAAGUUUAUGUGUUUGAACAGGCAAACCAAAUUAAAAUCAAAUUAAUUUUUUUUAGUUUAAUUCAAAUUUAAUUUUUUACACCAUUGAUUUGAUUUUGAUUUUCUCAAAUUGAAUGAUAUUGGUUCGGUUUCAAUUAAUCUUGUAACCCGAACAUUAAUGUCCACUUCUAAGAUAUAUAUAUUGAGAGAGAGAGAGAUUUUUUUAAAAAAAUUUAUUAGUUAUUAUAUAUUUAGUAUUACAAUGAUUGGGUUAGUUAAUGGAAGUGGUGGAGAAACAAAAAUGAGAAUGAAAAAUGCGGGGAUGGUAAAGGGUUAAUUAUUGUAUGAUUUUGAUCUAUUAAACUAGUCUAUAUAAUCAGGUUUUGACAAAUACUAAAAUUUAAAUAAUAUCAAACUUAGAAAAUUUUUCUUUCUUAUUGUAAUUUGAUCUAACUUUGUAAAGAAAAAAAAAGCUUUUUAUUAUAAUUUGGCACAUGUAAUUUAAUUUAAGGGCAACUCCAUUAUAUGCAUGUGUAAUUUGCAUAAUAAUUUAAACUAUAUGUAGAUUCAAAUAUGACGUUUGAUUUGAUAAAUUUGAAUUUAGCUACUACUGUUGAAACAACAAAAGGAGGCAUAACUGUAGAAAUUGAAAAUGUUAAGAGUUAACUUCUGAAUAGUUCCGCAUCAUAUAAUUAUCAGAGAGUAAAAAGCUCGAUAUAUACUAGUGGGCUUAGACCUAAUUGGCUAAAGCUUUUAGGUUGAUAGAGUUUUAUUAGAUAAAUCUCAUCUUUGGACUUAUGUAUGUCUGAGAUGGGUCGAUAACUCUUUAAUAAGUAAUACCGGACUGAACUACUCAUCAAAAAUGGUAUGAUGCAUCGAGUUAGUGGCUCUUCCGAAUAUGUAGAUGAGUUAUAAUAACGUGAUACAAAGAUUUUGUGUAGAUAAGGUGCAUAGGCUCAGAUGGUUAGCGCAUUUAAACAGUUGGACUCUAGAGGCAUAGGUCAAGUGCACGGACUCUGUGUGAAUUCUUGAGCGGCGCCGUUAAAAGCGCAUGAUUUCCAUGAAUGGAUUUCUGGUGGCUCAUAAAAAGAACUUACAAAGCACGUCAUGGAGAACAGCUAAAAAAGUAACUUGGUAUAAUGCUUAGAGAGUAAUAAAUAGAGAACAUAUGUGAGUAGCUCCAAAUUGGAUAAUUGUAAGAGAUCGUAAAAGAGUUGAUAUAACUAGUAGGCUCAAUCCUAAUGAACUUAUUAAAGUUUUAGGUUGAAUGAGUUCUCCCUUAUAUAUUCAAAUUUUGGAACUCAUGUGUGCUUGAGUUAGCUAUGUAACACUUUUUGAGUUGUGUAAUUUUAUGAACUAAUCUAUCUAAUUACGUUUUGAUUAUAUAUAUAUACAUAUACAUAUAUUCUACAUUGAGUAACUCUAAGUAACUAAAUAAAUUAUUUAUAAUUACAAUUCUUUCCGCUGUAUUUAACGAAAUAAAAUUAACGAAGUUAUAACUAUUGCAUUUUUUACCGAAUGUAUCUUCAUGUGCACCGGCUGUACAAUUAUUUCCAACCAAACAAUUCCUUGGUGUAGAAAUUAAGUUCAAGUACUAUUUCGUCCAUUUUAUCGCCAUAUUGAAUUUUGCAGGACAAUUGUUGAUUUGCACUCUUUUUCUUUUUCUUUUUUUGUUGCACCAAAUCAAUUUUUCUUCGCCAAAUUCCAGCGAAAAGAAGAAAAGUUGGUGGGCCAAAUUGCAAUUCGGAAAAUAAGUGAUGAAUUGAUGUAAAUUUGACCCAAUUAAAUAGGUAAUGAUGAUAGAUUUGGACACAAUUAUAUGAUAAUAUCCUCUUAUUCAUGCUUUUUAUCUUAUAAUCUCCCUCGCCUAAUAAAUCCCUAAUUUUGAUUUUAAAAGAUAUUCUGUAGACUAUGUUUGGUUUAAAAAAAAAAGUUGUUCUUGCUGAUUCCUAUAAUCAGAAAUGAGUUCAAUUUAUAUUUAGCUAAGAAUCAAAUUAUUUUCGGGAAUAAAAAAAAAUAAUACUCUAAUAAUUUAAACUAGAAUAAUUAGGAUGAGUAAUUAUAAUUUUAAAAUACAAAUAUUAUACUUAAGGGAAAACUUCAAAAACCCCCCUUGUGGUUUCAAUUUUUUUCACUUUAAUACCCUGUGGUUUAAAAUAUAUCAAGUUAGUACCCCGUGGUUUCUCACUUUAUCACUUAAGUACCCUGUGGUUUAAAGUGUAUCAAGUUAGUACCCUGUGGUUUUGCACUUUAUCACUUUAGUACCCUGUGGUUUUAAUUUUGUAUCAAGUUAGUACCCUAUAGUUUUUUAAAUCACAAGGUACUAAAGUGAUAAAGUGUGAAACCACAGGGUACUAAAGUGAUAAAGUGAGAAACCACAUGGUACUAACUUGAUACACUUCAAACCACAGGGUACUAAAAUGAAAAAGUGUGAAACCACAGGGAGGGUUUUUGAAGUUUUCCCUAUACUUAAUUAACAAUAUCAAAAUAUUAAUGAAAUACUAAUUUAAUUAAUUAAUUAAUAUUGUAAAUACCCUUUUUACAUUCCAACCUAUUUCAAAUAUACCCCUAAAGUUAAAUUCUGUUAAUGAACUGUUGACAAUAUCUGUUAUUUGUAUAAAAUUACUAUUUUGCUUUUUCAAAUAUACACUUCCACCAUCACUGACUUUUCUUAUUUGCCGCUAAGUUAGGGCUACAAAAAGUAUUUUAAUUUUGAUCUUUUCAAAUAUACCCUUCUACUAUUACCAAUAUUUUUUAUUUACCCUUAAAUUAAGGGCAAAAGAGGUAUUUUGAUUUUUGUUAGCUCUAGUAGAUAUUUAACUCACGUUUAAUUUAAGUUAACUUAACGAAUGAUAACUACAGUGAUAUUUUGAAAUAACGGAGAAACAUAUGAUGGGUAUAUUGGAAAGAAAAAAACAGAAGGGUAAAUAAAAUAUUUUUAAAGUUUUGAAGGGUUUAUAGAUAAUUAUCCUUUUUUAAUUGUUUUUUAUGUGGAUUUUUUUUUUAACUUUUAGUAGAGAAUUUGUGGGCUGGUCCAAGUGGGCCCCUCAUACUUUGUCCAAUCUCAUGUUUACUAGGUACGUAGCAGUUAUAUCAUAUCAUCUAUAUCUUCUUUUUUUUCUAUUUUUUUUUUAUUUUUUUUGUUUUGUGUUGAGGGUGGUGUCGCCGUCAGUGGAAAGAAGAACGUGCAAGUUUGGCAUGCUUUUGAAAUAUUACAAUAUUAAUAACUGCUUGGUGGAUGAAUAUUUCAGAUCUUUUCUGUGAUGAGAAGCUGGAAAAAAUUUUUGAGACUUUUAAGUAAAAACUUCAAUAUAAAACUUUUGACUUCGAUACCUGAACAAGAAGUCGUACAAAACUAUCAAUACCUCUUCAAAUAAUCUCCAAUGAGAAGUAUUUUAGUUUUUAUUUAUUACUUUUAUUUUAGAGCUGCUAUAUAUUGUGCCAAAAAAUUGAAUAAAUAUUUACACUUCGAAAGAAAAAAAAAAUCCAAUAUGGAGCUUCUAAUUGAUUGGACAAACUGUGGUCUCCGUACUCUGGUCUCAAAUUAUAUUUAAGUUAGGGAAAACUUCAAAAACCCUCCAUGGGGUUUCAUACUUUAUCAUUUUAGUACCCUGUGGUUUAAAGUGUAUCAAGUUAGUACCCUAUGAUUUCUCACUUUUUCACUUUAGUACCUUAUGGUUUAAAGUGUAUCAAGUUAGUACCCGGUGGUUUUGCACUUUAUCACUUUAAAACCACAUGGUACUAAAGUGAUAAAGUGCGAAACCACAUGGUACUAAAGUGAUAAAGUGUAAAACAACAGGGUACUAACUUGAUACAGUUUAAACUAUAUGGUACUAAAAUGAUAAAGUGAUAAACCACAGGGUACUAACUUGAUACACUUUAAAUCACAGGGUACUAAAGUAAAAAAAAGUGAAACCACAAUAGGGGUUUUUGAAGUUUUCCCUUUAAGUUAUAACACGAAAAAACUAAUAUUUUAAAAUAGUAGUAAAAGGAAAAUAAGUAAAUGCUUCUUUUCUGAAAUUACUAAUAUUUCUUUUAAAAGUAGAUGCCAUUUUUGCAGAAGCUCUGGUAAAACUAAACAUGAAGUAGAUCAACUCGGCUUAUAGAACAAAUAGUAUAGACUUGGUCUACGAAGUAUAGAAAUAAAUGUAUAUCUUAAAGGUGUAUUUAUUAUAGCGUAAAAUGUUUUAUACAAAUAUUUAUUUAAACUUUAAAGAUACGUAUAAAUAAUUUGCAUGCGCACAUGGAGAUGACCAUUUUUUUUAAUAUAUUUUUCUAGUUUAAGAACAUUUUUUUCUAUAUGUUCUAUUUUGCCUUGAAGGCAAAAUAAUUGAGCGAUUGCAACUUUCUUGAUACUGAAUUUUAUAAUUUUUUAGCAUUAUUUAUUUCGUGAUUAAGCAAUUUAAAAAAUACUUUAAUAACUUAUGUGGGAUGUUUCCUCGUUUAAUGGUGUAGCAAAUUAAUCAUUUGGAUUUUUUAUUUUAUUUUAUCUUAACUAUCUGCGACAAGAUUUACAACUUCAACCUUGAUUUAAAAAUCCUAUCCCUUAUUUUCAGAAUGAAGUUCAAUUUUGAACGGAGAGCUAGCUAAUUAAUGAUCUAAAAAGCCAUUUUCAAAAUUAAUAAGUUUGGUUUCUAAUUUAUACAAAUAUCCUAUAUCGUACAUAUUCAACGAUCGAUAUCGAUCACCAAAUUAUAUAGGUGCUUUAUGAUAAAUAAAGAGUCUAUAGUAGUAGCAACAAGAAAUUAACCUUAUUAGAAAUCUAUAUUUGGUGACCAUGAUGAUGGUGGUGGUACUUAAUAGACUUGAUAUGUAGAUAUUUAGUUGUAUUCAAAAUUGGCAACUAGUGUGGUUCUUUAAGUACAUGCUACUUAUUAAUUAGGUGUCAUUCUCAAGUACUCGUGCAAUAAUAAUAAAUAAAUUUAGCAUUUCUUUAGCUUCUAAAGUCUAUAUAUAUAGUUGAUCUGCUUUAAGUGUGACCUAAGACUUUGAAUAUAAUUAAGGAAAUAAAUAUUUGGGGGGUUGUCUUUAAUUUAUGAUGACAGCAUAUAUAUAUCAGGAGGAAAUAAUGGAACUGGAAGACACUGAAGAGAGAAAAUUUUCAUAGAAAUAAAUUAGGGUAAAUUGCCUUACUAGUCCCUAAGCUUUUAGGCGAGUUUUAUUUGGUCCUUAAACUUUUUAAGUUUGAAAUGUGCAUCGAGGUGUGAUCGAUGACGAGUACUGCGGUGUCAAUUGCACGUCAGUACUACGCCGCGUGCUGGUAGUACGACAAUCCGUGGUUGCAUCUGCCUCGAUCGUCUGUCUGUGCAUCAGUACAUGAUUAUUAUCAGCUUUGAACUGUAAAUUAGAUAAAAUGUUAGGACUUAGUCGAUGGUGGGAAUGAAAUAUGAGAUUGAAUCAAAGUCGAUGGAUAAAUCAAUGGCUUAUGACAACACAAACACAUUGGGUGCAAGUUAUACUCUUUUUUGUUUUUUUUCCCCCUCUCAUUAGUGAAUACACACAAGGACCAAGAUGAAAUAAUUUUAGAAGUUCGGAGUUUUAAAUUCGAAAGUUCGAAGUUUGAAAACCAAAGAUAAACCUAACCAUAUUUUCAUUUUUAUCCAAAUAAAAUAUGUGGCUUGAGUGUGCAUGCAACAGAAUGUGUUGAGAUUAGUCUAAGUUUGACCGAGAUAUUUUUGCUUUGCUAAUUGGAUUUAAGUGGAAUAUUAUCACCCACUCCAUUUGAGUGGGCGGUGAACAAACUUUGUUGUCGCUCCAAGUAAUGAAUUGACUAAUGAGUUCUUCGCAAAAUUCGAAUAAAGGUAUCUGCUAAAAAUAAUAGCCUCAUAUAUUAGAUUCUAAAAAAAUAAUAGUAGAGCGUGUAUCAGAUGUGCAACCAUAUCUCAAAAGUGAACAAAUACAACGUCUAUGUCUAGGCCCUCAGUUUCCCAGGACCAGCACGUGGCUAAUGGCAACAUGCAGAAAUCGACCCCCUGAUUUGCUCUGAUGCUAUUUGUCGGAUCGUUAGCACUAACUGUAAUUCAAAAAGCACAAACAAAUAAGAAAAGAAUAACCAAUUAAUUUAAAAGGUAUAGACAUCCUUUCCUAGUAUUUAGCAUUGAAACCUCAUAGAAAACGGUCUGAAAAUUAUCCAUGCUUAGAUGUUAAAAUCGUACGCAAAUUUCAAUAAUCCUCAUUUCAAUACCACAUAUUAGAGGAUCUAUAAUCAAAAUGGUAAAAUUAAGAUCUUAUUUUCUUUAAUUGUUGUUUUAAGCUCUUUAAAGAGAAUUAGAAAAUUAGAAUUUGACAAGAGGAAAGAUUCUUUAUCAUCUCUCUAACUUGAUUUAAUUUUUCUUCGUAGAAAUGAACUAAACUAAAAUGUGAUGGCCCACGAUAUAUAAAACCAACUCUAUCUACAUAUGAAUUAUUUUUGGUGGUACUUGAAUAAUUUGCAUGUAAUUGUGACCUUCUUUUUGGCUCGCAUGGCGUGUUUUACUUGAAGCACAAAUGGGGACAAGUGCAUCACUAUCUUGCAAUGUUCCCGCGUAGUCCGUAGACCAAACCAAACUUAAACUCUAACUUAGCCAUUAGAAUUAAUUAGCUACAUGCGUGUCUCAUUCGUUGUCCUAUGAAGAUAUUUUAUCGGUACAUGACAACGAGUUAGGCCCGAAUAUUCUAAGAAUGAAUGGAGAAGUUAAGGCGAUGGAAAAAACAAACGAAUCGACUUACGCCAGAGUAUUCUAAAAACCAACGGUAAAGUUAAGGCGCUGAAAAAUUCGAAUCGAUGAUCAGCAUCAGUAAACACGAUUUAAGUUAUUUCAAUUUUUUUAAAAUUAAAUUUAAGUGGUCUCAAAUGAAAAUUAUUACUUCGGAGACUAUUUGAAUAUUAAGUAUUGAUAUCGUAAAAUCAUGAAAUUUCAAAAGUGAGAUAUUCAAAUAACCUGAAUCAAAUUUAACGGUAUGAAUCUUAGAUUAGGAUAAUCUUUCAGUGGAAGCGACGCCUAAGUAAUUAAAUGCUUCCAUUUACUUCGAAAGUAUUCUAUAUUGAAAAUUAUUUUUCCUGCUUAAAACAAUCUAGGACCAUAAAUAUACUUCUAAGAAUGACAAUUUUGGACACAAGUCUCAUAAUUUGACACAAUCCGAUACGACACGUUUUCAUUUUAUUAAAUAGCUUAUGAAACUUACUUGGUUUGGCCCAAAGAAUAGCGAUUAUAUAUGCUUUGAAUUGUUGGAUGCAUUUAACAAGUAAGUUUGAUAAUAUUUAUGUACUUGAUAUGAAACCUAACAUCAAAGAUACGUAUGUUAGAUGAUCACCUGUUUAAUUAGUAGGGGCGUUACUAUAGUAUUGAUGAAGGUUAUUCAAUCGUUGAUUCGUGGAAUGUACGUAAUUGAGACUCAUUCAAAUUGAGAGAAAAUAGAUCCACUUCACACCGACAAUCAAAAAUGAAAAAAUUACUCGUAAUAGCGUCCCGGUUAUCAUUCGAUUGAAAAGACACGGCGAUCGAGUAAAAUAAAAAACCUUGUUUGUAAUUUUGUCGCAACCGACGAAAAGAAAGCUAUAAAUAUGUGUCGUUGUUCUAACAAAUUGUAAAAAAAUAGAUUCAAAAAAAAAUAUUAAUGCAAGAAAAGAAAAAAAAAAAAAAAAAAGAUAACAUCAACUUUUACGUGAUUUGACUAUGAAUUUAUUUUUACAGGCGAAAAUGGAAUAAAAUUUUUUAUUAAUAAUGUCAAAAAAUUAUGUCCAGAAAAAAAGCCAAAUCCUAAAAUGCACUAUUUAAUGUCUGAAGUACGGCCCAAAAUGGCCAAGUUAGUACCGACUGCAACCCGCUCGGCCUCUCCCUAAUACGCACGGUUGCGGCAGUCUGCCACAAUGCGUCCCAUUUUGCCAUAUCGUGUACGGACCGCCGACAGCUCUCGGCCACACUCCGAAUGACAUGCACUGGCUUUACAUUGGCUUAGAGAUAUGUUCGGUUGUAUGUAAAAGUGCAAACAAAAAAAAAAAAAAAAAUUUGCGAAAGAAAUUUAGGUAGAAAAAAAAGUAUAACAUUUUUGUAAUAUUUAGUAUGUAAAAAAUAAAAAUAAAAAUAAUUUUUGAUCAAUAUUUAUUUGACUGUGUUGGCGCUAUAAAAAUGACGCUAUAUAGAACACGUGGAUGAAAUAAAAGAACUAUAUAUAAAGAAAGCCACACGUGCGUGGCACACUUGAAGUUGAGAUAAGUACACCUGAAACGAGAAAAUAGUUUUAGAUGAAACCGAAGACGAGAAAAUAGUUUUUCACUUUUAUCUUUUUUUAAGAGUAGUCUAUUGUGAUAAAUUUUCUUAUUAGUCGCAGUAGAUUUUAUUGUGUUUCCUAUAGUCAAGGACUUAGUAAAUUAGCGGUAGGGCUUAUCUUCCUGUAUUUCAAAUUUUUUUUAAAGUAUACUGAAGUCACUCGGCUCAUUCAGCCGAGUCAGUAAUAUAUUUGAGUGUUCGGACUCGGCUGAGCAAAUCCCUACUCAGCUGAUUGCUUUAUUCUGUUUGGGGCGCGUUCGAGGGUCAUCAUCAGGAGCCGACCAAUCCCCCAACUCGCUUCCCGACUCGCAUAGGUAGAAAGUAAAAAAAAAUCCACAUUUGUUAAUUUUGGUAGAAAAAUAAGUAAAAAAAAAUUUACACAGUUUGAGUUUUUAUUUUUCGUUGAAAAUCGACUGAAAACGAAAAGACUUUAUUUUUCUCAAAUUUGUAAAAACAAAUUUUGCGAAAACUUUCUCUAUGGCUAAACAAAGCAUAUGAAAAAUAUUUUUCAAACCAAAAAAUAAUUUUCGGCAUAUUUUACCGCCAACCAAACACACCUUUUGUUAAUUAAUUGAAAACUUCCUCAAUCAAUGUGGCCAUAACAUGCUCUAUACAGGUAUAUGGCUCGAAACAUAUAUCUAAUUCUAACUCAAGUUAAAUUAGUCACAUAUUUAUACUCAGCAUAGCCCAAAUUAAAUCUCAUCUAAUCCUAAUUAAAUUAGAAUUUGACUUGAAUUUGGAUAACUAUAAAAUUAAACAAAAAUCUAACAAUCUCUAUUUUGAUUUGAUUUAUAGUCACAAAUUCCAUCUUGACUUAAAUUCUCUUCAAUAUUUCUUCACGCUUCUUAAUGCUCCGUCUUCUCAAAUGCUGCUAACGAUCACCAAGUUCAAAUAAUAUUUGAAGUUAGCAAUAGUAAAAGACUUAUAAGCAUGUCCGCCAGAUUGUCCUUAAUCUCAAUUUUCUUAAAAAUUAUCAUGCGUUUUCCAAUCACUCCUAGAACAAAGUAAAACUUUACAACAAUAUUCUUUGUGCUUUCAUUAAACAUUUGAUCUUUAAAUAAAUGAAUAGUACUUUGACUGUCCGAAUAAACAACCAUUGGGUCACAAUAAGAGGUAAGCUCUCUAAAUAAACCUCGUAGCUGUAUAGCUUCCUUCAUACCGUCUAUCAUAGGAAUGUACUCUAUCUCGAUCGUGGAUAAGGCGAUAAUUAGUUGUAAUAAAGCUUUCCAACUAAUUGCACAUCUACCGACGGAGAAUACAUAAUCCAAAAGUGAACUCCUCUUAUUCAAAUCAUCUACAAAUUCGAAUAUAUAUAUAUAUAUAUAUAUAUAUAUAUAUAUAUAUAUAUAAUAUAUUAUAUAUUAACUAGGCUGGAGUACUAUUAAUAGCACCAACGACUUGGUGCUAUUAAUUUUCUACCCUUAGAUUGGAAGAUGUGUGGUUAGGAUGAUGCGGGCCCCCUGGGCUUGAGUGGGUGGUUAGUUGAAUAGUAUAACCGAACGGUUAAAAAUAAUAAAAGAGGUAAAUCUAACGACAGAAAACUUGAUAGCACCAAAUACCUCAUGCUAUCGAUAGUAUCCCAGCCGGACUCUAUAUAUAUAUAUAUAUAUAUAUAUAUAUAUAUAGAGAGAGAGAGAGAGAGAGAGAGAGAGAGAGAGAGAGUUGAGCUAGAAUAUUAUCGAUAGCAAAUGGGCUCCGUUGCCACCCAUUUGUUUUUGUUGAUAGAGCCUCAAAAUCGACGAUCGACACCGUUGAACAUGAUCUAUACCACUUGAAGUGUUUACAAAUCAAAUUUCAAAUCUUUUCGACAUCAUUUGCCUAAUGAUCAAAGGGUUUCAAAUUUUGUAAUUUUAAUGGUCGAUAUGAGGCGUUUUCUCGUUUAACGGCGUAAAGAUAUCCAAAUCAAUUGAAAUUUUGUUAAAAAUUUUUUUAAACUAUUUGGAACAAGAUCUAUACUCUCGAUCUUGAUUACAAGACUCCUAUCAUCAUUUUUUAAAGAAUAUUUAUUUUCAGCCGUUCAUUUUUGUGUCCACUCGAUGGAUAAGAGAACAAUAUCGAAAAUGUAUGAAAUUUGAUUUCUAAACACUUCAAAUGGUAUAGAUCAUGUUAAACGGUGCCGAUCAUCAAUUCAGAGGCUCCAUCAUCGAAAACAAAUGGGUGGCAACGGAGCCCGUUUGCUAUCGAUAGCAUUCUAGCUCAACUCCUAUAUAUAUAUAUAUAUAUAUAUAUAUAUAUAUAUAUAGUUGGCCGGUAAACUUGUAAACUUGUAUACUAAGUAAAGGCUGUUUUAGUUAACGACGUGUUAAAUAAUCAAAGUUUCAAAAAUGAGUCAGCGACCGCUUCUCUACAUUGGGCCUACAUGCUCGACUGUAUUCUCAGUCUCAUCGCCCGAGAACUUGUCGAACUUCGGCAUUUUCCAGUUCGCCGGAUACGGAUGCUCCGCGUCGAUGUUCGCGGGAUAUGAGGAUCUAAAUACAGGCCGCACUGCCGACCUCGCCCCGACACCAAAUGUGUUCUGAAUCGCCUCUUCUAUUUGAACAUAUAACUCAUUAUUUCUUGCCGCCGAAGUAGAAACCGGGGUCGGAACCACAUUUGGCCCUGAAGGCGGUCCGUAAUUUUGCAUUACAGAAUUGAGUUCCUACAACCUGUUGGGCCCUUACCCCCCAGCCCUUACGCCCACGUUUUGGGGCUAGUAAGCUGGUAAAGGAGGUAAACCCGAUGCAAUCUCCGAUUGCAGGCCGGCGUUUAUAUUUGCCGGCCUAUAAGCAGGCUGGAAAGGUGCCAUUUGCGGUUGUGCCUGUGAGACCGCCGGCGUAACGGAAUUUUGUUGCACCGGCACAUUUAGGGCCCCCUGUUGGCCCCCGUAAGGUUGCUCGUUUCGGGUAAAUAACCGUCUGAUUCGAACAAUAUUUUCAUUGGAGGUCGUGAUAGCGGCCAGCACCGUGUCUAGUUGAGCGUUAUUUUGAUGGAUAUUUUGAUCUACAGUUUGCAGGACUCAGGUCAUCUGGCCGAGUGCCUGAGUUAGACUCGGCUCUUGAUGAACCGACUGUUUACUAGUCUCUCCUCCAACAAGUAGUACGGCCUGAUUCUCAUUCGCAUUUUCGGCGCUACUAGCUUGGUCAUUACCUGAAGGUCUGGAAAUGGCUCUAUUUCGGAGGUUCAUAGCAUUAUCGUCAGCCAUAGGACAAAGUCGAGAUUGGGAAAACCUGAAUGUGUCCCACCGGGGGUGCUAAAAAUUGCUAGGAGCCGAAUUCCCUGAUCCUUGACCUGGUCAAAGAUUUUCCUCGAUAAGCGUGUAGGGAUAUGGAACGACUAUGAAUAGUGACCCUCGAAGUUUGCGCCCUUCGACUGGAUCUAGCGAUUUGGCUGAUGAGGGAUCGGAUCAGCCGAGUUCGAAUACCUUUAUUGUAGACUCGGUUCAGUUGAAUGAGCCGAAGAGGAUGGAAUGCACAGUGAUUGGUCGGCUGAAAGAGCCGAAUUUCUUUAUAUAUUAGAUUGGAAUCAGAAGCUCACAUAAACAAGAGUGUGCCCGUAAGGCAUACAGACUCUGAAAAUCUAAAUUAAAGACUACUCCUAAGAAAAAUAGUAAAUGCGGAAAAAGAAAAGAUUACAAGUAAAACUACUUCUAGAAAAAAGAUAAAUGCAGAAAGUAAAAGUAUUGAAGGCUUCGAAAAUACUAUUUAUAGUAAUAUCAGCCUACAUUAUUGGUCGAUUUUUUUUAGUAGUGAGGGAAGUGGUGUAACCAUGAUCGUGGAAGUUACGCCCACUUCUCAACCGUUCCCACCUAAAGGCUCUCGACCUUGAGGCGCCUUAUUACCGACUCCUGAUUACCACGUGCUCUUAUUUCUUUGGCUCAUACGUGUAAGUUACGAGAAGCCCUAGGAUCUUUUAUCUAGAUACUAUCAAACACCUAGAGGGGGGGUGAAUAAGUGUAUAACCCAAAAACCACAAAUCUCAUUGCGAUAAAAAAUUAAAUGCGAAAAAUAAAAAACACACUGAGAUUUACGUAGGAAACUCCACUUUGGAGAAAAACCCACGGGACCAACACACGAAAAAAAUAAUUCAUUAAGAGAAAAGAUUAUAAGGUGAUUACCGACUCCACGGACUCGACCUCUCUUAAUCUCCUAUGAAUCUCGCGCAAUCCUCCGGGUUGUCCACGCCCUCACGUCCGAAUCCACGAACGCCUCGUACAUGUCCGAAUCCAGGAACGCCACUCGAAUCCACGAGCUCACGAUCCGAAUCCUCGAACCGCCUUCGAUCACGCCGAAUCCACGUUCAUGAAGAAUAUCAUAAUUAUGGUGAUCCUUCGCUUAGAGUAUUGAUGAAGAACCAGAGAAGAAUCUCUAAGCGAAGCAUAAAUCAAUUCGACAUAUAGAUAUCAAAUUUCAAUACCUCGAAUUGACCUAAAAGAGGCUAAUUUGUGGAAAAUAGGUUUAGAACGAAACCCUAGCCUCUAGGAUUUCUCAAUCAUAUAUUCUCGUGAUAUUCUAUUAAUUAAAGAACCCCAAUAACUUAUUUAUAGACUUUAGAAUCAAUUAAAGUCGGAUUAGAAUCAAUAUAAGAAAUUUUACACUGCGUACCGGUAGUGAGUAAGUUGGUACCGGUACCUUAUGACGGAACAGAAAAUUCCUCAGGCUGAGUACCGGUACCAGGCCGAUGCAGUACCAGUACCCGGCCAAUGCAGUACCAGUACUCAAUGCAAUUUCCAGAAUUGCAUCACUCGAACCACUUCUAAUCCUUUAAUCUUUGAUUUAUAUGAUUCUAAUGUCUAUAACUAAGUGUGAAUCACCAUAACAUGAAUUAAAACCUUACGUAAGCAUCAUGAUUCAUGCCAUGAGAUGUUUCUGAGUUCUCGGAAUCUUGGAUUCUUCGAUCUUCGACAAUUUCGCACCGAACCCUUCAAGACUCCGACUCAAAUCACGAAACUUGCCAACACAAAAUACUUAACAAUAUACAUGGGUUAGGUCAGUGCGUUAAUUUUUUGGCAUCAACAGAUCCAAAUUAAAUUCAAAGGGAUCUCGAACUAAAUUAUAAGGGUUCGAUAUAAACCAAGUCUCAACGAGUCCUGAAUCAAGGCAUAAUGGUCAACCCAAACCAGACUCGAAAUGGAUGAACCAAGUGAGAACCUAAAGCGGCUCAACCCAAAUCAAAUAUAAAAGGUUCAAGCCAACCCAAAACCAAAGUCCAUAAAUAAAACCCAAAGAUCCAAAGUCCACAAAUUAAACCCAAAACCCAAAGUCUACAAAUAAAAUCCAAAACCCAAAGUCCACAAAUAAAUCCAAACGACCGUAAAGUCGUUAAACUACACCCAAAUUCAAACGACCGUAAAGUCAUUAAACUAAAUCCAAAAUCAAACGACUGCAAAGUCGCUAAACUAAACAACCAAAUCCAAACGACCGUAAAGUCGUUAAACUAAACCCAAAUUCAAACGACCGCGAAGUCGUUAAACUAAACAAUCAAAUUCAAAUGACCAUCAAGUCGUUAAACUGAAUUCAAAUUCAAAUUACCAUCAAGUCGUUAAACUGAACAUUUGACCGUCAAGUCGUUAAACUGAAUUCAAAUUCAAAUUGACCCUCAAGCAGUUAAACUGAACAAAUGACCAUCAAGUCGUUAAACUGAAUAUUUGACCAUCAAGUCAUUAAACUGAAUAUUUGACUGUCAAGUCGUUAAACUGAAUACUUAACCAUCAAGUCGUUAAACUGAACAUCUGACCGUCAAGUCAUUAAAUUGAGUUCAAAUUCAAAUUGAUUUGUCCCCAAGUCACUAAACUGAGCAAUCAAAUUAAACUCAAAUUGACCGCCAAGUCGUUAAACUGAGCGAACUGAAUUCAAAUUCAAAUGACCAUCAAGUCUUUAAACUGAAUUCAAAUUCAAACCGACCGCCAUGUCGUUAAACUAAGUAACUUAACUUCAAGUUGACCGCCAAGUCGUUAAACUAAGCGAACUGAAUUCAAAUGACUAUCAAGUCGUUAAACUGAAUUCAAAUUCAAGCCGACCACCAUGUCGUUAAACUGAGCAACUUAACUCAAAUCAACCGCCAUGUCCUUAAACUGAAUACCUCAAUUCCAAGCCGACCGCCAUGUCGUUAAACUGAGCGACUCAAUUCAAGCUGACCGCCACGUUGUUAAACUAAGCGACUCAACUCAAGCCGACCGCCACGUCGUUAAACUGAGCGACUCAACUCAAGCCGACCGCCAUGUCGUUAAACUGAGCGACUCAAACCAAGCCGACCGCCACGUCAUUAAACUGAGUAACUCAACUUCAGACCGACCGCUAUGUCGCUAAACUGAGCACCUCAACUUCACGCCGACCGCCAUGUCGCUAAACUGAGCACCUCAACUUCACGCCGACCGCCAUGUCGCUACAUUGAGCAUCUCAACUUCACGCCAACCGCCAUGUCAUUAAACUGAGCGAACCAAUUGCAAACUCCUCUCGACCGCCAAGCCAUUAAACUGAGCAAAUCAUUUCAAAUUCAAUAUGAUCAUCAAGUCGUUAAACUGAGUAUUUCAUCAAUGUACAGUGGGGGUAUGAUCCUGCUUAAGCUAUGUACUUGAACAUUAUAUCAAUUCAAGUUCAUCUUUAUACUACAGUCUCUUUCUAUCAUCAGCAUUAUAUUUGGUCUCUUAAUCGAGAGUUCCUUAACACUGAAAGUAUGGGUUAAUUAACAGCAGAUUCUUGAGUCUGUUGGAAGCCAUGAACCUAUAAUCCUGAUUCCAAAAAAAAAAAACUUAAACAAAUCUAAUCUCUACCAUGAAUGACUACUCGCCUUAAAAAUACCUACGGCGAAACCGGUUCGUUCGCGGUAGACAAGGACAUAGGAAAGCGCCUUCUGCAGUCCCUGAAAGGGUUAGUGCUUUCUGCGGUCGGUGCUCCGCAGCAAAGCAAGGAAUUGGGCUUUCCAUAACAAGUAGUUGUCCCGAUGAGUUUAAGAGGAAGAAAGUGCAUUGUAUUGGAUACGGAAGGAAUACGGAGGGAGCAGUGAAGCAGGACAAGGAAGUCGGGACAACAACUAUAGGGAUUGAGUGUUGUAGAGCUUAGACUCCGAUACCAUGUAAGGUAAUAAUAACAAAGAUAAAUAAUAAAAUUAUUGUAGCUUAUGUGCUAUAUCUUUCUCUAUUGUAUAAUAUGUUAAUACAUUCAAAUAUGUGUAAGUUACAAUGAUAAAGAUAAGUUCUUAAUUAUAAGUUACAAUAGAAAAACAAUAAAGAUAAGUCAUUGUGCUAUCUUAUUGGAGAGAUUUGUGCCAAGCAAAUUCAUGAAGUUGUGAUUGUUAUCCACUGUUGAUCCGGUCAGCACACUCCAUUAACAACUAGAGAUAAAUAAAAUAUUUUUAAAAUUUUAAAGUAUAUAUUAGGUAUUAUACCAAAAUAAAAAUAAGCAAUAAGAAAAACUCUACAAUAGACAACUUGCUGCUUUAGCUUUAGUUCUCAUAGUGAUAUUAUACCAUGAUAGGCCUUUGGCUCAGGCGAUAAUCAUCGUCCUCGUCCUUGUUUGAGUGUGUGAUGCUCUGCUCGGAUCAUUUCUAUCGUUGAUGAAAACAACAAAAAGACAUCUAGUUGAGUAUCUUCAUCGAGUCUUUUCUCAGCAUAGUUUCAGGCUCGAAAAGUUCAGCCCAGCACUACUAGCCGCUCAGCGUCUAGCGAUUUAUUAAAGCUGAAAAUUGAAAGUCUCGAGAUUAAGAAUCCAAAUCACAUUUUGCCUUCUCUAACUCACUUGAUUCUAGGGAUUUAGUCUUGUAUCCGCACUUUUUUAAAAAAUCUAUUGGGCUUUUUUUAAAAGAGAAAGUUGGUGAGGUACUUGUUUUAUUCAUUAAGAAAAAUGAACUAAGCUAUAUGGGGGAGACAGCUAGUGCCUCCAGUGGAGACACAAGGUAAAAAUUGUUGGAGGUUAUGGAUUUUUGGGUGCUUAAAGUAUUACACCAAGAGACAUCAAAAUUUUGGAAUGCUCAACAGUGUUACUUCCAGCUUAGGGAAACCCUAGGAUUAAUAAGCUAUUGGGCUCCAGUUAAUAUGUGCCUUAAUACGCUUUUACCUAUUGGGCUUGUAUGUGAACAUAUUAUUUGAAUUAUAUAUAACAAUAUAUCCAACAAUCACCUCCUAUGUUCACCAUACAGCACAAUCCAUUACGGUGGUCAGUGUAAUGUGCAAACAAAUAUGAAUCAUCCACAUUCAGUACAAGACAAUCAACUCAGAUUAAAAUUUAAUCAUCAAUUGCAAUCCAAAUGAGUAAAUCAUCCUUACCAUGAAUCUGUUCUGAGAUCGGCAUAUCCAAAAUAAUUCUCAAAAUCAGUUCACAACCAACAUAUGCAUAACAGUCAGAUAUAAGUAGGCAAGUCAAAAUAAUCCAAGGCCGGACAAAUGCAAGAAAAAGGCAUAAUAAAAUUCACAAAAUAGAGAUAGCAAAAAGCAAGUCUUAAGUAAAUAGAUUCCAUCAAAAUAGGUAAUAGUAGGUGAACUGUCAAGUCCUCGUACACUCUAAAUGAUAUAUAUAUUCAUUCAUCAAAUAGAUCAUCCUGAUCAGAAUCCCACUUAUUAAGCUCUCCUCCAUCCCUGCCAUCCUCUGUAGAAUAUCAAAUAUAAAUUUCAUAUUAUCAUGAAUUUAAUUAUUUGAAUAAUCCACUAAAAAUAUCUAGUUCUACUAAAAGAACUUAGCAUCAUAACAUCAGGCAUAGAAGAACAUAUAUUAAUGUCAUAAAGCAUCAUAAUAUCAUGUUCAUAAGCAUCAAGCCAGUUUCAUAAAUUAUGAACAAAGCCUAAAUAGUUUGAUUUACAAAGAGCCAUCAACUUAAGUUUAUUUGUAAGAGAAUAAUCAUUGUCUAGUUUCGAACAACACGACCAAUAGUCAAGUCACUUACAAUAAACUAGUCAUAUAAUAUCAAGUUUUAAUAUGGGCCUUAAUACGCUUUCACCUAUUGUGCUGUAUGGUGAACAUAGGAGGAGAUUGUUGGAUAUAUUGUUAUAUAUAAUUCAAAUAAUAUAUUCACAUACAAGCCCAAUAGGUGAAAGCGUGUUAAGGUCCAUAUUAACUAGAGCCCAAUAGCUUAUUAAUCCUAGGGUUUCCCUAAGCUGGAGGUAACAAUAUUGAGCAUUCCAAAAUUUUGAUGUCUCUUGGUGUAAUACUUUAAGCACCCAAAAACCCAUAACCUUCAACAAAAAUUACAUGCAGAAAAGAAAAGAAAGCUUUGUAUACCAAUAAGACUUCAGAUAGAUUCGUAUACUAAGUCUAAAAAUGAAUAUAAAUCAAAUAGCCAAUGUUGUAGUGAGAUCCCUUUCUUUUCUUGCGGUUGUCGCUUUGUCCGACUGGCCUCCCCCAGUACUCUCGCACUUUAUUUGUCCAUCGAGCUGUGGGUAGGCCGUCGUCCGAACAUGUGAGCAAAUAUUGGAGAAAGAUAAUCUAACGAUUAGAUGGUCGCAUGUCUCAAGUUUGCUAGCAUAGAGGAUGAUGAGUUGCUCGUCCGUACGACCUCGUUCAAGGAGGUUGUCAGCAAUAAGUUUGUUCCGAGAAUAGCUAAAUGCUGGGCGGAGAUCUGGGAGGAGCUUCGGACGAGCGGGGGAAUGUUGGGCAGAGAUCUCGAUCGCAACACUCGCUGCAUCAACCUCAGCGACCUCCACCAGGGAAGAAGAAGGCGUUCGCUCUGUCUCCGAAGGGCAGGGAGAAGCUGUCUUCGAAGGGCAAGGAGAAGGAAUUCGCUCUGGAGUACACUUUGCCUUCGAAAGGCAAGGAGAAGCUGAGCAUCGGACAAACAAAGGGCAAGGAGAAAGUUAGCAUCGAACAAAAGCCGGCAGGGACAGCGUAUUCCCUCCGACCAGGCGCUCCUUCAAGCUUUCUAAUAAGCAGAUCUCGUUCAGCCCCGCGGUCACCGACUCUUCAGCCCAUAUGCUUCUCCAGCAAAGACAAAGAUGACUGCACCAGCAAAGACAAAGAUGGCUGCACUUCGACGAACCGCCCUCUUUCCAAAAAAAUCAGUUGGGCGGAUGAAGUAGGAGCUGCAUUAACUCACACCACCUACCUCAUACAUGCGGCUGCUAAUCAUACCUCAGGAUCUUUAACUCCCUCCAGAUCUUUAUCUCCCUCCAAAUCCUGCUCUGCUAACUCGCCGCGAUCUUCUGACAAGCCUCCGCCUGAAGCCUUUAAGAAGACCUUCAAAGAGUCCCUCCUUACCCCUUCUGCCACCUCCUCUACCCGACCUUAUUCUCACUCCUCUGCUCCGAGAUCUUGCACUCGUUCUCGCUCCCCUACGCCGAGAUUUAGCACCUUCUCCUUCAAGGGGAAGUGCUUCAGGUGUCUGGGCAGGGAUUACCGGGCAUCCCACUGUCGUGAACCCCUCCGUUGCGCCAGGUGCUUUAAGUUUGGUCAUUUUUCGAGAGCCUGCAUGAAUCGCCUCCCUAUGGCCGUCUACCGGGCCAUGCGUGCGCGCCCCACCUACCUAAGUGCCUUCGUUCCACUUUCCGACGACUUCUCUGCCCGUCAAAAUAGCCGCCGCAACACCAUCCUUGUAGACGUCAUCCCGCCUUCGAACCUGGGCCAUUUUCCAUAGGAGACUUUAGCCAACGGUCUUGCAAGUCGCUUUGGCGGAUACCCCUCUGACUUCCACGUCGCAAAGUACAGGGAACGAGACUAUGCCGUCUUCCUCCCGGAAUGGGUGCCGGGUGACCAACUCAUUCGCAGGGAGAUCCUCUCCAUCGGGGACAUCCGGCUGCGUUGCUUCCCCUGGGACCCAUACCGCAACGCUCCCCGCCCCCCCUGACCUACAGAGCUUGGAUACGGCUUGUAAGUCUCCCAUAUAAGUGCUGGUCAUCUCGUACUGUGCCGGCGCUUUUCAUUCGAGCUGACGAAUUUACCUCCUGCAUGGUUGACUUGUCCGGCUACCGGUGCCUUGUAGCCGUCAACCACCUCCAUGACAUCCCAGAAAAUCUCGAAAUUAGCUUCGGAGACGUGUCACUCUCCGUCCUCAUCCAGUUGGAAAGAUGGGGUCGUGCCGACGAUAUCGGACGUAACGCCCCACGCAAUGAGCGUACUGAUCAACAUGAUCCCAUCAACCGGAGCCGCUUGGGAGGCCACCUAAUGUCAACCUUCGCAAUUCAGGGAGCAACAGAGGGAGAAACUCAUCCACUGGUGGAUCCUCCAACUCCAACACUUCCUGGAACUCGUCGGAGAUCCGAGAUAGACGGCGCCCGCCGUGCUUCGACAUCCCUGCCACACCAGCCCUUCCCGUAGCUGCCCCCCCUCCGGCUGGAGCCACCCCUCCGGCUGGAGCCACCUCUUCGGCCGGGGCCGCCCUCGAGGCUUCGCCUUCCUCGCCUCGUCGGGCGCCGCUUGUAGCCUCAGCUCCGGCAGCCUUGAUCCCCGAGCCUUCCUCUUUUUCAAAUUCAAAGCAGCUUCCGGGGGCUCCUUCCUCUUUCGUGCUACCUGUCAUUCCCCUCAGUGGCUGUGCCAGACCGUCAAUUCUCCCACCCAUUCUGUCGUCUCCCUCUGUACCCCCACCCCUCCCACCCCCCCCCCCCCCCCGCCGCGCCAUCAUUGCACCCCACCGCGCCGCCAUCAAUGCACCCUGUCGCGCCUUCAUUGCUCCUCUUUCCGUUCUUGGAAACCACCCGACCAUGAGGCAGGUAGUUUUCUCUUUCGGCUGACUUGGGCAAAUCCUGUACGAUCUUCUAUUCUUUGGGGGAACGAGGGAGUCCUCUCUUCGGAUUCUAUCAAGCUUCCUCGAUGCUCGCACCGAAGGCCCUCCUCCUAUCCUUCUCGGUCCCCUUUAGUCUCGGUCUCAGGCCCAUAACCACCCCACCCUUCCUGGUUAACCCCCUCCUCGCCAGGAUUGGAGUGCAGCCCAACUCUUGCCCGAACCAAGUCCCCCUUUGGUCCAACUCAGCCACUUUCGGACUGUCGCCCUCUCUCGGGCCAGUCCAAGAUGGCCUGGGCCCGGACUUCCUUGGGCUUCACUCGACUCGUCUACCUGGACACUACUCUUUUGGGCAGCUUGAGCUAGGGCUCGGCCUUUCAGCUCCUGUCGGACUCGCUAGAGGAGGCCCGUGCUCCGACUCCCUAGGCCUCCAUCCGGUUGGGCUCAGCCCGAGUUUGGUCCCCCUUGGGCUUGGCUCGGACACAGUGCCCCUUGGGCUUGGCUCGAGCGCGGUUCUUGGCUCUGGCGCGGUUCAAACGGGUUCUCUCUGCUAGGCGCCUGGCCCUCUGAGGAUCUAGGCCUCGCCACCGGGCUAGGCUUGGCUGCGGUCCCACCUGGCGGUGGCGCACAGCCGAGCCCCUCCCAUCCUGGAAGCCCGAUUUUCUCUCUGCUAGGCGGUAGGCCCCCUGUGGAUCUGGGCCUCGCCACCGGGCCUGACUUGUCUGCGGUUCGACCCGACGGUGGCGCCCAGUCGUGCCCCCCGCUCCCUGGAAGCACGACUGCACUCGGCCUCGGCUCUCCACUGCUGGACGAUGGGUUCUCUCUGCUAGGCGGUAAGUCCUCUCAAGAUCUGGCCCCCGCCACCGGCUUCGCCACCUAUCCGGAAGUGCCGGAUUUGCCCGACGCCGCUCCUGCCACCCAUCUGGAUGCUUUUGGACUCGACGCCGCUCAUGACACUCCUCCUUAUGAUUUCGGAUGCACGGACGGAAAUCAGGGGCCUAUUGCUGAAGGCACGAGAUCAAGUGCUCGACUACUUAACCGGACAUCGGAUUCUGUUUUAGGCAGAGCAAUUCGCAGGAAAGCUCACCUACUUGAGGGUGAGACUGAAACACUUGAAUCCGCGCUGCGCAACUGGAACAACAGGAAAAUCAAGAUGAAGACCGCUCUCUGUGGGGUCAUCCUCUCUGAUGCUGAAGCUGCGGGCCUCCGCAACUUCAUCCGAGCAGACGUCUAGGUUGCGUCUGUCUCAGCGCCUUCGUGUUUUGGGGUCUAGUCUGUCCUUAUGUUCAAUAUUUUGUCUUGGAAUGUUCGAGGUCUGAACGACCUCGUGAAGCGUCGAUGUAUUAGGUCGGUUGUUUCUGCUUAUUCCCGCUCGGUUGUCUGUUUCCAAGAGUCCAAAAUCGAUACCGUGUCACGGUCCUUUCUUCGCUCAUGUUGUGGCUCUUCUAUCGACAGAUGUCAUUUUGUUCCAGCUAUCGGUGCGUCUGGUGGCAUUAUCACGUGCUGGAAUUCUAAAGUCCUCUCAUGCUCCGAAGCUCUAAUCAGACAACACUCACUUACUCUCCUCCUUACUCACCUAGGAAGUGGGAAAAGCUUCUACCUAACCAAUGUUUACGGACCACCUUCCUGGACUGGGAAGGAUGCAUUUUGCUCUGAGCUCACCGACCUGAAUCACAUUUGUUCCUCCAAUUGGAUUAUCUGUGGCAACUUCAACUUCACCAAAAACCAAUCAGAGAGAAAAGGCAAUCGUUGGAGCUAUAAGGCCAUGACCAUGUUCGCUGAUCUCAUCAACCAUCUUGUGAUGAUUGAUUUACCGCUUUCCAACCAAAGCUUCACCUGGUCGAACAUGCAACAUCAGCCCUCCAUGGCUAAGCUUGACAGAUUUCUCGUCUCUAUUCAAUGGGAUAGAUCCUAUCCCCACUGCAAGGUCAAGGCCCUCCCCAAGAUAACCUCUGACCACUGCCCAAUCCUUCUAUCUACCGCCAUCCUUAGCGCACCGCGAAGGUUCCGGUUCGAGAAAGUCUGGCUCACUAGAGACGAUUUUCACUCCAACAUGACCCUCUGGUGGAAUAAAGUCCCGCCUAAGAACUCGGCCAUCCUCACUUUCACCGCAAAGCUCAGACACUGCAGAACCAGGAUCAAAGAAUGGUGCAAGACAAACUUUCACAACAUCUCAAACACUAAGAGAGCAAUUCAGGACGAACUUCAGCAGAUCGACCUGCUCGAGGAGCAACUCAACUUGCCACAGUCCAAAUUAGACCUACGAGCACACCUUAAGUCCAAACUCCUCUCAAUCCUUUAGGAGGAGGAAAUCCUCUGGAAGACUAGAGCGAAACAAACCUGGCUUAAGGAGGGCGAUGGAAACACCAAAUUUUUUCAUGCAGUGGCUAACUGCCGGAAAAGAAAUAACACCAUUCUAGAGGUCGAAGACGACGACGGCCGGUUACUCGCGAACGAGACGUAGAAGAGAGCAUACUUCUUCCACACCUUUAAACGCCAGUUCGGACAGUUAGAUGAUAAUCUUCCGCUCCUGGGAGACUAGAGCGGCCUCUAUCGUUUUAACAGGCUACUUAACCCUGACUCCCUGACGACGAACUUCACGAUCGACGAAAUCAAGACCGCCACCUUUCAACUAGCCGCUGACAAGGCCCCAGGUCCAGAUGGGUUUUCCCUAACCUUCUUCCAAACUUUCUGGGAAACAAUCAAAGAGGAUAUCUACAAUGUUUUCAUCGACCUACAAAAUGAUAGACUUUUCUCUAGCCCUAUUGAUUUCUCCUUCGUGUGUCUCUUCCCCAAAAAAAAAGGAACGCGCAGAGCAACCGACUUCCAACCGAUUAGCCUCAUCAAUGGACUGCAGAAAAUUAUCUCCAAAAUUCUAGCCAAUAGACUAGCACUUACCCUGCCGUUCAUUAUAACCUCUACGCAAUCAGCCUUCCUAAAGGAUCGGUUGCUCACCGACUCUUUCACCAUUGCCAGCGAACUAGUCAACUGGUGCUCGACCUCGAGUAACGAUUGCGCACGUCUCAAAGCAGACUUCCAAAAGGCCUUUGACAAUGUCAGUUGGUCUUUCCUCGAACGUGUCUUGCGAUGGCUAGGAUUCAACGAAAAGUGGUGGACCUGGAUUAAACAAUGUGUCUGUAACGCCAAAAUUGCCAUUCUGGUAAACGAUACCCCUACCCCUUGGUUCAAAGCACAGAAAGGGCUCAGACAGGGCGAACCUCUCCCCGCGUACCUAUUUCUGUUGGUCGUUGACUGCCUGGCCAGGCUCACCGAAGCUGCUAGGGACAACAACCUGCUCCAAGGCAUAGGCCCGUCGGCCGACACUAAGACGGUGCUAAUUCAAUAUGCAGAUGACACUCUCUUCUUAUGCGAGCCAAGCAAAAAAAUACUUGAAAAACCUACUGUUUAUCCUGAAAAUCUUCGAAUGGGCAUCUGGCCUCAAAAUCAACAACUCCAAAUCGGAGUUGUACUACUUGGGUCAGCAUCCUCUAAAAGCAAACAGACUCGCCAACAUCAUUGGAUGCAAAGUAGGCUUCUUCCGUUCUGCUAUCUAAGCUUACCUCUCCAUACCAAACGACUUCGCAAAAAUGACCGGGACCUGAUUAUCAACCGCGUAUACACCAGAAUCGAUGGAUGGAAAGCUAAAUUGCUGUCCUAUGGCGGAAGACUAACCAUUGUCAACUCGGUCCUUACCAACCUAACUUUAUUCUACCUAUCCGUCUUUAAAGCUCCCAAAUGGGUUCUACUAAGGAUUGAAGCCCUACAUAGAGCAUUCUUCUGGAAAGGGUGUUCUAAAAUAUCUAGAGGAGCAUGUCUCGUCAACUGGAAAUCCAUCUGCAAAAGCAAAAGGGACGGGGGACUUGGAAUUUUAGAUCUGGAAUCCAUGAAUGCAGCACUGCUCAGCAAAUGGUGGUGGCGUUUCUUCACUGAACCACAACUGUCGUGGUGCAAUCUAGUUAAAACCCUCUACUACACGAGACGUAGCCCGUUACAUGAAGGUACAGGUUUUGUACCGCACUCACAGUGGUGGAAAGGAGUACUACGAUAUCGGGAUGUCUUCAGAUGCAGUAUAACUCACGACCUGGGUGACGGGAGGAACAUCAGACUCUGGACUGAUAUUUGGAUUGGAGAAGCGCCCCUUAGCACCGUGUUCCCAAACCUGUUCGCCCAGACCAGGAACAAGAAUGUCAAAGUCUCACAAUCCUGGAGCGCUCGUGGAUGGAGAUGGCGCUUCCUUUGUAGGGGCUUCUCGGACUCAACCUCCAGUGUUAGUGGCAGACAAUUAGCCCAAUUCAAAGACCACCUCAUACACAACAGCCCACAAAACUCACCUGACAAACUAAAAUGGAGGUGGACCGCGAAUCAACAAUUUACCGUAAAAUCGGUCUACAACUUCAUCACAGACUUAGGCCACAGAGACCCCGCUAAUAUCUAUAUCUGGCGGCUGAAAAUCCCACCCAAAAUCAAAAUCUUCACCUGGCUGUUGCUACGCAAAAGAUUACCCACUGCUGACAGGCUGCUGAUUUGCGGAUUGAUAGUGGACGAACAUUGUGUAUUCUGCGCCUCUUCCACGGAAAACUGCGACCACCUUUUCUCCAAUUGUGUCUUCAUCCGUUUCCUUUUACUUUCCUCAGCUGCCGGGGUCAUCCAGUCUUACACCAGCGGGGACGUCCGUGAUCUCUGAACCGAAACCGCCAAAAUCACCGACGCAGCGUCGCGAACUAAAGGACUAACCUGCCUAGCAGGAACCUGGUGGGUCGUUUGGACGAAAAGGAACCACAUCAUUUUUCGGGAAAAGUUACACAAUGCUAUACAGUCUUCAGUAAGGCUAUAGCUCUUGUUACGUGACUGGUGCAAGCACCUCUGAUUCGCCUGGGUUCUAUGUCUCCACGCCUGUCUCUCACGUCUUCUCUUCUAAUGUUCUAGUUUUCUUUCUCUUUCUCGUUCCCCUUGUUGUCAUUCUUUUUUCCUUCUUUCUUCGGAAGCCCCAGCUGCUUCCAUCUUGUACCGUUUAGUUCAUAUCUUUAAUGAAUAAAGCAGAUAGCUUGCUACCUAAUUCUCAAAAAAAAAAAAAAAAAAAAAAAAUCUUUUUUUCUAAGCAUCAACAAAACGAAGAACUUUACUUUCUUGGAAAAUUUCAGCCUUGAAAUUUAUGGGCUCAAAUAGUCCUUGAUCCCUGCAGUCGAGAUGAAAGGUGGAAAGUGAUUUGACGGUGAAAUAUUUAUUAGUCGUUCAUCUCUGACGUAUUGAAACAGGAUUAUUGGUCACUCUUACGACUUGACUAGAGGAAAAUUGAACUUUUCGCUUUCUGUUUUUCGACGAAAAAAUGAAAACUAAAGAUGUGUAAAAAAAAUUUCAGUCAUUUAUUUUCACCGAACUAAACAAAUGUAUUUUUUUUUUUUCUUUUCAACCAAACAAAUAUUGAUAAAAAAUAACUUUUUUUUUUCUUACACACCAAACACUACAAAACAUAAAAAGAAAAAUUCUACCAAAAAUUUUUUUUCAUGAAAAAUUUUUUUUCACGAUAACCAAACGGACUUAAGCUUAUUGUUUCCGUUUCCUUGAUUCAUUCCUAACCCCCUUCAUUUUGCUCUUACAAAUAUUUUUCCAGUUCACAUGGCAGGCCUCCAAGUGUCGUGAACAAGUAGUAUUUGAACAUGGUAAAUCACAGCUUGUCAUUACAACAAAAACGGGAUAUAGCGACACUUUUAAAUGUCGAUAUAGGUCAAAAAAAGUGCUGCUCACUAAAUUACCGACACUUUUUAAAAGUAUUGCUAUAUGUAGGGUCGCUAUGUAUAUAGUGACAAUUAAAGAGUGUCGGUAUAACAUAAAAAGAAUGCUGCUAAUUUAUCAACACUUAUUUAAGUAUUUAGCAAUCGCCGAAACUCUACCUCGUUGGUUGAGGUGGCGGAGGAGGAGGAGAGGGAAGGCCUCUUCGUUUAGGAUUUCAGUAGAUUGAGUAAGGGGAGAAGGGGAGAUGGUAAUCGAUUUUUCUUUUUUUUUUUCUUUUCUGUUUGUAAUCGAGCCGAAUGGGCUAGGUGGGAAAGGUUGAGUAGAAUAAACUUUUAUUUUUAGUUGGAUUCGGCUUUAUAUUUAUACAUUAGUAGAUUUUUUUUUAAUUUUUGGCAUAAAUAAAAUAUUUACAAAAAGGGUCCCAAACAUGUGUUCCUAUAAUCUAAUCUGUUGUAGUGUAUUGUGUUCACCUAAUAGUAUUUGAGCUCAGUAAAUCAACUGUCAUGUUCAAGUAAGAUAUUAUGCUGCAUAUGAUAAAGUUCUGAAGAGCACGGUAAAUUAUUUAUCGUAUUUAUGUAAAAGAUUCUCUUGGCCUUUUGAUUGUCAAGCGCCGUUUCCAUGUGAAAAGCAUAGGAUUAUUUCUGCAAUUUAACUUUAUUUAAGAUCAAUUAUGAAAUAAAAAAUUUAAGUAUAUAGGUUGAAUGCAAGAAAAAAUAAAAAAACAAAAUAGUAAAAGUUAAAAAGAUAUAAUAAAUAAUUGGAUGAUAUUCACCAAAUUUUCGAAAAAGUCGAAAAGUUUUGUUACUAUCUUGCCAAGAAAAAGUGUUGUGGAAAAUAGAUGGAAAAGAAUCCACUCCACGUUGGAAAAAACACAUUUUUCUCCAAAUUCGGAGCACCUAGCGUUACUUUCGAAUUUUUUAAUAAAAUAACUCACUAAAAUUUUGUAAUUUACUAAAUAACCUUGCCAAAUUUAUAUUUGACAAAUUAAUCCUUUCUUCACCACUUAGGAGAUUAGAAGUUAUAUUUGAUUGUUAGGAUUAUAUGGAUAAAUUAUUAGGAUUUUCAGAUUGUUAAGAUUAUAUGUGAUUUGUUGAAAUUUUUAUGUGGUUGUUAGGAUUAUAUAUAGAAUAUGAAAAAAGACAAUAAAUAAGCAAACAAUAGUGAAUGAUUCAUCGCUUUUGUGGACGGCGGUAAGAGAAAAUUCCAACUAUAUGACAAAAGAAGGAUUAGUUUGCCAAAUAAAAAUUUAUAGGAUUAGUUACCCAAUUAAAAAAUUUUAUAGGACCAUUUUGAAAAAAGUCCUUACUUUUUCUGUAAAUUAUUCGCCGUCUUUAAGAGAAAAUUCCAACAUGGCUCCUAUAUGACAAAAGAAAGAUUAGUUUGUCAAAAGAGAUUUUAUAAGUUUAGUUACCCAAUUAGAAAAUUUUAUAGCAUCGUUUUGGAAAAAAGUCCUUACCUUCUCACAUUCUUCACGAGUAUCACAUCACCUGUAAUAAGAAAUUAAUAAAAGAGAAAUAUUAUUUGUACAUCAAAAAAUAAGGUGUAAAUCUUAAGAAUUUACCGACUGUUUCUCACGCAAGUGGCAAAGAGCUUGCUGAUCGGUAUCUAAAGUCUCAAAUUCGAAGCCUAAUUGCUUUACAUUUAAAGCUGAGUUUAUUUUUAAAAAAUAAAUAAAACGGAUAGCAUAUUACUUUUUUUUUUCUAAAAAAAAAGUCUCAAGAAUUCGUUUAGUUCUUGUUUUCUCAAAAGGUUUACACUAGAAAUAACCAAAAACAGUUUAUGUCCAAAUCAAUCCAAAUCAAACGGUACCUUACUACACACUUUCUAUAGGAUGGGUCGCGAAAAGAACGGUUCCAAAUCACGAUUGAUUCCUUAUUCAAAUGAUAAAAUUCUCGAUUUUCUGUUUUUAAAAACAGAAAUUGCUCAAUUCUAAAAAAAAAAUUUAAAGUUGAAUUAAAGUUGAGAGGAGAGGAAUCAAGAAAAUUCCUAAGUUGAGGAGGCCGUUUCAAAUAGCCUAUACUUGAUGGGAUAUCCAUGCGUCGGCUAGUUUUUUCUGCACUUUUUGCACACGUAGUCAUUAAACUAGUCAUCAAGAAACGUAAAUUCAUCUCCACUGUGGCGUCGUUUAGUUAGAUAUAAUUAUAAAUGCAAUGUAAUUAACGAUGCAUGCAGUUGAAAAUACAGCAAUUACAAUUAUAUGAAUUCUGUUCGGUUGAAUGUGAUAGAAAGCGUUGUAAGUGUAAAUAAUUUGUUUGGUUGUAUGCAGUUGAGAAAUAAUUUUAAAAAUUUUAUCAUUUUAUAUAAAUGACGGUUAGAUUACCUCCAAUGUGAAAAAAAAAAAUAAUUUUUAUUUAAAAAAUGUUGAGGAGGUAAACAUACUUUUUAUUUAAAAUUACUCUCUCCAACUGCUACAGUUGGAACUACAGCCAAUUUAGAUGUAAUUCGAACUGCUUCAGUUGGGCCUUCUCCUGCAGUUUCUACUGCAGCAGUUGAAGUUAAAUAUAUCAAACCAAACACUAAUUUGUAUUUAUAUAAUGUUACAACUGCAGUGUAGUUGCCACUAUAUGCAACCAAACCAAACGGGCUUUAAUAGAUAUAUCUUGUCAGAUAUGCUUUCACUUUUUCUCGUGUUUCGUGGCCGAUGUAUAUCGCCGUGAGAGGCAACCCUUGAUCAUCAUCAUCAUAUGAAGGCACAAAUCCUGAAGCUUAUCAUUUCUAAUUAAAUUUCGAUAUACCUACGUCAUACCUAUCUAGUACUAACGAAAGCAUUUUUAUUUCAGGACUUCUUAAAACUAUAUAUCAAUAUUACAGUGCUUCUAAUUUUUUGCGCGUCGAAUCCAUGCCGCAUGUUUUAAGAUCCACCUCAACGUGACAAACAUAAUAAUGUUUCCCUCUCGCUCCAAGAGGAACAUACGUACAUAUAUACAUACAUACAUACAUACAUAAAUUCUGAUCCCGCAAAAAAAUAGAAGCACAAAAUAAAUGAAUGCUUUGGAAAACAUUUUUUUUCUCUCUCUUUACUUUUUAUCUAUUCGUAUAUUUUUUUGAGAGAGAUAAGUAGCACGCUACCCGCUUCGUUUAUUUCAUUUAGAAAUAAACUUAGCUAGAAACGUGAAUCAAUUAGAAUUCGAACUUGGAACCUCGAGUACCAACCAUCAAAUCCUUUUGCCACUUACGCUAGGGACGGUCGGUUUUAUCUAUUCAUAUAUUAUUCAGCAAAAAAAAACAAAAACUAUUUGAAAUGAGACAAAAUAGAUGACACCAGCGUGCUCAUGUCACCGCCAGCAUUGGAGCGCCGGCGGCUUUCUGGUCAAAGAAAGAGGACUGACUAAUCAUUCACAUCACCAAAAGCUUUGCUUUCAAAGUAAUAAAUAAGUGAUGCAUCUAAUGUGUGCUCUUUAUCCCCAUACAGAGAAUCUACAAAGGCUAUUCAUCGCCACCACAUACCAAAUCUGGCCACGUAGAGAAGAGGUUUCCUUCGCAGGAGAGAUGAUGCCGUCGCCGAUGCCGAUGCCGAUGCCGACGGCGACGGUUAUCCUAAGGAUACGGCAUCGUCUCUCCGGCGACGGUAACCUCGCCUACGAGAACAAUUAUGUUAACUUCAACUCUCCACAUGAGUUCCAGCCUUCCAGGUACCAGUUUUCAUACCAUGCUUCUUUUUGUCUGGUUCUUGGAAGUAUUUUGCAGUACUUGACAUAUACUGGUAUUCACAUACAUCUAAAUAUCCGAAAUAAAUAAAAAAAUAUGUUUAUGAACUUUAUAACCCUCAAAAAUAAAACAUAUUAUUACAUAUUCAGUCCAAAAACUCAAAUAACUUUGAGCUCAUUUGUCCAGAUCAACUCUCUGUUUUAUUUUUAGGUGAUAACUUAUGGAGCUUACCCAAAUUUUGUAUCAUUUGGAAAUGAAUAUCCAACUUUUAAAAAUUUUUGAAUUCACUAGUUUGACAAUUCAAAUAGCUUGAUUUGCUUUCUUAGAAGUAAUUAUCUGCACCUGAUAUCAAAAUAUAUGUAUGCUAUACCUUAAUUUUUUUUUUUAAAAAAAAAAUGCAUCUCCUGUUGUAUAUUCAAAUGGUCAAUUUUUAACUUGAAAAGAAUAAAAAAAACAAAACAAAACAAAAAAAAAAACCAACGACUCAUUGGAUGAUAAAGAUCAAACAAAUAAAUGAAAUUAAUAACCACUAAAGAUGCGGUGUACGAGUGUACAAAUGCACAGGUGCAUGCAAUAAUUUUUCAAAACUAAUAAACAACUAAAAUCAAAUAAAAAUAAAAAGUAGUAAAAUCAAUAUUUUUAAAGAUUAACUAGUUGUUUCCGAACGACCUGAAGUUCCGCUUAGCUGCAAACAUUUUCACCUUAUUUUUAUUAUUCCAUGUGGGACUGUUCUCACAUAUAAAUUCCUAGCAUUCAUCUAUACAUCUAUAUAUACUUAGUAGGGGUAAACUAAAAAACUUAAUAGGUGGGAAAAAUCUUUCAAAUGGGAUUGAUGCUACGAUAUACGUAGCCCAGCAGAAUCAUCUAUCUUCUAACUGUUUCUUACAGAAACAUCAUUAUCUUAGGUGUGGAUAUUAAUCCACUUGGUAGUUUUAGUGUUCAAACUUAAACAGAAAUAACCCACCAUCUUGAGCAGGAAGGGUGGGUGACUCGUCGCCUACAAGUUAAAACCAUUUAAGAAAAUUCUCAUACAUGUCAAAGAUUUACACUGAAUGUAUUUCUCCUAUUUCAUACAUUCAAGACAUGGUGAAUGGCUCAUCAUACAUGCAAAGUAUCAGAACUAAUUUAUGGAAACAUAUUAGUUUUAAUCAAAAGCAGCUGCAAUGUAACUAACACGAGUGAAUGAUAUACCUCUUGCAACCAUUUGAGUACCUUUAAUGUGAAAAUUUAAGGUUGGUGACUACUCGAGCCCAUAGUCCUCGCCAAAGUAUUUGUCCACCAAAGUGUUGGCCAUAUUCCGCAUCUCUUCAUUCUCAUGAAAUUGAAACCUUUCCAUCGCUUCGAUCCCGUCCUCCCUCUCGACAAGCUUUGGGCCUUCUCCGUUGGGUAAUCCCCUCAUCACCUACAAUAAAAUGCAUCCAAAAAAUUAAGACCAAGAUGUCUUACUGUUUGAGUUUUGGCUAAGCUAAGUUCAAGAAAAAAUUUUCUUUUUUCCUUUUUUUGGGGGGGGAGUUAACAGAAUUUAUCUGCUCCUUUUAAUAGAAAGUUAUAAACAGUUAAUUUAUAAUUAUACAAUAGCUAUAGCUCCCCAAGACCUUGUUAGAUUUUAUUACCAUUUUUCUGCUUUUACAAACAAAAAUUUUAUAGGAAAAUGCUAGCUGUACACCCCAAAAAAGGGUGUAUGAUUUAUACCCCUUCAUCCUAGGAUUCACAAAGCCCUCUGAGUUUUUAAUAUUUAAAAAAGAAAAGUUGACAAGACAAGCCAAAAGUUGGCCCCUGGAUGAAGGGAUGUAAGAUUUACACCUUUUAGGAUGUACAAGUAGCAGGAUGUGUUGAAGGUACACUUCCGUACUCUUAUCAAUUAUCAUUGAUCACCAAACUUGCAAUGCAAGAUGGCCGGAUGCCAAAAGGCAUUUACUUUUGCCAGGAGCCAAAAAAGCAUUUUCUUUAGAAACCUAAGUAAGAAGUUGUUAUUGUUACAGUUGGAGGGCCCCAAUACUCUCUUUUUUACACCGUUUUUUUUAAAUCUCGGAUGUGAUUUCAUGCUGAUAAACUGUCUUUCUGAGGAAUGUCAAUAUCUAGAUUCCAAAUAACAUAUACAGGUCUUGAGUCUCUUGACCUUUUUGUAAGAGCUACUAUAUAACACAAGAUUAAAUUACCAAGUAAUUCAAAUUCUAGGCUAUUGCUUUUAGUUAUAAUAUCACUAGGAGACAAUAGUAAAGCAAAACCAAUAAAAAACGAUAUGUUGUUCCAGAAAAUUAGAAAAUCAUAGAGGACGAGAAAACGAGACAUAAAUAGACUCACCAGUUCCAGGAAUUGAAGGCCGAGUCUUGCACUCUCUAUAUCAGCAGAUCUAAUCAAAUUUAAAAAGCCAGGAAGGCACCCACUGUCGAUGAGUGAAACCAAGUGGACGACAAUUAUCCCGGGCUGUUCAUUGUUCUUUGGCGGAGCAACACAAAGAUUACCCAGAGUAAAUGCUGCUUCCUUUCUUAUGUCAAAUGGGGCACUUGAAAGGAAAUUUAUCAGCAAAGGAGUGGCUUCGCUCGAGUAUAUUAAUCUCUUGUGUUCAAGUGAACCAGCUGCUAUGUUAGAUAAUACCCAUGAAGCCUCCUAUAUCAUGAUUUCUGAAAUUUUGUUAGGAAAAAAAAAAAUCGAAAUAUAGAAUCAUCUAUCUACAUGUAUACCCUGUAAAACCUACAUUUUCAUAUAUAUAUAUAUAUACAACCCCAAAAUGUAAUUUCUUACAAUAACACCCUUAAGCCCUAUUUGGAUGUUAGAAUAAGUUAUCCGGUGAUAUCCAUUUGGGGAUUAUUUUUUAUUGUGGUUGGAAGCUAGGAGCAUGAUCAAAUAUCCUGAAUGGAAUAGAAUAUUGGGCCAUCAAGUCAUUUUUUUAAAAAUAAGAUAAAUCACCUCUUAGGUAAAAUAUGCAAUCGAACCAAAUCUUGGAUAUCAAGACAAUUCAAGAAGCAAAAAUCAAACUCCUCUCUUACAAUCAUACUAGAAAAUCCUCAUAACAAAUAAGUUAACAUCGAAUAACUUAUUCCGACAUCCAAUAAGUGCCUUAUCUAAGUUUGGAGGUCAUCCAAUUCAGGGUGGAAUGUAAAGUUGGUUUUGUAUUACAGUAACCUUUUUUGCAUUUUCCCAAGAGGGGUGUUCUUGAAAGUAUAAGGGCAUUUAUGCGAGAGAAAAAUUUUAUGAAAGGCAUUAUUGAAAUUCAGAUUUCAAACGGUUGUAUAUAUAAUUAGAUUAUUUUGCACGGAUAUUUGUGUAAAUAUUUCUCUUUAAAGGAAUCUUUACAUGCAAAUCGUCUAUUUACCUAUAUACCAUGUAAAUAUCUGAUUUUCAUAUAUAGCUCUGAAAUGUGCAGUUUCUUACAAAAUGCCCUUAUCUUCAGAUGGGGUGAUCCCAUUAAUAUGUGAAUUCUUGUAUUAGAAGAUUCUCUUCUAACAAGGGAACCUUUUUGUAAAUACAAGAAUACAUACGAAAUAAAUAAAGUUUUUUAAGUGCAUAAAUGAAAUUUUCAAAUUCUGGAGGGGUAAAAAUAUAAAUAUCUCAAAAUUAAAAAGUUAGUACCUUUUUCAGCACUCUGUGCUCGCUUUUCAGACACUUUAUAAGACCUGAUAAGAGUUCGUCUGGGAGCUAUUCUGUUAGUUCUUUCAGUUAAGCAUCAGAAAUAUGGAUGGUACACAUUUCCAAGGCUGAAAAGGUUGUUAAUGCUAACCUGUGAUAGUAUGUCCGACAAUCAGGACCACAUCAAUCAUAUAGCUGUCGCUAGCUACAAGGUUACCGAGACUUCGAAGUACCUAAGUUACACAGCAUACCAAUCAGUACAUAGUUUUGAUAAAUGCUCAUAGAUAGAGACAACUCGGACAAAAAUGCAAGUUUGUGAUAAAUAAUUAGGAUUUACAAAUUAUGAAGGGCAGUUUAGUCCCUAAGAUCACCUGACAUCAUUAAUUAUAUCCAGAUUUGGGAUAUGAUAGAAUGUAGAUGAUUCGACAAAUUGUCCAAUUAAGAUGCAAUUAAGAACAAGGAUUUAAAUGCCGUGGCACGGGGUCGUGCCGGAAACUUGCCGGCACGAUAUGGCACGGUGCGUGCCGAGCCGUGCCGAUGCAUGCCGUUCAAAAAAAUUCUUGUGUGCCGACACAUAAUAGCAUGAAAUAUUUAUUUUCUUUAGCAACAAAAUAUUCUAACUAUUUAUUGUCUUUUUAUCACAUCUUUUGAACUUUAUUGAGGAAAUUAUUUAUUAAUUUAAAGAAUAGAGGGUUUUGAGCUAUGCCAUUGGCAUGAGAUCUAUAUCGUGCCGGUAUCUUGUUGGCACGGUAUGGCACGGUGGAUACGGCCCGUGCCGACGGGCACUUAAAACCUUGAUUAAGAAUACAUAAUCUUGAAAUUAUAUAUCCAUUUACCAAACAAACUAGAGUUUUUCUCUCGCAUAUAUGUUAUAUAUGUAAGUGUUCAUACGAAAAGUCAUGCGGUGAUAGAUGCAAUAACAUAUCCGCUUCAACUCUGUAAUUCUAAUUUCCUUUCAAAAACUCCCUUAGCAAUACAUGAUUUCGAUCAGCCUACUUCAGUUUUUUAAAAUUUACUCCCAUAUUCAUGACAUUUUUUGACACUUGAUAUGCUCGCCAAAUACCAAUUGUACUUCUCAGUCACACUAGUGGGAGAGUGCAUAUAAAUGAACUUAUACACACGUAUAGGAAGAGGCAUAAAAAUUGUGUAGUUAAACUUCAGCUAAAUUGUAUGAAAAAUAUGCAGAUUCGAAUCCAUACAGUUAAUGAUACUCUGAAGUAACUUGGAAAGAUCUUGUAAGCAUACUAUAAUAUUCACCACUGAUGAAAAAUAAAUCAAAUUUUAGCUAUCGUCUUCACCAAUAACUGAUGGGUUUUAAGUUCUAGAAUGGCAUGAUGGGUUUAAACUAUGUCCACUGCGAUAAAACCAGCUCAUAAUUCUGCUUCUAAAGUGUAAGUAGAAAGUCACAUUGAGAACUAACCCACAUAUUUACCUCAGAACUUUAACAUUGAUGAUGGUGUUUUCAAGAUUUAGAUGGAACACUAAGAUUAUUAUCCAGCAUAGAGACUGAAGUAGAAAUCAGAAACUCAAGCAAAACAAGCAUAGAGAAUGAAAUUAAAUAAUUUUACAUAGAAAAUUCAGUUUAGGAAGAAAAGAAAUUACCGGAAUGAGCAUCUGCAAACUCUCUGAUGCUACCAACCGUCCAACCAGAAGUCGAACAACAUCACUUUUGACCAACAAACUAGUAGCCUUUUCAGAAAGCGCUGAAAGAUACACAAUUACCCAUGCCACUUCUGUCGCCAGCUCAUCAUCCCUAAAAAAGAGGGAGCCCCAAACUAUUCAAUUCUUCAUUAUCAUACUAAAUAUCAUAUUGUAAAAAUAUAAUAAAUAUCAUAAAUUCUUAGUUAGGUGUUGGAGGGAAAGGAAGAAUUCAUAUUGUAAAAAUAUCAUAAAUAUCAUGGACUGUCAUGUUAAAUGCCCCCCAUACUGUUCAGAGUAAUGUAGUAGCAAGGGGUGAAGUAUGCCACAUGGCUGCUUCAGAAGGAUUAUAAUAUGAUGUCUCAAGAAAUGCCAUUUCAAUUCUUCCAUAUGUUAUGGUGGAACCUAUUCACCAAACUAGCUAGAGUUAAUGGCAAGGAAUUUAAGUGCCGUGGCACAGAAUCGUGUCAAGCAGUUACCAGCACAGUACCGUAUGGCACAUGUCAUGCCAUGUCGUACUGAUGUGUGUUGUUCUCAAAAAUACCUGUAUGACGACACACUAUGGCUUAAAAUAUUUAUUUUCUUUGAUGAAACUCUUGCCAAUUUUUUUAAAGAAAAUAGAGUUUUGAAUUGUACCAUCGGCACAAAGGUAGCAUCAUGCCUAUAUCUUAUCGGCUUGAUACGGCACAGUGGGCACAGCAUGUGUCAAUGGACACUAAAACUCUUGGUAAAUAGUUUAAAUGACAUAUAGAACUGAUACUAAGUUACUAACUUGCUAAUAAAUUAUGAUAAGCAUAUAAUGGCUUUAUUGAUCUAUUUUACGGUGCAAUUUUUCUGCACAUUGAGCUAAUAUAAGAAAGGAUAUCAUCUAAUUGAAUCUCAAAGGGGCCAAUCACAAACUUAUAUGCGUCCUCCUAAAAGUAGUUGCACCAGAAGCUGGCACAAUUCAUUCAUGCAUGCUUAGUGUAAAUGGUAACUAAAUCUGCCCCACAGGCAGUAGAAAUAAAGAUCAUGAUGACUUACACUUAGUUUUGGGGUAAAAAAAACAAUUAGAACAAGGUAACUUUUUGAUGAUCUUGCAUAAAAAUGACGUAGUGCAGGAAAGAAGCAAAAGAGACGAUGUUUAUUAACCAACCAAAUACGUACGCCUUUUUCAAGUGCCAAACGAUUGCAUCUAAUAGCCCAUCAACCCUUAUCAAUUCAUUCGCAGCCUUGGGAUCAGGUCCCUGAACACAUAUAAAGAAAGAUAAAAUGCAUUAUAUAAACAACUUUAUGGCAGUUGCCAUCAUAAUUUAACCACUGAGUGCAUAUAAAAAAAAAGAAAGAAAAUAAAUGGACUAGAGAAUCAUGCUUGGAGGAUAGCGCUGAAGUCUAGUUUGCCUCCUCCCACUAGGUUUACUUGAGAGAAACUUAUACUAUAAAAUUUAUAAUCCUACAGUUAACUUGCCAAUGGAAGCACUAACAACUAAGAAUCUGAAGAAUGAACUGCUAGAAACACUACUCUAAGAAGCCAAAUGAGAAAUAAUACAUAAGAAAUCAAAGAGUUUGGGUACUACAAAAUAUUAAAUCAAGUUAAGAAUAUGAAAAAUUUGUAGGUUGACAGUUCAUUGUUUGAUAGAUGCCCGGUAAUAGCUUGUAGCAGCUUCAAUCCAAAGCACUAGUACUUCAUUAAUAGCACUACAAUUCAAAAUGAAAUGUUGUGGCUCUCUAAUGAUCGCAAAAGUUGCUUAAGAGACUCAUAGAAAAAGAUACUUGCAUAGCAUAUAUGCCGAGCAAAAUGGAAUUAUUAUAUACCCUUCAGUCACUUAUUAUAUAUAUAUAUAGAACCACGCUGGAAUGCUUCUAAAAGCACCAAAGCCUUGGUGCUAUAAUUUUUUAUCCCUUAGAUCUACCUUUUUCGUCAUUGGAUCAAAAGUCAACAAUAAUAGUUACUUGUGGAGCCCACUAUUGUGCAUGAUUCAAGAGCCGUUAGGGUUAAUCUAAUAGCCAAAAACACCUUGGCGCUUCUAAAAGCACCCAAGCGGACUCUCAUCUCUCUCCCUCUCUCGUGCUUGUGGGUUUUGGCCCUUGGAUGAAAGAUUGUGGGGUUAGAAUGAUAGUGGUUCCCAUUGGAUUUAGUGGUGGUUGGUGGAAUAGCCUGACCCAAGAGGUAGAAAUGGUCAAAGGGAUAGAUUUAAUGGUGAAAGUUGGUAGCACCGAAUGCUUGAUGCUAUCAACAGCAUCUCAGCAUAUCCAAUAUAUAUAUAUAUAUAUAUAUAUAUAUAGAGAGAGAGAGAGAGAGAGAGAGAGAGAGAGCUAGGCUGGAAUACUAUUAAUAGCACCAAUGACUUGGUGCUAUUAAGUUUGCUGCCCUUAGAUUUAACAUUUUAAUUAUUUUUACCCGUUAGAUUAUACUAUUCAACCAACCACUCACUCAACCCUAGGGGGCCCACAUCAUCCUAACCACCCAUUUCUCAAUCCAAGGGCUAAAAAAUCAAUAGCACCAAUAGCUUGGUGCUAUUGAUAGUAUUCCAGCCUAGUUCUAUAUAUAUAUAUAUAUAUAUAGAGAGAGAGAGAGAGAGAGAGAGAGCUAGGCUGGUAUACUAUCGGUAGCAUGGAGGCCUCCGUGCUAUCAAGUUGUUUUCAAUGAUGCGGCUUCCAAAUCAAAGAACAGCUUCGUUAGACUUAAUCUAUAAUAUUUAAAAUAUUUGGAACUAAAUUUCAUAAUUUUUCGAUAUUAUUUGACUAGUGAUCAAAAGGUCUCAAAAUUGAUAAUUUUAAUGGUUGAUGUGACGCGUUUGUGAAUUUAACGGUAUAAAACAAUCCAAAUCUGAUGAAAUUUUUAUAGAAAAUUCUUUUCAAUAUUUAGAGUAAGAUCAGUACCUUUGAUCUUAAAUUCAAGUCUUUUAUUAUUAUUUUUUAUGAGAUUUUUAUUUCUAACUGUUCAUUUUUAGACUACUCGUUUGAUAGGUAAAUGAUGUCAAAAAAUUAUGAAAUUUAGUUUCCAAAUACUUUCAAUAUUGAAGAUUAAGUCUAACGGAACCGAUCGUCGAUUUGGAAACCGCAUCAUUGAAAACAACUUGGUAGUACCAAGGCUUCCGUGCUACUGAUAGUAUAGCAGCCGGACUCUCUAUAUUAAUAUAUAUAUAUAUAUAUAUAGAGCCCGACUACUAUACUAUUAUGAGAACGAUUGUCCUUGUACUCAUAAGUCAUUUUCGAUAAUAGAGCCUUUGAAUCGACGAUCCAUACCAUUAAAUAUGAUUUUAGAGCAUUUAAACAUUCUAGAAAACGAAUUUCAUGAUUUUUUGACAUCACAUACCUUACGAUCAAAGUACCUCAAAAUUGACUUUUUUAACAAACAGUAUGCGGUGUCUUCUAGUUAACAGUGUAGAAGAAUUGGAAUCAUUUGAAUUUUUAAUAGAAAAUUCUAUUCACUAUAUAGAUCAAGAUCAAUAACACCGAUCUUCAAUUCAAGAUCCCUAUCCCUUAUUUUUAGGAGAUUGUUCAAUUUUAACCGUUUAUUUUCUACCCACUUGAUGGACUUUAUUAUGAAUUCGAAAUAUUUCGAAAUUCGGUUUCUAGAUAUUUCAAAUGCUCAAGAUCAUAUUUAACAGUAUGGAUCUUCAAUUUGAAAGUUCUAUCACCGAAAACAACUUAUAAAUACAAAAGUCUUUGUACUCAUAAGAGUACAGCAGCUCUACUCUAAGCACAAACAUACACUUUCAUACUUAACAAAUUGCACUCUUUAUAAAAAAGUUCUAAUACAGAUGCAACUUAGCCCCAUGAAUUAGAUGACUCGGGUUCUUUCUUAAGAAACUGCACCUUCCAAGGGUAUAUAAUGAAAAUUUAGUUAUUACAAAAUAUAUGUAAAUAGAUGGUUUGAUGGGGAUAGAAAUAUAAAAGCCCCUAUAGAAAUUUACUGAGAAGUUGGCUACUUCCCGCUGAGAGAUAUCACAAACCUUAAUGAGAUUUGACAAUGCCCAAGAAGAUGUUCUUGAUGUAGAACCCUUAUUUGACAUCAUUAAACGUGCAAGAGGAAAUAAUGCUCCCUGUGCUAGUAAAAUGUUUCUCAACUCUUCUCCUUCACCAGCAACAUUACCCACGGCCCAUGCACACUGCUCAGCAACGGGAGUAGAACUCUUCUCUAUCCAAUAUAGACAAGCAAAAUACACAUUUACAGCAAAAAUUAAAGGAAUCUCAUUCAAAUAAGACAAUUAUAAAUAUUUGUGUUUUCAAUUGACAGGCUAAUUUAAGAGUAGCACAAGAAAAUAUAUUAGUACAGAUUAAAUAUUUGAAUUCCAUCAAUACCUAACACUUUAAAGUGGGGUAGGCAAUGCUGUAACAAUUUUCAGAGGGGCAAGUGAUGUGGGGAUAUAUAACAUACAAUCAUAAUAUUUCUACUUUGAUUACAGUUUUCAACAUGUGGCCAACUUCAGUGGGUGCACAUUCACUUCCGUGGGUGCACAUUCACUUUCUGAUUGCAAUGUUCCUUUAGCUUUUUGCCUAAUCCCAACGACGGUAGAUUUAUGGAGUAGAUAAGUGAUACAAGGAUUAUGUCAUACAAAGUUUAGAAUUAAGCAUAUAUAAGAGGGCCUCCUCAUCCACUUUGUUAUCUCUAUGCCAUCAAACUGUAUGUGUUUGAACAACAUUAUACAUUACAUUUUUUUUUCCGUAUUACUUGCAUGUGCAAGGUAAUAUGAAGUUUAACUGUUUAAGCAUCUGCUUUCUUUGCAUAAUACAUACUUAAGCUAUCUGACUACCUAGUUUUUAGCAAUCGCUAAUAAGUAAUUCAUAGGUUUCUCAUAAUAGUACCAAAAUCCAACAUAAAUUUUAAAUGGCAUAAGUUAGAGAUAGAAGGCCCAUUGGUGCAUGCAUUUAACCCUUCAAGGUUGAAUUACUAACUUAAGAAAAGGGUCACUGAAGGUAAGUCAAGACAUAUGUUGCGUUAAAGAUCAAAAUAUUAUCCUCACAUGUGACAAUGCAUGAGAGGGAAGUCUCCUUGUCCUAAUAUUAUCAAUAUUAGAUGUUAGAAAUCUAAUGGUAGCUCCAGAUUAAUGAUCUGCUGAAGAACAAUACUGUGUUAACAUGGGCAACAGAAUUUCCUCAUAUAUCAUUGGGAUUGUAGUUCAAACAUAGCUUUCUAUCUUUUCCAUAGUAAUGUAAGAACCAGUGAAUUCAAUAAACAGAACAGAAAACCAAUCGAACCUCCAAGGUGAGCAAUAAGCAUUGGAAGAGAAGGAAGUAAUGACUUUGUAUGUUCAGGUUCCCCAGCAGCUAUGUUAGUAAGGCACCAAGCUGCCUCAAGCAACUGCAAGAACAAUGAAGAUGUAUGGAGGGAUUCAGGAAACGUAAAAUGAAAAUGCUGAAACCAUAUAUGAUGGAAGUGGGAAUUCAUAUUUGGCUGAAAUGAAUGCACAACUCUCCACCAGUAGGUGAAACAGAACUGAUCCCUGAAUAAUGAUUUUUUCUGACAGAUGUGUUCCCAAAUCACCCUUAAUUGGGGGUUGUCUGUAAAUUCAUAUCAGGUUCUUUAGUUGUUUCUAUUACUUCAUUUUGAUAUACAACAAAUAGUGUAGGAGAACCUGCUCAUCUGAGGAUCCAAAAGAAAGGCAUUGCACUAGGAGAGGGACAGCUCCAGCUUGGAGUGCUGCUUCAAUUGGAGGUACUUCAGACUGUGAUAACAAGCGCCUCAAUACACGAAGUAUCUCUACCUUCUUCUGUGUUGCACCUUUUCCUCUAAAAAUUACAAACACCAAAAGUAAGCACUAAGCAGGCCAAACUAUACAGCAUAUUUUAACUGGGUACCUAAAAUUCCAAUUAUUUAUUUUAUUUUCUUCAUCAUAUAGCGAAGAAGUUAAAAGUGUAGUUAAGUUCAUAUGAUGAUGCACUUAAAUGAAGCAUGUGUAUUACGUAGUAAAAUCAAAAUUUCCAGAGUUGGGAGGCCAAUUUCAAAAUGCGCUAAAAAACAGCUAGGAUCCCAUUAUUUCCUUGAAAUUAUGAAGUGAAUGCAUAUGCAGUCAUAAUUGUAUAUGAAGCUUACUAUAUAAGAGAGAGAGAGAGAAAGAGAGAGAGAGAGAGAGAGAGUACUGGAAUGCAAUAGCAGAUUUUAGCUCCAGCACUGUUUGAGAUGUUUUGGAAUCUAAUGCUUCUUUUUCUUCAUCAAUGAUCAUAUCCCCUUCAAAUGGACUUUCACUACCAUCAAUAACUGUAUCCCGGCAUAGGCGCUUUGCUCGUAUUAAAGAUUCUCUUCUUUCCUUUCCCACUGCUAUGGCUUGUUGCCGUCUCCGAUGUGCAGCAGUGUUGUGCACUGAUAAAAAGGAUGCUAAUGUUAUCUACAUAAAAGUCAUUGAAAUAGUAAAAAACGAUAAUAAUGAUAAAACAUCUAAAAAGGCAUCCAAUUUCAUAAUUUCUCUUUGAAAUUAUCAAGAAAUAUAACUCCUAGAGACUUCAAAUACCCUACAUCUUAUUUAACGGCAUCGUCAAAUCAGAUGCCUGAUUAUCAAAAAUGGGUAUAUAACAUGAAGGCCUUGGUACUUUAUUAGCAUUACAGCCUAGCACUAUCAAAAGAUUCAACUUAAACUCGAGGAGUCGCUUCAAACUCAGAUAAAUUGGGGGAAAAUAAUAAUAACCAUAAGAUUGAAUAAAAAGCUUUCGACUUACAAAAUCUAGCUAAACUAGGAAACAAUGAUCUAAAGAAUAUUAAACAAAUUUGCAUUGCAGAAAUGAACCUUUCACAUAGUUAUGUUACUUGCUUCUUCGAAGAAGAAAGCAUUAAACAAGAGCGCUAAACUUGGCCAUUCGGUCAAAGAUUUAAACUAUGCCCGAGACAGAAAUCCUUGAAUUUAGCACUACAGGACUAUACAAAUACAUCACUUCAGAGUUAAGGUCCCGUAAAAUUGCUUGCCUUAACAGAACAAAAUGAACCAAUUAACCAUUAUGCAUUGCCUCAAUGUUACUCAUAUUUAACCAUUAUGCAUUGCCUCAAUGUUACUCAUAAAUCUCUGUAGAAGCAGAUGUUAUCAGAGAACAGCGGGCUGAUUGCGAAAAUCAAUGGAAUACAUUUUGGAAGAUUUUUGUUCAAGGUUUCGUUUAUGCUUAAUCCAUAUCAAAUAGACCUUGUCUUUGUGAGAGAAUUUUAUUCAUGAGUAGGAGGGAUGGACAUAUGUCACCACGAAUAGAGGCUAAAGCAAGAGCUGGAUUUAAUGGUGGUAUAAAAAUUUAGUCUCGUACAAUUAAAUGAGCUUCCUGUAUUUUAUAGAAAUUUGGGGCAAUACAGUCCUUACAUAAGGCGCAGCCUGUCCAACUUUCAAGCAUUAAGAUACAUCUAAAGCAGGGACAGUUAUAAUAAAAGAACUGGUCGUGAUCAAUCAGAUGAAGUAUUGUGUCCUUAUUUUACUGGUAGUACAUACAAAAUAAACAAAAUUAAUUUAUUAUUCGAAUGGCAACAUACGUACUUCACAUAACUACCUUGACUGAUUACUUUCCAGAAAGCCACCUUUUAGUUCUAACUUUCUUUGCAUAUCCUCUAUCACUGGUAGUACAUACAAAAUAAACAAAAUUAAUUUAUUAUUCGAAUGGCAACAUACGUACUUCACAUAACUACCUUGACUGAUUACUUUCCAGAAAGCCACCUUUUAGUUCUAACUUUCUUUGCAUAUCCUCUAUCUCUAAUUGUUCGAAUGGCAACAUACGUACUUCACAUAACUACCUUGACUGAUUACUUUCCAGAAAGCCACCUUUUAGUUCUAACUUUCUUUGCAUAUCCUCUAUCACUAAUUGAAAGCAAUCUAUUUCAUUAUCAUUCAAAUUGCAGGCAUCUGUUCUGAUAUGCAUUUCACAAUAAUGAAGGAAUCAUUUAAUCAAGUCUAAUCAGUUAACUAUCUAGAAAAUUGCACCAAACAUCAAUUGGUUGAGAAAAAAUAGAGUUUAGACUGAUUUUUUGUCACUGUAAGGCUUAAUGUAAUCUAAUCAGAAAGACAAGGAGCUAUUACCAAUCACAUAUCCUUAUAUCCACUGUUUUCUAGUACUUGUAAUGCAUGAUUACGAUCAGGAGCAGCUGAACCAAGCCUUAAAGUUGACCCCCAGGGAGAGAGUUUGUGUAAGCGAGAGGAGGAACUGAUAGGUCGAGAUACCUCCACAUUAUAUACAAGUGAAGGUUGCAUUUUGUAUCCAAACAUCCAAUAUAGGACAAUUUUUCGUAACAAGAAUCCCGUUGACAGGUGUCAGGUGCUACUAGCGCGUGGUUAAGAUCCAAUGCUACUAAUACAUGACACAAAACCAAUCUCACAUGCUAGGCACGACUAGCAUACGGCACAAACAACUUCACAAGCUAGACACAACUAGCAUGUGGCCGCUGGGCUGGCCAGAAACUAGGGAAUGUGAACUAUAACACUGCUACCAUGUUAAAAGGGCUCGAACCCAACCCACAAGAUCAAGCUGAUAGAUGGAGAUAUCCUCCGCAUUAUAUAUAGGCCAAGGUUCCAUUUUGUAUCCAAUUUGGGACUAUAACUCUCAGCAUCUGGGAAAUUUCACCCACACAUCAAUUUUCUGUGAAAUAUAUAGGGUUUUAACCCGAAUUUCGUCGCAAGAAAAGCCUAAUCUAAUCUAAUCUAAUCUAACCCAAUCAGAAGAAACAAGUGUCAUCAUCACCCACAAGUCCCUAAAUCCACUGUCUCUAAGGAGAAGUAGCUGAAUCAAACCCUAGAAUUGAACCCUUGAGAGAGGAGGGGGGUAGGGGGAACCUGAGGAUUUUAUGGGGUCGCGUCGGUGGGAGAGAGGAGGGGAGAGAGCGGCCUCUUCGUCCGCCAUUUUUCCUCGAUCGAAAGCUUCCUCUACUCUACUCUCUCUCUCUCUCUCUCUCUCUCUCUCUCUCCAAUGGUGGUGUAGUGGAGCUCGAAGAAGAAAGAGGAAGAAGACGACCAAGGGCUCGAAAUGCAAAGAAUCAAUUGCAACUGUGACCCUACACAGCAAUAAAAUUCCAUAUUUAUCGCUGCAAAAAUAUCUUUCCCAGUAAAUUAUAAAUUAUAAAUCUAAAAACAAUUAAAAUUAUUUUUUUUCUAUGAACUUACAAAGCUGUUUGGCAAAAAAAUAAAUUAAUAUUUGCAUAUAAUAAUAUUUUUACCAAAUUUUAUUUUAAAAAUAAUUUAAAAGUUGAAUUAAAAUUUAAAUCUUAAUAUUUAAUUUAAAAAAUAAAUUUGAAAUUUGUAAAUUUAAAAUUUACAAUUUGAAUUUUAAAGCUAAAUUAAAUUUUUAAUUUCAAAUUUAAAAUCUAAAUUUAAAUUUUACAUUUAAAAUUUAAUAUUUAAUAUUUAAAAUUUUCAAAUUUCAAAUUUGAAUUUUAAAAACUUGAAAUUUGUAAUUUAAAAUUUUUGAAGUUUAUAAUUUGAAAAAUUAAAACAUAAUUUUUAAUUUUUGAUUAAAUUUUAAACUCUAAAAUUUCAAAUUUUAAAUUCUAAAAUUUCAAAUUUUAAAUUUUUUUUUAAAUUUGAUAUUUCGUAUCUAAAUUUUAAAUUUUAAAAGUUGAAAUUUAAAAAUUCAAAAAUAAAUUUAAAAAUUAAAAUUUUAAAUUAAUUUUUAAUUUAAACUUUGAAUUGAAAAUUAAAAUAAAAGUUUGAAGUUUGAGUCCAAAAUCAUAAUCGGAUUUCAAGAAGAAGGUUUUAGCUGCUUCUGAUUUUGUUCCUCGAAAAUCAGAAAACUGAUUUUAAAAUUAAAAUUAGAUUUUGAAAAUAACGUUGUCAAACACUCUAUUGAGCCGAAAAUCACUUUUGAGUGUAAAAUCACUUUUCAAAAAUUAGUCGGAACACUCCCAACAUUUUAUUGUAACGUCUAAUCAAGAUGUUAAAUUAAUUUAUAUGUAUGAAAACUAUAUUAGAAGUAGGAGAUCCUAACACCUUCUCUCCUCCAAUACUAUGAAACUGUAAUAAAAAGUAAAAAAUAUUUAAAAUACUGAAAUUUUUAAACUUUUCAAAAUAUGAAAAUAACUGCUUUUAGCCACCGCAAAUAUCAAACUAAUAAGUCUUAGAAGCUACGUUUGGAAAAAUAGUGGAGAUUCGAAGUAUUUUCAAUCGGCCAUAAUUAGUAAUCGCUUGACACCCUCAUCCUUAAAUAUUAGAUUCCAAAUUCGAAGCCUAUUGCGAGGCAGAAGAUAAUGCAUUUGUGUAGUACUCGCAUCAACAAAAAUAUUCUUCGUUUCUCACAUAUUUCUAUUUCAUAUAUCCUAAGCUCAAAAUGUAACAUUAUAUAAUUAUUUAAUUAUUCAUGCGAAACUGCUAUUAGAAAUACAAAAAAAAAUAAAUCACAUUUAAUAUUUUAAAAAUAUAUAAGAAGGACAAUAAUGUUUCUAAUAAAGUAUGAUUGAUACUUACAUAAUUUUACCGGUACACAAAAAAAAACAAAAGAAAAAUCUCCCCGACAUUGUAAUAGGAAUUCUCAUAUGACAAUAAGCUGUUGCACUUAAAAUAAAAAAUAUGAUAAUGAAAAAUUGAACCUUUAUUAUAAAAAAAAAAUUGAUAAUUUUUUAAAAUAAAACGGUAAAAAUAUAUGCAAUUAGCUUAAACUUUAGAUCAUUUGGAAAUAACCAUUUAAUCUUUAAUUUUACUUACCCUCCUUUCAUUUUAUUUGAUUUUAAAUAUUCAUUAGUCUUAAAAAACUAUUGCGUGCACCAAGUGUAUUUAUAUAUUCGUACAUUGCAUUUUAUUGAUCAAUCAUCAUUCCAUAUAAUAAUUGCUGGAUCUCUACGACUAGUAAAUUGUAAUUUUUUAGUUAAGAAUUAAAUAAUUAAAUUAAUAACAUAAAAUGGAUGAACAAAAAAUAUAAAAUAUGAUGUACAAAUAUUUGAAUGCACCACAUGCACGCACCAAUUUCUAAGAAGAUAAAUCAAACAAACUAAAAGAUUCUCGAAUAAAAUCGAAAUUUUUUAAAAUUGAAUAGUUAUUCUUAAAUGACCGAGAGUUUAAGUAAGCUCUUAAAAUUCACUCUAAAAAAAAAAUCAAAUCAACCAAUACGACAUAAAAUCAAGCGAUAAUGAAAAAUUUUUAUACCUUCUUUGAUAUUGUUAUUUUAGUUUUAAAAUUAAAUUUUUAUAUAAAAUAUAAGGUGUAUAAAAAAUUCACAAGUUUUGAGCUUUUGUAAAACUAGGCCGCUAUUGAGCCAAUUAGGCGCGGACAGGUGUAUGCUGGUAUUCCCUUCAAAGGCAUUAAUCCGGUCGUGCACCAGGAGCACCGGAAAAGUUUUAUAGAAAACCAUCGCGCCAAGUCAAGAGAAGUUAUAGCAACCGCAAGCAGUUGAAAGCGGUUCUGAUCGGCUGAAGGUGGUCCGAAUAAUAGGGAUAGUGGCAGAUCGUUGAAAUAGAAUAACUGAUCAGUAGGGGGCGACCUAUAAAUAGGGCAACAAUACCCUAAAAAGGGGUCUUUUUCCCUAUAAACAAAAGACCACCCUUAUUUCCUCACAAUUUCCUGCAUUUUCUAGGAAUAGUCUAUCUGUAAUUUUACUGCUUUUCUCUAGGAGUAGUUCGCUAAAGUAGAAUCCUAGAAUCUGUCUGCCCCACGGAUAUCACUCUAUUGUAAACUACAUAUCUGUCCUUAUACUUCCCAUCAGUCAAUCAAUAGAAAGUCAUUUCGGCUCUUCAAGCCGACCAAAGUUCGCUUUGCUUUAGCCAUUCAGUUCUUCUUCCGGUUUCGUUUCCGACCUGCUCUGUACAUUCGGCUCAUUCCAGCCGAACCGAACGGAUAGUAGUGGUUUUCGAACCCGGCUGGCUUGAUCCCUCGUCAGCCGAAUCGCUUGAUCUGUCGAAGGGCGCAAACUUCAAGGGUCACUAUCCGCAGCCGUUCCUCACUCCGAUGCGCUUCCCGAGGAGGAUCUUUGACCGGAUCAAGGGUCGAUAAUUUGGCUACCAACAGGCGCAUUUUUCAAUUUUGCAGAUUCGAUCCGAAUUUUUAAUAAAUUGGCUAAAAUACUUUUAUACCUUUUUCUCUCUUAUUUUUUUUUCUGGCGUUCUUUUUUUUUCUCGCCAAAGAAGGUGAUGGAGGUGAUAGCGGAAACGGCCCCCCUCGCCUUUGCCUCUCAGACCCUCACCCUCGCUCGCGCAACCCCCGCCCUCCUCACCUCCGACCCCACGGAGGCCGUACUGCGACCCUCUUUUUUUUCUUUCUCUCCGACCCUCCUCCAUUGCCUCCGCGGCCCUCCGCAACAAUAGUGAGGACGAUACCGCGUCCUCUCGAUUUGCCUUCGCCCUCCACCUCCACUACAACAAAUUUCGCACUCGCCAACCCACUUCUGGGUAUCUGCAUACCUACCGCCGUCGCUGCCGAUAAAGAGAAAGUAUUUCUCAACGCCGAGAGGCUCGCCGACGAGGAAGGGAGCACGCGGCCCACCCGCCUACCCUAGAGGGCGGCAGCGAGUGCGGCCUCGACAAUGUCGAAGGCGAGGAGAGCAAGAAAUGCACGAGAACAUUUUUGGAUUAGCACUUUUAUUUGUUUAAAAUAAAAAAAAAUAACUAAAAGGCUAAAAACUAGAGAAAAAUAAAGAAAACUGGAAAAGAAGGAAAAAGAAGAUAAAUUUGCACUGUUAAGAUUAAAUUGCACUGUUUUAAAAGAACAUUGCACUGCUAUGGACGUAAGUUGCACUCUUUGAAAUAUAAACUGCACCAUUUAAGAUAAAAGUUACACUUUUUAAACUAAAGUUGCAUUUUUUGAGAGAUAUUUACACUGUUUCUCUUCUUGUUACACUCUUUGAUGUGUAAACUGCACCUUUAAAAUAAAAGUUACAGUCUUUAAAUAAAAUUUACACUCUUUGAGAGAUAUUUAGACCAUUCUUAAAGGAUGAGAGAGUGUAACUUUCGUUUAAAGAGUGUAACUUUCAUUUUAAAUGUGCAGUUUACACAUCAAAGAGUGCAAUAAGAAAAGAAAUAGUGUAAAUAUCUUUCAAAGAGUGCAACUUUUGUUUAAAGAGUGUAACUUUCAUCUUAAAUGGUACAAUUUAUAUCUCAAAGAGUGCAACUUUCGUUUAAAAAGUAUAAUUUUUAUCUUAAAGUGUGCAGUUUACAUUUCAAAUAGUACAACUUACGUCUAUAAUAGUACAACGUUCAUUUAAAAAUAGUGCAAUUUAAUCUUAACAGUACAACUUCAUCUUCUUCUUCCUUAUUCUCUGGUUUUCCUUAUUAUUCUCUAGUUUUUUACCUUUCAGUUUUUUUUUUUAUUUUAAACAAACAAAAGUACUAAUCUAGAGAUGCUCCCGUGCAUUUUUCGCCCUCUUCGCCUCUGACACCGUCGAGAUCGCGCUCGCCGCCGCCCUUUGGAUUAAGCGAGUGGGCCGCAUGCCCCCUCUCUCGCCGACGAGCUUCUCGGCGCCGAGAAGUACUUUCUCUUUAUCAUCGACGGAGGUGGUGGGGAUGGGGGUUCCCAAAAGUGGGUUUGGUGGAUGCAAAAUUCGCUCUCGCCGGAAUGUAACUAUUUUUCUCAUUCUCCUUCGCUGGCGUGCUUCUCGACCCCGAGAAGCACUUCCUUUUCAUCGCUAGCGGCAGCAGUAGAGACGGCGGGUUUAUUUGGCGGGUAGAAUAUCCACUGCAGUGGAGGUGGAGGGCGAAGGCGGAGGAAGAGGACGCGUUACCAUUCUCGUUAUCGUCGUGGAGAGCUGCGGAGGCGGUGGAGGAUGGUCGGAGGGAGAAAAAAAAAAGCGGCGGGGUUGGAGGCGAGUAGGGCGAGGGGUGCGCGGGCGAGGGUGAGGGUGUGAAGGGUAGAAGCGAUAGAGUGUCACGCCCCAAAUUACCAUGUUUCCUCGGGCAUGCCAACAGACCCGCCGUAUAUAUAGAAAUUUUUCGUGUAUACGAAUCGAUAGCUGUAUCUAUAAGUAAGUCAUAGCUACAACCAAGAGUAUAGAAUUGCUAGACAUGUAUAUAUAAAACAGAAAGGAGUUCACCGUACAUACAAAAGGCUACAAAACCACCUCGCUCUAGCAAGUACCACAACUACAUAACAGUAUGUACAUAAAAUCCAAAACUACCUCUGAUAGGUGCUCCUCUAGCAAACGACCAGGGAAGGGACGACUCUAGCUCGCUACUCCGUUGCCUCAGUCGAAAUCAGCAACAACAACAGCCGUAGACAAAGGCUCUGCAAAAAGGUGGCAACAAUAGGGUGUGAGAACUACUGCAAAACAUAGUAGUCCUCGGUGGGUACCGUCACUGACCUCAAUGGCCCACCCACUAAAUCUACAGUAAGAUAAGCAGAGAAUAGUAAGGAAAGUUGGAAAGAACUCUACUGCUAUAUGCCACUAUACUAUCACUAACCAACACCAACUAUCUGUAGACAUAAACAUGCAUCACUAGUUAUCACUGACCCAAUCUCACACGGACUGCCCAAACAGACCCACCCUGCCUGUAACCAAGCUACACCGUACACCGCCGACGGGGGUGGCCGGUCCACGUAAACUGUCCAAACUGAACUGCUGCGACAUCAACGCAAGUCAAAGUCUCACUCCGGAGCGGCACUUAUGGGCGCGACACAACCGAGUAUGAAAGCGUGUCUCUAUCGCGCUCAAACAGGCUCUUACAGGCUAUAGUCAAUGCAAAUGGGUCAAACUGGUCUAACAACCAAAGCUCACGUGCUCGUGGCACAAUCUAAUGCAAGAUACAAAAAUUUGGGUCCACUGUCGGUCCCGACAGUACCCGGCGGUCCAACACAGACUAACUCAACUAUAAAAACUCACUCGGCUCCUCAGCGCGAGCGUAAACUCAACCUACACUAAUAUGAGUAUUAACUACGCACUAACAGCGGUUAUACAAAAGAACAGCAGCUUCUGAAGCUAAAUCUUAUAACUUUUGGAAAAAAUGACAAUAUAGGUUUAACGAGUUUUCUCCUAAGUCAAUUCCAGGUUCAGCAUAUAAAUUUGUCUAAAUUACUACAUCAUGCUCCAAAACUCAGAUUUCAUAAAAUAUGUAUUUUCUAAAUUUAAGCUACUAACAUGAAAACCAAAACAAGAACCACAUGCUGACAACUCUACGACUUAAGAGGAAAUCCGAUGAUUGUAAACAUCAACCCACCUCGAACGCUCAUCCAACGUCGACAAGAAGUCGAAAGGAGAAACUCCUCACGCCCGCUUGACCUCCGAUAGCCUCAACCGGACACAACCAUGACGCGCGCGCAAUCCUCCAAGACGACGAGAGGGGAAAUAAUCAGCUCGUUCCUUAUAAUCACAACGAAAAUGAGCAAAGCUAGAGAGAGAGAGAGGGAGGAGAACUACCUGUGUUCUCCAAGCUUAAGACACAAAGAGAGAAGGCUGGGGGGUCGGUUGGACUUAUCGACAAUCAGAAAGACCAAAUUAUCCCUUACCAAUUCAAUUUGCCUUUUGGAGUACCGGUACUCAACUUGAAUACCGGUACUCGACUCUCUUUUCUCAAACACACGCACUGGGUACAGGUACUAGCCCGAUCCAGUAUUGGUACUGAACAACAGGUACCGGUACUCAGCAUCAAGUUGCGCAAACCUGAGAGCAUCCAUUUCAAAAAUCCCUCUGGGGUACCGGUACUCCUCUUAGGUACCGGUACUCAACACUAAAAUCUUGCACUUUGCAGAUUUCAGUGUCAGCUUUCCACUCUUGCACUGCGCCGAGUCCGUUUUGCGUCCAAUUCGUGCCAAAACGACUCCGAUUUGUCUCGACACCCACCAUACGUGUCGACAAGCCACAAAUACUGAAGUCACACAGGCAGCCAAAUAUCAGGGACACUACAUUGGGGUUGUUUCCGUAUUCGCCUUUGUCGCCUUCUUUGGCGAAAAAAAAAGAACGCGAGGAAAAAAAAAGAGAGAGAAAAAAGUAUCAGAAUAUUUUUGUCAGUUUACUAAAAAUUCGGAUCGAAUCUGUAUAAUCGAAAAAAGCGGCUCAAUUUUGCAAAAGCUCAAAACUUAUAAAUUUUUUAUACAAAUCAGCCUAUAAAAUAACAUUGAAGGGAACAAUGAUACAUUAUUUACAAUUCUUUAGAAACAAGAUAUUUUUAUUUGGUUGCAAAAAAAAAAAAAAAAAAAAAAAAAAAAAACACACACACACAAAAAAAAAAAAAAAAAAAAAAAAAAAACACUUUUUUUUUUACUUCUAAAUUUAUUUUAAAUAAGCUCCCAUCCAAAUUUUGUCGAUCACCAUAAUAAAAGAAAUUUUUUCCUGCCAGUAAAUGAAAUUAUACUUAGAAAAACAAAAGAAAAACGAAAAAAAUAAAAAGGCAACAAUGCCUACGAUGCCCCUCCAAUUUCUUGAUAAUAACAUUUGAUUCUUUAAAAAUGAAUAAUAUAAUUAAGUAAAAUUUUAAAAACUUGGAGAGGGAAAUUAAAAAAAAAAUGAGGGAUUAAGUACAAAAGAAGAAACAUAUAAAUUGACCCACAAUAUAUACAAAAUAUGCCUCGUAGAGCAAGUUGUUGCUUCAUGAUAUUGCCCGAAAUUACACAGCUUUAUGAAUCUUUUAAUAUAUAAAUAUAUAUCACAUUACUGAAAUUCGUUGCAAGGCUCCAAAUCACUGGUACGAAAAUACAAACAACAUACACAAAUUACAUACACACACACAUAAAACACCAGUAUUUCAGGUUCACCCAAGCAUACUAAAUCACCACACAAACAACUAUACGCCAACAGAAACACCGAGUGUUCUUUCUUUCCGCAAAAAUAAUCGACCGUUUUCUUGUUUUACAACUUCGAUCCAAUUUUUAUCUAUUUCGACAAAAGCCAAAAAUACAAAGGGUUUUCUCGCAUAGAUAUAUAUAACUCUGGUACUUGCACUGUGCGAAAACGAAAUUUUGCAUAUGUAUCCCUUUUGGGGCAUGAAUGCAAACAAAUAUGGUUUUCAGAGACAUAGGUGCAGCUACCAACUUCGCAGGGUAACUUAUACGAGAUUCCAAAAAUAUUCAGGCAGAUACUUGCAAAAAAGACUACGAUGCAAAGAGUGGAUCAAAAUUGUAAAAUGAGGAAAAUACAGUAGAUUAUUACGCGAAAAGGCCACACCGAGAGAUAGAGAGAGAGAGAUUUAGGCGCUGCGACCCAUGGUCUGUUCCAUGGGAGGCAUCAUAACAAGGACAGAUCGCGCGUUGAAUCCAGGAUGGGGCAAACGGCGGCGCAGCUCCCGGGCCUCCUGGCAGAGAGCGCAAGGGUGGCACAUGUAGUGGGUCAGGAAAUCACAUGCCAUUUCAACCUGCUCGCGCUUUGCUUCGUCCCCGACCAUGCUUUGGCAGCAGCAGCCGCACGAUCGAGUGAACGCCUCAAAGCUACCCUGAAGCAAGAGAAAGCAUAUUGAGGGAUUCAACGUUUCCUAUCUGCUCCAACUCGGAAACUUAAAAGUGAAAUAUUUAUCAUGAAGCUUUUCUCUCAGUACCUAAAUAUUCAUGAUAGGCCCAUUAGUGCUCAACCACUAAAUGGCAUGCAAACAUAUAAAGAAAACUGACCUACAAAACGUAAGGGAAAUUCGAUGAACUAAAAGCAAACGCCACUGGACAAGCAAAAUGUGAUAUAAGUCAAGAGAUGAGAAGAAAGUUUUCCAUUUGAAAAGCUGCAGUAAAAUAGCAAUUAUUAUCCUGAAACAGUUACAUGGUGCAAUUCGACCCAUAAUGGAUAUCAACUAUGCAAUGAUCCACUCAUCCACCAAAUAAAUGAGGGUUAUUCUAUUGCUAUGCUGACCAGCACCUAUUUUGUCCUUUGGAAGGUCCCAAAAUUUCAAAGCGCUUCCAAUCUUGCCUCCUUUAUGCUAUAUAAUAGCGGUGGCAACAGCCGCUGGAGAAACUUGUGCUUACAUUACCAAACUAAGCCUCAGAAACAAUGUCCAAAAGAACGAAAGCAAGUACGAAAAUGUUAUUUGAAAGGUAGACAGAAAGAACCAUGAUAGGAAAUACGGAUUUAAGUAAUCAACGAAGAAUCCAUUCUUGCUGGGCUAUAAAAAGCUUACUUCGAGAUUGAAUUUAUGGCGAAUAGCCGUGCGGGCAGGAUACGCGAACCAUGGUGCUAUGCAAUUCCACCCAAAGAGAGAGUUUCCAAGACAAUAGAGGCCAGUGUAUGGCAAGCAAUUAUUUGCAAAAGAACCCUGCCCAGAUGAAAGCCUCUCAACAUUGCUGCCGUACAGCACACAAGGAGCAAAACUUCCAAGAAGGCCUGAAACCCAGCAAAAUGCAAUCUUUCAUAUCAUGGCAAAGAUAAAAGGUUAAGAGUAACCAUUGAAACAAAAUAUGCAUGAGGUCUAUUUCCAUUAGUAUGUUUACAUAUGACAAUUAAGGUGAAACGUGUAUAUAAAACGCAAACAAAACCAAUUCACACAUAAGAGCAAACACUUAGGGGGCGUUUGGAUUGACAAAUCUGUAGAUCCAACGUAAUUCAAGUGCAGUGGUAUUUGAGUUUCCCUGAAGUGUGAUUAUUUUUUUGUUGUUUGUUUUGACGUAACUCGUACAGUCUGAAAGUUAAAUUCAAUUACAUCUUCUGUUUAUUUUGAUGUAACUUGGCGCUAAUGAAAUUAGUUUUUUGAGUUCUAUUGUUUGUUUUGAUGUAAGUAAGCGGAUCCCGUUAUCUCCUAAAUAUAGUAGUAAACUUACCGCUAUAAAAUUUAACCUAUUAUAUAAUUAAAAUUUUCAUUAUUAUUUAAAGGUAAUCCUAAUUUAUUGUAAAUAAGGUAAUUCUAACCCAUUAUAAAGGAAAUAGAGUUUAGAUAUUACUAUUUAAUAAAUUUUUUAGAGGAGGUUGAGUGUGGCGGAAGUCAAGUUCGGCACUUUAGAGGAGGAAGUCGAGAGUAGGUGAAGUGAAGGUUUAACGUAACUUGAGUUACAUUAUAUUUUUGACUUACACCAAAACAAAUAACGAAAGUGAAGGAACUUGAGUUCCAUCCCUCCACUUACACCAAAACAAACGGACCCUUAGCGAGUCAAUCCCAAUUCCAUUUAACAAAAAGCUUCUAUCAUACUGAAAAAGAAGCCUGAUCUAAAUUGAAACAAAAGGAGAGAUGCAUCAUACAGGCUCUGAGAUAGUCUCUAAUUGCCAGAUUUGAUGCAUGAAUCAAUUACAAAAAGGAAGAAAUGAUAAAAGAAAAUCCUACUUAAAUAUUAGCAAAUGGAUGUAAACAGCACAAGAGGAAGAUAGUGCAUAAUAGCACAAUUGGGACAGUUCAUCUCACAGUUGAAAAACCCUGUUUUAAAAUCCUACUUUAACCUGUUUUAAAUCCGAUUUACCCUAAGGUACUUCUAGCUCUUCUCAAGUACAACAGCAAUAGGAGAGGCUUUUAUAGACAACCAUAUCCUUCUAUUUGUUCUGAGGUUAAUACAACCCUUAAAAUGUGAAAAAAGAUUGGUCCUAAAAUAAUUGAUAAGAUUCUAAUCAGGAAAUGGAUAUGGCCAUCAACAGGAGGAUUGAUUAAUUAUAUUACAGUUCAAGUUAUCGCAGAUGAAGCUUCCACAGAUGUCCUAUCAAACUCAAGCAUUCAAAGAAGCAGAAUCACACAAAAUGGAGCUUUCGCUUUUGGGGCCUGGAACUUGAAACUCAUUUUGGCAUCCCAUAGCAUCCUGAAUCACCAGAUUUUUUUCUUUUUGCACACCGCCUGGAUUCUGCUUUUCUGUUCCAGAAACCACAUUGUUCGCCAAAUUCAGGAUCUCUAAACUCGCAAUCCUACGUAAAACUAUUUGAUAAAAAUGUAUGAGCCCACCCUCCUUCAAUUAUAGGCCAUUCUAAAAGAGCACUCUGAACAUUAUUUUUCGACAGCUCCUCAAUUUUGAUUUGUCCUUGUUUGAAUUAUUUCAGUCGAUUCAAUAGAUCAAAUUUCACAUCUCUAACUGCUCUUCACCUAAAGAAAGUGUUGCUUCCAUUAUUCAGUAGUCAAUAGCUAACGGAGCCAUUAAUUUUAAUGAAAUCCCCAAACAAAAUGACCAAAAUAACUCAAAUCAAAAAAAUUUAGAGCACACAAAAGUUGACGCGUGUCAAUACAGAAAGAAUAAAAUGCAAGGGCCUACAUCAAAAUGGCCUAUAAUUGAGGGGUCUCCAUAUAUUUUACCUAAUUCUUCAAAUGACGAAUUUAUAUUCCGACCUAGUUUCUACAAUUUUACCACAGAUUUACGGAUCUAAUUCUCAUGAUCAUUCAGAAUCGCUUCUAAAUCGCCAAUCUCAUCAAAAAAACACCCUUCCUAAUUAAAAACCAAAAAAAAAACCAAAAAAAAAAAAAAAAAAAAAAAAAAAAAAAAAAAAAAAAAAAACCAAAAAAAAAAAAAAAAAAAAAAAUUGCUCCCAUUAUGGAAACUUUCCCAGAUCAACCCUAAUAACACCAACAACAAACAAUAAUUUCCCAGAUCAACCCUAAAAACCCUAAAUUUUCACGAGCUAACGAGAUCAAACAAUGCAUUACCAACAACAACAACAACAAUACCACCACCAACAACAAAUUAAAGUGAGAAAGAUCGGCCAUUCAAGAUAAGUGAGAGAGGUCGAGAUCGGGAGACGAUAUGGAGGAGAUCGAGAUCGAAAACUUACACACUUCGAGAUCGCUGCUGCAGAACUCGUCGUUGCGGCCGAGGCACGAGAAGAGGCCCGAGUCCCACCGGUUCCGCGCCACGGGCUCGCCGACGACGCUCACAUGGCCCAUCGGGACCCCGUCCGCAGUCCACUCCGCCGCGCAGCCCUUGGCCGGAGGCGGCGGCGCCGCCGAAGAGGGCUUCGCUGGAGCCGGGGCGGGGGCCAGGGCGGAAGCGACCUUGUCGUCGCCGUCCAUUUGGCUCAGAAGAGGGCUCGAUUCCUCCGGAUUCGCCAUGGGAGGAGCUCUCAAACCCUAGCGGAUAGAGAGAGAACGAGAGAGAGAGAGGCUUCUUCUAGGGGAAGAAAACAAAACGCGUGGAGAAACGAACGGAGCACCAAAAGACAAGUUCCGUUGCCGCGUUGGAAAGGCCCAAAAAAAAAGUGGCUUUUUUUGUGCAUUUGACUAGUGAAAAAAAAUUUAUUUUAAAAAUAGGCUAAAUUACAAAAAAAGGUCAAUUUGCAUAAAAAAUUCACUUAUUUUGGGCUUUUGCAAAAUCCGGCCACCUUUUUUAUUUUUGCAGAUUCGGUCCACUUUUUCAGCAAACUGACCAAAAUACCCUUUUUAUUUUUUCUCUUUCCUCUUUCUCUCUCCUCUUCGUUUCUCUCAUUCUUUUUUUUUCUCGCCGGCAGAGCGGAGGCGGAAACGGUCCGUCUCGCCUCUCACCCUUAUUGUCUAGCCCUCGUCCUCGCCCUCGCCCUUGCCCUCGUCCACGCACCCCCAACCUUCCUCACCUCCAACCCCGCCAAGGCCGCGCCACGACUUUUUUUUUUUUGCUUUUUUUUUUUCUUUUUUUCUCCGACUCUUCUCCACCGUCUCCGACGACGAUGCCUCUCUCGUCCUUCUCGUUCUUCCCCGCCCUUCUCAUCUCUCCCUCUCCCUCAUUCUCUGCCGCCUCCGACGACGAUGCAUCUUCGCCGGCGCCGACGUCGACACCGUGGAGGUCACUGCGGCGCUACAGGCUCGGAGCGGGGGUCCUUAGCGGUGUCGUCGCCGGCACCGUGGCUGUUGGCAGAGAAGGUGACAAAAAAAAAAUUAUAGAAAAAACAGAAAAAAAAAAUAAAGAUAAAAAAUUAUAUAAAAAGAAGGAUGAACAUCAAAUUGUAUCGUUAACGGUAAAAAAAAUUAUAAGUUGCACUAUUUAAGAUGUAAAACUGCAGCUUUAAAAUGAAAACUACACUCUUUAAACGAAAAUUACACUCUUUGAUAAAUAUUUACACUGUUUUCCUUCUUAUUACACUUUUUCAGAUGUAAACUGCAUCAAUUAAUAUGAAAGUUACACUUUUUAAACAAAAGUUGCACUGUUUCUCCUCUUGUUGCACCAUUUCUCCUCUUAUUACACUGUUUUUUAUCUUAAACUGCACCAUUUUAAGAGAUAUUUAUACUGUUUCUCCUCUUGUUGCACUAUUUCUGUGUAAAUAAGAGGAGAAAUAGUGCAACAAGAGGAGAAACAGUGCAAGAAGAGAAGAAACUGCACUGUUUUAAGAGAUAUAUAUACUGUUUCUCCUCUUGUUGCACCAUUUCUGUGUAAAUAAGAGGGCAAAUAGUGCAACAAGAGGAGAAACUGCACUGUUUUAAGAGAUAUAUCUACUGUUUUUUCUCUUGUUGCACUGUUUCUCCUCUUGUUGCACCAUUUCUGUGUAAACAAUAGAAGAAAUAGUGCAACAAGAGGAGAAACAAUGCAAUAAGAGGAAAAACUGCACCCUUUUAAGAGAUAUUUAUACUGUUUCUCCUCUUGUUGCACCAUUUCUGUGUAAAUAAGAGGAGAAAUAGUGCAACAACAGGAGAAACAGUGCAACAAGAGGAGAAACAGUAUAAAUAUCACUUAAAAGGAUGCAGUUUAAGAUAAAAAAUAGUAUAAUUUUCGUUCAAAGAGUAUAAUUUUUAUCUUAAACCAGCAGUUUACAUCUUAAAUAGUGUAACUUAUAAUUUUUUUUGUAAUUAACGAUAUAAUUUCAUCUUCAUCCUUCUUUUUAUAUAAUUUUUUAUCUUUAUUUUUUUUCUGUUUUUUCUAUAAUUUUUUUGUCACCUUCUCUGCCAACAGCUACGGCGCCGGUGACGGCGCCGGUGACGACGCCAGUGACGACGCCGCUAAGGACCCCCCGCUCCGAGGCUGUAGCGCCGCAGUGACCUCUACGGUGUCGACGUCGGCGCCGGCGAAGAUAAAUCGUCGUCGGAGGCGGCAGAAAAUGAGGGAGAGGGAGAGAUGAGAAGAGCGGGGAAGGGCGAGAGGCGUCGUCGUCGGAGACGGUGGAGAAGAGUCGGAGAAGAAAAGAAAAGAAAAAAGCAAAAAAAAAAAAGUCGCGGCGCGGCCUUAACGGGGUCGGAGGCGAGAAAGGUGGGGGUGCAUGGACGAGGGCAAGGGCGAGGGCGAGGGCGAGGGCGAGAGCAUGAGGGUGAGAGGCGAGACGGACCGUUUCUGCCUCCGCUCCGCCUCCGCUCUACCGGCGAGAAAAAAAAAAGAACGAGAGAAACGAAGAAGAGAGAGAAAGAGGAAAGAGAAAAAGUAAUAAGGGUAUUUUGGUCAGUUUACUGAAAAAACGGACCGAAUCUGCAAAAACGAAAAAAGUGAUCCGAUUUUACAAAAGCCCAAAAUAAGUGAAUUUUUUAUGCAAAAAGGCCAAAAAAAUUUGCCUAUAAUUUUUUUUUUUUCCCUCAAAAAGAACUCAAAGAAAAAUUCCCCGGGAAAAAAGAAAAAGAAAAAAAAAAAAAAAAAAAGAACAAUCCGGUAUCCGGAUAAGACGGAGAAGGCAACGGCACACUCUACCAGCCUGCUACUAGCGUCGUUUUUGGCGGAGAGAGCAUCGCACUGCGCCGCUAUCCGCUCCAUGGCCUCUCUCACUAUCAGUACUAGUUGCGGUCUGCUGCUCCUCCGCCCCAAACUCAACCGCCCUUCCUCUCCUCCCCUCUCCUCCGCCACCAAAUGCCGCCGGCGGUGCUCUUCGCCUCGCGGCGCCUUCGACCUCACACUCGCUCCGGUCAGUCCUCGCCCUCUUCUUCUUCAUCUUCCUGCUCCUGUGCUCUUGGUUGUCCAGUCAGUCUCCACUCCCCAACGAGUCCCGUGUUAUGAUUUUGGGUAGGGAAAGGAGGAGAAGACUGCUACANAGAGAGAGAAAGAGGAAAGAGAAAAAGUAAUAAGGGUAUUUUGGUCAGUUUGCUGAAAAAGCAGACCGAAUCUGCAAAAAUGAAAAAGGUGGCCCGAUUUUACAAAAGCCCAAAAUAAGUGGAUUUUUUAUGCAAAUUGGCCUACAAAAAAUUCUCAUGUAAUAACCUAUUUUUUUACUUUUCUUUUCUGAUAUUUAAAAACCUACCCUUUGCCCCCUUAUAAAAUAAAAAAUGUUCACAAAGAGAUUACGGUGUGUAAAAUGACCAUUUUGCCCCUCGCCAUUUUCGUCUUCUUCCUCAUCUUCCUCAGCCGCUCCUUCGAUCGGCCGCGAUUCCCACCUCAAUCGGCCGCGAUUUCUCUCCAUUUCCUUCUCCACCUGCUCCCCUUCUCCUCCUGCACCCUCGCCGCCCCUCGAUUUUGACGAUAGUAGGGAGAAAAUCGAGGUGGGUGUUGAUGGAGAGGUAAGCAAUGGCAACGAGGGCGAAGGGGAGGCGGCGGAGGAGGGCAAAGGGAAUGGGGACGAGGGCGAGGCAGUGGAGGAAGGCGAGGCGGCAAGGCGGCGGGCCGGAGGGAGGCGAAGCAACAAGGAAGAGGGCGGAGGGGUAUUUUCGGCAUAAAAAUAUAUUUUAUAACGGAACCCUAACGGUAGGGGGUGAAGUGCACAUUUUUCAUUUCAUAAGGGGGCAAAGUGUAGAUUUUUAAAUGUCAGGGGGGAAAGUGAAAAAGCAGAUUAUUACAGGGGGGUUUUCUAUAAUUUAGCCUUAAAAAUACUCUCAGUAAAUUUAUAUUUAUAAAAAUAGUUUUAAUUCUGCCACGCAAGUGCCACGUCAGCGCCACGCGAGCAGAACUAGGAUCAGAGUGUUAAGUUGAACACGAUAAACCAUUCACCGUAUCUAAACACGGUGAAUGGUUCAUCAUGUCCAAACACGGUAAACCAUUCACAGUGUCCAAACACGAUGAAUGGUUCACCGUGUCUGGACACGGUGAAUGUCUGGACAGACAUUGUGAACCAUUCACCGUGUUCUCUUUGUAUUACUAUCCUGCCCGAGCUCCCACCCUCCUCUCUCGCUCUUUUUCUUUCUGUGGCCCGCGCCGGCACCUCUCUCUCUCUAUCUCUCUCUCUCUCUCUCUAUAUGGCCCACCUCGCUGCCGCCGCCGCCGUCACCGCCCUUUCUCGCCCGACCAAUUUCCCCACCCUCAUGCUCUAUUGAUAUUCUGUUGGAUUUAUUGUUGUGUUGGAUUUGUUGUUGUGUUAUUGAUAUUGAAUUUCUUUUAUUGUUGUAUUAAAUUUAUUGUUGUGUUGUUGAUGUUGAAUUUGUUACUUCCAUUGAUGAUUUUUUCAGAAUUUGCUAUGUUUAUCUUUUGCAUUCUAAAAAUAAAAUGCUUGAAAAUUUUCAAAUAUUUAAAUUUGAGAUAGAGGUGACAUGUGAAAAACUAAUGAAAUGCCCAAGAUCGAAUAGAAAAGGAACAUAUUAUAAUCCUCUAUUUUUUGAGUCCAAUAUAAUUGUUUAUGAAACUUUUAUACCUUACACUCCACAAUAAAAUAGUGUUAUCAAAAAAAAAGAAAAAGAAAAAAAAAAGACUUCAAUGGAAAUAGUCAUACUUUACUUUCUAACUCAAAAUUAGGGCAUAAAUUUUGUAGUGAAGCCUUAUUACUGACUUAUCAUUUAUAAACAGAAUCCCAACAAAAAAGUAAUAAAAUUGUUUACGAAUUAUUCAAUGGCAGAAAGCUCAAUUUAAAUUAUUUGAAAGCUUAGGAAUGACGAGCUAUUGCGAUGUUUCAUUAACAAGAAAGAAUUAGGAGAAAGAGAAAUUGAGUGUAUAUUUAUUGGAUAUGCACAACAUAGCAAGGUAAAUAGAUUCUACGUUAUUAAUCCUAAUGCCUUUAUUGGAGUCAAUUCAAUAAUUGAAUCUAGGGAUGCCAUAUUUGAUGAAAACCAAUUUAUUACAAUUCUUAAAACCAAAAAAUUAUUACUCAUAAGGAACUCUUAAGUAAGGAAAAUUAUAUUGAAGUGGAAAUCCCUAAACUUAGAAGAAGCAAAAGAGUUAGAACAACUAAAAUAUUUCGACUAAAUUUCCUUAUUUUCUCAGUAACGAACAAGAGAAAAUAUUGAAAAUAAACUCCAAAUUUAUUUUAAUAUUGAGCCAGAACUCUCAACACUUGAGAAAAUUAUGAAAUUUUUUUGCGCUACUUCUUAGACAAAGAGACUAUUAAGUGAUGAAAUGGACUCAAUAAUGGGCAACAAUACUUGGAAGCUAGUUGACCUCUCUCCCGAUUGUAAACCAAUUGAGUGUAAAUAGAUGUUCAAAAAAAAAAAAAAAAAAUAGUAGAUAGUGCAAUUGAUAAAUUUAAAGCUAAACUUGUUUCCAAAGGGUUACAAUAAAAAACAAAGCAUUGACUGUUUUAAUGUAUUUGCAUUUGUUACUAGAAAUGUCAUAAUCAGAAUUUUAAUUGUACUUCUAUUUAUAAAUUUGUUAUUCAUCAAAUAUAUGUAAAAUCUGUUUUUCUAAAUAGUGAUGAAUUAGUUGAAGAGCUUUAUAUAGAGCAACCUGAAGGUUUUGUUAUUCCUGGACGAGUUCAAAGUGUGCAACUUGUUAAAGCUUUAUAUGGACUCAAACAAGUUCCAAAACAAUAGCAUCAAAUUUGAUGAAAUUGUUGUUGCAAUGUCAUGAAAUUAACCAAUUUGAUAAAUGUAUCUAUAACAGAUUUUCUAACGAUAAAGGUGUUAUAAUUUAUUUUUAUGUUGAUGACAUGUUAAUUUUUUGCAUUGAUCUUGAAUACAAAAAAGUUUUUAUCUAAUAAUUUUGACAUGAAAGAUGUAGGACUUACUAAUGUUAUUUUGGGAAUCGUAUUAUUUGAGAUAAUAAUGGUAUAAUUUUGAUGCAAUUUUGUUAGAUAGAAAAGAUUGCUAGAAAAUUUGAUAAUUUUGAUUGUACUCCAGCUUCUACCUUAUAUGAACAAAUUUGAAAUUGGUUUGUAAUACUGGCAGGUCAUUUAAACAAGGGUUAAUUUCAUAUAGAUCCCUGCAAAUAUAAUGAAUGACAAAUAUAUUCCUAACUUUCAUAUGUUGUCCCUACAAAAAUCCUAAUAUUUUAAAAUAUAUCCCUACAGUUUGAAUUUGUUAGAAAAAUUUAGAUAACCAUAGGUUAAAUACUUAACUUUGGUUAGUUUUUGACAUUUUUACCCUCUUAUAUUAUACUGUUAUGAUUUUUUAGAGAUAUAUUUGUGAUGGCAAAAUUGAAAAUAUAAACGGUUCUCUAACGAUUCUUUAAGGGUAACAAACCAGAGGGACAUAUUUGAAGAAUAUUAGAACUUUUGUAGGGACAAUAUACAAAAGUUGAACUUUGUAGGAAUAUAUUUGUCAUUCACUAUGUUUGCAGAAACCUAUAUGAAAUUAACCCUUUAAACAAUUACAAUAUACAAAACUAAUUAGUAGUUUAAUAUAUGUAAUGUCCUGUUUUAAAUGAUAUAUCAAGAAUUUUGAAAUAUUUGAAAAAGACAAUAUACUAUGGUAUACUCUCCAAUGGGUAGCCAACUAUAUUAGAAGGCUAUACAAUUGCAAGUUGGAUAGCAGAUCGAAAAAAUCAUAUAUUUACAAGUGGAUGAAUAUUUGCCUAGAGUGAUAGUACAAUUUCUUAGGGAUCCAAGAAACAAAUGUGCAUAGCGGAUUCUACUAUGACUGCAGAAUUCAUAGCAUUAGUAUCUUCUAGUAAAAAGACAGAAUGAUUAAGAAAUUUAUUUUUGAAGUUUUCUCUUUGGCCAAAACCAAUGCCGUCGGGAUCACCACAUUGUGAUUGUGAGGUUACUCUUUCAAGAGCAUACGAUCAUAUAUACUAGUGAAAAACCCGCAUUUCUCUGCGGAUAAAUAGAUAAAUAUAGUAUUAAAUGUAGUCUUUUAUAUGGUAAGUAGAUUGGGAUCAAUCUGCAUAAACGCAUAGUACAAUCACAGAGAGAAAUGCAAUAUUAAAUGUCAGGUAAAUUUAUUUUAAAAGAUGACAAUUGAAACUUAUAAUAUAACUUGAAAAUUAAACGCAAUCCUUCAUAUCUUGUCUUUAUUUGUAGAGGGAGCUUCAUGGAACCUGAAAACAAAAGUAACCAAUUUAGUUUAAUCUAAUCCUAUAUAUAAUAUAUAAACGCUAAAUAUUUGAGGUAACAAAUUAACGAUAUUAGAUCUUACGUAAGUCAGUUAUUUUUUCGCAGGCUGAAUUUCAUUUAAAUUAUCAGCUAGUCCUGGAGAGCUGUAUAUUGUUAAAAGGUGUGAGUGCGUGUGUGUGUGUGUGUAUAUAUAUAGGGUCCGGCUACUAUACUAUUAUGAGUAUGAUCGCCCUCGUACUCAUAAGUUGUUUUCAAUGAUAGAGCUUCCGAAUCGACGAUCCACAUCGUUAAACGUCAUUUACAGCAUUUAAAACUUCUAGAAAUCAAAUUUUAUAAUUUUUUGACGUCAUUUACCUUACGAUCAAGAGGUCACAAAUUUGUCAAUUUUUAACGGGCGGUAUGGGAUACUUGCUAGUUUAACGGUGUAAAAGAAUCGAAAUUUGUUGAAUUUUUGAUAAAAAAGUCGUAUUCACUACAUAGAUAAAGAUCAAUAACUCCGAUCUUGAAUUGAAGGAUCUGAUCAUAUAUAUAUAUAUUAUAGGCCAUGGCUACUAUACUAUUACGAGUAUUGGAGCCUUCGUACUCAUAAGUUGUUUUUAAUGAUGGAGCUUCCGAAUCGACGAUCUACUCCGUUAAAUAUGAUCUAGAGUAUUUGAAACUUCUAGAAAAUAAAUUUCAUAAAUUUUCGAAAUCAUAAUAAAGUCCAUCAAGUUGGCAUAAAAUGAACGGUCAAAAUCGAACGACGUCCUUAAAAAGGAUGAUCGGAUCCUUCAAUCCAAGAUCGGAGUUAUUGAUCUUUAUAUAUGUAGUUAAUAGAAUUUUUUAUCAAAUAUAUAUUCAACAAAUUCUGAUUCUUUUACACCGUUAAACUAGCAAGUAUCUCAUACCGACUGCUAAAAUUGUCAAAUUUGUGAUCUCUUGAUCAUAAGGUAAAUGACGUCAAAAAAUUAUAAAAUUUAAUUUCUAGAAGUUUUAAAUGCUGUAAAUAACGUUUAACGGUAUGGAUCGUCAAUUCGGAAGCUUUAUCAUUGAAAACAACUUAUGAGUACGAGGACGAUCAUACUCAUAAUAGUAUAGUAGCCGGACCCAUAUAUAUAUACAUAUAUAUGUUUAAUAUAAUAUAAAAUAAAUAUUAGAAUAUUACUUGGACGAAAUAGCUGCACUUGGAGAUGCCUCGGCAAAUAAUUCAUUGUGAAUUUCUUUUUGAGAAGUAGGAGAAUGCGGUCCUUGUUCACAUUUGAUUAAUAAAUUUGCAGUUGUAUGGGUCUUCACCUUUGUAUCGAAUAGUACUUUGCUAAAAAUUUUAAGUACUUUAAAAGAAGAAGCAUUUGUUCUAAACCUGUGUACAUCAGGCACUAUUUGAAAAAUAUGCUCUUAUCCAAUAAUUACUUUAAUUAUAGAAGAAGAGUAAAUUUAUCCGAACCAGGGGAAGUAGCUAAAUUUUGAGCUGGAAUAUGAAUCAAAUCUUAUGCUAAUCUUCCGAGAAUGGUAAAAUUCAUAAAACCACUACCAUCUUCAACAAUAGUGUUUAAUUUGUACCUGUUCAACAACAAAUUGAAUUAAUUCUUUUUAGAUGAGACAGAAACAAGACAAUUAGUUUAUUUGGAAAGAACAGCAAAAACUAAUUUAAAAAUAGAAUACAUACCAUGGUUGCCUUUGAAUAGGCCAUCCGACGUGCAUAUUCAAAAUGAGUUUUGUUUACGAACCAUCAUGACAGCAGGCCGAGUCCUUCAUUUAAUCUACUGGUUGCCAUCAUCGCCUCGGAAAAAGCUAGUGAACAGCAACAAAACCCAAGCUGCAAGAAAUGACUAAGGAGAGGGGAGAGAAAAUUAAUUAGUCUCACAAUGCGAAGCUUAGAAGACCAAAAAACCAAAUAUGUCAAGCAAGCUGAGAACUAAGAGGGGAGCAAAGUUUUCACAAAUACAAAGAGCUGCACAGCAGGAAGCAAGCAGGCAAAGGUAAAAAAACUAUUCUUUCCAAACAAAAUAAUAGCAUACCAAAGCUGUAAAGAAAAAAAGGCAAGCCUCAAGCCUGCAUUACAAAAUUACCAAUGAUGGAAACACGACUUUCAUAGACCGAUGAUAAUUUUUUUUAUUAAAAUUUUUAAUACGGGGCAUUUUUGAUAUAGUUUACCUAUAUAAUUGUCAAGUUUGGCCACGUCUAGGAGCUAAAGGGCCUGGUCUAACAGCCUUCAUGAAAGAGGAUAUAAACACAAGAUUACUAAUGUGUCGACAAUAAAAUAGAGCGCUCAAUGCAUAAAAAUGUCGAGAUAUGUUUAGUUAGUCAAGAUUAAUUGUUGGUUUGGUUCAAAAACUUGUCACCAUUCAAUUAUGACUAUCUUUAAUGUGUCAUCACUAAGUGUAUGUCCAAUUAUUGUACACAUAUAUUUAUGCAUAAGAUUUACUAAACGUUGUCGAAUUAUUUUGAAAAUUUGCGAGGAAUUUUGAGAGAAUUUUUAAGAAAACUUAAUGUUGUCAACGUUUCUAUCUCAUUAAAUAACGUUAUGAAACUUAUUUGGUCUGACCUAAAGAAUAGCUACUAUUCUUUAAUGAGUGGUUGAAUCAUUUAGCAUGUCGGUUUGAUGGCAUUUAUAUACUUGAUAUGAAACCAAGCAUCAAAUAUGCAUUGGAUGCACCUAUUUAGUAGGGGCAUUAUAUGGAAUUGAUAGAGGCUAUUCAAUCGUUGGUUGGUGAAAUGUAAUAAUGUUGAGAGAAAAUCCAAUUCACACUAACAAAUUGUAUCAUAUCAGAAUUAUUACUCGUUAUUGUAUUGCAAUUAUUAUUUGAUUUGAAAAGACACGACGAGUGAAAUGAAUAACUCAGAUGUAAUUAAUUAUAUUGCAACCGACUGACUUAAAGCUAAAUGGUUUCCACCAAUGAUAAGAUCAAGAAAACCAAAUUAUUUUACGUUAAUUACCCUCUUACCAUUCCCUACUUCAUUAACUUGAUACAAUUGCUUUAGAAAUUGUACCGAGUUUCAUCGACAAUUUUGCUACUUUCUAAGCAUGAAUGCUCAAAGGAUUGUUCGUCUAUGCAAACGUAGUCCGUGAUUAUACUUCAUUGUGUCCUGAGAGACUGUUCGUUGAUUUAGUGCACACCAAUUUAAAUAUUUGGUGUGGAAGAAUUAAGUUUUUAAGGAAAGCGGUAUUACAACACGCCAGAAAGCGGUAUUACCUCACUUUCUCACUCGUAGCUCCAACGGGUAUUACGGCGAAUAGAAGCACUGUAGAGGUCCUUUUGGAAAGAGAGUAAGAGACUACUGUUGGGUUUCUUGUUUGGUAUAGUGGAAGUGUGUUUGUCGAGAGAAGAAAGGGGAAGUCUCUGUCAAGGAUGUCGCAACCAUGAAUGCUGCUCUGAUGAUCAAAUGGUGGUGCUGCUUUCUUAGAGAACCAGAAGAUCUAGAGUAGAAGAAGCUAACAAGAGGCCUAUAUUAUUACACUAGAUGGGAGCCGCUGGGAGAAAGGGCAUCUUUCAGGCCAUAUUAGCAGUGGACCAGUGGUGGAAAAAUGUCUUGAAAGUCGAAGACAUCUUCAAGUGUAGGUUUAGCUACAAGUUGGGUGAUAGCAAAAGCAUUGACAUGUAGUCGGACAUUUGGUGCGGAGAUAUUUCACUGGGUACCGACUUUCCAGAUAUCUUCUCCAAAAUAACCAAUAAGAAGAAGACAAUUAAAGGGUGCUUCUUAAAUAAAAUGUGGAGGUGGAAGUUCACUCUUCCAGGGGUCACAAACGAAAAUAGAAUGAUCGGGGCGCAGAAGAGGAUGCAAUCGACAAAGGUAAAGAAGAGGUUAAAGAAGAGGACGGAAAUUAAACCUACCUCGCCGCAAUUUGGUGGGAGAUUUGGAGAGCAAGGGACAGUGAUUUUUCCAAAUAAAAGUUACGACGUUUUGGACGUGCUGGACGGUAUUAGGAGGACAGCGGAAGAAUGGAGCGAGCAUUGCCGGCAGUUCUCAUCUUGGUCAGUAGUGUGGAUUGUUUUGUCUGUCCUUUCUUCUCUUUUUCUUUGUUUUUGCUGAUUUUCUUCCGGAAGGUCCUAUCGCCCCGAUUCAUUUCCCAGAUUGUGAAUGAAGUAGAUAGCUAACUACCUUUUCUCCCAACAAGAAAAGAGACAAGCAGCUUUCAUCUUCCUGACAUAAUGGCUUUUGCCUGUUUCACAAAAAGUUGUCUUUAUACACCAUUAAGAUAUGCUUCUAAUCAAUAAUGUGAUGCCAAAUAAAAUAGCGUAGGGUCUGAUGCAGAGCAAUAUGAUGAUUUUCUUGCGGUAAUGAUGUUUAAAAACCAAAUUUGCACUUCCUCGCAAUAUGCAAAAUUCUGAUUAGAUGUUCUCAUGCCACAGUGACAGCUGCAGUAAAGUAUGCCCUCACUAAAGACAAGCCAUACUCCAGUUAAAACAGCUGUUACUAAAACCUAAAAAGUGCAUUCUAUCUCCGAGCUACAGCUUAAAGUCCUAAAUUGUCAAGCAUCUGAUAAGCUUUUCCCAACAAAAGAAAUUGAUCAAAAAGCUAAACCUAGUCGGUACUGCAUUGGUCAACGAUAAGAGGCAUUCAAAGCAAUUAAAUUAGAUGCUGGCACAGUAGUAAAAACUUCGAAGCAGACAAUUGGCGCAUCAUUAAUAGUAAUAUCCUGUUUAGGGUGCCUAUCAAGCAUGCUACCACUUGCCAAGACAAAUCCACGGGUUAACAAACGAAAUAGGAACAAAACUCAAAAAAGAUAUGGGACUGAGCUCCGUACAUUGCAAAAAGUGAUAAACAGUAACGUUAGGGAGGAAAAAAACCAAAAAACCAAAAAAAAAAAAAAAAAAAGACACUCGAGAUCCACACAAGCAAGGCCCCUGGGUCAAUCACAAACCGUACCUAAAAGCAAUAAUUUUUUAGCAUAAAAAUAUUUACCACUAGUAAGAACAAAUGUUCAAAGGCGACGCACGUCCUCGCAGAACAAAGAAACCUGCAAAAUGAAAGUGAACCUGCAAAAUGAAAGUGAACGACCACAAAAAACAUAGUUAAACUCAUCGCUUGCUUCUUUAGAGAGUACUCCCGAAGUUCAAUUAACAAAUCAGAUUUCAGGUGCGACAUCCGAACUGCAAAUGAAGGUUCAAAAUAAGACCAGUUAAAAAAACUACUGUAUGUGUCGAUAACCAACUCACUAACUACAUAGUGAAAUACAUAAUUUGGUACGCAAAUGCCAGUAUAGCUGCACAGACAACAAAGAACAGUCAUCUUAAUAUAUUAUUAGAUGAAUAUCAAGCAGUUGAUGCAAACUUCUAGUUCAAGGGAAAAAAAAAAAGUCACGAACAAACCCUGUGAUUCAUGAAAUUUAUGCCAUCUUCACCAGGAUGAAUAAGCACCUAAAAUUUACAACCGAUCAAAAACCCUAAAUACAAAUUAUAUGAUACAACGGGCCUUCCCAUUCAUUUGGCUUACACAUCCUGGAAUGGCCUCAAAUUUCCCUCAUCUCCUAUAAAAAUUUACAGCUUUUUGCAGGCAAUUCAGGUAAGAGAAGAAAAAAGGGAAAAAAAAACUGUGACGACCUGUGGAUGAGAAUCAGCGACCUUCAAUGAUGGGCGCGCCAAAAGAAUGCAAGCAAUGUCUAGGGUAAGCUUCACUCAUGGCCCCGAAACUUUUAAUGUUAAAUUCAGUUUGGUCCCAACUGUGUCAGUUAAUUGUCACCAACUUCCCGACCUCUGCAUAUUGUCACAAUUUUAUCCAUUUUGUUUGGACGAAAAUAACCAUGUAAUCAUCAUCCAAAUGCCAGAGAAGCAACUGUGGACUUUGCACACGGAUUUACAUGGGCAUUUUCUUCGAAUUUAAUAGAGAACUCAAUGUAUAGGGCAGGGACACAAUUGUAACAAUUGGGUCAGGGGACCAAAUUGAAAACUUAACAUAAAAGGAUGGGCAUCUUAGUGCAACUCACCCUUAAAGUCCACUUAAAAGGUUAAGCUCACCAGUUACUUGACUGAGCCACAAUAUCAGGUGCUGCAAAAAAUUUCUCGUUUACAUCAAUAAAAUGGCUUAGAUUACCAACUUUCCAUGUAGAAUUGAAGUGGUGAAUAUGGCGAGCUUAAACAUGUUCACGAAAACAGUUUAUUCUUUUAUCUCAUGAUUUUCUGUGUUGUUUAAUCCGAAUCGGUGUCUAUUGAUAGAUAAUUUGAUAGAUGAAGUCGAGGGCGCACAGAUCGGGGCUGUGGAGGAUGAUGAGAGAACAAGUUAUUGUUCCUUGUACUAUUCAAAUUUGCUCUGUUGUUACCUCUGUCACCAUUCAUGCUCAGAAGGGCAGAAGCUGCAAAUGAAAAAAAGUAAAAAGAAAAGAAAAAACAAAGAAUUAAUAAGAUUUACCAUCAUAAUAGUCAUUGAGUUAAUAUAGACAAGCCACCAGUUGAACAGCUUUCAUUUCUCGAGUCAUGGCACGGAUUUUUUCCCCCAAAAACAGCGAUACAAAAACCCAUUUGACAGUAUUAAUUUCAGGAAAAAAAAACCGAAGCAGAAAUUUCUUGCAUUCCUAAUAAAAUUAAAUUGAAAUAAGAUGCUUGGUGACAUCUAUGCAAUGAUGAUAAACUUCGAAAAAAGAUGGAUCAUGGGAUACUUGGUAACAUCUAUGCAAUGUUGACAAUACACGUCUUUAUCCUUGAGCAAUGUUAUGAAGUUUAAACUGGUUAUACAAUAAGCAGGACAUUAAAAUCGCAAAAAGAGAUGAUAAGUUUUGUAAUCAGAUUCCAAAACAUGAAAUGAAAUUUUAAAAAAAAAAAUUGACGAAAACUGUACAAACCAGCAUCAUUUAUUGGCUCCACUCUAUUCUCCUUUGGCAGCUGCCCCUGCACCUGCUGCUGCUGCUGCUGCCGCCCCACAUUCAGCCCAUUACUAGGAGCAGACUCUUCAUAACCUCCGCCAGCAGCAAGAGUAAGCGAGAUCCAGUCAUCAGAACGGACCCCAUUCGCCACAUCACCACGCGCACCAAAAUCCGAUUCCAGAGGAACACUGGAUGGUCCACUUGGUAGGAAAAUUUGCAAGGAUGGAUCGUCAUUAUCAACAGCCAUGGGAUUAUCAAACAAACUCCCAUGCAUAUCCAAACCAUUAUGACAGUUCGAAAUGUCUUGAGCCCCAGACGUCUCCCCAAUAUUACCAUCUGGCCCCAGACCAAACCCAUUGUUUGGUGCAACGCCGAGGGAAUUAUGUGAAUCAACUAGGUUAUCCGGUACAUCAGCUUCGGACCCAAAGAAUUGAAAGCCCGGCCCUUGAGGACAAGUUUGAAUCUGCCACGGAUUUAGUCCAAAAUCAUCACCGUUGCUGUUAAACAAACCUAGGCCUGGGUCUUCGGGGUACCUUUCAGAGUACCUCUCUGAAAACCCUGUAUGAGUGGUAGGAAAAGGCAUAGUGUUCCCACCUAAUGCAAUGUUCUCUUCAUCAGAGUCACUAAGAACGAUGAAAUUUGGGCCACUUGACUGGGGAGGAGGAAUUCCUUCCUCAACAUUGUAUGCAGGAUCAAAAUUUGGAGAAAGAGAAUCAAACUCAUGCCCAUUAUUCAAUGAUAGAUCAAAGUGGACCCCUCCCUCUUGGUUUACACUAGGGUCUUCACCAUCUCUGUAGCUUCCAGUGGCACUGCUGCUCAUUGGAAUGUUCUGGAAGUGGUUUUCGGGUUUGUUAGGAACUUGAUUUCCAGAAAACCGCAGCUUCACUACAUCGGGUUUACUCACUUCCCAGAUUCCAUUGCUGUUCCUCUUGAUUCCUAUUCGCAAGCCUGUGUGGGGCCCUUCUAAAGUAUCUUCUUGUUUAAUUUGCUUUAUAUCCUCUAAGCGGGGCUUUAUGUCUUCCUCCUUUGGGGUACAAACAGAACCGUCAGGUAAAUGCCACUGAGAAAGCUCCCAAAUUACACCUUCACCCUUUGCACGCCAAGAACCAUCAGGCUUGACUUCAAUCUCAUUUACAUCUUCGCCACAGUUUCGCAGCUAUGUACAUUAUCAGAAUAAAAGGCUGAUCAAUAAUUUUAAAAUACAGUUGAAUUGACAGUAAAGCACAAUAUGAAACCUACCAACCUACCAAUGAAGUUAUUCGAUUAAAAUAGGGAUCAAUGAUCAUGUUUUCAAGAGUAUAGUUUUUUAAGCAUAUCGGACAUUGCCACUGCAUCAAAGAAAAAAAUGUUAUCAGAGAUAGGACCUGAGAGAAAAUUGAACAAGAAAUCCUAAGAGAAAAUUUAACCUUACGAGACCGCUGAUUAAGUUCCACAAAAGUUUCGAGAUCGAAGCAACCCAUGUGAAUGCAAGGCUUGAACCUGCCCGCAAUUUUAAUUCGCGAACCGCUAUUCUGUAAAUUACAAAGAGAUAAAUUUAAAGAUUAUGUCAAAGGGAUUGAUCAGAAUAAGAGAUAUUAAAAGAUCAAACAAGUUUUAAUUGGUGAAUCUAAUCUUAACAAAGUGUCAAUUGAGAUUCAUUGAAAGAAAUGGUUAAAUACAAACCUUAUAUAGUUUGUAAUGUUGUGUUAUUUGUAAAGGAAGAAUGUGUCGGUUGUUCGUAAUAUUCAUGAUUGAAUAUCAGUAUAUCCAUCCAGUUGGCCUUAUUCCAUUUCUCACAAUCCAUUCUCUCUCUAAUCUAAUCUGAUAUCCUAACCCAUUUCUCUUACCUCCUGUCAAGCUUUUAACCUCGUUCUCCUUAUCACCAAUUAUUUGUAUUGUAUAGGAGUUUUUACAUAUAUGUCCCAGUACCCAGCAUUGCAAAAUCGUUUAUUUACAUACGCACCCCUGUAAAAUCUGAAUUUCAAUAUUAUACCACGACGAGAGUGCAGUGUCUUACAAAAAUAUUUUAUCUCGAGUCAUCCGAUUCAUCGUAUAAAGUUGGUCUUGCAUUAAAACAAGUUCUCCUAAGAAGUGCAUUCCUCUGAGAACAAGCCAGUUUGUAUUGAAACAAGUUUUCUUUCUCUUUACCAGAGGGGUCUUUUUUGUAAGCAUAUAUAUAUAUUUAAGGUUUUUAAAGGCAUAUUAAAAUGAGAUUUGCCAAAGAGUAAAGAUAUAAAUAAUGAUUUUCAUAAGGCCAUGUCUGUAAAAUUUUUACAAGCAACAAUGAAUUAUGUCACAUCAGGAAACAAUCACAAAAAAAACAAAGUUUCGGAUAAAUGUAUCUUAAGUGAGAAGAACAAACAUUUCACUAGAUAUUAUACACCAAAACUUACAGGGCAUCGGAGGUUGACAGUUACAUUUUCUGUAACCACCUCCAAAUCACUGUCACUAUCCGCGUUCUCUACAGCAUUUCCGCCACCAACACAGCGACGAACCCGGGCAAGAGCAUCCUCGAAGCGCUCGCCAUCAGGUUCCUUGGGCACCAAAUUAAGGACCUAUAUUUUAAGGUAUAAGUUCAAAUAGUAGAAGAAAAGAAACAUAUUAUAAACUGUGGAAUGGGAAAAAAAAAAAAAAAAAAAAAAAAAAAAAAAAAAAAAAAAACUAGAAAGUUGAAACAGAAAUUAUAUACUUGAAGGCCCCAUUUGGUUUGGAGAAUAAGCGGGGAUAACGAAAGUUAUCCCCGCUAUUCCGCCAAACGGGGUGAAAUUUGGCCGGAAUAUUUUAUCCCGGUCAAACCUUGCUAUUUCCGGUUAUUCCGGAAUAGCAAGGAAUUUGCUAUUCCACCAUUUUGGUGGAAUAGGGCUAUUCCAAUGCUUAAUUUCAAACUUAAUUAAAAUUAUAAAUUGAAUUAAAACUAAAUUAUAUAAAUAUAAUAUGUUAUAUAAUAUAAUAUAUUAUUUUUGUUAUAAAAUUAUUAAUUGUACUAUAUUAAUACAUAUUAUUAUAUUUAAUAUUAUAAUAAAUGCUACUUAUUAAAUUUAAGUUUAAGUAUAAAUUUAAAAAAAUUUAAUAAAUUUAUUAUAAUAAAUUAUUUUUAUUAAAUUAUUCCCACCCCUAUUCUUAUUUUAAAAUUUUAAAAAUUAAAAAUUUAAAUUUUUAAAAUUAAUAAUUUAUAAUCUCAAAAUUAAAGUUUAUAAUUAUAAAUUAUAAAUUAUAAAUUAUAAAUUUAUAUUUUGAUAUUUUAAUUUUGUUAAAUUUUGAUAUUUUAUAUUUUUAAAAUUUAAAUUUAAUCUUAAAUUUAAAGUUUGAAAUUUAAAAAUUUAAAUUUAAAUAUAAUAAGAGGAUAAUAUGAUUAUUUUUUAUUUAUAAAAACCCACUAUCUUUCUUAUUCUAUCUUACCUAACCAAACGCUAUUUUUUUAUUUCUAGAAAUAACUCAAUUUUUAUCCAAACGCAAAAUUGAUCUAAUUACCGCUUAUACCUCAAUUAAUACCUAUCCCUGGAAUAGCCACUUUUUGCUUAUCCCCGAACCAAACGACACCGAAGAGUAUUAAUGAUGUCCAUAUGACAACUUUCAUUUUAAUGGCUUUGCCAACCAUCAGAAGCAUCACCAAUAAGAACAUUUACACCAAAGUGUACAGAUUUGAAUACAUGAAAUAUGCAAAAUGCCCCUGCAAAUUUGGAAUUUCCAACUGUAACUCUUAAAACCUUGUUUAUUUAAGAUUCUAACCCCACAUCAAGCAUAUCUAUACAAUAAUGGUUUUUCAUAUAUACUAUUUUUGCUAGAAACCCUGCCACAGGAUCAAUGCCAAUAAAUAGGAUAUUCACGAGCAUUUAUGCAAAUAACAAUUUUACAGGUGUUUACAUAAUUUAAUACAUUUGAAGGGGUAUGCAUGCCAAAACAUGACAGUAUAUUCAUAUAUUCAAAGCUUCACAUAGAAACAUCUUCCGUAGAAAAUGUUAGUUCAAUACUAAUGCAAUAUGAAUUUUAUUCUAGGAAGAAAAAGGAUACUAAACAUAAUGCCAAGAAUGAACGAACUACUUGAAAUUAGAGGUCGUAUGAUUAUUCUAAGAAUCAUGAAUUUGAAGAACGCAAGGAGAUCAGGCACAUUAGACAAGAGAAAGGCUGGGCCCAAUUUGGGAUGGGCUUGAUUUUUGAAAAGGUUAUUUUUGCCCAGCCUGGCCUAAACAUUUAUACUGAUCUUAAGCCAGAAUCAGAUCCCAAACCACCAGUUAACAUCAAAUAGGAUACAUGUAAGACCAGGAUGAGACAACAAAGAGAGGGACCUGGCGAGUUAGGAAGGGUCAGAUUUGCUCAGAUCUAUUAGUCCACAUGAAAGAAAUAACACUGUCUCCACUUUUCAUCAGAACGAGCUAGUACCUGCUGUAGCGUCCGCCUCUUUGCGAUUCUUAUGCCAAAGCAGAAAACGCGAGCAUCACACCUACUUAAACAAAUUUUAUUUACUCCUUCCCUGCUACAUGUGGUGAUCUGAGCAUAAAAUGAAUAACAAGUUACACACAGGUCCUCCAGAAAGAAACUGAUUUGUGAAGAAAACCACAAUAAAUGCAAAUGAAACAAUUGUCUGCAAUAUGUACACAGAUGCCUUUUUAUCACCAAUAAUUCUAAAUCAAGUUUCAACUAUCACUCAAAUUAGGUAUUAAAAUGUUUCAAUUACAAGAAAACCAUUUUACCACCACUGUAGUUAGCUGGAGCUUUUGCAAAAGUACUAUUUGAGUGAGAGCAAUCCGAAGAAGCACAAACAACUUUAUUGUUAUAAUCUCUUAAACCGCUUUGCUGUAAAGCAAAAGCAGAAGCUUCCAGUUGGAGCUCCCACUUUUCGGACCAAGAAGCUCAUCGCCAGCUCAAGCAUCUGGAAGAUGCUUCACGGACUAGAAAAACUGUUCCAGAAGCCGAGCAGGCACUUCAACUAAUUUCUCACAUGCAUUUAGAAAGUGCUUUUACGGCAUUUUACCAUAAUAACAAGAAAGCAUGAUUAAAGAAAUUAAAUCCGACAACAAAAGAAGUUAUUAGGUUGAAUAUAUGAACAUAUGGUCUUCUAAAGUUAACAAAAUUGAAAUUUUUUAAUGCAUGAAGAGACGAAGAAACUCACCACCGGACCAUCAUCCCGACCGUUGAUUCCUAAUAAUUGUGAGCACGGUCUAGUAACUACCCGAACUGGAAUACCUAUUAGAAAAUGAGAGAAUCAAAGAUAUAUAGCAGAACUAUGGACAUCCAAGUUAGAUAAAAGCUCUCACCCAUGACAAGAGGUAAAAUUUAUGUAAAAUGGGAAAUAUGCCCAUAAAUACCUUCUUAUGCUACAUAUAAUAUAUAGUCGCUCACAGAACAAAAGCUACUUGCCUGAUAACAUAACAUAUGUUAUACUUACUACAUACACCAAUAACCAAAAUCAUGAUACAAGUACGAGUAGCUAGUCAGGAAAAUCAUCAUAGAGGAUGCCCUUAAAGUACAUUAUGUAGCUUAUCAGAGAAUGGUGAAGCUGGAGAUAGCACACAUAAUAAGGCAGAUGGGAGGAGUAAAGAAAAAAAGUGUUAUAGCAAUUAAGAGAAAAUGAUUCAGAAUUUACUGUUUUAUUGUGAAAGAAUGCCGAUAUUUUGUAAGGGAAAACUUUAACCCCCCUCCCCCGGCCCAAAAAAAAUCACCCCCACAACCAAAAAAAAAAAACAGGUGUGGAUUACCGCUUUUCACGUUAGUACCAUAUGGUUUUAACUGUAUCACUUUUUAAGUAUCUUGUGAUUUUUAUUUUCACGUUUCUUGACACCCUCCGUUAAUUUCUCCAUUAAAACAGUCAUGUGUCGAGCAUGUGCAUCAUGGAUUGUCACCUUUUCGCCAUUUGGGACUGACCAAGAACAAUCAGAAUUAAGCCUCUAAGGGAUCCCAUGACUUUUUGAAGGGUCCCAUACUUUUCUUAUUGACCUUUGUGGGUUUAACGGAGAGUGAAACGGAAAAUGAAAUAGAAACCAUAGGGUACUUAAGUGACAUAAUUAAAACCACAGGAUAUUAAAAUAAAAUAAAAAAGCAGUAAACCGGGGUGGGUGUGAUGUGGGCGGUUUGUGCGGGGGAAGAGGUAGAUAUCUUAUUUUUCAUUUUCUUAACUGGGAGUAGGACGAUCUGAAGCUAAAAUAUAUCCCCCACACCCUCAACAAACAGCUAGAGGUAAUGUGGAAACAGGUCCCUGUACUUUAUAUUUUCGGAUUUGCUGGAGUUCAUUACAUCUAACAACAUCAGCGAACAAAUGAUCCAUUCAAUUAUUGAAUAUUCCAUUAAAAAUGAUAUAGAAGCAGUUUAAGUUCAAACAAAAACUGACUAAAAUUAAACAGCAAUAUAGAUGGUGGUUCAAAUCCAUAAAAUAUAUUUCAGGGAAUUUGUCCCCCAGGCUGUGCCCUCAUUUUAGCCAAUAUCUGAUGGCAAUUAAUCUUAAAUGAAUAUGUGCAUACCAUUUACUUGCAAAUCAGCAUACUGUGGCCACUGCAUCCUAAAUGGAACUUUAUCAUUGAGAAGCAUACACCAAACCUGCAAAGGCACCAUGGUAACCAGUGUGUUACAAGGUUAAGGAUUCUGGUUAAAGGGUUCAAUACCUAAAUGAGCAUAAAAGACUAGGCACCCAAAUAUGUGUAUAAACCAACUUAUAAACCAGAUCAAGAAGCCUAGAGAUAGUAAUUCUCACAAUGCGCGUUACAUUUCGAAAGAAACAGGACAAAAGAUUACUCAAGAAAUGUAAAUUUUCACAUCCAAGAUACAUUAUUCAUAAUCUUGCAUACAGCAGGCAAGGAAGAAAGGAAUUCUAAAGGGACCCACAUAUGAGUCGGACAACUUAACAUCUUUUAAGGGAAACAGAAAACUAUUAGUCGGAGAAAAAAUAACAGUACGAUGUAAACCAACCUGAAGAUCAUAUUCAGCCUUCUGCAGCAUUUCUCUAUCUGUUCUGGACAGUUGAAAUGUUUUCUCCACACUUUGUAGUGUAUUAUUUCUGGAAAUUCAUGCAAGCAACCAGUAAUGAGAAGCACAGGUUAAAGAAAUAAAUGUGGGAUUUACAUAUGACGAAGAAUAAAUGGACUCUAUAGCUACUCACAAAUAAGACACGUCUGUCAAAAGAACAUUUGGAAAACUUAGGGACAACCUCUCUGUGUCAUAUGCAAAGACAUAUUAUGACAACAAAAGUAUAAAAGCUUUGGACAAACGGUAUCAGUGACAAACAAAAGUAGUUAUAAAUUGAAGAUUCUACAAGUGAACCAACUUAAAACAAAAUACAAAAGAAAACACCAUCUACAUACAUUAUUGUCUUCCUAAUGUAUAUUGCAACUUUGAAAAUUUGGACUAACAGGCUGAACGACCAUUAACAUUGCCUACCAAAAAAUUAUGUAGUAAGAAGAUAUCCUGGAAAAAGUUGUUUUUGUUAUAUACAAAAUUUCCUAAUACCUAAACACAUACUGAUCACCACCAAAAUAUUCUCACAUUUAUUCGUUAAAGAAGUAUGCUCAAACUCCAAAUUUAUUAAAGGAAAGAUUGAUGGUCUUUUUCGUGAAUAACAUACGGCAGCAUAUGUCUCAGAACAAGUACUAAUCGACCCCACCAAGAAUUUAAAUGUCCAUAGGCACAAGUCGUGCCCAGCAUGUCCUACUUUGCUGACAACUUUCAGCAUGAUACGAUCCCUGUGCUAAUGGCAUGGCUCAAAACUUUACUGUCAUUGAAAUUACUAGUUACAUCAAUAAAGUGCCUAAGAUUUGCUAAAGAUAUUUAAUAAAUCUCGUCACUGAAAUUACUAGUUACAUCAAUAAAGCGUCAACAAUUUGAUAAAGAUAUUUAAUAAGCAAGUAGAAUAUAUCGGUGCCAAGGAAAAUAAAUAUCGAAUGCCAUCACGUGUCAUGCCAUACCAUGCCAGCAAGUCCUCAACACAAACCCGCACAACCACACUUAAAUCCUUGGACCCCACAACAAUGGACUAAACCUAUUACACAUUCCUUGAUCUUCAUGAGAUAAUACAUAAUUUAACAUGAGACCCAACGCCUAAAAGUCAAUGACAUUAUUUGUAUCAUGUCUGCAACCAAAAUUGGCUUUCGUAUCACUUUUAUUGAAAUGAAGUAUCGAAAGAUAAGGAAAUUGCAAUAUGUGCUUUCUUAGCUAUUUGUAUCACAUCAAGCCAUUGGAAAGUACCAAAAAAUCUUCUGCGAAUAGUGCAACACACCCUGCGACUACCAGUUAUAUAUUCAUCAGCUACUCACUUUUGGGCACAAGAGACACAGACUCAAUCAUGAAGGACAAUCUUUUAGUGGUCUUGGCCCAAAAAAUUAAAAAAAGAAAAAAUAGGAACUCAAACACGACGUAAGUGAUAGGCAUUAUCAAUAUAAGCUUCAGUAGAGUACAUUCGAACAAAUCAACAGUAUUCAAACACUUCAGAAAAUUAUUGGAUGCAGACAACAGAUUCUUUGAAAAGUGCCAACAAAUCUAGAUCAGUUUAUCAUGAACUCUCACCUCAAGUUCGACUAACACAGCACAAGAACAAAGCAAGUAACAAAAAUGUUGUCUUGGAAAAAUGCAAAGAAAAACUGUAUUCAGAAUAUAGCACUCACCCAUCUGAUGUGCCACCAGAAGAGUUCAACUUGACGGGAUGUAAUACAUGUGAAAAAGUAGUCCAGAAUCUGUGCGUAACAAAACUUUCAGGGAGAAACUAUUGAUGUUCUCAAUUCCAAUAGGAUAAAGGGAGAAAAAGGCAAUAAUAAAAAAAGAAAAAUAAAUAAUGAAAAAGAAAAGGCAAUACAAUGGAAAAUACGUAAAUUUUGCAGAACAUUAUAUUGGAGAAACAUCAGCAAACUGCUCCUUGUCAUAUCUAAAUAGUUCCAAAACUCUUAAUGAUCAAACAACAUAUCUAACCAUAACCCAGUCAAAUUCUUCCAGAAAUAUUAAUGAUCAAACGACUAACAAAUGGUGUAAAAAGAGCUAACCACAACGUUUCUCACCUCAUUCCUCAAGAAAAUUGUUUUUCUAUUCAAUCUUAACUCUUUUAGCAGCUCAUCAUACCUCCAACUUAUCAUCCAGUUAGAUGGUGUAAGAUUUACCACAAGUAAGCUCAAACAUUGUUGCUAUCAAAGAGUUUUACUUCCCGAAAUAAAUACCCAAUGCCCUACCCAAAAUAAAUCCCUGACUCACAGACGUGGCUACCACUCAGGAAAGUACAUCUCCAUGUUAAACUCUCAUUAUUAAGCCACAUCUUUCAAUGUCAUAGGCAAAUCUUGUUAGCUGGACUUUAUAUUUCCGACAACAUCUCAUAUAAGAACAGUUUUGUCCUGAGGUUUGGCUUGAUUUCAGUUUCAUCCUCAACUUUAGUAUUUAGACCGUCAUUGAGCAUGAGUUCAAUUUCCAUCCCCAAAGAUCCAAUUUUAAUGGAACAAAGUCUAACAAUUGUGCAAUUGCCUUUGCAAGUCAAUGGACUAGGGGAAGAUAACUUUCAAUGUAAACUUGAUGACUAAACUAUCGAAACUGAAAAUAUGAGAAUGAAAUGAAAUCAAGGUCAGACAAUAGGGAUUAGAUGAAUCAAGGGAAAACAAUAGGCAGUAGAUAUGUAAUUAACACCUAGUUAUUAUUAGAGCUUCUAAACUGAAUAAUGUAGAUGCCAAAAGGGAACAAAGCAAACCGAAGAAGAACAGCCAAUUCAGAGGAGGGAUGAGCGAAACGUACGGAUCAGCCUUACUGAGUCUGCAUAACUCGCAAUAAAAAUGAGAAGGAAUUUCUGGUUGUGCGCCUUCCACAGCCUUCUCUGGAAUAAGUACACAACUGAUGUGUUGCCAGACCCGACAUCGAGGAUCUUCACACUACAAUGGCCAGCUUAAAUCAGACUUUAGAGAAGAAGUCAGCCAUUGAUACAAACCCAUAGAAAACCCCAGAUAAUAUCACCAACCAAUGAAAGCAAGUAAUUCGGCUUUUACAUAAACAUUCCGGUGCAAAAUCAUCUAUUUACAUAUGAACUCUAACAAAAUUGCCCUUGCCCUUAUCUCAUGCUGAAGUAUAUCUCAAUUUGUGGCGGCGGCUAUUAAAGGAGGAUUUUUUUUUUUUGACGAGCAUUUCUCUGGAAGGGCAAGCAUGCAAUAAAUUGAGUUUUUAAAGAGCACACAUCAAAAUUCAGCUUCGCAAGGCUAUAUAUGUAAGCCGAUAAUUUUAUAGGUUACAUAUGGGAAUAUUCAAUUGAAUUUAGCAUUUUGAAAACUAACCAUGGAGCAUGUUAAAUUACAACUAGGAAUAAAAAUCAACAACUAAAUGCUAAAGAUAAAGAGAUGGCAUCAUGUUCACAACUUCACAUAUCUAAAGAAGAAAAAACCAACCUUCCCACUUCAAAGUAGAAAAGUCAGCUGACUUAUUUGUCAACCGUGCCACAAAAGAAGUUAAAAGCAUAAAAUUUCUACAUUAAAAAAUAUACAGCUCCAAUUGGUAAGCAAAUGAAAAAGAAAAAAAUUAUCGACACAUCAUAAUGAAAAGAUACUGUUAUGCGGUGCUUAAACUUCACCCACUAAAAACCACUACAUCCCAUGUAUGUUCACACUCAGUAUUAGUAUUGUAUUACUAUAGGUCCACAAGUUAUGGAUCUGAUUCAUCAGAAGGACCACCUCCACAAAGAACAGAUUAAAAAAAAAAUCUUCAAACAAAAGAAUGUUCUUAAAAAACAAUCUAUCUUUCUUAUAAAUUUGAUAACAUCUAAGGCUACACUACUAACGUAACUAAACACAGCAGAAACUAGUACAACCAGAGAGUUCCAAGUCCAUUUAGCACAACCACUGUAGGGUAUCAUACUAUUCAACGAAGUGCUGUCUGAGUAGUGCCAUUAUGAGAAGCGCUAUAUCAAAAUUCUCCCAACAGCUUCUCUCUGUGAAAAGAGCAGCAGCUCCAUAUUGGAGCUUAUACAUGUAAGAUUGAAACUCUCAUUUCAAAAUUCUGCGCAGCAGAAGCUGCAGAGUGAACCACUAUACUAAAACUCAACAGCUCCUCUCUACAGCAAAAACAGAAUUCCAAAUUGUGAAGCUCCAAGGGAUCCGUUUGAUAAUAUCACAACAUGCCAAAUACUGUAUACGGAAAACCAACAAAUGCUAGCAAUACCUGUAGUACUGAUUCAGUCAUUAUUGUGCCCCCACAGAGGCAGCGAACCUUUCCAUUCAACUGGUAAGAAUCAUCAAUUUCAUCUUUAGGCCUCAAUGGAUUAAAAUCUGAGCUACUGUGGCUCUUUGAUGCUAGGUCAGUCGCGCCAGGAACUUGCAUUUUCCUGCCAGAAUAUAUGCAUACUGCAUUAAAACUACAUAUUGAGAAAAGUAUACAAAAGUUUAAAGAAUCAGUUUGACUUGAAUAAUUGAGAAAAAAGAAUUAUAUGUUAAAUAAAGCAAAAAAAUUGAUCACCUGUAAGUAUCAUCAAUUAUUUUUGCCACACCUUCUUUUCCCACAGAGCCUCUCUUUCCCAACCCAUGCAACUUACAACCUGUUAAAACAAGAGGGCAAAGCUAUCACCGAAUAAUAAAAAACAAUUAAUAUAGUAUAUAAGGAUAUGCAUGUUACAUAAGCUCUGCAAAUGCUAUGAGUCAGUAUGUAUAAAAGAAAGAAAAACAGAACCAAGGACAGGAACUAUUUUAUGCCAACAGGACACAGACCUAAAAGGGAGAACACUAGGAAGACCUACGAUGUUGCACAGAAGAAAUCAUGAUUUAGGAGGAACAAGCAAGCAGCUAAUCACUAAUAACUGCAAGGUAAAGCUAGUUAUGAACAUGUGGCAGAGAAAAUACACGCUAAGAGUCAAAUGCUGAAAGCUGAUAAAACAUUGUUAUGCCAAAGAACGUAUACAAAAAACUUCAUUGAGUAAACAGCAAUUCCAAAAAUCAAAAUGCUGAACUAAAAACUAUCUUGAAAUAGGCCCUCAACAUUUGUAUUGUAGGUUAACACACCUAAAAUUGCUUCUAUUUUAGAGUUGAGGUCAUUUACAAUCUACAUCGCCUAUAGUUGCAGAAUGCAGUUUCUCAAUCUCUAUAUGUUUUUAUCAAUUUAUAAGUUGUAAACAGAGAUUUUAUUUGAAUAUUUGAUAAGAUGCAUUGAUAGGAAAAGCUUUAAAAUGUAAAUUCUGUUUGCUUUAAGUUAACCAAAAAUAAUACUUUAUUUUAAUUAUUUCAAAUUAUGAAUUCUAGAUCAUUACUUUAGUUAGUUUUGUUAGGAAGCAUUCAUAUACAUUUUUAAUACAUUUUUAAUAUAUUAAUAGCUAGAACGCAUAUGCGCCCGCAUACCGCAUAUGCGCUGUGCGAUGGAUAACAGCGUGGACACACUGUGACACCUUUUAGAACGUUGCAUCAGAAUACAUAUACAAUGCAAAACAUAAGGAUAAACAAUGAGCACAAAUUUCGCUGACAAGACUUGCAACUGAACCAAUAACACAACUAAAUAUAGAAAAUCAACAACUUCAAACUACUGCAACACCGCACGGACACCGCAUACUGCUUUUUGGAACGUUGCAUCAGAGUAAAUAUACCAUGCAAAACAUAAGGAACAACAAUGAGCACAAAAUUGGCUGACAAGACUUGCAACUGAACCAGUAACACAACUAAAUACAGAAAAUCAACAACUUCAAACUACUGCAAGCAAAUAACAAAUAGUAGUUCAAGUCUUGUACAGUUUUGAAACUAGAUGUUUGAACCUACAAAUUAACAGAAAGCACCAAUAAAAGAGGCCAGAGAAUGAAACCUCAUAUAUUUCAGCAGUACAAGACUUAAGAGAAGUAAAAAAAUAUGAAGAUUGUUAUAGUCUUGAAAUUUUGUUAUAGUUUGACAAUUAUAAUGAUCUGUUAAGUAGCACGUAAGUACCUUGUUCUUCCGAAAGGAAUGCUAAGAUCCUAUUUACAAGCUCCUGCAUUGCAUUAAUAAACAAUCAAAUGGCAGGUUAAGCCAAAUAAAAAAAUCAAAAGCAUCUACAAGGGUUAUUAAAGAUAAGAAAGCAAAACUUUAGAAAAAGCAAAUAUUGAAAUUACUCCUUCGUCUCCAUCUCUCUUUAUAUGAACACAAUGUAUAUGAGCGCACUAAUGCUGGUAUGUAUGCAUGAAUGAUAAGCAAUGCCAUAUGUAUGUACAUUCAAAUUAAACUGGUAAGAGUCCAACUACACAGUAACAAGGAUAUCUCACUCCAACUGUUUUUGAAUGAUAUUCUAUAGUCCCAGAUUUAAAAAGAAUUAACACUACACCCAAAUUCCCAAUGCACAAUUAUAUAAACCAAAAUAAAACUAAUAAGACAAUAAAAAUCAUCAUUAUAAUUAGCAAAAUAGGACAAACUAGAAUUCUAAAAUGCCUUUAUAACAGCUUAUUACCAUUCUCUUUUCCCAGUCACCAAAAUGAAAACUUUAUACUUAGAAAGUGUCAGCAUCUUAUAAUAAUAAAUAAUAAUUACCAAAACAAAACAGCUGUUGGGUUGCACCCUAGCCAAUUUCUAUCUAAGACAGGAAUACUACACAUGCCGCCCGUGCCAGCAGCACAACAAUCCUUAGUAAGACUGAAAAGAAUUACAACUGGAACAAAGAGGAGAAUAAUUUCAAACCUGCUUCUUUCCUUGCUUCGCCAGACCAAGUUGAGUUAAGACAUCUUUAAGCUCCUUGAUUCUAAAAUAUGCCAAUUUAUCCUGGUUUAAAAGAAACAAAUUAAAACGAAGAGUUUUGCCAAAUGCAUAGAGAGAACAAGUAUUCAAGGCUAAAAGUUGUAAUACAGGUGCUAUUUAUGUUGUAAAUUGCAAGCAUCAAAUUAUAUGUAUGAGCUGACAAAUUAUACUACUAAGGUAAUCAAAUGAUUUGAGAUACAAUUAGAAAUAUAAAAACAAUAAACCUACUAUUUAUGCAUAGCUUAUAUAAAAACAAUAAACGUACUAUUUAUGCAUAACUUACAACAAGAUAGUACUACACAUUCCUUCCAUCCAAACUGUAGAUUAGUAAACAACACUUAAGGUUAUGAUUACAACAUAACAUUUGCUUGCAAUGGCAACGAGAAUACGAUCAUCAAUAGCAGCUAGCAUUUCAUUUGAACUGCUACCCUGAAAUUCUAAGCUAAUAGUUGCAAGAAAAUUACGAAGUCCUCAAGUCUAAGGGAAAGCUAUUCAAUAGAAGAUAGAUGAAAGUAAUAGUUCAAUUGAAAUUUUUUAGUUAGAACUAGACUUCUGCUUCAGAAUCAUCUCAUUGGAUGCAACGAUUUCAUCAACUGUGUUAAUCUGAAUUUAUUUCAGGAAAGAAGAUGAUUAAAGGUAAGUACGGGGGAAAAAGAAGGAACUUGCAAUCUUCCUUGUGCUUAUUAGAACUGAAAAGUCAGGAGAAAGAUUAUGAAAUGAAUUAUUCCACUCUUGCCAUAACUUCCUUUAAUAGUAACAUUUCAGCACUCCAGUUAAAUUACUUUUGGUACACAGCAGACCUCCAAAAUUUUGGGACAAACACUUCACGAUCUUUUUCCAAGACCAUCAAUCAGCAGACUUCUGAAAUCAGCCUAACUUCCCACUACUAUCUCAAGAGAAAUGAAUAUACAUGAAGGACCACAAAAGUGUUGACUAGAAUUGAGGUUGGUUCAAACCCGUACAUCCAUUCAAACAUGUAAAUGUAAUUUAAUGAGUUCUCAAGCAAUAUCAUAACAAUUAAGGCCUAUCUGAUUCACAGUUUGUGAUUCAAGUAAUUCUCCAUAUUUUCUAUCGAAAUAUUCAAAUCAUUACCAUUCAACUCAAGUUGGAUAGUUGUAAAAUAUGUUAGUGAAGUAGUAGAAUCAUUGUAGAUUCCCCGCUGGUAGAAAUACUAGAUUAUCAUGGGUUAGAAAGUAUCCUCAUUUUCAUAUCCUCAUUUUCAUACUUAAUAGGGAUCAUGAUUAGUCCAUUAAUAAGAAUAUACUAGUUCCUAACAACCUCUCAACCCAAAUAGCUUGAUAAGUUGGUAACAAACUUGCCAUUCCCAAAAUGAAAUAUAAAACAUUUCGGGGAUAUUACGAACCUUGAACCAAAUGGCCCCUUAACGAUAUCCAUCAUAAUACCAGUAAACAUAAUGUUCCUCUAGCCAAGAGGUUGUUAUAAUGAGUACAAAUGUAAACAUUUCACAACGCACUAUUAAGCAUUAAGAUUCAGGAUGCAUCAACUUAAUCCUUACUUUUACAACUAAAUUAAGACUAAAAGGUAAACCACAAAGAACCCAAAUUCCGCCAACUUCCUGCACAAGCUCUAUCCACUAAUUAGAACUUCAGAACCCCCCAACCCACCACCGAAAACCAAAAAACACAAAAAAAAAAAAGAAACGAGAUAAAAGGAAAUCCUAGCACUUAAAACAACAUGUAGCAAGCAAAUUGAACUAAUUAAUUGGCAGAAAACAGCACAAACAAGUACCUUACAACUCGAAACCAAGUCCAUCGGUCCAAUUGCGGCGACUCCGUCACCGCAAACACAGCGAAUUGCGAAUCAGACACCCUCAAUCAACUAACGUCACCAUCCACGCCCCACCCUCCGCUCAAUCAGCUCGUGAAAUCGCCCGUGUCGGGCCCCAAAAUCCCCCAACUCCCCCAAUACCUCUCCCGAUUCCGACCGAAUCCGCGCCGAUCCAACGCGAAUUCGAUCCGAAUCCACCUCCCGCCGACAAAAAAAGGGGGGAAUAAGGAGAUCAACGAUUACCGCAAAUUGCGUGCUAGGGUUUGGUACCGCAGCACGGAGCUCGAUCGGAGAAACCUUAGACGAUGAUAGAGCGAGAGGCCCCGAUGGGAAACCCUAGAGAGAGAGAGAGAGAGGAGAGACGGGUGGGGUUGUUGUGUGUGGGCGCUCGGAGUGCGUCGUCGCAUUCGAGAGAGAUCCCGACACCUUCUUCGUUUCUCUCUCUAAAACUCUCUUUUUCUUUCUCUCUCCUCCCAAACCCAUUUGCCGAGGGGUAUUUCACUAUAACGCGACGACCACCGCGGCGGACGUGUCGUCGCGAAUCAAGUCCGGUUUGUAGCGCCCGCUCGCGUCCGCGCCGUGGACCGAUCUACGCGCACAUCGUCCUCCUGUACCCGGUGCAUCCGUGCUUCCUGCACCGAGCGUUCCCUACCGCCCGUUCCGCCUCGAGUGUCGAUCUCGACCGUCCGUUCUUUUUCUCAAAUUAUGCAUUAUUAUUUGAACACGAAAAAUGUAUGAAGAUUCCUGCACCGGGUGCAUACGUAUAUCCUGAGCCGAGCGCCCCCUAUCCGUCCGUUUCCAGUCGCCUUGCCAUCUCUACCGUCCAUUCCAAUUUCGUCCUUUCAGUGUGGGCGCUACUUAAAGGCCAAAAUGUAUGACAACCCCUUCAACUAUAUUCCAUUCUGAAAAGCACCCCUCAACUUUUCUGCAUCUCUGUUUUUUUUUUAAAAAAAAUUAGAUUUUAUAGUUAAUUAAAUUAAAAAAAAUUAUUCAUGUUAUAGCUCCAUAAGCUAUUUUGCAGUUAAUGAAUUCAGUUGUAUUCGCUAUAAAGUAAUUUAAACCAUUAAAUUUAAUAAAAUUAUCAAUCCAUUUGGUCUCACUCAAAUAACAUAAAGUUGAAGGGGCUAUUUUAGAAUUAACUACAGCUGAGGAGCUAUUUGUUACUUCAAUCACACUAUUAUAUACUUUGAAAUAAAAUAUUUAAAUUUCAAAAAUUUUAAUUUUAUAUUCUAACUUAUAUCACUCUAAAAAAUAAGAGUUUGAAACUUCAAAAUGUAGAAAGGGCCAAUGAGCGAGAGGUUCACCAGUGCAUGAAUGAACCGGGUGCAGGGAACAGUUUAACGCAAUGGUUCGUCGGUUCCUUCGUCCAUAUUUGUCCGAUCUGAGCUUUAAUAUUCGUGAGUGGUGAUAAAAUUGACGGCUGUGAUUAAGGGAGGGCAAUGCCAGUACACUGUAUAAUGAUCUUGUAACGGUUGGUCCGUGUACGGCGUAUCUGGACAUGUGGCUGCUUGACUAAGAAGCGCUUUUGAUCAUUUAAAAAAAAAUAUAUUAACUAAUAAAUUAUUAUUAAAAUAAUAAUAAUAAUAAUAACAAGAGUCAAAUGCAUACAGCUCCCUGCAAACAUAGCCAAUUGCGGAUAUAUCCCUGCAAAAUCGAAACUCCAUAAGUUGUCCCUGCAAAAGUCCCAAGUUAUGCAGAUAUGUCCCUGCAGUUAACAUCCGUUAGUGAGCUGUUUGUUUUUUAACAGCGAAGUCGUGAAAUGACCAUUUUACCCUCACAAAUAUAUCCCUCCAAAAGUUUUCCUCUUCCCCUUUUCUUUCUUUUCCUUUUCCGGCCGCCGGAGCGGAUGGCGGCAACGGCGCGGGUCGACCUCGCCGGCGACGAAGAAGAAGGAAGAGAAAGAAUGAGAGGAAGAAAAAAAGGGAAGAGGAAGAAGGAGAGAAAGAGGGAGAAGAAGAGAGAAGAGAAAGAUAAAGAGGGAAAAGGUUCGUCGCCGCGCGCCGCCGCCAGAUCUUCUCCCUUGCCGGCGACGAAGAAGAGGGAAGAAGAAGAGGAAGAGGGAAAGAAAGAGGGAGAGGAAGAAGAAGAGGGAGAGGGAGUGGGUUCGCCGCCGCCGUCGCAUCUUCUCCCUCGCCGGCGAUGAAGAAGAGAGAAGAGGAAGAGGGAGAGGAAGAAGAAGGGAGAAAAGGGAAGAGGGAGAGGAAGAAGGAGGAAAAGAAAGAGAGAGGGUUCGUCGUCGCCGCCGUCGUCGCCGCCGUCGCUGCCGCCGCCGCCCUCGCCGGCGACGAAGAAGAGGGAAGAAGAAGAUGAGGAAGAAGAAGAAGGGUAGGAUCGUAAAUUUACCUUAUAAUUAAUCAUGGUUAAGUACUUUAACCGUGGUUAACGAAAAUUUUCUAACAGUCCUUAACGGCAGGGACAUAUCUGCAUAACUUUAGACUUUUGCAGGGAUAACUUACGGAGUUUCCGUUUUGCAGGGAUAUUUCCGCAAUUGACUAUGUUUGCAGGGACCUGUAUGCAUUUAACCCUAAUAACAAAUAGUAAUAAUGAAACGAAUUUUUCUAAUUACUCACUGAUAUUUCAUAUAUUGCAUUGAGGUCCCUCAGAUGCUCUAGCCCAACACGAGAGGAAGCUCUAAUUUAAAAUAGAUUAAAAUAUAAAUAACUUUAUCUCAAUUAUUAUUCAUUUUGAUGUGAUUAUUUAAUCUUAAAAAAUUUUAAGUUUAGUAUAUAACUUUUUAAUUUAUUUAAUUUGAGCUAGUUAAUAAUUCUUUAACUUUAAAAUGAAUGCAUUAUUUAUCUUUACAAUCUUAAUUAGUACAUUUUAUUUAAUUUAUAUAAUAAUAAAUUUAUUUAAUUAAGCAAAUAGUUUAAAUUUUGUCUUGGAAGAAUCAUUUAAUGAAUUAAAUCAAAUAAACUAAAAGAUUAGUAACAAAAAUUAAACAUUGGAUAGUUUAGUUUAGAUAAACUCUAUAGCCUUUAAAAUAAUAAUAAUAGAACAAAACUCCUAAAAUUUUCUUUAUGGGGGUAUGAUUUGCUUUAUCUUGUUACGAAUGUGAGAGGGAAUAAGAUUGUAGCAUUUUAUUGGUACAGCUUUAGAAAAUUGUAUAGUAAUAUUAUAUUACGAAAGGGAUCAUCUAAUCUAAUUACGAUAAAAUGGAGGGUAAAUUAUAGAAUACUUUCUCAUAAAUACCCAGUUUCUUACUUUUUCUUUUAAACUUUUUAAAACUUUUUUUUUUUUAGAGAGAGAUAGAUAGCACACUACCCGCUUUGUUUAUUUCAUUUAGAAAUAAACUUAGCUGGAAAUGUGAAUCAACUAGGAUUCGAACUUGGAUCUCGGGUACCAACCACCAAGCACUUUGCCACUUGCUCUAGGGACAGUCGGUAAAAAAACUUAUAUUUUACUCCCUAAAUAUUUCAAGCUAUUACAUUUAUUCCCCAUUCCAUUAGAGUUCUAUUAUUAUUCCGUCUAUUUCUUAUAAUUUAUAUUGAAAAUGCCCUUCCAAAUGACUGUAAUAUAUUAAAAAAAAUUAUAAAAAAAGUAAGGGCAAUUUGAUCAUUUUACUCUCUCCAUUAACAUCAUAUCCGCCUGAAAAUAUUUUUGAAAUUUUAAGAAGGCAAAAUAUAGAUGUUUGAAAGGCAUAAAGAAAAAGUAAAAAAUGGAUAUUUAUAGUUGGAUUUUCUUUAAUUUAGCCUACAAGGAACAGGAAUAAAAGGGAUAAUCUAAUUACCUAAUGAAUGGGUAUUUUCCAGAUCAUAGGUAAUAUUGUUUAGGCUAAAUUACAUAUAACCUCCUUGUCAAAAUCUGAUUUUUUACUUCUCCCUUGUCAUUUAAAAACCUACAGUUUGUCCCAUUGUAAAAUAAAAAAUAUUCACAGGGGGGUACGGUGUGAACUGUGAUGACAAAAUGACCAUUUUGUCCCUCACCAUUUUCGUCUUCUCCCUCACCUUGCUCAUCCGCCGCCUCGAUUGGCCGCGGUUCGCGCCUCAAUCGGCUCGGUUCCUCUCAAUUUUCUUCUCCACCUGUUUCCUUUCUCCUCCUACACCCUCGUCACCCUUCCAUUUCGACGACAGUAGGGAGGAAAUCGAGGUGGGCGUGGAUGAAAAGGUGGGCAAGGGCUACGAGGGCGAAGGCGAGGCGGCGGAGGAAGACGAGGGGGUGAUUGUAGGCGCCGACAGAGAUAUGAGCGAGGGCGAGGCAGUGAAGGAGGGCGAGGCGACGAGGCGGCAAGAUGGUGGAGGGCGAAGCAACAGUAGAGAGGGCGGAGGGUAUUUUUGGUAUAAAAAAUAUUUUAUGACGGAACCCUAACGGAUUACUAACAAUAGGGGGUGAAGUGAAUAUUUUUCAUUUUACAAAGGGGCAAAGUGUAGGUUUUUAAAUGACAGAAAAAAAAAUGUAAAAAAUUGGGUUUUGACAGGGGGUUUUCUGUAAUUUAGCCUUCAAUUUAAUCAAAUUAACAUUGAUUUCGAGUCAAAUAUAUUAUUUGUUAUAAAAAAGGAAUAUAUCACUCUUUAUACAUACAUAAGAUUUUUCAAAAAAAAUCCAGUCGCCAUCUAUCUCCUGCUCUCCUCAAGUAAAGAUACUUUAGCAGAAAGUCAUUCUCUGAAAGGGAACUAGCACCUCGGUAAGGACAUCAAUCAGAUUAGCAAUCUUGUGUGGAUACCUGUAAAGGCCAGACGUGUGUGUGACUUGAAGAAAACCAAAUUCUACGAUCAUCAUAUUGUGGUGUAGAUCUACCUGUGUAAAGGUAAAGAUCAUAUCUUCCUUUUCUCUUUUUAAUCUUAAAUACAUGAAGAAUCAUUUUUGCAUGUAUUCGAAAUCGAAUCCUGAGUUUUAAAAUCAAGUUUUGUUUGAUUUUCUUCCGCUGUGUUUUUAUUAUACAUAAAAUCUAACAGAUAGGACGCAUAGUGUGGUUCAAGACCCUUCAUGCCAAAAUGGUUAUUUUGUCGAGUUUACGUGAAUAUCAAUAGAAAUUAGAAACCAGUAGUUGGAAUUAAUGUCCCGGUCACGUUGGUGGCAUUGUUGGUGACUCCAUGCCAUGUUUAUGCAAUGAGGUUGUAUUAGGGCCAAAUUUAGAGUUUCAACAAAUAUUGUGUGCAUGGUUCGACACCGAAACACUGUUUGAAAUACCAAAAUUGGGCCCUUUUGGCCUAACCGUAGGGGUGGAAGCAUGCGACCAUAUUUAUUGCUAGCCCGCUUUGUAGUGUCCCUGGUGUUUGGCUGCUUGUGUGACUUCAGCAUCUGUGGUUUGUCGACACGUCUGGUAGGUGUCGAGACAAGUCGGAAUCGUUUUGGCGUGAAUUGGACGCAAAACGGAAUCAGCGCGAUGCGAGAGUGAAGUUCCGACACUGAAAUCUGCAAAGUGCAGUAUUUCAGUGUUGAGUACCGGUGCCUGGGAGGAGUACCAGUACCCCGGUGAGAUUGCAGAACCGGAUGCUCUCGGGUUUGCGCAUGUCUGAUGCUAAGUAUCGGUACUUGUUGUUUAGUACCGGUACCGAGCUUGAGUACCGGUACUGCAUCAGGCUGAUAUCGAUACCCAGCACGCGAGAUUGUGUAGAGAUGGCUGAGUACCGGUAUUCAAGUUGAGUACCGGUACCCCAGAGGCAGAUUUGAGUUGGUAAGGAAUAUUUUGGUCAUUUUGGUUGUGUAUUGUAUCGCCACCUACCCCAACCUAUAUAGCAGCCUGAGAAGCUUGGAGAAACAGUAUGUUUCUCCUCUUCCUCUCUCUCUCUAGCUUGUUUACUUCGUUCGUUUGGAAGGUCAAGGUUCGAGCUGGUUUGGAUUCUUCGCUUCCUAGGAAGAUCGUUCGGAUUUCCUUCUAAGUCGAGUGUCAGCAUGUCUUGUAUUAUGUGUAGUAUCAUGGUUAAUAAAAUCAAAAUCCUCUAUAUAACUAACCAAACUCUCAUUCACAAAUUGAUAAAUCACAUUUCAAACCCUAAUUUUUUUAUAAUUUAUUUGACCCUAAUAAAUCUCCUUAAAUAACUCAGGUAUGCUCUCAAGUUUGAUUUGAAUAAUUAUUAAUAUUUCUAUUAGAUAAUAUAAAGUGUGAAUUACUAUAGUUUUUGCUGUUCAAACUUCUGAACUCUAAUAAGUUCUUAUAAAAUUAAAUAAAAUAACUGGAACAAUUAUUUUCUUUUCACCUGAAAGGUAUUUAGAGUAUUGGAUCCUUCUCUUAUGUUUUGGAUGUUACCGGUGCAAAAUUUCUAUUCAACAAUGAUUGAGAUUGAAUCUAAAACCACAAUAUUCAUCCAACAAAAGCAACACAUCAAUAUUUUUAUUAAAAUUAUAAGUUAAAUAAACAAUAUAAAACGAAUAUAUACCAUGACCAAUUACUUUCUUGUAGGUAAUGAUCAAAUAAUAAAAAAAAACCAACCAAUCUUCCAGGGAUGUCGCCAUUCCGUUCCAUGCCCUUCAACACCAUGUCCAACUCUCUCAUCUUGCCUAUCCAAGCCUCCUGAAGUAAAUCCCCGAAUAAUUUUUUUUUCAUUUUUUUUCUUUUAACAUCCUAAUAUUAUCUAUCGCAAUAAAUUGGUUCUUAUAUAAUACAAAAUGUUAGCAUUUGGGGAAAAAAAAAAGAAGGCCCGUAAUAUUAGAAAGUGAAAAGGAAAAUUGAACAAAAUCCCUUCUUUUUGUAAAUCCAUCAUUGAAUUACACCGAAAUCGGUAGGAAAGUACUCAUAUUUUCAAAGUAAAUAAUCCCAAUUGGCUUUUUAAUAUUACUACUCAACUCCAUCAUUGAAUUACACCGAAAUUGGUAGGAAAGUGCUCAUAUUUUUAGAGUAAAUAAUCCCAAUUGGCUUUUUAAUAUUACUACUCAACUCAUGAAUCAAAACAAAUUUAACAAUUAAUUCUAUAAAAAUAUCUUUAAAAAAUGCGAAAAAAAAAUACACAUAAAAAUACACCUAAAUGAGGAAUUCAUUCUCAAUUUUUUAUGGCCCUAGUUUUUAACAAAAAUUAAUUUUAAAAAAAAUCAAAUUCUAGCCCUAUUAUUAAAAAAAAGAAUAAAUAAAUAAAUACUCACAAAAUUCGUCACUUCCUCAACAAUACCAAUUCUAAUUAGUCAUGCCAAAUCGCUUAAAUUUAAUCCAUAUUGUAAUUAACGUCAAAAUAUCACUUAUACCAAAUCUUGCAAAUUGAACAAAAAAAAAACCGUAGUUAACAUCAAAAUGUCACCUAUUCAUGCCAAAUCGCUCAAAUUGAACCAAAAAAAUCCUAAUUAACCUCAAAAUAUUGCUAAUUCUUGCCAAAUCACUCAAAUCAAUAUAAAAAUAUUAUUAUAUUUAGAGAAAAAAUACUCACGGAUGGGAUCGGUUGCAUGGAGAUUGCAAAGACGAUAUGUGUAGAGGAGGAUCGGCGCAAGACCAUUCAAAUAGAAUUAAUCUUGUAACAAUUGAUACUAAGAGCAUAAAUUUAAAAUCUAAUUAUUUUACAUGAAAAUAUAUUUUAAAAUUUCAUAAAAAAAAUAAGCAAAAUGAAAGAAUGAAAUGAUGGCUACGAAAAGGCAAAGACGUAUUCAAAGUUGGUCUAGUAAUCAAUUAUGAUUAUAAUUACCAUUAAUUGAUGAAACGUUAAUGUAGAAUUAAUUGAUGAAAUGUUAUUGAGUCAUAUACUAUACGGCCAAGAACGUAUAGUUCGGGAUGAGAGGGGAGGGGAAAGGGUAGGGAUUACCAUUAAUUGAUGAAACGUUAAUGUAGAAUUAAUUAAUGAAACGUUAAUGAGUCAUAUAUUAUACGGCUAAGAACGUAUAGUUAGGGAGGAGAGGGGAGGGGAAGGGGUGGGGGAGAGAGUUAUUAUAAAAAAAUAAUAAUAAAACAAAGGAUGUUGCGCUACGUCAGCGAAAGUAUUGGGAAUUCAUAGGGGAGGGGAAAAGGUGGGGAUUACCAUUAAUUAAUGCAACGUUAAUGUAGAAUUAAUUAAUGAAAUGUUGAUGAGUCAUAUACUAUACGGCCAAGAACGUAUAGUUGGGAAGGAGAGUGGAGGGGAGUGUCACGCCCCGGAUUACCACGUUUCUCCAGGCACGCCAACAGAUCGGCCGGAUUACCACAUUUCCCUUGUAUACGAAGCGAUAGCUGUACCCGUAAACAAAACCAAGUUACAACCAUAAGGUAAAGAGCUGCUAAACUGAACAUAUAGAUAAAACAACAGGUUCACUAUACAUGCAAAGUCUCCGAGAUACAACCAACCCUCGCUCCAGCGAGUAAACCUACAUAAGUAUGUAUAUGAACCAAAACACCCCAAAACUACCUGCGGAGGGUCCUCCUCUAGUAUGCCGACACGCCUGAUAAGGAUCUAACUCGCAACUCCCUUCCCGCUGUCGUAAUCAGCAACAACAGCAGCCGCAGACGAAGGCUCUACAAAAAGGGGUCAACAAUUGGGUGUGAUAACUAUUGCAAAAUAGAGUAGUCCUCAGUGGAUACCGUCACCAACCUCAAUGGCUUACCAACUGAGUUUACAGAAAAGUGUACAAGAGAUAGUAAGGAAAGCUGAAAAUCCUACAGCUAUAUGCCACUAUACUAUCACUAACCAACACUAACUAUCUCUAGAUAAAAGAAAUGCUAUCUCUGACCCAAUCUCACUAGAGGCUGUGAAUACACCCGUCCCGCUUGUCGAAGCUACACCGAACACCACCCCAAGGGCUGUCGAUGGAGAGCAAGUCUAAACCAGACAACAACGACAUCAACGCAAAGCAAAAAAGCCAAACUCCGGAGCGGCACUCGUGGGCGUGACCCAACCAAGUAUGUAAGUGUAUCUCUGCCGAACUCAAUCAGGCUCUCACAGGCUGUAAUCAAUGCAAAUGGGUCUAACUGGUCUCACCACCAAAGCUCACGUGCCAUUGGCACAAUCUGGUGCAAAAUACAGAAAUCUGGGUCCACCAUCAACCACGAUGGCAUCCGACAAUCUGAAACAGUCUACACACUAUUGUAAACUAAGCUCGACAUCCCAGCAUGAGCGUAAACUCAUCCUAUACUAAUCUGGGUAUCCACCGCAUACGAACAGCGGCGAUACAAACGAACCACAACUCCUAAAGCUAAAUUUGGUAAUUUUCAGAAAAAUGACAGUAUAGGAUUUAAUAAUUUUCUCCUAAGUCAAUUCUAAGUCCAACAUGAAUAAUAUACUAGCUUAACUCCAAAUUCAGAUUCUAUAGCCUAAUCUAUAAUUUCCACAAAUUCGAGUACUAGAAAGAUAAACCAAUAAUCAAUAAACGCAUGUUGACGUUGAUAGGACUUAGACGGAAAUCCGGCGAUUUCGGUAAACUACAACCCACCUCAAAAAGCUCUUCCAACAACGGCGAGAAGUCGAAAUAAGGGAAUCCACACGCUCGCCCGGCCUCCCAAUGAUGCAACCGCGACGCCCGCGCGCUCGAACGGCCCUCCGGAUCGAGUCGACAAUCUCCUGAACUCGAGCCGCGACCUCUACUACGUACGAAUCCACCAGCUAGAAAGAGAGAGGGAAAGAAGAAGAAGAACCGACUCAGACUCUCUCUCUGUAAAUAAAUAGGCUGGGAAUAACAUUGGGCUAAUCGACACAUCAAGGGACCAAAAGGCCCCUCAACUCACAAAUCCAGCUGGAGUACCGGUACCCAACUUAGUUAUCGGUACUCGGCCUCUCAACCCGCAAACUCACACACAAAGGUACCGGUACCAACCCGAUGCAGUACCAGUACUCGGCAUCAGAUUGGCGCAACCCGAGAGCAUUGGUUCUAGAAUUCCACUGGGGUAUCGGUACUCCUCUCCCUGGUACCGGUACUCAACACUGAAAUUUUGCACUUUGCAGAUUCCAAUGUCAAAACUCUGCUCUCGUAUCGCACUGAGUCCGUUUUGCGUCCAAUUAACGACUCCGACUUGUCUCGACACUCUCCAGAUGUGUCAACAAGCCUCAGAUGCUGAAACCCACGGGCUGCAGAACACCAGGGACACUACAGAGAGGGGAGGGGAAGGGGUGGGGGAGAGAGAGUUAUUACAAAAAAAAAAAAAAUCUAAAACAAAAGAUGUCGCGCCACGUCAUCGAAAGUAUUGGGAAUUUAUAGAUACUAGUGCAGUUAUCCGUGCGAUGCGGCUAGCAGACGCUAUCGAAACAAUCAUUAUUUUUAUAAAAUAAAGAAUAUUAGUUUAAAUGGUCUGCAAAAAUUGGUGAAAAACUAUUAAAGAUGAUCUUUUUAUACUUAUUAACUCAACAAUCUGUAUAAUUAAACUUAAUAGUUCAGUCAAGAAAUUAAUAAGAUUAUAAGAAAGAAUAAAUAUAUACACUUCUAGAAAUAUCAAGUAUUUCUUUAAUUUUAGAGUUAGCAAUGCUGAAUGCAUGGGUAACACCAGCUAAUUAAUUUAUGAUUGUAAUCUUCUCUUCACAUUCCUUGUAAGAGUUGUAAAUUUUUACUCUCCUUCCAAGAAGUUUAAUCUCAAUAAAAUUUAAAGUGAUGCAAAAAUAAUUCUUGGCUAAAUUUAAAUAAGGCUAAAUUACAUAAAACCCCUCUGUCAAAACCCGAUUUUUCACUUCCCCCCCUGUCAUUUAAAAACAUACCUUUGCCCCCUUGUAAAAUGAAAAAUGUUUACAGGGGGUACGGUGUGUAUUGUGAUGAUAAAAUGACCAUUUUGCUCCUUACCAUUUUCGUCUUCUCCCUCAUCUUUCUCAACAGCAGCCUCAAUCGGCCGUGGUUCAUGCCUCGAUCGACCGCUGUUUUUCCGCGGUUCACACCUUAUUUUCCUCCUGCACCUUCGCCGCCCAUCGAUUUCAGCGACAGUAGGGUGGAAAUUGAGGUGGGGGUGGAUGGAGAGGUGGGUAACGACAACGAGGGCGAAGGCGAGGCGGCAGAGAAGGGCGAAGGGGUAUUUGUGGGCGUGGAUGGGGAUAUGGGCGAGGGCGAGGCAGUGGGCGAGGGUGAGGCGGCGAGGCGGAGGAAGGCGGAGAUAGGCGAAGCAACAGGAAAGAGGGCGGAGGGGUGUUUUGAGCAUAAAAAAUUAUUUUAUAACAGAACCCUGACGGAUCACUAACGGUAGGGGUGAAGUGCACAUUUUUUAUUUUACAAGGGGGCAAAGUGUAGGUUUUUAAAUAACAGGGAGGGAAAGUGAAAAAUCGCAUUUUGACAAGAGAGUUUUCUGUAAUUUAGCCUUUAAAUAAAUAUAAAUUUACUUGCAAAUUUUGUAAAUAUAUCAUGUAUCAUAACGGAGGAUAGCUUUGGUCAUCAAUCCUGCUGUAGAGGCUUUCUUAGUGUCCUAUACAACAUUCGAAAAUGAGUGAAGAUGAAUUUAAAAUAAUUUUUGAAUUAUAAUCCAACAUCUUUAAGAAGGAGAUUAUUUAUACAAAUCAUUGCUAAGUUUGAAAGAGUAUCAGACACAAAUAGAUUCUGCAGAAAUGAAUAACCUUUGAAAAUCUAAGUUAAUAUAACUAAUCAAUCACUUAAUGGCAUCAUUACUAAAAAAUCCAAAAUGCUAACUAUUCUUACAUAUGUUAGAAUUGUUUAACGCAAAAUCCCGUAAUAGCAAAAUUUCAUACCGAUGAAUGCAAACUAUUUGUCUUCUUAAUUGAUUGUCUACCGCCAACAAAAGUGGAAUAAAUUAGACAUUGCACACUUCUUUUGUUCCUACAAAUUGGUAGGAAAGUGCUCAUAUUUUCAGAGUAAAUAAUCCCAAUUGGCUUUUUAAUAUUACUACUCAACUCUUGAAUCAAAACAAACUUAACAAUUAAUUCUAUAAAAAUAUCUUAAAAAAUGUGAGAAAAAAAAACACAUAAAAAUACACCUAAAUGAGAAAUUCAUUCUCAAUUUUGUAUGGCCCUAGUUUUUAACAAAAGUUAAUUUAUAAAAAAAAAUAAAUUUUAGCCCUAUUUUAAAUAAAUAAAUAAAUACUCACAAAAUUCGUCACCUCCUCAACAAUACCGUUAUUCUCUUUAAGGGAAAAACAAAAAAAAAAAAACUAAUUAAUCCCAACACUAAAUGUCGCAAAUGUAUGCGAAAUAACUCAAAUUAAAUCCAAAAAAUGCUCUAAUUAGUCAUGCCAAAUCGCUUAAAUUUAAUCCAUACUUUAAUUAACGUCAAAAUAUCAUUUAUACCAAAUAUUGCAAAUUGAACCAAAAAAAAAAAACGUAGUUAACAUCAAAAUGUCGCCAAAUUGUUCAAAUUGAACCAAAAAAAUUCUAAUUAACCUCAAAAUGUUGCUAGUUCUCACCAACUCACUCAAAUCUAUAUAAAAAAAUUAUUAUAUUUGAAGAAAAAAUACUCACGGAUGGGAUCGGUGGCAUGGAGAUUGCAAAGGUGAUAUGUGUAGAGAAGGAUCGACGCGAGAACAUUCAAAUAAAAUUAAUCUUAUAAUGAUUGAUACUAAGAGCCUAAAUUUAAAAUCUAAUUAUUUUACAUAUAUAUUAGGUAAAUAUAUUUUAAAAUUUCAUAAAAAAAUUAGCAAAAUGAAAGAAUGAAACGGUGGCUACGAAAAAACAAAAGCGUAUUCAAAGUUGGUCUAGUAAUUAAUUAUGAUUAUAAUUAUCGUUAAUUGAUGAAACGUUAAUAUAGAAUUAAUUGAUGAAACAUUAAUGAAUCAUAUACUAUACGGCCAAAAACGUAUAGUUGGGGGAGGAGAGGGGAGGGGAAGGGGUCGGGGAGAGAGAGAGUUAUUACAAAAAAAAAAAAAAAAAUCUAAAAUAAAGGAUAUUGCGCCACAUCAGCGAAAAUAUUAGGAAUUCAUAGAUAGGUAUAGAUAGAUGUAUUGAUUAUUCUUGAGUUGUAGAGCUGCAAAUAUUUCAUUACUUGAUUACGUGAUAGUUAUUGACUUAGUCGGUCGGUGUUACAUAUUAUUCUUGCGGCAUUAUUUUGACCUUAUUGCAUAUGAAUUUUAAUUUAUACACUUUUUUUUUGAAUUUUGGUUUACAACUGAGUCCAACCAAGUUUGACUCUAAACACAAUAUGCUGUGCUGUUGAAAUCUAGCUUGGAUCAAUGGCAGGUCUGGACACAACGAGUAUCCAUUAUUGCUAAUGGUUGCCAGCCCGACCCAAUUUUUGAUAUUUGCCAUCCCUAAUUUUCAGUAAACUCAUACCCUUUUACCUUUUAAAUAAAACAAACAUGAAGACAAACAAACAAAUUUGUUUGCACUCAUACAGAGAUUAACAAUUACAUAUUGCUAAACAGACUAAAUCGUAAAUAUAACAAUAUAAUUCCUGUAUUCUGAGCUUGACACACUUCUAAUUAACUACUCUUUAAUAACUACAUCCACCCAAAUUCGUAACUGAUAUCGUAGAUCUAAACUAAAUUAAAUAACAUUUUGUUUUUCUCCUUGAGCAAUUAAAUUUGAUGAUGGUACAUCAUGUAAUUAAUUGCGGAAUUUAUGUGAUUCUACUCUAUUGAAUAUAUAUAUCAUCUUUUUGUAACAACUAAUUUCCAUGAAUUUUUUUGAAGGGAAAAUUUUGAAAAAUUUCUCAUCCAAAUGCAAUAAUUAUUGAAAAUUCUUAGUCUAUUUAUAAUAUUAGUUAUUGUUUCAUUUUCUACCUUGCAAGAUAUAAUAUAGAUGCAACUGCAUGCAACCAAGCUGAAAAAUAAUUUAUUUGGUGUGAGGAUUGAGAUUUUUGGCAGUAUAACAAAACUCUCUGUUGAUGAUAUUUUUGUGUGUAUUUUAAUUACAAAAGCAAUCGUCAAGAGCACUCGUCAAGUUCCGAAAGAAAACGAGUUAAAACGGAGAUUUUACGCGAUCUUUACUUUUCACUUAAAGUGAAUAGUAACCUGGGUUUCCGGAGAGGCCGAUGAGUAGAGUUGGCUUUUGGCGCGUAUCGGACUCCGUUCAUAGCGAUCCAAUUGCUCGUUUUCAAUGUUUCAGCUAUCCUGGAAGCAAUGGUGCUAAGGAUUUCAGGUUUGACGCACGGAUUUCAAAAAAACUAGAAAUACAUGUAUUUAAUGUAUUUGUGCGUGGUUUUUGCAUUUCGGAGAGAGAAUGGGUUUCGUCGCGAAUCCAUGACCAAACCAGGGGAAACAAAAUUGUGGAUUGGUUGUCUCUGUCGUGCUGAUCGCACUGGUGCGAUCCGUUCGCAAAUCUGACGGACGAAUCUCCUGAUAUCGCACGUUGAUCGAUAAGGGGUCAUUAGUGGGAAAACGGUAAUUUUGCGAAAAGCUCGACAUUUUCUGUACCGUUUUGCGUGAAAUCGAAUGUGCAUGUGUGAUCGCGCGUUUUACUCGCGCUGUGAGGGACUUAGAUUAAAAUACUGAGUUUUAGAGGGCUUUUGCGCAAUUGGAGCUCUAUGUAUAUAAAGUCCAUCUAGGGUUUGCACCAUGGAAGGCUUCGUUUGGUUUGGGUAUAAGCAAGAACUAGUUAUACCGGAGAUAGGUACAAGUAUGGGUUUUCGUAGGAACAAAGGUUAUUUUUUUGUUUGGAUGAAAUCGUGAGUAUACGUUGGAACUAGAAAAAUUGUGUUUGUAUGGUUUUUGAGAAUAAGAUGAAUAGUUGGUAGUUAUAAAUAGAAAAUAAUAAUAUAUUAUUCCUAUAAUUGAAUUUUAAACUUAUAAUUUUAAAAUUAAAAUUUUAACUUUUAAAUUUUAAAAUUAGAAAUUAAAAUUUUAAAUUUUAAUAUUCAAAAUUUUAAUUUUAAAUAUCAAAUUUUUAAUUUCAGACCAAAUUUAAAUUUGAAAGAUAUAAAAUAACAAAUUUAAAAUUUAAAAACUAAAAAUAUCAAAUUUAAAAUUUAAAAAUUUAAAAUAUCAAAUUUAAACUUUAAUAAAAUUUAAAAUUUUAAUUUAUUAAUUAUAAUUAUAAAAUUAUAAAUUUUAAGAAUUUAUAUUUAUAUUUAAAAUAAAAAUCUCUCUCUCUCUCUCAAGUGGGUUGGAACAAGCUUGGGAACCGGGUUGUAUCUGGUACAACCCGGUAUGGUGGGAACACUUGUUCCCACCAUCCCAAAUUUGGGUUUGGGUAUAAAGGGAUAUCCCCUUAUCCCCCGCCCCCUUAUACCCAUACCAAACGGAGUGUAACUAGCCCCAGCUAAACCCCCCAGCCGCCUCUCUUCCCUUCACUUCGUGCACUGCGCGCCUCCCAGUAGCCGCCGACCGAGCCUCGGCUCGCAGCCACCUUUUCCUCCCUCUCCAUCUCUCUCUCUCUUUCUCUCGAGUUGAGAGGAGGCCCAAGGCUGCAUUGCCUCCUCACUCUCUCUACCGACGUUGCCCCGAUUCCCGGCGACUGUCCCCGCCGGCCGUCACUGCUCUGCGCGCCGCCGCUGCCGCCCAGGUCGCUUGCUGCCAACUAGGGUCAGCAAUGAGGUGAGGAAGCUUCAGCUCCCUCCCCUCGCGCCGCCGCCGCCUGAGGACGCUCUCGCCGUCUCCCUCCGGCCUCCAAUGAACCAUCGUCGUCACCCCGGCCCCCAGUCGCCGUCGUGGCCGCCGCUGCCCUGUGAACCCAAGCCGUGCCCAUACGGGCUCGAGAGUCAGGAUGCUCCAGCACUGCUGCCGCCACCUUCCGCCACCGGCCGGCGUGAGCACCUGCUCCACCUGGUCAGCCGCACUCGUCUGCCGCCGGCUCCCCGCCGCCGGAGCUCCCUGUCGGCCGGACCUGGGCCGUGCUCUCAUCGGCUUGGUGCGGCUAGGGCAUCAUUGCUCGCUGCAACUGCCGCCUUCCGUUGCCGGCUGACGCGCUCCCCGGCCUCCCUCCAUCGCCCGCACCUGCCUGCCUCCCGGCCGCCGCCAGCCGUGCCUGAGCUCCCCAUGGUACGGUGAGUUCUAUUUCACUGUUUUGUGCAAAGUCUCCGGUUCGGAUCGUUGUUCUGGCAAUCCUAGGACACCCCGACACUCCUGGAAGUGAGCACGAUGAUCCCCGAUCUGUGCUGAACAUCAUGCUUACCUUCGUUGGGGACAGUAUAGCCCCGAUUUGCGUGCUAAGAGCGAUUUAGGCACUGUGCGCGCUAUUUCUCUGAACUUCGCGUCGCUUCUGCGCUUGUCAUAGUGGCCGGCCGUGCUCCAAAGUGUGAGCACGGCCUCUGGCACAUCGAGACCUGUUAGAGUGUGUCUCAACCAGGCUAGAUAGUUCUCGGUUUGCGCUGUCGGACCGUAAAACCCCGAAAAUCACAUAAAAUGAUGUGAUUUCAUGUUGUGUCACAGGGACUUUUAUGCAAUAGUAUGUUUCGUGGUUGCUGUUGGCAGCGUGUGCGGGCAACGGGUGACCUCUGGAUUAGUUGUCCAAGGCUCCAGGCCUUUUCGAAAAUCGAAUGUGGAUUUUCGGUGCAUUUUUCGGCGAAAUCCUCCGACGGAACGCGAUUUCGGUUCGAAAUUCUUCCGAUGGUGCCUCACUAUAUAUUGUGUAUUCGCUGAGCCUUGUUGGCUUGUCACUCGCGUCGUUUCGAGGGUUCGGAAAAGACGAGUGAGUGACGGUGGGUUCCGGUGUCGAAUUUGACACUUCUGGGAACUCGAAUCGGAAUGAUUAUUCGACGAUAAUCGUUUAUGUAAGGUUGUAUGUUUGCUGCCAAGUCGCACGAUUAAUUAUGUUUAGUGGCAGCGGGUGACUCGUAGCACGAGUCGGUGAGUUCAGGGACUGUUCGCGGGUCCUGGCGGAGUCCCGGUGCGAUUUUUGAAACUUUCGGCGGGUUACGGUAGUUGGUUUGGGAAACCGAUUCCCGUGGGUUUAAUUGUGGGGUUGUGUGUUUAGUAUUUCUUAUUUGUGGGUUAGAUACUAACCCGGUGGACCCUUCAUAGGUCCGCUUCACUUUCUUCCGCGGUCGGGAGAUCAGUGCUACGUAUGUAUAGGUAGGUACUUCGACCCGAAGUCGGUACAGUGGUGCACGCUCGGUGACAUUCCCUUCACUCUUUCCUUAAUGGUUAUCAUGCAUGAUAUAUAUUAAGCCGCACUCGUCUGCCGCCGGCUCCCCGCCGCCGGAGCUCCCUGUCGGCCGGACCUGGGCCGUGCUCUCAUCGGCUUGGUGCAACUGCCGCCUUCCGUUGCCGGCUGACGCGCUCCCCGGCCUCCCUCCAUCGCCCGCACCUGCCUGCCUCCCGGCCGCCGCCAGCCGUGCCUGAGCUCCCCAUGGUACGGUGAGUUCUAUUUCACUGUUUUGUGCAAAGUCUCCGGUUCGGAUCGUUGUUCUGGCAAUCCUAGGACACCCCGACACUCCUGGAAGUGAGCACGAUGAUCCCCGAUCUGUGCUGAACAUCAUGCUUACCUUCGUUGGGGACAGUAUAGCCCCGAUUUGCGUGCUAAGAGCGAUUUAGGCACUGUGCGCGCUAUUUCUCUGAACUUCGCGUCGCUUCUGCGCUUGUCAUAGUGGCCGGCCGUGCUCCAAAGUGUGAGCACGGCCUCUGGCACAUCGAGACCUGUUAGAGUGUGUCUCAACCAGGCUAGAUAGUUCUCGGUUUGCGCUGUCGGACCGUAAAACCCCGAAAAUCACAUAAAAUGAUGUGAUUUCAUGUUGUGUCACAGGGACUUUUAUGCAAUAGUAUGUUUCGUGGUUGCUGUUGGCAGCGUGUGCGGGCAACGGGUGACCUCUGGAUUAGUUGUCCAAGGCUCCAGGCCUUUUCGAAAAUCGAAUGUGGAUUUUCGGUGCAUUUUUCGGCGAAAUCCUCCGACGGAACGCGAUUUCGGUUCGAAAUUCUUCCGAUGGUGCCUCACUAUAUAUUGUGUAUUCGCUGAGCCUUGUUGGCUUGUCACUCGCGUCGUUUCGAGGGUUCGGAAAAGACGAGUGAGUGACGGUGGGUUCCGGUGUCGAAUUUGACACUUCUGGGAACUCGAAUCGGAAUGAUUAUUCGACGAUAAUCGUUUAUGUAAGGUUGUAUGUUUGCUGCCAAGUCGCACGAUUAAUUAUGUUUAGUGGCAGCGGGUGACUCGUAGCACGAGUCGGUGAGUUCAGGGACUGUUCGCGGGUCCUGGCGGAGUCCCGGUGCGAUUUUUGAAACUUUCGGCGGGUUACGGUAGUUGGUUUGGGAAACCGAUUCCCGUGGGUUUAAUUGUGGGGUUGUGUGUUUAGUAUUUCUUAUUUGUGGGUUAGAUACUAACCCGGUGGACCCUCCGUAGGUACGGUUGACGAUCUUCCAUAGUCGGAAGACAGGCACGCUAUUCUUACAGGUGGGUACUUCGAUCUGAAGUCAGUAUAGUGGUGCACGCUCGGUAACGUUCUCUCCACCCUCUCUUUAUUAUCUUGCAUAUCAUGUUAUGAGCUUAGAACCAUUUGACUUCUUACUUAUUGCUCUACUUGAUUACUGUCCAUAUUUAUCAUCAUGAUUUAGAAGUAGAGUGUACUAUCUGUGGUGACCUAUUCGGUCGGUUCUGCGACUCCUAUUGUUUGAUGACCUAUGAGGUCGGUAUAUCCUGAGGGAUAGGAUUGCCGGCUAGUUGCCGACGGGUGAUUAUAGAUUACAUUGAUCCAUGAUCUGACAUUCUUGUGACCUAGUCGGUCGGUUUCUUGUAUCUCGUAUUGUGACCUAUUUGUCGGUUUUUGUACAUAUAUGUUAGUUGACAUUGAGUGGUCGAUACUUGUAUACUUUUGGAAGGAUGUUGAGUUGUUCCAUCCUAGUUGACCCGAGUGGUCGGUACUUGUGUUCUUACGGUUUGAUGACCUAUUGGUCGGUGUGCCAUGAGGGGCGGUGAUUGUCGACUAAUUGCCGACGGUUGGCUAUUGAGCAUAUCAGUAUUGAUUGCCCGGGACUCGUUCGCACUUCACGAACACCAGCGGUCUGAUCCACCGCAAGAGGGUGUUCUUUUCCGAAAAAAUGGUUGGGCGUGCCAACACGUGAGCCCAACGGCCUAGGCUUGGUUAUAUGCAGGUAGAGUGGCAGUGGGCACACGCUUGAGGUCUGCGGACUGAUAUGGCAGGUUUCAGAUUGGAUACUUUGGGGACUGAUCGUCCGGUUGAUGCAUACUUGCAGUUUGUUCUGUUUUACAGUAGCGGCUAGUUAUACUCCUAUAUACCGUUGUUUACCCACGCAUCAUUGCUACUUUAGUUAUGAUAUCUAUGUAUGCAUUCUGUUCUAUUUUACAGUAGCGGUAGUUAUAUGUUCCAUUACUAUUACCUUCCUUCUGGCAUAUUAGCUACUGUAUUUGUGAUAUCUAUCUAUAACUUUGAUGAUCUCUUUCUGUCGGUGAGUACUCCUCGCCUUCGUCGGCUUGCGGUACCCACUGGGAGGGGAGACAUGUGUAUAUGUUCUCAACCCCACCCCCAUUUGAGGUGACAUUGCUGGUCCAAGUCGGGACGGUUCGUAAGACACGCGGUUAGUGGUCGUAGAUUGCUCUGAUCCAGUGGAUUUGGUUUAAUUUCUAACCUUACUUUCCAAAUAAAUAACUUAGACAUGUUAUGGUUCAGUUUGUUCUAUUUUAUUUGGAUUCACGUGGUUUUUUGUGAAAUGAAUAAAAUAAUUAUGAUUUUCUUAUGAGAUGAAAAUAGUUUUCUACCCCUUGUGUGGUAGCGUAUUUUAAAAGAAAAGGUUUCCAUGUGGGAAACGGUUUUAAAAAGAGUUUUUCUUGAUUUUCAUGAUUCAUAGUAUUUCAAAAUAUGUUUCCGAGUGGAAAACGUUUUAAACUAAUAGAUAUGGAUUUAUGAUAAACUGUAAUGGAAUGAAUGUGAUGUGGUCAGUGUAUGUGGAUUAUUAUACUAUGUGGUUGUAUCUUGUAUUUGUGCGACGCCGUGCAAAUAUAGGAAAGAUUCUGUCCGUGUGAACAGUGGAUUCCUGUAUUUGUGACGGAUCUGACAUCCACUGGGAUCAAAGCUUUUAAAAAAAAUAAAAUAAAAUAAAAUUUUGCGCACUUUUGCUUCGGUUUAAAACCAAAAAGGACCUCGGGGCGUGACAUUUGGUUUGCUACAGAUGUAGUUAAAUGUCACAUUUGGAUCUGCAAAUGAAGGUCCUACUCCUAACGUACACUCAAAUUAAACCUAUAGAAAUCACUUUCAAAGGAUAACCUAACGUACCGCCGAUCAUCUCUUAGAUAAAUUACUGGAGAUAAUCUCUAUAUUUUUCACAAAAAAAAUAAUUUGCAAAUUCAUAUUCCAACUAUAAGCAAUUAAAUAAAAUAUUUAUGGUUACAACACUCUCUACUGCGUGUUACUAAAUAAGUAAAUUAUAAAUAUUACUAAAAUAUUGAUAAUUAUAUGGAUCUCAUUAUAUUUAUAACUACCUUCAAAUAAAUGGACUUAAAGUAGAGAUUAAAAUUGAAAAUUGAGUUAUUAUCCUAUUAAUAGGAUAAAGCUCUUUGUCCUGUCAAACCGUUUUCGAUGAUUGAGAGUUUGAAUCAAUGAUUGACAUCGUUGAAUUUGAUCUAGAACAUUUUAAAUAUUUAAAAACUAAAUUUAGUGACUUUUAAAAGUCAUCCGCAUCAUGAUUGAAAAGCUUUAAAUUCAAUAAUCUUUGAAGGCCUAUUUGUACCGUUUGCUCAUUUAAUGAUGUAAAAUGAUUCACAUCGAUUAAAGUAUCGAUAGAAAGUUUUUUUUUUUCACUAUUUUGAUCAUAUUUGACAAACCCAAUCUUGUAUUGAGAAGCUCUGACCUCUAUUUUUACGUGGUGUUUGUUUUUAACUGUUCAUUGUGUGUUCUUUUGAUACAGAAGAAAAUAAUUUUUAAAAUUGUAAAAUUUGAUUGUUAAAUAAUUUAAAUGCUCUAGAUCACAUUUGAUAGUGCUGAUCGCCGAUUCAGACUCUUAAUCAUUGAAAACGACUUGAUAGGACAAAAGAUUUAAUUCUAUAAAUAGAAUAAAAGUUGAAUUCUUAAAAUUGAUAUACUAUAAUUAUUGGUCCCAUAAUUAUUUAUGCAAGCGGGGAGCUAAACUGCAAUGUAGUUAUUUGUAAUUUAACUUUAUUAUUUCGUUAUUUUUAGCAUGAUAAGAGCGCUACUAAAAUAGAGCUAACUUUUUUUUGUUUCUAGACAUGUUUCUAAUGCGCUAAGAACAUUAAAAUUCGUGCUCACCACAUAAUUUGCUAUAUGGUUAUCAUUUGUCAACACAAGUAAAGCUACUUUGGGCACCGCAAAUACACCCAAUUAAAAUUAACUAGUGAAGGACCGCGCUUCGCGGCGGGACAUUUAUGCAAAUUUUAAAAUAUUGUGAAUAAUUUUUUUUUAAUUUUAUAAUAUCUAAAUCUAAUUUUAAAUUUUUAAAUUUAAAAAUUUAAGAGAAAAAAAUUAAAAAAAUUAUUUAAAUAGAGAGGGAUAAAAAAGGCUGAAAUUUAAAACACGAUUUAUUAUAUAUAUUAUUAAUAAAUUAAUAAAUUAUAUAUUAUAUAACAUCAGUUAAAUUUUAAUUUUAAAUAUAAAAAUAUAAAAUUCAGAAAUUAAAAUUUUAAAAUCUCUCUCUCCUUCUCUCUCCCUUUCUCUCCCUCUCUGUCUUUCUCUACCUGACUCUCUCUCUCUCUGCUCUCUCUCCCUCUCUCUCUCUUUCUCUCUCCCAGCGUCUCUCUUUCUCUCUCUCUCUUCCCCUCUCUCCCUCAGCCCCUCUCCCCAACGCGCCCCACCCCCAACCCGGUGCUCGCCCAGAAUUGCGACCGCCACAGCGCCGCCGCCCACGCCCGCGCGCCUGCGCCGAACCCGCCCUCCCCUGACAACCCAUGAGUCACGCGCCCCUGCCGCGAGCCCCCAGCGAAAUACCCUGCGAACCCCGCCCCAAGUGCCCACCCUCCGGGCCCUCCCGACCCGCCGUCUGCCGUCCGAGCCGGCGUCCGCGGCCCCGCAGCCGAAAACCCGCAGGGAAGGCCCCCCCCCUCGCCGCGCCCCGGCUUCAGCGUCGAGCCCGCCACCACGAUCGAACCCUACGAGGGAUCGCCGCAAAGGCCCGCCGCGGUACCUCGAUCGCCGAGCCUGGGAGAGCGCGGAUAGGGACGAGAGACGGAGGUUAGGGAGAGGAAAAGAGGGGAGAGAGCCGGGGGAGCGGAGAGAAGGAGGAGACCCGGGGAGGGAGAAGAAAAGAGCAGAUCCCGAGGAAGAGACAGGGGGCGACCGCCGACAGCGCCACGCGCUCCAGCCGGCGCCGGUCGGCCAGUGUAAUGGCACGCGGGCGCCACUCCUCACAGCUCCGUGCGGGCGCGGGUCGCGCGUGCCAUCGGCGCCGGGGGGCGCCCGCACCGCCACCGGGCAGCGGGAUCGCAACAGCGUGGGGCGAGAAAGCGUGGACGUCCUAGAGCAGGAGUGAGAGUGAGAGAGACGUAGAGAGAGAGAGUGCCUGGGCGGUAUCGGGAGAUGAGAGGGUGCGGGAAGGAGCUAGAGCGACGGGAAGUAGAGACGAUCGAGAGAGAGGGGAAGAGAAAGAGAGAGAGAGCUGGGGAGUGAGAGGGGGAAAAAAAAUUCCCUGUGGACCCCACCGGGCCCCGAAACGCGGGGAAUUCUACACUGUCACACUUGCACCACGUCAUCAAUAAUAAGCCAAUCACGUUCCUUUUUUUCAAACAAAAGUACAAUAAAAAUACUUUUUUACAAUCAUGAUGGAACAUAUAUUCUUAAAAAAAUUAAUUUGAUUGGUUUGUUACGCCAUAUCACUAAUAUAACCGUUGCAUUUUAAAAUUUUUCCCGAAAGGCGGAGAGAACGCCGUAAUACUCUCGAUUCAAGAGUUAUAUAGAUAUGUUAGCUUUACAUAUAAUAAAGUAGUAAACAGUUACAUAAUUCCCAAUAUCGAUAUUAGAAGUCAUAUCUCAUAUAUAUUUAUAAUAUCAAAAAAUAAUUGAAUAGUACCUUCUAAAACUCUUAUAGUGCAACUUCAAAAAGAGAAAAAAUAAUCUAAUAUUUAGAAGGUGCUUAUCAAUUCAUGAUAUAAAUAUUUCAUAAGGAGAUUUGCAAAUUUGUGGUUCCCAACAAUUGUAUUAUUUUACAUAUAUUGUAAUUGACAUACGUGGGUAAAAUUUUCACUAGAGUUGAUACAAAAAAAUUACCAAAAAUUCUUAUUGAAUGUAAUUGCUUGGGAGACUACUAAUUCCUCCUUACCAUUAUUAAAAAAGCACAAAGUAAUUAAAUUAGUAAUUAGUAAAAAAAAGAAAAGGAAAAAGAAAAUUCUCUUUUCUUUUUUACAUAAACUUUUUUUUUUUUCUCUCUCCCUCCUUAUCCUUUGUUAUUAUUAUUAUUAUUUAUUAUCCUUUGCUUCUAUUCCUAAUUUGGGUUCUUGGGAUGUUGAGGUUCCACAGCAUGAUUUGGGAGCAACCAAGAGGAAUCCCCUUCAACUUAACAUCAUCUUCCGUGAUCAUCUUUUGGACGGACAUUAUUGAAUCCUGAGGUUAAUCACCACCAUCAAUGUUCAGAUAACAUUAAAAAGAAUAAAAAUGUGAAAUAAUAUGAAAUAUUUAUUGUCUUAAUUUGAAAACAUAAAACUUCUAGAAAAUAAAUUCUCUCCCUAACGUUUUGGCUCAAAUACUUCAAUAGUUCCAAAUAUAGACUUUGAAUUAAAUAAAAAUAAAUUAAUAACUAGUGAAGCGGCCCGCGCUUUGCAACGGAUAGAAACCGUAGUAGUAAUUAAUAAUAAAAAAAUAUUAAAUAUUCUCUUGUAUAUCUCACUUGGUACAUCCACCAAAGGUCACGGCGGAACGGAGAAGUGGGCUCGCAUUAGUGAGAGAGAGGGAAGGAGCGAGGGAAAAAGACGAUGGUGUAUAGCAAAAGAUGAGAGAUAGAGAAUUGAUGAAUAGAUUGGAGAUAAAGAAUUGAAAAUGGAAGGAAGGAAAAAGACCAUGAUUAAUAAUUGGAGAUAAAGAGGUUAGGAUUAUAGAUGGUAGUGGGAUCAUUUAAAUAUACUAAUUGAAAGUUUGAUAGUGGGACUGUUUGCAUUAGUUGAAAGUAUAGUGGAAUGAAGGGAAAAAAAUCAUGAUGUGUAAUUGUAGAUAGAAACGAUAGAAUUGUAGAUAGUAGUGGAACUAUUUAAAUGCACUAAUUAAAAGUUUGGUUAGUGGGACCGUUAAAAUGUAUAUUGAAAGUUUGGUGAAGGGAAGAAGAAGAGUUACAUGCUAGUGAAGGUGAAGGAGAACUUGUCACGUGGCAACAAAUAUUGAGAAUUCAUAUAGGUUAAUAGAUACUCUGAACUUGAUGGGACUCAAAUUGAAGAUCGUUUGCUAUAAUAUAAUAUUAUGUGAAAUAAUAUAAAACACCGUUUUGUUCAAAAGCUUAGGCUUUGUUUGGAAUUGCGGGGAGAUUGCGUUGCGUGUGGUGAGAAACGACAAUGGAAAAAUAUCCUGUUUGUUUCCGUACGUAAUAUUGCGUUCCGUAAAUCCCGAUGAGUCGGUUACGAUAUAUUUUCCGCGGUCCCAUCGGAGAACGCAGAAGCAUAUUCCUAUAUGCUUUUUUCCUCAACUCCAUUUUAUCUAAUUAGAUAGAUCUCAAUACGAAACUAAGCAUUAAUCUUUUAGAACUAUAUUUAUUUUAAUAUUAAAUAUUCAACAAAGGAAAACUGGAUAAUAACAUCCAAUGGAUUGGAUUGAAUCCCAAAUUUACUUUUCCUCAAUUCACUUAUUUUGAUACUCAUAAUUCAUAAUGAUUUAUUAUAAUGCUUACUUAUUUUGAUGGUUUCAUUAAAUGUAGAUAAAUAGGACAAUUUGACGUCUAAUUUAUCAUUUUUUUUUAAUUUUCUAUAUGACUAACACCAACGUAUUAAAAAUUAACGUUAAAAUUGGAUUCAAAUCAAAAUUAAGUCAAACUUUGUGUCUAUACACUUGAAUUUUUUUUGAAUUGUGAGCAAAUUAAAUUUUAUUAUAAUUAUAUACCAAAUGGAGUGUAUAGGCACAGAUACCUAACUUGUAUUGAUUCAUUAAACUAUUUUGUUGUAAUUCGUAACACGUGAUAAAUUAAUAUCCCAAUUUUGAUAGAUACAUUGAAGUAGCUAGCAUUUCACAUCCUAUGUAUCUAGCCUAUAAUAUUGGUUUCAUUAAUAUUCGGUUCCUAGAACAAACUAGUGUAUAUGAUUAUGUGAGGAGCCUGGUACGCCAUCAUUUGUUGUGUGUUAAUCCUCUCGGAGCACAUAAAGAACAUUUUAACUCUACUAAAAAGAUGAAUAAAUCUCAAACUUAUCUAAAUUUAUUAAAGUUAUAAUAAAUUAAGUCUGGUUAUUAUUACUAGCCUCCCCCUGUUUAGACCCCUUAGAUUCUCGCCGGGUCAGCAUUUUGCCCCGCAUAGCAUUUAGCUCUCAGACUUCCGGCUGGUAUUCGGCUCUGAUAUCGAUUAUAACAAUCCGACCCGCCAGUAACAAUAAUUCCUUGGAUUCAAACCACCGGCUCAAAAUGCUUAAGUUCAAUUAUUAUUAUUAUUAUUAUUAGCGUGUAGAUCUCAUAUAUUCUAAUUAGAUUUAGUUUUCUACCCGAUGUGUGAUUAUUGGGACGUUACAAUAACUAAAAUCAAAAGUUUUAAAUUGAAAACUUAUGCUUCUAAGGUCAUGAAAAUUAAUUAUAUUUCACUUUGCAGGUUAAAUUUUCAUUCUAUUUGAAAAAAAGAGUUUGAAGAGAAACCUGCAACACAUCCGGCUGAGAGUUUGGGCGGCCCCAUCUCUCCUGAUCCCACAAUAUCGAGCUGUUGAAUGCGAAAUCUGAGAUGUUAAUCUUGAGAGGCUUUGAACCUUUUGUGAUAUUCGUCAUUCCGCUACUUACAUCCUUCGAGAACCAUCCGACCACCUCCGAUGAUCGACAGAUUGGUCCUUCCACCACCACCCUCCGCCUACUUCCUGCCACCAUUGCCGCCGGCCAAGUGCCAAAAACUCUUUACAGAUAAAUGAAAUAGAAUAGUUUAGAUCGGAGGUGAGAAACCAUGCUAAGAGAUCGAAUCGCUCGCUGUUCGUGAGCUAGCUCGUGCUCGGCUAGAAACGAGCUUGAGAUCGAAUCGUUCGUUUAAUAAACGAGCAGAACACAAGCUGAAUUUAUCAGUUCGUUUAAUAAAUGAACUGAACACGAGCUAAGAUCAGCUUGCUCGUGUUCGGCUCAAUAACAGCUCAAAUACAUACGUUUUAGGGUUAAUUUCGUACAUAUCCUUGCAAACAAAAUGAAUAAAAAAUAUAUUCCUACAAAGUUCAACUUUUAUAUAUUAUUUCUAUAAAAAUUCUGAUAUUUUUAAAUAUGUCCAUGUCGUUAGAAUUUGUUAGAAAAUUUUAAUUAAUUAUAGGUUAAAUACUUAAUCUUGAUUAGUUUUUUACAUUUUUCUCCCUCUUAUAUUAUACUAUUAUGACUAUUAGACUGACAUAUAAGUGAUGACAAAAUUAAAAAUACAAAUAAUUCUCUAAUGGUUCUCUAAUAGAAACAAACCAGAAGGAAAUAUUUAAAAGUAUCAGGACUUUUGAAGGGGCAACAUAAGAAAGUUAAACUUUGUAGAGCUAUAUUUGUCAUUCACUAUGUUUGCAGGGAUAUGUAUGAAAUUAAUCCUAUAUUUUAUAUUUAUAUAUAUAUAAAUAAAUAAAUAAUUUUUAGCUUAAUCUAAAUAUAAAGUCCAACUCAAUUAUAAAAAGGUCAUUUAUAUAUAAAGUUUCGACUAUUAGAUCGAAGUCAAAUGGGUAAAAUCUUAUAAGUUUAUUUUCUAUACGCAUCCUUUAUAAUUCUUUUAACUUGUUAUUCAUGAGCUAACUCAUAUUCGGCUCGUGUACUCGAGCUGAAUUUUUCGGCUCGAUACUUUAACGAGUCAGCUCAUGCAUGUUUGGCUGGUUUAUGAAAUGAGCUGAACACGAGCCGGCCUCAGCUCGCUCUUGUUCGGCUGGUUGACACCUCUACUGGGAGAAAGAGAGAGCUAGAAGUGCCUCUAAAACUAAUUAAGAAAAUCUGAUAAAAUGAUCAAAAGAAACUAAUAAUGAAAUUCAUUAUCGCUGAUUAUUAAAAAAGCUAAUAAAAUUUGGGAUAAGGUGGCUACAUGGCAAGCUAUCCAUAUAUUCAAAUAUUUAGAGCCCUUAUUUAUACAAGUGUUUGAUUAAAUAUUUAGAAUUUAGUUGGUAUUUGUAAAAAAAACAAAUAAUGCAGGUUUUAAAAAUGUAAUAUUUUAUUAUUGACUCUCGUUAGACCCAAAUUAUCAAGUAUGGAGACAAGUCCUAAUCAGAGAAUUUGAAAUAUUUUACGAAUUGGGAAUUGGAAUCAGAGAGAAGAAUAUUCCCAAUAUUUUAUGUGCUUCUUACUCUCUGGAUACAAAAGUUUCUCUGCAAUAAUUAACGUGCAUCUAUAAAAAUAAUUUACAAAAUUUGAAAUUGUGUUUUUCCUAUAAGAAAUAAAAUAUCUAGUUAUUAAUGUAUAUACCCUCUAAAAUUCAAAACAGCAUAUAGUUGGUUCAAAAAAUACUCUUAUAUAAGUUAUCCAAUUCAUGGGAGCUAUAGUUAUUUUUGAAUUAGAAAAAUAUACAAUUAUUUCGGAAAGAUUAGCAAAAGUUUUUGCAAGAAUAUAUAUAUAUAUGAAAUAUAUAUAGCUUUUGGGCAGGGAAUAUUUAAAAAAAAAAGAAAAAGUCGAAAAAAAUUUUAAAUACCCUUCUCUCAAAAAAAAUAUUUUCUCACUUUAGUACCAUAUGGUUUAAACUCUAUCAUUUUAGUAUCCUAUGGUUUCUUUUUCUCUUUCCGUUAUUCUCUCUAUUAAUUUUUUCGUUAAAUCAGUGCGAGAGUUAAAACCACAGAGUAUUAAAGUAGAAACUUCAUAAACCACAUAGUACUAAAGUGAAUAUUCGAUAAACCAAACGGAGGUAUUUGAUUUUUUUUUUUUAUGUUUUAAUGAAGAAUUAACAAAGGUACCGAUGAAAAGAGAAAAAUAAAAAUGCAGGAUACUAAAGUAAUACAUUUUAAACCACAUGGUACUAAAAUAAGAAAACGCUAAACCACGGGGGGAUGUUUAAAAUUUUUCCAAAAAAUAUUUGCUUUCUAGGAGUUCUAUUUUAUACAUAAAAAGUCUUUAAAUGCUGUGCAUGAAAAUUUGAUGUUUGGUAUUGAAAUUGAACUUAAAAAUUUAGCAUUUAUUCUUGAAUGAGAGAACCAAGUAAAGAAUUUUCCAAAAGGCACAAAAGGAUCCGAUGGAAAUAGUGGAGGCAAGCUAACGUGUUAGUUGCACCAAACUUAGUAAUUAACAUAAAUUUAAGAAGUAGUAAUAAAAAAUCUAGAUAAGUGAGAGAUAAAAAUUAUAUGAAAUAACCAAUCGUCCGUAGCGCAAGUGGCAAAAAGCUUGCUGGUUCGUACUCGAGGUCCCAAGUUCGAAUCUUAGUUGAUUCACAUUUUCAGUUAAGUUUAUUUAUAAAUGAAAUAAACGAAGCGGGUAGUAUUCUGCUAUGUCUUAAAAAAAAAAUUAUACGAAAUACAAAAUUUAUAUUUGAAUAGAAGUACAUCACAUCGUAUAAUUAAUAAGAAAGUAAAUAAGUGAUAUAUAUUAAUAAAUUCAGAUAAAAUAAAUAUAAGGUUUCAGAUCAAAUGAGUUUCUUUUUUUUUUUAAAUUUCUUUUUCCCCCUAUUUCUUUAUUUUACUUCAUUGUUAAAGAGAUUCAAAUCAGGGAAUAUGGUAAAUUACAUUUUUGGUUACUGAAAUUCUUUUCUUUUGUAAAAUUUUAUUUGGUCACUAAACUUUAAAUUUUUCUCAAACAAAAUUAAGAUACUAAACUUAGUUUUAUUUUAAGUGUUACUAUUUGAAUUUUUGUUAAUUUUUCCGAUGAAGUAAUGAUGCGACAUGUAAUUUUUGCAUUUAGCCCUUUUAAAUAAUUUGACAUUAUAAAUGAUUUUAUUAAAAUUAUAUAUAGAAAUAGCUAUAGUGAUUCAUUCAAAGUAUUUAGAAUAUAGUAUAUGGAGAGGAAAAGACAAAUUCUAUUGUUAAAAAUAUCAUUAUGUUAUUUAACUAAACACAAUAAAUAUAUUACCGUGCUUUGAAUAUUGCGAAUGAACCACAUAUUCACUUAAAAUAUUUUGUAUAUUUCCUUUGUGUACAAUAUCGAGCCAUUUCUGCAUUUUAAUUUUGAUAGAAUUAUUUGCAAAUUAAAAAAUUUGAUGGAGUUAAAUGUUAAAAAAAGGCCAUAUAUAUAUAUAUAUAUAUAUAUAUAUAUAUAUAUAUAUAUAUAUAUAUAUAUAUAUAUUUUUUAAAGAAAGGUAGUACGCUAUCCGUUUUGUUUAUUUCAUAUAGAAAUAAACUUAACUGGAAUUAUGAAUACUUCAAUUUCUCGUUUAACUUAACUGGAAUUGUGAAUACUUCAAUUUCUCGUUUAUUUCAUUUAGAAAUAAACUUAAUUGAAAAUAUUAAUCAGCUAGGAUUCGAACUUGGGACUUCAGGUACUAACCACUAAUUCCUUUACCACUUGCUCUAGAGACGGUUAGUGCCCUAUAAAUAUUCAACAAAAUUCAAAAUGAUUUGUUUGAUUACCACAUCAUUUCUAUCGUUUGAUACUAUAUUAUUUCGGAAAGAUGAAUCGAGUUCGGAUCAUUUUAAAUGAUAAAUUAGUUCUCAUAUCAUCUUCAGAAUAAAACAUGAGAGCUAAAUUUUUUAUUACUUUAUUAUUUCAUUUGAAAAAUAUAAAAUAUUUAAUAAAAGUAUCAGAUUAAAAAAAAAAAAAAUUUUAAUGAGUCAAUUAAGGCCCAUCUAACUGAGGUUCAUCUAACAUUAAUAAAUAAAAUAGAACUGAUGCGAAAACAUAUAGAAAUAUAUUUUUAUGUGUUUUGAUGGGACUGUAGAAAACAUAUAGUAACUUGUUUAUACAAUAUGUGAAACACGAUAUUACGUACAGAUAUAAACAUAAUAUUUUUUGAUAGUACUUGUUUACUGUACGUAACACAAUAUUCCGACAAUUCCAAACGAAGUCAAGUCGAGAAAAAAAAUUUAUUAUGUUACAGUAAAAAGGUGUGUGGGGAAAAAUACUCGGGUUGUUUUUGUACUGUAUAUAUCAUAAUGAGUGAAUUAUUUAUAUGUUUUGACUAUUGUCCUAUUUUGUUGAAGGUAUUGUCUGAUUGGAUAUAUAUAGUUAGUUAGAAAUAAAGUAUGGUUGGAAAUACAAUAAUUACAAUCAUAUAUAUCUCGUUUUGGUAGGAUGCAGUAGAAAAUACUGUAACUAUAAUAAAUUUAUUUGAUUGUAUAUAAUUGAGAAAUGUAUUAAUAAAAUUUUAUCACUUUAUAUAUAUGAGGAAAAAUUACCUCCAUAGUAGGGAGAAUAAAUAUUUUUUAUUUAAAGAGUGGUUAGGGAGGUAUGCUAAUUUUUUUACAAAAAUAUUACUUUAUUCAACUGGUUUAUUUUUGAAAAUAUAAAAGAGUUGAUGUUUCUGACUUUUUAAAUUCUAGAAUCUACCUUUUUGAUUAUUUUCCGCUCUUGGAUAAUAUUAAUUUUCUAAGAGAACACGCCACUAAAUCUUUAUAUGGAAUUACUAUUAUUCCAAUAAAAUUUUUGAUCUGGAAAUUAAAAGUGAAAAAUAUUAAUUUUUUAUAGUUUCCAUAGUAGCUCUAUAAUUUUUCUAAUUAUUAUUACAGUUUUAAUUAUAAUUUUUUAUAAUUUUUCUAAUUAUUAUUAUUAUUAUUAUUAUUAUUAUUAAAGUAAUUGAAUUCAAACUCCUCAAUUAAACAGCUCCUUUUACUCUUUAAAGAGUGUAACGGAGGGCACGUACUGGAUCCGGCGAAGCUCGUCGAAGAAGCGGAGGUCGUAGACGUUGGCGGGGUCGGCGAAGUGGACGACCCCGUCGAGGCGGUGGCGCCCGACGUGCGCCACCGCGGCGGCGCGCUCCCGCUCCGCAGCGCUCCCCUUCCCCCCUUCCCCCGCCUCCACCGCCACGUGCCGCUGCAUCACCCCCAUUCGCCGCACCGCCGCCGCCGCCGCCGCCGCGCCGUCCCGCGGCCCCGCCACGAUCCACAGCAGCGGCGGCGGCACCAAUCUCAAGGUGUGCCCUAAUCGCGUCAGCGCCGCCGCGGAUCGGACGGCGGAGGCGGAGGCGGAGGCGGCGGUGACGAUGAUGAGGAGGGGCCGAGGAGGAGUAGGAGGUGAGAGGGGCUUCGGGGGAUCUGCGUCGACGUAGGCGUUGGCCUCCUCGGUUAGGGUUCGAUCGUGUUGGGGGAAUUUGGGGGUUUGGAUUGGGGAUUGGGGAAACUGGGGGGAAUUGUGGGUGGAGUUGUGGGCCAAGUAGCGGAGGAGGGAUUGGGAGGAGGAGGAAGAGGAGAAAGGGGCGAGGCCGGAGAAGAAGCCGGUGGCGAAGCAGAGGGAGAAGUGGAGCAGGGCCUUCUUCCAGAGGUUGGAGGAGGCGGCAACGGCGAUGGCGGGGGCGGGGGACUUCUUCUUCGCGCGAUCCGGUGAGUUCAUUUCCGAACCUCUUAUCUCUCUACAAUGUUUGUUUUUCUCUAGAUUUGUUUGUUAAUUAUGAUGUGUGUAUAUGCUGGUAGAGGAGGAGGAGGAGGAGGAGAAGAGGAAGGGGAAAAGAUGGAUAAAGUUAAUAAGUGGAAAGUUUAAUAUAUAUAUAUAUAUAUAUAUAUAUAUAUAUAUAUAUAUAUAUGUGAANUAUACAUUUAGUAUCAUAGGGUAUUAUAUUAUUCCCUUUUGCAAAAAGCACUUUAGAUUUUUUCUAUACUUAUGCCCAUACAGACCUCUAAUCAUACUCUUCAUCUCUUUAUUACUGCAUACUUCAAUCGUCUAAACACGUUUUUAAAUCUUGAGUGCUAUCCAAUCUUACUGUGGGAUAUAGUGUUAUUGGAUAAAGUAACAGUGCUAUUAGAUGAUGAAGUAUUAUCGAAAUAACUCACUCUUUUUCAGCAAUAGUAAAAUUUGUGAGAUUCAAAGUCUGAGCUCUAAUUUGGUAUUUGGACAUUUGCUAUAUAGCUUAUGUUCAAGUGAUUUUAAUACAAUAUUCCUUCCAAAAGAGUGAGUUAUUUCGAUAAUACUUCAUCAUCUAAUAGCACUGUUACUUUAUCCAAUAACACUAUAUCCCACAGUAAGAUUGGAUAGCACUCAAGAUUUAAAAACGUGUUUAGACGAUUGAAGUAUGCAGUAAUAAAGAGAUGAAGAGUAUGAUUAGAGGUCUGUAUGGGCAUAAGUAUAGAAAAAAUCUAAAGUGCUUUUUGCAAAAGGGAAUAAUAUAAUACCCUAUGAUACUAAAUGUAUACCCUAAAUUUUGAAUUUGACACUCAAGGGGUUUAACCGUUUGCGGAUUCAACUUAUUCAUCUGAAAGAAGUUGGGUCUCUGUUUCAUGUUCCGGAACGUGGCUCUGAAUGUCCCAAAACAUAAAAAGCAUAUUGUGUGGCUGGGGUUUCUAGUUCUUCAAGACUUGGCUGAAGGUUCCGGAACUGGGCCAUAUUCGGAAACAUGAGUAGCAGAACUGUACGUGCGUGGGUGUGGAGGGUAUGAUGCAAGUUGUUGGAAUAUGAGUGGUUUAGUUGCAUUUGUCCAUCCCCUUCUUCUAUAAAAGGAAAGGAUUCUUGUGAAAACCCAAACCUUUUUUUCCCCUCUCUCUCCCUCUUGCUCCUCUUGCUCCCCCUCCCUCACCAUCUUUGAAGAGAGGUGAGCCCUUCAUCUCCUCCUCAAGUUCCUUCACCGGAAAAUUGAGUCUUUGGAGCAUUGGUGUGGUGUUCUCGUUCAUAGGGUUUCUUUGUUGGAGAAACUCCAACAACAAGGUGAGUUGUUGUUUGAUCUUGGGUUUUAGCUUGUGUUAUUCUUGCUUUGUUAUGAGAUGGCACUAAGGGUCGAUUUGAUAAGGACUAGCCAAAUCCUAGAUUUUCUUCGAAGCCAUAUUGUGUAAUUUUCAAAGCUAGAUGAGCAUUGAGGCUCAUUUUUGGGGUACACUACCCUCUUUGACCAUUUUCAAUGACCAUUUGGGGUUUCCUUGUUUGCCGCACGACAAAAUGUCGAUUUCGGUAUAAGAAGGCUUGUUUCAUUAAAUUGAUCAUGGGUUCUUACUUUUUUUGUACUCCUUAUGCCUAGCUUUAGUGCAUUUGUAUCGCCCUCAAGUGAUUAGGGUUUGACUCUAGUUGAAUGAAGGUCUAGACUCCACGAAUUUCGCAAAGUUGGCAUCAGCUAGAGGUACAUUCUGGGGUUCGAUUUCGGAACCUGGCAUAUGGUUUCAGAACUAGCCAAUAGAAUAGUGCAAAAUGGCACUAGUUCUGCGGAACCUAGAAUGAGGUUCCAGAAUCUAAUGCCGUGUUUCGCAACCUCAACCCAGGUUCUGGCAUCUCAGAUCUAGAAACCUCAAGAUUUAGGUUUUUUUUUUAAUGAAAUUCUUCGAUCGUAAAGCGAGCUUUAGUGUAGUAUAUGAUCAGUUUAUACUCUCCUUAGGUUCUAGCUAGGAUUGGGAAGCCCAGAGCGCGCCAUCAUCACGGAGUUAACAACUUGAGGUGGAUGCUCAACCUGAUGUGGGUACAGCUAUGCCCCAGUGAGUUGGUUCUAUCCUACUCCCCUUUUCUCUUGAAUUACCAACAAUUUAUAGUGGGGGUUUUUUUGCAAAUAGCCCCCUGACAAUUUUUUUUUUUUAAAUUGGCCCUGUGUAAAAAUUAUUUGCAAAAAUGGCCCUGGCCCCGCCCCGUCAGCGCCACAUCAGCGCCACGCGGGCGGGGCUGGGCCAAGUGUUUAAAUUGAACACGGUGAACCAUUUACCGUGUUCAAUACAAAAUUUUUGUAUUGGACACGGUGAAUGAUUUACCGUGUUCAAUACAAAAUGGCUAAGUGGGAUAUAUUUGUAUUGGACACGGUGAAUCAUUCACCGUGUCCAAUACAAAUAAUUGGACACGGUGAAUGGUUCACCGUGUCCAAUACAAACACCCACAACUUAGCCAUUUUUGGCUAAGUCGGAUGUAUUUGUAUUGGACACGGUGAACCAUUCACCGUGUCCAAUACAAAAAUCUUGUAUUGAACACGGUGAAUGGUUCACCGUGUUCAACUUAUACAAUUGGCCCAGCCCCGCCCGCGUGGCGCUGACGUGGCGCUGACGGGGCGGGGCCAGGGCCAUUUUUGCAAAUAAUUUUUACACAGGGCUAUUUUCGAAAAUAAAAUUUUUUAGGGGGCUAUUUGCAAAAAAAGCCCUUUAUAGUGCCUUUUUUUUGUUUCAUACACUGUACGUGACUCGUUGACUUGCUCAUAAUGGAUACUUGUUAUGGCAUGCUUAGUUAUGACACAUGUACUGCUCAUUGAUUACCUGCUCAGGAUAGACUAGUUAAAGACCCGCACUUCCCGGUGGGUGAAAUAAUUUAUAGUAAACAUAUAAUAAUAAAUAAUAAAUAAUAAUAAUAAUUAUUUAGAAAAACAAAAAUAUUUUUAUAUUUUAGAGAUUACUUAAAAUCGGCACAAUAAAACAGUUUCAUUACUACGGGACGAAAUUUAGAAGAUACAUCAUUAGCACAUACAUCAAGAGUUAGGCUCCUAUACUUUCGAAAGUACGGAGGCCUCCGUACUUGUAAGUUGUUUUCGAUGAUGGAACAUCUGAUUCGGCGAUCGGUUCCAUUAGAUAUAAUCUACGCUAUUGGAACUAUCUAGAAACCAAAUUUUAUAAUUUUUUGACUUCGUUUGUCUAGUGAAUGAGUAGCCUCAAAAUGAAUGGCUGAAAAUGAAAAUCUCAUAAAAAAUAGUGAUAAAGGACUCAAAUUUCAAAUCGGAAGUAUUGAUCUUGCUAUUGAUGUGUAGUAGAAUUUUCUAUUAAAUUUUCAUGUAAUUUGAAUACUUCUACACCGUUGAACUUAAAAACGUACCACAUCGGCCGUUAAAGUAGUCAUCUUUUAGACCUUUUAAUCGCUUGGUAAAUGAUGUCAAAAAAUUAUAAAAUUUGGUUUCUAGAUAGUUCCAAUAGGGUAGAUUAUACCUAAUGGAACCGAUCGUUGAAUAGGAUGUCCUAUCAUCGAAAACAACUUAUAAACACGGAGGUCUCCGUACUUUCGAAAGUUCCGGAGACGUACUCCAUAUAUCAAUUAUUCAUAAGUUAAUCACAUCACUUCAACUCGAAAACUAAAAAGGGAUCCAUGAUUAAUAUAUAGAAUAGUUUAAAAAAGAAAACACUUGUGAGAUCUGAACCCUAUAUAAAUCAAAACAUGUAAAUUAAAUUGUACGCACUGUAUAAUUUGCUCAGCUUUACUCACUAACUCUUUCCCAACAAUACAUGAGAUUAAAAUAGUAUAUUUUCAAGCAAACCAUUGUGUCAUAGAUGAGCUUUUGGCAUGCACUUAAAAAUUUCACACAUACAAAAACAAAUAAUAUUAAUUCUCAGUGCAAAAAUCAAAUUACAGGGCACAACAUAAUAAUACAAUCAUAAUACACAUAUCUGAUGUUGUCAAGUCUUGAAAUAAAGCUUAUAACUAACUUUCGAGAAUGGAAAAAAAUUCUAAAAAGAUUCAAAUCUUGAACAUAAAUAAUGUUAGAAAAAGAUAAUAAAAUAACCAAAGAUGGAGUAAAAAAAAUCGGAUUUUUAGUCUCCCACUAUAGCACAAAAUCUACAUUGCAUAAAAACUAUAAUUCUAAAAAAAGUGCCAAUAGAACAGGCAUCAAAAGAUUAAUUAGAACAAAAUCCAUAUUAGAUCUCCCAAACUGCAAUAUAAAACUUAGAAACCCAACCCAUUUGGGGAGUGGGGACCCUCAAAAAUUGGACCAAAGACUAAAUUAAUGCCAAAAUUAGGGAGCAAUGCAUCGUCAACGAUCAAAAUCGGGUCUACAUAAAUAAAGAAAAAAAACACAAUAUAUAAUAUUGAUGUAAGAUCUUUUUGCCAGAGAUGGCAUUUGUCUUGACGGAUGAACAAUGACAACUUAUUCUCCUCGACCUGCUUCUCAUGUGCCAAUGGAUAACUUGCGACCGCAAGUAUGAAAGAGCAAAUUAUUUUGAAAGUGGAAUUUUAAACACCUUAUUAAACUAAAACCACAUUACUUCAAACCCAACAUGUCAAACGCACCAUCCCAACUGACAGCAGCAAGUACUAUGGUCUAAAUACAGCUGAUUAUCUAAUCACUCAUAGAGAAAACAAAUGAAAACAUAUCAAAGCAAGAGCGAACCAAUCAUCCAAAUAGUGAAAAUCUACUCAACCUCGCAUCAAUCCUAAUAUCAAAACAAAAACAAAACGAGAAUAACAUUCAAAAAGCAGAAUCAUAGCUAGAGAUGCUAAUUAGAAUGAUUCAUGAUUACUUAAUCUAGUCAACUCUUUUGAUCUCCGAGCAAAAUGAUUCUCACGCUUCAAUAUCGCACGCAUCAGUUUAUGGUUUAGGAUUGCUCAAUUUUUUUUUUUUUGAAUUCGAACCCAAAUAUCGUUUAUUGAUUGGCAAUUUUUCGGCGAAUAAUAGAUGCAAGAGUUGCCUUGAAGCUAUCAAGCUUUCUCUAUUUUUUGGAUAUGCUAUCACCAUUUCUCAUAUUUGCCGUGCUAGGAACCCUCCCUCCAAAUUUUACCUGCUUGAAGUUCAUUAUCUCCGCUUUGAGACUCUCCACCAUGAUGACGCUUGUGUUUCUUUUUCUUCUUCAACCCUUGAUGCUUGUGUUUUUUUUCAUCUUCAUCCCACCCAUCUUGACAUCUAAUGUUUUUCCUUUCAGCUGAAGCUUUCCGGGAACAAUACUUUCCGGGAACAAUAUUUUCAAACGAAGACAUCGAUAAUAUAUAAAAAGGAGGGGAAAAAAGAUCAAGCCCUCUAAUGAGUAUAGGAUAAAAUUUUCAAUAUGAAUAUCAAAUACUUUAAAACAACUAACGUAUUCAAAAUAUCAAAUACUUAAAAUAAUUGAAAUAUGCAAAAAUUUUGGGAAAAAAAAUCUAACCACCUUAUGUUUUCUAUACAAAUUCGAAUGAUGAACAAUCCGAAAAUUUACAUAAUCAUCAAUACAAUUGAAAUUUAGUUUUUGCAAAAUUCACAGCUUUUGCAGCAUAAACUUACUCCUAAGUGCAUUAAUUAACCCUUUGUAGAUUAUCAAUAAUAGCAACUAAUUAAAGCAGGAUAAAAUAAGAAAAAAAUAAAAAAAGAAAGCGGGGAUCAUCCAAUUAGUGAUUUUUUCACCCAAACAAAUCAGCGCAGUAUACACAAAUCAGUUCUGAUGCUCUUUUUUCAUCUACAAAAUUACGUAUGAACCCCAGGUUUUUUCCUUUUUUUUCCUAUUUCUUGUUUCGAAUUGAAUAGGGGAGAUCCCUAGCUCAAGGACGAAAAUCCAAACCCUAAAACUAUAGGCGUAAGGUAAGAAAGUGACGAAUCAGACGUAUAAUUAAACAUUACAAACUACACAACAUAAAAUGAGACAGAGGAAAAAAAUAAAAAUUCAAAGAAAAGGGCAACCAACCUGAUUAGGAUUCGGAGAGAAGAGGAGAGAUUGCGAGGCCGAGGGCAACCAACUUAAUUGUUUUUUACCAAAGCAAUUUUUAGAAAAAUCAAAACCAUGUUGAAGUAAAGAGAUCAUAAACUGUUACCUUCAAAUUUCAACAACCAAACAAUUUUAAAAUGUUACCUUCAAGCUUGGUGAGGGGAACAAACUGAUUAGGGUUCUUCUGUUGAGGGUGCCUUAGGUCCUCAUGAGAGGGUUGAUGGGGGAUUGGGAAAUAGGGAUGGAAAACCGUAGCAGAGGUCAGAAAGGUGGCCCACACGGAGCAGCGAGAUUUGUGGGUGCUAGUCGCGGGAUCUGUAGUGUCUCUGGGGCUUAGCUGUCUGACCGACUACAGCAUCAGUGGCUUGUCGACACAUCUGUAGAGUGUCGAAACGAGUCGGAGUUGUUUUGGCGCGAAAUAGAUGCGAAAACGGACUCGGAGCCGUGAGAGUUAGAGUUUGGACACUGAAAUCUGCAAAAGCGGGAUUUUGAGUGUUGUGUACCGGUACCUGAGAGUACUGGUACCCCAGAGGGAUUACAUGAAUGGGUGCUCUCUGGUUUGUGCAGCUUGGUGUUGCGUACCGGUACUUGUUGGUGAGUACCGGUACUGGGACUGAGUACCGGUACUGCAUCGGGUCAGUACCGGUACACCGCACUCGGGUUUGUUGGAGGAGUGUCGGGUACCGGUACCCAAGUUGAGUACCGGUACUCCAGGCGGCAAAGUGAGUUGGUAAGGGAUCUUUUGGUCAUUUUGCUGUCGCUAAAUCCUAACCGACCCCCCAGUUAGUCUCUUUGUGUUAGAAGCUUGGAGAAAACAGGUAGCUUCUCCUCUCUCUCUCUCUAGCUUCUCUUCUCAUUUUUCCUUUGUGAUUGUCAGGAUCGAUCUCAUUUUAUUCUCCUUGUCUUUGGAGGAUCGUUCGCGCACCCCGGUUGAUUUCGUUAGAGGUUGAUCUAGCGCGGGUUGCUUCUAUCAACUUCUUACCGGUGUUGGACGAGCGUUGGAGGUGGGUUAAUAUUUACCGAAAUUGUCGGAAUUCUCCCUAAGUUGUAGAGUUGUUAGCAUGCAGUUUUUGUUUUUGAUCAUCAUGUUUAGUAGCUCGAAUUCGUGGAUUUGCAUGUUUUAUAUGAAAUCUGAAUUUGGAGCAUAAUCUAUUGAUGUUAGAUAAAUUUUAUAUGUUAAACUGGGAUUUGACUUAGGAGAAAACUCGUUAAACCUACACCUGUCAUUUUACGAAAAGUUAACAGAUUUAGCUUCAGAAGCUGAUUUAUCUUUGUAUCACCGCUGUUAGUGUAUCGUGGAUACUUGGUUUAAUGUAGGUUGAGUUUACGCUCGUGCUGAGGGGCCGAGUUCAUUUUUAUAGCAGAGUUAGGCUGUGUUGUAUGGGUGGGUGCCGUCGGGGGUUGACAGUGGACCCAGAUUCCUCUAUCUUGUAUCAGAUUGUGCCGAGGGCACGUGAGCCUUGGUUGUUAGAUCAGUUGGACCCAUUUGCAUUGACUCUAGCCUGUGUGAGCCCGAUUGAGCUCGACAGAGACAUGCUUGCAUACUCAGUUGGGUCGCUUCCACGAGUGCCGCUCCGGAGUGAGGCUUUACUUGCAUUGAUAUCGCUGCAAUCCUGUUUGGACAAUGUUCUUGGACCGACUAUCCCCGUGGGUGGUGUGCGGUGUAAUUGGGUACAGGCUGGACUGGCUAGUUGGCGGUCCGUUGAGAUUGGGUCAGUGUGAUUAAGUUGUAGCUAGUGAUGCAUUUCUAUGUCUACAGAGAGUAUGGUUUGGAUAGUGGUAGUCUAGUGGCAUAUAGCUGUAGAGUUCUUCCAGCUUAUAUUACCAUCCUUUGCAUACAUUUACUGUAGACUUAGUGGGUAGGCCGUUAAGGUCGGUGACAGUACCCACCGAGGAGUACUAUGUUUUGCAGUAGUUCUCACACCCUAUUGUUGCCACCUUUUUGCAGAGCCAUCCUUUGCUGCUGCUGUUCAUUUCGAUCGAGAUAAGGGAGUCGCGAGCUAGACCCCUACCUUCCCUGGUCUUUUGCUAGAGGAGCACCCCUACAAAGGUAGUUUUGGAUGUUCCUAUGUACAUACAGUGGUUAUUUGCUGUACUCUCUGAGUUGUGGUUGUACUUAUGGAGCUUGUAUUUACAGUGGGCCCUUUAUGUAUACAUGAGAUUUUAGUUUUAGCAGCUUUAUACCUCUUGUUGUUGUUUAUAUAUGUUUGCAGGUUUUGAUUUCGCUUCGUAUACACGAAAAAUUUCUAUGUAUACGGCGGGUCUGCUAGCGUGCCCAGGGAAACGUAGUAAUCCGGGGCGUGACAGGAUCCUUCAGGAUUGCAAGGUCGGCGAGAUGUUCUGGGAGCGGCGCAAGAUCUAUGACGGAUUUCAUGGGAUUUGAAGAAAAGGCAGUGGCGCGGAUCACAGAUGGACAGAGAGGCCCAGAGGAUCCCUGAAUUGUAGGAAUUCUGUCGCAGCACGAGAAAAUGUGAAGGGGGCGAGGGGCGGCGGAAGGGUUGGUUCCCUAAAGACGGAGGGAAGAGAGAGAGAGAGAGAGAAAGAGACAGGUACGGAUUUCGAAAGAAGGGGGCGCAGGGGUAAGAAAAAUAGUCCGUGUGGGACCCAUGUCUCCGAAUUUGCGGAGAAGCCUUCUAACCGGUUUAUGGUUCACCCUUUAAUUUGUAUUGAUGUAUUGAUAUUGGUAGUAUCAUUCUUGGCUUGUUUACCUGUUGUAGUCUUUACUUGUCAUAGAGAGAGCAUGCUAGUAGAAUCUUGACACAUUCAUAAUGUUAUACGGAGUAAUAGUAGUAACACAAAUUGCAUUGGCCAGAGCGGCCGUGGUUGAUGAUCAUAGUGGUCGUAUUGGACUUCUCUUGUUGCCACAAGUAUUGUUGACUAUUGAGCAUAAGCCUCUUGGGUCUCUUUGGGACGGACGUUUGGGAUUGUCCGGAGUCUUUCCUUGGGGACAGGAGGGAGACCGCCCCGGUCUCUUAGAGACAGGCGUUGGGCAUCACCGGCGGUCAUGAGUUGUUUGGAUCCCUUAAACUCAUGUGUGUCUGGUUCUCUUAGAGAUAGACGUGUCGAACGGAAUGGUACGCGACACAGAGUGAGAUUAUGUGCAGGAUAGCUUCUCAUAGAUAGUUAUACAUCUUGUGCUCUUUUGGAAAUCAUUGACGUCGUAUUAUUUUGCAAAAUUGUAGUUAAACUUUGGCAUUGUGAUACUUCAGAUGCAUUGGUGAACAUGAUUAUUCUUUUGUAAACAGUUAAAUGACAUUUCACAAAUUGAAAUUCUUGGUUUAGUUAAUAUUUAUAACAAUUACAGAUGCUCAUAUAAGGUUUAAUGUGUGCUCCGUUGGCUUCCGUACUGGAGGGCGACAUUAAAAUUUAAAUUUUGCUAUCUAAUCUUUUGUUUGUUUGCGGAUUCUUCCACUUCAGAAUUUGAAUGCACCGUUUAUUUUAACGAACAUGGUUAGUGUAUUCUUUGUGAUUUACACUGCCAUACUUACUAUUGUGGCAAACGCCAUGCCCAAAUUUUCUAAAGAAUGAACCAUCAAAUAGCUCACAUCAAAAAAAUUAUACAAUUAGAAUUAAAAUUUUUACAGAUUAGACAGCAGAUCAAAAUAGACUAGAGUUCAAAUAAGUUUUAUAAACUUAAUCUUUCUGAAAUAAAGAUAAAUCACCUCAUAAAAUGCAUUAUUCUGAAAAAUCAUGACCAUUGAAAAUCUUACAAUGUAUAAAAAGUAAAAUAUACAUUGCGAUUGCACUAAAAAAUUAAAUCCCACAUCUAGUGCAUAUAUUAUAAUCGAAUAAUUUAUUCCAACAUCCAAACAUUGUGGCAAGUUUUAUGGGGAUAGCAAAUAGCAAUUCCAUAUGCCAUCUUCAUGAUUAAUUAGUCCUUUAUUUUUGUAAGUAAAGUAAUUUGUAGUAUUAUUGGCCAAACAAUGUGGAUGAUAAUAAUAAAUAAAUUCCUAUAUACUCAUAUUUGUUUUACUAUCCCUUGAAAAGAAAUGGAACGUUUGGUUUGUCGUUUUGAAAGCACAAAGGCUCGAUUGCUUCUAUUUUAUUUUUCAUAUAUAACAGUGUACGUAUCUGAAUCAUUCGAGGUGAACAAUCAUAAAUGUCAUGGACGGGCCGAUUUUAAAAGCGUUUUUAUAAUAAUGAAUACUAUUUUAGAAACUAGAGUUGCGGAAAAUAUAUCAUUUUUUUUUUUGAAUUUAAUCUGGUCCACGUGGUGGCGUACAGACCUGCCACAAAUACAAAAUUUCUCUACCCACACGGACAGAGUCUACUUUGUAUUUGCACGGUGUACCCAACGAUAACAAUAAUAGGAUCACAACUCACAACAUACAUUCACCAAUACACAAGCAAUUGAUGCGAUGCAAUUUUGUACAGUUAGCGAUUCUUAAAGAUGAUGUAGGUCUCUAAAUACUUCUUAGGCGCUGGAUAGUGCGAUGCACAUUACAACAAUCAUUCUAUUUAAAAUUGCUCUUCACUCGUAAGCUUUGUUUUUAAACUCUAUUUAUACAUUCAUGAAAACCAUUUGAAAACCUUUUAAAAUUGUUUUCCAAUUAGAAACUCUAUUUUUAAAAACCGACUAUUUCGAAGAGUAGAAAAUCAUAAUGCAUGAAUACAUAAAUCCAAAUACCAAAUACCAAAGGUUCAUAAAACUACGAUUACAUGCAUAAUAAAAAACACCACUCAAACAAGAUUGCAAUUAUUCAAGCAAUAACAAUGAUCAUCAUACUUUUGUGCAGGUACCCUAAUUGUCCCAUAUUGGACGGGAACAAGAUUGUGAUUGAGAAUACGAAGGAUCAUGUACGUUAAUAAUAAUAACUGGGUUUAAGUACUUUUGGCUAAUACUUUGGGCUCAAUAAGUUAUUAUUGCUAACAAGUCAGGUCGUUAUAUUUAGUGACAAAGCCGAUUCACCAGCCGAAAGUGUGAGGUAGGUUUCACCUUGUCUGAUACUUUUGGGCUAUACGUGCGACUAGGCUGACAAAGACGCCAAGGCCAAGGACUGACGAAAUCAUUAGGGCCUACAUGGUGGGGAGUGAGUUGGGCCGUUACAGUUUCUCUGAUCAAAUCAAGCAUCUGCAAUUUUAUAAAAAGAUUUUACUUUACAUGAUAUUAUUUGAUUGGGCUAGAAGUCUAGAACCAGUUCCACAUAAGAUUAUCCUUGCAACUCAAAUUUAUUUUCUCUUAACAAAUGCAAACCAUGUUUUUAAUUUGUUUGGAUUUCACACAUGACAAGCUUCCUACAAACUAGUGACACCAUAAAACAAAAUUCCGAACCUUUAUGUAAAAUGUGAUCACUCCAUAGUCCUAGCCUGCUAAGUAGAGCUAAUUGUACCCAAGAAAAAAACAUUCCCAAGGACCCUUCAUCUACGGACCUCUAGCUAGGGUUUAAUUUAUCCUUUUGUAUUUUUAUUUUUAUUUUUAUUUUUUAAAAAAAGUGAUAAGCUUUAUAUAUGUAGUAAACUUGGCAUUUUAAGAUAAACUUUAUUUUUUUGUACGACAAAAUUCAGCAUAGACGAACAUCGCCUCCGCUUGGAUGCAUCGCUUCCACGGGUGCUACAAAUAAAAUAGUAUCCGAGAUUAACAAAUAAUAAUUGCAUGCACCGGGUGUACGAGUACACACUACACUCUUUUAGAUAACUAUUAUAAAUGCUGCAACCUACAUUAAAUAUAGGGAUAAUUUCAUCAAUACCCUUCUAGGAGACAAGAAUUUCAUAAAUGCCCCUCUAAAUUACAAAAUAUAAGCAAUACCCCUCUAAAAAGCAAAAAUAUUCACAAGUACCCUUAAGAUUAACAUUUCAUUAAAAAGUCAUCUAAUAUUCUGUAAAUAUCCAUUUUACCCUUAUUACUAAUUUAACUAAGUGUAAUAAUUUAAGAUUAAUUACAUGAUCAGGAUCAAUUCUUAACCUUUCAAUCACAUAAUAAUUCAACAUUCUUUUUAAAAUUUUACAAUUAAAGAUCUAUAGUCUAUUAAGUGUAAUAAUUAAAUCUUGUUAUGAUUUUUCGCUUGUAAAUUAUAUAUAGUUGUAAUGCAAUUGUCCAUUGUAAUAUUCAAUAUUAAUUUCAAGAUUUAAUUUUUUUGAAUUUUAUUUAAAUAACUCACAUAAGUCAUACAAAAAAUAUUUUGAUAUAAAUUUUUUUUGAUAUUAGUGUUUUUUAUAUGACCCACUCAAGCAAUAGUUUUUUAAUUGAACAUUUAUUGUCAACAAAAAAAUAACACCAGGUGCAGCAAAUUUAAGACAAUCUCCGCGUUGAAUAUAGUAGAUUCAUUUUUUAUAUAAUAUAACUGAGUAUUAUAUAAUUAUAUAAUGAGUCAAUUUUAGAUAUAUCUUCUAUAAUUUUAUCAAAAAAUACAAAAACAUAUCCCUAUAUUAUUUUUUUACAAAAUUGGUCUUAACAUCAUACAGGUACUCAAUCAUUUGCAGCUUUUUUCAUAUUCAAUAUUCAAUUAUCAAAUAAGGAAGAAACAUACUCUCAGUAAAAUAAGCAAUUAGUUAUUAAGGAACAUCUAAAUAGUUAUACACAUUAGAUUGCUGGAGAUGAAUUAUAAGUGAAAAGAAUACAACCCAAAGAGGAAUUUUGGGUGCUCACAUUUGUUGUUGUGGCGAGGAGUUAUUACACGGUUCAUUAAAACAUAACUCAUGAAGAGCAUUUUCAGGUAUCAAAAUCCUGAAAACUGAGUAAUGGUGAUUCAAGCUUCUCUCUCCAUGUAGUCUGUGGACACUGGCCAAUGCGCCGCCAUUCGUAUUCGGGAAGGCGUAGAAGACGCGCCGGAUCCUUUGGUGAACAAGGGCCAUGGCACACCUUCAUUUCGACAAAUAUAAAUAUUAAAAAAAAAAAUACAAAUUGAGACAAAAUGCAAGUCGAAAAUGUGCAGCUACAAAUAGGGAUGCUGUUUAAGAGCAAGCAAAACAUUUGCAGAAAGAGAGAACAAAGCAAAACAUUUGCAGAAAGAGAGAACGAAGGAUGCCAAUUUUCUCACGCUCUUCAUCUUUUCUCAAAUUCUACAUCAAAAAUUGUAAGAGAUAUUCUCCAACUACUGCAUUUGUUUGUAACUAUGAAAAGUUUCAAAGUAGAAAAAAAAAACAAAAUAGAGACUAAACGGAACAUCAUGGACGUGCAUUGUGAAGACUAGGAGUUGUGCAUACAUAUUCAGAGAGAAACUAGGGAACUUACAUUGUACAUGGCUCCCAAACAAGGUAAAUAUCAAAGCCAGUGCAUAGAUAAGGCCGCAUUGCUUCAGAGGAAGAAUCACUGCUACAAGCUUCCUCUCCCAACCUGUCCCUAUCCUAAAAUGAAAUUGAAAUGAAGUAAAUAGAUGCCAUAUCCAUUUCAUAAAAUAAAAGGCAAUCAAAUUUAAUUAGAGUUCAGUUGAUGAUUACUAGAAUCAAUGCAUUACAUUUGUUUCGUAAAUAUCUGCUCCAGUUAUGAAUAAUGAAAUGAAUACAUUAUUAUGAAAGUGAAGUGGGCAAUCUUACUUCUAACUUGUCUGUCUUUAGUCGUUUUGCUGGACCAUUAUUAGAAUCAUUCUCCAAACCACCAUUUAAGUCUCUGUUACUCACCAAAGAACCUAAAUUAGGAAAUAGCUUCCUAUCCCUUGCUGCAGCAUUUUCAAUCGCAACUAGAGUAGCAUGUCUCAAGGGAUGCCACGAAAAGUUGCUCCCAUAGUUCACCAAUUUUUGAUCGUAUGGCCUCUGUUCAAUCCAACCUCGAGGAUUAAGACAAGCAACUCCCUUCAAUGAAUGAGUGCAAUGAGAAAGCCAGUUCCUUGGAGGGCAAAGCACUUCUUGUUUUGCUAAUCCAUUUUCCUCAGCCAUCGAACAAGCCGAAUGUGCUUCUCCGGCAACAGUUAGAUGAUUUGAGCAGAUUUUAAGCAAGGAUGUAGGAGGUACGCCAGUUUGAUCAGUAGCCUUGGCUAUAAUUUCACUACUCAAUGAGUCAACUAUAACAGCAGCAUUUACAACCUGAGACACCAAAAUAAAAAAAAAACCCAGCUGAACACACAACAGUAGUGAGUAUAUAUAUAUAUAUAUAUAUAUAUAUAUAUGCAUUCAUAUUUGAGGGCAUAAGGGAAGCUCAGUGUUGUCCUUCAAUUCAACAAACAUGUUCAAGUAUCAUUCAUGAAUGUGAGUGACAAUUCUCUCAUUCUUAGUAAUGGUUUUUGAUGGAAUGGGCUUCCAGUCAAAAGCAAAUAUUUUAAGGUUGAAAAGUGGACUCACCAAAGAGUUCCUGGACAAUUCAUUGCAAGGACUAUUGAUUGUAAUUUACCCAAAAAAAAUGCAUAAGAAAAUCAGCACUCUAAUGUUCGUACAGUUUGGAAAUAAAACAAGAAUCUGAUGACUGAUCGACAGUACUUAUAUUGGUGAGUGCAGAAGAAGUAAGAACCUUUACAUAAACAUGCCUUAUCACCAGGAUUGCUCAACCUUGUCAGUUGAAUAGCAAUCUUCAUGUAAUUGCAGAUAGAUUGUGACUCCUCCACACUAAAUCCAGAAACUCCAUCUAGACUGUUACAUGAGAGCAAAUCAAGGACCAUUAGACAAAUAUUAAAUGGCUGCUCAAAAUGUGAUGACAAUAACAAUGAAUUAGGGAAUUGAGCAUCAAACUUCUGUAAACAGAAAAGACAGAUUAACUAAUUUAGCAGCAAGAUGAAGGAUCUAUAAUACAUCAAAGCUGUUAUAUAUAAAUGGAGGAUUUGUAAUAGAUCAAAGCUUAUAUACAUAAAUGGUGAAGUCGUACUUGUUUGGUGGAUGGUAUGAUGUUGGCCAAAGCUUGCAUUGUUCUUCCCAUUCUUCUUUUGACAUAGCAGCAUACUUGGCAACCUGGAAGCAAUUUCCAGCAUGACAUAUUGUAAUAAUUUGCAAAUUUAAAUCCGAUUGACCUUGGAUAAAUGACUAAUAUAAACAAGAUUCACCUAUUACCAAAAACUGUAGUCAGAUCAUUGCAAUAAUAUGAUCUCUUCUGUCCUUCAGUAAGCAGGUGAGUAGUUCCAGAUGUCAGAUCUUUAAUAUACAUAGGUAUGUUAAAGGUGUUCUAUAUAUAUUUUAAUAGUUUUAGAUCAUGACCAAAGGUAUAGAUCCCUAAGUGCAAUCCUAGUUAUUGAUAGGAAUAAGGUUUCCUUACGUGCCGGUCCAGUUUAACUCCAAAAGAUUAUAUUAAAGGAAAAAACUAAAGAAAAGCUAAGAAGAAAGAAGGAUUGCUUACUUUCGCAAUGAAAGGUCUUAAUUGAUAGGUGUUUACAACCUCAAGUACUUCACUCGGUAUGACCUCCAAAACAUUUUCAUUUUCUCGGGAAAUACAUAAGAUAACCGAUAACUCAACUUUCCCUGUAAAAUGAGUCAACGAAUGCCAAAGAAUGAGUGGAGUACUUAAUUGACUAAAUUGCAUCCACAUUUGAUCCGUAAGAAGUAGAAGAUUCAUUGACUUUAUUAUUCCCAACAGCUAAUCACUAAAUAAGGUUAAACUAAAUUUGUACAUACAGAUAUGAUAUAUCAACAAGAUUGAGCCUAUAAAUUUGCAGCCUUAAUACCAUGACAAGAGCGAACCAGCCAUAUGAAUUUCUAAAAGAAGUUAGAUGCAUCAAAAAAAAUGAAUCCUCUUUCACCAGUCAAUCCUAUUUUGAACUAAGUGCUCUUCUAAAUAGCUUGCAGAUUGAUCCAUGCCAGCACCAUGGCCGAUGCUAUGGCAUGGAAAACUUCUAUAGAAGUUAUACCACUAAACUAGCAGAAAAAAGGUAACAAGAGUAUUUCCAAACAAAAAGCACUAAACAACUAUUAUACUUUCUCUAGAGUACCACACCUUCGGAGUUAAUCCUCCGCACUCGCUUCACAUGGCGAAGAUCCUCGAGCAGGCAUAUCUGAUUCAACUGCCUAAUUAACAAAAAGAAAAAAAAUAACUCAGUACCCAUCACAAAAGAACCCAUGAAAAGAAAAUGCCAUCAAUCAGUGCGCCCAACCACAACACAUUAGCAAAUUAAAAAGCAACAAAAGAAAUAGAAAGCAGGCUUUCACCUCACAAGUGUAUUGGCAAGUUUUGGCUCGAUUGUUGCAGCCACUACAUUGACUACAAAAAGUGACUUAAUCAAAUAAAACACCCUAAUAAAGAACUACCAUAAAGGAUCAAAAAAUUAGAGGAGGGAGAAGGAAAAAAAUACCUGUAGAGUGUUCGAGGGAGGAAGGAGGCUUCCCCGGUAUGUGAAGGAUCUCCCAAGACAUUACAUUUAUUUUGGUUAUGCUCUCAAACAAGGAACUUUUGUCUACUACAGUACAUUUCAAAAACAAAAUAUUGCAACUUCAGAAAUUCCCCAAAAAGAAUUUUAAUAACUAGAAAAAUAUUUAGGAGGUUGAACAAAAGAAACAAUAGAGCGCUUAUGGUUAGAGGAAGUGAGUCAUAAUAAGAGAGAGAUAUACAGAGAGUUAACCAAGGAAAGGAAAAAAGAAAGGAAAGCAUACAGAUCAUGACGAUCCACUUAGGACUUUUUUGGCCCAUCUUUUGCUUCUGGUUUCAGCUGCAACCACUUCUACUAAUCUUAUAAAGUGUUUGCCAAUCGAAAAAGUCGGGAACUUCUACUUAACGGAAAAGCAGAACUGAGCUUUAAAGGUCCAAAAGCAAAAGGCCUGGGAUUGUAAGGUUUAGUUUGGGAAUAUGGUGGCUACAAGUAUCAUUUUUAUACUACAGAAAGUUCAAAAAAAUCUAAAAGCGCUUACAAUAUUUCCUCCUCUAAUCCUUUAAAAUUAUGGUUGCAACCAUCACUAGAGAAGCAUGUAAACACAUGCUUAUGCUUCUCCAGUGUGCAAUUUUAAAGUAUAAAAAAGGAAAUAUAAUGUGCUUUUGAAAUGUUUAGUUCUUCUAUAAUAUAAAAAUAGUGAUUUUAACUAGGGAUGUCAAUGGGUAUGGAUACCCAAAAUUUUAUCCGAACCCGAACCCGAAUGAAACGGAUAUAUCCGAUGGAUAUGGAUAUGGAUUCGGAUAUGGAUAUCAAAAAUAGAAACCCGACGGAUAUGGAUUCGGAUAUGGAUUUUGAUUGUACUCGACCUGAACCCGAACCCGACCCGAACCCGAAUUUAUUUUGUAUUAUAUAUAAUAUAUAUAUAAAAAUUUGAUGUUAUAUUUGAAUUUGUAUUUUAAAAAUUUAGGUUUAAUAUAAUAUAUUUUGAAAUAUUGAAAAAAGAAAUAAUUGUUUCGGGUUUAAAUUUUCGGGUUCGGGUUCGGGUUUGGGUUCGGGUUUCGGAUUUUUGGUCGGGUUCGGGUUUGGAUAUGGAUUUUUAAAAUCCGUCGGGUUCGGGUUCGGGUUCGGGUUCGGGUCUCGGGUUUGGAGUCGGGUUCGGGUUCGGGUUUUUAAAAAUCCGCCCCGAAUCCGACCCGUUGACAUCUCUAAUUUUAACCACCACAUUACAAAAUUUAGCCUAAAUCUGCUAUACAGAGAAGCUGUUUAGCGGAACUAACUAAAGUGCGUCUCCUAAUAGCACUACCAAAACAACACCUCAUUAUUGUUUGGCCUUACCUUAUUUUUGAGCUACAAUCACCUCUAUGGAGCAUUUUGACAACAAAAAGUUACGAAAAGUAUGAAACUUCUGCUGUCACGGAAAUCAAAAAAUAUAUAUUUUUAAGCCCCACAGCAGAAGCUCUAAUUCCAAGCCUCUGAUUUUGCUAUGAAGAGAAGCUAUUGGGAGAUUUCGCUUCUCCUAACAGCACUACUCAAACACAACUCUUCAUCAAAAACAAGUCUAAGAUUUGUUGGAGAUUUAAACAAAAAAAGAUGGAGAGAUCUAAAUCCACGCAAUUCACCGCACACACUACAACAAAACUAAGCUAUAGCGACACUUUUAAGUGUCCCUAAAACCUAAAAAAAGUGCUGCUGGCAAAAAUACCGACACUAAAAUAGUGUCGCUAUAUGUGCAGUCCUUGGGAUAUAUAGCGAUACAUAUUAAAAUGUCGGUAUAUCCCAAAAUAAGUGCUGCUGUUUAGUGAUACUUUUUUGGUUUUAGUGACACACAUAAGUGUCCCUGUUUUUUUUAAAAAAAAUAAUUUUUUUUUUAUAUAGUGACACUUUAUAAGUGUCCCAUUGUCAUUCAAAAUAUAAAUUUUAUUUAUUUAAACAUCUAGUCUAGUAUUAUACUUUAGUUAAACUAAUCUCAUAUACAUCAAAUCGAUGAGACUAAAAAAAAAAACAAUCAACAAAAUUUCUUAAAAUCUUGUUAAAAAGAUAAAACUAAAUUCAAAUAUCCAUACGUCACAACAAUAAUAUCUACUCAUAUGUUGUAGUAAUUAUAAUAAAUCAAACUCUCUAACUGAAAGAAAUAUAAAAAUUCAAAAAAUUGUAUGAUAACAAAAUCAAAAAGUGCAUAAACGAAUUCUGAUCGGCUCCAUGAAUAUAUACUUGAACCUGCACAUUGAAUAACAUUUGAAUGGAUAAAGUACUUGAUAAACGAAAUUUAAACCCUAAGUCUACAAUGAUGGGAUAUAGAAAGAUGAUAAUUGAAUAAGGAAAUGGAUUUCUAUAUUGUGUGGGAGAGAAAUGGAAUACUUCCAACGAGAGGAAAGCUAUAUGUGGUGCAUCACAAGAAGAAAAAUGGAGAACCUGUUACAAAAUUAGCAAGAAAAAGAAUUGUAUGUUUUAUUUGACUAUGUAAUUAAAUUAAUCACAUUUGUUAACUAAUUUUAUUACAAUUGUUUUCUACUUUCUGUACUAUAGGAAAAGCUAGAGCCACUCAUCCAAAAAGAGUUAGAUGCCUCACAAACUGCUAGCUUAGGUGGAAGCUUAAUGUGGCCAGCUACUGAUGCUUUUGCCGAAGUGAUAGGCAAAGAACAACAUGGCCGUGUUCGUGGUGUAGGCUUCGGUCCAACUCCUUCUAUGUUUGGUGCCUCAUCAGUCAACACAUCUCAAUGGCUAAGGAUGGUUCCAGAAGAAGAAAUUUUAAGGGAUAAAGAGGAAAUACGUGAUCUUAAAGACAGAUUAAAAUUCAUAGAGGCGAAAGUGGCAUUCCUUUUAUCCCAACAAUCAGAUACUUGUUCUUCACAAGUUACGAAUCGUUAAUGUGUUAUUUUGUUAGCUUUUAAGUUUUUGAAUAAAAGUUUUCUUUUCUUUUUAUUAUAGGUUAAAGAGAUUGCUGGUGACAUAAUUUUGAAGAGAUCAAGUACAUCAGGUAUUGUCAACUUGUCAAUUUGAGAUUAUAAUUUAGUUGAUUUGUUUGUGAUUGAUUCAUAUUGAGGUGUUAGUUAAUAAUAAUAAUCAAAUUUGUAUUGCAGAUAAUAGUAGAGAUGGCAAAGGUGCAAGUGCAUCGGAGCAGCAAGGAUUUCAAGCUACUGAGACUGCCCAACCUCGCAAGCGACGCCGCCUUCGUAUGAGUUUUAUUAGUUAUAUUCAUUGCUAUCUUUGUUUUAAUCUAUUUCUCAUGUUGAUUAAACAUAAUAUAUUUUUUUUCAUUGUAUAGGAAAAAGUUUUGGACAGACUAAAUGUGGGGAUGAAACUCAUCUAAAAUAAUCAUAGACGGUAUGUUAUUUUACUGCAAGAGUUAUCAUUAUAAUGCAUUAAAUUUUUUAUAAUUUUAAAUAUAAGCAAAUCAAAUAAUUUUUUUGGAUCAAAAUGGGUCAAAUACAUGCUCUGCCUUUGUUAAACCUAUGCUUUUUAGUUGAUUUGUUAAACCUGUGCUUUUUAAAUUAAAUGUUCACUUAGAAACAAACAGUGCGUGUGUUGAUGACCCUAAAUAGUUGAAAAGGCUUUUGUUUAUCCCUCCAUCAUUAAUCUUUUGUUAAACAAAAAUAUUGCAAGUCGGAGCAGUCAAAUGCUUCAUAUUUGUGACCAACGAGAAGAAGCUGAUAUUUUUAAUUUAAGUAAAUUCUUGAUAGACUAUUACAUAUUACUGCCUUAAUAGGCCAAUCCUGGGAGGUAAAUACAAAUUGGCAUUGAAUGUAUUGUAGAAAUAUGUAAUCUAGUUCUUUAUUUUUUAGAAUUGAAACCAUCAACUGUCCAUGUAUCGAUAUAGAGAUAUGCUUGUGCUCAGCAUGCUGUGUCGUAUAAUAAGUUUAUUUAUUUUAUCAUGUAAUCUGGUUCUUACUAUUGUCUGAUAGUUUGGCAUUUUCAUUAAUUCCCUAGGUAACUUUUGUAUUACUAAGUUUGUUUUUCAUUAGCUUCGCAGAUAAAUUUUGCAUUUUUGGAGUCUAGCACUUGAGAACUAUUCCUGCUGAUUUAAUAUUUUAUAAUACUAUCCAGUACUACUGAAUAUUUCGCCCCUUUAUAGCUCAUGCGGCCACAAAAGGUGGUUCUUAUAUAUCCAUACAUUUACUUCUAGAACUAGUCUGUUUUAUUUAGUUAGAUUCCUAAAUUCUUCUAUAGUAGCAAGCUUGUUGAGUACCAGGUCCUUUAAUAGAUGAAAUUCAAUUUUCGAUGCUUCCAUUUUUUGCUAUAUGUUACUUACGAUGGAGCUUAUAUUUUUCGAUGUUUGUAUAGCUUAUAUGUUUCAAUUUCUUUUGUUUCAAAUUGAAGCAACAAGGGGACUUGAUGUUUUGCAUUUCAAGAACGUUCGCUUGGAUAGCUUUCUAACAUUUCGAGUUCAAAUAAAUUUUUUUUGCAUUGAUUUCUAUUAGAACAUACAAAAUUGUUUGUUGCAUUUUGUCAUUGCUACAGAUCAUGAUUUUACUAUCUUAUAGUCUUGUUACAAACAAUUUUACUAUUUUCUUAUAGACUUCUCUAUUGCAAUUUAGUAAUAUAACUCUCAUUUUUUUGGAUAUUGCAAAUAGUGAAUUUUCCAGCAAAUAUCAAAUGAAAAAGACCUAUUGUAAUUUGUUGAUAUUAGUAUUUUUUUUUUUCAUAUUAGUUUUUAAAUUGCCAACGGUCAAAAACUGUCACUAUAUAUACUUUACGCCAGUGGUUUUUUUGUAGAAGUACCGACGGUUUAUAAAAUGUUGCUAGAGAUUAUCUUCUCCAAUGGUUAAUAAAAGUGCUGGGAAAGGGUAUUACCAGCAAGGAUAUAGUAACAGUCAUUUAUACUUUUACCAGCACUUUUAGAACUGCUGGAGCAAAUAUUACCAUCGAUUUUUAUAAUCUUUUCCAACAGUUUUGGCUGCUGGUGUACACCUAUAUUGUUGUAGUGAGAAAAUUUAAUCACGUAUAGAAUGAAAAUCAAAAGAAAGAAAAAUAAAUGAUUUAUAGAUGAUGACCAAAUAAGAUCCCAAUCAUCUACCAUAAAUUGCAAAAGUUGUAACCAAGCUAGAACUUUAUAUAAAUCACUAAAGUAUUAAAAAGUGAGCAUUCAUAGAGAAAGAGAGAGAGAGAGAGAGUUAAAUUUGAUUAUCUCUUCCUAAUAUUAUCUCUGAACUAUUAUCUUCCUUACUCCAUCACAUUCCUUUUGUCAUCAACUAAACCUAUAUACACUGGAGAGUUAAAUUUGAUUUUAAUAUGAGUACUAGUUCAGCUUAUGAUGAUAGAAGAAAUAUGAAUUGGUAAAACAACAAGGAGAAAAUGUAAUUUGAAGUUUAACAGAAUCAUCUAAAUUAGAGAUUUGCUAGCAAUUGAUUGCUAAUAGUUAAUGGCACCUGCAAAUCCAUUUUGCUAGCACAAAAGCCAUUUUAAUUUAACAGAAUCAUUGAUAAAGUUAACAACAUCCAAAAUAAUAUAACUAAUCAAAAAAUCUUAAAUCAAAGAGAUUAAAGCUGGAAACAUGUCAAAAUAAAGUAAAAGGGUCCAAUUUUACCUAAAUAUUUGCUUUUUAUUAGAAAUUUGGAAUUUACAAGAAAGAUGCUAUAUAAACCUACAGUUUCAUUCGCCCGCUGGUAAACUGCAGUUUACUCAAAUUUCAUUCGCAAGCUGAUAAACUGCAGUUUUGAGUAAACUGCUACAUACUACUGCAAUUUGAUAAUUAGUAGACCCAAAUCAUGUAAUCACAUAUAAUAAAACUAUCAAAUGGACGUGUGAAAUAGCAUACUAAUACUAAAUUCUUCGGUUCUACUCUAUUAAAACCCAAAUUAAUGUACGAGUUUAAGGUACUAGCUAGCGAGCCUAAUGAUAUAUUUAAUCAAAGAGAUCAAAUUCGAUUCAUGCACAAACAAGCAAGCGAUUCACACACAAAGCGAUUCGCAUAAGAGAUUACAGCCUAAAUCCUCAAGAUAAGAAACCCUUGUAUCGAUCGAGCUUACCUUCUCCUUCUCCUUCUCCUCGUUCUGCACCUUCAACGCGCCGCGAGUACAGCCAGAAAGCAGUCGCCGGACUCCUCCCCCAACCCUAAUAUUUUGGGCAAUAUUAGCAAACCCUUGGAAUUAAUUACCAUAAUUAAUUAAAAACUGGAACAAACACAGAGGUAUAUGAGCUGUAAAAGAACGAUAAAAUGCAGAAAUUCUUUUACUAUCUGACAAUAAAUAACAAUAUCCAGUAAUAAUUGAUCAGGUCUAAGCAAAAUAUCUUUAACUUACCAUCUAAUCUUACAUAUUAAAAAAUUCUAAAAAUAUUUCAUCAAAUUCUGGCAGAAUUUAACAAUUCUCAUCAAAAACUGUAGAAAGUAUUACAUCAAAUAGCGAAAUAUUCUAACAGAUUAUAGAAAUAAUUGUUUAAAGAAAUGAAAAUACUAUCAACUUGUGAUCAAGACGUACUAAAUCAAACAUACUAUAAGAUUAGGCACGGAGAUUCAAAGUUUUCAAGUUUAGAAACAUGUUUCAAAAAGAAGCAUAGAUCAGGAAAGAUCUACACAUUUCUACCCAAAAUAAAUCAAGCAAUGCGCAAUGUACCUAACAAAAACGGAUGAUUACAGCACUCAGGAAAGAUAUUUCAUAUAAUUCACAUUAGCUUUUCUUAUUAAGCGCUACGUUUAACUAAUUCUAAUUGUAGACAAAAAAAAAAAAAAAAACCAUUUCACCAUCAUACAAUUUUUAUUAUCAUCUUAUUACUCUAUUUUACAGUAGAUCUUUAUGUAAAGUUUAAACAAAAUUUAUAACAUAGCAAAAUGCUACACUUUAAUCAAAAUGAGUUGAAGUGGAUAAUUAUGAAACAUUUACACUCUAAUCUCGAUAAUUUUUGUUUUGGUCACACUUGGUUCCANAUAUAUAUAUAUAUAUAUAUAUAUCCAUGCACACGAGAGUACUUGCAUGUUAAGACCCACACUUUAAUAAUCAUCACCAAAAAUUACACAAACUCGGUUUCAUUAGAGAGUUUAAGCCUAAAUUUCUUUCCAAUGUUAAACCCACUGAUAAUUGCAAUAAUUGCCAUAGGGCAACAUUAAUAACAGUAAUAGAUGAUUAUAAUAAGUUUUGCUAUACUUAUACACACUUACGGAUAAAAUUAUGAUGUUUAUGUGAUUCAACGGUGAAAUUCACGCGGAUAAAAAUGAAUAGUGCAGGUCCCAACGCUGAUUUAACCAAUAAUAAUAUAAGAAUGAAUUAUACAUGACUCAUCUUUAAUAACUAAUAACAGUAGAUAAUGAAAUAUUAAUAUACAUUUUCAUAUUACGUAAAAUUACACUAUUCAUGUGAUUCGAUAGGUUGUUAUGAGAUUCAUGCGAAUAAAAAUGAAUAGGAUGUGACCGACCGUUCCUGGCGUCAGCGGUAAAGGACUUUGAUGAUUUGUUUUCCAAUUUUCAAAUUCUAAAAAAAAUGAACAAUCUUUAUGUAUAUGUACAAUUUGGAAGGCAUAGUAAAACUUAUUAACAAUACAACAACAUUAGUAAUAUCAUUUCUCACUCUCUCUCUCUCUCUCUUUUAGAGAGAUAGUUAAGAAGAUUUUAAGAACAAACUUAAAGUAGAUAACAUUAGUAUAUAAUAUACACAUAGCUUACCAAAUUUAACAACAUUAACUAUUAGAACAUAUAUAACAAGAACAAUAAUAAAUUAUUAUUAUGCCUCACUAAUUCAAAUCAGCGUUUUUGAAUUAAGGUUCUUAUUCAAAUCGUCUUAAUUAAAGCAGUGAUGAAAAGCAAAUCUGAUGUUUGAGAUGAUAAUCCCUAUAAUUUUUUUUAAAAUUUUCAAGUAGUAAGUAUAUAAAUAUGAUUAACUUUACUAAUUAUAUGAUACAUGAUUUUAUGUAACACUUACAUAACUGCUCCCAAAUAUCAUCUAAAAUUUCUUAGAAAACACAACAAACGCUAGUAGCGAAGUUGCACUAAUUAUUUGUUAUUUAAUUAUGUAAACAGCCUCGAUUUAUUCCCACAAUUUAUACAUUUCUAAUUACACCCAAACCCUAAUUACAUGCGCCUAUACACAGCCUAAAUUAGGAACUAUUUACAGGGGAAUAAAAAGAAAGAGAGAGGGAGGAAAAAAAACCCUAGCGAGAUGAUCGAUUGCUCACCUCUUGCGAAUCCGCGUACGGAUCCUCCGCUUCUCCCGGAGCGGCGGAGACGCCGCGUAGAGAUCGGCGACGAGGCGGUAGCGCUUCCUCAGCCGCCGCGGGGCGGCGGCGCCGCCGAUGAUCUCCUCGUCGUCGUCGUCGUCCUCCUCCUCCUCUGCCGCGAGCAGCGACGGAGGGGGGCGGGUGUUGACGGAUCGGGGGGAGGAGGCGGCGGAGGAUGCGGCGGCGGCGGCGGUGGAGGAGGCGGAGGAGGCGGAGGAGCUCUCGCUCAGCUGGACGAGGAGCUCCGCCGCGGCUCUUCGAGUGCUACGUCGGAGGAGGAGGACAGCGAGGGCCUCUAGGGUUUCGGGGGGUCGGAUGAAGGGAGAAGAGGGAUACGACCCCCUUUUGUUUCUUUCUUUUUCUUUUUUUUUUUUUUAUUGUAAUUGAGGUUUUUAUUUGGGCUUUUUUAGUCCAACAAUCCCCUCCCAUAAUUUUAUUCUAAAAAAAAGACCAAUUAAAUUUUUAUUUAUAAUUAUAGUCCUAUUAAAAUGGUGAAUGGUUCACCAUAUUUAAAAGCGGUGAAACAUUCACCGCUUUCUUUCUUUUUCUCACUUUUUUUUAUAUUUUAAUGAUAGUAAAAGCGGUGAAUGGUUCACCGCUUUUAUUUUUUUUUAUUUCUAAUAAAAAGUUAUGAAUGUGGUGAAUGAUUUACCGCAUUUAGAAGCCUAUUUUUAUAAUUAUUUUUAAAAAAAUUAUUUGUAUAAUUAUAAAAAUUAAUAAGAUUAUUCUUUAUUGAUUUUUCUCUCUUACCGUAUAUUCAACCAUUAUGUUGUAUUUCUAUAAUAUCUCUUUAAAUCCGUCAUAUUUAUAAAAUCCAUCAAANUAUUUUUAUAAUUAUUUUUAAAAAAAUUAUUUGUAUAAUUAUAAAAAUUAAUAAGAUUAUUUUUUUUUAAUUUUUUUUUUUUUAUUUGGACCUUUGUUAAAUUUUUUUUGCUAAUUAAUUUUAAGAAUUUUUGAAUAUAUUGUGGGACACUUAUACUAAAAUGUCACAAAAAAAUGUCUCUACAAUUUAGUUUUGUUGUAGUGUAAUACUAAAAAAAAUUACAUAUGAAACUGAUAUAUAUAAUUAUAUGGCCUAAAAUGCUUAAUAAAUUAUUAUGAAUUUACUUAAACCUAUAUCUCUACUCCUUUAUUGAUUUUUCUCUCUUACCGUAUAUUCAACCAUUAUGUUGUAUUUCUAUAAUAUCUCUUUAAAUCCGUCAUAUUUAUAAAAUCCAUCAAAUCAAUUAUGUCACACUAUAUAUUUUAAAAGAUAACCAAGACAUUUAAUCAUGUAGGUUGGAUUAAAUAGCACAAAUCAAUCUUUCACUCUAAUUAUUUCUUUAUAUAAAAAAAUUUUAAAAAAAUAGAAUAAUUUGGGGUAAACUUCAAAUACUCCAUAUGUGAUUUCACAUUUUCUCACUUUAGUAUUCUGUGGUUUAAAGUGUAUCAAGUUAGUCCAUUUGGUUUAGAACUUUCUCACUCUAGUACUCUGUGGUUUAAAGUGUAUCAAGUUAAUUAGUAUCCUGUGAUUUUAUUUUUCUCUUUUUAUUAUACAUUUCACUAGUUUUUUUUCGUUAAAUCAGUGACAAAGUUAACGGAAUAUUAGCGGAGGAAAAAAAAUCAGUGACAAAAUUAAAACUAAAGGGUGAUAAAGUAAAUAUUCGAUAAAGCUAGAUAGGGUAUCUUAAGUUUUUGGUAUAUAAUUUAACGAAAUAUUAACGGAGGAAAAAAAAUUAGUGACAAAGUUAAAACUAAAGGUGCUAAAGUAAAUAUUCGAUAAAGCUAGGUAGGAUAUCUGAAGUUUUUUGUAUAUAAUUUAACGAAAUAUCAACAGAGGAGCCGACGAAAAGAGAAAAAUGAAACCACAUAGUACUAAAUUGAUACACUUUAAACCACAGGGUACUAAAGUGAAAAAGUGUGAAAUCGCAGGGUACUAAAUUGAUACACUUUAAACCACAGAAUACUAAAGUGAAAAAAAAUGAGACCACAGGGUGGUAUUUGAAGCUUUUUCUAUAAUUUAUAUAAAUAAGAAUAAUUAAAAUUUAGAGGACAUAUUUAAAAUGACCUUUAGUUCAGGUGGUUUAUAUGUAUCGGUAAUUAUAUGUAUUAAUAUAUGUUAGUACAUUUAUAUGCAUAUAAAAAAAUAUAAAAAUUCAAAAUCAAAAUUUUGAAAAAAUAAAAUCCUACUUUCUUACUUUUAUAUGAUGUUAGACAGUACUCUAAAAAGCUCAAUUAUUAUAAUCUUUUAUCUUUUUCAUGGACAUGGUAUAAAAAAGUGUUAUUUAUAUAUACACUCUUUCUCUGGUAUAAAAUGAACAUUUUUUUAAGUAAAUCGUACUCUAUCUAUUUUAUAUAGUAUUAAUUCCUAUCUAAUUAAGUGCCUAAUUUUAUAUUACUUAGGUACACGCUCAGACCAAUCUCCAUCAUACUAUUGAAAACUUAAAAAAGUUGUUGAUUAACUCUGCAAUAUAUUAUUAUUAUAAUCAUAUAAUAUAGUAUGUUUUGAGUACGUGAGCAUCGGGGUUUUUUUUGCAAAUAGCUCCCUGAGCAAUUUUUAUUUUAAAAAUAGUCCUAUCAAAAUUAAAAUUAUAAAAAUAGCCCUGACCCUGCCACACAGGCGUUACGUUAGCGCCACGCAGGCAGGGCUGGGGCUAGAGUAUUAAGUUGAACACGUUGAACAGUUCACCGUGUUCAAACACGGUGAAUUAUUCACCGUGUCUAAACACGGUAAAUUGUUCACCAUAUUUAGUACAUAUUUUUUGUAUAUUGAAAAGUGAAAUAAGGAGUAGGGAUGUCAAUAGAUAUAGAUAUUCGAAAUAUUAUCAGAAUCCAAACCCGAAUAAAUUUUAUAUAUAUAUAUAUAUAUAUAUAUAUAUAUAUAUAUAUAUAUAUAUAGUUUAUUCGGGUUUGGAUUCGGAUAAUAUUUUGGAUAUCCAUACCUAUUGACAUUUCUAUUCUUUAUUCUUCUUCUCAAUAUAUAAAAAAUACGUACUAAAAACGGUGAACCAUUCACCGUGUUUGAACUUAACACACGGACCCGACCCUGCCUGCGUGGCGCUGACGUGGCGCCAGCGUGGCAAGGCCAGGACCAUGUUUACAAAUUAAAUUUUAACAGGACUAUUUUUAAAAUAAAAAUUUGUUAGGGGUCUAAAUGCAAAAAAAGCCUCGUAUAUCACUUAUACACGUGUACACCACAUCAUCACUAAGUUUGUGAUUGGAUGAUGGACACUAUAUAUAUGUUGGUUACUUCACUCCAGAGUGAGAUUUAUUUGAUUUAUCGUGUCUAAUUAUCGAUGGUUUCUUAGUUUAGCAUUUUUUUUUUUUAAAUGUGUGGAAAAAUGUGGGUGAAAAUGUGUGCUUUAUGUAUAUCCCAAUCAAAAGGGCUUUUGCUAUUUUUUUAAAAUGUGGGUAAAAAUGUGUGGAGGUACCCUCAACAAUAGGUUAUUUUGAAAUAGGUCCCUUCAACUUUAUGUCGCCAAUAAAAAUCUAUCAACUUAAGCGCAAACCAAAUAAAAUCAAAUUCAUAAACGUUGAUGCAUAAAAUAAAAAAAAUCUUGGCAAAUUUUCACAAUUAAGUUUAUACCAUAACACCUCAAUAAUUCCACGUCAGAUAGAAAAAUAAUUUUUAUUAGAAUAUAUGAAGUCUACAUGCUAGUAAGUAAUAUAUAAAAAUUGAUCUUAAACAUUUUUGGCCGAUAGUUUGGGCCGAAUAAGUUAUUAUUGCUGGUGGGUCAGGUUGUUACAAUUGGUAUUAGAACCAAAAAUCAGUUGGAAUGGAUUUGGUGGGAGCCAUCUUAUGAACCCGUAGAAACCACCUCUAUAAUUCUGAUUUGAUUUGGACCCGAUGAGGACAUCAGGGUCUAAAUAGGAGAAUCUCAUAAUUCUGGUCUUCUGGUUUGAUUUGGUUUAGACCCUAUGAGGAAUAGGGUUUUCUGGUUUGAUCUGGUUUAGACCCGAUGAGGAAUAGGGAGAGUUUUGUAACGCCCCAAUUAAUGGUUUGGCCCAAUAAUCUCAUGGUGGUUUGGGUUCAACGAACUAUUAUUGCCAGCGGGUCGAAUCGUUACACAUCCACAAUCAAAAUUUAAAUUUAGUUUAAGAAAAUAUGACGUAAUUAAACAUUGCCAUAACUAAUUUUCUUAACAAUAAAAUAAGGUCUCCUGUGCCUUCUGUUGUACAGUAGGGAUAGAUUUUUUUGCCCCAUAAUCUUAAAGAGAAGAGAUGUCAAUAGACAUCAUUCAUUAGGGAAGAGAAAAUGUUGUUAAUGGAGGAGGCAAGAAUGGAAGCCAAGUAUAUUUUCGGGUCUUUUCUAAUGCAGAAGUUUCGUCUAAUCCGGUUUUGAGUUUUAGGUCUAGCCGCACAUUAUGCAUUAAAUUGACACAAUACAGACCCAAACUUUUAUUCCACAUAAUUUUUUUGGGACAAAAGUAUGGCCAAUUUCAAAGAAAGCGAGACAAUGCCCCCAAAAAUGAGUUGGGAUGGAAGCAUGUUGAGAUUUUUUUUUUUUUUUUUUUUUUUUUUGGAGAGAUAGGUAGCAUGCAGCACGCGACCCACUUCGUUUAUUUCAUUUAAAAAUAAACUUAACUAUAAAUGUGAAUCAAUUAAGAUUCAAACUUGAGUCUCGAGUACCAACCACCAAGUCCUUUGCCACUUUCUCUGAGGACGGUCGGUAUGUUGAGAUAUUUUUUGAUUCUCGGUGGCAAUCUCAAGUAAGGCAUGCUAUGCAAUCUCAAGUAGAGACUAAUAAAUGAUGGCAAUGAACUAGCUAGGUUUGGUUUUGAGUUGAAUCAAAUCUCCCAUAGUAGGACUAUACGGUUCUAAUUAGAAUUGAACCUAAGCCACCAGCUUAUGCAGGAAGAGUGUUUCCGUGAGCACCCAAAUCUUAAGGAGUUGGAUUGAUCUAAUCCACUAUAGAAAGUAAAAAAUCAAUAAACUUAAACAAAAUCCAAGGGUGCACAAAAAAAAAAAGGUUAGAUUGAAAGGUUUGUUACAAAUAGUGGAUAGAGAAGAGAAUAAAGGGUGGAAGAAGCUUGAACUUGUCCUUUUGGCUGCUUGAAUUUUCAAUUUCAAGCAUUUUCGUUUGAGAAUAAAGAACUAAUAUUAAUAUGGUAGAAGAUUCAAACUUAUUUAUCAAGCGAUCUACUAAAGAUGACUAUAGCAUAAACCAAAAGCAAAUUUAUGUAUAGGAAUCAGAGACGGUUAGUCUAGAAAGCUUGUUUGUGCAUCAUUUAACUUAAAAUAGAAUGGAUACUACAUCAUAAUGCUCAGUAAAAUAUUGAUAUUACAAAUAGAGAUGCAAACGGGAUAGCAAAUUUGUAAUAUUGAUAUUACAAAUAGAAAUGCAAACGGAAUAGAUGUAGGAUGGAUUGACUUUUAUUCUACUUUUGCCCCCAUUUAUCGUUUCAUUCAGUUCAAGUUGGGUAGAAACAAAUUUUUGACGCAAUAGAGAUGAAUACAGCGAAGGGACAUCCUCUCCUCCCACUCUAUUUCCUUGAUGGAUUUGGGAAGAUUGGAAGUGGAUUAUUUGAUUUGAUUUUUUCUUAUUUUUAGUCCUAACUUGCCCGCUUAACACUAGGGAUGUGAAUGAGCCGAAUACCAGCAAGCUGGAGCCGACUCGUUAAAAUAUCAAGCUGAAAAAUUCAACCCGUGUUCAAACUGUUUGUUAAUAUGCUAAACACAAACGGGUUCAUUAACAACAAUUUAAAAAAAUUUAUAAAGGACAAAUAAAAAUUAAUUUAUGAGAUCUUAUCCAUGAGAUCUUAUCCACCCCUACUUAUCGCCUCAUUCGAAGCAGAUCAGAGCGGGAGCUCUAUCAAUCUGGAUCCAUUUGCAUCUCUACUUAACAAAUAUCAGUACAAGCUUAACUAAACUUCAUGAACUGCAAAAACCACAAAAAAAAAUCGCAUUUCCAGGAUGAUUAAUCAAAUGCAUAGAACUAACACCAAAAAAUCAACACCAAGGUGUGAAAGAAAAGGGAAAUAUUUCCAUUUCUAUUAACUCAUGUACAAAACAAACGUCUAGGGACACAAAUAUCACCCAGAAAAAAAAAGAAGAAAAACUAAAGCAAUUAAACCUGGUGGACUAUGUCUAUAAAAGAAAAUUAUCUAGUAACACUAUGUCAUAUGAUGAUUUGAAAGAAUCGGAUCUCCCAGUAUAUAACUCCUUUUCCCUGCAUAAAUAUCUUGUAUCUACAGCGUGUUGCUUCCGAAACUAGAAACAAUGGAGGUUAGGUUCUAUCUUCAGCUAAAAAUUGGCUCGCCACUUUGCUAUACCAUAUGUACAAAACCUUCGCGGACUGUCUUGCAAUUUGACUUUGUCAUGAUAAGAGGAGAGCUCCGACUCCUUCCGUCAUAGCGUAUAAGAGCUUCUCCCUCAUUUUCUCCUGCAUUAAAAUUUUUUAAAAAAAGGUAAAUAAAAGAUAACAGAAAAUGUUUCAAUUAAUAUGAAGUGUAAAGACAUAAGAAGUUUGAAGUUAAUAUUGGUCUAUUUAUUACCUUUGUAGUGUAAGGGGGAAGCUUUAGAAAAUGGUGGCAGAUGUUCACGCUUGGUAAUUCCAAAUUGGCAUCACCAUCACACUGCUGCUAAAAAGGAUGCAUAUGCGAAAUUAUGGAUACGUUAAAAGGUGAAAUUGUAAUAUUGUUAAAUGGUUUUCAGUUGGCCAUUUUGCAUAAAAAGUACAACCAUUUUAAAUUUUGCGACUUCGGCUCAUCUUUUAGUUAUGUUAGUGCGAUUCUAGAAUUAAAAGAAUAUCCUUGUAUGGUGUAGAAUGCCCCCUGGCAGGAACACUAGUGCACAUGUUUAUCAUAACAUAGGCCAGGCACACUUCGGCCAGCGGAAGAAGAAGAUUUAGCCUGAAGUUGUGAAAUUAAGAAAUGUGGACCAAAGUUGCAAAAAUCAUAUAUAUAUAUAUAUAUAUAUAUAGCCUUAAAACACUUCAAGACUCCAAUUUACCGUAAAGUGGGAAAAGAAAAAAAGACGAAUACUGUUGGCAAAACUUAUAGAGUGAAACAAUUAGUUAGAUGUUUAGAAAAGAAGUACAAACCUUUUGGACAACGGUGAGCUUUGGAUUGAGUGACGAAAAACCUCCCAGAGGAACCCGAGGGGCCCCAGUCACAAACUGUAAGAAGGCUCUUUGCUCAUCCCUAGAGAAUUCUCGCAUUAUCUCUAAUAACUGCAUGGAGAAUCAAAUUUCGCACUUGUGAGAAUUUUCAUGAAAUAAAAGAAGGGUAAAAAACAUAAACAAACUACCUGAACUACAAUGCAUUUAAUAUGGGUACCAGAACUUUAACAUUACUUUUGAUUUCAGUAAAAUUCAAAGUUCUGAUAAAAGUGUUUUCUGUCAAAGUAGUUAUGUGAUAGUCUUUCUACAGGAUCAAAGCUACCAUUUUAAGUUGAAACUUGAGGUACUUAAAUCAAAUUACUAUAACGCUCAGUAAUAAGAUCAAAUUUUCAAAAUUUGGGCGCCUAUUUCAAAGUGCGCUAUUAUUCAGAUAGGAUCUGCAUAAUUUUACCAGAAAAAAAUGUAGUUCGCUUCGAAAUUAAACUAAAAAGAGAUUAUUUUUACAAAUGUACUUACAUUGAUUGCAGCAGGACUAACAGCUGUAUAGCCAUGAUCAAAUUGAAUGUGCUCAACAAGGUUGCAGGACUGGCAAACAAUUAUAUGGGAUGUUAGAAUCAUAUUCCAAGUCAAGAAAAAAAAAAUUGGUCAAAAAUAUUAUAAGGUUAGCCUUGACACAUACAGCCCAAGCAUCUUGUUCCCCGCAAAGUAUUCGUUCAAGCUCUUCUUCAGUGAAAAUUUUAAGUGUCUUUAUGGGGAAAACCUACAAAAUAUAUUAAAAGAGAAAGUUAUGAACAUGUGAGAAAACCAUCUCGUAGAUCACUAUUUUUAAUGAGGCUGAGGACUAAGAGGAACAAGUUAGUAAGCUGCAUUGAUCAAACCUUGUUUAUUCCAGACUUAAAGGCUUCGAGCUGCCUUGACACUCCGCUUCCAGUUGUUGCAUCAACAACUAAUGAGACAUAUUCCUCCAAGUUGUCGAGAUUAACCUGAUUUAAAAAAAAAAAAUCAUAAAAAAGAAAAGAUAGAAGAUUAGAAAGACUAUAUUACAGCCCAAAACUAAGCAUACAGAUGCAACAAAAGAUGAUGAAAAUUACCAUUUUAGAGCUGCCUCCAGGUUUCAGAUCAUAAUCGCAAUAACCAGGGAGAGUAAAUUGGAGACAAAGGUCUUCUAUUGCUAAAUUCCGGUACGAUAAAUCGAACACAUGUGGAGAAUUCUCCACUGAAUUGGUUUCCAAAUACUUUUUCCUCUUAACAAGAGCUUGAAAUUCGAUCAUUAUCUUCCCCAGCUCAGGAUCAAAUGAUUCAAUAUCAUACAUGUCAAUUUCCUAAAAGGCACAAUUAAAAAUAUCAGACUAAGAACUUAGCCUUAUUCAUCGUAGUGUAUUACAUAUAGACCCUCCUAUAUAGUGAUAUGCAUCAAAUAAAACAGUGUUUGAGGCACAUGGAGGGACAUUAAAGUAGUUGUUCAUAUUUGUAGGUACAUAUAUAAGAAAAAUACAACCCAAUGGAAAGGGCCAUAUUUAAAGUUUCAUAUAAAGGUAGAAGUUGUACCUGAUCAAGCAUAGCUUUAUAGAAUGGUUUAGAGAGAGGGAGGUCCAAGAUCCUUCCAUCUAAAAUGGCUCUGGCUACAAGCUGUCCAAGAAGGAAGAAGUGCUUAAGCACAUCCGAGAAGUCAAUGCCACCAGAAGAACUUCCUGCUACUGACCACGGAUGAGGAAAAAGACCAAAUGGAGCAAAUACGUAUCCAUCAGCAUGUACUACUCCCUUUUCUGAACAAUCUCCCCUCCACAAGCCAAGACCAACUUUUUGCAAUUCCCUACUCGAAGUAGUAUAAAAUUCAACAGCAGGCCCUCUACCUGUCCCAGCUUCUCCAUGAUAUUCUAUUUCAAUUAAAUCCAUGCUACGAGCAUGAGAAGCCAUCACCAACGAAGCUGAUUGAAGUAUUUGUUCACGAUCUACUUUGUACUUCUUGCUAGCAGGUUCUUUUGAAUUCGGCUCACUCAAAAAAAGCCGAUUUUGUAAUGCAUUACACAAAGUGAUACAAAAGUAUUUCCAUCUUGUGUCGAAAGAGAAUAAGAAAGGAGAGGCUGCCAUCAAAUGAAUGCACCAUGAAGGGGUGACACCUUUUUCGAAUAAGGAAUCUUUCAUUUGCUGCUCCAAUUUGUUAGCCAACAUUAUACUGACAAAUUCAGACUGCGGCAUCAAAAAAUUUGACGUCUUUAUGUCAUCGAAACUUUUUAUUUUCCCUUCAGCAAAUUCAUCUAUCCUUUCUUGGGUAGAAAUUUGAAAGGAAAAUCUGUUAAGUCCUUCCAAUAUUUUCAGAAUAAAAAGUAUAUCAUAUGAAGGGCUCAGUUGUUCUAGCUCACAUGGGAUCCUUCCGAUGACCAUACUAGAGAAAAAAGAAUGCUUUUGCCAUGGAAGUAUUGAUCCAGAAGUAUAAUGGAGCUUUUGGGAAGAAGUGCUACUGGCUUUCCUGGCACUCAAAUAAGUUACUACGUGUAUCUCAUCAAAGAAGGAUGAAUUCACAAACAAAUCACCCUCUGCAUCAGUCUUUUCUCGAAGUAUAGAUUCGAAAAGGGUUAAAGACCGGUUUAGCCUUUUAUGCUUAUAGUAAAAUCUCAAUUCGGAUGUUUCUGCACAAAGAGGGCAGAUAUGCAUAAAAAAUUCUGCAGUAAUAAGAUAUGAUCACUCGAUCUAUUAUAUUGAAUAGAAUGUAAAUACCUUUCGUAAGCUCCCUUGGGGCUGUAGCGUUAGUCUUUGAUCUAGUUGAUUUUUUCAACCCCUGAAAUGAAGAAAUAAAAUAAAAGUUUUGUACAAUCCAAGGCAGUUUUUAGUAAAGAUUUAAGAGCAAACUAUCAGAUUAUGUUUGCUUGUAAUUCUCGAAUAAUCAAGUUGGUAGAAGGUAAGCAUGGCGAGUACACGCCCAAUCAUCAUUCAAUGACAGGAUAAUACAUACUAUAUUUAACUUCAUAAUAUUGCUAUUAGUUACUAAAGUUAAUUAAACUUUCUUUCAAUCAGGCGAUAUACAAGGAAAAGAACAAAUGGGAAAAAAAAAGUGAAAAUUUGGUAAUUGCAUGCAAGGUAACAAACAUGUAGAAAUAACAAAUCAGACAAACCGUUCCUAAUUUAUUUGAAGUUAGAAAGAAGAGCUCUCUUGUUUAAUAAGAAAGAUUAAAUGAUAGACUACGAUGAUGAUCUAUCUCAAUAAAAUGAUACAAUUUCAUUGCUCAGUGCAUCAAUUGUGUCUGAAAAAAGAAAAAUAAUAUCAAUCAAGUUUUCUGCAAUAGGAACCAUCUAACCAUAGGGGGAACAAUUGUUACCUUCAAAAAGUUUGAGGAUAUGUGGGGCCAUAAGAGUGCUUCAAUGGCCUCAAGAGGCGAAUUAAGGUCAAUGGCCAAAACAUCGUCAAAGUUUGCCAAAUUUUUCUCCCUUACCGCCCUCCUAAAUUGCACCUUUAUCUUCAUAAAUUCCGAGUUUCUCAGCGGGAUGGUCACAUGCUUUAGUUCAGAUUGAUAAUUAUCACUUAAAAUUAAAGAAAAAUUGUCGCAACAAGAUGCAUGCAAUGCGUCUUGCAACUUCCGCACCAAAAUGGAAAGAAUAUUCUCCUCUGACCUCUGAUCUGGUAUAAGGAGAGCUAUACAAGCAAAUGCAUCCAAUCUCAUUUCCACCUCAUGUAAAUGCUUCAACAAUUUAUCAGUAUCUUUUAUUUCUCCUUUCAGAAAUCUCCCAUUGGACAAGUAGCAAGCCAAAGACCUAAUUAUACCACUAUCAACAAACUCAAGAUUCGACAUAGCCUUAACUUGGUGCAAUGCAUCACAUAUCUUCUCCCUAGUUUGCCCAUCUUUAGUGAGGGACUUGGUGGCAUUGUAGUUAUUAUUUGAUAUAGAGAAGAAAUCUUUCAAAUUCUGAAGGAUCCUCACAAAACCACCAUUCUUCGAACCGCUUGUUGUGGAGAAAAAAGUGUUUCUGAUACUUUCGGCCAAAGCAAGAACUGCUUCUUUUCCCACCCUGCAUGCUUCUUUGUCUGAUGAUGGGGAUGAAUCAGAACCAAAUGAAUAGCAAUAGCACGAGUUAGCAACAUUGCUUUUAUCUUUGUCCUUUCUGAGUUUAGACUGUUGAGGGUUUCUUUCUCUCAGUAUGAUUGCAUCAAUGAAAUUAACCAAACCCUCUUUGCAGAAAGAUAUUAAGUGAAAAUCAGGGGCCUUUUCUAAAAGGAUCUCAGCAAUCUUCAGAGUGUGGAAAAGUAUCUGGUGAUCUUUAUGUGCCGACAAGGAAGCCAAAAGGCUGAAAAAGUAGAAAAGAUCGUAAAUGUGAAUUAAAAUACUCAUUAAUUAACUAAAAGAAAACAUAGUCAUCCCCAGAAUUAUGAUAUUUGCUCACCUUGAGAUGUUUGUUGUCUUACUCAACUCCACAAGCAGCUCAGGAGUGCUUAAGGAAAAUAUGUUGCAUAACAUACAAAGGAACCCGUAUGAGACAGCUAAUUUUGCAUUAGAACCCACAAACUACACCACAAAAACCAAACCAGUUAGAUGAUAAACACAGCUUAGCAUUUUCCACUUAUGCUUGUAUACUUGUACCGAGUAUCAUACCUGAAUUGAAAGAAAAACGAUGUUCGUUACAAACUGAUGAAAAUGGAUAUGAUUUUCCAAUAUAGUCUUCUUCUUCUGCUGUAACAGUUGAGUCUUUUCUUGAUUACACGUCUCAACCAUAGGUAUUAACUGAUUCACCAAGUUCAGAACAUCAUAUAUCUGCCAUAAGGAAAACAAGCAAGUAUAAGAUUCCAUCUACUAGGUGUAGUGAUCAAUAGGCUAAAAGGCAGACAAUUCCUAGGAUAUAUAGCGGUUUGCACUUUAUUCCAGUUAUUAACUAAAUCCUGCAGAUAAUCACCCAAUUAGCAUUUUAACACAUUAUUUAGUUGGUUAAAGUGCAAUAUUUUCUGAAAAAUCGAGAGGUUAUCUAUAGGUUUUGAUUAUUAAGUGGGGUACAGUUGGAAUCACAAGAUAACUAGAGGCCUUAUCUCCAUUUACCCUGGUUAAUAGCUAUUAAUCGACUUUUCAUACAUGGAAAGGUUUAUAACUUCAGCAAAUUUGGCACAGCAAGCAUACCAGAUCAAGCUCCAGAUUAUGAAAAGAGAGGUUGCGUGAUGUGAGUGCCCCACUAAGCACACUGCCAAUGUUCAAUUCGAAGAGAAUCCUCACUGCAAUGAUGGAGCCCGAAGCAAGAAAUCCAAGUAGCUGGAUCAAAUACUGCAAGCCAUUUUGUACAUUAACUUGUAGGUGUAAUUAAGAAAAGAACUAAAAAGAUAGAUGGUGUUGAAUUUUAAUUCACAGAAUGUAGUUAAUUGCAGUUUUGCCCACUAACUAUAAGUUGGUACAAGAAAACCUACUAACCGUCUUGUAUGCAGUUUUGUUCAGAACGGUUGAUUCAGUGUAAAAAUAUUCAUUCACUAUCUAAUGUUACUAGCAGCAUGUAAGUUUGUUUCUUUUGGUGCAAAAAUUACAAUUGGACCACAAAAUUUUGAUUUGGUUCAGAAAGUGAGGAAAACAGAAUCACACCACAUUAGAUAGUUGGUGAGCGUUUUGCACCAAAUCAAAACUACAAGGGCUAAAUUGCAAUGAAACAUAAGAUAGUGCCUUUUCUUUUUCUUUUUUAUUUUCCUGCACCAUAUUCAAGUUAGCAGUUUGAAUUGGAACUGAGUUAGUGCAUUUUCUUUUUCUACAACAAUUCAAGUUAGCAGUUUGAAUUAGAUCUGUGAAAAGUUAGUGGAUUUUUUAACAUUUUAAAUGUUAAUAAAAAUUUUAAAAAAAAAUACAAGGAUAAGAAACAUACUAGUAAAUUAUCUCUGUCCAGAGACCUCGAAUUGUUGGAGUUCAUCAACUGUACGGAAUGAGCGACCACUCCUAGCAUGCAGAUCUCAUCACACAGCUUUGGAGAAGUAUGAAAGACUUGCCCAAUCACCAACAAGCAAUCAAGAGCACCAUCCACAAUCUUAUAUGAAUAAAAGAACAAAAGAAUAAUUGAUACGGCGCAAGAAAUUUUAUUCAACUGAAAACAUCAAGGAAAGAGUGAUCUUGAUGUUUACCUGCUUUUCUUCCGAUUGCAGAAGGUUGCAUAAGACGGGAACAGCUUCGAUCACAAGGGAAGAGUGUUCCAAGUUGAUCACAGAGAAUACGUUCGACAUAAUUGAAACUACGACCCUCUUCAAUUGUCAUAAAUAAAGAAAUAUUAAUUUAGUAGCAAAUCCACACUGAAAUUAGGGACUGUUUUGCCCAGCUGUGGGAGUCAGUUCUGCUAGGACAAGCAUUGUUAGUUUUCUUAUUAAAACAGAAGCUUGCAGCUUCCGCUUUUGGGUCCACAAAAUUGCAAUUCUGCUUCAAACUUUUCUUUUUCUUGUCUGCUCUACUGAAAGUGUCAGUAGUUGAGAGCAGAAGCAGGUACUUAAUACAAGAAAAUGGUUUUGCAUAAGAUCAAGUUUGUGCAAUAGUAAAAAAAUCCAAAUUAAGGGCUACACAACUAGUCUAGUCUAAUCAUAUGAAAUCAAUAACUUUUUAUUUUUCUUUACAUAAAAUUUCUUAUACUUAUCAAAAUCAAAUACUUAGGAUAGAAUUGGUAUGCUAUACAUUUAUCUUGUAAAAAUCAAAUUGAUUACGAAUAAUUGUGAACUCCCAGUGUCAAUUGCUACAAAAACUACUCCGAACUCUAUCAUAAAUUGUUUCCAAGUGCUUCCUAGAGGAAUUUGAUUGAGAGUGUUACAGUAUUAUUACCUGUGUGGAUAAUGAGAAGAAAUCAAAGUGCUUGAGAACCGCAGGGACAAUGCCGGCGCUUAAGCACUUCUCCGGCCUUUCCAGCGAUAUCUUCUCCAGCGCUCGCAAACACUACAACACAUUGUACCGAUCAAAUAAAUAAUAACCUAAAAUUAGGGCGUGUAAAAGCAGAGGAGCGAGGGUUCGCGCGCGCGAUCCGCACCUGCUCGGCCAGGUCCAUGUACUUGAUGCUCGCCACGUGCGCGCAGAGCGCGGGGACGACGCCGCGGCGGACGAAGGCGCCGGCGGAGUCGGGGCUCGCGUCGCAGACGAGGGUGAUCGCGCGCGCGGCGAGGACAGCGACGGAGGGGUCGACGGCCCCUUCGCCGCCGCCGCCGCGGCCGGAGGCGAGGUCGACGAGGUGGCGGGCGAGGUCGUCGAUGGCGAGGGAGUCGAAGAACUCGUCGGGGACGAUGGCAAAGGCGUCGCAGAGCGCGGAGAGCGCCGCGCCGGCGCUGGCGAAGCCCGCGGCGCCGGGGUCGAGGUUGCGGAGGAUGUCAGCGUAGAAGUCGGCGCCGUCACCGCCCGGGGCGUCCAUGGAGUCGGCGCCGAGAUCCCCUUCGUCGUCGUCGUCGUCGUCGUCCUCGUCGGAGCUCGCGCAAGGGGGAGGGAAGGGAGAGGAGGAAGGGUUUUGGAGAGGUUCCGGAACGAUGAAGCACGAGAGAGAGAGAGAGAGCGGAAAAAGAACAACAAUCAAGUUCGUAAAUCGUAAUGCCGUAUUUAUAAGGGAGGUUAUGGCAGGCGUAUUAUAAUAUAAUAUAAUAAUAAAUAAUAAUAUAAUAAAUAAAUAAUAAUAUAAUAAUAACAAUCUAAGGCCCGGUUUGGCCCAGCUUCCUAAAAGUGAUUUUCAGCAGCCCAAUAGAGUGUUUGGUAACGGUAUUUGAAAAAUCUGAUUCUGCUUUUUAAAAGCUGAAAACUGAUUCUUCAACCCCUAAAAGCAGAAGCUGAAAAAACCUGCUUUUCAAAACAGAUUCCCGCAGAAGCUGUUUUCCCACUUAAAUUUUUUUACAAAAAUACCGAAAUUGCCCUUAAACAUUCAAUACAAUUCUAUCAUAUCCUUUUAUAAUUAAAAUACUCUCUCUCCCAUCACUCUACCAUUACCCUCCCAUUACUCACAGCAACCUACUACUCCCACAAAAAAAAACACUCCUUUCCUCUUCUUCUUCAUCUAAUCACUCUCCUCUCCUCUCUUCCUCUUCGGCGAGUUUCUUCAUCUCUCUCCCCUUUUCCUCUCCGGCGACGCCUUUCCACCGGCGAGUUUUUUCUCCGGCGAACCUCCAAGGUACUCCCCAUUUUUUUUUUUUUCAAGAAGAGUGUUUUUUUUUUCAGAUUUAUCUCCCUCCCUCUCUUGAUUUCUCUCCCUAAUCCGUGCCCGGCACCAGAUCCGGCCCCAGAUCCGGCCCCAGAUUUGCGCCCGGCCCCAGAUCUGGCCCCAGAUCCUCGCCGGCGUGAUCCGGCAAAGACGGAUCCCGCCGGCUUGGCCGGAUCCGCGCCGGCGAGCUUCGGCUUUGCCGGAUCCAGCCUCGGAUCCGCCUUUGAGCCGGAUCCGGGCAUGGAUCACGCCAGCGGGAUUCGGCAAAGUCGGAUCCCGCCGUCUUGGCCGGAUCGGAGCCGACAGGGGAAUCGAAUGCAUGUCUCUACCUUUAGCAGACAUGUUAAUUAUCAUAAAUCUGCAUGAUCUUUAAGUUAAAAAAAGAUCAACAAUGGCAUUAUAGUGUUCUCCACAACAUUAAUAUAUGGAUUUUCUGAAACAAAGCCUUCUAUGUGUUCCACCAUUCUUGCAUCAUGACCUCUAUUUUAGGUGGUUGUGCUUCUACAACUAAUUUCCACAAUUAGAAAACAAAUAGUGCUUAUAAAUUAUUAACAUUGGUAAAGUUCUUUGGUUAGUUGUUGUCCAAUACAUAGUUUAGAAAAUGGGCUUUUACAUUUAUAUCUCUCUGCAAACACAGCUAUUUACAUAUAUAUGUUCCAUUGUAAACUUUGAACUUUCAUAUACUUCUCAAAAAAUGCUCUUUCUUAUAGAAAGAGCCAUAUUUUACAUUGGAGAGUUAUCCAAUUCAUAGGGUAGAUGGUUUAGUAUCUGGAAAGGUUUACCUAGUAGAUGGUAGUUGGUAGUAGAUGGUAGUUUACAUUGGAGAGUUAUCCAAUUUAUAUACUCGAAUUUUCCAGUGUGUUGUUAAAAUAGCAUUCAGAACAAACCAAAAUUCUAGUAGAUGGUAGUUUUAGUAUUUCGAACUUUCUUCAAGUUUGGAACUUGAAGAAGCAUCAAGCAAUUUUGAAUCUAACUCUUGUUCUACUAUCUCUUUGUUACGAAAAUUGAUUAUGCCUUCCUUUCUGGUCACUCCCAAGCACCAUGAAAGAACACUAGUAGUUUACAUGCUAUGAAAAUCACUUUUAGGCCUAUACCUGCAAACACCCAACAAAUUCAAUGGGUACAACUCAACUUUUGAGUACAAUAUGUGUUGGAAGGGAAAUGAAUGCAUGCAUCUAGGAAUUUAUUUUCAGUGAUUAUUUUGUGAAAUUUAUUGUAUAAAUGUAUCAAUUAUUUAGUGACUUUUUAUUUGUAUUUAUCUUUUAAUUCAUAUUUGUUUACUAGAAAUCUGAAAGAUGAAUUCAUCACAAGGAGAACCAUCUACCCAAAAAGAAAAAAAAAAUUAAAGCUACGUGGGAUGCAACGUUGCUUAAAUUUUUUUGCGAAAUAUGUGUUGAAGAGGUUAAUGCCAGGAACCGACCUAAUACUCAUUUGAAUAGAAUUGGAUGGCAAAAUGUGGUUAAUAAAUUUCGAGAGAAAGCAAAUAGAGCUUAUGACAAAAUACAAUUGAAAAAUAAAUGAGAUUCUCUUAGAAGGGAUUGGGUUUUAUGGAUGCAAUUAGUCGGUAAAGAAACAGGAUUAGGAUGGAAUCAUGCAAGGGGUACCAUUGAUGCCAGUCUUGAAUGGUGGGAGGAGAAAUUAAAGGUUAGUAUAAAAUAUAAUUUUUAGCUUAGUCAUACUGUAUGUUUUCUUUAUAAUUCUCAUGAAACAAAAUCCUAGAACUUUAACACUUUCUGGAUGGCAAUGGGUUCAAGAGACCUUACGAACCCCAGGGGAGAGUUAUAGAAUGCUUCGUAUGGAGUCUGAAGUAUUUAAAAGAUUAGCUUCGUUGCUUACUAAUAAUUAUGGUUUACAAUCAACUCGAGCAAUGCAUGCAGAGGAGGCGCUUGCGAUAUUUCUUUUGGUUUGUGGACACAAUGAAACAAAUUGUAAUAUUCAAAACCGUUUCAAGCAUUCAGGUGAAACAAUUAGUAGAAAAUUUAAUGAAGUUCUUGAUAGUUUAGUUCGAUUUUCUGUUGACAAAAUUAAACAGUUGGAUCCUUCAUUUAGUACAAUCCCUCCUCAAAUUCACAACAAUGUUAGGUUCUGGCCUCAUUUUGAAGGAGCUAUUGGUGCAAUUGAUGGAACACUUAUUCGUGCUGUUAUACCUAAAAAAGAUCAAAUUCCAUAUAUUGGUAGAAAGCCCUACCCAAUGCAAAAUAUAAUGGUUGUUUGUGAUUUCAAUAUGGUGUUCACAUUUGCUGUUGCCGGUUGGCCGGGAGCCACGCAUGAUGCAUGAAUUUUCACUACUACUUUGAAUAACUAUGGUCAUAUAUUUCCACAUCCUCCUGAAGGUUAGUUUAGUUUUUUGUUUUUUAAAUAGUAAAUUAUAUUUAUAGUUUUAUAUUAUAAUUAUCUAAUAGUUUUUAUUAUUUUUUGUCUAUGUGUAGGUAAGUACUAUCUUGUAGACGCAGGGUAUCCCAAUAUAAAAGGAUAUUUAGGACCUUAUGCUGGCGGAGAUGUUAGAUAUUAUUUUUCCGAAUUUAGACGGGGGUCUCAACCACGAGGUUAUAAAGCAGUGUUUAAUCAUGCACAUUCAUCCUUGAGGAAUGUUAUUGAACGAUCAUUUGGUGUACUUAAAGCACGGUGGCGUAUAUUACAAAUGAUGCAAGGUUAUCUAGUGCCAACUCAAUCAAAAAUAGUGUCUGCAACUAUGGCACUUCACAACUUUAUUAGGAUGAGUUCAACGCAAGAUGAAGAGUUCAACGCAAGAUGAAGAGUUCAACAAAUGUGAUCAAUAUAUAAAUUAUAUACCAAACAUUGAAGAAGAUGAAAGCAGUACAAGUAGUUCAACACAGACUUAUAGUGGAGUAACAGAUGAUUACAUCAUGACCCAAACUCGAGAUCGUAUUGCUGCAUCAUUGAUGAGUACAUUUUUAUAAAUUGUUAUCCUAAUGGAUAUUUAUCAUUAAGAUGGUUUUGUUAUAUUAAAUAGUUAUUGAUAACUUGAAAUAUUGGCAUGUGAUAUUAGUUAGUUUUAAAAAUAACUAAUGUUAAAUAGUAUUACAAAAUCACUUCAGUAAAAAAAUUUGCCAAACAGCUUUCUAAAAUCACUUCAGCACAAUCACUUUUCUAUCAGACACAGCCAAACGCUCUACAGCUUUUAACAGAAAUCACUUUUCCAAACUAAAAUCACUUCUGCAGAAAUCACUUUUCCAGAAGCUAGGCCAAACGGGCCCUAAGUCGCAUUCGGAGCGGGAAUGAGCCGGUUUGGGCUGAGCCGCACCAAACCCGGUCGGGCCCAAAACUAUUGUUUUCAUCUUGCCAAGCCCGGUUCAACACUCGGCCUUCCCUUAGGCCCUAUUCAGUAACUUUUUAUUCCAUGUAGUUUUUUGAUUUAUUUAAAGAACAUAAUAUGUAGUAGAUGAGGAUUCUAAUCAGAGGCCUGCUAUGGUUCUUCUAAAAGCACAAAGCACUUAGGGCGUGUUUGGUUCGCUUCUUUUUCACCCUGGAAUUAGAAUCGGAAUGGAUAAAUCCGUUUGUGGGUGUUUGGUACGUGGGAGUUCCAUUCCGAUUCCGAUUCCCGAGUGGAAUGGGAAUCCCCCAAUCACCUCUUUUUUCAAUCCGGCCUAGGAGGCCGGAUUGAAAGUUGAAUCCGAACGGAAUGAAUAUUUAUUCGGAUUAAAUUUAUUUUUUCAACUUUUUGAUUAAAAUAUGAGUUAAAAUUUUAAAAUUAAAUAUAUAAUUUUAAAUUUUAAUUUGAACUUAAAUUAAAAAUUAAAAUUUAAUCAAGUAUUUCGAAUCUAACUUAUGAAUUUGAAUUUAAAUUAAAUUUUAAUUUAUAUAAAAUGUUAUUCAAAUUUUAUUUCAAACUUAAAUUAAAUUUAUGGAUUCAAAUUAAAAUUUAAAUUGUAAUUUUAAAUUUGAAUUUGAAUAAAUCAAAAUUUAGUUUCAUAUUUUGAAUUAUCCACUCAACUUCAAAGUUUAAUUUUUUUUUAAAAAAAAUAGAUUUAAAAUUUUGACAUUAUUUCAAAAUUUUGAUGUAAAUUUUUAAUAUUUAAUUUUUAAUUUGAAUUUAAAUUAAUAUAUUAUAAAGAUAAUGUUAGUAUAUUAAUUUGAUUACAUUUUUUAUAUCCACCUGAACCAAACACCGACAAUGGGAAUGAUUUAUUCCGAUUCCGAUUCAGGUGAUGAACCAAACAGAAUUAGGUAAUGAGUCAUUCCGAUUCCGAUUCCAGCUUAUUUUGAUUCCGAUUCCGAUUUCGAUUCCGACUUCGAACCAAACGCGCCCUUAAUGUUUGACAAUUUUCACCCAUUAAAUUUUAUUAUUCAACUAAUUACUCACUCAACCCUAUCAUCCUAACCGUACAUCCCUUAAUUCCAGGGUUGAAAAUCUAUAAUUAUCAAUGACCUAGUACUUUUAAAAAUAUACGAGCUCAACUCUUCCAAUCAAAUAUUUCAAAUGAAUAUAAUGUUCAAAUUUUAAGUUGUUUAUUGAAAUAAUAUAAGUCAUCUGAUUGGUGAAAUAUGUAAUCUUACAAAAUCAUAUAUGUCAAGACAUUUUAUAAUGAAUAAAAAUAAAACUUCAAGCUUUCCAUAGUAUAUGGUGUUGAUGAAAAAACAACUCAAAUUUUGUAGUUUGAGUUUUUUUUUUUAAUAUUUAUUAUUUAAUAUUAUUUAUUAAUUAUUAUUUUUAUUAUCUAUUUACUUAUUUAUUUUAUUCUUUUUCUUGGCACCGAAGAAAUCAAAUGGGAUUUUCUCCUAUUCGGUUUCUUGUGCCAAAUGGAAGAGGAACUCAGGUUGCUGCUGUGCUAGGAAUCGAAUGCGGGACGAGAUAGAUCGGAUCAAGGCGUUGAUCGGAUCAAGUAUUUCCUCGGAACGUAAGUCGGCUCCUAAUGUAACACUCAAGUGCGCCAAUGACGAGUCGAAUGAUUCGGCUAAGAAGGGAUCAACUCAGUCUGGUUCCUUCGCAACUAUUCACAAACUCGACUGAAUGAGCCGAGUGGCUUAUAUUUAUUGAAAAAAGGAUAAAGUAUGGGUACAAGAAUUAUUAAGAAGAUAAACUCUAAUCCUAAUACUACUCUAUCACGCUUUUAACGAUAUCACGCUUUUAACGAUAGGGAAUCAACAAGAAAAUAUGCUGCAACUAAUAAAAAAAUCUAUUGAAACUAACUCUUAGAAAAAUUGUAAAUGCCAAAAAGAAAGAAAUUAAAAUUUGUUAUGUCCUCUUACUCAUGUGAAGGACCCCUUUUACCGGCGUGCUCUUUUUUAUUUAUAGUCCUGCCUGCCAUUAUUGAAUUAAUCCCAAUGUGGAGGUUUAUUCAGCCACGUCCGUAUUUCUUUGGGUCAUACUUCGGGUGAUUUUCUUGUUGAUCAUUAACUCCUUCCUCCAUGUCUUCAACACCAUCCUGCCCAAAUCGCUCUUCUGUUUUGGGCGUGCAGCUUUCAGCUCCAAGUAUACCACGUGUCGCUUCAUGUUUUGCUUCUGUUAAUCUGCUCACGUGACUUGGAUUGCUCUAUUAUGUGACUCGGAUUGCUCCUAAUGAGCAAGAAUCUGGCAUUGAGAUAAAAAGAUAAUCAUCAUCUCGACAUUCUUUAUUCUUCACUUAUUAUUAUCUUCCUGUUAUUUACUAAGUAUUGAAAGAAUCUCCGUCAAUCUCGGUCAUGACUCAUGAUUGUCAUUAUAGGAAGAGGAAUUCCGAUCAUAUAUGUAUCCAAAUACCCAUAACUAUGCUAAAGCAUGUCAAAGUAGUCCAACUACUACACCCUAUCUAGUAGUGAUUAUCAUUAAUGGAUUGAUGUCAUCGUUCAAUCUUGUUUUAGGACCUACACAAGUGUAGUCUAGCUUGUGCCGCCUAAGUACCGGUGGUAGCCCCAACAUUCCCACUCUAGGAAUGAGUCUAUCCCUCUCGACCCCGUAGGCUUCUCGAUACCGCACGAGUGAACAUAAGUCGCGUAGGCUAACUCCGGAGUGCCGGCUUAUAGGGAGCAACCCUCACAAGCAUGUGCGAAUGAGCACAAAUGGCUAGCAAGCAUAAUCAUCAUCUUAAGAACUUGGUCAUCAUGUCUCUCUAACAUAAUAAUAGUCACUAGCAACCCAAUGGUCUAGUUCUAUAUCACAAUGUAAAGUUCCAAUGUUCGCUAGGUCUAGUGCCUCUUUAUGACACUAGAAUAUUACUAUAUCCAAGCAUGUUCCAAAUUCCAUGCCUCUUUAUGGCAUUAUUUACUAGGUUCAUUCACAACCCAAGCUCAAUAUCGCUUUAUGACAUUAGCUCAAAAAUUCACAUAUUAUUCUAGUCUAUUGCCUCUUUAUGGCAUUUUACUUGGCCCUAUGUCCAACAUGAGGAUUAUGUCCAAUAGUCUAUUACACUUAUCGUUUUCAUUAUAUGAAAUAUGAUCUUGAAUCACAUCUAGAAUGCUAAUCACAUGCAUGAGCCCAACAUGAAAACCAUCUACUACAUAGGGGUCCAAAAAUGUAUUGUAUAUACCAUAAGCAUUUCAAGCAUUCUAAAAUUCAUAAAUAUUGCAUCUAACAUGAAUAUGCAUGAUUUUUCAUUUUACAAUACUUGAAUCCACAUGAAUAAGAUUUUCUCAUUUCUUUGGUGAGGUCAAACCCACCUAGAGCUCCACUCGACCCUCCGUUGCUUCGACGAGGGUUCUAUCGACACUCCUAGCACCCUAAAAGUUAAACUAGAGGAAUUACAAAAUCAAAACGAACAACCGGAAAAGCGAUCAAUAAACAUCUCAAGUAUAGGGGUAAGAACUCACCUAUAGUGUGAAAAUACCCUCUUAGAUCCCAAAUAAGAGUUAAAUCCCUUCCAAAGCAAUCUAAACCAAGGUUCUAAACCAAUCAAUAUAGCCCCAAAAGCUUCUAAUAAAAAAAUGACCAAAAUCAACCAUAAACUUCCAUUCUAGGGUUUCAUCUAGCAUAUAGCAUCAAAACUAGAAUCUAGAGGAAAGAAUAAGUUGCUAACCUCUUUGAAGCUCCAAACAAGGAUCAAAGUCCACUAGGUGUGAUGAUCUUCCUUUUAUCAAGCUCCAAGUCCAAGCUUCAAGCCUCUACCAAGGUGGAAAUUUCUUAAGAGGCAAAAAAGAGGAUUUAAACCUCAAAAAACCCAUCAACAUGCAAGAAAAUAAAAGAGGGGAAGGGGAGGAUUCCCUUACCUUCUCCUCCUAAGGUCUGAGCUCAGGGAACAUCCCUAAGGCGUGGGGGACUAAUUUAGAGCUGCUACAAUGUGAAAACACCCCUGAAAAACAGUCAUUUCGCAAUCUGUAAGUGUACCGGCAUACGAAAAAGUGUACCGGUACAAAUCCCCCGAACACACAAACCCGAGCCUCGGGUUGGCAAUCCCGUAUCUGUACCGGUACAACCAUCUAUACCGGUACAAGGCCGUAUCUGUACCGCUACAACAGCCUACAACGGCUAACCCAAGAGCAGUCCAAAUUUUCUCACCGUGGGAUUUUGGCACUAGGUUAAAACCUCAAUCUUCGGGAUGCGAGCCAUAGGUCAGAGCACUGUCAACGAUCCACCAGAAAAUUUGGAAAAACUCGAAACACAGCUCACACACUCGAACCUCGCAAUUUGCAAAGGUCCAGUGUGUUACAAAUAAGCUUUUACCCUAAGAAAUAUAAAAUGCAUACCCAAAGAAAUACAAAAUGUACAAAUAAAAGUUUGAGAGAUAAUUUCAAUCAAACCACAAAAUCUUAUUGCAAUGAAACCCUAGACAUAAAUAAAGCACUGAUGGAAAUCCUAAGGUCUCAUGUGCAUGCUAGAGAGCAAGAGAGCAAGGCAUGGUUGGAAACCAUAAAGUGGCAUACACAUUCCAGAGAGCGAGCAAGUGAGAAAGAGAAAGUGAGCGAGAGAAAGAGAGUGAGCAAGAGAAAGAACGCGAGUGAGCGAAUGAGACAGUGAGAGUGGGCGAGAGAAAGACAAUGAGUGAGCGAAUGAGACAAAGAGAGCGAGCGAGAGAAGGGACUUACCUGAGAAGAGGGUUUUCUCCUGUUCAUGAAGAGGGAAAGACUCUGUUGCUUUCUUCUUUUCUUUUUGGAUGGGGUAGAAAACGGAGAAGUUGACGUCCGUUCGAAUAAAUGUCUUGUUAACUCCGGCUUCUUGUCGCACCAAUCUUGAUGCAAUUGUGCGGUAGAAAAAGUGGGAGUAUUAACUUUCUGAUACUUCUAAAAGUAUCCAAGCUAAACUCUCUCUCUGUCUCUCUCUCUCUAUAUAUAUAUAUAUAGUUUUAUUUCAUCUUAAAUUUUUAUUUUUUAUUUCAUCUUAAAUUUAUAGUUGAAAUUUAACUAUACAAUUUAAAUUUAAGUUUAUAAAUUAAAAUUAAAAUUCGGAUUUAAACCAGAGUAUAAUUUAAUUUUGGAUAUAAAACUUAAAUGAAUAAUUAAAAAUUUUAAUUAAAAGGUGAAUUCAAAUUUCAAUAUUCUUAGUUUAAACAUAUAUCUGAAUUUUGGAUUCGUCAUACUACGAAAAACAUAAAAAAAUAUUUAAUAUAUAUAUUGAUUAUAUAAUUAUUGCCGGCAGCAACUAUUCGAAUUUGAGAUAGGAUGUGACAGUUAUUUUCUAACAAAAUAUGAUAUGAUAGAUGAAUUUAAUUUUUUAAAAAUUUGGAAAAGUAAAUAUAAUUCAAAACAAAAAGUACUUUCUUGAAAUUAUGGUAGUAAACAAACUAAUCCAAAAAGAGACCUACCAAUUAGGUAUUUGGGCUGGGGAGAAGCCCAUGUAUGGAGUCCCGUAGACAAUACAAUCGGCCCGUAUAGCGUCUAGAUCUGGUCCCACAUUGGGCCGGGCUAUAUUUUGAUGGGUCGUUCAAAUAAAUGGCUGUGAAAGUCUGGUCACAACCAGUACGCUUAACUCCCCCUGCAGUAUCGUAUAUUUUGCCGCAAAAUAAUUUUUUUCAUGGAGUUUUCAUCAGAAAAUGGGUGGUGAUGCUUAUGGGCAGUGAGUAUAUAUAUAUAUAUAUAUAUAUAUAUAAUAUAUAUUAAUAUACUCUCAUAUAGAAUUGAGCUAGAAUACUUUAUAACAAGUAUUACCCAUGAUGCUAUUAGGUUUUUAGCCAUUGGAUCUAAUUCUUGAUUACUAAUAGUCUUGGAUCAAACACUAUUCCACCCUACCACUCACCUACCACUAUCAUCUCAACCCUCACAUCUCUCCAUCCAAUAGCUAAAAACUCAAAGCACCACUCACAUAAUACUUUUACAAGUAUUUUGCUCAACUCUCUUAAUAUAUAUCCAUGCUAAAAACUCAAAAGCACCACUCACAUAAUACUUUUACAAGUAUUUUAGCUCAACUCUCUCUCUCUCUAUAUAUAUAUAUAGAAGAGAGAGAGGUUGAGCUAAAAUACUUGUAAAAGUAUUAUGUGAGUGGUUCUUUUGAGUUUUUAGGCCAUUGAUGGGAGAGAUGUAGGGUUGAGAUGAUGUGUGGUAGGUGGUGGUAGGUGGAAUAGUGUUUGAUUCAAGGCUAUUAGUAAUCAAGAAGUAGAUCCAAUGGCUAAAAACCUAAUAGCAUCAUGGGGUAGUACUGUAAAAGUAUUCUUAGCUCAAUUAUAUUAUAAUAGUAAUAUAUUAUAUAUAUAUAUAUAUAUAUAUAUAUAUAUAUAAUAUAUAUAUAGUUAAAAAAUAUAUAAAUAUAAUAUAUUUUAUUAUAUAUAGGCUGAGUGAAUAUCUGAUUUUAGUUAAAUUGGGUUAAUGUUGUUGGCCCAUAAAAACAACCUAAUAGACAAAUAAAAGAGCAAAAUUUCACUAAAUUUAUACAUUUUUUCUUUCUUUUUUUUUCAUAGAGCUAUAAAUUUUCAAUAUAUUUCUCUUUUUCAUUUUUUUGUUUCUCACCCUAAGUGGCAAAGCCGGAAGCCUCAAGUUACCAAGUAACAGCAUAUACCUGCCGUUGCCUACAUUGAUAUUAACUGAUACACUUAAAAAAAUUACAGAAUAUUUUAAAGUAAAAAAUUAUUAUUCAUAAUAAAUUUUAAUUUUACUUAUAUAUAAUUGAAUAGUUUAAUCCAAUAUUUAUUUAUAUAUUUAUUUAUUUUUGACUGCCAUAAAUGAAAAUGAUAUAAUAUGAAGAUUGAAGGCGGAAGAAAAACAUGUGAGGCUGAAAAGAUUAGAUACUCAACUCAUAAAUUUUUUUUCAUAUUAUAAUAAUAUAUUUCAUACAAUUAUUUUGUACUUUUGAACUUUUAGACAUAUUGUUAUAUCAAAUUUAGACAAUGUUCUAUACAAAUUAAACUAUUAAUCGUAUGAUGUUGAGAAUUUCAAGCGGCUCGUUUAGGACUCGAGCUCGCUCGACUCGAAAUUAGGCUCGCUCGAGCUCGGCUUGAAUUAAUUUCAAUCAAAGCAUUUUUUUUUUUUUUUUUUUUUUUUUUUUUUUUUUUUUUUUUUUUUUUUUUUUUUUUUUUUUUUUAUUUUUUUUUUUUUUUUUGAUUUUUUGUUGUUUUUUUUUUUUUUUAUUUUUUUUUUGUUUGAGCUUCAAAUUUGGCUUAAAUUAAUUCAAGCCGAAUUUGGGCCGAGGUAAGCUUGCCUCGAGUCGACUCGUUCCACCGCCUAUGUAGAGGUGUAUAUAUAUAUAUAUAUAUAUAUAGAGAGAGAGAGAGAGAGAGAGAGAGAGAAUUAGGCUACUAUGCUAUUAAUAGCACCAAGUUAUUCGUGCUACCAAGUUUUUGGACAUUGGAUUAAGAGAUGUGUGGUUAGGAUUAUGUGGGCCCCUAGGGUUGAGUGGGUGGUUGGCUCAAUAGUAUGAUCUAACGGGUAAAAAUGAUCAAAAUAGUAUAUCUAACGGCGGAAAACUUAGUAGCACCAAAUGCUUCGUGCUAUUAAUACCAUAGUAGCUGGACUAUAUAUAUAUAUAUAUAGAGUGAGGCUACUAUGCUAUCGGAAGCACGGAGCCUUCCGUGCUUCCAGCUCAUUUUCGAUGUUGCGACUUUCGAAUCGUCGAUCGGCUCCGUUAAACUUGAUCUAGAGUAUUUGAAGUACCUAGAAAAUAAAUUUUAUGAUUUUACGAUAUCAUUGCCUAGUGAACGAAGGGGCUUAAAAUCAACGGCUGAAAAUAAAAAUCUUACAAAAUGUGAUAAUAUGACAUUAAAAUUUUAAAUCAAAGAUAUUGAUCUUGUUUUAUAUAGUAUAAAGAAUUUUCUAUCAAAAUUUCAUGCGAUUUGGAUAUUUCUACACCGUUAAACUUGCAAACGGCUCACUACGAUCAUUGAAAUUUGUUGAUUUUGAGCCCAUUCGAUCACUAGGCAAAUGAUAUCGAAAAAUAAUAAAAUUUAUUUUCUAGAUACUUCAAAUAUUUUAGAUCAAAUUUAACGGAGCCGAUCGACAAUUCAAAAGUCGCAACAUCGAAAACGAACUGAAAGCACGGAAGGCUCCGUGCUUCCGAUAGCAUAGUAGCCUCACUCUCUCUAUAUAUUUAUAUAUAUAAUUGAGCUAGAAUACUUUUACAAGUAUUACCCCCAUGAUGCUAUUAGGUUUUUAGCCAUUGGAUCUACUUCUUGAUUACUAAUAGNNNNNNNNNNNNNNNNNNNNNNNNNNNNNNNNNNNNNNNNNNNNNNNNNNNNNNNNNNNNNNNNNNNNNNNNNNNNNNNNNNNNNNNNNNNNNNNNNNNNAGAGAGAGAGAGAGAGAGAGAGAGAGAGCGCUAGGCUCCUAUGCUUUCGAAAGUACGAAAGCCUCCGUACUUAUAAGUUGUUUUCCAUAAUGGGACAUCCGAUUCGGCGAUCAGUUCCAUUAGAAAUGAUCUACGCUAUUAGAACUACCUAGAAACCAAAUUUCAUAAUUUUUUGACUUCAUUUGUAUAGUAAACGAGUAGCCUUAAAAUGAACGGCUGAAAAUAAAAAUCUCAUAAAAAAUAAUGAUAAAAAACUCAAAUUUCAAAUCGGAAGUAUUGGACUUGCUAUUGAUGUUAAGUAGAAUUUUUUAUUAAAUUUUCAUCUAAUUUGGAUACUUCUACACCGUUGAACUUAAAAACGUGUCACAUCGGCCGUUAAAAUAGUCAUUUUUAAGACCUUUUGAUCGCUUAGUAAAUGAUGUCAAAAAAUUAUAAAAUUUGGUUUCUAAAUAGUUCCAAUAGGGUAAAUUAUACUUAACGGAACCGAUCGCCGAAUCGGAUUUCCUAUCAUCGAAAACAACUUACAAGCACGGAGGUCGCCGUACUUUCGAAAGUACAGGAGACUUACUCUCUAUAUAUAUACUAGUAGAGUGCACGUGCAAUGCACGUCACAUAUUUAAAAAAAUAAAAAAUAUUUUUUUCAAAAUAAUUAAGAUAAGACAUGAUUGAUAUGUAAUGUAUAAUUUUUAAAUAAAUUAUUAAUGAAUAUUUAUAAUUUAAUAAUUUUAUUAUAUUUGCAUAAGAUAGUAAAAAAAAAUUAUUUCCAAUUGAAUAUUUAGAUAAAUUAAAUUUUAGAUCUCGGCAUCUGGCUAUAAAAAAUUUUCUUUUAUAUUACUUAUAAAAGAGCCACUUUUUUAGGACAAAAAAUGAUAUUUAUACCUGAAAUUCCUUUAAUUUUAUAAAUCAUGCUAAAAAUGAUUUAAGUCGAGCAAACUUUUUAUAUAAAAAAUAAUUUAGGCUAUAUCAUUCAUACUAUUUUAUUUUGCAUUCAAAAACUUUUAUUUUGCAUUCAAACGUGGAAUCAAGUGCUUCUUAAAACUUAGAAAAGUCUGUGCCAAGAUUAACCGGCGUCGAUCGAUGAAUCAUGAUCAUAAUCGAUAUGAACCCAAUUAUGAAAGUUAGGGACAUAAUAGUUAAAAAAAAAAGAUUAGGGACUAUAAACUGAACAAAAAAAAAAAGAGUAAAGUUUAGGAACUGUUGGUCUGAUUAAUCCUAAAGUAAUUAAGUCCUUAAAAUAAAAUUUUUCGAUAGUAUCGAAUUUGAAGUUUAUCUUAAUAUGAUCAUACAAUAAAAAUAUUUGAAUAAGGGCGAUGAAAUAUAUAACCCAAUGGAGAAUUUUGUGCAAGAAUAAAAAUUGAUUUAAAUAUAUAAUUAAUAAAUUUAAGUCUACAGGUUGCUACAAUAUUUCACAUGAAAAAAAUUUCAAAAACUUACUAAAAUCUAAUUUUUAUAUACGUAUUUGAGUACAAUUAAAUUCAAAUAGAUUUUAAGGGUGUGCUAGGUUCGUCGGAAAAGUGUAAAAAACUAUUUUUCCAACAAAAAUUUUUUAAAUUCAAAAAAUUAUUUUCAUAAUUUUUAUUUUUCAAAUAAAAAAACAGAAAACUGAAAAAAGGAGACUCUUUUAAUGAAAUCUGAGAAAAAAUUUUUAGAAAAAUUAUUUUUUAAAAAAUCUAAACGGACGAAAAUAUUAUUUUUAAUUAGAAAGUUAUUUUUUAAAAUGUUUUCUGGAAAAUCAGACCCCUCCUUAAUGUAGGUGUUUUCUAAUGUUGGAUUUAAUAUUUUAUUACAUCCAUAAGGACCAGAGUAACAACCUAAUCCCAACAAAUCAAUAGAUAUAUUAAAAUUUGAGUUUUCAUGAGAGGGUUACGUGUUGUGUACUUCAUUUCUCACGAUUCGUUUGUCCGCCUCGCCUCCUUCCCCCUCUAGAUCGUCUCAAAUCUGCCGAGUGCUGUGGCAUAUACCAUGUCGCACACCUAACUUCUGCAUAUCCCGCGGGGCGUGGAGGGUUAUCGCACUGUACUAUAACGUUCUUCCCCUCCGUAAGAACACCUACUUUACCCAAUUAUUAUUAUUUUUCAAGUACAAGUGUACAACAUAAUGACUAGGUAUUACUACUUGGAAAGAACUAAACUUUAGUGAGGUGGGGCGUAACACAAUUUUAUUGGCGUAUUGAAGUACUUAAAUGGCACUUUAAAUUGUGUUCAUAAAGCUGGUUCUUCGCACGGCUCUGUUUAUUUCGCCAAAGAUAAAAUUUAGAUUAAAGUAAAUUUUUGGAUGAACUUAAGUUUAAGUAAAAAGAAAAAUUCUUCUGUUGUUUCUUUAUAUAUUUGUGUUAGUGAAGUUCUUUCAAUUUGAUUAUUUGUUUGGCAUAAAAUGAAUAACGUAAAAAAAGGAUGCGUGAGAGAUAAAUUAAUAUUUCGUUUAUUUUUUUUUUUACUUAUAAUUGACUUUAGAAUGGACUUUAGUAUGAGGUGGGGGCGAAAUCAAUUAUACUAUUUUGGAGAGUUUAAGUUUCAACCAGAGUAAAGAUACGGUGAACCAAACAACGGAAUUAUACAUUUUUAAAAAAAUCACUUUAUUUCUCUGCAUUUUUAGUGAAACAAAUACCCUCAAGAUUUGUAGCAAUACUUAUUUGUAAAUCCAAGUGCGUUACAUGUAACUUUUGAAAUAGAUUCUUCAAAAAUCAAUGACCAGAUUUUGCUUAGUAAAAAUAAAUUUGGUUGAAGUAAGUUUGUAAGUUUUCACAGCAAGCUCUAAUUUGAAAUUUUCAAUUUUUCUAUGUUAAGAAUCUAACAAAUUUUAACGACAAAAACAGUUGCUGCUUUUUUAAAAGAAAAACUUCAUACAAUAACUAUUUCUGCUAUCUUGUUAAAACAAAACACGGAAAAUAAAUCCAAAAAAAAUUAGUGCAAAAAUAUAUAUGUAUAAAAAUUAUAUAAUUCGGUCACUGAUUUAUAUCCAAAAUUUUAUUGUAAUAUUGAAGGUAGAGUAUAAAUUUCCGAAAAACGCGUUGGUGUGGUGGGACCCAAUGCUCGGCUCUUUAUCACGCAACACCCACAAUACACGGUAGCUGCGUGCCUGCCUUUGGUUUCGGCAUAAAUAAAAACGGUCUAUUUCAGAGAUAGAUGUAAGUUCAGAUAUAGAUAAAAAUUAAACAAAUUUUGCAUUUGGAUGAAAAUUGAAUUGUUUCUAAGAAUAAGAUAAAUAGUGUUUGAAUGGUUAGAUUAGAACAAGAGGAAUAAGAAUUAUAAUUUUAAAUUAAAAUUAUUUUAUCUAAUUAAUUAACAUCAAAAUAUUACUUAAAAAUAAUUUAAUAAAUUAAUAAAUUUAUUAGCUAUAAAUAUUGUAUAAGAUAAUAAAAAUAUAUUAAUUAAGUAAUUAAUUAAUUAUAAAAAAUAAUUUAACUUUUUACUUAGUUAGUAAAUUAUUUUAGCUAGAUAACAAGUAAAAUAAUUAAUUAGAUUAAUAAAAAUAUUAAUGGUUAAUCAAUAAAUAAAUAUUAGUUUAUGAAUAAAUACACUAAAUUAUUAAUAAUUAAUUAUAAAUGAUAAAUUAAUUAAUUAUUUUAUUAUUUAAAUAAUAAAUAAUAAUUUAAAUAUAUUAAUUAGAUUAAUUACUAAUUUAAUUCCAUAAUUAAAAUUAAAUUAGACUUUAAUUAAUCUUAUUUUCAGCUGGGAACAAAGCUUGUUCCCAGAAAAAGGGUGGAACAGCAGUUCCAAACUUAUACCAGCUUAUUCCAGAAAUAUGAGAACUACUGUUCUCAGAUAGCAAACACGACGGUUGGGAAUAAAGGGGGGGAAUAAGAGCUUAUUUGCUUUUUGUUCCCGAACCAAACACUGUCCUUGGGUUUACCUUAAAAUGAAAAUUAAAAAAAAAACAUCUUGGGUUGAAUUAAUUAAUUCUGUUUUCUCGUUUUAAUUAGAGCACCGGUGAGUUAGGAACUCAUGUUAGAACUGACUCGUAUUUGUUCAUUUAUUUAAUGAGUCGAACACGAGUUAGCUCAUUAAAAUAUCGAGCUAAAAAAUUCAGUUCGUAUUCGACUUAUUUAUUACUAGCCGAGUAUCAUACACUAUAUAUAAAGCAUAGCUUCCAAUUUAAAGUAUAAUUAGACUGGUAGUUUAAUUGAAUUUCUAGUUACACUCUAUAUAAAUUUAAAUCUCCUCUUAUUCUAAGUAAAUUAGAAUUUGACUUACAAAUUUAAACAAAAAAUCUAACAUAUCUUUAGAAGCUCUAACUAGCUUGGUACUUAAGAAAAAGCCAAAGAAUAUUCCCACUUUUGCUGUAUUUGUGGUCCCUCUUUACAUUUUGGCUUUAUGCCUCUAUUGUUUGCUCAAAUUAAGUUUCCCUUAACUUUAUGCCCAUAGUAUUUGUUCUUUACUUUUGAUUUUUUAUAUAGAGUUUUAUCUUUAUCCCUAGAAUGAAUCUCUGUUUCAGGUCUUUCAACCAAUCAAUACGACCUCAUAGAUGAGAUUUUGCUAAAACUCGAUUGAUUUCUUGAAAACUUGCUUCUGAUACAAAACUUUAAGUAUUCAGAGACGCCCUAUUUAUAACUUCUAAAUCAUAACAUUAAAUUGUUUCCCUAGUGAGAAAUACUUUUGACCCAUUAUGCAGUACCUCCUCCAACACUCUAUCCACAAAAAUCAACUUCAACUUAUUAUUAGAANNNNNNNNNNNNNNNNNNNNNNNNNNNNNNNNNNNNNNNNNNNNNNNNNNNNNNNNNNNNNNNNNNNNNNNNNNNNNNNNNNNNNNNNNNNNNNNNNNNNNNNNNNNNNNNNNNNNNNNNNNNNNNNNNNNNNNNNNNNNNNNNNNNNNNNNNNNNNNNNNNNNNNNNNNNNNNNNNNNNNNNNNNNNNNNNNNNNNNNNNNNNNNNNNNNNNNNNNNNNNNNNNNNNNNNNNNNNNNNNNNNNNNNNNNNNNNNNNNNNNNNNNNNNNNNNNNNNNNNNNNNNNNNNNNNNNNNNNNNNNNNNNNNNNNNNNNNNNNNNNNNNNNNNNNNNNNNNNNNNNNNNNNNNNNNNNNNNNNNNNNNNNNNNNNNNNNNNNNNNNNNNNNNNNNNNNNNNNNNNNNNNNNNNNNNNNNNNNNNNNNNNNNNNNNNNNNNNNNNNNNNNNNNNNNNNNNNNNNNNNNNNNNNNNNNNNNNNNNNNNNNNNNNNNNNNNNNNNNNNNNNNNNNNNNNNNNNNNNNNNNNNNNNNNNNNNNNNNNNNNNNNNNNNNNNNNNNNNNNNNNNNNNNNNNNNNNNNNNNNNNNNNNNNNNNNNNNNNNNNNNNNNNNNNNNNNNNNNNNNNNNNNNNNNNNNNNNNNNNNNNNNNNNNNNNNNNNNNNNNNNNNNNNNNNNNNNNNNNNNNNNNNNNNNNNNNNNNNNNNNNNNNNNNNNNNNNNNNNNNNNNNNNNNNNNNNNNNNNNNNNNNNNNNNNNNNNNNNNNNNNNNNNNNNNNNNNNNNNNNNNNNNNNNNNNNNNNNNNNNNNNNNNNNNNNNNNNNNNNNNNNNNNNNNNNNNNNNNNNNNNNNNNNNNNNNNNNNNNNNNNNNNNNNAGCGUAGGCAGUCCGGGCUCCCACCUCCUAUUGGUCACCCCGGCUGCCCCUUUUGUUUAGCCUUCCCCGGGUGUGAUCUACCGUCCUUUUCCAACCCCUACCUUUAACUUUCGGCUUCAAGCUAUCCGGGAUCUCUCAAUCAUGGUUGCGGGUCGGGUUCUUACCGCACUCGUCAGAAGUGUGAGGAGAGUGACGGAUCAGGUGGUUGGCUGCCCGGGCCCUUCGUUUUUCUUGGUCCCCCCGGGUUCUUGGCUUUUCUAGGUCGUAUUCUCUAUUUCUCUCCGGGGGUGGCUUUGGGCUGGUUACCGGGUCUAGGUACACCCGGACCAUCCGGGGAGGAGAGUCGUACGUCUGUUAGGGGGCUCAGCUCGGGUUUUGGCCUUGGGCAACUGAGGUUCCUAUUCUGGCUCACCCAGGUGACGAACUCCUCUGUUAGCCAGCCGGGCACCGAGCUCCCCCUACUCGUUUAGAACCUUAAUUUCGACGGCGUGAAGAGGGUCCACUUCUAUAAUAACGCCAUUCGGAAGAACCGAAAAGGAAAAACGAGGCCCAAGGUUACGUUUUCGGAGCUUCGUACUUUUUUUAGAAAAGGACAACCGAGGCUUAUUUUUGGUGGACGGCGUUACUACGAUGCCGGGGGGAGGUGCAGUCCAGACUGUAAAUUACGUUGCAGAUGAAGUCUCCUUAAGCUUAAGGGCAGGCAACGUGGGGCGGAAGGCCGCUAGCGGCCUGGUAAGCACCAGUUUAGGCGGAGUUCGACUAGGAAGUACCAGCUAAAGAGGAGCUCGGCUGGGAAGCUCCGGCUUAGGAGGAGUUCGACGGCCAACCUCAGCCGGCCCCAGCCCCCCUUUAAGGCAGCAUCUCCUGUUAGUCCUCUGCCUGGUCGGGAAGCGGACAGGGCCUAAAGCCUGCUUAAGGUUCUACGUAGCCACGAUCUUCUCGGCGGCCGACUACUAGCAGCAGGAGAACGCCUAGGUCGACUCGCCGCUACUCCGGGUCCCAGAGAGCUGUCCCCCAGCACGACUAGGCAGGAGAGUAAGCCACCCAACGGACCCUGCUGCCGCAGUGCCGCCGGGGUAGAGAGCUCGACCUAUUCGUGGCUUUCGCUCUUCAGGGGGUGGCACUAAAGGUUCAAAAGGCCAUACAGCCUCUCCACCAAUUGCCUCUGCUCCGUGGCCAUAGGACAUUCUAGGUGGUACGCUUAGCUCAUCAGUAGGCCGGCAUUCUUUGCCGGCUUCGGUGGCUGGUCGCGGCGGUGGCAUGCUCUUCUGGUUGUGAGCAUUCCAUUCGAAUGCUCAGCCUAGGUGUGCAACAUCCAAUCGCUACGGGAAGCUUGUGGUAUUAUUCCUAAGGUCCAUAUUGUGACCUCGGACUCUAGUAGGUCGCUAUCUUAGAGUGCUGCCUAUUCAACCAGGCGGCCGUGGGUGAGGCCGUCCUUUUAGUCUUUUAGUGCAACCGAUAUGAACCGCUGCACUUUUAGUCUGCCCUUGGGUGGCUUCGCCGAGCGGUCGGCCAAUCGAUAGCAGAGGACACCUUUCACUGGGUUUAAGAAUCCGCCCUCAUGCAGCUGGUCCUACCGCAACGCUGUCACUAAAACAGACCACAUCUUCAGCAGACAAACACCCUGUUUGCGCGACUCUAUCCUACCAGACCGGGCGUAGCGGGACAUUUGGCGGUAGCCGUUGGCCAGGUACGUUCUAGAACGUUGCACCGGACAGAACUUCGUGGCGUGUGUGGCCUCCCCGGGAGCCGUUGACCUGCGGGUCACUAACCAUGGGUCUGUGGACAUCGUGGAGGGGGACUUCCUUCAGAAUGGUCCCUUACGCUUCCACCCCUACCCUUACCGUGAGGCAACCGCCGCUCCCAUGCCGCAGUCACACCCUUAUCCCCACUCCUCACGGAGGAACAUUCAGAAGAAAUAUGGUCUUCACUUCUCACCAAACAGGACGGGGAGCGGGCUCUGUAGGGAGAAGGACAGCAGUAAUCAGCUGCACAGCGACCUAGCACAACUCCCCCGCUUUAGGUGUCCCACUUUCUCUCAUUGGAAUCAAUUUCGAUCGGGUGGGAGUAGUCGGGUGUACUGGAAGAACCUUCUCCGUCUCCGUCUCAUUUACAGGAGUAAUUGAGGUACGAGAUAUCUUCUCCGUCUCAUCCACAGGUGUAAUUGAGCUUCGAGGAGCCUGCUGCAACAAGCCACUCCGGACGGAGCUUCCGAUUUUCGGCGCUCAAGCCAACUACCCGUCCACCUGCUGCAGCUGCCUCGGACGAAGAGCGCACGACCGCAGAAGGAAACGGUUUCUAAUCAUCCUCGACCCAGAAGAAAUUAGAAGAGACAGAAAAAGAGGAAAUCGUGUAGUGGUUGAGAGAGAAAAGGAAAAGGGAAUAGGAAAGCUUGAUAGAGAAAAGGCCUUCGUCCUAAAGGAAAGAAGAAGAGACAGAAGAAGAAGAGACAGAAGAAGAGACAGAAGAGACAGAAGAAGAGGUAGACAGAAGAGAAGUGCCAAGUUCAAAUAGACUAUGUUGAUAACGAAGAUUAUUAUUCAACUUCAACUAAAAACACCUAUCUCACAACCUCCUCCAUGACGUAUUACCCAGUUUUCAUAAAGAGUGAUCCCUUUGUUAAAUUACAAUACUAAAUCUUCAAUAUUUAUCCCGCAGAGACUUAUGAAUUUCAAAACAUAGUCUUCGUUCAAAAGUUCUUUAGUUAGCUCAAAAUCGUUUUAGAGUAGAUACUCCAGCAUAACUAACCAACUUUCUGGACUUUGUCUCUAAGUAAGAUCCCUAUUUCUAUUUUGAGAUAUAUUUUUUAGUUUUCAUUUCUUGUUUAUGAUACCCGUAUUUCAAUUCCCUUUGAAUUAAACUCGUUUGUUAUCUCCGUAUUUCGGUUUUACAUUUCUCCCUGGUGUUUAUGUCGUUUUCACCCUUAUAAGAAACCGAAAAAGAAUUCAUGGUUCGAUCAAUCUCGAAGAUUUCUAUACAAUCUAAAAAACAAAUUUAAACAUUCAGUUUAAGAUUAAAUGAAUCUUAUUCUCCUCUAAAUUUAAAUAUAUCUCACAUUGAUCUUUAAGUUAAUUUGAUGGUCAGAUUAAUAUGAAAUUUAACCUUCGAUACGAAAUAUAUAUCACAUACUAUGAGCCGAUCAUUAUUUAUUCAGCUUAUGCUUGACUUAAAAAAUCGAGCUAUAAAAUUACUCGAUUGAGCACAAGCUGAGUAAUUUAUUUACUUGUUUAUGCUCAGUCAAGAUUGUACUCAAGGAUUGAGUGGCCACGAGAUUAAUUUUGCUCUUUUGUCUUAAUUAAUUAAGUUGGGUUCUACAAAAAAAAAAAGUCUCUCGUGCCUACCUUUCGGUCGGUCUUCUGCGACGGUUCACAAGGGUCUAUCUUCAUCAGCAAUGCAGCUGGCCUUGGGUCAGUCGUUCGAGAUUGUUCACAAGGGCCAACCCUCAUCAGCUCUUCUACUUGCCUCGAGUCGGCUUCUCGUGGCUGUCAGCAGGGGCCCACCCCUUGCGGCAACGUGUCGACGGUCGGAAGGCUUGUCCUGGAGCCCGACGAGAAGAUUCUCGACACUAGCUUUCGGCCGGCCUUCAGGGUAGGUUCACAGGGGUCCCUCUCCUUCAGCUCUUUUGGGUCGACAGUUCGCGCUUCUCCACAGGGAUCAACCUUCAUCUGCUCGACUGCUAGUCUCGGGCCGGCUUUUCGUGGCGGUCCGCAGGGGCCCUCCCUUAGCAGCAACACGUCGUUCAGCUGUCCGUCGCUCGUGCCUGGUGCCGGGGGCAAUUUACCCACCACCCCCGCCACUGCCCCUCUGUCCGAUCUGGAGGAGGUAGUUCUGUGUGAUUCGACAGGGUCGUCCAGAUCCAGUGCGAGGCUGAUUUCUGCACGGAAGGUCUCGGCGCUCGAGCGGGCAAAACUUCGGAAAGCGUUCCUCCUUGAAGGAGAGACUACUGGUUCGACGUCCUUAGCUCGCAAAUGGAACACUAGAAAGAUCUUGAAGAAAAGUGCUCUUUGUGGAGUGAAGCUCUCGGGGGCCGAAGCCGAGGAGCUACAUAAGUUCAUGCUGUGUAGUUGACCCACAGCGUCUGUCUGAUGAGUUUGGGCCGCCUUUUGUGUGUGUGUCAUUUUCCCUUAUGUUUAAUAUUAUUACCUGGAAUGUCCGCGGUCUAAACGACCUUUGUAAGCGUCGUUGUGUCAGGUCUACUAUAUCUAAAUACUGUCGGGCGGUUGUCUGCAUCCAAGAAUCUAAAGUCGAUUCUGUCUCUCGAUCGUUUCUUCGCUCUUGUUGUGGUUCGAAUUUCGACAGAUGCCACUUUAUUCCGGCAAUCGGUGCUUCGGGAGGAUUAAUCACUUGUUGGAAUUCCAAAAUCUUUGUUUGUACAGAAGCACUGAUGCGAGUUCACUCGCUCACCCUCAACUUGAAACAUGCUACCAGCGGAAAGAGCUUUUACCUUUCGAACGUGUAUGGACCGCCGACAUGGGAUGGGAAAGAAGAGUUCUGCUCUGAACUCCUAUCCCUCAGUACCAUCUGCUCAAACAGUAAUUGGGCUAUUUGUGGGGACUUCAACUUUACUAGAAAUCAGCUAGAACGCAUCGGCAACCCGUGGAGCACAAGAGCGAUGUCCAUGUUCUCCGAUCUCAUCUCGAAUCUAGAAGUCAUCGACCUACCCAUCUCCAACCAAAAUUUCACUUGGUCGAACAUGCAACGAUCGCCGACACUGGCCAAACUAGACAGAUUUCUAAUCACCACGGAGUGGGACCAAACUUUCCCACACUGUACGGUAUCUGCGCUACCCAGAAUUACAUCUGACCAUACACCAUUAAUUCUCACUUCAGGGAGCAAGCACACUUUGCGGAGAUUUCGGUUCGAGAAAGUAUGGCUCUCUAGGGAGGACUUCUCAAAUAACGUUCCAAUCUGGUGGAAUGAAGUUACCAGUGAGAGAUCAGCAAUCCUCACUUUAACAGCUAAACUAAGGCAUUGUAGAAACAGGAUGAAAGAAUGGAGUAAGACGAAAUUUCAUAGCAUAUCCAACGCGAUUAGAAGGUUACAGGAGGAUAUACGAUGCAUAGAUCUUUUAGAGGAAGAAAAUACACUGCCUCAGGAAAUGCGGGAUCAACGGCUCGACCUCAAAGCACAACUCCAGCUCAUCCUUAAGGAGGAAGAAAUUCUUUGGAAAACGAGAGCGAAGCAGCACUGGCUUAAAGAAGGAGAUAGUAAUACAAGAUUUUUUCACGCAGUGGCCAACAGUCGAAAACGUACCAAUGAGAUACAAUUUAUUGUAGACGACAAUGGAAGACAGACCAACAAUGAAGCUCAAAAGAAAUCAUAUUUUUUUCACUCCUUCAAACGUCUGUUUGGGAACGUGGAAGAUGACCCAGCUUCCUUUGGCGAUUGGGCUGACCUGUACCGAGCGGAUUCCCUUGCUGAUCCGGAUUCCCUCACGAGCCCGUUUACUAUAGACGAGGUUAAAAAGGCUACCUUUCAACUGGGUAGUGAAAAGGCACCCGGCCCCGACGGUUUCCCACUCAUUUUUUUCCAAUAUUUUUGGGAGACGGUCAAGGAAAACAUUUUUAGUAUCUUCUUAGAGCUUCAGGAGAACAAUCUCUCCACGGCCCCAACAGACUACGCCUACGUCUGUUUAAUCCCCAAAAAGGAAGGAGCAUGUCAGGUUAAUGACUUCCGACCGAUAUGCCUAAUAAACGGAAUUCAAAAGAUCAUCUCUAAAGUGCUCGCGAAUAGAAUUGCCGGCAUUUUACCAACAAUCAUUUCUUCGUCACAAUCAGCUUUCCUGAAAGAUCGACUAUUACCCGACUCUUUUGUUACGGCAAGUGAACUACUCAAUUGGUGCGCAAAAUCCUUUAAGAAGUGUGUCAGUAUUAAAGUGGAUUUUGAGAAAGCUUACGACAAAGUGAGAUGGAGUUUCCUGCAAAGUAUACUACGGUGGCUCGGGUUCAGUGAUAAAUGGUGGAACUGGAUUGAACAAUGCAUCUGCAAUGCUAAAAUCGCCAUUUUAGUAAAUGACGAGCCAUCAGGAUGGAUAAAAACGAGGAGGGGGUUGAGGCAGGGGGACCCGCUUUCCCCUUACCUAUUCUUAUUGGUCGCCGACUGCUUGGCUAGGAUGACAGAAGCAGCUAAAGGAAAUAACUUGUUGCAGGGAAUUGGACCAACCGUUGAUUGUCAUACAGUGAUUCUUCAAUAUGCGGAUGAUACAUUAUUCUUCUCCGAGCCCAAAAAGUCCAAUAUGCGUAACUUACUAUUCCUAUGGAAGAUAUUUGAAUGGGCCUCUGGCCUUAAGAUAAAUACGAACAAGACGGAACUUUACUAUGUGGGAACCACCGUAAACAGAGCCAAGAGACUCGCAGAUAUUUUGGGGUGCCGAGUAGGUAAUCUACCGUUUCGCUACUUGGGCUUGCCGCUACAUAUCAAACCCCUUCGAAAGGAAGAUUGGGCUCCGAUCGUUAACCGUUUAGAGAUGCGCAUCGAUGGAUGGAAGGCAAAACUACUCUCACAAGGAGGCAGAUUAAUCUUAGUCAACUCGGUACUUUCGAACCUCCCGUUAUUCUACUUCGCAAUCUUCAAAGUGCCACAAUGGGUUCUGAACCGCAUUGAAGCUCUUAGAAGAUCCUUCUUUUGGAAAGGGUGCUCCAAAAUUUCUGGUGGCUCAUGCCUCGUUGGUUGGAAAACAAUAUGUAAAAGCAAAAGAGAAGGGGGCCUGGGGAUCAAAGAUAUGGGAGCAAUGAAUAAGGCACUGUUAACCAAAUGGUGGUGGCGGUAUUUCAAUGAGAGACACCUGUUAUGGGGGAGACUGAUCAAAGCCUUGUAUUACACUAGAAGAAGGCCAUUACACGAGGGAAGAUCCUUCAGACCUUAUUCCCAAUGGUGGAGAAGCGUGAUGAGCUGCCGAGACGUGUUCAAGUGUGGAGUCUCGUAUGUGCUUGGCGAUGGAAAAAACAUCAGGUGGUGGACGGAUAUUUGGAUUGAAGAAACCCCUCUUAGUACCCGAUUUUCUGGAUUGUUUUGCAGGAUAGCGAAUCAGGACGCCACAGUCGCACAAUGCUGGAAUGAUAGAGGGUGGAGAUGGCGUUUCAUAACCAGAGGUCUCACUACUAAUACCACUCCCCUGAACCGCCAAAGUUUAGCGCUGCUCAAAAACCUGCUCAUUCAGUAUUGCCCAUUGGCUAGAGAGGAUAAGCUAUUGUGGAGAUGGACUGCUGAUCAAAUUUUUACCGUUAAAUCCCUUUAUGAUUUCAUCACCAACGCAGGUCAGAUUGAUCCUCUGUACGAUCAUCUUUGGGGGUUAAAAAUUCCGCUCAAGCAAAAAAUUUUCAUUUGGAUCCUAUUGCAUAAGAGAUUACUUACAACGGAUAGACUGAUUCGCCGAGGGAGUCCUGUGGAUCAGCAUUGCAUGUUCUGUGUGUUACUAUCUGAAUCUUGCGACCACUUGUUUAGUGAAUGUAUCUUCGUCAGAUACCUCCAAAUUGAGGUCGGAGUUUCAGUGGCGGCCGAUUCGGACGCCGGGGAUGUUCGUCGUUUAUGGACACGGAUCUCAAACAACCCCAACGCCCUAAUGAGAUCGAAAAAUCUUACCCAAUUGGCGGCAAUCUGAUGGGUCAUUUGGACGGAGCGAAACAAGAUCAUCUUCCGCGACGGGUCUCCCAACGCCUACCGGGCUCUUGAACGUGUCAUGGCCCUGAUCACAAAUUGGAACAAAGUCCUCUGAAGCCGCGAUACAACGCGCAGUUCUUUUCCUUCAGUAUUUACCCAUAUCUAUUUAGUUUCCCUUCGUUUGCACUCUCUUACUUUUCCCCUUUUACGGACUUGCUGUUUUCGGUUCUUUUUGGUUUCUCCUUCUUUUGCCGGCUCGGUUAGGAGGCCUAGCUGCUUCCAUCUUGUUCGCCUAAUUCAUUUUGCUUAAUGAAUGAAGCAGGUAGCUUGCUACCUAAUACUAAAAAAAAAAAAAAAAAAAAAAGAUUAUCAAAUGUUUCAAAUCUAUAAGAUUGACUUAAGAAAAUAAAGUAAUCAAACUAUCAAACGAAUCUGAACAUACUAAAUACAUGAAAGGUUUCGUCUAACACAAAGAUAAAGUAAAUAAUAAUCCAAAGAGAGCACAUUGAAACAUUUAGAUAAUGUCUUUAAGUUAGACAAACUAAAGGAACCACACGAAUAUAGAUGAUUGACUCAUAUUGGUCAAAUCAAAGGGUCCAGGACCUUCCUUUGAUCUUCUAGAGGUGUUCACCACUAUUACACUGUAAUACCAAAGGGACACAAAGCCUAAACCACUAUAUAGAUAUAUACACAGAUAGAUAUACAGAGAGAUAGAGAGAAAAAACAAACCAGGCUUUAGGGAAAGUCAUGGCGCAUCAACGCAUUCAACCUUUUGCUGUAUAUAAUCAACACCACCUCUCAUCACGGAUGUUCCCCUUGUCUUUUUGUAAAGUGUACCAAGAUCUUUAACAACACUAUACCCAGAAAAUGAGAGUUUUACAAGGAGAAAAUUAAUCAUUCACAUGGAAGUGAUUUAACGAAGAAAGAAAGAGUAAACUUCAAUUAGCGGGCUGUGGUUCAAACGAAAUUCUAAAAUAAAUUAUUAAACAAAAUAAUAAAGUAAUAUUUUUUACAAAACAACAUUAAUGUGAUGCAGCAGUUUACAAUUUUAUAAUUAAUAUGCACUUAAUUUACUCUUUUAUGGUUUGCAAAAUUUGCCAUGCAUGUUAUCUUUUUGUUUGACACUUCCUACAUACUCAUGGUAAAACAAACAAAAAAAAAGAAUUGUAGAGUAGAUAAGUAUAACAUUUUAAACCAUAUAUAAAAUAAUAAAGUAAAAAUAAAAUAAACUAUUUAUAGGACAGUAAAUUGAAGUUUAUUCAAAAAUUUAUCGUUUAAACUGGUAUCAUAAUAUGCCAAGUAUCUAAAGCUAAUGACUAAGUUUUGAAAGAUGGUAGAUGGGUUUUUGGGCAUGCAUGCAUGCAUGCGCGCACGGAAAAGAAUAGGUUAGGAAGUGGCGGUGCUGUUUCCUGUUUAGGGUGGGAAGAUAUAUAUAUAGUUUGAAUUGGCUUUUGAGGAUCGAUGACUUAAUUUGUUCCUUGUAUUUUUCGUGUCCUUUUGUACUGUCUCUGUGGUAAUUAAGAUGGUGAGAGAAUAUCUCCAGGAAUAUCUCCACGCGAAGGAGCCACCACCAGGGUGUUGUAGCUAGUGUGUGCAUGUUGCGUCAGUGCGUUGAACUAUUUGUUGAUUGAUGCAGAGGAAUGUAACUAAACCAUGCACGCAUGAUGGACUUAUUAGAGAACACCUUAAUUUCUUCUAACGAAUUAAUUAUAUAGUAACCCACUAAUUAACCCUCCCCAGAAGCAGUGCCAGAGAAUUAAACCAAAAGCUUAAUUUCCUCUGCACGUAGCAGCAAGUACGUGCGUGCGUUCUAUUGUGAAAAAUGACCCAUCUUGCACCUGUGGUAUUCGGUGUUGGAUUUGAGAGAGAUUGAGGCCAUCGAGCACGAUAGAUUCAAGAGUUGUUGGGAACGAUUGAAUUGGGUUCGAACACUUCGAGCAUCCGAAACCGACCUAACAGCAAUAUUUGUCAACGGGAAACUGUAGCCACAAACUGUAUUCGACGAAGAAGGAUCGAUUUUGUAGUGAAAGUGUGAAACGCAUACUAAUUAAUGCUUAUAAACAAAAAGGUCGUCAGCUCAGGGAAAAAAAAUAUAUAUAGAAAUAUAGUUUUUCUAAUUUCUUAUGGAAUUGUACAAAAUAUAUCGUGCCGACUAAUGUAAUUUACAGAAACAGGAUAUGUUUUUUAUCAUAUUAUCUCACCGCACAUAACACAUUUCUAUUUUACCUCUAUCCAUAUAAAAUGUGAAUUUUUAUUUAUCCUAAUAAGAUAAAAAUAAGAAUAAAUUAUAUAUUUUUUAUUAGUUAUAAAACGCAUCUCCCCAUAUCUUAACAAAUAUUAUUAUCUUUAUCUUUAUGUGAAAAUCAGAAUAUUUAUUUUUAUCUUUAUCUUUAUGUAAAAAUCAGAAUAUUUAUUUUUAUCUUUAUCUUUAUGUAAAAAUCAGAAUAUUUUAAAGAAUCCAAUAAAAUCCUGAUAAUUUAUAAUUAUGAACUCCUUUCUCUCCGACUUUGUACAUAAAAAAAUAAAUAAAUAAAUAAAUAAAUAAAGAUUUCUUCCCACGGAUUUCCAUCUACAUGAUGAUCAAGGAUAGAGAUUCCGACAGGAUCUUCGAUCGAAGAUCCAAAUUCGAUCCAAAAGGUCAUUGCAGACCUAGAAGGCUCUAAGACAAGUAUGACGAUCCGACAAGCUUCUGCUAAAAUUACAAUACGUAUGAGGUUUUACAAUAGUUGUAUUUUGUCUAUUUCUUUUUUGCCAGAGCAAAACACUAUACAAUUAUAUGAAGCUGAUUAUUUACAUACGCCACAUUGCCAGACGCAUCUCUUACCAACAAAAGAGAAACAAGAGAAUUGUUGAAGCUAUGAAAUAGAAUAAGCAGCAUCGACCCAAUUAGACGAUAUACAUUUUUUACACUAGCUUUCGAUUCUCUAAUGUCGAUCCUUGAUCUAUCUAUAAAUGAAUGGUCUGACAUAUAAAUACCUUGUCCUUCUAACAUGUGCAGUUGCAUAGGAUCUACGCCGAGCUGAUGCUCACACCGGCAUAAUCUUCGCUUUUGAAUCUUCACCUCGUCAAAUGGAUUACUCUCAUUGAAUCUCCAAUAUUCAGUACAUAUCCCCAUUCAUUUGUCUGUAUUUAUAUUCGCGUGCUUAAAGAAUAACAUACAAUACGAAACCCUGCCCACCCAAAGAAAGGAAGGAAAAAAAAAAGUUCAAUAGGAAUCUCUCCGAUCUUACGAUAUUACUAAGUUCAGUGGAUGGGGAUGUGGGCUCAUUGUACAUGUUUACGACUAGGGGAAAAGCGCAGGGCUAAGGUUACAAUAUACUAUACACCACAAGAUAUAGAGAGAGACAAUGUUGCUACAAUGAGGAGGCAAGAGGUGCAAGGUUACAAUGAAGAGACAAUGUUGCUACAAUGAGGGCUAAGGUUACAAUAUACUAUACAUUACCAGCCAUACACAGGAUUCUGUACCUGAGGAGGCAAGAGGUGCAAAUCCCUACAAUGUUGCUUAUCAUAAUCACGUGUACCGGGUAUUGCUCCUGUAGACAACCUUAGAAUUUCAUUGCCUGUUAGACAGUAAUGAGCAAAUGCCAACCCUCCAUCCACCAUAUCAUUCAAAUUUGGCAAGGAAACCGACUUUUUCAUCUUACUGAUUGUUUUACUACUUUCUCCAUGCUCAUUGCUCUCAUUACUCAAAACCUUGUUGAGUUCCGAAUACUCCAUGAAUCUUUGGGUUGCAGCCUCCCAUGAUAAGUUAUAUCUCUCCUCAGGGGUGAGGGGUUGAGGCUCACUGGCCAUCGCCUCUUUAACUCUGGCAACAAAAUCUUCCGAUGUUUUGUACGUCAAGCAGUUCGGGAAAUCCCGGAAGAAAUCAUUUGACGGGUGGUCGGCACAGAUAACGAACUUCCCCAUUGCAAGAGCCUCUGCUGUUGCAGUGCAUAGGACAUCGCUAACACUUGGAUUGAUGAAAACCUUGUACCUGAGAAGACAAGGAAAGAUCACAUAAGUGCAUUCCACAUUCCACAAUCAAUAUAGAAGUCAGAACAAAACAAUGAGGCCUAAUGAAGGGGUCUUUUUCUUUUCAAACACAUAUAAUAAUAUAUGCAAAACUGCAAUAGGCACAAAUGCUUGUCUACUCUAAAUGCAGCCCCUCUGCUGAUGUAUAGGCAUAAACAAUUUUUCCAUUUAGCCCAGGCAGGGGCUUGAUCACUGAUAAGGUUUCGGUUCUGAGGUACAUGCAUGCAAACCCAACUUUGCAGAUCUAAUUUAUGCAAUUUUUCACAUAUUUUCAAGGAUAUGUAAGAAACAAAAAGAUCCCUUGUAAGUUUUUAGUUUUCAUGAAAUACUUACCCAUGAAGUGAAUCAUCUGCAUGGUCCCUUCCUCUUAGGAAGUUAAGAUUAAGGUCCAACUUCUUAGCUGCUGAUUGAACUUCAUAUGAAUCCUCACCGUUUCCAAAGACAUCCAACUUGAAGCCUUCCAAGUCACUCUUGUGUUUAGCUAACAAAUCUAUCAGUUCUCUGUAACCUUUGGCCCACACCAUCUUCCCCAGGAAGUAUGCCCCUUUGGAGAAUGCAUGUUGCCCUCGCUCCCUUUCAGCUGCCAUUCUCACUCCAACCUCAAGAAAUCUGGGAUUCACACCAUGCACAUUGCAAAUGACGGACUUCGGUAGAUCCUGAGUUGCUGCAGAAAGACGCAAUACCUGCAGGACAGCCCAUCAUUAACUAGUUAAAGAUACAGGAUAUCGAUCAAAGGUUGGCCUAGCGAUUGGAACUGCUCUGUUCCAAGAAGCAGCAACCAGGUGUUUGGAAUAAAAAUUUUGAAGCUUUUGCUGGGAAUGAGAGCUGAAACAAGCAUAAGGCCGGCAAACCAGAAACUUCAGUUUGAAGUUUCUGCUUCUUCUGCACCAGGAAGCUGUUGACGAGAAUUUAAGCUACAAGCUACUAUUUUUUCGAACAGCUGCACUCAAAAGGCAUUCAGAAGUUCCAGCCAGGCCAAUCAGACCCUCAGGUCAACAAAAGAUCCACAAGCAAAUGAUUCACCAGGAAAUGCCACCUUCCCAACAAAGAAGAACAUACGGACUUCUUUACAAGCCACGUGACUAUAUUAAAUUACGAAAGCAGAAGGUUCAAAUUUGAUACCUUAUGGCAGUAUGCACGGGCGACCAAAUUGUUGAUAUGUUUGACAAAAAAAGCUUGUAUAGCACCAUUCUUCUCCCGCUUGAUGUACUCCAAGUAAUUCGUAUGAACAACACCUACCACGUGAUCAAACUUGUCGGUCCACCGCUUUCCAUGGUGGUACCAGUUUAGGUGCUCUGGUUCCUCCAAUAUGGCAAUGUCAGCUUCCUUCGAGGAGAUGAACUGUGAAGUGUCACCAGCAGGAAUAAUGCUUCGCCGUUCUUUUGAGAACUAUCAUUCAAGAGAGUAAAUAAGAAACUGUUAAAGCAUAUUGAAGACUAAUAAGAAUUAUAAAAUGGAUCAUAAUGCACUAAAUAAAUGACUACCUUUCCAGGAUAAAAAGAGAUCUUGAAAUCUGCCUUAAAGCCGAUUCUUUCCUCCAGCCAAUUCCGUAUAUAGGCCUCCUGCUCCCCUGGAGAGCUGAAAGCCAUGUUGUUGGGAUAAACCAGUUGUUGGUCUGACUUACAAAGCCAAGGGACCACCAACGUUACGUCCUGCUUAGCUGAUUUAGCCAAAUAUGCAGCUCGAAAAAGUGGAUUUACAGCAGUUCCAGUCAUCCAGGGAAGACUAGCAGUUGUAAAAAUUGCAACAUGGCGCUUAUGAUCUGUCCUAUCAUGCUUUACAGCAUUACUCCAAAGCCCUCCCUCAUCACAGUGAUGGCCAGUACUUUGCAGCACACUAGCUAUUCGUAGGUCAAGUUCGUCGCUUAUAGUCUCAUUUCCACAUAAGGAUGUUCCAUUUUGACUAACAGGAUUAUAUAGAAGGUGGUCUUUGUGUUUACUGCAUAGGGCCUCCACUAUUUUGUCGCAAAUGUCUACACCCAGAAGAUAUGUUUCUAGGUAAAAGAUGUGGUAUCUUUAAAAGUCAAAAAAAAAAAAAAACAAAAAAAACAAAAGAGAAUGCUAGGUCUGAAGAAAUAUUAUUAAAAAAAAUAAAAUUUUAAAAAAACACACAAUGAUAUGCAUAAACAUCCUGUAUAUUAACAAGUCACAAGUUAGACUGAGUAAACAAAGUUUUGGUUUCAUACCUCUUUUGAUGCCAAACUGAUCAAACAAUGGUCCAGAUUGUUUAACAAGAUAUGCCAAAAGCUCAGGUAUAUCCAAAGGCGGAACUUCCUGUAUGAAUCAACAAAAUGCAUUUGCUCUUGAAUCAUUAUCGAAUAAAAGUAGUACAUUAUUAAAUGAAAGUAUCAAAAUGAAGAUAAUAAUGUGACAAACCUUGGAUUGUUCAGGCUCUUUGCACAUUGACUUCUGCAAAGAAACCAAAAACAGAUAUAAGUAUGGCGACUCUGAGUUAAGAUAUAUAUAUAUAUAUAUAUAUAUAUAUAUAUAUAUAUAUAUAUAUAUAUGCAAGAAGAGAAACACGGGAUAAGAAUAAAGUUAAACAUAUGAGGAUGUAUAAAUUAAUCCAUGCAUUUACUCUGCAUGUGGGGUUGAUAAAACAAUAGAUUGUGUUAUCAUUAACUGCAAGUAGAAAAAUAAUGGUGAUACACAUAAACAUAUCAUACCUAGACAAACAAAAAUACAAGUAUUCCACUAAUACUUGGAUGAGCAAUUUAGCAAACUAAAAACACAAAACUAAACCUCAGGAGAAGUAACUUUGAGAGUCAAUAUCAAUUUGCUAGUAUGUGGGCAUGUUCUUGAAAUAAGAAGAAUAAAAUAGUCAAAGGACAAUCAAACAAAAAAAUCUCAGAAAAAUAGAAAAGCUAGAGCUAUUUAAGAGAACAUAGUUUAAGUCCUGAAUGAGCAAGGGAGUAAAACGUUCUGACAUGUAAUUGUAUGUUUCCCUGCAGUUAGUCCAUUUGCGUUAUUUGCGGAAAUGACACAUCUAAAGAAGGGACCAAAUAGUCACAAACUAUCAUUCUUAGAGCAUGAUGACCAGCACAGACUGAAGCUACGGAAUGUCGUUACCCUAUGGACUGUUUGCCAUGAAAAAUCUUGAAAUAAAGUUCAAGAAUUGAUGUCCAAAGUUCAAAGAUUGAUGAUUAAAGAAAAAUUUCUAAAGAAUACAGGACUACUAGUCCCUGCCGAACAAUGCAUCCAGACUUAAUUUAAUUGGAAUUAUGGGAAUACGAUAAGUGAUGUCCAUGAGUAGCUGAUAUCCUAUUCUACUGAUCAAUUGUUUUGCAAUAGAAUACAAAUGCCAAUCUCAUCACGGAAUAAUCUUUGUAUGCUACAAGCUUGAUAAUUCUAUCUAUCGCUGUAAAAAUCAUCCAUCAUAUUUAUCCUUAAUUAAUUUCACAAUGAACAACAUAGAAGCCCCGAAAUAAAAUAUUUAACAUACUGUACGUACUAAGAAUCUAGCCAUGAAAACCCUAGAGCGACAUAAAGAAAACAAAGAGGAUAGAGGAAGGGGCAUUACCAAGCUCAUUUUAAUUUUCUCAACAAAUUCGUUGCUCUUGAAAUUCCCAAAGAUCUCAUUCGGCUGGCUCUUCCUCUCGAACUCCUUUAACCCAGUCUUUAACAUACGGAUCGGCUCCCACUCCUUGCCCUCCUCUUCCUCCUCCCGCUCUCGAUCCUUCCACAGAACCUUCCUCUGCCCCCGAAACCUUUCCUUCCCCAAAUCCAGCGCGCCUCCCACCUCAUCCACCUCCGCCACAAUCGCUUUCUUUAUGGCCGAGAGAUCGACCCGUAUCGUCGAUUUGGGGCUCCACCUCUCGAGCACCUUCCGGCUGAAAUCCGGCGACGAGUACGCGCGCCGUAUUUCGGAGAGCUUCGGCUGGAUCCGCUUCACGAACUCGAGCUCGACGAUCGACCCCUCCGCCGCGGGGCGCGCCGGGGCCGAGAACGCCGACGCCGAGUGGAGGAAGUUCUCGAGCUCGCGGUCGGCGAGGUUCUUCAAGGAGUCGGCGCGGGCCCGCAUCAGGCGGAGGUCGGCGUCGGCGGAGUCGCGGACGUCGCGCCACCCCUUGGAGAAGAAGGAGAAGGCCUUCUCCGCCGUGCCGGAGCUCGCCGCCGAGGGCCUCGUGUCCAUGCCGAGGUUGAUCAUGGCUAAUCUAGGGUUAGGGUACUCGGUUUUCUUCUCCGUGUUCUCGCGCUCUCUAUUAGGGGAUGCGAUCGUGUGGAGCGCGCAAGAGAGAAUACACCACGGAAGCGACGAGGGGAAAGAGGAGAGGAGGAGAAGCAGCGAGGUCCAUUUUUAUCGUGAAACUGUACAGGGUCCACGAGGAGAUUUUAGCAGGGCGGGGUUUGCUGACGUGGCGGAGACGGAACGCGAGAUGAUGACGUGGCCAGUUGUGGUUGGUGGGUGUAUGAUGAACAGGUGAUCUUUUUUUUGUAGAAUAUUCUCGAAGGGCGGGGGGGAAUAUCCUGCGGUCGAGGGACGUUCGACGGCCCGAGUCCGUGGAGGUGAUUGGUGCGUGUUUGUUGAUCCGAACUAGACCGGUUCUACAUUCAAAAUCCAUUUAUAUGUUCUUUAAAUUUUAAAUAUGAAAAAUUCGUACAAUUUUCUUUUAAAAACAAAUCGCCCGAUUGAUCCAAAUUUUGGCUAAUUGUUUUUACGGCUAAAUUAUAUUAAAGUCAUUAGAAAUCAUAUGCGGCGUGUCCAAAUUAAUUCACCUGUUUUAAAGUAUUACCAAAAUAUUGGUGAUACUUUCUGAACUGUCUAAAAGAUUCUUCCAACACAAUUAACUAUCUAUAAAUAAAGUUUGAAAAAUCAAUUCACUAAUUAAUCGGUCGAGACUAAUCCAUUAAUUGUACUUAAUAAGUAUGUUUACUUAUUAAGGCACGAGAAACAUAUUUAAGUGCUGCAGCAACAAUCGACCAUCUCUUGCGUAAGUGGCAAAAGACUUGGUUGUUGAUAUCCGAUGUUCUAAAUUCGAAUCCUAAUUGAUUCAUAUUUUCAUCUAAANUUCUUUACUUUUAUUUAUUUUAUUUUUAUUACUUUACUUAUUUACUAUAUUAAGGAACUAUUUGAUUAGAUAUAAUUAUAAAUACAGUGUAGUUAGAAAUACAUAUAGUUAAAAAUACAGCAAUUACAACUACAUACAUUCUAUACAGAGGAGUGUGGAGAGGGUUGCCGUAUGCUUAUGGGUUCCGGAUUCAUCAUUCAUGUAUGGUAUAUAAAUGAAAUUUUAAUUUUAUUAUAUAGACUAUUAAAAAAUAGGAUUGGUCCAUGUGAUAAAAUUUUAUACUUAAUAUAAGCAAAAAUAAAAAAGAAAAGGUGUUGAGAGAAAAAAAAAAUUAAAAAAAAAAGGUGCAGGGUGUGAGAGAAAAAAAAAAAGGUGGGCCUAUAUGUAUAUAUAGUGUAGAGCUACUAUACUAUCGGAAGUAUAGAGGAUCUAAUGUUUCCAACUUUUUGAUCAUUGGAUCAAAAAUUAUACGGUUGAGAUGAUUGCGGCUCUCUCAGGAUUGAGUAGUACCCCUAGGGUUGAGUGGUCCCUACAGGGUAAUAGCAUUAAUCCAAGGUUAAAAAUGAUCAAAGGUAUUGAUCUAAGGGCCAAAAAAUUGAAAGUACCAGAUCCUCUAAGCUUCCGAUAGCAUAGUAGCUCUACUAUAUAUAUAUAUAGAGAGAGAGAGAGCACUAGGCUCCUAUGCUUUCGAAAGUACAGAAGUGUCCGUACUUGUAAGUUGUUUUCAAUAAUGGUACAUCCGAUUCGGCGAUCAGUUCCGUUAGAUAUGAUCUACGCUAUUAGAACUACCUAGAAACUAAAUUUCAUAAUUUUUUGACUUCGUUUGUCUAAUAAACGAGUAGCCUCAAAAUGAACGGCUGAAAAUAAAAAUCUCAUAAAAAACAGUGAUUAUAGCGAAUUAUUUACAAAGAUUUAUUUGUUAUAUCAAAUUAAGGUGCCGUCUGAUUUAAAGUUUAUAAUAUUUAAAAGAUAUCACAUAUUUUAUAUUUAGAAUAACAAGUCUGUUACUAAUUUAUCAAGUCACUUAGAUUGAAAAGUUGUUAAACACUAGUAUAUAUUUAUUAAUGAAAAUAAUAAUUCCACUGCUUCACUAACAAGUUUUACAACUACCCAAUUUGAGCUAUUAAUAAUAAUUUGAAUAUUUUUAAUAGAAAAUAUAGAAGAAUAUCGAAAUAUUACAAACUGUGAACCAAACGAGACAUGAGAGUAAACUUCAAUUUCUCUACCGGUGCCUCUAAUUUAUUUUUUAUCUUAUCAUUUUAUAGUUCAAAAAAUUAUACUUAACUAUUUUAAAAGUUAACUGAUUUUUAUUUUAUCAUCAUGUAAUUUAAAAAAUUAUACGUAAUAUUUGAUGAACUAGGAUUUAAUUGGAUGGGUGGAUAUGUGGAAAAUUUGGGGACCGAAAAAAAAAAAAAAAAAAAAAAUUCAUUCCAAUGGAUCUAAUCAGAUCAGUAUGUGUCAAAUCUAGGACAAGAAAAAGAAAGAAAAUAUAAUCGUUCGAUGCAUUAGAUUGUGUUUACGUAUUCGUAUUUGUAUAAAAUCAAUAGAAGCAACGACGAUCCUUUACCUGGAUUUUAAUGAAAAGAAUACUUCGAAUAUGUUAGAAAUCCCUAGACAUCUUUUACCCAAAAAAUUUUUUCGGUUUUGAUAAUAACUAUGUUAUAUUUGAUAUUAUUUUUUUGAUAAUAUUUCAUUAUCUUAUUUCAUUNAAUGAAUACUAACUUGAUACAUUUAAACCACAGGGUAAUAAAGUGAAAAAAUGUGAAACCAUAGGAACGGUAUUUGAAAUUUAUCCUUUUUAGAAAGAGCAUCUAUCCACAUAGCAUAUAAGGUUGCAAUUUAUUAUUGCGUAAAAUAAAUUCAACAUACUAUCUAUAAUAAUAAUAGAUUCAAAAGAUUAAUCAGUUAAGUUGGGUUGAACUUAAAAAGUUAAAUAGGACUGCGAUUCACAAUAGACCUAAUGACAAAAGACAUAAUAAUAAAUCUAACGUUUAGAUAAUUUGAGUCAUAUCGAAAUUUUUAAAUGCGGUAGUUGAGUCCUUUAAGUAAGAUUAGCGCUCUUUAUAUGAUAGCAUAAGUCAGAGCCUUUUCUUUAGUACAGUGGCAAGUCCAAUUAUCAAUACGUAAGACAUGACGUAUAAUUAAUUAAAAGAAUUUUUAGUUAUUAUGGAUGGAGAUAAAAUUAGGAGAGAGAUUUGGGCAAAAUUUUUAAUCUUUAUCUAAUUUUAUUUAAAAAGUUAUUGCUAAAAAUAAUUAAAUUUUUUUAUAAAUUUGUACGAACUAGAUUUUUUUUUUCUAAAAUUAAUUUAUUUUUUAAAAAAUAAUUAUUUCUAGUUAACAACUAGUAGAAAUAAGAAAAUAGAUUUCGGUUCCCAGAUUGAUGCGAAGGCUUCUGAUUAACUUGCACAUGUGAUUCAAAAAUAUCACACAGAUUGUCUUUUUUUUUUUUUAUAUCGCACAGAUUGUCUCUUUUUUUUUUUAGAGAGAAAGGUAGCAUGCUAUCCGCUUCGUUUAUUUUAUUUAGAAAUAAACUUAGCUGAAAAUGUGAAUCAACUAGGAUUCGAACUUGAGUCUCGGAUACCAACUACCAAGCUCUUUGCCACUUGCUUUAGGAACGGUCGGUAUAUCGCACAGAUUGUCAAUAUAUUAAUAAUAUAUAAAACUAGUAUUGUCAAAACCUGUAGCAAUGCUCAAUACAUAAAUAUUGCCUCGGCAAGGUGUGUCCUUAAAAUUGACAAACCUUAUUAAAUAUUUGAAGUUGAAUAUCGUGAAAUUAAAAUUUGAUUUAACAAAUGUGAGUUAUAAUAUAUAAAGAGUCCGUAGAACAAAAAUAAAUAAAUAUAUAAUCAUUAAAAUACGAUAUUGGCGUCCAAAAUUUGUGAUUUUUAACAUGGUGGACUUUUAUAUGUUACGGAACAAACUAACUCAAUUAGAUUCUAAUAAUGAGAUCUGUAUUAUGUAGAGCUCAAAUGCUUUAAUUGGAUGUUUGGUACAAUUCACAAUAUAUAUAGGGAUAACUUCAAAAAACCCCCCCCUGUGGUUUUCAACUUUCUCACUUUAGUACCCUAUGGUUUAAAAUGUAUCAAUUUGCCCUCCUGUAGUUUCGUUUUUCUUUUUUUUUUAUCAAUUUUAUUAUUUUUUUCCUCAAAUCAAUGACAAAAUUAAAAUUAAAGGGUACUAAAGUAAAUAUUCGGUAAAUCUAGAUAGAUAUCUGAUAUUUUUUUGCAUAUAAUUUAACGAAAUAUUAAGAAAAAAGCUAUAAAAAAGGUAAAAACAAAACCACAGGGGGGGCAAAUUGAUACACUUUAAAGUAUAGGGUACUAAAAUGAGAAAGUUGGAAACCACGGGUGGUUUUUUGAAGUUUUCUCAUAUAUAUAUAUAUGAGCUACUAUGCUUUCGAAAGUAUAAGAGAAUUGGUGCUUCCGACUUCUUUUAUCUUUGAUUAAGGAUUGUACGAUUGGAAUGAUAAUAGUUUCCUAAGGAUCGAGUUGUUUCCUUAGAGUUGAGUGGUUUCCAGAGGAUAUAUAAUAAUAUUAAUCCAAAUAUUAGAAAUGGUCAAGGGGGUUGAUCCAAGGGUCAAAAAGUCAGAAGCACAACUCCUUUAUACUUCCGAAAGUAUAAUAGUUCUACUAUUAUAUAUAUAGAGUCUGGUUGGGAUACUAUCGAUGGCACCAAGCGUUUGGUGCUAUCGAGUUUUCCGCCGUUAAAUUUAACCCAUCGACUAUUUUCACCCGUUAAAUUAUACUAUUAAACCAAUAACUUACUCAACCUUAGAGAGCCCAUAUCAUCAUAACCAUACUUUUUUUCAUGCAAUGGCUAAAAACCUAAUAGUACCAAUAACUUGGUGCUAUUGAUAGUAUAACAACCUAGUUCUAUAUAUAUAUAUAUAUAUAUAUAUAUAUAUAUAUAUAUAUAUAUAUAUAUAUAUAUAUUAUAUAUAUAUAUAUAUACACACACACACACAAACACACACGGAGUCCGGCUACUAUACUAUCAGUAGUACCAAAUUCUUAGUACUAUCGAGUUUUCUGCCGUUAGAUCUACUCUUUGAUUAUUUUUAUCCGUUAAAUUAUACUAUUCAACGAACCACCCACUUAGUUCUAGAGGAUCACUAUCAUCCCAACCGCAUGUUCUUUCGUCCAACGGUCGAAAAUUCAAUAUUAUCAAGUGAUCAAUUUUACCAAGCUGUGGUUGGACUUUUGAAAUCGGAUUACAUUUUUCUUAAUAUAAAUAAGAUUCCUAGAAGUUUCCCAAAAAAGUAAUAAUAAUAAAAAAAAUACUCUAGGUCAAAAGGAGCUUCCCACUUCGUAUGAAAUUGCACUGAAAAAUGACAAUUGUUUUAAUAAUUUAGUGAUAUAAUUGUUCACAGUGUGACAUAUUUCCCCCUUGAAUAAAAGAGGGUAUUUUUCAAAUAAUAAUAGAAACAUAAGGAAGUGGUAUUACUCCCAUGAAUCUCAUGUGCAACAUAGAUUUUCCAAGUAAAGAGGAAUUGAAGAGAUGCAUUAUUAAUGUUUGAGGAGAAUAAGUAUACUUUGAAAAGAACCAACUUCAAGAGUAGGUCAAGUUGUUGAUUAUUUCCUCUCCCCUCUUCCUCUCUUCAACUUUUUUGACAAGCUUUUCAAUGUCAAAUAAAGCCAUCAACCAAGCAAGUGCACAAGAAGCUCACUUCAACAAUUUGAAAGUCAACUGAUUGUUUUUUAUAAUAAAUAAUAAUAAUAAUAAUAAUGAUAAUAUAUAAUAAUUUAUUAUUAUACUAUUCAGAGUAUAUGGAUAGUAUUUACUAUUUAAUUUUUUUUAUUUUUGAAUUAUUAUUAUUUCACCUACUUCAACGACAUUCUAAAUAUUUAAUGAUAAAAAAAUUGAUAGUAAACAUUAUUCUCAUAUUAUGAAUAGUAUUUUAACUUAAUUCAAAUCAGUCUUUUAUAUAUAAUAUAUAUUAGCGAUAGUAUAUGAAUAAUAUUUAUUAUAUUUCAAUUUUUUAACUAUUGUAUUAAUACUAUUCCACCGAAUUCCACUAAACCCUAGGCAUAAAUGUAUCAUCGAAAUAAUAAUUUCAUUGCAAUUCACUACAAAAACCACAUUUCCACUGUAUUGGUUAAAUACUCAUUAGUCACGUACGUGAUCCAACAUAGGUUAAAUUUCCAGUAAAAUGAUCAUCUUAUUCUGGACAAAAAACAACUAGAUAGUUAAUUAUUCUAAUGAACAUAUCAAGAUUGUAAACAUAUAGAGACUAUUCGUAAAUUUUAAUGCAUUUUACGAAAGAAAACAUUAUAAAACUUGGUAGGGUACCUUACAAAUAAUUCUUAUUACUUAGGGCAUUAAAAGCACCACAUUAUUUUUCAUCUCAAAUCUUUAUGUACAAGCUCAAAGUCCAUCAAUUUUGAUUGUUAUAUAUUUAGCAAACACCCUUUGUUUUCCCGCUUAGCAAAGGCACACUCUUUUGAAUCCCUCCUACCUCUUGCUUCACAACCUUAACCAUUGGCUCAUCCCCCGCAUUCUCGCCAGGUCCAAAUUCGAUCGUGUACCGUAUCAUGGGCACCGGCGCCCUGAUCAUCGAAUCGAGCUCCUUUAAUGCCAUUUUGACGUGCAAGAGGAACUUCUCGGCCAAAGUUCGGCCGAAAUCCUCACGAAUGACCACCCGAAGGACCGUCGUGUUUUCCAGAUCGGGCGGCAAAGUGUAAGCAGGGACGAUCCAGCCAAACCUCCGCAGGAGGUUAGAGAACUUGUAGGCCAGAGUUUUGUCUCUCUCUUUGAAUGAGAAUGCCACUAGUGGCACUCCUUGUUCCUUCGAGAUUAUGUCGAAGUGGCGCGCCCGUCGCGUCGAGCCCUUCUCGGAGGAUCUUAGCACUCUCCAUGCAGUUAUUCAUCACAUUCCUAUAACCCUGGAGGAGUCACAACAUUCAUUUGUACUCUCUAAUUUAAAUCAAAAACUUUCAUUUAUUAUUGGUAUUGUUUGUAGCCAUGUGGUGUGUCCACAUUGGCGGGUUUUAAUUUAACCCGAUCCACUUAGAAUGUGGAUUAGGGCUUAUCCUAAUAGGUUUAGGAUAAUAAUAAAUUAUAUGUUUCUUAUCAGUUAAGAAAUAUAUCUACUAGAGGAUAUCUAUCAUAUCCUAGUUCUUAUCCUAAUCUCUUUGUGAGAUUCAGGAUAUUUAGGGGUUCCGUUAUUCUAUAUAUACGUCCCCUUGUUUCUCCCAUCUGAGACGAUUGAUAUUCGAAUUAAUUCAAUAUUCCAUUAUUCUCUCUUUUCUUCCUCUCUGGGAUCUCCAACUACGUUCCCGGGGUUUUGGAGUGUGGACAUAGAAGAGGACUCUGGUAGCCCUCUUCGAUCGGCAUCCGUCGCAUCAAAUCCGCAUCCGAUCCGUGGCGUAAGGCGUACGCGAAGGAAAAGGCGAGAAACGUGGGAGAUCCAGAAGCAUCGAGACAAGGACGAUCCAAGAAGGCUUGUAAAACAAGUAAUUCGAUCCGAUUCGGGCUCCCGGAUAAGUUGGCUAUCCGGUUUGUAAGUUUCCGCUGCCUAUUAUUUCCAACAAUUUAUAUGUAGUUUAAAGUAUAAUGUACACAAAUUUAAACAAUCUAAGAGAUUUUGGGAUUUUUGUCCAAAAAUUUUGUCUAAUAAACAUUGUAGCCAUACAUACAUAAAAGGAUCAUUGUUUUGUUCAAAUUAUAGAAAGAAUAUGUACAUCGAAACCUAACCGUAGGAACUGAUAAUAUUGAGCGGUUAUUUGACUAGAACCUGCACCCAAAAUGAGAAUUUAUUAGAAAUUCUUCGACAAAGAUUCGAAUACAAUCAUACAAGUAUGCAUAAAAAGUGCAUUGCCACUACACAAAUAUAAACUAAUUUGUACAAACAUUCGCGCAAUUUCCAAUUUAAAAGUGUACAAAAAAAGUAUAAUGCUUUUGUAAUUUACUGCUACGUAGUCAGAAUGCUUUGCACUCUUUGUAGUUUUAGUUUUAUUUUAACGUAAGAACGUGCCAGUACGAGGCGAUAUAAUAGUAAAGCGUAAAUCGCAGAAUUAAAAAGUGUUAUAUUUUGAUUAUAUGUAACUUAUAAAGUAUAGCAUGGUACGGUCCUUAUUCGAUGCAAAUCUUUUCGAAAAAGUUAAAGAAAAUCAAAUCAGAAGUACAAAAUAUCAUACUGCAAAUAAAUAAUAGUAAACUGCUGAUGCACUAUAUAUAUAUAGAGUCCGGCUACUAUNUUACUUGUGUAGCAAUUUUGUAUUUUAUAUAUAUAUAUAUAUAUAUAUAUAUAUAUAUAUAUGAGUAGAGCUAGAAUACUUGUAAAAGUAGCAUGGGAGUGAUACUUGUGUGUUUUUAGCCCUUGGAUGGAGAGAUGUGAGGUUGAGAUGAUGGUGGUAGGCGGUGGUAGGUGGUGGUAGGUGGAAUAGUGUUUGAUCUAAAGGCUAUUAGUAAUCAAAAAGUAGAUCCAAUAGUUAAAAACACACAAGUAUCACUUGAGUGAUACUUGUAAAAGUAUUCUAGCCCUACUCUAUAUAUAUAUAUAUAUACUUUUGAGGUAGCAUACAGUUUUUAAAUUAAUUGCACCACUUAUUCCCACUCUCUUUUUCGUUGAAUCCGAUACUUAAUCUUCUAGUAGAAUUAUUAUGCCAUUGGUCCCUACUCUUUAUUUGUCUUUUCACUUUGAUUUUGAAUCUCUUUUUCUGUGUGCGCAUUCUAUCGCGUCAAAUCCAGUUUAAUCACCUUCAAUGAUGUUCUCCGUACUUAAGACCAUCUUAAUCUCGCAUGCGACACUUAUAUUUAAAAUAUCUAACCAUUUUGGCAUUCAAUCAUGUGUGACAUUGAUAUCUAAUGCUCUAUUUAGAAUUGCAGAAAAAUAGUGUUACAUACGAUGAAAAAAUUUGAUAAAAAAUAUUAUAUUUGUUUCCGAACAGUAGAUAACAUUUUAUACUAUUUUAUUGCAAAACGUAAAAGUAAAUUUCAAUAUGCUUCCGUUCUAAUUCUGUUUAGUCUAUUAGUAUUAGAGAUGCUUCAAUACCAAACGGAUUCAAAAAAUAAUGAAAUUAAUGUAUGAUUUGAUCCGGCGUGACAUACCCUAUCAAAAUAACUUUAAAAAAUUUGAAUAGUUGGAUCGAGCUGAAACAAAAUAUAGAGGUAUGGAACCUAAAAAUACGAAAAAAAAAAAAAAAAACAAUAAUCAAACAGAAAAAUGAAAUGGUGAUAAUUGGGAGACCAAUAGUGUAAUUAAUAAUUAAUGUGUUUUAUUUUUUAACGAAGUGGAACCGUUUUUCCGCCGAUCCCGUAGGCCCGAGCUUCCUCCGCUCACCACGCCGCGGAGCUACUCCACGUGUCACCCAUCAACGCCUCCACGUGUCCACUUUCACCGGAUCUUUUUUUUUUAAUUUCUAUUUUUAUUUUUAUUUACCGUGGAAUGAAAACCUCUCCUCUUUCUUAAAAAGGCUAAAACCCUAUUUUCUAAUUCUUUUCAUAUACGCACCAAUCAAAUCAAAUCAAAUCAAAUCAAAUCGAAUCAGCGAGAUGGUGGUGACGACGACGACGACGGAUACCGCGGAGUCGUUGCACUCCACCUUCGCCUCCCGUUACGUGCGCGCACUGCUUCCCAGGUUCGAUUUUUUUUUUUUGUCUGCAAAAAUUUAAGUACCGUGACACAAAAUCAUAUAUAAUAAUAUUAUAUAUUAUUAUUGCUAUGAUAAUUCUAAAGUAAUAAUAAUUAGGUAUAAGAUUCCGGAGAGGGUGAUACCGAAGGAUGCGGCGUACCAGAUAAUCAACGACGAGCUGAUGCUGGACGGGAACCCGCGGCUGAACCUGGCGUCGUUCGUGACGACGUGGAUGGAGCCCGAGUGCGACCGCCUCGUCAUGGCCGCCCUCAACAAGAACUACGUCGACAUGGACGAGUACCCCGUCACUACCGAGCUCCAGGUUCAAAACGAAUAUGAAUAUUACGUAUAGAAACAAACAGACACUCUCAAUAAUAUAGUAAAGGAUUAAUUUUAUACAGAUCCUUGCAAACAUAAUAAAUGACAAGUAAAUUUCUAUAAAGUUUAAUUUUUAUAUAUUGUUCNCUCCUUCGAUAUCGAGCUCGUUCCCAGCUCGUACCUGUACUACUCUUCCAAAAUUAUCUCUCUUUUCUUACAACAAUAAUCUCCUAACGUAGGCGCAGAACUAUUUUAAUCUUAAACUCGCUCAACUCUUUUAACCUGUUAAGUCUAAUCAUCAUUCAAAAUAUUAUAGUUUGAUUCAGAGGUUUAAUUCUACCAUACAUUACCGAUCGUCCCUAGAGUAAGUGGCAAAGGGCUCGGUGGUUGGUACCCGAGACCUAAGUUUGAAUCAUAAUUGAUUCACAUUUCUAGCCAAGUUUAUUUCUAAAUGAAAUAAACGAAACAGGUAGCGUGCUACUUAUCUCUCAAAAAAAAAAAAAAAAAUCUACCAUACAUUAUAUAUAUAACUAUUUCAAAUCCUAAGAAUGUAUUAGAAUCAAAAUAACAACAUCAUAGCAACAUCAUAGCACGUAAGUGAUACAGACAAAAUUGUAAGAACAAAUGUAAUAGAAGGCCCUCAUAACUUCAAAAGUUUACGAAAAAAAAGCAAUUAUAAAANUCUCUGCGGACUACAACAAAAACUCGAUUUUUUCCCCAAAAAAAUUUUACGAACAACCAAACAUGGAGAAAAAAAUUUUCAACUGAAAUUUUUUUUUAGAGGGGUUUAACAUAGAUCCAAACACUCGUGAGUUCGGCGGCAAGAACCGCGAAGGAGGAGGACGACGAAGACGACAUGGACGAGUUGGCGACGAGAGCGGCGACGACGCUACUCGUGAGUCCGCCACCGCCUUUUUUUGGGUGAAUCGUUCGGGAAUCGCGAAUAAUUCGCGAAUAAUUAUUUUUGAUAAAAAAAUGCAUCUUUUUUUGAAUUUUUCGAAAAAAUACGGAUACGGGCGUUUAAUUCGGUUAUUCAAAAAUUUGCAAACAAUUUGCAAAUUAUAUGCGAAUUAACUAACAAUGGGUGUCAGCCGUAGACCCCACCAUUAGAAAUAGUUCUUUUUUUUUUUUGCAAAGAUAGGUAGCAUGCUGGAAAUGUGAAUCAACUAGAAUUCAAAUUUAGAAGAUCGCGAAUACCAACCACCAAGUCUUACGAAAAUAUGUGUUUAGUGGCAGUGGGUGACUCGUAGCGCGAGUUGGUUUGUUCCGGGAUAGUUCGUGGGUCCCGGCGGAGUCCCGAUGCGGUUUUCGGGACUUCCGGCGUGUUCGGCAAUCGGUUUUGGGAAACCGAUUUCCUUAGAUUCGUUGGUGGGGAUUGUAAGUUAGCAUUUUGUGUUCAUGGGUUGGAUUCUAACUCGGUGGGCCCUUCGUAGGUCCGGUUGUUUCGUCUCCGCGGUCAAGGGUCCAGUGCCAGAUACGUAUAGGUAGGUACUUCGAUCCGAAGUCGGUACAGUGGUGCACGCUGGGUGAUAUCUUCUUAGCCUUACUUUCUCGUUAUUACUCCACAUGCAUAUAUUAUAUGUUGAGCCUAGCACCUAUACCAUAUUUCCUUAUUGCUCUACUUAGUUGUUUUACAUAUCCUGUUUCAUGUUUAGAGUAGAACAUUUGCGUGAUUAUUUGUGAUAUCUGUGACCUGGUUGGUCGGUUCCAGUAUCCCGUAUCUGUGACCCAUUGGUUCGGUUUAUUGCAAUGCUAUCGUGACCUAUUUGGUCGGUUGGACUAUUUGAUGACCUAUACGGUCGGUACGCCUUGAGGGGCAGGAUUGUCGGUAGUUGCCGACGGUUGGUUAUUGAGCAUAUCAGUAUUGAUCGCUCGAGACUCGUACGCAUUUCACGAACACCAGCUGUUUGAUCCACCGCAAGAGGGUGUUCUUUUUCGGAAAAGUGGUUCGAUGUGCCAACCCGUGAGCCCAGCUGUCAUGCCGUGGACUUCAGCGGAAGCUUACCAGUUACGUGCACAGACCCACCGUGUACACCACAACCUAAAGUGUACACUAGGCGUCUACAGUCAGCAUAGAAAAAGCAUAAUAUCUUAACCAGGUAAUCAAAGAAAAACUUAAAAGUUCAAAAACUUAUACUACACAUAACCUUAUUACAACUGAAUAGAACAAGUACAAUCUACAUAACCCAAUAUACAUCACUAAACUAAACUGCAUAAACUUGUAGAGGUUUGUCUAUUUAAAAUCGAGAAGGCUCUAGCUAGCCGCUGACCCCUCGCCGGGAACCCUAGCCUUUCCCACUGCGGAAGACUUUGCAUAAAAAUAAUCAACAAAAGGGCGUGAGAACUAUUAAACAAUAGUUCCUAGUAGGUAAGCUGCCGAGAGUGGUGAAGUAUACCACUAGGUCAACUGAGGCAUGUAUAAACAACAAUAAGUAAGUACAGUAAAUGCAACAAGUAAAUGAAGUAAAACAACUAUAGUAUGCCUCGCAAGAUAUGUUUUCUAACUUGUCUUAUGUACUAGUUUAUUAUAACAAGUUCUAUAAUACAUGCUAAUUAACAAUUUAAUUAGCUAUAUGUCAGGCUGUAUGCAAAAUAUCAUCAUUAUAAUUUAGCUAGCUAAUAUCAUAUAGCUAUUUCCCUAUCCUAUCAAGAGUGUAAACAUUCAGGAACUGUCACUAAACUAUUGACCAACAGGGAUGUCAAUCUUCUAGUAUGCUCAUUACUAGGUAUACUCAACUGAUGAUAUAAAAUAUCUUUACUACUAUGUCCAUCUAAGGUUAAAGUUCUUAACAUUAACCCAAUUAACAAGAGACUUACAAAUGGUAAAGUCCCAGCUCGUGUCGUGCCUAAUGGCCCGUGGAAGUCAACACUACCCACAACAAUCUACUUCGGAGCUCAGUCUCAGACGGAAGCAAGCAAUCUUUCGCUAGGCUAACUCCGGAGUACCGGCUUGUGGGGUGCGACCCUCACAAGCAUGUGUGAAUGAGCACAUCGGCAAGCAAGCAUAAUCCAUAGCAUAGAUAUCAUAAGUUCAUCAUAUCUCUAACAUGGAAUCUUAACUCGACACCAGGUCGACAAAUAAUACUAAGUCAUAGUCCACUAUCAACUACUUGGUGAUAUGUUUCUAGUAAUAGAUAGUAUGACUCAAAUAAGUACAUACUUUACAUCAUAUUGAUGAUUCUAACGGGCUAUACCCUCAUAUUCACAUAUAGUUCUCUCACUACUCUCUAUACAUAAGAAAAGUGGUUUACUGAGGUCAUAUUCAAUGGCUCCUUCUAGUAUUCAUAUGACUCAUGGCACAUAUUCUAUAGUUUUACAAAAACCUCCACUAUCUGGAGUAAACAAGUAUCAUGCAAGUAAUUUUUCUUGACUAUACAAGUAUGACAUCAUAUCCAAUUCUAGUUAUUUAACUAGAUUGUAUUCAAUAGUAUAACAUUCAUGUUAUAACAUAAUGCCCAGUUCUAGUUACUUAACUAGAUCAUAUAUAAGAACAUGAAGUUCAUGCUUUUUCUACCAUGUAAAAACGAUACUCAGCUUGUUAACGCAAUUAGGCGACGCAUCACAUAAGGUACUCUAUAUACAUGGUUUCUACACAAUUCAUUUCAUAAUCUAGAAUUAUAGCCUUGUUAAACAGAAUAUGCACAAAAGUCCUGUCAUCUUGUCUACAACAUGGGAUUGCAUAGUUUAGCUCGAUGGUUGAGAAUAAUAUUAUCCUAUUGACUUAGUUGUUCAUCUAAACUAAAUGUCAUCAUCAUAACCUUACCUCCAUUUAUCAUUGCAUGAUGUGAUAUUUCACUUGUCUAUACAAGUAUGCUACUAUCAUAUAAUGCAUGCUAAGCAAACAGGCGAUCUAUACAUAAUAAGCAAAUUCCAUAAUUUCAUCUCUACCAUAUAGAGGUUUCCUUUAAUCCAACAUACUAUGCUUGUUAUACAUGCAACAAGACAUCCAAACAUAGAUUCACAGGAAUAUGCAAGAAUUUUCAAUUCCAUAAUGUCAAAGAAGACAUGGAGGGAAUUCACCCAUUUCGGUAAGGUCAAACCCACCAAGUACUCGACGACUCUCGUCGACCCCAUGAGCGAGGACAAUGCGCAGCCUCCAAGCACCCUGACAAUCAAUCCAAAAUCAGCUAAGGGCUGAAUUUGUAUUUCUACAUCAAGGUUCACAUAAACAUCCAUAUAAUUAUCUUACCUAGGUAAUUCUUACCUAGUAUAGUGUUACGGUUGGAAUCUCAACCUUGAUUAAGGUUGGAACACCAAAUUCAACCUUAGAAAGCUCCCAAAUCUCAGCUAAACAAGAUCAACUGGUCCGCUGUGAACAUGCUGUCUAGUAUAAAAACUGCUUUAAAUUUAGAAUCAUCUCAUUCAACUAAGGAACUACUAGGUAAUAUACCCUUUCACAGCGUCAACUUAGCUUUUCCCCUAGUUUCGAAUUGAAGAACCACAACAAAACCUCUUCUACAACUGCUGGUACCUUCUCCCAAACUAACUGUAACAAAAGGGACCAAAAACAACUCAAAUCCACUACUGGUAUCAACUAGAGAGAAGAAUAGUAUCACUCACGUUACCAAGACUUCAAUUCAGCUACCUGCUGCUAGGGUUGGGGAAAACUUAGUAAAAUACCAUCUCCCACGUUCCAAGAGCUAACCCUCAAGUCUCUAACCCAGCCAACACAAGAGAGGGGAAGAAAAAUGAGCUCAAAUCACCAAAUCUCACUUUAAACACCUCACCCUAGAGAGAGUAAGAGAGGUAUUCAAAUCUGUUUCUCUCAGCUCAAGCAACUUUAGAAUAGCUGCAGGGGUUGUGCAGGGGGAUUAGAGAUAAGCUUGGGAAGUAAAAUGACCAAAACAGCCCUAAUGUCACGCAGUUGCUGUGCUGGGUACUGGUACCCAUGCGUUCUGGUACCGGUACUCAAUACAGAAUGUUGAAUUUCGCCGUUUCGAUGCACUUUUGCUCUUCCGGCUACUUCGUCACUUCAGUAACUUGCCGAAAACCUCCCAAUAACCCUUCAAAAGAUGUGGAAUAGUUUCAAUUACUAUUCUAACACUCGAACUUUGCAAUUUGCUAAAGUUCAGUGUACUACACUAGCGGCCUAGGCUAGGUCAAAUGCAGGUAGAGUGGCAGUGGGUACAGGCUUGAGGUUUGCGGUGUGGACCAACAGAGCAUUGGUUUCAGAUUGGGUAUUUUUGGACUUGUCGUCCGUCCGGUUGAUGCACACAUACAAUAACAGUAUUGCUAUUGUAUUUCACUUACCCAUAUUUUUGUUUAUCCUCCUUGACUGGUGAGCACCCCUCGCCCUCGUCGGCUUGCGGUACCUACUGAGAGGGGAGACAUGUUUAUAUGUUCUCACCCCCGACCCCCAUUAUAGGUGACGUUGCAGGUCCUAGUGGGACGGUUCGUGAGGAGCGAGUCUAGCGACCGAUAGUAUCACCGUCCCGUUGUUGGUUAAUUAUCAAAUUUAGCUCUUUAAAUAAAUGACUUAAACAGUUAAUUGGUUCAGUUACUUAUCACCUUUGAAUUCAUAUGGUUUUAUGAAUGUAAUAAUGAAUUUGGGAUUUAUGUGAAAUGGAAAUAGUUUUCUACCCCUCAUGGUAGCGAAUUUUUAAAGAAAAAAGGGUUUCCGUGUGGGAAACUAUUUUUAAAAGAUUUUUUUGGUUUUCACGGUUUAGUAUUUUAAAAUGAGUUUCCGGGUAGAAAAUAUUUUAAAUUGAUAAAAUAUGAAUUGAUGAAUAUUUGUGAUGAAAUAAAUAUGGUUAUGAACGGUNGGAAAUAGUUUUCUACCCCUCAUGGUAGCGAAUUUUUAAAGAAAAAAGGGUUUCCGUGUGGGAAACUAUUUUUAAAAGAUUUUUUUGGUUUUCACGGUUUAGUAUUUUAAAAUGAGUUUCCGGGUAGAAAAUAUUUUAAAUUGAUAAAAUAUGAAUUGAUGAAUAUUUGUGAUGAAAUAAAUAUGGUUAUGAACGGUGUAUGAUUAUCUGUGGAUGUUCAUAUGUGUGGUUGUAUUUGGUAUAGUAAAAUGUAUCAUGUACUUUUACGAUGCUGUGCAAAUACAGGGGAGAUUCUGUCCAAGUGAACAGUGGACUUCCUGUAUUUGUGGCGGAUAUGGCAUACCCUAGGGGUCAAUAUUUUUUUUAAAAAAAAAUUGGGCACUUCUGCAUGGAAUUUUAAAUCCAAAGGGACCCCGGGAUGUGACAUCAUCUCAGGUUCCUCUUUCUCUUUGGUUUAAUUGUGGGCUUGGUGGAGGCCGUAGCUCGAGCUCGAGAAAUUUUCGACGUCGAUUUGGAAGGUCGUUCCAGUGUGCGUGCAUCGCGGUUGCGUCGUUGGAGGCCGAGCGAGCGCGUGUUUUCCUCUCCUUUCGACUUCUCGCCGUUGUUGGACGAGCGUUUUGAGGUGGUUUGAAGUUUACCGAAAUCGUCGCAAUACCUUCUAAGUUUUAGCAUCAUCGACAUGUAUCGUUUGUGUAUUUCCUUGCUAGUACUCGAAUUCAUGGAUUAAGUGUUUAAAUCUGAAUUUGGAGUUAAGCUAGUUAUAUCAUUUUACAUGUUGGACUUGGAAUUGACUGAGGAGAAAACUAUAGAUCCUACACUGUCAUUUUCUAAAAAUUUUCAGAUUUAGCUUUAGGAGCUAUGGUUUGUUUCUAUCAUUGCUGUUUGUAUGCAAUAGUUACCCAGAUUAGUAUAGGGUGAGUUUAUGCUCGUGCUGGAAUGCCGAGCUUGUUUUACAGUAGUGUGUAGACUAUUUCGUAAUAUCCGGUGCUGUUGGGAUUGACAUUGGACCCAGAUUUCUGUAGCACCGCUGUUAGUGCGAGGUGGAUGCUCGGAUGAGUAUAGGUUGAGUUUACGCUCGUGCUCAGGAGCCGAGUUUAUUUUACAGUAGUGCGUAGACUGUUCCAGACUGUCGGAUGCUAUCACGGUUGACAGUGGACCCAGAUUUCUAUAUUUGUAUCAUAUUGUGCCGAGGGCACGUGAGUUUUGGUUAUUACAUCAGUUAAACCCAUUUUCUUUGAUUAUAGCCUGUGAGAGCCUGAUUGAGCUCGACAGAGACACGCUUACAUAUUCAGUUGGGUAGCGCCCACGAGUGCCACUUCGGAGUUGUGCUUUGUGCAUUUGCGUAGAUGUCGUAGUGUCCAAUGUGGACUUGCUCUUCACCAAUUACCCAGCAUGUUGGUCGUUGGUGUAGCUUCGACAGGCAGGACGGGUGCGUUCACAGUACCUAGUGAGAGUUGGUUAGAGGUUGCAUCAUUCUUAUAUCUACAAAAUAGUGUUUAGUGAUAGUAUAGUGGCAUGUAGCUUUAGAGUUUUUUCAGCUUCCUUUACUAUCCUUGUGCAUAUUUUUCUGUAGAAUUAGUGGGUGGGUUGUUGAGGUUGGUAGCGGUACCCACUGAGCACUACUUCUUCUUGCAGUAGUUCUCACACCCAGUUGUUGACCCUUUUUUGCAGAGCCUUCGUCCGUGGCUGCUGCUGUUGUUGUUUUGAAUCGUGGAAAGGGAGUUGUGAGCUAGAUUCCUUCCAGUCUUGCCGCAGUGCUAAGGAGUACCUCCUACAGAUAGUUUUGGAUUUUUUUUGUACAUAUAGUCUUAUUGUCUGGAUACUUGCUGGAGUGAGUGGUGUAGUAGACAUUUUGUAUGUACUGGAACCCUUGAGGUUAUAUAUUACUUUUCUAUUUAGCAGCUCUUUACCUUGUGGUUGUAGCUUCGAUUUGUUUACUAGUACAGCUAUCGCUUCGUAUACAGAAAAAAUUCCUAUUUAUACAGUGGGUCUGUUGCUGUGCCCAGAAAAAUAUGUAAUCCGGGGCGUGACAUUACAAAUUAUAAAUUUUAAAAAUUUAAAUUUUUAAAAUUUAACUAUUUAAUUAGAUAAAUAAUAAUAAAUUAUAAAUAGAUUAUUAUUUAAAUAUUUAUUAAUUUAAUAACUUAAAUAAGUAAUUAGUCAAUUAUUAAAAAAUUUAAUUAUAUUAAUUAAUUAUAAUUUAUAAUUAUUUAUAACUUAAUUAUUAGAGGAAUAAACUAGAGAAUAGUUUGUUACACCUAAUAGAUAGAAUUACUAUUCUCCUCUCUUAACGGGUUAUUCCGGAAUAGCCCGUUAACGCGGGAAUAAAUUAACAUGCUAAGUUUGCUUGGUGUUUGGCAAGAAUAGUAGGAUAAAAGGGGUUAUUCCCCUUUUAUCAUAUGUAACAUAUCGAAAUCCGGAAGAAAUUAUCGAACCUUAGCCAAAUUGGUUAAAGUUGUCGAAAGAAAAAGUUGGACAAGUUCCAAUUAGCAUUCCAACAAUAUUGGAAGGGCUAAAAUUGAGUUUAAGAGGUAUUAGAAAGGUUUUAGCAUUGAACGGCGCGAAACAGAAUCGAAAACGGUGCGAAAUUGUAUUCUGGAGCAAAGUGUACCGGUACAACUAGCGAGUUGUCAUCGGUACAGCAUUGCAGGCCGAGAAGGAAAAGCUCCCGGGUUUGAGAUAUUUUGCCUGUGUUACCGUUGACACCCCUGGUGUGUACCGGUACGCUUUGGUAAAACCUGUAAGAAUUGCUCUCGGGUUUCCCUCUGCGUAAUCGUGUUACCGGUGACACCUUAAAGUGUACUGGUACACUUUGGGUCUGACAGCAAAAUGAAAACGUACUGCUGCAAAUACAAGUGUUUGGAGAGCUUUUUGGCUAUUGUUACAACAUGUAAUAUACCCCCAACACCCCUCCUACCUGUUCUAAACAGCAACCACUCUCUCCCUCUCUCAUUUCCCUCUUUCUCUCUCUAGAAAACUCUCCAAUGAGUAAGGAGAGGAAGGAGAAGAAGGAUUUUUGAAAAAGUUUUGGUGGAUUUGAAGGCUUUAGAAGCUCUUCUACAAGGAGGACUUGGGGAUAGCUUGUGGCUAAGGUGAGUUUAUGCAUGAACUCCUUUAGGGUUAGGAUUCUUACCUUAAGUUUUGGAGUUUUGAUCCUCUAAUAACCCUAUAAACGUCGAACGAACCUUGAAAUCCAUGAAAAUCAUGAUUUUCUCAAGGUCCUUCCAUGGUGAACAUCUAGGGUUUAAAGUAGAUGCCCUAGGAUUGGUUCGAGUGGCUUGGAAAUGGUAUUAGAAAGCUUCAUGGGUGGUUCUAAGCUUAAUUUUGCUUAGUUAUAAGAUCAAUCCUAAGAAAUUUUGCAAAUGGCAACAUUAGGGCACCCAAUUUGGAGCUUUUGCCUCCGAAUGUUUUUAAGGCAAAUUGACCUUGUAAAAACCUAAUUAGGGGUAUUCCCGACGCAUGGGACAACUCCGUUUGACGUUACGAAAAGAUUUAGAUGGAGUUAUUGAGAAAAAGCCUAAUUUGGCUUCGUUUUGCCACAGGCGAGAAAGUAAGGCUUCAAAAAUUUCAGGAAAUUCAUUGUAGCAUCCCUACAACCAUCUAAGGUGGGUGGUGCAUUCCAAGGACCUCGAAAUUUCUUUUAUAUCUAAAGUGUCACAUUGAGCAUAUGUAUGUAUUUGAGCAUAUUGCAUAGUAGGGUAAUUGUAAGCUUCCUUUGCAUGUUGUGAGUUCAAAUGCAUGUGAAAUACUUGUAAGAAUGUGAGAAUUCUAUUUACCCUAUGUAUGCAUGAGAAAUGACAAGAACUUAGUAGCUUUAGAGAACAAAAGUGACAUGUUGACAUAAUUAUAGAGAAUGGCAUCAACGAAUCGAGAUAUGCUAGAGUUGACACUUAGAAAACAAGUGUGGCAUCAAUGAAUGAGUACAAGAACUAGUAGUGUAUAUGACACUAGUAAAGGUUAAAGAAUGCAAGUAAAUAGAGGUAGCGACAUUAUGACAUAACAACCUUAGAGUUAAGGGUCAAAUGUGCAUUGUUUCCUUAUAGUUAAGGAAUGGAUUUGACUUGACAUCCUUAUAGAUAAGGAUAGGAUCAUACUCACCUGUAAGUCCUUGCUCGAGGGUGGUAGCUUCCCCUCGGGCGAUGUGCUCCAGAGUUGUCAUUACCGGGUCGUAGCGAGUAUCUCCCCAGAGGACGGUCCCAUCGAGUUGUAGUGGGUAUCUCCCCGAUAUUAGGAAUUUGGUUGGUGAGUCAUUGAGGGCGAAACCUAAGGGUUAGCCAAGAAAUUGGGUAAUGAGAUUGUGACCUUGCAUUCAACAUGAGCAUACAAUUGAGCAUCGCAUUUAUUAUUGUUCAGGCAUAUUAGCUGCAUUUGUAUAGUUUGGUUACUAUCUAUAUCUCUUUUCUUCUAUUAUGCCUGAUUUAGACCUAGUGGGAAAGUCGGCGUGGUUGGUUGCCGAACCCACUGGAAACUUCGUUGUAGUUCUCACACCCCAUUUUCCACAGAGCCCGGACCGAGUGAGCCGACGGAUGAUCGCCGUAAGGGCAUCGCGCCCUAGAUAGAGACCACCCGAGACGGUUUCUCAUUUUGGUUUAGUUGCAUACCCUUUAGUUGCCAUNUUAGACCUAGUGGGAAAGUCGGCGUGGUUGGUUGCCGAACCCACUGGAAACUUCGUUGUAGUUCUCACACCCCAUUUUCCACAGAGCCCGGACCGAGUGAGCCGACGGAUGAUCGCCGUAAGGGCAUCGCGCCCUAGAUAGAGACCACCCGAGACGGUUUCUCAUUUUGGUUUAGUUGCAUACCCUUUAGUUGCCAUCUUUUGUAUUUUGAUGAUUUUAGGAUUAUGAACUUGUUAAAUGAAUGAUGUAAAAAGGGGAUUAUGUUUCAAUGCAAACUUUAUAUUUUGAGAUAUCAUGUGAUGUAAAAGAGAAGAAAUGAUGCAAAAAUAUAAGCGAUUUUCCUAAGUGUAGUUUACUACUUUUACUAUUGGCUAUUGUUUGCCCUCGUGCAAGCCAUUGUGUAUGCUUCCGCUUAUGCAAAUUUUAUACUCUAUCUAUACCUGUUGUUGAGCCUUGGGCAGAUGGGGGAGGCUCUGUCCGUUCGGCGUCUGUUUGACGCUGUCGAACCGGCCAAAAGGAUCGGGCUCGGGGCGUGACAUCCCACAACCAAACGGGGCCGAUCUCUUGAUCUCCUUCCUCUCUCUGAUCCUCCUCUGACUCUGAUCUUCCUCGUCCUCUACUGCUGGUAGUAAUUACAACAAAUAAUCGAUGAUGUAGAUGAAAUUGAUACGAGAAUUAAUUAUUAAUUAAUGUAUGAUGAUUUGGGAGGAGGGGCGGAUCGUCUCGAUCCACCCAUUAAUGCCGUUGGCGAGAGCAACGGCCGUCGGGCCAUCUGUGGCUCCUCUGCUAUGCUAUUCUUCCGCACUCUCUGCUCCGGACCAAAUAUUUUGCCUUCCCUGCACUCCCCCCCCCCCAAAAAGAGAAUAAAAUAAGUCCAAAAUAUUUGAAUUUGAAUCAUAGAACUUAUGAAAUAUUGGAUGUAGUCCAUAAGAUACACUAAUACGCCCGGUGUAGGCUACUACUUGAUCAUUUGACUGAGAGAGAUAAUUACUUGUUACUUAAAAAAUUUGUGUAGAGACUACCAUUUUUCUAUAUUUAAUACUUGUAUUUGAGAUCUUGAUGUAUCUACUCAUGGUUUUUGUUAGUUAAUUAGAUCUUUUAUAUUCUACUUGUAAUUAGAAUUUAGUUGUUGUAUGCUCUGAUAUCAUACUAGCAGUUUAUCUUUCUUGCUUAAUUAUAUUAUGGUUGUAGACGCCUUGUAUGUUAUUAGCAUAUGGCGGGUCUGAACACGCACCAAGCAGGCUUCCGCUGGGUCCCGGGGAGUGACAAUUACUACCAGUAGUAGAUGACGAGGAGGAUCAGAGUCAGAGGAGGAUUAGAGAGAGGAAGGAGAUCAGAAGAUCAGUAACAAGUAAUUAUUUCUCUCAGUCAGAUGAUCAAGUAGUAGCCUAUACCGGGAGUAUUAGUGUAUCUUAUGGACUAAAUCCAAUAUUUCAUAAGUUCUAUAAAUCAAAUUCAAAUAUUUUGAAUUUAUUUUAUUCUUUUUUUUGGGGGAGGUGGGGGAAGUGCAGGGAAGGCAAAAUAUUUGAUCUAGAGCGGAGAGUGCUGAAGAAUAGCAGAGCAAAGGAGCCAUAGAUGGCCCGACGGCUGUUGCUCUCGCCAACGGCUUUAAUGGGUAGAUCGAGACGAUCCGACCCUCCUCCCAAAUCAUCAUACAUUAAUUAAUAAUUAAUUCCUGUAUCAAUUUCAUCAGCAUCAUUGAUCAUUUGUUGUAAUUACUACCAGUAGUAGAGAACGAGGAGGAUCAGAGAGAGGAAGGAGAUCAGAAGAUAAUGUUAUAAAAUUUUUUAAGUAACUAGUAGUUAUUUCUUUCAGUCAGAUGAUCAAGUAGUAGACUACACCAGGCGUAUUAGUGUAUUUUAUGGACUACAUCCAAUAUUUCAUAAGUUCUAUAAUUCAAAUUCAAAUAUUUUGGAUUUUUUUUGGGGGGGGGGGGCGGUGGGUCAAAGUNGGAAGGAGAUCAGAAGAUAAUGUUAUAAAAUUUUUUAAGUAACUAGUAGUUAUUUCUUUCAGUCAGAUGAUCAAGUAGUAGACUACACCAGGCGUAUUAGUGUAUUUUAUGGACUACAUCCAAUAUUUCAUAAGUUCUAUAAUGAGAAGGCAAAAUAUUUGGUUCGAAGUAGAAAGUGUGGAAGAAUAGCAGAGCAGAGGAGCCACAGAUGGCCCGACGGCCGUUGCUCUCGCGGCCUUAAUGGGUGGAUCGAGACGAUCCGACCCUCCUAGCUCCCAAAUCAUCAUACAUCUAUUAUCUAUCUUCUAUCUUCUAUUAACUAUUACUAGUGAAGGACCCACGCAUUGCGGUGGGACGACUUCGUAGAAAUAAAUAAAUAAAUUUAAAAUAACAAAAUAAAAAGUCAAAGAAUUAUAUAAAAUAAAUAACUGAAAAAUAAGUAACUAAUUAAAGAUUGAGGAAUUCUCUAAAUUAGCACUUGAACCGAACUGAAUCAAUGAUCUGCCUAUAUAAUUUUGUUUUGUGUAUGAAAACCGAACCAAUUAAAUCUGAAAACCGAACCAAUUAAAUCUGAACCGAAGAGCUGUUGUCUCUAAAAAUCUGUACCGAACCAAUUAACUGACUCUCUCUAAACCGAACCGAACCGAACCAAACCAUUCACUAUCUAAACUUCUCAAACCGAACCAAUAAACUUCUCAAACCGAACCAAUACACGCUUGCUUCUUCUCCGCUCGAAACCAUAAGUCGCUUGCUUCUUUUCCGCUCGAAACCGUAAGUCGCUCCGCCUCCUCACGACCUUGAUUCUUUUCAUGUUCUUCUCAUGUCCGUUACAGUAAAUCACUUCCCCUCCGUGCGACCUUGCUUCUUCUCCUGUCCGUUACAUUAAAUCAUUUCUUCUCCUCUCAAUGCCGCAGCAUCCAUCCCCUAUUUUCGUUUCAGACGGGAUCGACGGGAUCGUGCUCAUAAAAUUUACCAUCGUUUUAGAUGGAUACUCUCCUCUACCCUGGCCGAUUUUUGCCUAUAAAAUCUGUCCAUGCCUCGCAUCGAAACCAGCGUCUUAUGCUAUUAUCCCGAAAUUUGAACGGUAAGAAAUUAGAAAUUUAGAUAUUCAGUUCAAAUCUUUCUUUUUCUUAUAUAAUAUGAUAAUAAUAAUAAUUUUAUUGUUUUAUCCUCAAGAAUCGACGCUCCUAUUUAUAAUAUCUGGACGUUUCCUUCUUGGUAGGCUUUUGUGUUCAUAUCAAAUCUUUCUUUCUAAUAUAAUAUAACUUUAAUUGAUAUUAUUGUCUUUUUAACUUUCGGUGAAAUUUUAAUUAAAAAAAAGGAUAAACUUCAAAUACCACCCUUGUGGUUUCGCACUUUCUUACUUUAGUACCCUGUGGUUUAAAGUGUAUCAAGUUAGUGUCAUGUGGUUUCAUUUUUAUCUUUUCGUCAGUUUUUCUGUUAAUAUUUCGUUAAAUUAUUAUAUACAAAAAACUUCAAUACCCCAUCUAGAUUUAUUGAAUAUUCACUUUAGUAUCCUUUAGUUUUAACUAUGUCACUGAUUUAACGAAAAAAUUAGUGAAAUCAAUAAUCAAAAGAUAAAAAUGAAACCACAUGGCAGUAAAUUGAUACACUUUAAACCACAGGGUACUAAAACAAAAAAGUGUGAAACCACAUACCUCAUGGUUUAAAUCAUAAUACAUUAAAAAUUUGAGGAUUAAAUUGUUAUUCGUUUUAUAGUUUUAAGGAUGAAAGUGUAAAUCCAAUCUUUCAAAAACUUUUUUUAUCCAUUUUUUUAUAUAUUUUAAAUUUUUAUAGUACAAAAUAAAAAAUUAGAUUAGACUUAGAAAAAUUAUAAAUUUUCUUCUAUGUACAUGAACAAAGGAAAAAAAAUUGAAGUUAGAGGGGAAAAAACAACCUCUCUCCUCUCUCCCCCGCUAGGUCCCCGCUGGGUCCCACCUUGUCCCAGAUUGGAUUUAAAAAAAAUAAAUGAGGGAACAAUUGAGAUGAGAGAAAAAAAAACUUCCUCUUCACACCCUCCCCUGGCUAGGCCAAAAAUUAUAUAAAAAAAUAACUAAAAAAUGAACAAUUAUUAUGUAACACACUGGACCUUUGCAAAUUACGAGGUUCGAGUGUUUGGCCUGUGUUUCGAGCAUUUCUAGAUUUUCUGGACGUUCGUUGACCUUGUUCCGACCUAUGGCUCGUACCCCGAGAAAUGAAGUUUCUAUAGUAGAGCUAAGGCCGCCAAAGAGGAGAACUUAGGCUGCUCUCGGGUUGCCUCUGCACACUGUUGUACCGGUACAAAUACGGUUCUGUACCGGAACACAUUGUGUACCGGUACAGAUAUGGCUCUGUACCGGUACAAAUAUGGAAAAUAGCAAACCCGAGGCUCGGGUUGGGCUGUAUGGCAGGGGUUGUAUCGGUACACUUUCCCGUGUAUCGGUACACUUUGCCCAGAAUGUUGAUUUCGUAGAUGAGGCUUUUUGCAAUUGUUGCAACUCUAUUUAUACCCACCCCAGCCCCUUUGAGAGCUCCUUUGAGCCCUAGAACGUGGAAAGGAGAGGUAAGAACUCCUCUCUUGAUUUUUUUUCCCUUUUUUCUUGCAUUUUAGCCCUUCUUGAUCUUCUCUCUUUGCUUCCCUUUGUUCCUUGUGGGGAUUUCCACCUUGGAGAAGCAUUGGAUUGAAGAUUGGAGCUUGUGGGAAGGAAGAUCUUCAACCCUAGCCUACUUGGAGGGUUGAUUUGGAGCUCUUGUGAGGUUAGUAAGCUUAAAUCCCCCUUUUGAUCUAUGUUUAUUGGUUUUUGUUGUUGGAAACCCUAGAAUUGAGAAUUAGGGUUAGAAUUGGGGAUUUUGGUUUAGAUGCUUUUAGAACCAUAUUGAAUGGUUUAGAACCUUUGUAUAGGUUUGAUUAGAAGGCCUCUACCUCCCAUUUGGAGAUCGAGAGGGCUUUCUUCGCAUUCGGUGAGUUUUCUCACCCUUUUCUUGAGUUGCUUAAUGUUUGAGCAAUAGGUUGUUCGUUUCGAUUUUAUAACUCUCCUUUUUAUACCUUUAGGGUGCUAGGAGACUAGUGGGCACCUUCGUCAGUUUAAACGAAGGGUUGCGAGAGGUCACGGUGGGUUUGGCUUCUUUGAAAGAGGAGAAAAUCUCUCCUAAGUGGUUAAAUAUUUUCGUAUCAUCGAAGUGCAUUCAUAUUCAUGCUAGAUAGUAUUUUUAUGAAUUUUAGAAUACUUAAAAUGCAUGUGUUAUGUAUCAUGAAUUUUCAUCUCUAUGUAGUAGAGCCUAUGUGUAGUAAACAUGCAUGUGAGAAGUAUUCUCUUUUGUGGAUCGGAACCAUGUCUCAUGUGAUGAAUAUGACUAGAAUUAUGCAUUCUUGAACAGUAAACUCAUAUUUGUACUUAGUGAAUAAAAGUGUCAUAAAGGGGCACUCGGACUGGUAAACAGUUAAACUGCAACCUAGUGACAUAGUGAUAGGCCAUUGAGAUAUCGACUAUAUUCCAUGUUUUACACGUGAUGACAUAGUGAUAGGCCAUAGUGACACUUACUAUAUUCUAUGUUUUAGACAUGAUGACUUGAGACUUGAGACAGACUGUUACGCUUGCUUGCCAUUGUGCUCAUUCGCAUAUGCUUGUGAGGGUCGCUCUCUACAAGCCAGCACUUCGGAGAUAGCCAUCGCGAUAUAUACUCGCCGUGCGGGAUUGGGCGCCGAAAUGGGAAGCCGUGGGUGAGGCUCAUUCCUAGAGUGGGGAUGUUGACUAUAAUGGGGCCAUUAGGCACGGCGCAGGCCGGACUGCCCACGGGUAGGUCCUACAUGAUUGGUACCUUGGUGCCUUAGUAUACUGAGAGGACAUUCACUAGAAUAGUAAACAAUGCCAACUUACUAUUUACCUGUGGACAUAGUAGCAGUUUUACUUAUGCAUAUACAUGUUACAGUAGCUUUCUUACUUAGGCAAAUUCAUGCUAAGUAGAGAUAUCAUGUUGUAGUAAGUUUUAUGUUUAUUUGCUUACCCUUCAUAUUGGUCAUAUUUGUACUUACCCCUUCUUAGCUUUUGGGCCUAGUGGUGCAUUUCACCGAAGUCAGUAAUUGCCUACUGGGAACUAUUAUUUAAUAGUUCUCACGCCUCCUGUUUUAUGUUUUCUUUCAGAGCCCUCUACACCGGUGGAGGCACAGGACCGCGGUAAGGGGAUCGCUUGCUAGAUAGCGAGGAGUUCUUUUGCUUUAGGUGGUUUGUUCUCUCCUUUUGUGUUGUUUGAGAGAAAGUGAUAGUUGUAUCCAUAUAUAGAGACCACCUAUGUUAUACUUUUAGCACUUAUUUUUUUUGGGAUAUCCUUUGUACUACUUUAUGGUUCUAUUUAGUAGAUUUUAGCUUUCUUUUAUGCUUCUAUAUCUUAGACUCUAGAUGUUGUAUACUCUGAUACUUCUAGAUGUUCUUCCAUUCUUGCUUUAUUUAUCGUUUUGUAUUAGACGCCUUAUAUGUUGUAUACGUAUGACGGGUCUGGACACGUACCGGGCGGGAUUCUGCUGGAUCCCGGGGCGUGACAUAUUACUGUAAUAAAAAUAUAAAAAUAAAUUAUAAGAAAGAUUAAAAAAAAGGUCAAAAAUCAUAUUAAUAAGAAAUUAUAUAUAAUUAUAUUUAUAAUUAUAUAUAUUAUAAUUAUUAUUAUAAUUAUAUAUAAUUUUUAAAAAAAAUGAUUUAUUAUUCUUAGAUUUUUGCCUCUAUUCUUCUUUUAUCUAUCUUAUCAUUUUAUUCUUAUUUUUUUUUUACUUUUUUUAUAUUUUAUUUGUAAAUUUCCUUCCUUACUUUUUAUAUAUUUUUAAUAAUUCUUUUAUUCAGCUUAAUUAAAAUUUAUAUUUAAUACAAAUAAUUUAACUUAUUUAAAAAUUAUUUAUAUAUUUUUAAUUUUUAUAAAAAUUUAAAAAAUUAUAAUUUUUUUUAAUCAUAUAUUAAGAGAAUAAAUAUGUAAAAAAAUUAAGGCCAAUUUGCAUAAAAAAUUCACUUAUUUUGGGUUUUUGCAAAACCGGGCCACCUUUUUCGUUUUUGCAAAUUCGGUCCGCUUUUUCAGCAAACUGACCAAAAUACCCUUAUUACUUUUUCUCUUUCCUCUUUCUCUCUCCUCUUCGUUCUCUCGUUCUUUUUUUUUUUUUUAGCCGACAAAAAAAAAGCGACGGACGAGCAACGCCCAAAGCGGGCUCUUCUUCUUCUUCCUUCCUGCAGGAACGAAUUUUUUUUCUCUUUUUCUUUCUUCUUCUUCUCGCUCUGCUGGAGCUUUUUUUUUUUUUUUUUUUUUUUUUUUUUUUUUUUUUUUUUUUUUCCCUCCUUCUUCCUCUUCUUCGUUCGUCUUUUUUCUUAACCUGUAAGAGCACGGGGCGGCACAAGCGACUUCCGGCUCGGCCACGGAGCCCGACGCUCGAGCCGACGCCCCGUAGCCCGCGGGAAGCUCUAUUUCCUCGUCGAACUCUCCCCACGCGACCUCGAGCACGACACGACACGCCGCGAGGUCGCGCACCGGCGCCGGCGCCGGCGCCGCGCGUGUCCUACUAGGUUGCCCGAGGAAGGCCGCGCAAGUCGGACUACGAGCCGACCGCUCGCACCGACGCCCUGCAGCCGGGGAGCCUACUUCCUCCCCGCGCCGACCCUUGAGCCCCACCACUCCAGCGCGAUUUCACUAUUACAGCAUUAAAUGUGAACUAGCACCAUUAAUGUGUAAUUACACCAUUAAUGGUGUAACCAUUACACGGCAUAAUGGUGUAGUUUCACCAUUAAUGGGUAAUGGUGAAAUGCCGCGGCGGCGAUGGCGCCCGCCGGAUGCCGAGCUUCGCCGCGGAGCUCGGGGCGCGCCGCGCCCGCGCACGGGGCUGGUGCACGGCGGGGCGGCCUGCGGCGUCGGGUCGAGCGAGGCGGCGGGGGAGGUCGGGUCGCCGAGCUCGAGGUCGGCCGGUGACGCCAACAGCCUCCCUCUCCUCGCCGUCCGCCAAUAGCGGAGGAGCGCACGUCGCGAUCCGGCAGUCGCGGCGGGCGCUCGGCUUCCCGGUUGCUGAGUCUCUUCGUAUGGUGUUAAUGGUGGGCACCUUACACCAUUAAUGGUGAAUCACACAUUAAUGUGUAACCAUUACACAUUAAUGGUGUAAUUUUCACCAUUAAUGGUGUAGAUGUGAAUCUGGGCGCGGCGGUGGUCGGGCUCGGGGGGCGCGGGGGAGGAAGUAGAGCUGCCCGGUUGAGCAGGGCUGUCGGGGUCGAGCGUCGGGCUCGUAGUCUCACGCGCUGGCCUCCUCGGAACUAGUAGGAACGCGGCGGCUUGCCGGGCCGACGCGCGCCGGUGCCGGUUGCCGCCCGUCGUGGCGGCGGUCGGCCGGUCGGCGCGGGGGAGGUCGACAGGAGGAAGUAGACUUUCCCCAGGCUUGAGGCGGGUGCGUCGGGGGUCGACGCGGUCGGGCUCCGUGGCGAGGCGAAAGUCGCCGUGCGCGCCCACUGCAUCUUAUAGCGAAGAAAAAGAAGAAGAAGAAGAAGAAGAAGAAGAGGGAACAAAAAAAAUAAAAGCUCGCAGCAGGAGGAAGAAGAAGAAGAAAAGAAAAAGAGAAAAAAAAUUGCUCCUGAAGACAGAAGAAGAAGAGCCCGCCUGGUGGUGCUCCGAGCGGUCGCUUUUUUUUCGGCGAAAAAAAAAAAAGACGAGAGAACGAAGAGGAAGACAGAUAGAUAAGAGGAAAGAGAAAAAGUAAUAAGGGUAUUUGGUCAUUUGCUAAAAGCGGACCGAAUUUGCAAAAAGAAAAAGGUGGCCGGUUUUUGCAAAAACCAAAAUAACUGAAUUUUUUAUGACAAAUUGGCCAAAAAUUAAAGAAAAAACAUUAAAGGGAGAAAAAGAGACAAAAAAAAAAAAAAAAAUCCCUCCGCCUCUCCUCGUACUCUCCCUCGGCUGGGCCCCACCCUUCUGCUCUCACUCUCUCUCUGCCUCUCCCGUCGCCUCUCCUCGCCCGCAUCCUCUCCCCGCCGCCACGCGGGCGCCCCGCCGCGCGCGCAACCGCCUUUUCGCCUCCUCCUCUCCCGCGCGCGCCGCUCGUCGCGUGCACACGCGCCCGGCCCGCGCGCGCCCGCUCUGCCGCUCCCCCUCGCGCCGCGCCCCGCGCUCGCGCUCGCCCCCGCCCGCGCCACGAGGCGCCCCCUCCCCGCUGCGCGCUUCCUCUCCUCUCACCGUUUCGUACGAUACGCCGUUCCCUCUACCCUUUCCACCCCAUCGUCUGUCUCUCUUCCUUCUCCGCCACAUACGAUGGAUCCGAUGAGAUGGAUCCAAAUCUCAUCAAAUCUGCCCUCUCCUCUCACCGUUUUGUACGGUCCGUCGUUUCCUCUCCCUUUUCCACGGCAUCGUCCCUCUCCCUUCUUUACCGCAUAUGAUGGAUCCGAUGAGAUGGAUCCGAAUCUCAUCAAAUCCGCCGCUCUGCCUACGAUUCAUCUUGCCUACUAUUAAUUUUUUUUCCUUAUAGAAUAUGCUAUUGUCUUUCUUUUCAGGAAUCCGAAAGCUUUUAGAUGAGACGUGCAGUGGCAAAAUGGUCAACGAAUGGGUUUUUUAGGUAUCUCUUCAUCUCAUACUUAAUUUGUGGAUUUGCAUAUUAUACAUUUGAUGUAGUGAUGAAUCUUGUUGGUUGUUUGGCUAUAUAAUUUUCUGAAAUGUUUAGAUGGUUAUUUUCGAAAACUUUUUAAUUCAUAAAAAUUUUGUAGCUUUUUAAUUGAUAAAAAUUUUGUUAGCUGAACAAAUUAUCAUUCUUUUAAGUCAUAUUUCAUUCUUUUCAAUGUUUGGUUAAUCAAAGUUAUGAUUAUGACGAUUGAAGGUGCUCAACCGUAUUAUUGUGGAAGGACGAAAGUAUGGGAUUGAAUUGAUUCUUAGCUUAGUCAAUAAUCUAAAACAUUACAGUGGGAAGAUGCAAUAUAUUAAAUAUGCGUGAGACAAAAGCAUAGGAUUGAGCUCCUCAAAUGAUUCUUUCUUCUUUGAUCUAUCGAUUUGGAGAUAUUCAAGAUUUAUUAGAGGGUAAUAUCAGCCCGCUGAUAAAUAUGUACUAAAAACAGUUUAUUGCUAAGUUGCAAUCGAAUUUAUUUGGGAUUCUCUGAGAAAUGAACUUUAAAUAUAAAAAUAUAAUGAUAUUUGAUCCAAUAUCAGAUACUUCUUAGACGAUGCUAACAAAGAAAAACCACUUGGCUAGAACUGAUAGAGAUAAUCCCAUCAUCUUUACAUGGGAAUCAAUGAAUGAACCUCAUUGUAUAUCAGAUGCAUUUGGUGACACCUUUCAAGUAAGUGCUCUCAAUUUGUUUUUCUUUUUUUAGAAAAAUAAGUGUCCUUAAUUUCAUAUCUCAUUGAUGUGUCAUAAAAUAUCAUGUCACCUUGUAAUAGAAGCGCAAUAGAUAAUAAUAGUACAUUGUGAGUUUCAAUUGAUAUUUUUUGCUCUAAAGAAUUGUAGGAUUGGAUUGAAGAAAUGGCAGAAUAUGUGAAGUUGUGGGAAUAUAUUGACAAGGGUAUUUAUGCAAAGAAAGGAAAAUAGAAAAAAAAAAAAAAAAACUGUCCAAACUGGUUUAUUUCAGUAGUGCCUACGUAGUAUUUGAUAGAAUAACUAGAAAAGCUAGGAGGAGGAGGCUAUAUUACACUCCUGGUCCUCAAACUAUAAGUUGCACAACACUUUGGUCUUCAAACUUAAGUACAUGAUGAUGGUAGUAUUGAGACCGUUUUACAUCUACUUGUAAAUUCAUGAAGAAGAUGGAUAAUGUAAAAUUACCAAUAAUGUAAAAUUAUCAAUUUGUAGAUACUAAUGUUCAUUGCAUAUUAAAAUAAUGAGAGAAUGCUGUGAACCAUGAAAAUUGUGUAAGAUUGUAGACUUAUCGCGUAUCUCUAAAAUAACAACUGUACACUGAAGGAAAAUAUCGUGGAUUUAAAAAUAUUCACACUAUAUGAAGUCUAAAGUUUAAUCAGAGUGGAAUUAAAUGUUUUAUACCCAGUUUUUCAGUUUUUAGGCAGAGAGAUUUUCUGAAUUCUAUGAAGUAUGCAAAGGUAUUCAUAUCGGACGACAAGAAAUAUUGUUGAAAAUUGAAUACGUUCGACUUUGAAGCUAUGACUUUAUUUCUAUUUAUGCUAUCAUCAUCAUCAUCAUUAGUGGUAGUAGUUAUUAUUGUCGUUAUUGACUUGGUGCUGGUUAUUGUGCUCCUCCUCUAAAGAUGACAUCAUAAAUUUUUAAUUUAUUUUAAAAAAAUGCAGCCCCCAAAAUCAUUUCUUAUGGCUAUAAUUUGAAAUUAGAUCUUUGAUAGUUCGUAAAAAUUAGGUUUGAAAAUUAGAUCUUUUAUUGACAUGAAGAAGUAAAUGAAUAGAAUUCCUCAAUUGGGCAUUUUUCCGAAAUGCUUAGGUGGUUAUUUUCGAAAGCUUUUUAAUUCAUAAAAUUUUUGUAGCUUUCUAAUUCAUAAAAAUUUUGUUACCUAAACAAAUUAUCAUGCUAUUAAAUCAUAUUUCCUUCUUUUUAAUGUUUGGUUAAUCAAAGUAAUAAUUAUGAUGAUUGAAGGUGCUCGAUUGUGUUAUUGUGUAUAUAUAUAUAUUACAUGACAUAUCAGUUCAUUUUUAUUCCUAGAAUCAUCUACCUUUUUUGUAAGAUGCAUGCCAUUGUUGCAGCCUCUAUGGACCUCUAAUUAUCAUGCGAAAAUGAUGAACUCAAUUUAUAAUCUUAUACAAGAAAGCAAAAUAUUGAAUUUUUGGCCACUAUCAUUUAUUCCGCUUUAUUAUUUUCACACUGUUGUGAUUUAUUUAGAGUUCUGAAGUAACAGCAUGUAAUUCUCAAUUUUCUUUAAUUGCACUUCAAUUUGUAAAGCACCGUCAAAGCAUGAAGAUGAUGACUUUCAGGAGUAAAUUGUGGUUUUUGGGUAAAGUGUUCCUUCAAUACGGGAUUAUUAGAAGUGUUUUAGAGUUUCAAGAAUGCCGCUCUUUUUUUUUGGGGACAAUUUUUGUUGUCAUAAAUGUCAGAUAGUGAUUUUAUUUCUUUUUGGUGCAUCCAAAUUAGCGAUUGAUGAAAUUUUGUGCAAUUUUUUCCGUUGAAAAGAAUUUGCAUGAGACCAAACUCAUUUACUAAGGUUGAUUAGACAAACUAAUUCACAUUUCUGAUAUUUUUUUCUCAAGAUUAUGGUUGGUUCAUCAAAAGAUUACUUUGAACCAUCAAGUCCCCUACUUUGUUCUUUUCAACAGCUCCCAUUAGCAAAGCCGAAGCCAAUGAUGGUAAGAGUAGUUUGACAUUAAUCUUUCUAAGUCGUUUGAUAAAUUUGAAUACUUCCACACUUUAUUCCUAAUGUCGAUUGAUAAGAAUAUAGCUUAUUUUGUAUGAUAUAGUGUCGCCAUUUUUUGCAAAAUUUUCAACAGAUAUCACAAUUUGACUGCACAUAUUUUGAGCAAAAACACAUUACAUCCCUAUUCCCUCCGAAAGUUGAUCAUGUUUUAGGAGGCCUUAAACCAUUCUUUCUUUCUUUUUUUUUUACUUUAAUUUUCUUUUAAUUGACACCUCUGUAGCUUCCAAUUAUCUUAUUUAUUUAUUUUUAUUGUUAAUUAAUUUAAAAUAUUUUGUUAAAUUUUAUGGUCAAUUAGUUAUAAACCCCAAUAGCCUGCCGCAUCUUUGCCUUCCUCUGCUCUCUACCAACCUUUGUAAGUUCUACUCCAUCUCUGUCUAUUGUUGUGCACUUCGUUUAUUUGUAUAUAUCUAAAAAGUAGUCCUAUACUUUGGUUGAUUAUGGAAAUUAAUCUGUUAUGUAGUUUCUUUUUUUAUCGCGUAUAGUUAUAAUAAAUACUAUUCAAAAUUUUAAUUUGGAAUUCUUUAUUGACACAACAUUAAUUUUUCAGACUGAUACAUAUAAUAGUGAUCUACAGUGCAAUGCUCCAAUGUAAAGCCUUUUAUAUUCGUUAUCAAUUCUCAUGUGGCUUUCAUCUUUUAAGAGAUAGCUCUGUAUGUUAAUUUUUGUCAUCCAAUUCCUAUGCUUUAGAAUGCUCCCACCAUUUAUUUGUAUACAUUCAUGUUUUCCCAUGCAAAUUCUAUGCAUAAGAAGGUCGAGUUAAGUUCUUUGAUCUUGCUUAGAGUUUGAUACAUAUAUGUAUAUGCAUACUAUGAAACCUUUGGAAGAAGAGUAUGCAAAAGCUAUCAAAUUAACGCGCAAAAUGUCAAAGUACCAAAAAAGUACAAAGAUGCAAAAAAUAAUCCACAAAGACACAUAGGAAGAAGCCAAAAUGGACUGCAGUUUGAGUAGUUUCUUCCCUUUCUUUGAGUUGGCAUGCUGUCGGUUUUCAAAUUCUUACUUUGAUUGCCGUUAAAAAUUCUUUGUUUCUAUCUAUUCCGUUAGGUUUUCUUCCUACUUUUUGAAGUUUGAAUUAUGUUGGUGUGCACUUUUUUCAAGUCUCUUUGGUUUGUAAUGGGCCUCAUUAUUUCUCCAACUAAUUAGUUUUUUUUUUAACCUUUGAACUUCAUUUCUCAAUUAUUUACACUGAAGUGCUCAAGCUAUUAAUUUGACACAAGUGCAAUUAUAACUAUGUAGGUUCCAACCGUGUCUAGAUGUUCAUCGAGUUGGUAGUUCAUCCACUAUGUAACCUUGCGCUACAUUCAUCAUAUGCUGUUUUUGAAGUCUAAAUUAUAUUUGUUCACUUAGGCAAGAAGUUUUCUGGAAGGCAUCAAAAAUUUAUUCAAGAAUAUGUGAUUUUCAAAGAGGCCUUCAAUGUUUGAGAGCUCCCUGAGGAAGGAUUAGCAACAUUUUGGGUUGCUGAUUUUCAAUUCUUUUUUAAAGUGUAUAAAAUAGUGAGCUUUUCAUUUCUUUAUGAUGUUAUUGAAGCGUUCUAAUUGAGACAAAAAAAUUACUUAAAAUUUGAUGCCUUUUGAUAGAGGGUCCUCUUCUCAUACUAAUAAUUGGUUUAUCAAUACAAAAUACUAAUGAAAAUUUUCUGUUAGCAAAUUUAAAUCCAAUUUUGACAAUGUGCUACACUGAGGAAAGGUCUGAAUGAGUUCACGUAGAAAAUAUUUGCUUAGAUGCAGUUUCAAGUAAGAAUAUUUGUUGAAUAUUACAAAAUGAUUUUAGAGACGGUUUAAGAUCACCUUUCUUUACUUUUUAUUUGGGUAACAUAGUUCCUUUUUCCUUUUUAUUAUAUAGGUUUGUUUAUGAUCAUAAGAUGCUUUAAAUAUAUAGUUUUAUAUGUAAUUGCUGGUAAUGCUUAAAACCUUUUAGAUGUCAUUUAGACUUGGCAUCUUCCCAGUUGAUUAGACCAUGUAAUUCAAUAACUUAUAUUGAGUUUCUUGAUAGUCAUAUAUUUUGCUUAAUUAGACAAUGUAAUAUAGUGAAUACAAUUUUGAGUGCACUAUGCAAGGAAACAGGAAAAAAAUGAGAAGUUUAUAGUAUUUUAAUUACAAGUAAUUUUGUUAAGAAUCUAGCUGCUCUGCUAGGUAUAUUCUUGGGAAAGAGGAGAGCAUGGAAGGCUCAGAUUUGGUGAUGAUAAUAGUAAAAUGGUUCCUCAAAAAGUUCAGCUCUUAGUUGGAGAAACCAAAUAGAGGAUUACAAAAGUGAAAUGAUUCUUUAUAUAGGAAAAUAGAGAGAUUGUAUGAAAGUCUCUUAAAUUUUUCUUUGUUGAGUUAUCUAAGAAAAGUUGGACUAACUAAUUUAAACAUCUACAGGACACUCAUUCCAGCGUAUGCAGAAUAUUUUCUUUAGAUAUUAUGUUUAUCUAGCAAGCUGUUGAACAAGCUCAACUUAUGUCGGUUUGGUUAUCAACAUUGAACUAUGUGUGCCAAGCUCUUUGACUAGGAUUUUCAUGUCUGUUAGCUUUUUUUGAGGUUGAUGAGAGUAAUAGUUGAAAUUCUUCCAUUUUUUCGUUGGUAAUUUGCACUUUUGUGAAAUUUUCUUCAAAUUUGAUGAAUUUUUUAUAUAAAUUAAAUUUUUUUUUUGCCUAAAUCUAAAGAAAACCUUAACAAAUUUAUGUAGCUUAUACUAUCAUUUUCAUCAACUGCUAUAUAAUUUCAUUUUUUCUAUAGAAUCAAUCCGCUGCAACGCGCGGGUACCUUCACUAGUUAAUAAUUAAUUCCCGUAUCAAUUUCAUCAGCAUCGAUCAUUUGUCGUAAUUACUACCCGUAGUAGAGGACGAGGAGGAGGAUCAGAGGAGGAGGAUCAGACUCAGAGGAUCAGAGAGGAUUGAGGAGGCGUAGGGGAUGGCGAGGUCGAGCGCGGACGACGUGGAGUUGCGGCGGGCGUGCGAGGCGGCGAUCGACGGGGGCGGGGGGAAGCAGAAGGUGGUUCUGUGCAUCCGCGUCGCCAAGAGCCGCGGCGUCUGGGGCAAGGCCGGCAAGCUCGGCCGCCAGCAGAUGGCCAAGCCCAGAGUCCUUGCCCUCACCAGUAUGCAUCUCUCUCUCUCUCUGUAACCUCUCUCUCUCUCUCUUGCUGCAUAUACAUUCCAAUCUCAUAGCUAAGCUAGGCUACACUGUCCUUUCAAUCUCUCUCUCUCUCUCUGUGGGUGAUCAUCAUAAUCUCUUGACAAAAUACAACGACGACAUCCUCAAGUGUUCGAUGUCAAAGAAUUCUAGUUGCUGCUGUAACUCAUUAAAAAACUACAAUUUGAGCGCUUAUGCAUCAAAGCUUUCUCGUCAUAAAUGCUGCUCUUUCCGGGCUCAAUUGAUUAGUUUAGUUGAACCAGUAGCUCGAAUACAAGUCAUUAAUGUGCAUUUUCAAAUGUUCUUUAUGCGGCAUCUAGUGUGACAGCAAGUAACUCAUGCAGCCAAAUCAAAAGGCCAGCGGACUAAAGCUUUCCUUCGAGUUCUGAAAUAUUCUACUGGAGGAAUUCUUGAGGUAACUAAAUGCUUAAAUGCCAUCUUCAUGACGUAUUACUAUGCACGUAGAUCAUUUUCACUUUGAUUUUGCUAUUCAUGUUACAUGCUUAAACCUCAUCAUGCAAGCGGUACACUUUUAAUAUCUUUUAACUCUUUUGCGUCUUUAUGAGACCUUCCAGGACUCUCCAUAUGGUGAUUACUGUUCGCCCUUACCCAAUUGUGCGGUACUGUGCAAUAAGAAAGCUCCUUAGAUGAAAUGAAAUGAAAGUGGUCUUUGUGGGUUUCGACAUGUUGAUGCUUUUAUAAUCUUUGUGAUUUACAUUUUGCCAAUUGCUAAUGUAGACAAUAACCAAAAGGUCUUAACGAGUUCCUGAAGGUGUUUCUUAUUCGCUUGUUUUGUAUUGUAGCCGGCGAAGAUUUACAAACUGAAGCAUCUUUCAAAAGUGGAGGUUAUUCAAAAUGAUCCCAGUGGUUGUACCUUUAUGCUGGUACGCUCUUUUAUCUUACUCUACUUGUUUGUUUCCAACUUGUCAAAAUGUUUCGUUUUGAUUUCGCAUAAGAAGAGAACAACAGAAUCUAUUAUAUUUUUCCUACAUGCUAUUCUGUUUUUGAUCCUUAAGCAGAUCAUUUUGUUUCUUUUAGGGAUUUGAUAACCUUCGAAUGCAAAGUGUUGCACCUCCUCAAUGGACGAUGCGCAACAAAGAUGACAGGUAAUAGUAGGGAAUGCUCGGAGGUCAUUACUGAAGAUUUCACAUGUGUUCUUACUAACAAUAUGGUUUUUGGUUUCACUUACCAUUGUCUACUUGUAGGAACCGGAUUCUUAUGUGCAUUUUAAACAUGUGCAAGGAGAUAUUAGGUGGUAUCCCUAAAGUUGUUGGUAUAGACAUUGUCGAGAUGGCUCUAUGGGCAAAGGUGCAUUUAAAAGGAAAUUCUUUUUCUGCAGUCACUCACAAUUUUUGGCUGUAUCCCUUACAAAUAUUUUGCAAAAGGGGCUACAAAGUUGGGGUUCGACCCAAAUUUAGAGUUAAUAUUGGACUAGGUAAGAAAUUAUAAUUGAUGUUCCAUGGAACAAGUACUACACUAAUAAAGGACUUACCUGAUAAGAAUACAUUGAGAAGACAGAGCUAUUACAGUUCAGAAGGUUGACAAGGCCAGAGUGAGUUGUUAUAUUGUGGGCAUCAAAGGAUAGUAUUUAUCGCACCUCAUCAAGAGUUUAGACCUAAGAUAUUGAUGGCUAAUUUCACCUAAGGGCAGAGUAUUGCUAGGGUAACCAAAUAUAGUGAACUUCAGUGUCCACAUUAAGAUCCAUAUUUUAGGGCCUUCAUUCCGCUUAAUUAUGACCAUACUACCUAGUUUCAUGCUAGUUUGAACUUUAUGUCCUUUUAUCUCUAUACUUCCUAUAUUUUCUAUAAUCACAUGCUACACAUCCUUUGCAAUCUACCCGUUAGAUAAUGUCCAAAAAGGAAAAGUGCAAGCUUCUAAUGAUGAGGUAAAACCCCAAGAUGAAAUAGAUUACCAUGUUGAGGGCUUUAUCCCACAUAGUCAUACAAACUAAACUAGUUUCAUUAGUUGAUUUUUGAGGUGAUGGAUUGAUUAUAUUGAUCCACUUAACAAACUAUAUAUAGCCAUAAUAGUAGAUUCUAAAGAGUAAGGAUUAAAUUGGUCCAAUGGUGUCUGACCCAAAUCUCAUGGCUUAAAUUAUAUAGCUAACACUCAUUAGUAUCUUAAUAGUGAAACUAACUUAAAUGUUUCUUAAUCUCGUUUAGGAAAAUACUCCCGCAAAAACUAGUCAAGUGGCAACUAAAGAUGGACCAGCAACAUCUGUUAUGACAGAGAAUGACUCACAAAUUACUGUCGAAAGAGAUCUUGUUUCACAAGCUGAAGAAGAGGACAUGGAGGCCCUUCUUGGCACGUAUGCUAGUUUCCUAACUUCAAGUUUUAUGUUUUGUUCUAUCUGUGAAAUUCUCAUUUAAACUGGUAUAAUAAUGUGCACACUUCAUUCUAUCGUUGAAUUGCUAGUGUUUGAGGUGAAUGGAUAUGUAUUCACAAUUUCACAUAAUAACUUAGCGAUUUAUUAAAAUUUUUAUGUUACUUUAUUGUAGCACGAAAUGGGUUGUGAUACCAUUUCCAUUCUGCAAUUUAACGAAGUUUUAGUUCUAUUGCUCUUCUGGUUUCUAUUUUGCUUGACAAUUUUCAACUGAAAAAUAUUGGUUGGCACCAAGCUGAGACAUUUUUUUAUGUUUGUUAUCCACAUACGUACUAUGUCACCAAGUAUUUCUGUAAUUUUCUUUCUCUUUGUAUUCCCUCACAUAGAAAUAUAUAAUCUUAAAGAUAGUUCAUUCUUGGAACUAUCAAGGCUAUUGAUAAUAUCAAUACAAGUCAUAUAAUAAAUGUUACAUAUAAAAUUUGCAUUGUCUCAGGGCUGCAUGUUGCUAUAUCUGAACUCGCAAUGCAUAAUAUCUACUAUAUAAAGCAUUAUUAAAUUCAAAAUAUUUAAACCUUUAUCUGCAUCAAAAGAUAGAUGAAACAAGGAUAAAGGUGAAGAUACCUUGCCCAUACUUUCAUAUUCAUCUACUUUUUCUUUUUGGUUUGUUCAUUAAUAUAUGUAAUUUUUAAUAACUUAAAUGCAGUACUAAUUUGUAUACUCUGUAGGUAUGUUAUGGGCAUUGGUGAAGCAGAGGCAUUUUCAAAAAGAUUGAAGCGGGAGCUUCUAGCUCUGGAAGCUGCAAAUGUCCAUGCCCUUUUGGAAAGCGAGCCUAUAGUAGAAGAGGUUCUUUUUACCUAGUCUUCGCUUCAUACAAGAUGUUAAACAUGAUGAUGAUCAAUAUAUGAUAAAUUAUAAUUUCAUAGAUUUUUUUAAGAAAUUAUUCAGAAUUUCUGGCAUAUAGAAAAUGCAAUUAAUGGCAGUAAAUAUCAAGAAGGAAUAAAGUGACCCAAAUAGCUAGUAACGGUGAAGUUCUAUUUUUAUGCACUGUUGCAGUUUCCUAUUUUGUUUCGAUUGUUUGCUUUUCUUCUUUUAUAGAAUACAAAUUAUUGAUCAACUAACAUCGUGAAGUAGCAAGUCUAACACCUAAAAACUGAAUCCCAGGAAAAUAGUGAGGUAGUGCAUUAUCACUUUAUACGCAAUCUAGGCUAAUCAAGAGGAAACAAUCUCCAGAAAGUACGUCUUAGUCUCCACAAGGGGCCAUGUGAGAGUAAAACUCCAUAACAUUUCACAACACAUGCCUGUCAUGAGAUUUUAUCUGCUAAUUUCUAAUAGUUACAAUUUUGUUCUGGUUUAUAACUUUGCUGCAACCCUUUGAGGUGCUUCAUUGGACCCUAACCUUAUUUCUAUAUUAUAAUUCAGCUUUUUUUAAAAAUAAAUAUUGAGCUGCUGAAAAAUCAAAUCAGCUCCAAAAGUGUCUAUGCCAGCUGAAUAGAUAAUAAUAUCAAUGUACUUGCCUUCUCUUUAAAAUUAUACAGUAAUUGCAUACUCGUAAUAAUUGCAAAUUCCAAACUAUGCAGGUACUUCAGGGUCUAGAAGCAGCUAGUAUAUGUGUGGAAGAUAUGGAUGAGUGGCUUGGUAUUUUCAAUGUGAAGCUUAGACAUAUGAGAGAAGACAUUGAAUCGGUAUGGUAUUCACAGCCUACUGAUACUACAUAGCAAAUUUCGCCAUUAAGAGCAUAUUUAAUCUUCAUCUGUCAAGGUGAUGUAAAGAUUUAAAAAGUAUUUUCACAGCACAAUCAUGCGAGAAGCCAACACAAUAUUUUAUAUUUUUUUCCUGCACAGUUUGCACACUUUAUCCUUUCUACUUUCCAUUAUUUCCAAACCAAGAAAUCUUUACAUAUUUAUGCGAUAUCUGAAAUUUAAAGCCUCAAUUGUCAUCACUCACAAUAUCUGAUACUUAGUUUGUCGCAGAUAGAAUCUCGUAACAAUAAGUUGGAGUUGCAAUCGGUAAGUAACAAAGUGCUUAUUGAGGAGCUCGAUAAGUUACUUGAGCGCUUACAAAUACCUUCAGAGGUGCGCUUGCCGCUCAUUUAAUGUCAUAUACCUUCCUCUUAUGAUGGUAUUUUGAUUGAAUUUUCUUAAUAAUUAUUUUCCAAUUGUUGAUACCAUUGAGUUGAUGAUAGUUCGAAGCAGCUCUAACUGGAGGUUCAUUUGAUGAGGCAAAUAUGAUUAAGAACAUUGAAGCCUGUGAGUGGUUAACUGGUGCGAUAAAGAAUAUUGAAGUGCCAAAUUUGGAGCCAUGCUAUGCAAAAUUACGAGCUGUAUGCCUUUUCCUUUUGCUUGGAUAAUAAUUUCUCUGUGCAUAAGUAGCAUCAAAUUUGACAAAUUUACUGGGUUGACAGAAGCUAUAAAAUCUAAUUUCUUGAUGACUGUAUAAUAAAUAAUACCAACCUUAGGAUACAGAGGAUCUGGAUAAAGCCUAUAAUCAUAUAUGAUCUAUAUAUUAUGUGGCAAAGAACUAAUAUAUAUUGGCAGUAAUUUCAUUGCACUUCGUUCUUGUCCUUUUGUUUACUGUUAACAUGAAAUCUAAUAUAACAGUAGAGUAAAGAUCAUUAGUUUCUGCAACUUCUGAGUUUCCUAGUGGAAUCUUAAUGAACCAUUCAUUUGUCGCACUGCAUUUACAUAUUACAUUUUACCUUAGGUCAUUCGUUGCUGUUGCUUUGCAUCUGGAGUUUGAAUGAACUUAUUAUUAAUAUCUUUACAGGUCAAGGAAAAACGUGCCGAAUUUGUGUUGCUGAAGUGUACAUUUGUUCGGCGGGCAUCAGAAUUUCUAAGAAAUUACUUUCCUAGUUUAAUUGAUUUUAUGAUAAAUGACAAGAGUUAUUUUUCUCAGGUAAUGACAUAGUUUCAUUAUCUGCUAAUCAUUGCAAACAAGUAGUUUCAGGAUUUUUACCUAAUUAUGCUUUUCAGCGAGGACAGCUGAAGAGGCCUGACCAUGCUGAUCUUAGAUACAAGUGCAGGAUAUAUGCACGACUUCUGCAGCACAUAAAGGUCCUUUUUUUUUUGAGAAAGUCAAGGAGUGAGCAUUAGCUUUAAGUCGUAGUGCUUUUUCAUGAUUCUGACUUGCAAAUCUUUCAGUCUCUGGACAAGAAUUGUCUGGGACCACUGAGGAAAGCGUACUGCCAUUCUCUUAACCUGCUACUCCGUCGAGAGGUCAGGAGUGAAAUUGUACUUUAAAAUUUGACCAGUAUAUAUAUUUUUCCUUUGAAUUUCUAAUUAUUUCUGCUUAAAUAAGAACAUGAUAAUAUAUGCUGUUGACCAAUAAUGACGAUUUCUACAAGAGUAGAUUAACUAUCUUGCAGAAUUGCACAAAUGUGCAUUCAUUGACAUCAAUAUUAUGAUUUAUUCAGACUGGGAAUUACUUCUUAGGUCAUUAAUUUAUUCUUAAAGAAAAUUGAGCGAAUCUGGGAUUCGGUUGUGCUUCUUAGCUUUGCAAUUUGCUGUCUAUAUUCAUUCAAGAAAACCAUCCUAAGGAACUUUCUUUUUUUGGUAAAAAAAAAAAAUAGGAUUGAAAAUAUUUUGUCCCCGAGGAUGAAGUGGCCAUUUUGAAUCAGCCCCCUCUACUAUAUUUCGAUUGUCACUUCUUCGGCAUUUUUUGUUUUGAUUCAAGGCAUUCUGUCAACUGAAAUUGGGAAUGCUGUUAAACAUAAUGGCACACUUUAAAGAUAGCGGGAUAGUUGGUUCUAUUUGUUUAAGAGGAUGGCUUUGAUUAUGUAAUAGCAGUAAUGAAAUAAAUUAUGAAUUUGUGCUAUAUCUAUUUACUUUAUUUGGGCUUUGUGUUUCACAGGCCCGUGAAUUUUCUAAUGAACUUCGUGCUAGUACAAAGGUAUCAAAGAGUUCUACUGUUUGGCUUGAGGGCCCUCCAGGUUCAAGUCAGACAACUAAUAGUGCUGAUAGUUCUUCAGCUUCUGAAGCAUACUCAAGGAUGCUCACAGUAUUUAUUCCUCUUCUCGUAGAUGAGGUAAUAUUAUUUUAUUCUUCCAUAUGUUUCAUCUAACACAGGCAUGCCUUGGAACAGAAAUAUUUUAACUGUUAUUUUCAUUGUAGAGCUCUUUCUUUGCACACUUCAUGUGUUUUGAAGUGUCUGCACUUGCUCCAUCUGAGUCCUUUGGCAGUAACAAAUUUGGAUCUGAUGGCACAGAAACAAAUCUAGCUGCUCACACUGGAAGUGAUGUCAAGCACAGUAAUAUUCUUGCCUAUGUUGUUAAGAUAAAUUUUAAUACUAUGCCUUUUCUUCUGCAUUAUGUGUACAAAUUUGAAGUAAUAUCAAAUUCUUGUGAUUCUCCCUGCAGAGAAUAAUUCAAAUGAAUUGGAAAUUCUAAAUGAAUGUCUUCGAGAGUUGCUUGACGGAAUCCAGGUUAGUUUUCUGUAGUUGUAAGAAAUUUUCUUAUGCAUUACAGCUGACUCUGAAUUUGAAUCAUGUCAUACCAUAAAUGCGUAAUGUGCUUGCUGGCGAAAUCUUUACUAAUUUUGUUGCUUUUAUUCUUCACAUUUCUAAGUCUGCAGUGUAUAUGCUAUUAAGCUUUUUCAUAUGAAAGCAUUAUGCCUAAAUGUAGGAGGCUGUUGAUCUUAUUAACAGUAAAGCUUUUUCAUAUGAAAGCUUUAUGCCUAAACUAUAAAUGCCGUUAUCCUUACAUAAUGCAAGUAUAAUAGUGAGCUGUUUUGCCAGACAUUUGAAAGAGGUACUGAUUAGUUAGAAACUCCAAUUCUGCAAUAUUACUAUAUUCAGCUAGACUAUGAGAUGAUUCUUUAUGUCAUUUUCCAACGUCAAGUUAUGUGCUAUAUAUAUAUUUUUCAUGACAAACUUUAGAACAGCAACAUUAGGCUCAUUGUGGGACUUCACUUAUUUACUUAUUAUUCUAACUUACUAUCUCAGGAAGACUUCUAUUCUGUGGUAGAUUGGGCAUGCAAAAUUGAUUCGCUUUGUUGCAUAUCGAUGCACGGUAUCACAGACCGCUAUCUUUCUACUCAAAAAGCUGAUGUAGCAGGAUUUGUUCGUGUGUUGCUUGAUGACCUAGAGACCAGAGUUUCCAUGCUCUUCAGCAGGGUUUGUUUAUAUGCAAUAUGAUUUUUUGGUUGUCCUAGACACUUUGGAAUUGCAUGCAACAGACAUCUGACUAACUUUUGUUUCCUUUUUUCCUUUUUCAUCUAGUUUGUUGAUGAUGCUUGUUAUCAGAUUGAGAAAUAUGAAAAGAAUGUGCGACAAAUGGGAGUUCUACCAUAUAUACCAAGGUUUGCAACACUUCUUCCUUGAAACCGUCGAUGCGUGUUUUCUUGUACGGUUGAUUUUUUUUCAACACCAGUUCUCUUCUGCUAUUAUAAUCUGUAAUAUAAACAGAUCAUAGUUUGAUAUUUGAAACCAAGUAUUUUAUUCAAUAUCAUCACAAAUUUGGGGCUGUUUGGUUGGAUGUAAUUUUAAAUAUCGUACAACUAAAGAUGCAUAUAGUUAAAAAUGCAGCAGUUACAACUAUAUGUAUUUUGUUUGGUUGGAUGUAAUAGAAAAUACUGCAACAUAAAUAGUUUGUUAGAUGCAUGCAGUUAGAAACUAUAUUUAUAAAUUUUGUCACUUUGUAUAUGGGUUGGGUAAGAUUACCAUCAAGGCAUCAAUACAGAAGAAAAAAAAUAUUUUUUUUGUUAUAUAACUUGUAAAUCAAUGCAGUUAAAAUAACAGAGACAAUAGAAUAGAGGCAUAAGAUAUUAAACAAAGUAGGAAUUUAGGUUGUAGAACAUUAAAUGGUAAAAUCAAACAUGGAGAAAAGAGGGAGUUCUAUUGCAUAAUUGAUUAUCAGAUCAGAUGUAAUGCAAUUUUGAUUUUAACAGCUAUUUUUGGUAUUUUGUUUUGUUCUCUAGAAAGUAAGAUAUGUUAAGUUUACAUAAGCUCUUCCCACUUUGAGAUAUUUUUCCUUAAUAUUCCGUCUAGUUUAUAAAAAUGUACUAAGGCCGUAUUGUUCCCUUGGUUAGCUUUAAUUUACAAUGCUCUAGCAUAAAUCUGCAAUCUAUUAUUCUUCGUAGAUUUGCUACGCUGGCAACACGUAUGGAACAGUAUAUACAAGGGCAAUCUAGGGAUUUGGUCGAUCAAGCAUAUACAAAAAUUGUGAGUUCCACUCUACCCAGUUGGACACACCACUUGAUACCAGUAAUACCUGGCCCUUUCCUUCUUUUUUUUUUGAAAAUAAACUUGCGACAAUUGUACGCUUUUUUUUUUUUUUUUUUUGUACUUUAACAUUAUUUCAGAAUACCAGGUCUGCAAGUUUAAAUAAUGGGCAUCUAACCUAGCAUCUCCUCCUUAUUGGUGGCUUAAGUUAUAUAUCUGAUGUUUUAUUGAACGUUCUCUCAAAUUUACUAAAUGAUAAUUUGUAAAAUUUGAAAUAGGUCAGCAUAAUGUUCGUUACCUUGGAGAGGGUUGCACAAGUGGAGCCAAAGUAUGCCGAUAUCGUGCUAUUGGAGAAUUAUGCAGCUUUUCAGCACAGGUUGUGAAAAACUGACCUUCACUGACAGAUUAUUCAUUAUUCAUGUAAUCUGAAGAAACAAGUCUGCUCUCCUGAUACAUAUGUUCUUUUUUCUUCAGUCUCUAUGAUUUAGCUAAUGUUGUGCCAACACUUGCUAAGUUCUACCAUCAAGCAAGUGAAUCCUAUGAACAAGCUUGCUUGCGCCAUAUUAAUAUGGUCAUCUACAUUGUAAGGACUUCUUUAUCUCUAUCCAUAUAUUUCUUCCCCUAAUCUGGUAGCUAUUCUUUCAUGAGAUGCACAUACUUCUUCCCCUAAUCAGGGAAUUAUUCUUUCAUGAGAUGCACUAUUUAUAUUGAGGAAAGGUGCUCUUUACUAAGUAACGAACAAGACAAAACAAAAACACUUCUAUAAACCAUAUAUAGGCUAGGAUCUUGUCCGGAGUACUGACGCUCCUACAGCAUAUCCCUCCCCAGCAAAUCAUUUUUUUCUGUCAUCUCAAACUUCUUUUUUUUGUCAACUUAAGGCAUAAGAAGAUAUAUAUAUGUGUGUGUGUGUGUGUGUGUGUGUGUGUGUGUGUCUCAUCUCCAGAUUUAUAAUUGAAUUUUGCUUUUGCAGCCAACUCAUAUUGUCUUACAUGUAUCCAGAAAGAAAAGAGUUUUUUCCUUAUAUGCAUCCAUAUCUUCUAGUUCCCAAGGAAUGGUUUGUUCCUAGUGAUCAUUUCAUAUGAAGCAAUGCGUUAGUCAAUGAUUUGGAUCAAUCGCAACGAAUCUCCAGCAUCUAGAAAGCUUAUGAGUAUCAGUUCUUGUGUCAGAAUUUUGGAGAUGCUUUUGUGUUAGUAUUUUUUAUUUAUGUAGUGGUUUGACUCAAACCUGCUAUCUUGAUAUGGCAAGCCCGCUGAGGACAUCAUACAUAAAUAUGUUUUUAUGUGCUAAUGUGUGGUGGUUGAAUGGGUAUAUCAGCAUAUGCAUGUGUGGAUGUGUAUAUGUGCACUCGCAUGCUCAUGCAUGUGUGCAUGUGUGCCAAGAUGUUUUCUUAUAACCAUGUUACUUAUUGCAGCACUUUGAGAAAUUAUUCCAGUUCGCAAGAAGAAUUGAGGAAUUGAUGUUCACAAUUGCUCCUGAGGAGGUAAGACAAUCUUGAAUAGGGCCUACAACUUGCUAAUGCAUCUUUUCUUGUAGUUUACAAUAUGGUGUUCAAUUUUAACAGCUCUUGCUUCAUUAUCUAAUGAUGUUACUUCCCCUAUGACCUGCUCCGUCCACUAGUCAUCUGUCUGUGCUAUCAUGCUUGACUAAAUGUUGGAGACAAAAGCUCAAACUGCAUCUAGUUGUACUUAAUUUUAUACCUAAUCUUUUCUAAUAUUAAAAUUUGCAGAUCCCAUUCCAAAUUGGAAUGUCAAAGAUGGAACUUCGAAAGACACUAAAAUCCAGCUUAUCAGGAGUAAGUUGCAAUAUUUAUUUUAGUCUCAUCUUUCUGUCUUAAGUGCACUUCUAAUUAUUUGGCUGUCAUUUUGAGAUGGUGAGAAUAUUAUCUUCAUUUUUUAUGUCUUUGCUGCACUUAUGGCCAUUUAUUAUUAUUAUUUUUUUUACAGCUUGACAAGACCGUAAGUGCAAUGUAUAGGAAACUACAGAAGAAUUUAACUGCAGAAGAGUUGUUGCCUUCAUUGUGGGAAAAAUGCAAGGUCUGUUUUAUCAUUUGCUCUGAUCAAAACAUGCCAAGAGAAUUAGAGAAUAUCUUAUUCGACUACAUGAACCAAAUAUAUAUAUAUACAUACUACUAAAGAGACGGCUGGUGGACUCAUUCGCUGGCCCUCUUCGAUAUCUAUCUGUCUUUCGAUUCAUCUAUGUUUAUGCCUUUUUUUACAGAUACGUCAAAUAUUCUUAAAGAAUUAGUUGAAAAAAGCAUAAAAAAAAAUCUGAUUUGAAUCAUUUCAUCCAUUGAUUUAAAACUAGGAAGCUAAAAAUCCAAUUCCUUUUGUCAAACACCUGGGGAGAAAACAUCUUCCAUAAAGUAAACUCAUUGUAAACACCCCUGGGAUACAAGAAAAGAGAGUAGAGGGAGGAAUGGCUUAACUGCCCCUUAAGCCAUUCUGACUACUACCUCUCUUAAUCCAUAGGGUAUAGAAUUCAAUAUAUAAUAAUAAAUUGAAUUCGAGACACACACACACACACACACAUAUAUUAAGAAAGAGAGAGUGGGAGUUCUUUUCUCUGUUUGAUUUUUUUUUUUUAAAAAAAGAGGGGCAAAACGGGUGCUUUUUUAAUUUAUUACUCCUUUCAACUCAAUUUAUUGUAUUAUAGGUAAUGUUUCCACAGAGACGCAGUUAUCAUUUUCUAUGGUGUGUUGGCAGCACUAGAAUAAUGUGUUGAUUUAAUAGUUUCAGCACAUUGAAUUAUUUUCUCAAUUUCGUUUUGUUUAUAUGAACCUGUUUUGUUCUUGCUGCCUUGUUGUGUGUCUGCACUUUGCCGCACUAUUUCUGCUCUUACCAUGUUUUAAAUAAAUAUCAUUGGUAAUUUCCCCAAAAAACAAAAUCAACUGAUUCAGAUAUUGAUAAGAUUGCUGCAAAUUACGAAUAAAUUUGGUGGUAAAAUAUUUGAAUUUGUUCCAAUUUGGGUCCCGCAGAAAGAGUUUUUGGACAAAUAUGGAAGUUUUCUUAAACUGGUAGCAAAAAUAUAUCCAAAUGAGACCGUCUCCUCGGUGGCCGAGAUGAGAGAACUCCUUAGUACAAUGUAGGAGAUUGCUCCAGGUUUUUCAUCAUCCUCAAGGUUGGAUAAGCUUAAUUUGUUUUUCAUUGAUUGGUGUAAGUUCCUUUCUGCUUUGCUUUCUAGUUGAUAUACUUGGUUUUGAACAGCCUUACAUCCAAUCGUCUCGUCUGAACUGAUGCAGGUAUAUUACUUUGGAAGAAGCUAAUGCAGUACCUGCAGGUAGCACUUGGAAUUCUUUAAUUCUUUUAAUUCUUUCUUUCUUUCUUUUCAGUUCUUGUUUUUUCCCUAAAUGAGGUUCUCAUUGAGGUGCAUGCAAUCCAGUCAAUUUGGUUGGCAGGAACUGUCUAUCCUUUGUAUUAUCUCAUUAGAUUUUUGAAGCAGAUGACUGAGACGAACAGAUUCUUUAGUUCAUAAAGUUAAAAAAAAUAUAUUCAGUGGCGACGGAUAUGAAACUACAAUUAGCUUUCGGCCUGUUUUGCCUUCAGUUUUUCUAGCGGUCUUGCUCAACAAUUUUAAAUAUCGGUUGCAAUCAAUAAAAAAUUAAUAUAACAAUUAAAAUAUUAGUAGAUAAUAUUAAAGUAAUAAAAAAAUAUUAACAUAAAAUGAAAAGAUACUAAAUAUUUUAAGAUUUAUCUCUUAGAGAAAAGAGAAUUAAAAGUUUAUUUUGUUAUGUUACUUAUUUUACGUAAGAAAAAAUAGGAAUCAAAAAAAAAUUCCCAAAAAGUUGAUUUAUCGAGGUACCAAAAUUCAAAAUAAAAAGCAUUUAAAAAUUAAGAACUUUGAAUAAAAAUAUCUUGAGAGUGACUCAAAAAAUUCGAGAGACUUUGAAUAAAAAUAUCUUGAGAGUGACUCAAAAAAUUCGAGAGAGAGUAUACUCUUAUUAGUACGAGUGAAGACCCGCGCUUCGCAGCGGAAAAUAUAAGAAAAAAAAUCAAAAUAAAUAAUUAAAUAUUUAAAUUUUAAAAUAUUUUAUUAUUCAAAAUUUAAAUUUAAAUUUAGAAUAUAAAAUGUUGAAGUUUAAAAUUUAAAUUUUAAUAUAUCAAAUUGAAAUUUCAAUAUUUAGAAUUUAAUAUUUGGAUUUUUAAAAUUCAAUGUAUAAUUAUAUAUAUAUAAUUCUCUCUCUCUCUUAUAUAUAAAUAUUUAUUAUAUUAUAUUUUUUUAUAAUUCUCUCUACCCCGCCCCCUCUCUUCUCUCUAUAAUUAUAAGUUAAUUUAUAUAUAUUCAAAUUUUAAUUGUUGCAUUUUAAAUUUAAAUUUUUUAUUUUUUUGUAUGUGAAAUCACAAUACUAAAAAAAAUUGGAAAGGGAAAAAAAAAAAAAAAGAAGAGAAAGAGAAUAUUAAUUCUAUCUCUCUCUCUAAAUAUAUAUAUAUAUAUAUAUAUAUAUAUAUAUAAAUUAAUAAUUGGGGGAUUUCGUCGAACACCUUGCGGGCAGCGACGGGAAGGCGGCAUCGCGCGUAGAGGGAGAUGAGGUGGUUGCAGAAGGGGGGAGACCCAGGGCGGGAACGCGCAGUCGCGCCGUUGGAUCCUCCGAUACAUGAGCGGGAUGUUGGCGUCGUCGAAGGGGAGCUGUCCCGCGAGGAGCACGAAGAGGAUGACCCCGCACGACCACGCUUCGGCGCGCGCCCCAUCGUACCCGUAGCAUUAGAAGUGAAACCCAGAAAUUUACCAUAUGCUUGAAAAAGCCUAGAAGUGUACGAUUCACUUCAUUUUACAAUUUGAUACUCAGAUAAAUAAUCCAGGGGACUAACACAAAUAAGGGGGAAUAAAAACUCAUUUUCAAGUUAACUUCUUUCGCUGCACACUAAUAAAUGCUACAAACACAGUCCAAAUCUCACAUAAUUUAUCUUGAAAAAGCAACUCCGUUUUCACAAAAUAAGCACUGAUUACUAUCUUGCAUCCAAAGCGCAUCUCAAAAGAAAUAUAUAUAUAUAUAUAUAUAAAAAAUGAAGCUGAGAGAGACGUAGAAAAAAUAAAUGUUCGUACAAUUAAAACAAACUAAUCCUAUGGGCCCUUCCAAUAAAUAAAUGAAAUUAAAGCUCCUAUGGCAUCUAACACACCCAAGAGAAAGUCUCAGAGCCAUUAAUAAACAGUACCGCGUAGGCUGGGGCCCCGCACGCCAUACGUAGGCGCCCGUCGCGGCCGCGCUGCUCCGCGAGGGCUGCGAGCCCGAAGUCGGAGAGCUUGAGCGCGCCGUCGCAGGCGAGGAUUAGUUUAAAAAAUUAUUAAUAAUUAUUAAUAAUUAUAAUUAUAUAUUAUUAAUAUAUAAUUAAUAUAUAAUUAUUAAUAAUUAUAUAUUAUAUAACUUCCGGCUACUAUACUAUCGAUAGUAUCAAACGCUUAGUGCUAUUUUUUUCACCGUAAGAUCUAUCCCUUUGACCACUUUCGUCCAUUAGAUCAUACUAUUCAGCCAACCACCUGCUCAAUCCUAGAGGAUCACUAUCAUCCUAACCGCACAUAUCUUCAUUCAAGAGCCGAAUAACUGAUAGCACCAAAAACUUNGAGGGCGGCGAGCCCGAAGUCGGAGAGCUUGAGCGCGCCGUCGCAGGCGAGGAUUAGUUUAAAAAAUUAUUAAUAAUUAUUAAUAAUUAUAAUUAUAUAUUAUUAAUAUAUAAUUAAUAUAUAAUUAUUAAUAAUUAUAUAUUAUAUAACAUUAUUGAUAAAUUUAAUUAAUUAAUUAAAUUUAUAGAGUUUAGAAAUUAAAAAUUUUAAACUUUAAAAUUUAAAAAUUGGAAAAAUAUGGUAUGCUAACAAUUAAAUUUCAAAUUUAAAUAUAAAAAUAUAAAAUUCAGAAAUUAAAAUUUUAAAAUCUCUCUCUCCUUCUCUCUCCCUUUCUCUCCCAGUCUCCCUCUCUGUCUUUCUCCACCUGGCUCUCUCUCUCUCUGCGGAUUUUUUUAUAAAACAACCCUCUAAAAUUUUAAAAUUUGUGAAAUAACCCACUCAAAAUUUUAUUUGUAAAACUAACCCUCUUUUCGCCACGUCGGCGCCACGUCAGAAUUUCUUUUAAAGGCGGUGAAUCGUUCACCGCGUUCUCCUAUUUCUUUUAAAGACGGUGAAUCAUUCACCGCGUUCUCCCAUUUCUUUUAAAGGCGGUAAAUCAUUCACCGUUUUCUCGCAUAACUUAUUUACCGUUAUGUUCUAUAUUCCAUAUAUAAUCCUAACAACCAUAUAAAAAUUCUAACAAAUUACAUAUAAUCUUAACUGCCUUUAUAUGAAGUUAUAUGGAUAAAUUAUUAAGAUUUAAAAGUUGUUAAGAUUAUAUGGGAUAUAGAAAGAAACAGUAAAUUAACAACCAUAUAAAAAUUCUAACAAAUUACAUAUANUCUACUCUCUCUCUCGUCUGUCUCUCUCUCUCCCUCUCUCUCUCGUCUGUCUCUCUCUCUCUCUCCCUCUCUCUCUCGUCUGUCUCUCUCUCUCUCUCCCUCUCUCUCUCGUCUGUCUCUCUCUCUCUCUCCCUCUCUCUCUCGUCUGUCUCUCUCUCUCUCUCCCUCUCUCUCUCGUCUGUCUCUCUCUCUCUCUCCCUCUCUCUCUCCUCUGUCUCUCUCUCCCUCUCUCUCUCGUCUGUGUCUCUCUCUCCCUCUCUCUCUAUCUCUCUCGUCUAUCUCUCUCUCUCUCUCUCCAUCUCUCUCUCCCCCCUGUGCCCCCGGAGUUCCCGGGCGCGCAUCUCUCUCUCCCCCCUGUGCCGCCCGGGCCCCAUGGGCUGGGCGCGGGGGGCGCGCGCCCCCGCGCGCCCUCUCUCUCUCUCUCUUUCUCUCUCUCUCUCUCCCCCCUGUGUCCCCCCUGGUUCCUCGGGCGCGCGCGCCCUCUCUCUCAGAGAGAGAGAGGGCGGUGGAGAAAUGGAGAGGGAGUGGGGGAAGAGAGAGGGAGAGGGUGGUGCUGGGGGGGAGAGAGGAGACGAGAGAGGGAGAGAGAGGGGGGGAGAGAAGGGGAGAAAAGGAGGGGGGGGGGCGAGAGAGAGAGAGAAACGGGGAGAGGGGUCACGCCCGCUCGCCGUCGCCCCCUCCUUCGCGCCCGCCCGCCGUCGCCCUCCGUCCCCGCGCCCUCGCCCGCCCGACGUCGCCCUCCGCCUCCUCGCCCGCUCCCGCGCCCCGAGGCGCACGACGCGCUCCAUGGCCGCUACGCCCCCGAGAGCGUGGGCUUGCACGACGCCUACGACCUCCACUACCGCUGCGCGAGGUUCUAGAUGGACCAGUGCACAGCGCUCCUCCGGCUCCGCGCUCGCUGCCGCGCCCCGCGCCCGCCGUCGCCCGUGCGGCGCCCGUGCGGCACCCCCACCCGCGGCCGCGGCCGCGCCCACACCCGAGUUCGCGACCGCGGCGCCCCGCUCCCGCCCGCGGAGCGAGGGGUCGAGAGAGAAAGAGAAAGAGAGAGGGGGAGAGAGAGUGAGAGAGAGGGGGUGCACGAACUGGGCGCGGGCCACCCAGGCGCGCGGGGCGCGGUACGUGCGCUGGGAGAGAGAAGGGGAGAAAAGAAGAGAAGGGAGGGUGGGGGGGCCCGAGAGAGGGAGAGAGAGGGAGGGGGGGCAGAGAGAGGGGGAGAAAAGGAGAGGGAUGGGGGCCAGAGAGAGAGGGGUCGCGCUCGCGGCCGCGCCACCGCCCGAGGCUGCGAUUGCGCCCGCGCCCGGCUCCCGGAGGGACGCCCGCGCCGUGUCCCGCGCCCGCGGCCGCGCCCCACCGUCCGUCCUGCCCGAGCUCCCCCGCCCGUGCCCGCGCCCCGCGUCCAUCCGGGCCCGCGCGCCCCGUCCCGCGACGAGCCCCCACGCCCCUCGACCGACGCGCCCACGCGCCCCGCCCCGCGCCGCGCCCGUACGCCCCGCGCCCGGGCCGCGCUCGUGGCCCAACCCUCCCCCCCGCGCAACCCCUCUCCCCGACUCCUUCUCUUCCCUUCUCUCUCUCUCUUUCUCUUUGCGACCCUCUCUCUUUCUCUCUCUAUCUCUCUCUCUCGUCUCUCUCUCUCGGUCCACCUCUUUCUGUCUCUCCCUCUGACCCUCUCUUUCUCUCUCUUUUCCUCUCUCUCUAAAAUUUUAAAAUUAAAGACUUAAAAUAUAAAAAUAUAAAUUUAAACUUUAAAUUGACAAUCGUAUGUUAUAAAAAAGGUUAAAAAUUUAAAAUUUCAAAUUUUAAAAAUUACAAUAUAUUAUAUAUUAAUAAUUAUUAAUAUAUAAUUAAUAUAUAAUUAUUAUAUAUUAAUAUUAAUAAUUAUUAAUAAUUAUUAAAAAAUUUGAUUAGGAGCGGACGCUGCCGCGCGAGUUCGAGAGGCUGAAGCCCGAGCGUCGGGAGCGCCUCGUCGCGCCGGCGCUGCCCGCGGAUGCAUACCGCACGCCCCGGGGUCGGAUGCGCCAUGACAAAUAAUUACCGAGACUCUGAAAGAGAACCCACACAAUCUACGGUAUCCUCGAAAUUAAAGUAAAUAAAUAACCUUCCCGGGUAUCCUAAUCAAACAAAAUUAACAUGCUUGUAAAUAAAAAAGAUGCCGUAAAGUAGGAGAGAGAUUCGAAGUAAAAAAAAAAAAAAAAAGAAAACUCUACGAGAAACCUACGUUCUAUCAUUAAUCACGAGUAAAACACUUUUGCCUCAACGAAAAGGUUCUAUUUAAUACACUCUAAACCUGACACAAACAUCGUAAAUAAUCACACGUCGCUUUCUUCAAUUGAACUUUUACUCAAAAAUAAGGGGGAAUAAACACAAUCAGGGGACCUAAUAAAUAGACUCAUAGUUUAACAUUUUACUUCACUUAGCAUGUGAAGAUCCGAAAAAGUUCGUAUACCAUUUAAAGACCCAAAGUGAAGAUUACGAUGCCCAUGCUACCCCGCGCGCGGCUUCGCACCAGCACGCCCCAGUAGGAGAAGCACGAGGAGCGCCCUGUCGAGGGGAAGCUGCUGCGGUUGUAGGGCGAGUACAUAGCCUCCUAGGUUGCCGCGCUGACGCGCAAGGGCGGGACCCAGAGGGGGGAAGACGUUGGUGGAGUAGAGGGAGAUGCGCGCUACGGCGGAAGGGCAGCGACGGGCGUUCCACAAGCUGCUUUAGGGGGUUAAUAUUUAAAUAUAUAUAUAUAUAUAUAUAUAUAUAUAUAUAUAUAUCUCUCUCUCUUUCUCUCUUCCUCGCGAGCGCGGAAGCCCCCGCGAAACGCGGGGAGGGCGCCGUACAUACUCAACUUUCAUUAUUUGUAUUGAUAGAACACUUAAAUUAUUUUCGAUAAUGGAGUUUUCGAAUCGAUGAUUCAUACUGUUAAAUAUAACCUAAAAUAUUUGAAAUUUAAAAAAAAUAAAUUUUGUAAUUUUUGAAAUAAUAAUAAGUCCAUCAAAUAGGCAUAAAAUGAACAAUCAAAAUUUAGUUUAAGAUGGAAGUUAUAGAUCACUAUCUAUAUAGUGAAUAAAAUUUUUUUAUUAAAAGGUCAACCAAUUUCGUUUUUUAUACUGUUAAACUGGUGAGCAUUCUAUACCGAUUGUGAAAAAUUAUCGAUUUAAAGAUUGGUUGAUCGUAAAGUAAAUGAUGUAAAAGAAAAUCUAAAAUUUAGUUUUUAGAAGUUUCAAAUGCUCUAAAUCAUGUUUAGCUGUAUAGAUCGUCAAUUCGAAAAUUUUAUCAUCGAAAAUGACUUAUGCAUACAAUAUCAAUUGUAUUCAUAAAAGUAUAAUAGCAGUUCUCUCUCUCUCUCUCUCUCUCUCUUUCUCUCUCUGUAUAGAGAGUCCGGUUACUAUGCUAUUAAUAGCACGAAGCACUUGGUACUACCAAAUUUUCCGCCGUUAGAUCGAUCCUUUUAAUCAUUUUCACCUGUUAGAUCAUACUAUUCAACCAACCAUUCACUCAACCCUAGAAGGCUCACAUCAUCCUAACCGCACAUCUCUUAAUCCAAUGGCCAAGAACUUGGUAGCACCAAUGACUUCGUGCUAUUAAUAGCAUAGUAGCCUAGUUACUCUCUCUCUCUCUCUCUCUCUCUCUCUCUAUAUAUAUAUAUAUAUAUAUAUAUGAGUUGAGCUAUGAUACUUUUACAAGUAUCACCAUCAUGGUACUAUUAGGUUUUAAGCCAUUGGAUCUACUUUUUGAUUAUUAAUAGCCCUUGGAUUAAACACUAUUCCACCUACCACCACCUACUACUAUCAUCUCAACAUCACAUCUCUCCAUCCAAGGGCUAAAAACACACAAGUAUCACCCCCAUGAUACUUUUAAAAGUAUUCUAGCCCUACUCUAUAUAUAUAUAUAUAUAGAGAGAGAGAGAGAGAGAGAGAGAGAGUGAGGCUACUAUGCUUCUGGAAGGCUUCCAGGUCGUUUUCGAUGUUGCGAUUUUUGAAUCGUCGAUCGGCUCCAUUAAACUUGAUAAUAUUUGAAGUAUCUAGAAAAUAAAUUUUGUAAUUUUUCGAUAUCAUUUGCCUAGUGAACGAAGGGGCUCAAAAUCAACGGCUGACAAUAAAAAUCUUACAAAACGUGAUAAUAUGACAUUAAAACUUUAGAUUAAAGAUAUUGAUCUUAUUUUAUAUAGUAUAAAAAACUUACUAUCAAAAUUUUACGUGAUUUGGAUAUUUCUACACUGUUAAACUUGCAAACGGCUCACUACGGCCAUUAAAAUUAUUUAAUUUUGAGCCAUUUCGAUCACUAGGCAAAUGAUAUCGAAAAAUUACAAAAUUUAUUUUCUAGGUACUUCAAAUACUCUAGAUCAAGUUUAACGGAGCCGAUCGACGAUUUGAAAGUCGAAACAUCGAAAACGAUCUGGAAGCACGGAAGGCUCCGUACUUCAAGAAGCAUAGAAGCCUCACUCUCUCUCUCUCUCUCUCUCUCUCUCUCUCUCUCUAUAUAUAUAUAUAUAUAUAUAUAUAUAUAUAUAUAUAUAUCUAACUAUAACUCUAUAUGAAUCCCUAAUAAAAUUGAUGACAUGGCAAGCCCUCCUUUUUUUUAAUUUUUUAUAUUUUUUAUAUUUUUUAAUGGUGAUUCAUUAUUCUUUAUUCUUACAUUUAAUGUUCUUAAUAGUUAUAACUCCAUUAAUACUCACCUCUUAAUUACUCUUUAAUUUUAUUUAUAUCUCCUUUAAAUUUUUUAAUAGUGAAAUAUUUAAGACAUUAAUUAUAAAGGAAAAAAACUGUCUAAUUAUUGCCCAAGAAUAAUUACUUCAGUUUUAUAUGUUUAUAUUUUUACUAUCUUAUUAUAUUUAAUGUUGCUAAUGAUAGCUAUAUAUUACAUGCAUAUGUUUUUCUUUCCUAAUUAAUUAAAUAAAUACUAUACUUUAGAUAACAAAUUAAUAUGUGGUAGUAAAGAUAGCUUCUCCAAAUCCUAAAUCCUAAAAUCCCAACCUUUCCUCUCCCUCCGCACCCUCCCUUGCCACCGCCCCUCCGAUCGGUGGCGCCUCCUCUCUGCCGGCCCCGCCGCCGUCCACACGGCGGUGGCCAUCUAGAAGGAGACCUCGGAGGAGGAGCGGCUGGAGACCUUCCUUCGCAUGGCGGAUCUCGCUAUUGCCACGUCCGUGCGUGCGCGGUUCGAGCGGAUGAUCCGCGAGGCCCUUGACGAGGUGUGCGCGGCGCUCAAGGCCGUGGACGGGGGCGCCGCGUUCAAGGAGGAUGUGUGAUCGCGCCCAUUUGCAACAAUUUCAAACUCUUAUACGACCCCCACUCCUACCCUCGAUCACUCCUUUCUCGAAAAAAAGUAAGAACUCUAUAAGUUUUUAAUUUUUAUCCGCUGCAUCGCAUGAAUUCCUACACUAUAUACAUUAUUACUAAACUGAAAAUAUAACUAAAAUAUCUCUAUUUCCGAUAUAGGGACAACUCAUUCUUUUUUAUACUAUUCAUGAAAAUUUAGGCAUGGAGUGAGGUUUAAUAUCUAAAUUUUUUUCGACAGCUUUCUUUAUUUAUUUAUUUAUACAGAAUCUACCUGCUACAACGCGCGGGUGCCUUCACUAGUAUAUAUAGAGUAUGGCUACUGUGCUAUUAGGAGUACAAUAGUCCUUGUGCUCCUAAGUUUCUAACUACUCAUCAAGUUUGAUGGGUGGUUAAAAUGAGAGAUGGAGGAGAUAUUGAAGAGAAAUUCAAAGAGAAGGGAAAUUGCGACACCCAAUUUCUCUUUAAUAUCUCCUCCCAUUCUCAUUUUAACCACCUAUCAAACUUGAUGGGUGUUUAGAAACUUAGGAGCACAAAGGCUACUGUGCUCCUAAUAGAAUAGUAGCCGUGCUCUAUAUUUACAUAAAUUGAAAGUAUGAUUUAAUUUUUAAUAAUUAUGCUGAUAUGUGUGAAAUUUAAGGGACCAAUAAAAAAAAGGGAAAAUUUCAAAAACCCCCCCUGUGGUUUCACACUUUUUCAUUUUAGUACCCUGUGGUUUAAAAUGUAUCAAGUUAGUACCCUGUGGUUUCUCACUUUAUCACUUUAGUACCCUGUGGUUUAAAGUGUAUCAAGUUAGUACUCUGUGGUUUUGCACUUUAUCACUUUAGUACCCUGUGGUUUAAAGUGUAUCAAGUUAGUACCCUGUGGUUUUGUACUUUAUCACUUUAGUACCCUAUGGUUUCACACUUUAUCACUUUAGUACCUUAUGGUUUAAAAAACCAUAGAAUACUAAUUUGAUACAAAAUUAAAACCACAGGGUACUAAAGUGAUAAAGUGCAAAACUACAGGGUACUAAUUUGAUACAUUUUAAACCACAUGAUAUUAAAGUGAUAAAGUGAGAAACCACAUGGUACUAACUUGAUACAUUUUAAACCACAUGGUACUAAAGUGAUAAAAAUUGAAACCACAUGGGGGAUUUUUGAAGUUUUCCCAUAUAUAUAUAUAUAUAUGGAUGUGUAUAUAAACAGUAUUAUAGAAAAUUUGAAUUUUUGAAGAAAGUUGGAAAGAAAUUAUUAUCUGCACUUGGUGUAUCUAUAGACAUCUUGCAUCGUACUAAUUUUUUAUGACUAAUUUCUUAGACUAUAGCAUGAUCAUCUAAAGGUUCUACAUGCAAAAAAUGUAUAAAAAUUCUAAAAUUUGUUACGAGGAAAUCAAAUAAUCUUAAAAAUAAAAAAUUUAGAAACAAACAUAAUUCAAUUAAUAAACAAUGACUUGGAACCGUGCACAAAUUUAAUUUAAAAGAUAUUAAAUUUUGAUGCUAAAACCAAACUCCUAUAUUUAUAUAGAAAAAAAAGAUGGUGGUUUGCGAAUUCCUACGAUUUAAAGACCACAAGAAUUAUAAAUUUCUUCCCCAUUAAAUUUUUUUUUUUUUUUUUGAGAGAAAGGUCGCAUGCUACCUGUUUCGUUUAUUUCAUUUAGAAAUAAAAUUAGUUGGAAAUGCUUCCCCAUUAAAUUUCUAAUGCAAAUUUAUGAAUGGACUUAUACACCGGGUCUAGGCAAAAGUAUCUCCAAUCUCCCGCCAUUUUCCAUUUCCCCAAUUCCUCCGCUCCUAUAAAACGCACUCCUCGAUAGCGUGCUCCCUCUUCGCGAUGCUUCUCCACUCCCUCCUCCUUAGAACCCUAACCCUAGCCCCUUUCAUCGUCCCCGAUCCUCUCCCCUCUCCUUGAGACCCAUCCGCCUCCACCGCCUCCGCGAUCUCUGCCGGGAAGCGCGAGCUCUCGGCGGCGGCUAUGGCGAUGGCGGCGGCGAUGGCGAUGGCGGCAGCGGCGGCGCUGAGCCGCGCCACUACGAUGGUGAUCGUCGCGGCGUGGUACGCCUCCAACGUCGGGAUACUCCUCCUCAACAAGUACCUCCUCAGCAACUACGGCUUCAGGUACCCGAUCUUCCUCACCCUGUGCCACAUGGCCGCGUGCUCCAUCCUCAGCUACGCCUCGGUCGCGUGGGUGGGGAUCCCGCCGCUCCAGCGCCUGCGGACGCGCGCCAGAGCCGCGAGGAUCGCCGCGCUCGGCCUCGUCUUCUGUGUCUCCGUCGUCGGCGGCAACGUCUCGCUCCGCUACAUCCCUGUCUCCUUCAACCAGGCCGUGGGCGCCACCACGCCCUUCUUCACCGCCGUCCUCUCCUACAUCUUCACCAGAAGGCGCGAGACGUGGUACACAUAUGCCGCGCUCGUCCCUGUCGUAGCUGGCGUUGUCAUCGCGAGCUGGGUUAGUGCUCUUUGAUCGCCUGAAUUUAUUAGAUUAUUUUAGUUACGUUUUACUAAUUUAGUUGGUUAGACAAAUGCUUACUUAGUGAUCUGUUCAGUAAUCGCUUUUAUGCACGCUAAUUAUAUUGUAAUAUGUUUAGAUGAAUUUAGCUAUUCUGUAUAAAUGUUAAAAUAGCAAAGAAAUGCGAAUUCCUGGAGUGCUGGGUGGUAUGUUAGGGGUCAGCUAUGCCAUUCAAGUGACUAUGCAUUAGGUGGGUGUCGAUCGAAGUUCUUAGAUGCAUCAAGAUAUUCUUUGUAACUAAGGUUGAGACAAGUGUUAGAUGCAUGAAUAGAUCUUUUUUUUUCUUUUGGUUGCUCACUGAUAUUGUAUUGUCUUGUGUUCCUCUAAUGAUGUCAGAAAUUUAAUCUGCCAUGUAACCUAAUUUAGUGCAGAAGUGUGGUGGGAAUAGAUUGUUUUACAAGUAAUGGAUCCAGAGGAAAUUGAGGUCUGCAUUUUGGAAAUAUUUAGUAGGAUUCACUGGAUUUGACUAUGAUAUAUUGAGAGUGUGGAAAUCAUUCAAGUGAAAUUAAAUGACUAAGACUUAUUAAUGUGGCCUUUCUUGUAAUUUCCAGUUGGGGCUCCCAAGGAUUUCAGGCUUUAAAUAACAAACUCCUGUUAAUAGUUUAUCCUCUUAUUUGGGCACUUUCUAGUGUAAACACGUUAUUUUUUUUUCCCCCUUUCUAAUGUAAGCACUUUCCUUUUCUUUUUUUUUCCCUUCCUGUGUGAGUAGUCUGUCUAUCCUCUUUUUUACCUCAGUUUGCAAUGUUCUAAGCUAUCUAAUUGUAACCUAGUUUUCUAGAACUACUGAAGUUAAGUUUUAGGUGCUGGAUUUUCCUAUGAAUAGAGCGAAACAUGUGGAUAUGACAAAAGAAGCAAUACCAACUGCCCCAAUUGAUCAAAAUAUUUCCAACUUCAUGUUGUUAGAUGAGAUUCCGGUAUUGAUAUGCAGAACCAGUUUGUUGGAUGCCUUUGUGCUUCUUAGGAAGGGUCCAACUAAUCAGGAUUGGUUCUAACUGUGUUUGUGUGGAUAGCUAGCAUUAUUUUCAUUUUUUUUUUUUUUAUUGCAACAAUCAGAUGGGGUCAAUUUACAUUGGUUGCAUAUCCCUUUUGCUUUUUACUUUCCAUUUCUCUGGAUUUUCAUAAUUAAACUUUAUGCUGUCAAGCUAACAUAGACUAUGGUGUAAUUGCGAGGUGAUCUUUAUAUGAAUACCCUUGCAUCGCAGGCCUAUAUAUUUUAACAUCCUUGCCUUUUGUGUUGCUAAUUGGCUGCAUAAUAGUUGUAAUUAUUAUACUAAGUUGAUAUGUAUGUUGCAAUGACACUGCUGCUUUCUUCUUGUAAGUUGAUGCAUGACUAGCCUUUUUGUAAUUUCUAUUUAUCUGUGGCAUAUGUAUCUUAGGGUGUGCUUGUUGGGAGAGAAAAACCUAGAUGAUAAGUUUUUGAUCCAAAAGAGCGGAUGAUAAUGGAGAAUAAAGUCAUUUUUGCAACUGCUUUGCACACAUCGGAGCAAUCAUAAUUGUUUCAGCGAGAAAUGUAAUGACGAGAAGGAUAGUUGGGGAUAAAGCAAGGAAAGUACUAUUCAUGGUUCCAUUAGAUUAGUAUUCGUGUCUUCCUAGAAUAUUUCAGUUUGAUCAGAGCAACUAUUCCCCUAUUCUUUUGUUUGUGCAGCAUAGUGAGGAUAACUUUUGUUAUUCCCUGUUGUUGCCAUGAAACAGUGCCUUAGUUUUCUUCUGUGGUAUUUCCAUAUUUAAUAUGUUUAUUCUUGCUCAUUAGUGAAAAUGACUCUGCAUAAUGACUAUUUAUUGUUCAAUUACAUUGGGAGACUCAAGCUUCCAGAAAAAGAAAACGACUCCGCAUAAUGACUAUAUAUUGUUCAAUUAUUUAGGGAGAGCCAAGCUUCCAUUUUUUUGGUUUCGUCAUGUGCGUAGCAGCAACUUCUGCACGGGCUCUUAAGACGGUGUUGCAAGAGAUUAUACUGUCUUCAGAGCGGUAAUGGAUGUAUUUCCACACAACAUGUAGUACAGUUGUUCUACUUUGUGAAACUUCGUACUUCAUAUUUUCUUCCAACUGUCUUGAAAUUAAUUGACUUUUUUUUUUUGCUUUUCCUUAAGUGGAGAACUGAGUUUUAUAUCCUUUAUGUACUGGUUUAUGUCUAGGGAGAAACUUGACUCUAUGAAUCUCCUCCUCUACAUGGCUCCAGUUGCUGUAAUCCUCUUGCUUCCUGCCUCAACUAUAAUUGAGGAAAAUGUGGUCAGCAUCACGAUAGCACUUGCUAGAGAAGAUUUCAAAAUUAUUUGGUACCUUCUCUUCAAUUCUUGCUUGGCAUUCAUAGUGAACUUGACCAAUUUCUUGGUUACCAAACAUACCAGCGCAUUGACUGUUCAGGUAUGAUAAGAAAUUCUAGAAUUUCCUAUUAUGUAUUCUGUUUUACAUUUUCUGAUCUAACUUUGUAGUUGGAUGGGUUAUGUUCUGUGCUUAAAAUAUGCACUUGACUAUCUGUUUGUUUACUUACUAGCAAGGAGUACCUUCUAUCUGAUAUCCCCUUCUGCAUGAGUAAGCCUGUGUUAGUAGUUCGUCUUAGAUUUCAUAAUUUAGCUGAAGAAUUAAGAUAAAAUAGAUCCUAAUCUGAUACACAUAAAUGAAAACGUGGUAUUAUUAUGCCUCAAUUAAGACAAUAAUAAACUUUGAUUUUUAAGUUUAUUUUUCCUUUACCCUUUAUGUAGUUAUUUGUCAACUCUGGUUCAAUGUUGUUAUAUAAAUGCUGAUAGGUUAUGUUGCCUUUUCGCUUAACUCUGGUGUGCUGAAUGGUUCUCAACUUUUCUUCUCCCGAAACUAUUAAGAUAAUAGCAUAUUCUUGCCAAACUAGUGGGAUUCCCAGUGGUAAGGCAUUAGUAGGAGAAAGGUUGAUGGCACAGUUCCAAGUACCAGCGGGGGUACACGCGGGUUCGGGUGUAGUGGGCUAAGAUCCCAGUUAUCUAAAUGUAUAUUCUUCUCAUGAUGCAAAAGCAUAAUUUAUAUUUGUUUUAACAAAUAUUAAGUAAACACAAUGUAUCAUUCCAUGGUUUUUCAAAAAUUAUGUCGCUGUUGUUUUAUUAUUCUUGGCCUUUUGAAAGUGGUUUAUUUUCAUAGUGUUUCUUUGCAAAGGUGUUAGCAAGAUUUUUUUUUGGAUAUAUCUCCCAUAUUAUCUUAACUUGCGAUAACUGCUAUUGUGUGAAAGAUGCUCAUAUGCGGCAAACAUGGAUAAAAAUUAUGGCCUCUGUUACUUUCUCUGAAUAUUUAUCCGAUUUGUCAUUUAUGCAUGUCUUUUGUUGGUAUUGAAACCAAGUAUGUGAAGGAUUCAUAGAACUAUUGCUUAGGUGGCAAAAACCCUACCUUCAUUCUAAUUAUUUCUUCUUUUUAACAUUUCUAUUCCUGCAACUCUUCUACACCCAAACUGCUACAUAUCUAAUAAGAUCAACUUCUCAAAUCCAACAAUUUUUUCUGUAUGUUCAUUCUUUUUUGUUUUUCAGGUUCUUGGAAAUGCUAAAGGUGCUGUCGCGGUGGUCGUCUCGAUCCUUAUUUUCAGGAAUCCUGUAUCCGCGACAGGAAUACUAGGCUAUACUCUCGCCGUCAUCGGCAUCUUCCUCUAUAGCAAAGCUAAGAAACGCAAAGACUGAGAUACUACACAUUGGAAUAUUGAAAAGGGAAAAUAAAAAGGAAAAAAAAAGAAACAGAAAACAGAGUAAAUAAACUGCCUUUUUACCUUACCAGUUUGGCAGGUCUUUGGUCAAAGCUGGAUUCGCUGUGCACCCUUUUUUUUCUUUCCGAUUGAACAGCACAUUGUUUGGGCCGGCGAGGAACAAAAAUUCUACAGAAAUCGACAGUAUACGUAUAGUGACAUUCUAACCUUCAGCUAUUACCAUACUAUUCGGUAUAGAGAAUUAGGUAUUACUCUAUUCUGUUUUACGGUUCCAUUUGGUGAUGAAUGUUCUUCGGUAUUUUCUUGUACAUGUAAUUCUUUGAAUUUCUUUACCCUCCUAUGAUUCUUCUCAAUUGUGUAUAACUUCCUUAUCAAUAUGUGCACACUGCAAUAAAUAUGGAUUCUUCUAUUAAUGAGUCCAAUACAUUUGAAUUGUCGGUAAGGUCCACAAAAUUUAGUUGGGCAUCGUUCCAGUUAUUUUGAUUUUAUACAAUUUAUUACAUGGAUACAUCAGCUGGUGGACUUUUCUAUUCUUGUUAUUGUUUGUCAGUUUCUGAUGCGCUGUAGCCAAAUAUAGAUGAUACCUUCAAAAUAUAAGAACAGAAAACAAAAAAAAGUGGUAUAGUUAUGUAGAGUGAGGCUAUUAUGCUAUCGGAAGUAUGGAGCCUUUCGUGUUUCCAGUUUUUUUUCGAUGUUGCAACUUUCGAAUUGUCGAUUGGUUCCAUUAAAUUUGAUCUAGAGUAUUUGGAGUACCUAAAAAAUAAAUUUUAUUAUUUUUCGAUAUUAUUUGCCUAGUGAUCAAAAGGGCUCAAAAUCAAUAAAUUUCAAUGGCCGUAGUGAAUCGUUUGCAAGUUUAACGGUGUAAAAAUAUCCAAAUCAUGUGAAAUUUUGAUAGAAAAUUCUUUAUACUAUAUAAAAUAAGAUCAAUAUCUUUGAUUUAAAAUUUUAAUGUCAUAUUAUUACAUUUUGUAAGAUUUUUAUUUUCAGCCGUUGAUUUUGAGCCUCUUCGUUCACUAGGCAAAUGAUAUCAUAAAAUCAUAAAAUUUAUUUUCUAGGUACUUCAAAUACUUUAGAUCAAGUUUAACGGAGCCGAUCGACGAUUUGAAAGUCGCAACAUCGAAAACGAGUUGGAAGCACGGAAGGCUCCGUGCUUCCGAUAGUAUAGUAGCCUCACUCUAGUUAUGUAUAUU